rnacentral:lncRNA from 1 species
UGAGUCUCCUCCUCCCACUACCACUAGGUUCAACACCAAGCCUUGGUGAGUUGUUGUUCCUGCUCAGGAGACAAGACAUACAUCUUCGGCACAAGCCUCAACACCUUCAGAACCAGCUCCAGCUCCAGCUCAAGAUCCUUCAGUAUCAACUCCUCCAUCUCCAGGGCGUUCAGCAGAAGCCUUCACAGACGCUGUUCUAUCGACUCCAUCAUCAGCUACUCAGAGAGACGAGUAGUUCUAUACUUUUGAACUUUUUGGUAACUUGUUGCCAAAGGGGGAGAAAGGUAUAGAUCAUAGACUUCGUGUGAGAGAGAGCUUUUGACUUUAUUUACUCUCGUUUGGUUUUAAAAACUUUGGUUUUCGGACGACUUCAUCCUAUCUGUGUGAUUGAUCAUACACUUUAUCCUGUGUGAUGCUACGAUAUCAUCUUUUAGCUAUCCUUGUGAUGGUCACUCACUUAUCUUGUUGGUGUCAUGUGCAUUGCUAUUAUUUUUACGCACCACCAAGAUGUGUGUGACAUGGAAGAGUAACCCAUGAUCCUAAUCUAUUGUGCAUUUGCAUUCAAAUGCAAAUUUUAAAUAAUACACAAAUUUAGAGGGAGCUCUUGCUUUUCACAUACUUCUCAAAGAGUCGAUGCUAAUCAUUGAUUAUAUCUUUUGUCGAAGCUUUGAUCUAUAUUUUGUCAUCAGUUACCAAAAAGGGGGAGAUUGAAAGCACAAUUGCUCCCUAGGGGGGUUUUGAUAAUUGAUCACAACAUAUGCAUCAAUGGACUAAUGUGUUUUCCAAGUAUAUUUCAGAAAAGUUCAAAAUAUGCUAUGGCUUAAAGUUUAUGUGGAGAUACCCCUUGAUGCAAGAAAGGAAUAAUUUUGGCUCAAGCUUCAAGCUAGAAGACUCUUCAUUUUAUAUUUGUGAGAAAUCACUUUUGAGUCCAUAGGAAAGCCAAUACUAUUAAAAGGGGGUGAGGUAGUAAAAUGAAUUGAUUGCUCAAAUGCUCAAAGUUAGCCACCAAAACAGUUAGUCAUUUUUCCCACAUAUCCACUCUGUCAAGUUCAUCAUUCAAAAAUUCGGUGUCACCAACAUUUCCACAUUGGACCCACCGAGUUUGAACCUCACACAGAACCCUAGCCAUUCCCACCAAAUCGGUGCAACCGAAACUGCAUCGGUGCUACCGAGUUUAGUGUGACCAACAUUCUGUUGCCACGAUACACAAAAUUGGAAUUUCUGAGUUUGAGUACCGGUGCCACCGAAUUUGGCCAUCUGACCGUUAGUCACCUUUUCAGUGCCUCCGAGUUGUGUAUAUCGGUCUCACCGAGAUUCAAAAUUUCACAUCUUUUGUGCUAGUCGGUACCACCGAGUUUCCAACUUUGGUGUCACCCAGUUUUCUCUUUUGUGUGUAACCAUCGGAUUUUUGGCUACUGCCUAUAUAUACCCCUUCACCCACCUCUCAUUCGUGGGAGAAACACUCACAACACACACUUCAUUUCCAGAUCCAUUUUCGGAGAGAGAACCACCUACUCAUGUGUUGAGACCAAGAUGUUCCAAUCCAAACAUUUGAAACUUGAUCUCUAGCCUCCCCAAUGUGCUUUCCACCAAAUCAACCUCUCCUACCCAUGCAUAUUCUGUGAGAGAGUAAUUUGUGUUGAGGAGACUAUCUCUAGAAGCACAAGAGCAAUGACUCAAUUGAUCUACCCCAUCUAUUACCUUUUGGAGGUUGGUGCCUCCUAGAUUGGUUAGGUGUCGCUUGGGAGCCUCCUACUUCGUGUUGUGGAGUUGAACCAAGAUGUUUGUAAGGACAAGAAGAUUGCCUACUUCGCGAAGAUCUAUCAUAAGGCUAGUCCUCCGUGGACGGAAGCCGUGGUGGGAUAGACAAGGCCUCUUCUUUGUGGACCCUCCGUGGGUGGAGCCCUCCAUGGACUCUCGCAGCCGAUACCCUCCGUGGGUUGAAGUCUCCACUAACAUGGACAUACGAUAACGCCACCUAUCAGAACCAUGCCAAAAAUCGUCGUGUCAACUUCAUGCGUUUGAUCUCCCUACCGUACUCCUCUACAUUAAACUUGCAUGUUUUACUUUCCGCUGCUAUACUAUUAGAACUGCAUAUGUAGGGUGUACUUGACUUAGCUGCCUCUCAAGUAAAAUUGGGAAAAUGCCAUAGCUGCCUCUCAAGUAAAAUUGGGAAAAUGCAAUUUUUUUAUCUUGUCAUGUAGUCUAAUAACCCCCCUCUAGACAUACUUUCGAUCCUACAGCUUUCAAAUAUUUAAAAUCAGUAGUUUAUUGUCACUCGAGACAGAACCAUGAGGAAGCUCGUGCCCUUCUCUCUUCCCUCUCUUUGUUGUACAUACAAAGCAACAAUUGGAUCAUACUCAUGAGUAGAAACGAUGGGUGAAAUUUUGUUAACUUUGCAUUUAUUAAUUCAAUCGAGAGAAAGAGAGAGAGAGAGAGAGAGAGGAAAUGCAUGGGAUGAAGCCGAGCAUGCACAUGGAUAUAAACUUCUCUUAGUGCCCUCCUCCAUGUAGUGUGCCUCUCCGCCGUCGGCGAGAGGCCUGUCAUGCUUGCCACUCGAGCUGGACCAGCCACCCUUCUCCCCAGAGGAGUAACUCGACUGCUCGGGCCACCAUAUUGACAUUCCUCGCCCCGAGGCUGGCAACCGCUCUAACGGCCCUUUUGGAUUUGAGGUUCCAAGUAGGUUUGGAGAUUGAAGAUCGUAUCAAGAGGAAUCUGGGAGUUCAAGUCAAUUCAUUCAAGGGAGUUAGAUCAAGGAAUUCUUUCUAGAUGCUCAGUUCUCUCGAUCAAAGAGAAAACACAACCAAGAUUAUAUUGCACUAAUUCUUCUAGCCUGUUUUGGAAGUAAUGCUGCUGGGUUUAAUGUGGUUUUUCUGCGUGGCCAUUGCUUUAGAUUCUCAGUGUCUUCCAAGGAUGUUGGCUUUACAAUUUACAACAAUGGUAACAUUGCCAAUGAAACUUUCAAUCUUGACAGUGCGUUAUAUCGACUAGAGGAAAUUCCUAGUGAGGAAAGUCCUCAGUCAUGAACUGAGUGCAGCGGAAACAAUACUAAGACAGAUCUGCAAAAGUGAUUACAUCAAAGUACUCAGAGUGAAUUGAUAGGUUUGGUUUGCACAUGUCACGUGUAUAGGAUAAGCAGGUGAUGAAUAACUCAGGUGAAGAAUUUGAGGUGAGGAAUUAGGAGAAAGUUUUUAGUCAAAUUGUUCGAACAGUACAGAUGAAAGUGUUCAACAUGCAAUUGAGGAAAUGAAAAGAGUUGAAGAAAUAGAACCACUAGAUCGAUGAAGACAAUGGUUGAUGACACAGUUCCAACUGUUGUGAGAGUUGUACGUCUCGUUUGGAGCGACUUGGUAUUGAAACCAAAUGACACACAGUCCUGGGACACACAGUCCCUAUCGUAUUCUCCUUGAGCUAAGGACACACAAUCCUCGCCCUACACUCACUGUAAGUCUUCAGGGCACACUUCCAAUCCCUCACAAACUCGGUCACCCGACGAUCCACAAUUGAUUGCCGGAUGCUCCAGACCAUGGCGCCUAACCGUCUGGAGGAUGCAUAGUCCUCAAAGAUAACAAGUGUCGGUUCUACACACGAACAAUCUCUUAAGUGAUGCUCUAUCACUUUGGGUUUUGGGUUUGGUUUGGGUGUUUGGGAUAUUUUCUCACUUGAUGAUUUUUGCUCAAAGUCCUCGAGGAAUUGGGUUGCUCUAAAUGAUAGGUGUCAGAUUCUCUUGGAGCUGCCAACCGGCUAGUGGUUGUAGGGGGUGGCUAUUUAUAGCCUGGGAGCAUCCCGACAUGAUAUGACAUUAAUGCCCUUAAUGAUAUGACCGUUGGGUGGAUAAGAUUGGGGACAGGUGGCGCGCGGCGCGACAAUGGUCGAAACUUUCAACUGUGAAAGUCCUCAUGUGUCUCAUGUUCCUCACUUUGAGGAUCUGGUAGGUGUCGGUUGAGUUGAGCAUCAUAAGCAAAUUCUUUCCUUAGUUUUACGUCGACCCCCUUUAACAGCACAAUGUUCCUAUAACUCAAGAAUGAAGAAAAUGAAAGAGAAAGAAUAAAUCUUCUAGAUUCAAAGUCUUCACAGUAUUUUCUUCGGGACACACCGAAUUCUUCAUCUUCAAUGUCUUCAUGAGAAAUAUCCAUUUCUUCGGAAUUUCUUCGCGAUCAAAGUCUUCAAGCAAUGAUCAAAGUCUUCACCCGAAGAUAUACAUUUUUAGGGGUCGAUAUUCAUCGAAUAACUAAAACUCCUCAGCGACUUAUAUAGCUUGUGUACACUCACAAUCAUAUCAGUAUAUUAACCUAUAAGUCUUCAGUCCACUAAAAUCACUAAGGGGUCCUAGAUGCACUUACAAUCUACCCCCUUUUGGUGCUUGAUGACAAACAUGUUAAGUUUUCAACGAGAAUAAAAAUAUGAAGUGUAAGUACAAAGUUUGAGGAAUUUGAUUGCAAGAUAUAGAGAAACUUCCCUGAAGAUGUGCAUAUUUGAGGAAUUUGCUUUGGACUGCAAAUACACAUUGAUGAUUAAUAUCAUGGAGAUCUCCCCCUAUAUCUUGUAAUUCAUGCAUGCAUUUAACAUAUAUUAUGAGGAAUUUGAAAUGCAUGAUGAAAAAUGGUGCCUCACGAAUUCAGCAUGUAUGCAAUUAAAUAACUUGAGGAAUAAACAUGAGAGGAAGAAUUAUCAAAAGCGUUAGAUCACUUUCUGGCUCAAGUUACAACUCAUUACAACAAAAACUUCAGAAGAACGAGAGUUUGUAAUUUAAUAAUGUUUAUGAUAGCCCCUAAGUAGACUCGCUUGAAGACUAACUCAGAUUCCCCCCCUUUGUCAUCAAGUGACGAAAAGGGACAAAAACUAAGAACUAACACCCUUGAAGGAUUUCACUUCUUAUUUAGAGGAGGUGUGUCGGGGUCGGCCGUUGUAGAAGUGUCAUCAAUAUCUUCAGCUUCAUUGGCUGUGCGGGUUGAAGAAAAUGAGCUAGCCACCAGUUGAGGAACAUGGAUCUUCUUGAACUUCUUCUUCGGAGGCCAGGACCAAUCAAAGUCUUGUUGGAACUCCAUGUCUGCAAGUUCCUCAGGAGUCUUGUGAUGAGACAGAAUAGCCCAUGUGCGACCAAAAAUCUCAUGCAGGUAGUAGUAUUUUCUUCACUGCAUUGCUGGUUGCAUUAGGUCUUUCAUAAUUUCUCCAACCUGAUGCUUGACCCAUUUGUGGUUGCAAUCAGCCUUCUGAUGAAGACUUAGAAGUAGCUCACAACUAGUCAUCACGGGCGGUGCAGUUGGGCUUGGUGGUUCUUGAGAUAUAGUGUCAUCAUUGAUAGAAUAUGACACUGGUUUGCGAAAUUGUCCAUCAAGGGGACUGGUGCCUUCAUCAGUUACUGAUUUGCCUUUGGCUUUAAUUUCAUCAAAGGAGCUUUUGACAACUUCUUGGAGGCAUAUAAGUUUGAUGAUUUAGAAUGUCAGCCUUGUAUGUAAUAUCUAACCUCUUUCUGGUGAAUUUCAUGAUCCAUGGAGCAUAAGGCUUCAAAUCCAGUGGUGAGGGAGCAGAGUGGGACAAUGUCCCCAGGAGGAACUCAUGAAGAUUUAUAGGGAUUCCAUGUAUGAUGCUAAAGAGCAAAUUCUUCAUGAUACCCACUAUUUCUUCAUCGUUUGAAUCAUGACCCCUGAUGGGAUAGAAGGUCUUGUCCAGAAUGCGAUAGACUGUCCUCAGCAAAUAGAUUAAUUCCUUUAUGCGGAAUUUGGUUCUUGUGUCCAGGUGCUAAUGGCUUCAUGAGGAUUUGCAUAUAGUGGUAUCCUAUUUCAGGUUCAUCGUAUACGCGUCUGGCACCAUCUGAGGGUAUUGGCACAGGAAGAUCCUGAAGUAAUUCAGUUAAAUGGGCUUUGAAGUGUGUGUACUGUGUCAUCUAGUCCAUAACCCAUGUGUUGGCAUCUUGAGGAUCUCCAGAUAGGUGAAGUGUAGCAUAAACUAAAGAAUAAUUUCUUCAUUCCAGUCACAGAUUUUUGUGCAGAAUUGUAGCAGGCCAGAAUCAUGAAGAACUCUCAGGACUGGUUCAUAUGAGGAAAUUUCCUCCAUAUCUGGAUGAGGAAUAUGCAUGUGAGGAAAGACCAUUUCUCUAUCAAACAUCACAACACCGUCGUAGUUCAUCUGACUUUGAUUCCAAAAUCUGUCGCGUCUGUACUGAGGAGAUUCAUAUGGACUAGGGCCCAUGAAGUAAUGAUGUUCAUCAAAGAAUUGAUGCAUGCCAAACUUUGGCCUUUUUCCCUUGAAGGGCUUGAUUCCCUUCAGCUGAAGGUUUGGCUUGAAGCGGCUCCCAAGUCUUCGUGUAUUGCCUGCUUGAAGAAUUUGAGCCACCACAAUUGCUGUCUCAGGAUUUGCAACAUGUUGUUCACCAACAGAUUAUUCAUUUUGUGUCGGAGCAGAUUCUUCACGCACAUUUCUUUAGUCUGAGGAAUUUGCUGGGUCAGUGUAUCAGUUGCAGGCACACCAGUUCCUUCAACAUUUUCAUUAGUUGAUGCAGCUGAUUCCAUAGCAGCUGUAGACUUGGCUGGAGUGUUAUUCUCUUUAGAGCCAGUCAAAACUUAAGUGGCCGCAUGAGAUUCUGGGAUCUGAGGAAUUGGAGGGACUAAUGGUGAAUUUGGAUGAGUUUGUUCCCAUAAGUCAUCAUGGAUCACUAGUGUGUUGCAGCCAAUGUCCACAUUCUCCUUCUUUUCUUCAGUAGUCACCUCGGGGUUGUGAGGAGGAGGAGUUGAGGCUUGAGGAAUGUCAUCAACUUGAAUGUCCUCAGCUAUGGGUGUGGAUGCAGUAGGCCGAUUUUCAUCCAUUUCCUCAUCGCUUUCUUGAAUGACUUGUUCUUCACCAAAUGGUACAAUCAUGUAUGACGGUGCAACACUAAGAGGAGUUGCAUCAAUUGGAGCAGAUGAAGAGGCAAGCAGAGUCUUCAGGCGUUUUGCCUCUGAAGACUUUGUAGGUGUUGAUGCCUUUCUCUUCUUUGCUUCUUUCUCAGCUGCUUUGGUUUUCUUCACUUCUGGUGUAGAAUGAAGUGGGACUUUCUUCAUCUUUUAAGACUUUUGGUGAAGGUGCAUUUUUUCGCGCAUUGCAUAGGUAGUUGCAGGCCUCACAGAUUCUUCACCAGUUUCAUCAGCUGCGGUUUCAUAUGGAUCGGGUAUAUCAGCAGCAUGUUCAUCAGCUGUAGGUUCUGCAUUUUCAUCAACCAGGUCUAUAGUGUAUGUGACGUGAGGAGUUGAUGGUUGCGCUAGGACUGCAACCCUGUUGUUGUACUCAUCAAUGGCUUUAAUAGCUGCCUUGACAAACCUCACUUUGACACCCUUACAUUUAGCUGGAAGACUUGUGUAUUUGUGAGUGAGGGUUUUUAGCCCAGCUUGAGUGGAGACUAGUUGCUCAAGCGUCGAGGUUAGAAGAUUUUGUUGCAAAAAUUUGUUCUUUUGAACCUUUGCUCUCUGAGUUUGCUUGGCUUGCUGAGCCUUCCACUUUUCUUCGUUGAUGAAUGAAAUCACCAUGUGACUGGGUCCAGGUGGAAGGUGUAAGUCAUUGAUGGGUGUGUUGGGAUCUUUGUACCACAAAUCGAUGAAAUCCAGUAUCACCUUUGGAUCUAGUGCUAUUGGAAUGGUGGAACCUUUAGCUUGUGCAACCCUUUCUUGCUUGUUUCUAAUGAUGGCUUGAAUGGUUUCCUCAUCAUAUUUAUCACUUUCCUCUGGUGCAGAGGGAACCUUGAGGACAACUGUGUUAGGACUAGGCCUAAUUCCUUGCCCAACAGUUGUCUUUGUCUUCAGAAUGCCACUUGAGGAUUUGUGAGCAGUACCAGAAGCUGAUGGUUUUGAGGGAAUUGAGGUCCCUGUUGGUUGCUGUCUGGACUGGGGCUGCAAAGUAGGUGAAGACUUUGCUGCAAUUGAGGACUUUGCAGCAAUAUUUGAUUCCGCCUGAGGAAUUUUCUGUUUGGACCAUGCUAUUGAGGACUUUGGUUUGAUACCAGAUUUCUUCACUAGUUCCUUCUUGGGAGGUUGUUCUAUGGCAGAAGCCUCAACAGCAGAGGAGGAGGCAGCAACACUUCCAGUAGCAGAAUCCUCAUUAAGCUUGUUCACUGCAUCAUUGUCAGUUUUCCUGAGUUUUGCCAAAUACUUUGCCUUCUUGUCAGGAUAGUGUUCAAUUGUUAGCAUGCUUGAGGGAUGGGAAGUUUGUUGCUGUUGUAGGGGAGGUCUGGAGCAAGGGGCUUGACGGCAAAAUUUCUAGCAUACUUAGGAGUGACAUACCUGUAUAUUUUCCACUCCUUAGCCCAUCUCCUCUCAAUCUUUUGAAUCCUGAUCUUGCGCUUCGCAGAUGUUUCUUUCCCAUAGUUGUUUUCAUUCGGUAUGCAAUAGUCAGCAUAGAUGUCCUCAGGAAUCUCAAAGGCAGUGUUCUUUUCUGGCAUCUUGCCACCCUUCUGUUGCUUGUCAUCCUCCAUUUUCUUCAAUUGAGGACUUUCCUGAGGAAUUUGAACUCUGGAGGAAUCUGAUGACACAUGUAUAUGUUCUUCAAGGAACACUGCAAAUGAGUUAAGUUAAUGAGACCCUAGUGAUUCAUUAGCUGACAUUUUGUACGUGUGAAUAGAGUAUAGGUGCGAAGAAUUUGGAGAGGCCAUAUGCGUUCUCAGAUUUGAGGAAUUUGAAAAAUGACCCAUGAUGAGGAAUUUGACCAAUAUAGUGUUGAAGAAUUUCGCUAAGCAUUCUGAUCUUGGGUUCGAGACUUGUCCAGAUUCAGAAAUUUGCACAAUUGAGGAAUCUCAAGAAGAAUUUAGUAACUUAGAGAAAUUCAUCACGUGUUCUAGACAUGGAUUGUGAUCUUCCUAAGUAUUUUUGAGGAAUAACAGAUUUCACACAUCCAAGGAAUAUAAAUGGAUCAACAUGGGGAGGAAAAUUAGAUUUUAAUUACCCUGUGUGAAGAACACGAUGAACUGAGGAAGUGAAAACCGAAGCUCGUCAGUUCAGAUCUCCAGUGCCCUAAUGCAGCGACUGAAGACAGAUACGGCGACAACGGAGGGAGAUGAACCAUAGUCGGCGUGAGACCGACAAGGGCGAAGUUGAGGCAGCGAAUAUCUUCCUCACCGGCGAUGAAGAUUUCCAGUGGUGGUGCUAGGGUAGAUCUCUAGCAGGGGAAGAUGAAAGCGAGAGGAAGAGAUUUCACUCGAGGGGGUAAGGACCUAUUUAUAGCUCAGGUGAAAAUGGUCUAAAGUGAAACUUUCGGACCGAACUGCCCCUGCCCUUUCCUCUCCGCAUAACACGUGUUAGUGGAGAACGUGGUUAUCCUAUUGUGAGUAGUGGGUGCAGUUAGAGCGGUAACGACGUCAAAAUUUAAGUUUGAAAUUUUUGAGGAUUUUGGAGAAAAUUCUUCAGUUGACAAGGACUCAGUGAGGACUUUGAAUAGGUGUCACUUAGAACGCAUAUGAAGAAUUGUGAAUAUUUUGGGUUGAUCUUAGCAUCGAGGGGACUCGGGUCCAAUAACAUUCACUUAGAUGAAACUCCAACUUGAAGACUUAGCAAUAAGUGAAUGUUGUUGAGGACAUUUGAAAGCUCAUAUAUAGUCAAUGAAGACAAUUAGAAAAUGUUGAAGACAUUGAAAAUUUUGAAGACUUUGAAAUUUUUCAGGAAUUUGAAAAAAGUCUCGGUUUUGAAGAAUUUCAAAGUUUGGUGGUGGCGUGACCCAUCGUAUAAGAAAAGUGAUUUAAGGCGCCAUGUACAAUUGUCGUAGGGCCUUGCGAAUCAAAUUCUUCAUUAAUUUCUUCACAGUUAGAGUGUUAUUCUUCAUUGGUUGAAGAAAAACGUUACUUUGUGUGCUGCGCGUCGAAGUCAUCAAUUUUGCAUAAGUGUUAGGAUGUGUGCAUUUUAACACAACAUUCAAAGACUCUAGGAUAUUUAGCUCACACCAUAACUUGAAAAACCUUUUCUCAUCCAAGGGAUUAGUGAAGAUAUCUGCUAGAUGGCCAUGAGUGUUCACAUGGUUGAUGAUGAUAUUGCCCUUGAGUGCAUGAUCACGAAGAAAAUGAUGACGAAUCUGGAUGUGCUUGGUCUUUGAGUGUUGUACUAGGUUGUAGGCAGUCUUGAUUGCACUUUCAUUGUCACAUUAGAGGGGCACAUUCUUCAUGUUGAAGUUGUAGUCCUUGAGGGUUUACUUCAUCCACAACAGUUGAGCACAACAAGAUCUCGCAGCAAUGUAUUCAGCUUCAGCAGUGGAGAGUGAUACGCAGUUGUGCUUCUUUGAGGACCAGGAGACUAAGGAUCGUCCGAGGAAAUGACAUGUGCAUGAUGUUGACUUGUGAUCCACACGGUCACUAGCAUAAUCAGAACGAGAAUAUCCAACGAGGUGAAGAUUUGAGCCCUUGGGGUACCGGAAACCAAGCGUUGGUGUGGGAGCUACAUAUCGAAGAAUAUGUUUCACAGCCUUAUGGUGUGAUUCCUUCGGUUUUACUUAGAAAAUUGCACACAUGAAAACACUAAGCAUAAUGUCUGGCCUAGAUGCACAUGGGUACAAUAAAGAGCCAAUCAUAGAGCGAUAUACCUGUUGAUCGAAAUCUAUACCAUUUUCGUAAGUGGAGAGGUGACCAUUGGUAGGCAUUGGAAUUUUGACGCCUUUGUAUUCAUUCAUGCCUAAUUUCUUGUGGAAUCCUUGAGGUAUUUCUCUUCACAGAUGAAUAUGCCAUUGCGUUGUUGAUGAAUUUGAAGACCUGGGAAGAAUUUGAGACCCCCCAUCAUGGACAUUUGAUAUUCUUCACUCCUCAUGUAGGCAAAUUCAUCACUCUAACAUUUGUCACUACAACCAAAGAUAAUAUCGUCCACAUAUAUUUGGCAUACAAAGAGUUCAUUAUCAUAGGAUUUUGUGAAAAGAGUGGGAUUGAGUGAACCGGGUUUGAAACCUUUCUUCACAAGGAAUUCCUUCAAUCUAUCAUACCACACCAGAGGGGCUUGCUUGAGGCCACAAAGUGCCUUUUUGAGUUUGAAGACUUUGUUUGGAUGCUUCGGGUCUUCAAAACCUGGGGGCUGAGCAACAUAUACUUCUUCCUCAAGCUUACCAUUGAGGAAUGCACUUUUCACAUCCAUUUGAUAUAGUGUAAUAUUGUGAUGGUUAGAAUAAGCAAGCAAUAUAGCAACAGGUGCAAAAGUUUCAUCAAAGUCAAUUCCUUCAACCUGUGUGUAGCCUUGGGCUACAAGUAGUUCCUUCUUCCUCACAACCUGACCAUCCUCAUCUUGCUUGUUUAAGUAGAUCCACUUGGUCCCGAUGAUAUUGUGCUUGCGAGGAUCAAGUCUUUUGACGAGCUCCCACACAUCAUUUAGCUUGAACUGAAGAAGUUCAUCUUGCAUGGCUUGAAUCCAGUCAGGUUCCAUGAAGGCUUUAUCAACUUUUGAGGGUUCUAUGAUAGACACAAAGGUGAAAUGCCCACAAAAAUUAACUAAAUGUGAAGCUUUUGAGCGAGUGAGGGGACCUGGCAUAUUGAUGUCAUCGAGUAUUUUGUCAGUUUCCACUUCAUUUGCAUUCCUCAGAUGCGUAGGUUGAAGACUUUGGUUGGGCUAAGGAAUUUGAUCUGGAGAAAUUUCCUCAAGUGCAACCGCAUGAAUUUCAUCAUUGUUGGGGUCGACUUCUUCUAUAGGAGGUUGUUCCUCGGUAGGAAUGAUAUCUUCAGUAGCCUUGUGCUUGAUAGCUUCUUCAGGAGUCAAUUUAUCUCGCACAAGAGGUAGAUGCUCUCUUUGCAAGCCAUUAGUUUGAUCGAACUGCACAUCUACACUUUCAACAACCUUCUUGUGAUAGGUGUUGAAGACUUUGUAGGUGUGCGAGUCCUUUCCAUGACCGAGCAUAAAAUGCUCAAGUGCUUUAGGUGCAAGUUUUGAGCUAUGGUGAGGAUCUCUAACCCAGCAUCUUGCACCAAAGACUUUGAAAUAACUUACAUUGGGUUUCUGGUCAGUGACGAGUUCGUAUGAAGCUUUCUUGAGGAAUUUGUGAAGAUAUACCCUGUUGAUGAUGUGGAAAGAAGUGUUGAUUGCCUGAGGCCAAAAGCGACGAGGAGUCUAAUAUUCUUCAAGCAUAGUCCAUGCCAUUUCAACCAGAGUCCUAUUCUUGCGCUCAACGACGCUAUUUUGUUGAGGAGUAUAAGGAGCAGACAAUUCAUGAGUAAUACCAAGUUCAACAAGAUAAUCAUCAAGGCCAGUAUUCUUGAAUUCUGUCCCAUUGUCACUCCUCAUGUGUUUGAUCUUGACGCCGAAGUUCGCCAAGGCCCUUGUGGAAAAUUGGUUGAAGACUUCCUGCACUUCAGUCUUAUACAAAAUGAUAUGUACCCAAGUAUAUUGAGAAUAAUCAUCAACGAUGACAAAGCCACAUAGAGAUGCUGCAUUGGUUAGAGUAGCAUAAUCAGUAGGUCGAAAGAUAUCCAUAUGAAGCAAUUCAAACGGACGAGUAGUAGUCAUGAUAGUUUUCGAGGGGUGUUUGGAUCUGGUCAUCUUUCCAAACCCACAAGCACCAUAGAGAUGGUCCUUGAGGAAUUUGACGGUUUCAAUGCCAAUGACAUGCUUCUUCUUUGCCACUGUGUGCAAAUUCCUCAUGCCUGCAUGACUAAGUCGCCGAUGGCAUAGCCAGCCUUCUGAGGUUUUUGCUAGUAGACACGUGGCUGGUUGAGGACCUGUAGAGAAGUCAACAAGAUACAAGUCUCCUCUCCUAAAGCCUUCGAAUACUUUGGAUUUGUCAGAUUCCAUGAUGACUACACAUCUAUAUUUUCCAAAGAUGACAAUCAUAUCAAGAUCACAAAGCAUUGAGACUGACCCGAGGUUAAACCCAAGGGAUUCAACAAGCAUGACUUUGCCCAUGUGUCGAUCCUUAGAGAAAGCCACUUUACCUAGUCCCAAUACCUUGCUUUUACCUUUGUCAGCGUAGGUGAUGUGCUUCAGUGGUGAUGGAGUCGGUGGGAUAUUAAUCGAUAAGCUUGCAUGCNNNNNNNNNNNNNNNNNNNNNNNNNNNNNNNNNNNNNNNNNNNNNNNNNNNNNNNNNNNNNNNNNNNNNNNNNNNNNNNNNNNNNNNNNNNNNNNNNNNNCCUCACCCAGUGACAGAAGGGGUAGCGAGGCACGCAUCAUGUUGUUGCCAUCAAGGGUAAAAAGAUGGGUUUUUCAUCAUUGGUUUGAGUUUAUCCCUCUACAUCAUGUCAUCUUGCUUAAGGUGUUACUCCGUUCGUCAUGAACUCAAUUACACUAGAUGCAUGCUGGAUAGCGGUCGAUGUGUGGAGUAAUAGUAGUAGAUGCAGAAAGUAUCGGUCUACUUGUCUCGGACGUGAUGCCUAUAUGUAUGAUCAUUGCCUUAGAUAUCGUCAUGACUUUGCGCGGUUCUAUCAAUGGCUCGACAGUAAUUUGUUCACCCACCGUGAUAUUUGCUAUUUUGAGAGAAGCCUCUAGUGAACACUAUGGCCCCCGGGUCUACUCCACACCAUAUUUUCAGCCUUACACUUUUUACUUCGUUGCACUUUCCGCCUUCAGAUCUCACUUUGCAAUCAAUCUUGAAGGGAUUGACAACCCCUUUAUAGCGUUGGGUGCACGCUCUUUUGUGUUUGCGCAGGUACUUUGGACUUGACGAGAUUCUCCUACUGGAUUGAUACCUUGGUUCUCAAACUGAGGGAAAUACUUACUGCUCCUGUGCUGCAUCACCCUUUCCUCUUCAAGGGAAAAACCGACGCAAGCAAGAGAAGUAGCAAGAAGAAUUCCUAGCGUUGCCGGGGAAGGACUUUUGUUGCCGUAGCAGAAGAAUUUCUGCCGUUGUUGCCGGGGAGGAUCAAGUCAAGAACUCAUCCAAGUAAGUGUCGCACACUCAUCUCUUCCAUUUACUUUGUUUGCCAGUUGCCUCUCGUUUUCCUCUCCCCCACUUCACAAUUUGCCUUUUUCGUUUUCCUUUUUCAUUUGGCUUUUUCGUUCGCCCUUUUCUUUCAUUUGCCUUUCCUUUGCUUGUCUGCUAUGUGCCUUCAAUAUGCUUGCAUCUUCGCUUGCUAAAAAUAUAGUGAUAUGGAUCCUCAUCCACUUGCUAAUCUCUUUAAGAGAUCCAAUUAUGUUGAUCCAAUUGCUAGUGAGUUGAGUGCACUUGACUUUCUCUAUGGAAUUUUUCUUGAGAUGCAUGAAUCUGAAAAUCGUGAUGUAGAAAUUUAUGAAGUGAUUCACGAGGGCUCCUUGAAUGAAAAGCAUGAUUGCAAUGGUUUCACUAUAAAUCCUAUUAGUGUCAAUCAUGCUAAAAAUAUGCAAAACCCUAAGCUUGGGGAUGCUAGUUUUGCUAUGUCCACUACUUGUUGCAAUGAUCAUGAGUGGGGCGAUGAUUUUUCUUAUGAUCUUGAAAAUUUGUUAAGCCUCAUGAUGAAUAUGAUAUUUGCAAUAUUAUUGAAAGUGGGUUUGGAGAAGUCAUGACUUUAGUUGAUGAUAGUCCCACUAUUUUUGAAGAGCGUCAACUUUGCAUGCAUGUGGAUCAUGAAAAGAAUAUCCUAUGUGAUAGUUACAUUGUUGAAUUCGAAUAUGAUGCCACAUGUAAUUAUUAUGAGAGAGGAAAAUACGGUGGUAGAAACUUUCAUAUCACUAAAUCACCUCUCGUUAUGUUGAGAUUGAUAUUGUCUCUUUCUUCUUCCGUGCAUAUGGUAACUAUUGGUUGUCUUGACAAUCUGUUUUCCUAUAAAAUGCCUAUGCAUAGGAAGUAUAUUAGACUUAGAUGUGAUUUUCACAUGCUUUAUGAUGCUCUCGUUGUGCUUCAAUUCUUGUCUUUUGCGUGAGCAUCAUUGAAUUAUCAAUGCCUAGCUAAGGGCGUUAAACAAUAGCGCUUGUUGGGAGGCAACCCAAUGAGUUUAUCUUUUUUCUUUCUGUUUUGUUGCAUCCACACCAUCAUAAUUCUGUUGUGAUUGUGUUUUUUGUGUUUGAGCCAAGCAAAACCUUUAUGACUAAUCUUGGUAAUGGUUGUUUGAUCCUGCUGGAAAAAGACAGAAACUUUUCACUCACGAGAUGAUUUUUCAUUUUUAUUCAGAAAGAGCUUUUGAGUUGAUUCUUUUUUCUGCUGUUUGAUAUGCCUUUUUCCCAGCCAGUCGUAAGUUUUCAGAAUUUUUGAGUUACCACAAGUAUACGAAGUAUACAGAUUGCUACAGACUGGUCUGUUUUUGAUACAUUCUGUUUUUGUUGAGUUGGUUGCUUGUUUUGAUAAAACUAUGGUUAGUAUCGGGGGGUACUAGCCAUGGAAAAGUGAGAAUACAGUAGCCCAACACCAAUAUAGAUAGAAUUCAAGUUUCUACAGUACCAAAAGAGGUGGUAGUUUGUUUUCUUGUGCUAAUGAUAUCACGAGUUUCUGUUUAAGUUUUGUGUUGUGAAGUUUUCAAGUUUUUGGUGAUGUUCUCAUGGACAAAGAGAUAAGGGGUGGAAAGAGCUCAAGCUUGGGUAUGCCCAAGGCACCCCAAGACAAAUUCAAGGACAUCGGCAUCCCCUCUUUCGUCUUCAAUCCAUCAGUAACAUUACUUGGAGCUAUAUUUUUAUUCACCACAUGAUAUGUGUUUUGCUUGGAGCGUCUUGUAUCGUAGGAGUCUUUUCUUUUUGUUGUGUCACAAUAAUCCUUGCUGCACACCUUUUUGAGGGAGAGAGACAUGCACUCAUCGUGAUUUUGCUAGAAUGCUCAUAGUGCUUCACUUAUAUCUUUUGAGCUAGAUAAUUUUGCUCUAUGUGCUUCACUUAUAUCUUUUAGAGCACGGCGGUGCGUGACUUGGUAGUUGGCUUAUGCUAUGAAAGUAGUCCCAAAGGUGAUAGGUACCCAAAGAGGAUAUAAAAACCUCCAUCUUCAUGUGCAUUGAGUAGAAAGAGAAGUCUUGAUUCCUCUCAAUUAGUUUUGAGACGUGGAUUUGCUAAUAUUAAGAGUUAUGUUAGUAGGGUGUUGUGCAUCUAGAGAUACUUGUGUUGAAGUUAGUGAUUCCCGUACAUGCACGUAUGGUGAACCGCUAUGUUAGGAAGUCGGAGCAUAAUUGAUCUAUUGAUUGUCAUCCUUUGUGUUGAGGUCGGGAUCGCGCGAUGGUUAACACCUACCAACCCUUCCCCUAGAAGUAUGCAUUUAGCACUUUGUUUCGAUUACUAAUAAAAACUUACGCAACAAGUAUGUGAGUUCUACAUGACUAAUGUGAGUCCAUGGUAUAGAUGCACUUUCACCUUCCACCUUUGCUAGCCUCUGUAGUGUCGCGCAACUUUCGCCGGUACACAAACCCACCAUAUGCGUUCCUCAAAAUAGCCACCAUACCUACCUACUAUGGCAUUUUCAUAGCCAUUCCGAGAUAUAUUGCCAUGCAACCCCCACCGUUCUGUCUCAUGACUUAUGCCGUCACUCUCAUAUUGCCAUUGCAUGAUCGUAAGAUAGCUAGCGAGAUGUUUCAACGUCAUACGCCAAGCUAGAUCGUUGCACAUCCCGGUACACUGCCGGAGGCAUUUCCUAUAGAGUCAUCAUCGUUUUAAGCUUUGAGCUGUGAGUAAAUAAAAAUGUGAUGAUCAUCAUUAUUAGAGCAUUGUCCCAUGUGAGGAAAUAAUAAAAAAAGGCCAAAGAGCCCAAAAAUAAAAAAAUAAAAAAAUGAGAAAAGAGAAAAAGAAGAGAAGAGGCCUAAGAGCCCAAAUAAAAAAAGAUAGAGAAAGAGAGAAGGGACAAUGCUACUAUCUUUUUUCACACUUGUGCUUCAUAAUAGCACCAUGUUCUUCAUGAUUGAGAGCUUCUUGCUUUGUCACUACCAUAUGCUAGUGGGAAUCUUCAUUAUAUAACUUGGCUUGUAUAUUCCAAUGAUGGGCUUCCUCAAAAUUGCCCUAGGUCUUCGUGAGCAAGCAAGUUGGAUGCACACCCACUAGUUCUCCUUUUGAGCUUUCACAUACUUAUAGCUCUAGUGCAUCCCUUGUAUGGCAAUCCCUACUCAUUCACAUUGAUAUCUAUUAAUGGGCAUCUCCAUAGCCCUUUGAUACGCCGAGUCAAUGUGACCAUCUUCUCCUUUUUGUCUCACAACCACCAGCACACUCUAUUCCACCUAUAGUGCUAUAUCCAUGGCUCGCGCUCAUGUAUUGCGUGAUAGUUAUAAAUUUUUUGAGAAAGUAAGAGCGCGAAAACAAUUACUUGGCCAAUACCGGGGUUGUGCAUGAUUUACAUUAGUUGUGUAAGGAUGAUUGAGCAUAGCCAGACUAUAUGAUUUUGUAGGGAUAACUUUCCUUGGCGUUGUUAUUUUGAAAGUUCAUGAUUACCUUGCUAGUUUGCUUGAAGUAUUAUUGUUUUCAUGUCAAUAGAAAACUAUUGUUUCGAAUCUUGCGGAUCUGAACAUUCAUGUCAUGUGAAAGAACUUGCAAAGGAUAACUAUGCUAGGUAGCAUUCCACAUCAAAAAUUCAUUCUUUAUCACUUCCCUACUCGAGGACGAGCAGGAGUUAAGCUUGGGGAUGCUUGAUACGUCUCCAACAUAUCUAUAAUUUUUGAUGGUUUCAUGCUAUUAUCUUAUCAAACUUUGGAUGUUUUGUAUGCCUUUUAUAUAUUUUUUGGGACUAACUUAUUAACUCAGUACCAAGUUCCAUUUCCUGUUUUUUCCAUGUUUUUGGCCCCUUUCAGAGGAGGAUUUUGAACGGAGUCCAAACGGAAUAAAACUGCCAAAAAGAUUUUUUCCGGAACAGAAAAAGAUAGAGAAGCCGGAGAAUCGGGGCACGGGGCCACCAGGGACCCCACAAGCCCUCAUGGCGCGGCUAAGGGGGCCCGCGCCCCCCUGGCUUGUGGGCUCCCUGAGGCUCCUUUGCCCUAGGUUUUGCCCCUAUAUAUUCCCUAAAAUCCAAUAAAAAUCAGGAGAUCAUCGAAAGUACUUUUCCGCCAACGCAAGCUUCUGUCUCCACAAGAUCCCAUCUGUGGCACGUUCUCGUGCCCUGCCGGAGGGGGAUUCGGAUACGGAGGGCUUCUUCAUCAACACCAUGACCUUUCCGAUGAUGCGUGAGUAGUUCACCAUAGACCUACGGGUCCAUAGCUAGUAACUAGAUGGCUUCUUCUAUCUCUUGGAUCUUCAAUACAAAGUUCUCCAUGAUCUUCAUGGAGAUCUAUCCGAUGUAAUCUUCUUUUGUGGUGUGUUUGUCGAGAUCCGAUGAAUUGUGGAUUUAUGAUCAUAUUAUCUAUGAAUCUUAUUUGAGUUUCUUUUGAUCUCUCUUAUGCAUGAUUUCAUAUCCUUGUAAUUCUCUUCGAGCUGUGGGUUUUGUUUCGCCAACUAGAUCUAUAAUUCUUGCAAUGGGAUAAGUGCUUGGUUUGGGGUUCAUACCGUGCAGUGACCUCACCCAGUGACAGAAGGGGUAGCGAGGCACGCAUCGUGUUGUUGCCAUCAAGGGUAAAAAGAUGGGGUUUUCAUCAUUGGUUUAAGUUUAUCCCUCUACAUCAUGUCAUCUUGCUUAAGGCGUUACUCUGUUCGUCAUGAACUCAAUACACUAGAUGCAUGCUGGAUAGCGGUCGAUGUGUGGAGUAAUAGUAGUAGAUGCAGAAAGUAUCGGUCUACUUGUCUCGGACGUGAUGCCUAUAUGUAUGAUCAUUGCCUUAGAUAUCGUCAUGACUUUGCGCGGUUCUAUCAAUAACUCGACAGUAAUUUGUUCACCCACCGUGAUAUUUGCUAUUUUGAGAGAAGCCUCUAGUGAACACUAUGGCCCGGGGGUCUACUCCACACCAUAUUUUCAGCCUUACACUUUUUACUUCGUUGCACUUUCCGCCUUCAGAUCUCACUUUGCAAUCAAUCUUGAAGGGAUUGACAACCCCUUUAUAGCGUUGGGUGCACGCUCUUUUGUGUUUGCGCAGGUACUCUGGACUUGACGAGAUUCUCCNNNNNNNNNNNNNNNNNNNNNNNNNNNNNNNNNNNNNNNNNNNNNNNNNNNNNNNNNNNNNNNNNNNNNNNNNNNNNNNNNNNNNNNNNNNNNNNNNNNNGCAACCACUCGCGUGGUCAGUGUGGUUCUAGUAGUGGAGCGCAAGGAGGAGGGCAAGGUACUGUUAGUGCAACGCCCUAUCUACUACCUCAGCGAGGUCUUGUCCGCCCCAAGCAAAACUACCCCCACUAUCAAAAUAUGUGUUAUGGCAUUUACCUUGCCACAAAGAAGUUGAAGCAAUACUUUCAGGAGCAAGCCAUCACUGUCGUGAGCACUGCUCCGCUUUCUGAAAUCAUGGGCAACCGUGAUGCCACGGGCUAGAUUGCCAAGUGGUCCAUUUCCAUGGCCGACCACGACUUCCGCUAUGAGCCGCGCACCGCCAUCAAAUCCCAGCUGGUGGCUGACUUCCUCGUCGAUUGGGCAGAAACCCAAUUUAUGCCACCACCUCUAGACUCCACACAUUGGCGGAUGCACUUCCAUGAGUAGAAUAUGCAAACUGGUCUGGGAGCCGGCAUCGUCUUGACGUCUCCAAAAGGAGACCAACUCAAGUAAGCUCUCCAGAUACACUUCGCCGCCUCCAACAAUGUCGCCGAGUACGAAGCGCUCGCUCACGGCCUUCGGCUUGCCAGAGAGAUUGGCAUCCGGCAGAUCCUUUGCUUCGGCGACUUGGACAUUGUGGUGCAGCAAGUCUCUGGUGAAUGGGAUGCCAGGGACGCCAACAUGGCGAGCUACCGCUUCCUCAUUCAGCAGCUCAGUGGUCCUUUCAAGGGUUGUGAGUUCCAUCAUGUCCCCAGGGCGGACAACGAGGCAGCCGACACCUUGGCCAAAAUCGGCUCCACAAGGCAGGCAAUCCCAGCUGGCGUCUCCCUUGAGCAACUGCACAAGCCAUUCAUCAAGUUGUCUCCUGAGUCGGCGUCNNNNNNNNNNNNNNNNNNNNNNNNNNNNNNNNNNNNNNNNNNNNNNNNNNNNNNNNNNNNNNNNNNNNNNNNNNNNNNNNNNNNNNNNNNNNNNNNNNNNUCUUCUCGUGCUUCUCCGCCGUUGGGAAUCGCCGCCGCCAAAGGGAUCUUCACCACCGUCGCCGCCGUAGCCGGACCACCACCAAGCUAGGGUAUGGUUCGGAUCCCCUUCUGUGUUCCCCUAUCCGAUUCUUAUGCAUUGGGAAAGUUUAUCUUCAAGCCACCAUGUGCAAACUCUUCCUUUCCACCAGAGCAUCUCGUACCAUAGAGGAAGAUUAAAUUUUUUGAUCUGAUCUGCCUCAGUAUGCAACUCGGUGAGACCGAGUUUGCAACAUCGGUUCCACCGGUUUCCCUUUUAGGGUUCCUGAGAAGCAACUUGGUGAGACUGAGCAGAUCUUUUCAGUACCAUCGAAAUAGACUGCCAAGUCUCUAUUAAGCGUGUAAGCUUUCUCGAUGACUCGAAAAAUGCCAACUCGGUGCCACCGAUUUACAUCCUGCGGAAGAUCAUACCAUAUGUUUCAGACUUCACAUUUUCAAAAAAGUCUGAAUAUUGUGAUGCUCAUCCAGUCUAUCUUUCCUAUAUCCACUUCACAUGGCUUGUCGUUUGCUGCUGAGUUUGCGUGUCAGAUAUGUCUGGUUCAGAAGAUAGUCAGAAUGACUUCACAGAGCAGAGUGUCGAGUUGGACGUCGGCACUAGUCCAGAGAAGUCUGACUCUGACCCUGGUUCCUACAGAUCCCAUGGUUUGCCCAAGGUAGCCACUAGGCAGAGCAAGAAGCUGAAUUCUUAUGAGGAGGACUCUGACUUUGUGCCAGAGGAGACUUCAGCUCCUUCAAAGGCUCCUCCUAUGAAGGUUGUUAGGAAAGUAACUUCUACCCCAGCCGAUCUGAGAGGACCUGAGUAUGCCAGGAAGAACACAUCACUUUCCAAGGAUGCACUUGCAAAGAAAGCUGGUGUGAAGAGGCAAUGGAAGAGGAAUGUUCAUCUUGUUGGAAGAAGAACUUCCAUGUUUGAAGACACAAAAUCUUCCGAGGAAGAAGCUCCUGGGGAGAUCCCAGUUCGUUCCAAGAAGAAGAAGUUGAUGGCUGCUACUUCUCAAACUUCUGUUGGUUUUCCCUUGAAGAGGAAAGGGUGAUGCAGCAAAGUAGAUAAGUAUUUCCCUUAGUUUGUUGAGAACCAAGGUAUCAAUCCAGUAGGAGUAACAAGCAAGGCCCCAAUAUUAGAACCUACACAAAUAAUCAAAUACUUGCACCCAAUGCAACAAAGGUGUUGUCAAUCCGUUCACGGUUAUUUGCAAGGAUGAGAUCUGAUAGAGAUAGAUAUAAAAAACUACAAGUAAAACAAAAGUAAAUAAAUUGCAGCAAAGUAUUUUUUGGUGUUUUUGGUUUAUAUAUCUGAAAAUAUAAUGUGGAAAAUAGACCCGGGGGCCAUAGGUUUCACUAGAGGCUUCUCUCAUGAAGGAAAAUAAUACGGUGGGUGAACAAAUUACUAUCGAGCAAUGGGUAGAAAAGCGAAUAAUCAUGAAGAUAUCUAAGGGAAUGAUUAUGCAUAUAGGCAUCACGUCCGUUUCAGGUAGACCUAAAAGAUUCUGCAUCUACUACUAUUACUCCACACAUCGACCGACUCCUUCCUGCAUCUAGAGUAUUAAGUUCAUGAAGAACAGAGUAACGCAUUAAGUAAGAUGACAUUAUGUAGAGGGAUAAACUCAAGCAAUAUGAUGAAAACCCCAUCUUUUUAUCCUUGAUGACAACAAUGCAAUACAUGCCUCACUACCCCUACUUUAGCACUGGUUGAGAACAUCACAAGAUUGAACCCAAAACUAAGCACUUCUCCCAUUUUAAGAACUACCAAUCUAGUUGGCCAAAACAAACCAAUAAUUCAAAGAGACUUGCAAAGAUAUGAAAUCAUGCAUAUAAGAAAUGAGGAAAGACUCAAAUAAUAUUCAUAGAUAAUCUGCACAAAAACUACCAAUUCAUUAGAUCUCGACAAACACACCGCAAAAGAGUAUUACAUCGGAUAGAUAUCCAUGAAGAUCAUGCAGAACAUGGUAUUCAAGAACAAAGAGAGAAAAGAAGCCAUCUAGCUACUAGCUAUGGACCCAUAGGUCUAUGGUAAACUACUAACGCAUCAUUGGAGAGGCAAUGGAGUUGAUGUAGAAGCCCUCGUGAUUGAAUCCCCCUCCGGCAGAUUACCAGAAAAGGUUCCCAGAUUGGAUCUCUCGGAAACAGAGACUUCCGGCGGUGGAAAAGUAUUUCUUGGCGUCGUUGUGGUAAUGAUGGAAUAUUUGGGAAUUUAUAGAAUUAGGAUUUGGAGACCUGCAAGGGGCCCACAAGCCAGGGGCGCGGCCUACCCCCUGGUCGCGCCCUGCAGGCUUGUAGCCNNNNNNNNNNNNNNNNNNNNNNNNNNNNNNNNNNNNNNNNNNNNNNNNNNNNNNNNNNNNNNNNNNNNNNNNNNNNNNNNNNNNNNNNNNNNNNGGUCUCUUUCAUUCCAGAAAAAAAUUUCCUAAGAUUUUAUUCCGUUUGGACUCCGUUUAAUAUUCCUUAUCUGCAAAACUCAAAAACAAGAAAAAAAAACAGAAACUGGCACUAGGCUCUAGAUUAAUAAGUUAGUCCCAAAAAUAAUAUAAAAUGUCCUUUUAAUGCAUAUAAAACAUCCAAAACAGAUAAUAUAAUAGCAUGGAACAAUCAAAAAGUAUAGAUACGUUGGAGACGUACCAGCAUCCCCAAUCUUAAUUCAUGCUCGCCCUCAAGUAGGUAAAUGAUAAAACAGAAUUUUUGAUGUGGAAUGCUACCUAACAUUUUUGAUGUGGCAUGAAUAUUCAGAUCCAUAAGAUUCAAAACAAAAGUCUAAUAUUGACAUAAAAACAGUAAUACUUCAAGCAUACUAACAAGGCAAUUGUGUCUCUUUGAAAUAACAUGGCCUUAUAAAGUUAUCCCUACAAAAUAAUAUAGUCGGGCUAUGCUCUAUCUUAACCACACAAAGUAUUUAAAUCAUGCACAACCCCGAUGAAAGACAAGCAAUUUUUUCACACUUUUUAUGUUCUCAAACCUUUUCAAUUCUCACGCAAUACAUGAGCGUGAGCCAUAGAUAUAGCACUAUAGGUGGAAUAUAAUAUGGUAGAGGUUGCAAAGGAAAAAGGAUGAGAAGAUAGUCUCACAUUAACUAGGCAUAUCAAUGGGUUAUGGAGAUGCCCAUCACUAGAUAUCAAUGUGAGUGAGUAGGGAUUGCCAUGCAAUGGAUGCACUAGAGCUAUAAGUGAAUGAAAGCUCAAAAAGAAACUAAGUGGGUGUGCAUCCAACUCUCUUGCUCAUGAAGACCUAGUGAAACUUGAGGAAGCCCAUCAUUGGAAUAUACAAGCCAAGUUCUAUAAUGAAAAAUUCCCACUAGUAUACGAAAGUGACAAAAUAGGAGACUCUCGAUCAUGAACAUCAUGGUGCUACUUUGAAGCACAAGUGUGGAAAAGAUAGCAGCAUUUUCCCUUCUCUCUUUUCUCUCAUUUUUUAUCUUCUUUUAUGUGGGCAUCUUUGGCCUCUUUUUUUAUGGGCUUCACUGGCCUCUUUUAUUUUUUGUAAAGUCCGGAUGCUCAUCCCAACUUGCGAGGGAAUCCUAGAUCUCCAUCAUCCUUUUCUCUCACAUGGGACAAUGCUAUAAUAACACAAAUCAUCACACUUUUAUUUACUUAGAACUCCACUCCUAGAACAAAAUAUGACUCUAUAUCCAUGCCUCCAGUAGUGUACCGGGAUGUGCAACGAUCUAGCGUAGCAAUGACAUCAGAAAAAUUGACAAGCCAUGAAAACAUCAUACUAGAUAUUUUACGAUCAUGCAUGGCAAUAUGACAAUGAUGGUGCAUGUCAUAAAGAACGGUGGUGUUGCAUGGAAAUAUAUCUCGGAAUGGCUAUGGAAAUGCCAUAAUAGGUAGGUUUGGUGGUUGUUUUGAGGAAAAUAUAUGGUGGCUGUUUGGAGGAAGGUGGGUUUAAUGCACCGACGAAGGUUGCGUGGUACUAGAGAGGCUAGCAAUGGUGGACGGGUCAGAGUGCGUAUAAUACAUGGACUCAACAUUAAUCAAAAAAGAACUCACAUACUUAUUGCAAAAUUCUAUUAGUUAUCGAAGCAAAGUAUUAGACGCAUGCUCCUAGGGGAAGGGUUGGUAGGAGUUAACCAUCGCGCGAUCCCGACUCUCACACAAAGAUUGAUAGUCAUUAAACAAAUCAUGCUCUGACUUCAUCACAUAACGGUUCACCAUACGUGCAUGCUACGGGAAUCACAAACUUUAACACAAGUAUUUCUUCCAAUUCACAAUUACUUACUAGCAUGACUCUCAUAUUACCAUCUUCAUAUCUCAAAACUAUAUGCAACGAACAAACUUCUCAUCAUAUUCAAUGCACUUAAUAUGAAAGUUUUUAUUAUAUCCCUCUUGGAUGCCCAUUUUUAGCUACCAGACCUCAAUCAGUCCAGUCUCUAUGCAUCUGUGUCAUCCCUGGAUCGGUAUGCUAACACGAACAAUACUUCGACGGGUAUUAUAACAGAGUAGCAAUCACACACAUAUUACAACGAAUGUCUCAAAGAGAACUUAUUACAAUAAUAUGGCCUAAGGCCAUCUAAAUAAGAUAACAGCGGAAGGCUUGGAAGAUAAAGUAGGUCCAACAACUCCAACGGCAUAGCUGAGUGCAAAACAACGACCUGUGGCUCUUACUCGAGAUCUGAAAAGUCUGCAACAUGAACGAUGCAGCCCGAAACGGGUCAGCACAUGGAAUAUGCUGACAAGGUAACACAUAGCGAGUGAACAGAAUAAAAGCUAUCUCUACAUGCAUACUUGGCUGGUGGAAAGCUCUAUGGUUAACAGUUUUGCAUAAAGCCAAAUUUCUUCCUAUAUUAGUGGAACAAAGUUUAUUUAACUACGUUUUUAGUUAUUAAACAAUGAGAAGGUUCCUCCAACUCAAACCCAAAAUAAUCAUCAUUAAUCCGGAAAUUAAUUUAGAGUGCUGAGAUACACAUGAAAAUCCAAGAACCAGAUACUCAAGAUGUCCAUAACCGGGGACACGGCUAAUCGUGAUUAGUUUGUACACUCGGCAGAGGUUAUGCACUUUUCCCAUAAGACUCGAAAUACAUCCAUGGUCGGAGAUUCGAGACACAAUCUAUCUGAAGCAUUAACUCUCUACUUCUGGGUAGACCGUACCACCUAUACCCUCUACAUCUGCUAGUCUACCACUUCGAGAGCUUCACACAACUUACUCCACUAUGCUAGAGACCAUAAUAUCUUGCGGCUGCACACGUAAGUUUCAUGUAUGAAUAGUCUUAUGAUCCCUUUGAAGCUGGGUGGCGGACGUUAGGAUGAUCACACGGUUCCCCCGGGAUAUCCUGACAGCCACUAGGGAUUCCAGGGUGCCUCAAGCAAUCCACCCAGAUGUGUAUUUAAGUAGCCACCUUAAGUUAAGCUUUAAUUAACAAUACUCACAUCUGUCAUGGAAAUCACUCACCCAAAUAAUCGUCUACGAGCAUAGCAUAGCAAUAAUAGCAUAACGUAGAAGUAACUCCCAAAAGUUUGAUAGUAAACAGGUAAUAGGUUCUACCUGUGUAUCUACUUCCCAAUACCCACAUGUUAAUUAGAUCCUAACCAUGCAAUGUGUGAGGGCGGAUCUAAUGUAAUAAAACUAGGUAAUAAGGGAUAUGAUCAAAGUGUUACUUGCCUUGCUGAUGAUCCGCAAAACCUAGGGACUCGUAGUAGCAUGCUUCACAAUCCGGGUAUUCUAUCGCAACAAACAAUAGCACACAUAAGCAAACAAUAUAGAUGCACGGGUAAAAUUGAAUAAGAUCUAACCAGAAAGUUCAAGUAACGAACUUCGGUUUGCAAAAGAAUCGAGUCAAACGGAUCAACGAAACUCAAACUGCGAAAGAAACGAGAUACGUUUACUAAUCUGGACUAAAUUCAAAAUUUUAUUUGUAAAAUUCUUGUGCAAGUGGAUUAAUCGGAAAGAUAUUUUCGUGACGAAAAUCUGGGCGUUUGAAUCACGUGAUUCCGAUAAACGAGCGAAAUGUUAUACUAAAAUGAAAUUCGAAUCACGAAUUGCGAUAGAAAUUAAUCGUGGAAAAAUCCCAGAAAAUAAAUCUGACGAACAGACGGACGAACGAACGUUUGUCGUCUAAAAUUAAUUAAUGAACAGUGUUCGUUAAAACGAACGUACGGACGAACGUUCGUUAAUUAAAUAAACCAAAAAAAAAUCUGAAAAUUUAUAUAUUUUUUGCUACCUCGAGGGCAUGCUCCGGCGAGUGGCGGCGNNNNNNNNNNNNNNNNNNNNNNNNNNNNNNNNNNNNNNNNNNNNNNNNNNNNNNNNNNNNNNNNNNNNNNNNNNNNNNNNNNNNNNNNNNNNNNNNNNNNAUGGGAGAAGUUGCUUACAAGUUGGAAUUGUCGGAAGGAUUGUCGGGAGUUCACGAUGUCUUCCAUGUUUCCGAGUUGAAAAAGUGCCACGCAGAGAUGGCCGAUAUUCCUCUAAGAGAUAUUGUACCACUCGAAGAAUUCAGUUGGAUAGUGAUUUGACCUACGAGGAGAAACCAGAGAAGAUUCUCGAGUAUGCCAGCCGAGUCACACGCAGCAAGGUUAUCAAGUUCUGCAAAGUUCAAUGGAGCCACCAUACAGAGGAAGAAGCCACAUGGGAACGAGAGGAGGAUCUACGGAAAGAUCACCCGCACCUAUUUUCUAUUCAACCCGAAUCUCGAGGGUGAGAUUCAUCUUAAGGGGUAAGGUUUGUAACAUCCCAAAUUUCCAAUUUGCAAUGUUAUUGCAUUAGAGCAUCUUGCAUAUCAUAUUUUAUUUGCAUAAUUGCUGAUCCUAAAAAUUCUAAGCAACUCAAGGACCCUUGGAGAGAGUUGGGAAUUUAUUUAUCUUCAUAUUGGGAUUUUCUCAAAUAAUGAAAAGAGGAUCAUUGGUUUUUAAUUAUUUUUCUCUUCAAAUAUUUCAUAUAUAAUAAUAUGAGAGAGGGGAUAAAAUGACUUUCCCAAAUUUUAGAAAUAUUUGAGAGGAAAUAUUAAAGCCAAAUAAUAAUUUUUAUUUGGAUUUUAUUUGCUAUUUUAUUGGAUUUACGAAAAUACGCGUUUUUCAAAAUAUUAUUUCGGUCUUUUAAAAAUGUCCACGUUGUAGAGCUCAUAUUUAGGAGUCCGGCAAAAUUUGUUUCAUCGAAAUCAGAGUUCGUAUGGACUUCCGAUUUAAUUUUCUAUCUCGUCCUAUUUAAAAAAAAGAACCGACCCCGGAGGCCUAUAUAAGCUGGCCCCCCNNNNNNNNNNNNNNNNNNNNNNNNNNNNNNNNNNNNNNNNNNNNNNNNNNNNNNNNNNNNNNNNNNNNNNNNNNNNNNNNNNNNNNNNNNNNNNNNNNNNGCAGGUGAUUCCUAGACGGCCAGGAGGAGUUGGCCGUCUCGCCCCUAGCCGGCAGGAGCUUCCCAGCCGGCCAGGGGGAUUUGGCCGUAUGGAACAAGUUGUGGUUUUCCUUUAAUCUUGUAUGCAAAGGUGUAGGCACGAUAAGCCUACCCGGGGUUAUCCCCCCAUCAUACACCAAGAGUAGUUCAAGAAGAAUACAUCAAGCUCAUAAUGGUGAAUGGGUUUCUGGCUUCGAGUCUGAUCACCACUCCGAGACAAGCUAUCAAUCCCAAUCCGACUAUAGUAAAGAUGAAGGUGUUGCCGGGAUUGCACUUGUUUCCACCAACACCUACAACUUUUUUGAUUGACCAAAUGAGGGAGUCGGAAACUGCUUCAUGGAUAAAGGCUUGUUAGGAGAAGAUGAUUUGCUUCUUGAUAAAACUAGUGAUUCCGCUGAAAAUGAACUUGCUAUUAAUCAUGCUAGUCAGCAUAAACCGAAUGAUGAUGAUAAGAAAAAAAUGGAACGUGUAACUCAAGAAUUAAAAUCUCUUAAUUUAGCCCACGAGACUACUCUAGAAAAUCAUAGAGAGCUUGCAAGAACCCAUGAGGAGAUACGCUUCGAGAAGCUCAACUUGGAGCAAGAACAUGAGUUCUUAAAAGCAAUCAAUGAUGAUCUUCGGAAGAAGAGUUAUUCUUAUCUAGCCAAACAAUUAAUCUUGUCUAACUUUGUUCGACAAGUUAAACCUAGGAACACUAGUAACAAAGGCAAGAAGGUUUCUUCAUCUAGUAACAACAAUGCUGAAGCUAAAUCCAAUACUUUUGUUGCUAGUAGCUCUAUUGAUUCCACUAGCGAUCCUCUUAGCCAAGUAACACUUGAGCAAGAAAAUGAUCUAUUGAAAGGGAUUAUAGAGAGAGGUGUAUUCAAGAGUCUUGCCGGAAGUAAACAAUUCGAGAAAAUUGUGCACAAGCAAGGAGGACAUCGUAAGAAACAAGGUGUUGGCUACUUGAACGUCAACGGAGAUGAUUGGGAAGAAGGUCCAUAUCCCACUCCUAAGUUUGUUCCCCAAGAGGAGAAGUGUGAUUCCACUCCCCCGAAGUAACAAGCUCACAAUAUGACCUUCUACCACAAGACCACAAAGGCAAGGGAAGGCUUCAAGAUGACAUUGACCUAUUUGAAGAAGAACCCCAAACAAAGGUCAAGUGAGUUCCCAAGGAGACUACUAGCUCUACCUCAACAAGCGCUACCACAACUCCGAGGAUUCCCAUCAAUUUGGUGUGGAUUCCCAAGAGGAAUAACUAGAAGUUAUUUAGGGGUGACACCGCCAAUGAAAUUCACUCUUAUUCAUCUUGGCAAGAACUAUUUGCAAUCAACCUCAACCAUAUGCAUUAGUUCAAGGAGUCACACAUUCCCUCAAAGGUAAGCAAGGAACAAGGUAAUUAAUGCAUCUUUGGAUAUCAUCCCAUUUUGGUUUCACUCAUUUCUAUAGAUAUUAUUACAUAUGUUUCUUUUUCUUUGGGACUAACCCAUGUAGGUGAGAAGAGUAUGAAAACAACAAGGAUUGCUCCCAACUGUUGAUGAUCUUCAUCAACAUUGAGCAUCCACCACUACUUCACCUACUUGAAGUCUUCUACGACAAAACCCAAGGUUAGUUAAUCCCUCUUAGUGGGGAUGACAUAUCAAGGGGGAGCUUUACUCUAAGACUUGAGUAUAAGGAUCUCCUAAGGAUAUGACCACAUUAAUGCUUAUGUAAACGGGGUAACCCCACUUGUGUUUGACGAUGAGUAUGACCUAUGAUCAAGUAUUCUUACUUGGCUCCUAUGUCAAUAUACUCAUAUAUUGAUGACUUCGUCAUCCCCCAAGUGCUUGAUAGCCGCUAGAAUGUUUGUGCAUGUUCACCAUAUUUUUCUCCAUCAUUCUUAUUGUGUGAGCAUGUUGGUCUGUAUAUGUUUGAUCAUUCGAGGAUAUCUAAUUGUUGUUAUUUGGCUCUUGAUUUAGCGUUUGCCAAUUGGAUGGACAAGAAUGCCUAGGACACUUCUGUAGCUAUCUAUUCUAUCACAUCUCAAGUUCUAUUCAUGCUUCACCAGAAAACUUGAACAAGCACUUGUCGAUCCCUCUGUGUGAAGGAGCACUCGGAGUUCCCUAUCGUCAAUGGUUGACUUCCAAAACCUCUCUGUGAAUGAACUCGGUGAAACUAACUUCACAAACUCGGUUCCACCAAAUUCCAGAGUUGAACUAGGUUUUCCAUCUCGGUACCACCAAAAUCACCAACUCGGUUAAACCGAGUUUCCCACUCAACUGACAGUUGAGGAACUCGGUGACACCGAUUUUUUCAUCUCGGUGACACCUACAGCGAACGGGUAUAUAAAUCCAGCGGACCGAAACUUUGAUUUCACUUCAUCAAAGCCGUUUCGUUCCCAAAACCCUCGCCGCCUUUGGACCCCUAGUCGUCGCCCUUGUCUUCUCGUGCUUCUCCGCCGUUGGGAAUCGCCGCCGCCAAAGGGAUCNNNNNNNNNNNNNNNNNNNNNNNNNNNNNNNNNNNNNNNNNNNNNNNNNNNNNNNNNNNNNNNNNNNNNNNNNNNNNNNNNNNNNNNNNNNNNNNNNNNNGGAUCUCGACAAACACACCGCCAAAGAGGAUUACAUCGGAUAGAUCUCCAUGAAGAUCAUGGAAAACUUUGUAUUGAUGACCCAAGAGAGAGAAGAAGCCAUCUAGCUACUAACUACGGACCUGUAGGUCUGAAGUGAACUACUCACGAGUCAUUGGAGGGGCGAUGAUGUUGAUGAAGAAGCCCUGCAACUCCAAAGUCCCCUCCGACAGGGCACCGGGAAGGGUCUCCAGAUGAGAUCUCACGGAAACGGAAGCUUGCGGCGGCGAAAAAGUGUUUUCGUGGACGCCCUGAUUUUUUUCAUGAUUUUUAGGAAUUUAUAGGCCAAAGACCUAGGGCAGGGGAGCGCUAGGGGGGCAACAAGCUUGGUUGCCGCGGUCUCCCCCUGGCCGCGGCAACAGGGCUUGUGGGCCCACUUGCUUGGCCCUCAAGCCUCCCGAUCUUCUUCUGUUCUGGAAAAAAUCAUUUUGGGGAUUUUAUUCCGUUUGGACUCCGUUCCAAAAAUCAGAUCUGAAAAGAGUCAAAACACAGAAAAAACAGGAACUGGCACUUGGCAUUGAGUUAAUAAGUUAGUCCCAAAGAAGAUAUAAAAGGUAAACAAAACAUCCAAAGUUGACAAGUUAACAGCGUGAAACCAUCAAAAAUUAUAGAUACGUUUGAGACAUAUCAAUAUGCAAGCCCAGUUCAUGAAAUCUCUAACCAAAGGUCCAAAAAUGGAUUUCCCAAAGUAUGAAGGAGCAGAUCCUGUUGGAUGGAUAAGACAAUGCAACAAAAACUUUCAAAUGUGUGGAGCUCCAGAAGAAUAUAAAGUAUCAUUAGCUCAACUUUACAUUGUAGGAGAGGCUGAUACUUGGCUGAGAAGAUCUCGCAUACUCAAGAAACACUUGACUUGGAAGCAAUUCUGUGCAGAAUUAGUCAAAAGAUUUUCUAAACAAGGAUCCUAUGAUCUGACAGAAAAAUUCAAUUCUGCUAAGCAAGGAAGUAGCACUGUUUCUGAGUAUACUAAACAGUUUGAAGAUCUGAUGGCGGAUGUACAAGAGGAAAACCCUGAACUAAGUGAACUAUGGUUUGUAAGAUGCUUUGUUAAUGUGCUAAGAGAUGAGAUUAAGUUCCAAAUUAGACCAUUGAGACCACAAACUCUCAUUGAUGCCUAUUGGCUGGCCAAAUAUGUUGAACCUUGUCAUCCUCCUAUUUCAAGCUUGGCAAAGAGAAACUGUAUUCCCUACUCUAACUUCUAUCAAAAGCCUACUACAAGUAGUGUUGUUGGGAGACAAGUAUCUAAUGUGUCUGUGGCAACUGUUACACCAAAUCAGCCAAGUCAAAAUAAUACUUAUCAGAAGAUUAGAAAAGUGAGAGAGUGCUGGAGAUGUGGAGAUAAAUGGGUGCAUGGACACAAUUGUAAACUGGUUCCUAACCUACACAUGAUGCAACAGGAUGCAGAAGAACAAAUAGCCCAAGAGAUUGAAGAUAUCCAAAAUCAGGAACAACCUGAAAUUGUUUCAGAAGGGGGAACCUUAGUGUCUUAUGCGGUGAUACCCAGUUGUGAAUUCCAACUAGGCAAAUUGAAACUACAACACAGUUUCAGAUCUAUAUCAUUACCUAGUCAUGAUUCUAUACUAGGGUAUGAUUGGUUUAUAGCUGUGAGCCCUUUAUCUUUUGAUAUACCAAAGCAACUGUUCAGCUUUACAGGGCAAGAAAAACAGACAGUAACCACUGCUAUGUUCACAAAUGCUGCCAGUUUGAAAGAUGUGAAAUCAGAGAAAAUGAACAAGUUAUUGGAUAAGGGAGUGGAGGUAUUCCUAUUGCAAGUCCACAACAUUAUGAUGAAUGCUCCUGAAGGUUGGAAAACUCCUCCUCAACUACAGAAACUACUUUUGUAACAUGCUGAUCUUUUUGAAGAACCUAAAAAUCUUCCACCACAUAGAGCCCUGGACCAUACUAUGCCGGUUACAGGAGCUACACCUCCUCAAGUCAGGCCUUAUAGAGUUCCUCAGCAUCAGAAAUAGGAAAUGGAGGAUCAGAUCAAAAAGUUAUUAGCUGCUCAUUUCAUCAGGCACAACCAAAGUCCAUAUGCAGCUCCUUUUAUACUAGUCAAGAAAAAGGAUGGAUCAAUGAGACUAUGCACUGAUUUCAGAAGAUUAAACUCUUUGACAAUUAAGAACAAGUUUCCAAUACCUGUCAUUGAAGAUUUAUUAGAUGAGUUGCAUGAAGCUACUUAUUUCUCUAAGUUAGAUUUGAGAUAUGGAUAUCAUGAAAUAAGAAUGAACCCUGAAGAUAUACAUAAAACUGCUUUCAGAACAUUCUUGGGCCAUUUUGAGUAUCUGGUCAUGCCUUUUGGAUUAUCCAAUGCCCCUCGCACAUUUCAGGAACUAAUGAAUACCAUAUUUACACCUCAUCUAAGAAAGUUUGUGCUGUUAUUUUUUGAUGAUAUUUUGAUAUUCAGCAAAAAUCUCAAGGAACAUUUGGAACAUAUCAAAAUAGUCCUUGAUACAUUGAAGGCACAUAGCUUGUUUGCAAAGUUAUCUAAGUGUGUGUUUGCUGCUCAACAAGUGGAAUAUCUGGGUCAUGUAAUAUCUGCUGAAGGUGUAGCCACAGACCCAAAGAAAAUUUCUGCUAUUGCUGAAUGGCCUGUUCCUGAUACAAUCACCAAACUAAGAAGUUUCCUAGGUUUAGCUGGAUACUAUAGAAGAUUCAUCAAGGGUUAUCGUGUGAUUUGUAGACCCCUUCAUGAUGUGUUAAAGAAAGGACAAUUUUCCUGGCAAUCAGCACAAGAUACAACUUUCAAACAACUUCAAGAAGCCCUGAUAUCUGCUCCAGUACCGGCAUUACCAAGUUUUUGCAAACCUUUUGUGCUAGAAACUGUUGCUUCACGCAAGGGAAUAGGAGCUAUAUUGAUGCAACAUGGAAGGCCGAUAUCCUACUAUAGCUAUGCCUUAUGCCCUAGAAAUGCUGCCUUAUCCAGAUAUGAAAAAGAGGCUCUAGCUAUUUUAGAAGUACUUAAAAGGUGGAGACAUUAUUUGCUGGGAAAUAAUUUAACAAUCAAGACUGAUCAACAAUCCCUUAAGUUUAUCACUGAUCAGAAAUUGACUGAGGGCAUACAACACAAGUUGAUGAUGAAACUGUUAGAAUUCAACUUCACCAUUCGAUAUAAAAAGGGAGUCUACAACAAAGUGGUUGAUGGUCUGUCUAGAGCGCUUCCUGGAUGCAUGGCAAUUUCAGUUGCUACUACAACUUGGGAAGAAGAAUUGCUUGAAAGCUAUCAAAAGGACAAAGACAGUAAAAUACUAUUGGAAAAACUCCUGUUACAAACAGAUAAAACAGAAUAUGACUUUUCACUUCAUUCAGGCAUCAUGAGGUACAAGGGCAAAUUUUUUGUAGGUAUUGUUCCUACAUUAAGACAUAAGCUUCUUACAACCCUACAUAGCUCUCUAGUGGGAGGACAUUCUGGGAACAGAGCAACUUAUCAGAGAGUGAAGAACAUUUUCUAUUGUCCUGGCAUUAAGAAGACAGUGGAAGAUUUCAUUGCUGCCUGCCCUAUAUGCCAAAGAGCUAAGCAUGAAAAUUGCCUUCAAUCAGGAUUACUUGAUCCCUUACGUGUAGCAGAUCUAGCAUGGCAACAUAUUUCUAUGGAUUUUGUGGAAGGAUUUCCAAUGUCUAAAGGAUAUGAUGUCAUUAUGGUGGUAGUGGACAAAUUUACCCAGUAUGCACACUUUAUUACCCUAUCACAUCCUUACGCAGUGUUGAGUGUGGCUCAAGCCUUUGUUGAUCAAAUCAUCAGGUUACAUGGUCCACCCAAAAUGAUAAUUUCAGAUAGGGAUAGAAUAUUUACAAGCAAGAUUUGGAAAUAUAUUUUUGCUGCCUUGAAAGUGGAAUUGAGAUAUAUCACAGCAUACCACCCUGAAACUGAUGGACAAACAGAGAGAAGCAAUCAAUGUUUAGAAACCUAUCUCAGAUGCAUGACUACUACUGCUCCUAGUAAAUGGUUUUCUUGGUUGUCCUUAGCAGAAUUCUGGUACAAUGCUACAUACCAUACCAGCCUAAAAAUGCCCCCAUUCCAAGCCCUAUAUGGUUACCCUCCUCCUAUGAUCAAUGAGUUAGAAAUUCCAGGCCCUGAUGAGGGGGAGGCACAAGACUUUCUUACAGUCAAGCAACAUAUGUUGAACCAACUCAGAAGCAAUCUGCUUUUGGCUCAAAACAGAAUGAAAAAGUAUGCUGAUUUGAAAAGAGUGGAAAGAUCAUUUCAAGUGGGAGAUAUGGUAUAUCUAAAAAUGGCUCCAUAUAGUCUCGCAACAUUUGGGUUCAGAGGAAUUCUCAAACUUCAAAACAAGUUUUAUGGUCCUUUCAUCAUCAUUCAGAAAAUAGGAAAGUCAGCUUAAAAGCUCUAGUUCCGAGAGCAUGUCAAAAUACAUCCAGUUUUCCAUGUAAGUCAGCUCAAGAAGCAUGUUGGAGAUCAUUCCAUACCUAGUCCUAAUCUUCCAAUGGUGAAUGCUGAUGGCACCAUCAAGACAGGCCCUGCUGGAGUCCUUCACGUAAGACAAGUUCCGAGGCACAACAUUCCAGUAGUGCAGUGGCUAGUUCAGUGGAAAAAUUUAUCUCGAGAAGAAGCUACAUGGGAAGAUGCUGAUUUUAUCAAGUACACAUUUCCGGAGUCCUUCAAAGUUACGAUGCUACAAUGGCGUCAAAAUCAGAAUACGCCGUGAGGAAACGUCGUGUUCCAGAAGGGGGCAAUGUCAGGAUCAUCUUCAGUUAUCUUCAGACGAGGAUGCACUUCAGAUAGUAAACCGACGGCUGAGAUCAACUCCUCGUGUACUGCUUCGUCAUAGCCGUUAGAUGUAACUGUUUACUUUCCGUUGCCGGUUACUGUGCGCCGUUGUUGGUAAAAACCUCCUGCCUAUAAAGCUACUGGGUUGUGGCUUAGCUGGUCAUUGAAUUGUUUUAUCUCUUGCCUUAGAGCAAAGUUAAUGGACUCUAUAGUUAAUAUACUUCAAAUCCGAGAGCACUUUCCUCUCCUCUUCGCACAAACUCUAUCUGUAUUACUACUGGGUCCUGACAACCGGCUCCUUCCUCGCCUCCGACAAGCACUUCCUGCACCAUCUCGUCGCGGGGCUUCCUCUCCAACGCGCCGGGUCCCCUCUUCUCUCCGUCUCGGUGAGCCGCAGUACCCCCCGCACUCCUCGUCUUUUGCUCCNNNNNNNNNNNNNNNNNNNNNNNNNNNNNNNNNNNNNNNNNNNNNNNNNNNNNNNNNNNNNNNNNNNNNNNNNNNNNNNNNNNNNNNNNNNNNNNNNNNNAGAAUUAAGACAAAGUCUAACCAUAGCAUUAAACUAGUGGAUCCAAAUUAGCCCUUACGAAGCAAUGCAUAAACUAGGGUUUAAGCUUCUGUCACUCUAGCAACCCAUCAUCUACUUACUACUUCCCAAUGCCUUCCUCUAGGCCCAAAUAAUGGUGAAGUGUUAUGUAGCCGACGUUCACAUAACACCACUAGAGGAAAAACAACAUACAACACAUCAAAAUAUCGAACGAAUACCAAAUUCACGUGACUACUUAUAGCAUGACUUAUCCCAUGUCCUGGUGAACAAAAGUAACUACUCAUAAAGCAUAAUUAUGUUCAUGACUAGAGCGGUAUUGAAUAGCAUCAAGGAUCUUAACAUAUAAUCUUCCAUCGAGUAAUCCAGCUAGCAUCAACUACAAAGAGUAAUUAAGACUACUAGCAACCUUACAGGUACCAAUCAGAGUCGCGAGACGGAGAUUGGUUACAAGAGAUGAACUAGGGUUUGGAGAUGAGAUGGUGCUGAUGAAGAUGUUCAUGGUGAUGAGUCCCCUCCGAUGAGAGGAGUGUUGGUGAUGACGAUGGCGACGAUUUCCCCCUCCGAGAGGGAAGUUUCCCCGGUAGGACGACCCUGAUGGAGUUCUAGAUUGGUUCUGCUCAAGUUCCGCCUCAUGGCGGCGGCGAUUCCUCCCGAAAGCCUCCUCUUGAUUUUUUGNNNNNNNNNNNNNNNNNNNNNNNNNNNNNNNNNNNNNNNNNNNNNNNNNNNNNNNNNNNNNNNNNNNNNNNNNNNNNNNNNNNNNNNNNNNNNNNNNNNNUUGGACAAGGAAGACAACAUAAUGAAUUAUGUUUGCUUGGUUCCGAACAAUGUUAUAUGACUAGAGAUCCCUUAGCAUGUGACGCUUGGUUCCACCUCAUAUCAGCCAAAACAUCCACACCAAGUAGAGAUACUACUUGUGCAUCCAUAAACCUUCAACCCAUUUUUGCCAUGAGUCCACCAUACCUACCUAUGGAUUGAAUAAGAUCCCUCAAGUAAGUUUUCAUCGGUGCAAGCAAUAAAAAUUGCUCCCUAAAUAUGUAUGAUCUAUUAGUGUGUGGAAAAUAAGCUUUGUACAAACCUGUCAUGAGGAAGACAUAAAAGCGACAGACUGCAUAAUAAAGUUCUUUAUCAAAGGAGGCAAUAUAAAGUGACGUUCCUUCACACUAGGAGGACACACAUCCAAACCUCAAAAGCGCAUGAAAACCUCUGCUUCCCGCUGCGAAGGGCCUAUCUUGUACCUUUACUUUUUUCCCCUGAAAGAGUCAUGGUGAUCGACACCAAUUCCUUAUUUCUCCUUUAUCUUGGCUAAGGUCAUAUGCUAGGGAAAGAUAUAUAUUCAUAUGUCAACUUGGAGGUAAGCAUUCAUGAAUUAUUAUUGUUGACAUUACCCUUGAGGUAACUAGUUGGGAGGCGAAACUAUAAGCCCCUAUCUUUCUCUGUGUCCGACUGAAACUUUGAUCUCAUGAGUACCGAGUGAGUUGUAGCAAUUGUAGAAGACGAAAGGAUGAUUGAGUAUGUGGAUUUGCUUUACAAGCUCUUAUUUAAAUCUUUCCGAUGUUAUGAUAAAUUGCAAUUACUUCAAUGACUAAAGGCUAUUGGUUGUUAAUUCUCAAUAAGGUUCUUGAUCCAUACUUUACUUUGUGAAGGAAUUAUCACUUUAGGAUGAGAGAUUAUAUGAUGGUAUUGCUGUUCUAACUAUGAUCAUCAUGCCUGCAUGUCCUUAUCUUGCUUUGUCGAUACCUCUCUCUCUAAACAUGUGGGCAUAUUUAUUGAUGUCGGUUUCCGCUUGAGGACAAGCGAAGUCUAAGCUUGGGGGAGUUGAUACGUCCAUUUUGCAUCAUGCUUUUAUGUUGAUAUUUAUCGCUUUAUGGGAUGUUAUUACACUUCACGGUACAAUACUUAUGCCUUUUCUCUCUUAUUUUACAAGGUUUACAUGAAGAUGGAGAAUGCUAGGAGCUGGAAUUCUGGCCUGAAAAGGGAGAAAGUUUGAGAUACCUAUUCUGCACAACUCCAAAAGACGUGAAAAUCAACGAGGAAUUAUUUUGGAAUUUAUAAAAACUACUGGGGGGAAGAAGUACCAGAGGGGAGAAAUGAGGAGGCCACAAGCCUGCUAGGCGCAGCCUACCCCCUGGCCGUGCCUAGGGGGCUUGUGGGCUCCCUGUUGGCCCUCUGGCUCCCCUCUUUUGCUAUAAGGAGGGUUUCGUUCCACAAAAAAUCAAGAGGAGGCUUUCGGGAGGAAUNNNNNNNNNNNNNNNNNNNNNNNNNNNNNNNNNNNNNNNNNNNNNNNNNNNNNNNNNNNNNNNNNNNNNNNNNNNNNNNNNNNNNNNNNNNNNNNNNNNNCAGUCGCUGUGCAAAGCUACACUGCCGGAGGGUAUGAGUGGUCGGCUUCGCCCCAGUGUGCACCUUGCGUAGUGCGUCGAGCAUUUGCUCAAAUGUGAGCUUGGGCUGCCAGUUGUUCUUCGGGUCCGCUGUCGUUGAGAGUCGGCUUGGUAGCGGGCGCAUCUUCCUCCACGCUAGCCACAUGCUUGCUUGUAGAGUGCGAAUCAAGUUGAUCCGCGUUGCGCUAGUUGUUCUGGCCGCCUUGGUUGUCACCAGCCGGCUUGGUAGUAGACGGCGUGGGGACAAUUUUGUCCGAGGUGGUGACCUUGACCCGCAUCGCGGAGUCGGCCGUGGCGUACUUGUCCGCCUUGGCCAUGAGUACCGCCAGAGAGGUGGGCUCGGGGCACAUGAGCUUGUGCUUGAGUAGGGUGCCUUCUCGGCAGCCGUCAAUGAAAUAUUGAAUGGCUUGUACCUCAUGCACUCCUUCGCAGGAGUUGCGCAACUCCAUCCAACGUGUGACGUAGUCGCGAAGGGGUUCGUCAGGGCUCUGGACGCACAUGGCCAUCUCGUGAGGCCGACCAGGGCAUUUGUAGGUGCCAGUGAAGUUGCAGACGAAUGCCUCCUCGAAGUCAACCCAAGAGUUGACGCUGCCGCCUCGAAGGCUAUUAAGCCAUGUCCUAGUCGAGCCGGCCAACAUGAGAGGCACGCAGCGGACUGCUACGCGUUUGUUGCCUCGAGCGAUGCCAACUGCGGUGGUGUAGUCGAUCAGCCAGUCUUGUGGCUUGGUUGUGCCGUUGUANNNNNNNNNNNNNNNNNNNNNNNNNNNNNNNNNNNNNNNNNNNNNNNNNNNNNNNNNNNNNNNNNNNNNNNNNNNNNNNNNNNNNNNNNNNNNNNNNNNNAAUCUAUCAAGAUGUGUGAGGGGGUGCUGCACAUCCGCGAUGUUGAGGGGCCCAAGAAGAUUGGAAGCAUGGAGGCGAGGCUCAAAGCAAUGGAGAAAUAAGUGUUCAAGUGCCAAGGGAUGGUGGAACGCGGACUCAACACCAACCACAUGAUGAUCACGGAGUUCACCAACAAGCACAAGAUCGAUGACAAUGACAUCGGCAAACACCUCUCCAAGCUCUAUGACAGAAUUGAUCACCUCCAAGCCGAGAUCUAUGACCUGCAGAACCAAAACUGUGAGUAUGAGUAUAGAUUUAAAUCAAUACGGUUGGCUGCAGAUUUGAGGAUUCCGGAGACUCGAUCAUCUUUCCAUGAUGGAGUACCUAUGCCUUGGAAGACGGAGGAUCAAACCCAGGUUGCAACAACUCCACCACCAUCACCUCCAAAGGAAGACAACUAAGCACGUGUAUGGGCAAUCCCCUUGGCUUGUGCCAAGCUUGGGGGAGUUGCCCCGGUAUCGUAUCAUCAUCACAUCUUUUGCCUUUACCUUUUCUUAGUUUGAUACUUUUUGGUUUUAUCUUUCUCUAGUAGAAUAAAGUUCUUAGUGUUUUGGGCUUGAGUUUUGCUUUGUUUCACCGCCGAUGUAUUCGAGUUCGUGAGUCAUAUAAUAAAGAGUGUUUUAGUUAAGGGCAUUGCUUCAUGCCAUGAUCUAAAGAAAAGAAUGAUAAAAGAACAAAAGCAUGAAAGACCAUGUACUGAUCUUAUGGGAAGUGAUGACUUCACAUAUAAAAAGAAUGUUGAAUGAAACUUGUCGUGGGUGGACAAACAUAGACCUUGGUCAUUGUUGCAAUUAAUAGGAAGUAAUAAAGAAGGAGAGGUUCACAUAUAAAUAUAUCAUCUUGGGCACCAUCUAUGAUCGUGAACACUCAUUAAACUAUUGCAUGCUUAGAAGUAGAUGUUGGACAAGGAAGACAACAUAAUGAAUUAUGUUUGCNNNNNNNNNNNNNNNNNNNNNNNNNNNNNNNNNNNNNNNNNNNNNNNNNNNNNNNNNNNNNNNNNNNNNNNNNNNNNNNNNNNNNNNNNNNNNNNNNNNNGAUCUGUGGCAGGAGGCAUUGUUGCAUGCAGCGCUGAAACAUGGCACCAGCGUUCUUCAGGCCGAACAUCAUGGUGGUGUAGCAGUAGGCCCCGAAGGGUGUGAUGAAGGAGGUCUUCAGUCGAUCAGCUCGAUCCAGCUUGAUUUGGUGGUAGCCUGAAUAGGCGUACAGAAAGGACAGCAAUUCGUAGCCGGUUGUGGAGUCGAUCACUUGAUCUAUCAUGGGCAAGGCAAAAGGGUCUUUCGGGCAUGCCUUAUUCAGGCUCGUGUAGUCGAUACACAUUCGCCAUGUGUUGUUCUUCUUCGGCACCAGGACUGGGUUGGCCAACCAGUCCGAGUGGAAAACCUCCAUUAUGAAGCCGGCUGCGAGCAGCCGGGCGAUUUCUUCUCCAAUUGUGCGCUGCUUCCCCUCGGCGAAGCGGCACAAGGGUUGUUUUACCCGCUUGGAAUCGGCCGCACAUGAAGCUUGUGCUCGGCGUACUUCCUCGAACUCCUGGCAUGUCCUUUGGGACCAUGCAAAGAUGUCCCAAUUCUCACGAAGGAAGUCGACGAGCUCGCCUUCCUAUUUGGUGUUGAGAUUAGCACCGAUGGUGACGCACUGCUUGGGGUUUGCUGGGUCAAGUGGCACCUGCUUGGUUUCCUUGGCCGGCUUGAAUGAGCCUUCACCGGCUGACUGGGAUGGUGGAUUAGGGAUCGCCGGCUACUCGGUAGCCUGAGCCACGAGCCGGUCGAUCUGCCUCUUUUCCUCAGCAAUCACGAGGGCGUCCNNNNNNNNNNNNNNNNNNNNNNNNNNNNNNNNNNNNNNNNNNNNNNNNNNNNNNNNNNNNNNNNNNNNNNNNNNNNNNNNNNNNNNNNNNNNNNNNNNNNNNNNNNNNNNNGCUGCUCUGGUGUGCCCACUCGAGCGACUUCUUAUAGUCACCAGCGCUGGUGAUGAUGCCCUUUGGAACCGACUUCUUCAUAUUGAGGUAGGCAUAGUGGGGGAUAGCCUUGAACUUGGCCAAAGCCGGCCUGCCCAGCAACACAUGGUACAGGCUGUUGAGAUCCGCCACCUCGAACCAAAUUGAUUCUCGGCGGAAGUGCGCCUUGUGGCCGAAGAGGACGUCCAGCUGGAUUUUGCCUAUCGGCGAGCAGGACUGUCCCGGCACGAUACCGUGGAAGACAGUGCUGGUCGGCUGGAGGUCCCUCUCCUUCAGCCCAAGCAUGAGCAAGGUGUCGCGAUAGAGGAUGUUUAUGCUGCUGCUGCCGUCAACCAACACCCGAAAUAACCGGCAAGUGAGCCUCUUGGAGGCGAAGGUGGGGUCGAGGACGAGUGCGUAUGAGCCAUGGUUCCGCAUCACCGUAGGAUGGUNNNNNNNNNNNNNNNNNNNNNNNNNNNNNNNNNNNNNNNNNNNNNNNNNNNNNNNNNNNNNNNNNNNNNNNNNNNNNNNNNNNNNNNNNNNNNNNNNNNNCAACAUCGCGGAUGUGCAGCACCCCCUCACACAUCUUGAUAGAUUGAGGGUGUUGCAGCACUCCUGCGAGGUAGGGAUUGAUGACCUUCUCGAAGAACUUGUUCUUCGGAGCUUUUGGGGACGCCAUAGCGAUCUAGAUCUAUCUGCAUAACAGCUCGAAACGAAAACAGAGGAAAUUUGCGUGAUACGAGGGUCAGACCUUUCGAGAGAAUAUAUUAUGAUUUUUUCCAGACCAGAAGGAGUACUCCACAAGAAAACGGAGUCCGGGAGGCACACGAGGUGGUCACAAGCCCCCCAGGCGCGGCCAGGGGGGUGGCCCGCGCCUGACAGGCUUGUCGCCUCCUCGUGCACUUUCCGGACUACUUUAAAAUUUUCUAUUUUUCUCAAAAUUCCAAAACAGAGAAAAACUCCUACUGGAAAAGUUUUGGAGUCGGUUUACUUAUCGAAUCACAUACCUCUUCGUUUUUUGAGUCUGAAACAGGCUGAUAAAUAUCCCUUAUGUACUCCUCCGGAGUUAUGGUAUUGAUAAUAUUGCUUUCAAUAUUUAUGGGAGUACCUGAGAUAUAAUGCUUGAUUCCUUGCCUAUUUACCACUCUCGGAAAAUUACCUUCCGUAUUGUUGAUCUUGAUGGCACCGAAACAAUAUACUUCCUCAACAAUGUAAGGACGUUCGCAUUUAGAGAGAAGCUUGCGUGCAAAAAAUCUUCAACGAGAAUUAUAUAGCAGGACAUAAUCACCCACGUUGAACUCAUGUUUUUGUAUCCUUUUAUCAUGCCACCUCUUAACCUUUUCUUUAAACAACUUGGCAUUUUCAUAUGCCUNNNNNNNNNNNNNNNNNNNNNNNNNNNNNNNNNNNNNNNNNNNNNNNNNNNNNNNNNNNNNNNNNNNNNNNNNNNNNNNNNNNNNNNNNNNNNNNNNNNNUCGCGUCCGGAUCGAUCACCAUGCCCGUGGAGCCUACGCUUGUGGAGGUUUUUGUGAUGUUGGUCGAUGUUCGAGUCCGUCUCAUGGACUCUGACGAGGAGUCUGACAAUGAGUCGCUCCCCAGCAUCGUCAUCGCUGUUGUUGCGAACCUCGGCGUCCUCUUCAGUGACUUGUGCCUCGACGAUGAGCCUCGCUACCUCGGCGAGGGCAUCGACAUCGACGCGCUAUGCGCCAGCUUCAGUAGGCUCUCCCUCAAGGAGGUGCCUGCGCACGAUGAGUACCCUAGCGAGGUACUCGUCUUCAAUGGUCCACCAUCAUCUGCAGGGUGUCUUGCCCCACACCACGUCACUGUCAUCUCCAACCUCAUGGAGGUGAUGGUCAUUGGUGGCGGCACCAGCAAGCAUCACGGCAAGGCGUUAGCAAAGGCAGCUGACCCCGCUACGGGUGCUGCCGAAUCGCUUCAUGCUGCCCUUGCCGGCUUGAAGACGCCUAUCGCCUUCUCUGCAAGCCCAAUCGAUGCUCGUGCNNNNNNNNNNNNNNNNNNNNNNNNNNNNNNNNNNNNNNNNNNNNNNNNNNNNNNNNNNNNNNNNNNNNNNNNNNNNNNNNNNNNNNNNNNNNNNNNNNNNGCAAUGGCGCAAGAAAAUAGUCUUGAUAACCCACAAGUAUAGGGGAUCGCAACAGUUUUCGAGGGUAGAGUAUUCGGCCCAAAUUUGUUGAUUCGACACAAGGGGAAGCAAAAGAAUAUUCUCGAGUAUUAGCAGUUGAGUUGUCAAUUCAACCACACCUGAAAGACUUAGUAUCUACAGCAAACUUUCAGUAGUAAUGUAGUGUGAUGGCAACAGUAGCAACGGUAACAGUAGCAACAGUGACAGCAGUAGCGGUAACAGUAGCAGAAGUGAAAGCAGUAGAAGCAAAGUAACAUAGCAAGAACCAGUCGGAAAAGACUCGUAGGCACUGGAUCGGUGAUGCAUAAUUAUGUCGGAUGACAUUCAUCAUGCUACAGUUAUAACAUGGGCAGAUAUGUAACUAGCUCCGCUUCGUCAAUGUAAUGUAGGCAUGCAUUCCGCAUACAGACAUACGUCCUUAGGGAAAAGAACUUGCAUGACAUCUAUUGUCCAUCCCUCCCGUGGCAGCGGGGACCUAACGGAAACUACGGGAUAUUAAGGUUCUCCUUUUAAUAGAGAACCGGAACAAAGCAUUAGCACUUAGUGAAUACAUGAACUCCUCAUACUAUGAUCAUCUCCGGGAGUGGUUCCGGCUAUUGUCACUCCGGGGUUGUCGGGUCAUAACACAUAGUAGGUGACUACAACUUGCAAGAUAGGAUCAAGAACACACAUAUAUUGACGAGAACAUAAUAGGUUCAGAUCUGAAAUCAUGGCACUCGGGCCCUAGUGACAAGAAUUAAGCAUGGCAAAGUAGUAGCAACAUCAAUCUCAGAACAUAGUGGAUACUAGGGAUCAAUCCCCAUCAAAACUAACUCGAUUACAUGAUAGAUCUCAUCCAACCCAUCACCGUCCAGCAAGCCUACGAUGAGAUUACUCACGAACGGUGAAGAGCAUCAUGGAAUUGGCGAUGAAGGAAGGUUGGUGAUGACGCUGGUGACGAUAUCCCCUCUCCGGAGCCCAGAACGGACUCGAGAUCUGCGCUCCAGAGGAAGAACAGGUGGUGGCGGCGCCUCCGUAUCGUAAAAUGCAAUGAACUCUUCUCCUUGAUCUUAUUCCGGACGAAAGGGACUAAAUAUGGCCAUGGGGGCCACGCCUCCUGGGCUUGUGGGCACCUCGCUCCACGUCUCCGGUUGAUUCUUGCGCCAGUAUUUUUUAUAUAUUUCACAAAAAAUCCUCGUACAUUUCCAGGUCAUUCCGAGAACUUUUAAUUCUGCGCAAAAACAACAUCAUGGCAAUUCUGCUAAAAACAGCGUUAGUCCUGGUUAGUUCCAUUCCAAUCAUGCAAAUUAGAGUCCAAAACAAGGGCAAAAGAGUUUGGAAAAGUAUAUACAAUGGAGACGUAUCACACAACAAAACUAGCAGGAAAGAAAAGGCUUUUCCCUUUUCGAAAUAUGGUUUUACACCUGAAUUCAAAUAGAGGCAAGCAAAAGGAUUUGGUAAAAAGUAAAAAUAGACAAGCCAUGUGGGAAUUAUGCCCUAUUUUACAAAAAUAAUUAACAUAUUUUUAGGACAAGAUAAUUCACACUUAAAACAGAAAUUAGAUGUUGUUUUCUUUUAAAACCCUCAUUAAACCAAAGUCUAAAAUAACAAUGAGAGCAACCCCUACAUUCACAAAUAAGACCUCUAAGGCAUUAACAUUUUUUAUAACAGGUUCAAGCAAAGUUUAAAGCACAAGUUAGAAUAAAUAAUGGGAUGAGUGUUUUGCAAGGUUUGAAAACACCACACUCAACCCAAACACUUAUAUGAGCACUAGCACUUCCAUGAUGGACCAAACACUAGCAACACAAGUAAGGGGGUGCAAAGGAUGCAAAAGAAUGCCAUGAUGCAAGAUGAUGACAGGGAAUGAUGGCCACAUGAAAUGAUAACCUCCUCAUAACUUCCAUACAUAGGCUCAACAAUGUGCCACAAGAGGAAAGGAAUUACAAUUAAGGAAAGGGAAACAUCUGGGCUCUUACACGGCUUCACCUUCAAUGUCGCGCUGGAUUUUGGCCAUCUCCUCCCUUAGUUUUCCUAACUUGGCGUUGACUUGUUCCUGAUUCUCCGCCGUCACAGUGAUUGACGUGAGUUUGGCCACCUCGGCUACUAAAUACGCCAUGGCUUGAGCUGGGGUCUUCCCUGAUUCGCUGGCUUUGUUGUUGCCAGCCGCGUUUGGCUGAGGGACCGCUGCUCCUGCCAUGUAAAUGGUGACCUGACGAUGGGGGCCUUCAACGUCCUCGGAAAUUGCUGCCUCAGGCAAGCCCCUCGGCUAUCCUUCGUGGAGAGGAUAGAUUGAAUCUGUGUCGCCUAUGGACGACUCGUCGUCCGAGUUGACAGGUGUGUUCUCCUGGAUUACUGUCUCAUCCGGUAGGUCGGUUCCUUGUGUAAAACCAACAAAAGCAUGGCGUUUCCUGACCUGAUGCUUGGCAGGAUGGGCGUACCGGGCCGGCUCGACGGUGUCGGUGAAGGUGUCCGGCUCAGGUACGGGAGCCCCAAACUUUCCAAUGAAGAUGUGAAUCUUGCCGAAGGGGACCCUGUAUCCAGAUUCGAUUGAAUCGGCCUCAGACCCCCAUUGAGAGUUGUCGAUGUAGUACUCCCCACGACGACUCUUAGUCAUGAUGCUGACAGCGUAGCUUCCAAACCCUGGAAGGGAUCCCUUUGAAAACUCAACUCCACCGUGUGCAAGCCCCACAUUGGGCGCCAACUGUCGUGGUUUUUUCACGGCAGGUGUCCUCGUGAAAGGACUUAGUGAUGGAGCCAUCGCACCUUGGUGGCGACUCAAAGGGGGUGAGCGGAAGCGAGACUUAGGUUUACCCAGGUUUGGCCCCUCCUAUGGAGGUAAAAGCUACGUCCUCCUUUGUGUAUAUUGACGGUGGAUUCGAUUACAAGGAGGGAGUAACUCGCCUGGCCUAGCUCUCGAUGGAUUCUCACUUAACCUAUCUUCCCUACAGACUCGCCUUUAUAUACACAUCGAGGCCCUAGGGUUUACAAAGUCCUGGCCACAUUACAAAUCGUGGCCUUCCAUAUCUCUAACCGUCGUGUAUUCCAUGCUAGGAAAUCUCCUCGGCGACUUAUCUUCUCCAUUAAUCUUGAACCGCCAUCUAGGCUCAUGGGCCCUGGCCGGCUUUUCGUUGAAGUUCUCCUGACGCAUCUCAAACCCUGCGCCAAGGCCAAUCUUUUAUCAUGAAUGUUGAAUCGCCGCUUACCUGGCCCGGCCCAAUAGGGCGGGUCAUACCGCAGGUAAUAUCCCCAACACCACCCUUAGGAUUUCCCACCCUAAGAGGUGCGGCGGCCCCAGAUGGGCAAGGAGGGCGGCAGCCAAGGGUGGAGGCGCCCUAGAGUGGGCCUUGAGGCCCAAGGCAGCCCCUCCACGCCUAGGGUUUGCCCCCCUCCACCACUUGCUGCGCCUUGGGCCUUUAGUGGUGGCGCACCAGUCCACCUAGGGGCUGGUUCCCAUCCACUUUUGGCCCAUGUAGUAGUUUGGGGCUGGUGGCCCUUCUCGGUGGACCCCCGGAACCCUUCCGGUGGUCCCGGUACAUUACAGGUGACGCCCGUAACACUUCUGGCGAUGAAAUCUUCAUUUCCUAUAUAUGAAUCUUUACCUACGUACCAUUAUGGAACUCCUCGUGCCGUCUGAGAUCUCAUCCGGGACUCUGAACAACCUUCGGUAACCACGUACACUAUUCCCAUAUAACCCUAACGUCAUCGAACCUUAAGUGUGUAGACCAUACGGGUUCGGAAAGCAUGCAGACAUGACCGAGAUACCUCUCCGGUCAAUAACCAAAUGAGGGGUCUGGAUAUCCAUGUUGGCUCCCACAUGUUCCAUGAUGAUCUCAUCGGAUGAACCACGAUGUCAGGGAUUCAAUCAAUCAUGUAUGCAAUUCCCUUUGUCUACCGGUAUGAUACUUUCCCAAGAUUCGAUCGUCAGUAUCCCUAUACCUUGUUCAAUCUCGUUACCGGCAAGUCUCUUUACUCGUUUUGUAACACAUCACCCCAUGGCUAACUCCUUAGUCACAUUGAGCUCAUUAUGAUGAUAGAUUACCAAGUGGGCCAAGAGAUACCUCUUCAUCACACGGAGUGACAAAUCCCAGUCUCGAUUCGUACAACCCAACAAACGCUUUCGGAGAUACCUGUAGUGCACCUUUAUAAUCACCAGUUACAUUGUGACGUUUGGUACACCCAAAUAACUUCUACGGUAUCCGGGAGUUGCACAAUCUCAUGGUCUAAGGAAACGAUACUUGACAUUAGAAAAGCUUUAGCAGACGAACAAUACGAUCUUGUGCUAUGCUUAGGAUUGGGUCUUGUCCAUCACAUCAUUUCCCAAUGAUGUGAUCCCGUUAACAAUGACAUACAAUGUCCAUGAUCGGGAAACCAUGAUCAUAUAUUGAUCAACAAGCUAGCCAACUAGAGGCUCACUAGGGACACAUUGUGAUCUAUAUAUUCACACAUGUAUUACGGUUUCCGGUUAAUACAAUUAUAGAAUGAAUAAUAGACAAUUAUCAUGAACUAGGAAAUAUAAUAAUAACCACUUUAUUAUUGCCUCCACGGCAUAUUUUCAACACUUACAUCCUUUACGUACCGUUUUACUCGGAAAUGGCUUCCAUGGGCAAGUCUUCAUAUAUUUGUAGUGGAAAUCUUCAUCGAUAGCAUUAACCCAUGCCAUCUGCCUUAACCCCAUAGGCAUUCUCAAAGGGAAGCGUCCUAGCUCGCACUUAAGUCACCAAGGUAUUCUUCAUCUUAUCAUGUUCUCUCAUGCCUGGUCAAUAAAAUAACUAGUGGCAAGCUAGUGAGUGCUUUGAAUGUACUCGCUAGCAACCCAUGUUUGGAACAAGGCAAUAAGAAUGCAUGAUAUAGCACUAAGUAGGUAAUUUGUAGAAAUCUAGUUUACAGUGGAAUGUCAUGAUCAAUCAACUUGUAAAAGCAUGCAUCAACAGGUUGCCGAUAUCCAUACGAACAAGUCAUAGAUAUCAUCAUAUGCAGGGUUAAACAUCUCAUGUUCAAUCACCAUGUCCAGUCAUGUGAGUACGCUCAAGUAUCAUCUUUCUCGUACAUACAUGCCAAGUUUGCAACAAUGGACGUAGCCCAAGAGCGGUCAUCCAACUAUCCUUGACCAUGGACAUGGCUAUUCGAAUAUUUUUAUACUCUGAUUUGCGCGUUGUACCCACAAGACUCCGAGAACUUCCGUGUCAUCCAAGACUCGCGGUAUAUUACAUACCCGAGGUAAGCACCAGAACAAUGCCUUUCCCCCGGAGACACUAAACAACGAAUUCACUCGUUGGCCCACGUCCUCAUGACGUACAUCAUACGAGCCUCACUCAAGAUUGUACCAUCCUUGAGUUGACACAAGGGUGUGCCCGGUGUUCAUAAAAACAUUCCAUGGUCUCCCUACCUGGCACGACCGUGUAUUGAGAGGGUAACUCUGGCCCUCCCGCCACUAGUAAUGCGGGCUCUCUGCUAGAAUCAACCAGAGUAAUCAACAAAGUCCGGUCCCAUGAAGGGGUGUCGUGGUCGAACAUGUAAGGUUGGAGUAAUGGUCGCAACUUAAACCAAUCUGUUUUCGAAAGAACCACCUCUUUCUCAAGUGGUUACCUAGAUCAACACCAUCUCCCUCGGGAAAUAGUGGCACUCGACGGGGUUUUCGAGAAGUCUUUGAAAUCAUUUCUUUUUUGUCACCAUGCAUAUUCCAAUCCAACUUGCGUAGCAUCUACUUUAGCAUCCUAACUACUCCCCACCCACACAGCCCUCAUUGGAUGGUUGGGUCAUGCUCAUUGCAAGUAUCAAAGAGGAAAUAUCGGAGACAACACACCAAGGUGGUCACCAAUUCAAUCAUGAUUCAUAUGCAACGAAAUUAAAUGACAUAUGACAUGCAUAAAACUGAUUUCAUAGUCAUGGUCAAAGGGUUGCUUGCCUAGUUGAUUAAAGUCUUCGAGGUCUUCUGACGCUUCUCGUCCAACUCUGAGCACUUUGUCUACUUUAUCAACUAUCGCCGGAAACAACCACAAUAAGACACACAACAAGCAGAGAAACAGAAGUGCUCUAUAAAUAUGAGUUUUAUUUUUCUUGGACAUCUCUCAUCAUAAGAAAAAUUCCUAAAGUUUGUUCUAAUGGAUUUGGAUCAUCGGAGAAUUUCGAAUGGUGGAAAUGGAGGCAUGAGUGGCCCCACAAGAAGUCUUCAAACAAUAUUUUCCUAAAAAUGAGUGGAGGCACUCAUUUAAUAGGGCAUGAUUGUAGAGGAAUUUAGGAAGUGGUUUCACUGGAUUUGGGGUUGGGAUGAUUUUCCCGUGAUUUAUUUAAGAUGGAAAUAGUGAAAAGGGGAUCCAUUUAUUUGGCCUAGGAGAAACAAUACUAAGAAAAAUGUCACCUUGGUUGUACAAAUAAGGCUUGAUUUUUGAAGUAUGUGGAAAUUUGAAUCACUCCAUUUGGAGUUGAUUGGAAUGUUAUAGGAAAUUUCCAAGGUUGGGAUUUGAAAUAUUCAAUUUUGAAUUUGAAUAUGAACACUAUAGAUAAGUUCUUUGGAAAAAUGUGCAAUGCAUAUAUUUGGAUAGGCCAUGUUUUUAGGAGCACCUAGAAUUUUGAAUCAUCAAAUUUAGAGUUUAUAUGAAUUGAUUAGACUCUGUGGAAAAAAGACACGAGGAAGAAUUCUCACCAAAAUGGCUAAAAUGGCGCAAUAGGCGCCACAUAGAAAACGGGCCGGCCCAGUGGCCCGAUCGGGCGGCUGGGGAACACCGAAUGCUUAUUCCAGCAAAUACGCCUCCACCGUGAGGAGGCGGGUUCACACGGAGCAGUCUCCACUUUCUUGUGGGCCCGACCAUUGGAGUCGCUUAAUGGCGGGCCCUGUCGGUUCCUUCUCUCUCCUGCCCACCUUCUCCUACCUCCCGAUAGGAGGCAAAGGGGAUGCCUGCCGCCAUAGCUCCGGCCACUAUGCUGCACCAAUCGCCGAGUUGGGGGCAUGGGCGGACGCCCCGCUCCCUGCCACGCUCGGGGGUGGUCCUAUCAGUCGCGGGGAUCGCCUGAGCAAGUUGCCCACCGGGAGGGGUAGACAGCUGCUUUGGCUGAUGCUAGCUAGCGCAAUAUGGUGGUGGAGAUCAUAUCUUGGGGUGUCGGGGAGGAUGGAUUGACCACGGGGGUCUCAAAGGAGGUGAAAUUAGAGGAGAGGGAGGGCUCACUCGCUUGAAUUCGAGCGGAGAAAAAAGGUGGCAGCUGCAGUUAUGGGAGGGCCUUUCGUGAUCGAGAGCUCCAAUGUCUCAGGCACGGGAUGUGUGAGAGUGGGAGGAGUGGCCUGGGUGCGAGGGUGAGCUCGGAGGGGAGGUAAAUGGAGGGGGCGAUGAAGUGGGGUUCGGGCGCGCCUCGGAUGCCUUCAGGCAUGAAGAGCGCGCAUGCCAGAGCCACCUUGGAGCGUUCUGGCAUGGGGAGAGGCGUGGGAGGUCGAAUGGGAACCCCUGGCGCAUGUGGUCACCCUGCCAUGCCCUGCAGCGAGCUACAAGACAAGCACAAGUUACCCCUGGUAGCCACCAGCGGUUGAUAGGUUGGACCAACACUCACGAGGAGCACUGGUCCGAGCUGUUCAUUAAAUCCUCGGGGUAGCUAUUCCCUAUGAAUUUAAUUAUUAAGUUAUUAGUAGAUUAAAACUAAAGUUGGGUCCUGCCAGACCAGCCUUAACACUACACGAAUUAUCAAGGGGGUCCCCAUAACAACCCCGAACGUGUUAGGAGCGCUCAGUUAUGGAAUAAUACACCGGUAGCCGAAACUAAGGCGGCAACAACGGAACGAAUCACCUGGCAAAAGGCUAGGCCUUCCGUUAUUUACCAAGUAUAUAGGUGCAUUAAUUAAAUAGCAAUUUCAAACAUAAUGAUAUCAAAAUGCCCAUGUUAUCACAUGGACCAACUGGCACCUUCAACUAGCAAAGCUAUCCAUUAGAGGUUGAGCACGCCUACUUAGCCAAACAUUAUUUUCUAGGAUAGGGAAGUGUUUGGGGUUCAUGGCAAAGACAGGUGGCAUUUAUAUCAUGUGAUAGGCAGCGAGCAUGUAACUAAGGAAGCGUAUCUCUAAGCAUAACAAAGCUAGAAACGAUGUCAAGGUCACGGUCAUCUUGCAUGUGAUUUCUUCAGACUGGAACUGCUCUUGUUCUUCCUGCACGUACUCUCCAGAAUCCACGUACUCGCUCUUCAUUCCCGAUGCUACCCAAGAUAAUAUAACAUCAAACAAACACCGGCAAAACAUAAUGCAACAACCAAUAUGAUGCAUGUGUGAAGAAGGAAGCAUGCAUCACUAUUCUAGUCACUUUCAUAUGCAUUAGAUGAGUUAAAAAAAUUCUGGACAGAACCUCAUUUUAAGUUAUCUUGGCAUGCAUGAACAUGGAAUGAACAUGUGCAUCACGAGAAAACAAAGAAAAAACGUAUAAAGAACGUAGUGAACGGAGUCUCGGAUCAACCGGAAACUACGAAACAAGUUACAAAGCCCACGGGUUCAAAACAGCCACGAACACAACUAAAUGGGCACUCACUGGUGUAACCAGGAUGCCAAGUGAUCAAGCACCACAAUACAAGUGGUGGAAAUGGUGGAAAUGGAGGCAUGAGUGGCCCCACAAGAAGUCUUCAAAUAACAUUUUCCUAAAAAUGAGUGGAGGCACUCAUUUAAUAGGGCAUGAUUUUAGAGGAAUUUAGGAAGUAGUUUCACUGGAUUUGGGGUUGGGAUGAUUUUCCUGUGAUUUAUUUAAGAUGGAAAUAGUGAAAAGGGGAUCCAUUUAUUUGGCCUAGGAGAAACAAUACUAAGAAAAAUGUCACCUUGGUUGUACAAAUAAGGCUUGAUUUUUGAAGUAUGUGGAAAUUUGAAUCACUCCAUUUGGAGUUGAUUGGAAUGUUAUAGGAAAUUUCCAAGGUUGGGAUUUGAAAUAUUCAAUUUUGAAUUUGAAUAUGAACACUAUAGAUAAGUUCUUUGGAAAAAUGUGCAAUGCAUAUAUUUGGAUAGGCCAUGUUUUUAGGAGCACCUAGAAUUUUGAAUCAUCAAAUUUAGAGUUUAUAUGAAUUGAUUAGACUCUGUGGAAAAAAGACACGAGGAAGAAUUCUCACCAAAAUGGCUAAAAUGGCGCAAUAGGCGCCACAUAGAAAAUGGGCCGGCCCAAUGGCCCGAUUGAGCGGCUGGGGAGCACCGAAUGCUUAUUCCAGCAAAUACGCCUCCACCGUGAAGAGGCGGGUUCACGCGGAGCAGUCUCACCUUACGCGUGGGCCCAAUCGUUGGAGUCGCUUACAGGCGGGCACUGUUGGUUCCAUCUCUCUCCUUCCCACCUUCUCCUACCUCCCGACAAGAGGCAAAGGGGAUGCCAGCCACCAUAGCUCCGGCCACUUUGCUGCGCCAAUCGCCGAGUUGGGGGCAUGGGCGGACGCCCCGCUCCCUGCUGUGCUUGGGGUGGUCCUAUCGGUCGCGGGUAUUGCCCGAGCAAGUUGCCCACCGGGAGGGGUAGACAGCAGCGUUGGCCGAUGCUAGCUAGCGCAAUAUGGUGGUGGAGAUCACGUCUUGGGGUGUCGGGAAGGAUGGAGUGGCCACGAGGGUCUCAAAGGAGGUGGAAUUAGAGGAGAGGGAGGGCUCGCUCGCUUGAAUUCGAGCGGAGCCAAACGAUGGCAGCUGCGGUUAUAGGAGGGCCUUUCGAGCUCAAGAGGUCCAAUGUCUCGGGCAAGGGGCCUGUGAGAGUGGGAGGAGNNNNNNNNNNNNNNNNNNNNNNNNNNNNNNNNNNNNNNNNNNNNNNNNNNNNNNNNNNNNNNNNNNNNNNNNNNNNNNNNNNNNNNNNNNNNNNNNNNNNCGCAGGUUUAACGAGGAGCGGCGCAAGGCGAUCGAGGAAGAGGUCGCCCGUCUCUUAGCCGCCAGAUUCAUCGUGGAAGUUUUCCACCCCAAAUGGCUGGCUAACCCGGUUUUGGUACUCAAGAAGAACGGUACCUUCCGUAUGUGCAUUGAUUACACGGACUUCAACAGAGCUUGUCCGAAAGAUCCUUUCGGUCUUCCCCGCAUCGACCAGAUCAUUGACUCGGUGGUGGGAUGCGAAUGAUUGUGCUUUUUGGACGCCUACUCAGGAUAUCACCAGAUCAAGAUGGUNNNNNNNNNNNNNNNNNNNNNNNNNNNNNNNNNNNNNNNNNNNNNNNNNNNNNNNNNNNNNNNNNNNNNNNNNNNNNNNNNNNNNNNNNNNNNNNNNNNNNNNNNNNNNNNNNNNNNNNNNNNNNNNNNNNNNNNNNNNNNNNNNNNNNNNNNNNNNNNNNNNNNNNNNNNNNNNNNNNNNNNNNNNNNNNNNNNNNNNNNNNNNNNNNNNNNNCUCAAGAGUGCGGGGGCCACUUAUCAGGGCUGCAUCCAGAAUUGCCUCCGCAGCCAAAUCGGUCACAACGUCCACGCCUAUGUCGACGAUAUUGUGAUCAAAACCCGCCAGGGGGAGACGCUACUGGAGGAUCUCAAGAAAACUUUCGAUAAUCUACGGGUAUAUCAGAUGAAGUUGAAUCCCACCAAGUGUGUUUUUGGUGUUCCUGUAGNNNNNNNNNNNNNNNNNNNNNNNNNNNNNNNNNNNNNNNNNNNNNNNNNNNNNNNNNNNNNNNNNNNNNNNNNNNNNNNNNNNNNNNNNNNNNNNNNNNNNNNNNNNNNNNNNNNNNNNNNNNNNNNNNNNNNNNNNNNNNNNNNNNNNNNGAAAUUGUUGGGCUUCCUGGUGUCUGAGUGUGGCAUUGAAGCUAACCCGGACAAAAUCGAAGCAGUUACAUCCCUUGGAAGGCCGACAAAUGUUAAUCAAGUUCAACGACUAGCGGGUCGCAUUGCGGCUCUAAGUCGCUUUGUAAGUCGCCUGGGUGAAAAGGCGAUUCCUCUUUAUCAGUUACUAAAGAAAUCUGACCGGUUUGUUUGGACAAAUGAGGCAGACGAGGCGCUCGAAGCCUUGAAACGACAAUUGGUUAACCCGCCGGUCCUGGCCACCCCGACUGAGAAAGAUCUCAUGCUUCUGUAUAUUGCUGCAAAUUUCAAAGCAAUAAGUGUGGCAGUGGUCGUUGAAAGAAAGGAGGAAGGGAAGGAGUACCCAGUGCAACGCCCGGUGUAUUUUAUCAGCGAAGUGCUAACCCUUUCCAAGCAACGGUACCCACACUGGCAGAAGUUAGUGUAUGGGGUGUUUAUGGCGANNNNNNNNNNNNNNNNNNNNNNNNNNNNNNNNNNNNNNNNNNNNNNNNNNNNNNNNNNNNNNNNNNNNNNNNNNNNNNNNNNNNNNNNNNNNNNNNNNNNGGACACGGCUAUUCGAAUAGAUCAUAACCCUGCAGGGGGGGUACUUCGUCACACACGCUCUCGCCACUUAUCGCCAUGUGCACGUCAUGCACCUCGGUAACCUUCAAGCAGAAGCCCAGCGAGGGAGUCGGCCACGACCGUUAACCACACUGGUACCUAGUCCAGGUUUGUCGCCUAUCUGAGGGUAACCCGCACGGAAGUCCGGCCGAGGUUUCCGCCACGGCCUCAAACGAUGUGCGCAGGGUUCCCAAGCCCACCAUCCGGGUGCCACUUGGUACACCGUGCCACUGCCUACCGCAUCACAGCCCACCUCUCAGGUCAGCGCUAUGCACGGCCUCCAGCAUGACUAUAAACACCAAACACUACUUACAACUCCUGGACCGAGCACUAAGCGAUUAAUAAGUCGAGAGGUUCAAUUAAGUAUCCCAACGUGUGGUAGUAUCUAGUCUUGGAUUACAUACACGGAACUCAGUUCCUAAGGACGGUUCCAAUGAAACAACCCGCCAUGUACUCCUACACAGCCUUUCACCGGUACCUUUACCAAAUCAGGUUCGACACACAACCUUUGCUUACCGAACACAUUCUCACAAUUCUGUUCAUCUCCCAGAUGACAGACCAUACACAACUCUAAGCAUAGCAUUCAUAGCAGGAUAAGGCACAUCAUGGCUCAAGCAACGACCAGGUAUGCUAGGUUGCAAGGUUUGGCUAUUUACUGUGACAAGGAUAGGUCAUGCAAAGGAAGUGGGUUCAACUAACGUGGCAAAAGCAGUUGAAGCAUUUGAUCCUAAUGCAAUAAGUAAGUGCAGGAGCAAGAACAUGGGAUUUAUCGGGAUGAUCAAAAAUGGUUGCUUGCCUUGUUGCUCAGAGGAGUGACAAUAUCCGUCAGACGGAUAUUCGGUGGAAUCCGGGGGAGCGGAGCCUACCGGAAGGAAUGACAACAAUCAAUAUCAAGCAUAUGCAAUCAAGAUGAUGCAUGAGCAUGGCAUGAGAAUGCAAGGUGAUAUACUAUUAUAACUAACAUGUAUUAGGUUUGAAGUUGAUUUGAAUCACAUUCAAAUAUCACUUCAAACGAGGUAUUCUCGGAUACCAUUUUAAUUGAUUCGACCUGAUGCUCAGAUCAACUUGAUGUUAACAGGCAUGGGUUGACAUGUUAAGUUGCUGGUUUGUAAUUAGGACAGUAUUUGAUCAUGUCAAUCAUAGUGAAAAUCAAAUAUUUUCCAUAUUCCAUUUAUAAAGUAUUUAUAAGAAUUGACUUAUUCAUUAAUCUACAUGUUUGGGUUCUGUAACAUUUUCAAACAUGUUUGAAAAUGACAUAUUCAGAUUCCUUGAAUUUUUCUGAUACUUUUUCAUAUAUAGAUUAUUUUAAUUGGAGUUACAAAUUAAUUUCUAUGAAUUUUUGAAGUUUUAAACAUUUAUGGAAUUAUUUUUAUACUGGAAAAUCCCUUUACUGCAUCAACAUGACAUCAGCAGGUCCAACUGGCCGUUGAAAGUCAAACCUGACAAGUGGGACCCACUGGUCGGUGUCUUUGGUCAGUUUUAUAUUAAAAAUAAACUUAAUUUGCUGAUUAAUCUUACUGGAACCACAUGUGAGUGUCUUUUAAACUUAUUUGAUUUUAUUUUUAUUAUUCCUAAUCUCCCAGAGGCUGGCCCCACACGUCAAUGGCUCAGGCCAGCUGAGAUCCACCGGCGGCGAGGUCGUCCUCGCCGGCGGGGAGCCUCCGGCGAGCACCAGUACGGUGGAGGGCAUCGGAAACUCGCCUCCGACGGCCAAACUCACGGCAGAGACCACGGGGAGAACAACCACUCGACGACGCGCACGAUGGAACAAGCCCCACGGGCUGGGGUGGCCGGAAUCAACGCCGGCGACAAGUUUGGCGGCGACCAAGUUCGGCCAUCGUCGAAGCCAUCGAAUACAUGUUUGAAACGCGCAGGGCUGGGCACCUAAAGCAUCUACGUGAUGUCAUGAGGCUGCUGGUGGCCUCAGACGGACCAACCCUUCACCGGAGGGCUACCGGCGACGAGCUGCAGCGGCGGUCCUCGUCGGGCUCCGAUGGAACUAAGCCUAGAGGAGGGGAUCGACGGGGAGAGCUUAGGGAAAAGAUGCGCAAGCUCACGAGGACUGCAGAGAAGGGCUUAGACGGCUCCGGGAAGCACCGAGGGCGACGAAUCGAGCAGAGCUCGCCGGCGGCCGAAGGUUGAAGACGACGGUGCCGAGGGUGUUGCAGGGCUCGGGAAGGCUUCGGCUUCUGCAGGGAGGACUAGAUCGACGAGGCGGAGCUAACGGCACACUCAGAAUGAGGAUCCUAUGGCUAGGGGCACGGGCAGCUCGAGCUCGAGCUCCUGUCAAUGGCGGCAGAGGGGAUCGAGGGAACCGAGAGGAGAGGGGGAGGAAUGAGCUGGGGGAUGGAUAGCUACGAGCUCGGGGAGCUUAUCCCCGUGCUUGCCAGCGCAAAGCGGCGGCCAGGCAGGCGCACAGGUGCGUGGCCGCGCCGGAGCACGAGGCGGCCACCUCCUGCUGUCCACUGGCGGGGGAGGAAAACGACAGAAGAACAUGGGCCGGGCGAGGUGAGCGUCACGUAAGGUUUUCUCAUUUUCUUUCUGUUUUGUUUCUGUUUUAAAUACUGAAAUUGAUUUGCUAUUUAUUUCAGCUCCCAAAUAGUUUGUAAAAACUAUGUUGAGCACCUUAGAAUAUUUGUUGGAAUAUUUCCAAUCAUUCCUAAAGUUUUCAUCAUUUUUGAAAGUUUAAAGUUUCUGAUUUCAAAUUUAAAACUUGAAACUAGUAGCUUUUUGCAUUUAUUUGAAAUGCUUAAAGUGUCAAGGAAAAGGUUUUCUUCAUUGCUUAUAUACUUUCAUGAUUUAUCAGAAAGUUUGAACUUUUCUUGAGGCCAUUUUGGGUUCAUUGAUUUUAACUAGUUUGAGAUUUCCUUUAUUUAAAGAAGUGGCUAGGGUUUUGAGUUUUCCUUCACCACUUACUUUAUUCUUGUUGAAAUUUCCUAGAUGCAAUGCAAAGAAAACAUGAGCACAAAGCUAACUUGCUUAAAGUGUCAGGGAUGUGACAGAAGUGCAGUCAGAGUCUAGUGUGGCAAGUCUUGCACUUGCUACCACAUUCAUCAGCAAGUCCAUCUUCAACCUUGAAGAAAAUGACAACGUCAACAACACUGAUGAAUAUGAUGAUGACUUCGCUCCCACCUAUUGCUUCAAGGCAAAAGGUUCAAAGCUACCAAGCCACAUAUCCUCUUCUGAUUCUAGUGACUGUGAACCCGAUGAUUAUCAAAAACCCAGUUACUAUAAAUGUGCCAACAUUGCCACUAAGGAACGAAGUGCUAUUGAAAAGCAUCAGAAACUACUAGACAAAAGGGAUGAUCUCUUGAAUGAUGAAACGAAUCAUACUCAAAUCCUCACUAAAGAUGUUCAAAGUAUUCAGUCUAGAUUUCAUAGUCUUGAAGAUAGUUAUGGUACACUCUUGGCUGAUCAUGAGAAGCUUUCCUAUGAAUUUCUUCAAAGGGAACGUGAUCUUGAGAAGUUGAAAAUAUCCUAUGAUGAUCUUCAAAUGGAAAAUGAGUCAUUGCUUGCUCAACAGAUCAGUACCGCUCACGAAGAAUUCAUUCGACCAUGUGUGAAAUGCAUCGAACGUGAAACUGCAAAUUCUUCACCUGAAACUUCAAAUGCUUCUAUCGCUACAAAUUCUUGAACUGUUCCUAUGGUAUCUAAUUCUUCACUUGAGGAAACCACAAAUGCUACAGACAAAAAUGCAGGAUUGAAGGAAUUGUAUGUGACACGCAUAUACAAAAUUCUCCAAGGGCAUCAAACCCUUUCCGAUAUGCUCAAAUAGCAGAUUUUGAACAGGAAACCGAGGAAAGAGGGCAUUGCCUUUGAGAGGAAACUUAAUAUUGAUGGGUCAUACUGGAAACCUGAGCAGUACCCCAAAACCUCAUGGAUUGCUGCUAAAGGACCUUGCAUUGAUCCAUCCACUUUAACAGGCUUUGCAUUUCAAAUGUCUUAUUCCUCUGAUGAGUCAUUUGACUCUAACUAUAAAUUGUUCAAAAAUCGAGCUGGUGAAGUAUUUGCUCGAUAUGUUGGAACUAACUGCUGGAAUGGACCACCCCUGAGGAAAACCUGGGUUCCCAAAAGCUUCUUGGAAAGUCUUCACGUGAAUGUCCUCAUGAUACAACCAGUGAAGAACAAGAACCCCAGAUAAAAGUCCUGAGGUGGACCAAAGUCUUCACGAGGAUCAAAUUCCUCAAAUGGUCAAACUAUGAUCAACCUCGCACUAAUGCUUUUGAUAUGGAGGGAAACUACAAGGGACAUGAAGAUGUGUACUAUUCCUCAAAUCACUAUGUUCAUAAGUUCUCUAAGAAUUUCUCUGCCUAUUCAUUUGAAUACUCAAACCCCCCUACUGUGAAAAGAAGUGCAUUAGCUUCAAUGCAUCCAUUCUCAUAUGGUGCUCGCACGAUGAUGAACUCUUUACCACCCCUUUAGAUGUGGGUGGUGAAGAAAUCAAACUAAUCACUUCUACAGGUCAGGUCUCCAUAUGAAAGUCAUCAUCUGAAGAAUUUGCUGGAGAACUAAGGACAUUGCUUGAUAGGACGAAAGCUAAAUCACGAUCAAAUGAUCUAUCAUUUCAGACGUCCUCGUUAUAUCCUCAAAUUUAAUUUUGUGAUGAAAUUCAAGUUUGAUGAAAUUUAUAUCAUAUUCUUCAAUAUGAAGCAUAUGAGAUGGUAAAUAGUACUAAUUCAUCUGCAGGAUGAUCAACCAAGAACACAGAGUGGGUUCUUGAUAGUGGAUGUAAAAACACAUGAUUGGUGAUAANNNNNNNNNNNNNNNNNNNNNNNNNNNNNNNNNNNNNNNNNNNNNNNNNNNNNNNNNNNNNNNNNNNNNNNNNNNNNNNNNNNNNNNNNNNNNNNNNNNNCUAUGUGUUAUGAUCCGGCAACCCCGGAGUGACAAUAACCGGAACCACUCCCGAUGAUGACCAUAGUUUGAGGAGUUCAUGUGUUCACCAAGUGCUAAUGCGUUGGUCCAGUUCUUUAUUAAAAGGAGAACCUUAAUAUCCCGUAGUUUCCUUUUGGACCCCGCUACCACGGGAGGGAUGGACAAUAGAUGUCAUGCAAGUUCUUUUCCCUAAGCACGUAUGACGACACACGGAAUGCAUGCCUACAUCACAGUGACGAACGGGAGCUAGCCACAUAUCUCUCCGUGUUAUAGCUGUUGCAUGAUGAAUAUCAUCCAAACAAAUCACCGACCCAAUGCCUACAAGUUUGUCCUACUGUUGCCACUUUUGUUACUUGUCUUGCUCUGCUGUUGCUACUACUAUUGCUACUGCCGUUCCUUGUCUUGCUCUGCUGCUACUACUGUUGCUACUUCCAUUACUUGUCUUGCUCUGCUGCUACUGUUGCUACUAUUGUCGCUUGCUACUGUUGCUACUUGCUACUGCUGUCAAUAUAGUUGUUCCUUGCCACUGCUAUUGCUCGUUACACUGCCGAUACCCGCUACUUCGUUGUUACUACUUCGCUUCUACUAUUGUGCUUGCAGAUACUAAUCUUUCAGGUGUUGUUGAAUAUAACAAAUUCAGCUGCUAAUACUUGAGAGUAUACUCUCAUCUCCUGACUGGCGUACCUACAAAUUGGGUUAAAUACUCUACCCUCAAAAACUGCUGCGAACCCACGCGCUGGUGGGCCAUCAACAACAUUCUUCCAGUUUCAUUACCGGGGAGUGCUAUCAGCAUUCUUCUGGUGCUGUUGUAGGAGAAGGUUAGUUGUUCUAAGCAUUCAUCUAGCUAACACUAGAGAUUACAGGAUCAACACUUUUCUCGAGCCAUUGCCAGAGAAGCACAAUUGACGUCAGCGGUCUGGCUACGGCGACGACGGCGGAGGAGAUUGCAUCGACAGCGUCGAAUCCCAGAGGCGAUGGCGCUCGGGGAGACAAAGGCGAUGACCUGGGUUCUCAAGGGCAACGAGGGUUUGUCGAUUGAAAAGUUUUGACAAAAUGAAUUCAAAAGAUUCGGUCCACAGAUAUAUAUAUACCCGUGCGCUGUCGGUGUCACCGAGAUGGCAAAAUCGGUGACGCCGAGUUCCUCUACUGUCAGUUGAUACGUCUCAAACGUAUCUUUAAUUUUUGAUGGUUUCACGUUGUUAUCUUGUCAUCUUUGGACGUUUUGUGUACCUUUUAUAUCUUUUUUGGGACUAACUUAUUAAUUCAGUGCCAAGUGCCACUUCCUGUUUUUUCUGUGUUCUUGGCUCUUUUUAGAUCUGAUUUCGGAACGGAGUCCAAACGGAAUAAAAUCCCCGGAAUGAUUUUUUUCUCGAACGUAAGAAGAUCAGGGAGGCUAUGGACCAAGCCAGGACGGCUCCAGGGAGCCCACAAGCCCCCACUCCGCCACCAGGGGGAAGCGGCGGAGGCAGGGCUUGUGGCCUCCCUGAGCGCCCCCUGACCUAGAUCUUUGCCCUAUAUAUUCCCUAAAAUACUGCAAAAAAAUCACGGGAGCCUCGAAAAUACUUUUCCGCCACCGCAAGCUUCCGUUUCCGCGAGACCUCAUCUGGAGACCCUUCCUGGCGCCCUGCCGGAGGGGACUUUGGAGUUGGAGGGCUUUUUCAUCAUCAUCAUCGCCCCUCCAAUAACUCGUGAGUAGUUCACUUCAGACCUACGGGUCCGUAGUUAGUAGCUAGAUGGCUUCUUCUCUCUCUUGGAUCUUCAAUACAAAGUUCUCCAUGAUCUUCAUGGAGAUCUAUCCGAUGUAAUGUUUUUUGGCGGUGUGUUUGUCGAGAUCUGAUGAAUUGUGGAUUUGUGAUCAGAUUAUCUAUGAUAUAUAUUUGAGUCUUUGUGAUUUCUUAUAUGCAUGAUUUGAUAUCCUUGUAAGUCUCUCCGAGUUUUGGGUUUUGUUUGGCCAACUAGAUCUAUGAUUCUUGCAAUGGGAGAAGUGCUUGGUUUUGGGUUCUUACCAUGUGGUGACCUUUCCAAGUGACAGUAGGGGCAGCAAGUCACACAUUGAGUGGUUGCCAUCUAGGAUAACAAGGUGGGCUAUGUCGUUGAUAUGAGAUUGUACAUCUACAUCAUGUCAUCUUGCUUAAGGCGUUACUCUGUUCUUUUGGACUUAAUACACUAGAUGCAUGCUGGAUAGCGGUCGACGUGUGGAGUAAUAGUAGUAGAUGCAUAAAGUAUCGGUCUACUUGGUUUGGACGUGAUGCCUAUAGAUAUAAUCAUUGCCAUAGAUGACGUCACGACUUUGCGCGGUUCUAUCAAUUGCUCAACAGUAAUUUGUUCACCCAUCGUCUAUUUUCUCUCAUGAGAGAAGUCACUAGUAAACACUACGGCCCCCGGGUCUAUUAACAUCUAUCGUUUACACCUCCGCUUUUACUUUGCUUUGUUACUUUGUUGCUUUCAGUUCUCACUUGGCGAACAAUAUAUAAGGGAUUGACAACCCCUUCAUAGCAUUGGGAGCAGGUUCUUUGUGUUUGUGCAGGCUCUUGUGAUACUCCUUCACUGGAUCGAUACCUUGGUUCUCAAACUGAGGGAAAUACUUACCAUCGCUGUGCUACAUCACCCUUUCCGCUUCGAGGGAACACCACCGCAAGGCUCCAAGGCCACGGGGGAAAUCCUUUGCAUAUUUUCCUAGGAAGUCCCUUAAGGCGUAGCCGUAGCAGAAGGAUUCCUGGUACCGUCGACACACCUAUUUCUGGCACCAUUGGAAGGUCUUUUGUUGCAGUAGCAGAAGUAUUUCUGGCGCCAUUUCCGGGGAGGAGAGAUCUAUGCAAGUAGGUCUCACAAACUCAUCUCUUCCAUUUACUUUUUUGUCAGUUGCCUCUCGUUUUCCUCUCCCCCACUUCACAUUUGCCGUUUUCAUUUUCCUUUUUCCGUUCACCCUUCUUCCGCUCGCUUUCUGUUUGAUUGUGUUACCAUGUGCCUUCUUUUAGCUUGCAUCUUUGCUUGCUAAAAAUCUAUUGAUAUGGAUCCUCAUCCACUAGCUAAUCUCUUUAAGAGACCCACUUAUGUGGGACGAAUUUCUAGUGAGUUGAGUGCGCUUGACUAUCUUUAUGGAGUUUUGCUUGAGAUGCGUGAAUCUAAAAAUCAAGAUGAAGUUAUUCAUGAGGGCUCCUUGGAUGAAAAGCAUGAUUGCAAUGGUUUCACUAUAAAUUCUAUUAGUGACAAUCAUGCUAAAAUUAUGCAAAACCCUAAGCUUGGGGAUGCUAGUCUUGCUAUGACCACUACUUGUUGCAAAGAUCAUGAUUGGGGUGAUGAUUUUUCUUUUGAUCUUGAAAAAUUUUUCAAGCCUCAAGAUGAAUAUGAUAUUUGCAAUAUUAUUGAAAGUGGGUUUGGAGAAGUCAUGACUUUAGAUGAUAAUCCCACUAUUUUUGAAGAGUGUCAACUUUGCACGCAUGUGGAUCAUGAAAAGAAUAUCCUAUGUGAUAGCUAUAUCGUUGAAUUCGAAUACGAUCCCACAUGUAAUGAGAGAGGAAAAUAUUGUGGUAGAAACUUUCAUGUUACCAAAUUACCUCUCGUUAUGUGGAGAUUGCUAUUGUCUCUUUCUUCUUCCUUGCAUUCGGUAACUAUUGGUUGUCUUGCCACUUUGUUUCCCUUUAAAAUGCCUAUGCAUAGGAAGUAAGUUAGACUUAGAUGUGAUUUUCACAUGUUUUAGGAUGUUCUCGUUGUGCUUCAAUUCUUGUCUUUUGUGAGAGCAUCAUUGAAUGCCUAGCUAAGGGCGUUAAACAAUAGCCCUUGUUGGGAGGCAACCCAACGAAUCUAUCAUUUUUCUUUCUGUUUUGUGUUUUCCACACUUUCAUAAUUCUGUUAUGAUUGUGUUUUUUGUGUUUCUUUUUGCGUUUGUGCCAAGCAAAACCGUUAUGAUUAGUCUUGGGGACGAUCGUUUGGUCAUGGUGGAAAAGACAAAAACUUUGUGCUCACGAAAAGAAUUUUAGUAUUUUUUUUCUGUAAGAGCUUUUGAGUUGAUUCUUCUUGUUGCUGAUUGCUACGCAAAUUCUUCAGACUGCCGUAAUGUUUCAGAAUUUUUGAAGUACUAGAGGUAUACGAAAUAUACAGAUUGCUACAGACUGGUCUGCUGUUAACAAAUUCUGUUUUUGUUGUGUUGGUUGCUUAUUUUGAUGAAACUAUGGAUAGUAUCGGGGGGUAUUAGCCAUGGAAGAUUGAAAAUACAGUAACCCAAAAUCAGCAUAAGUAGAAUUUAAGUUUGCUACAGUACCUAAGGAAGUGGUGGUUUGCUUUCUCAUACUAAUGUUAUCACGAGUUUCUGUUUAAGUUUCGUGUUGUGAAGUUUUCAAGUUUUGGGUGAAGUUCUUAUGGACAAAAAGAUAAAGAGUGGCAACAGCUCAAGCUUGGGGAUAGCCAAGGCACCCCAAGAGAUUUAAGGAUGCCGUAAAAGCCUAAGCUUGGGGAUGCCUCGGGAAGACAUCCCCUCUCUCGUCUUCAGUCCAUCGGUAACGUUAAUUGGAGCUAUAUUUUUAUUCACUUAAUGUUAUGUGUUUUUGCUUGGAGCGUCUUGAAUCGUAUGAGUCUUUUAUUUUUGUUGUGUCACAAUCAUACUUGCUGCACACCUAGAGAGAGAGACAUGCACUCACCGUGAUUUUUUCGAGCUUCACUUAUAUCUUCUGGUAGACAAUUCAGCCCACAUGUGCUUCACUUAUAUCUUUUGAGCUAGAUACUUUUGCUCUAUGUGCUUCACUUAUAUCUUUUAGAGCACAGCAGUGCAUGGCUUGAUAGUUGAUCUAUGCUUUGAAAGUAGUCUUAAAAGGGGUAGUUAUCCAAAGGGAUACGAAAGCUUCCACCUUCAUGUGCAUUGAAUAGUUAGAGAAGUUUGAUUCCUCUCAAUUAGUUUUGAGUUGUGGUUAUGGUAACAUUGAAGUCAUGCUGGUAAGGUUUUGUGGAUCUAGAAAUACUUGUGUUGAAGUUAGUGAUUCCCGUAGCAUGCACGUAUGGUGAACCGCUAUGUUAUGAAAUCUGAGCAUGAUUACUCCAUUGAUUGUCAUCCUUUGCGUGGUGGUCGGGAUCGCGCGAUGGUUUAUACCUACCAACCCUUCCUCUAGGAGUAUGCGUUUAAUGCUUUGUUUCAAUUACUAAUAAAACUUUCGCAACAAGUAUAUGAGUUCUUCAUGACUAAUGUUGAGUCCAUGGUUUAGAUGUACUUUCAGCUUCCACCAUCACUAUCUUCUUAGUGCCGUGCAACUUUCGCCGGUGCACAAAACCCACCAUUAGCCUCCCUCAAAACAACCACCAUACCUACCUACUAUGGCUUUUUCAAAGUCAUUUCGAGAUAUAUUGCCAUGCAACUACCACCAUGACAUGUGCCACCACGUCUACAUUUCCAUUGCAUGAUCAUAAGAUAGCUAGCAUGAUGUUUCCAUUAAUGUCUAUGCCAUGCUAGAUCAUUGUCAUGGUACACUACCGAAGGCAUUCCAUAUAGAGUCAUCGUUGCUCUAAGUUUUCAGUUGAAAGUGUGAUGAUCAUCAUUGAUGGAGCAUUGUCCCAUGUGAGGAAAUAAAAGAGGCCAAAGAAGCCCACCAAAAAAAAGAUGCCAAAGAGCCCACCAAAAAAAAUUAAUAAUAAAAAAAUGAGAGAAAANNNNNNNNNNNNNNNNNNNNNNNNNNNNNNNNNNNNNNNNNNNNNNNNNNNNNNNNNNNNNNNNNNNNNNNNNNNNNNNNNNNNNNNNNNNNNNNNNNNNNNNNNNNNNNNNNNNNNNNNNNNNNNNNNNNNNNAAAAGAGAGAAGGGACAAUGUUACCACUUUUCCACACUUGUGCAUAUUAAGCACCAUGAUCUUCAUGAUUGAGAGUCUCUCAUUUUGUCACCACCAUAUAGCUAGUGGGGAAUUUUCAUUAUAUAACUUGGCUUGUAUAUUCCAAUGAUAGGCUUCCUCAAAAUUGCCUUAGGUCUUCGUGAGCAAGCAAGUUGGAUGCACACCCACUAGUUUUCUUUAAGAGCUUUCACUUACUCUUAGCUCUAGUGCAUCAUUUGUAUGGCAAUCCCUACUCAUUCGCAUUGGUAUCUAUUGAUGAGCAUCUCCACAGUUCAUUGAUAUGCCUAGUUAAUGUGACUAUCUUCUCCUUUUUUGUCUUGCAACCUCCACCACACUCCACAUCAUCUAUAGUGCUAAAACCANNNNNNNNNNNNNNNNNNNNNNNNNNNNNNNNNNNNNNNNNNNNNNNNNNNNNNNNNNNNNNNNNNNNNNNNNNNNNNNNNNNNNNNNNNNNNNNNNNNNCGGGAGGAGGGAGAGAGUCGACGCUGGGAAUGGAUAGGUGAGGCCUCGGGGACCUUAUCCCUGGCCUUGCCAGCACGAGGUGGCGGCCAGGCAGGCGCACAGGUGCGUGGCCGCGCGAGAGGAGGCGGCGGCCACCUCCUGCUCCUACUGGCGCGAGGGAGACGACAGGAGCUGGGAUGGGCCAGGCCAGGCUAGGCGACAGGUAAGAGUUUCCCAUUUUUUUCUAUUUUUGUUUCUGUUUUAGCUUCUUCAAUAUUUUGCUAUUUAUUUCAGCUCCAAAACAAAUUGCAAAAACUAUUUUAAACACACCUGAAUAUUUGUUAUAAUAUUCCCAACCAUUUCCAAAGUUUUCAACAUUUUUGAAAAUUUAUAGUUUCCGAUUUCAACUUUAAAGUUUGAAACCAGUGGCUUUUUGCAUUUAUUUAAAAUGCUUAAAUGUCAAGAAAAUAGUUUUCUCCAAUGCUUAUUUACUUUCAUGAUUUAUCAGAAAGUUUGAACAUUUCUUGAGGCCAUUUUGGUUUCAUUGAUUUUAACUAGUUUGAGAUUUUCAUUAUUUGAAGUAGUGGCUAGGGUUUUGAGUUUUUCCUUUGCCACUUUCUUGAUCUUGUUGGAAAAUCUUAGAUGCAAAUGCAAAGUAGACAUGAGCACAAGACUAACUUGCUUAAGGGUUAGGGAUGUGACACAGGUAUAAGACCUCAUACAAGAUUCUUUGCAUACAAAGUAAGGGAGAAAAGCUCAAUCGUUAAGCAUGUGUUCAUAUUGUGUGGAUACUACAAUCGAUUGAAUCGAGUGGGAGUUGAUCUUCCAGAUGAGAUAGUGAUGGUUCUCCAAAGUCACUGCCACCAAGCUACUAGAGCUUCGUGAUGAUCUUUAACAUAUCAGGGAUGGAUAUGAUGAUCCUUUAGCUAUUCGUGAAUUUGACACCAUGAAAAUAUAAAUAAAAAAGGAGCCUCAAUUGUUGAUGGGUAGUAAAACCACUAGUUUCAACAAGGGCAAGGGAAAGAAGGGAUACUUCUUGAAACAGCAAACGAGUUGUUGCUCUAGUGAAGACACCCAAGGUUGAACCCAAACCCAAGACUAAGUGCUUAUGUAAUGAGGGGAACAGUCAUUGAAGAGGAACUACCCUAGAUACUUGGUAGAUGACAAGUCCGGCAAAGCCGACAAAUUUAUAUUGGAUAUACAUGAUAUUGAUGUGCACUUUACUAGUACUCAUAGUAGCACGAGGGUAUUAGAUACCGGUUCAGUUGCUAAGGUUAGUAACUCGAAAUAAAAGCUAUGAAUAAAUGGAGACUAGCUAAAGGCGAGGUGAUGAUAUGUGUUGGAAGUGUUUCCAAGGUUGAUGUGAUCAAACAUCGCACGCUACCUCUAUCAUCGGGAUUAGUGUUAAACCUAUAUAAUUGUUAUUUGGUGUUUGCGUUGAGCAUAGACAUGAUUAAAUUUUGUUUAUCGCAAUACGGUUGUUCAAUUAAAGAGAAUAAUGGUUACUGUGUUUAUUCGAAUAAUACCUUCUAUGGUCUUGCACCUAAAAUGAAUGAUUUAUUGAAUCUCGAUCGUAGUGAUACACAUGUUCAUAAUAUUGAUGCCAAAAGAUAUAAAGUAGUAAUGAUAGUACCACUUACUUGUAGCACUGCCACUUGAGUCAUAUUGGUAUAAAAUGCAUGAAGAAGCUCCAUGCGGAUGGAUCUUUGGACUCACACGUUUUUGAAAAUUUUGAGACAUGCGAACCAUGUCUAUUGGUAUAAACGCAUGAAUAAACUCCAUGCAGAUGGAUCGUUUGGACUCACUUGAUUUUGAAUCACUUGAGACAUGCAAAUCAUACCACAUGGGCAAGAUGAGUGAAGGCCUCGUUUUCCAGUGAGAUGAAACAAUAAAGUAACUUGUUGGAAGUAAUGCAUUUUGAUGUGUGCAGUCCAAUGAGUGUUGAGGCAUGCAGUGGAUAUCGUUAUGUUCUUACUUCAAAGAUGAUCUGAGUAGAUUCUAGUAUAUUUACCCGAUGAAACACAAGUCUGAAUUAUUGAAAGCUCCAAGUAAUUUCACAGUGAAGUUGAAGAUCAUCGUGAGAAGAGGAUAAAAUGUCUAUGAUAUGAUCAUAGAGAUAAAUAUCUGAGUUGCAAGUUUGGUACACAAUUAAUACAUUGUGGAAAUUGUUUCACAACUAAUACCACCUAGAACACAAUAGUGUGAUGCAUACUAUGAUGUCUCUUAUGAAAUUACCACUAUAGUUUUUGGGUUAGGCAUUAGAUAUAACCACAUUCACUUUAAUUAGGGCACCACGUAAUUCUGUUGAGAUGACACCGCAUGAACUAUGGUUUGGAGAAACCUAAGCUGCCGUUCCUUAAAAGUUUGGGGUUGAGAUGCUUAUGUGAAAGAGUUUCAGCCUGAUAAUCUCGAACCCAAAGCGGAUAAAUGCAUAUUCAUAGGACACCCAAAACAGAUGGGUCUACCUCCUAUCUCAGAUCCAGAAGCUAAGUGUUUGUUUCUAGAAAUAGGUCCUUUCUCGAGGAAAAGUUUUUCUCGAAAGAAUUGAGUGGGAGGAUGGUGGAAACUUGAUGGGGUUAUUGAACCAUCACUUCAACCAGUGUCUAGCAGGGCGCAUGAAGUUAUUCUUGUGGCACCUACACCAAUUGAAGUGGAAGUUGAUGAUAGCAAUCAUGAAGCUUACCAAACCUCGUAGGUCGACAAGGACGCGUACUACUCCAGAGUGGUACGGUAAUCCUGUCUUGGAGGUCAUGUUGCUAGACAACAAUGAACCUACGAGCUAUGGAGAAGCGAUGGUGGUCCUGGAUUCUGAUAAAUGGCUGGAUGCCAUGAAAUCCGAGAGAGGAUCCAUGUAUGAAAACAAAGUGUAGACUUUGGAAAAACUAGUUGAUGGUCAUAAGACUGUUAACUACAGAUGGAUCUUUAAAAGGAAGACACACUUUGAUGGUGAAAAGUCACCAUUAAGAAAGCUCGACUUGUCGCGAAGAUGUUUCCGACAAGUUCAAAGAGUUGACUACAAUGAUACUUUCUCACUCGUAGCAAUGCUGAAAGUCUGUUGGAAUUAUGUUAGCAGUUGCUGCACCAUUUAUGAAAUCUUGCAAAUAGGAUGUCAAAAAUUGUUUCCUCGACGGUUUCCUUGAGGAAAGGUUGUAUAUGAUACAACGAGAAGGUUUUGUCGAUCCUAAAGGAUGCUAACAAGUAUGCAAAGCUCCUGCGAUCCUUCUAAGGACUGGAGCAAGCAUCUCGGAGCUGGAAUAUAUGCUUUGAUGAGGUGAUCAAAGAUUUUGGUUUUAUCGAAAGUUUAUGAGAAACUUGUAUUUCCGAAAAAGUGAGUGGGAGCACUAUAGAAUUUCCGAUGAGUUGAUCGGAAAUGAUGUAGAAUUUCUAGAAAGCAUAUAGGGUUGUUUAAAAAGUGUUUUUCAAAGUAAAACCUGGAUUGAGCUACAUGCACAUUGAGCAUCAAGAUCUAUAAAGAUAGAUCAAAACACUUAAUAGUACUUUCAAUGAAUACAUACCGUGACAAGAUUUUGAAGGGGUUCAAAAUAGAUCGGCGAAGAAAGAGUUCUUGGCUGUGUUAUAAGGUGUGAAUAUUGAGUAAGACUCAAAACCUGACCACGACAGAAGACAAAGAAAGGACGAAGGUCGUUGUCACGCCCAAGAUGCGACCCUAUCCUCAAUUUGGCACGAGGGCCUUGUCAGGGAUAGAAGCGCAUCUCGUCGUGUCGCAGGAAUGGAUAUCGUUACAAGUACAUGUACUGAAAAGAAGAGAUAUAUAUAUAUAUAUAUAUAUAUAUAUAGAAUUGGCUUACACUCGCCACAAGCUACAUCAGAUCACAGCAGUACAAUACAUAAUCAUCAAGAAGAAGAGCAGGGUCCAACUACGGACAAAAACAAAGGAGAAAAGAAGAACGACGUCCAUCCUUGCUAUCCCAGGCUGCCGGCCUGUAACCCAUCCUAGAUCGAAGAAGAAGAAGAAGAAGAAGAAGCAACUCCAAAUGAACAAUCAAUGUGCUCGCGUCGAGUAACCUUUACAUGUACCUGCAAUUGGUGUUGUAGUAAUCUGUGAGCCAUAGGGACUCAGCAAUCUCAUUUCCAAAGGUAUCAAGACUAGCAAAGCUUAAUGGGUGAGGUAUGGUUAAGUGGUGAGGUUGCAGCAGUGGCUAAGCAUAUAUUUGGUGGCUAAACUUACGAGUACAAGAAAUUAGAGGGGGAAGAUCUACGCAUAGCGGACGUGACUACUGAUGAUCAAAUGAAUGAUCCUGAACACCUACUUACGUCAAACAUAAACCCACAGUGUCCUCGAUCGGAGAAGGAGCUCAUGAAAGAGACAAUCACGGUUACACACUCAGUUGGCAAAUUUUAAUUAAGUUAACUUCAAGUUGUCUAGAACCAGUGUUAAACAAAGUUUCCAUGUGGCCACAUAACCGCGGGCACAGCUUUCUGAAAAGAUUUAACCCUGCAGGGGUGCUCCAACUAGUUCAUCACAAAUUACCACAAGCCGCAUAGAAAUCCUCGAUCACGAAGCUCGCGAUCUCGUCGGACUCCUUAGUGCAAAACCUCAACUCUGAGAUUACCAAAAGCAUCACCGGAAUCCUUAUGCACAAAAUAUUUCGUCAAAGAUAAAACUAAUCCAGCAAGGCCGCCCGACAUGUCGACGAUCCCGAUAGGAGCCGCGUAUCUCGUUCUCAGGACACGACGGAUGAGCGAUGGUUACCACGCCAAACGCCGAGUUGCCCCGGGUAGCUUUACUAAGCAGCUCUGUUUUGGACCAGUACCAUCAACACUGGCCCUCCCUGUAUUAUGUAGAAUUACUCCUCGGGUAGCGCUAACUCCCUAUGCAUUUCAGUAUUAACAGAAUUAUUAUGUUGGGCAAAUGUAGUACCAAUGUUGGGCCUUGCCAGACCAGCUUUAAUCUUAAACGAAAUAUCAAAGGGGUCCCCAUAACAACCCCGAUCGUGUUAGGAGCGCUCAAAUAUGGAACAUAACACCGGCAGCCGAAACCAAGGGGGGCAAAGGUGGAACAAAACACCAGGCUAGAAAGGCCAAGCCUUCCACCUUUUACUAAGUAUAUAGGUGCAUUAAAUUGAAUAGCAUGUAAUAUGGUGAUAUAACAAGGAACCCAUGUUUUCACAUGGAAGCGGCUGCACCUGCAACUAGCAACUCUAACACAUGGUUAAGCCAGCGGUAACAUAGCCAGUCAAUGGUUUGCUAGGUUGUGAACAUAUUGAAGGUUUUCAAGGCAUUGUUGAGAGGCUGAAUUUAACAUGUGGUAGGCAGCGAGACAUAAUCGAUAGGAACAUAAAACUAGCAUGGCAAUGAUAGUAAUGGUAUCUGGGGAAAUGGUCAUCUUGCCUGAGAUCCCGCUUGGAGGAAGAAUGACUCCGUGAAGCAGACGAACCGAUGUAGUCGAACGAGUCCUCACAAUCCGACACACUUGCGGAACUCUAUCGAGACGAAGCAAACCGGAAACAAGAAUCAACACAUGAUGUACACCACACGAUGCACAACACAAAUGAUGCAUGAGCAGCUGAACACAUACAAGACACGACAUGAUAAUUCAUGACAAACAAACACUACACAUUAAGUGAAGUUCAAUAUGCAACGAGUUGCAUAUUGACGAAACUCCACGUUUAAUUAUUUAUUUCUAUCCCGAUUUGAUACACGGAAAUAUUAGAUGUGGUUAAACAUGGCAAGAGUUGAAGCGUAAUUAAACUACCUAUCUAGACAUUUUAAAUGAGGUCUGAAAUGACAUAUAGCAUCUCCGAGACGACCUCACAUGUUAAUUUGCAAUUCUGUCCAGAUCUGAACUACCACGUUUAAUUAGUUGUUAAACAGAAAAACAAAUAGGUUCACGUGAAUCUAUGCGUCGUUACAAGCAAUUUACACAUAGAGAACAUCUCCAACGGAGCUACGGAUCAAAAGAUACAAGCACCGCAAGAUAUGAUGACAUGAAUGCAAUAUGUGUGCAACAACGGUCAUGAGCACUUCAAAACAUACAACCAGCAAGAUAAAAUGAAUCUACACGAUAUUCUAGGCAAGUUUCAUAUAGGACACGAUCAAAACGGAGCUACGGUUCAACAACUACGAGCAAAACAAGAUAUCACUACAAUCUGCCAAAAUCAGCCACGUAGCAUUUUCUACACCCCACAACUAUGAGCAACUCCACUCCAAUAUGCUCAACCAAGGCAUGAGACGAUAGAGGGCAAGAAGCACUACAACAUACAACUAAUAACACAUAUCAUGGAAGCAUGGAUCACUAGGAAAAGAAGUCAAAAAAUGGCUUCUCACACACUGUUUCAGACUUAGUGAAAAUAACAGUUUAUGAAACUGCAGUUUUCGAUCUGAAGGCAUCUUGACAGCAGCAAAACCAUAAGCUACAUGACUCAAAAUGGCAUGAAAAUUCACUGCAUGCUAGAUAAUCCUAAAGUAUACAACUAAUUCCAUUGCACCAAUCUCAAAAGAGCUACAGAUCACAAGAUAAACUCAUGCAAAGACAGCAACAAAAUAUAACAGAUUCAGACUUAGAAAUAUUUCAGCACCUCCAAAUCAGCACUAUUUCCUAGCAACUUGAGAGCAAGCAAACCACACCUAAACAUGGAUUUCUAUUGCAACCAAAAAUACCAGGGGCUAGACUAAACAUCAAAGGGAAACUCUCUAGUUGACAACUACCUCAUAUCACGCACGGAAUAAAUCACACAAAAGAGACAAGAGGGCAACAUAGCAAAAUAUCGCACGAACUAACUUGCUCAAAAGCUAAAACUAAAUACACAGUUAAAUCCUAUGAAUUUUUUUACCCCGAAAACAUAUAUAACAUGAGGGGUUGCAACAUAAGAACAACGCCAGACGUAUAUGCGGGAUUAAGUCAUAAACGCGGAAAAAUAAACUAGCGUCGGAAAAACACAUGCAAAAAUACCAAUGUCUAAUCUAAAAUACAUGGCAAAGGGGUUCCUAAAACAUGAACAUUUCUACUACAGAGUUCGAACAAUCCGGACACGCAUGAAAAAAAUAACACGAGACACAAACAUAAUAGACAACACACGUUUCUAGGCAUUCAGCAUGGUAAACUACGUCAAACAAUUAUGCAAGUUAUAAAAUAGUAAUCUACACGAGAUUCUACACAAAAACCAUAUGCUACACGUCGCGAUCCGACUUACAGAAUAAAAUAUUCAGACGUUCUAAAUAUACGUCUAUUCCCUGGAAUUAACUAAAUACUAAAACCAAAAAAAAACACUAUUGGGCUUCACACGGGGGCGCAGGAUAAAACCUAGCGCCUAGUGAGCGAUUUAGGCGAGAGAGGGGCCUCACCUGCGGGCUGGAUCUGAGAGGAGGAGCUGGGCCGGCGGAGGAGGAGGCCACCUCCAGCUAGGCCGGCUCAGGCAGAUCGGCCCACGCGGCCAUAGGCGAUGCGGCCAGGCGAAGCGAGGCUGGCGCUCGUCGUUUCCCUCCAGCACGAGCAGAGGCGGCCGCCGGCGGUCGAGGAGCACGGGGUCUGGUCGGGAUCCAGCGAGGUUGAACUCCAGGCAGCGGGAUCCGGCGAGGCAGGUCCUGGCGACGGGAUUCGACUGGGUACGGGCGCCCGCGGGCGGCGGCCUCCGGCCUGCUGCGGACGAGCUGCUGGCGGCGGGGAGCAGGCUGGUGCACGCGGCACGUGGCUCCGGCGAGGUUGAACUGCAGCAGCCGACGGUGACCGGCUCCGGCAGCUGGAGCACGGGAGGAACGGGCGUAGAGGCGGCGGUGGUUCGGGCCCGGGCGGGNNNNNNNNNNNNNNNNNNNNNNNNNNNNNNNNNNNNNNNNNNNNNNNNNNNNNNNNNNNNNNNNNNNNNNNNNNNNNNNNNNNNNNNNNNNNNNNNNNNNNNNNNNNNNNNNNNNNNNNNNNNNNNNNNNNCCUGCGAUGGGCUCGGAGGGCCCGGUAGUUGGUGGGAGGCUCAGGGGAGAGAGAGGCUGCGGGAGAAGGCUAGGGUUAGGGGUAGGUGGGUGCGGAAAAUGAGGAUGGAUUAGGGAGAGGCUGUCUAAAAUGCACAAGGGGUCUUUAUAUAGACAAUGGGGGGCUAGGUUUAUCGGAAUUUCGUUCCGGAUCCAACCGUGCGGUCGGAUUCAAAUAAUUCCGAACGAGGGAAAGUUUAAGUGGCCGUGUAGGGUAGUUUACCGGAGACGAGAGGGAAAACGGGCGGCGUGGCAACGAUUUUUAAAACACCAAAAGACGUCCGACGAUAGACAGAAUACGGUGCCACUAUGGUCGACCGUUCGGGUACCAGACNNNNNNNNNNNNNNNNNNNNNNNNNNNNNNNNNNNNNNNNNNNNNNNNNNNNNNNNNNNNNNNNNNNNNNNNNNNNNNNNNNNNNNNNNNNNNNNNNNNNNNNNNNNNNNNNNNNNNNNNNNNNNNNNNNNNNNNNNNNNNNNNNNNNNNNNNNNNNNNNNNNNNNNNNNNNNNNNNNNNNNNNNNNNNNNNNNNNNNNNNNNNNNNNNNNNNNNNNNNNNNNNNNNNNNNNNNNNNNNNNNNNNNNNNNNNNNNNNNNNNNNNNNNNNNNNNNNNNNNNNNNNNNNNNNNNNNNNNNNACCGGCAACUAACAACGGAUGCAAGUUUUGAAAACUGGCGGCAAUGGGAUGUCGAUGCAAUGUUGAUGAUGCGCAUGAUGCGACAAAACAAAAUAGACACACGACAAAAAUUAAAUAGAAGGGGGGAAUCUUUUGGAACGCCGGUCUCGGGCCGUCACUGUCGUCCCCUAUGCAUNNNNNNNNNNNNNNNNNNNNNNNNNNNNNNNNNNNNNNNNNNNNNNNNNNNNNNNNNNNNNNNNNNNNNNNNNNNNNNNNNNNNNNNNNNNNNNNNNNNNNNNNNNNNNNNNNNNNNNNNNNNNNNNNNNNNNNNNNNNNNNNNNNNNNNNNNNNNNNNNNNNNNNNNNNNNNNNNNNNNNNNNNNNNNNNNNNNNNNNNUCAAGGGGUACAAGAGUGAUCCAGGAAUGGAUCACUGGCCAGCAGUCAAAGUUAUCCUUAGUAACUAGUGGGCUAAGGAAUUUUUCUCAAUUAUGGAGGUGGUAAAAAGAGUACGCCGUAAAGGGUUACGACGAUGCAAGUUUUUUACUAAUUAGGAUUACUCUCAGUAGUAAACCGGAUUCGUAUAGUGGAGCAGUCAUUUGGAAUGGUUCCAAAUGACGCGUGGUAGCAACAUCUAUAGGAUAACAUGGAUAUUUGUAAAGUACACACGGAUCUGAAAGGUUCAGACCCGUUGACUAAAAACCUCUCUCACAAGCAAGAUAUGAUCAAACCCCAUGGGUGUUAAAUUCAUUACAAUCACAGAGCGAUGUGAACUAGAUUAUUGACUCUAGUGCAAGUGGGAGACUAUUGAAAAUAUGCCCUAGAGGCAAUAAUAAAUUGGUUAUUAUUAUAUUUCCUUGUUCAUGAUAAUUGUCUAUUGUUCACUCUAUAAUUGUAUUACCGGAAAUCGUAAUACAUGUGUGAAUACAUAGACCACACCAUGUCCCAAGUGAGCCUCUAGUUCACUAGCUCGUUGAUCAAUAGAUGGUCAUGGUUUCCUGACCAUGGACAUUGGAUGUCGUUGAUAACGGGAUCACAUCAUUAGGAGAAUGAUGUGAUGGACAAGACCCAAUCCUAAGCAUUGCACAAGAUCGUGUAGUUCGUUUGCUAGAGCUUUUCUAAUGUCAAGUAUUAUUUCCAUAGACCAUGAGAUUGUGCAACUCCCGGAUACCGUAGGAAUGCUUUGGGUGUAUCAAACAUCACAAUGAAACUGUGUGGCUCUAAAGGUGCACUACAGGUAUCUCCGAAAGUGUAUGUUGGGUUGGUAUGAAUCAAGACUCGCAUUUGUCACUCUGUGUGACAGAGAUGUAUCUCUGGGCCCACUCGGUAAUACAUCAUCAUAAUGAGCUCAAUGUGACUAAGGAGUUAGAUAAAAAAUCAAGUGUUACGGAACGAGUAAAGGGACUUGCCGGUUACAAGAUUGAACAAGGUAUAGGGAUAUAGAUGCUCGAAUCUCGGGCAAGUAAUAUACCAAUGGACAAAGGGAAUUGUAUAUGGGAUUAAGUGAAUCCUUGACAUAGUGGUUCAUCCGAUGAGAUUAUCAUAGAACAUGUGGGAGCCAAUAUGGGUAUCGAGAUCCUUCUAUUGGUUAUUGGCCGGAGAGGUGUCUUGGUCAUGUAUGCAUGGUUACCGAACCCGUAGGGUCUACACACUUAAGGUUCGGUUAUGCUAGAGUUGUAUUGGGAAAUUGUAUAUGCUUACCGAAAGUUCUUCGGAGUCCCGGAUGACAUCCCAAAUGUCGCGAGGAGUUCCGGAAUAGUCUGGAGGUGAAGAUUUAUAUAUGGGAAGUCCAGUUUCGUUCACCGGAAAGGUUUCGGGGGUCCACCGGGAGGGGUCACCUGUCCCAAAGGCCACAUGGGCCUAAAGUGGGAACCACGAGCUCCACCGCUACCACGCCAUCAUGCUGCCGGAGCUCUCCCUGAAACUUCUCCUCCACCUUGCUGGAUCAAGAAGGAGGAGACGUCACCGGGCUGUACGUGUGUUGAACGCGGAGGCACCGUUCGUUCAGUGCUUGGAUCGGAUCUUUCGCGAUUUGAAUCGCCGCGAGUACGACUCCAUCAACCGCGUUCAUAGUAACGCUUCCACUUAGUGAUUUUCAAUGGUAUGAAGAUGCUCUCCCUCUCUCUCGUUGCUAACAUCUUCUAGAUUGAUCUUGGUGACACAUAGGAAAACUUAGAAUUAUUACUAUGUUCCCUAACAGUUGCCGCCUCACGCUGUCGUCGUCGAGAACUAGCGCCGCCUCGCCCUAGCGUCCCCUUCGUUUGACAGGAGGUCGAGGAUGACAGCGCGAGCGCCUCGCCCAUUCGUGCCCUCGUGAGACUCCACCGCCCCCGGCCGGCCUGACAUCCAACGCGAAGCCCAAUCCAACGUCGCGCAGGCCUGCCCAUCUUCCCCAUGUAUGGGUCGAAGCCCAUGAGAUGAGCAACCCAGCCUUCGCCUAACCCUCGCCCAUGAGUGUUGUAUAACCAUUGUGUGCCUAGUUGUGUUAAUCCCAACAGUUAGUUUCGGCCUAUAUUUUUUCAGAUCCACGAAUUUAACCAAUUAUCGAGAGAAUUGCAAUUUUACAGAAUAGACCCUCAUGUUCAUGCAUUUAAUAACUUGAGAACUGUGCAUCGGAUUAAAACAAUUUAGAUAUGUAAAAUGUUAAGAAUUUAAUGUAGUUUCUAAAUAUCCCACUUUCAUGAAUGAUUAGAAUAUUGAACUUGUUGUUUUCAUUUAUUUUGCAUAAAUUCCAUGUUAAAAUGGUUUCUCUCAUAACUAGAUAACCAUAGCUCCAAUUUUAGUGAUCUACAUAUGUAAAUUGCCUAGAAAAAUGUGUAGGAUAAUAUGGUGAUAUUCGUUUUGCUGUUUAACGACUCAAAAAUUGUGUUAUAGGCAGAACAUUAGUGAAAUCUUAAUUGCCAUAUGGGACUUUCUGGAAUUGUUAUUCAUUGUUCCGAACUCAUUUAAACUUGCUUAGACUUUCUUGUAGUUCCAUAAUAUCUUGCUGCAUCCAUCAUUUAAAAUGCUUGUGCUUUUCAUUUGCAUACAUUUUGCAUUCAUGACAUAUUCGUCUUGUGUUCAUCAUAUCUUUUAGACCGUAGCUCCGUUUUAAAUGAUCUAUAUAUGUAAAUCGACUAGAAUGACGUGUAGAAUGACAUCGUGUAAUUUAUUUAGAUGUUUAAAAAAUAUUAAAUAUGAUUAGUUCAGAUAUGGAGAAAUUACGAAAUUAACAUAUCGGUCGUUUCCGAAAGGCUAUAAGUUGUUUCCGGCCUAAUUUAAAAUGCCUAGAUGAUGUAGUUAUUCAUGCUUCACCUCUUGCCAUGUUUAAGAACAUGAGAAAUUGUCGUAUACCUAAACGGGAGUGAUUUAAAUGAUUCAAAUGUGAAGUUUCAUCAAUAUGCAACUCAUUCAAUAUUAAACUUCACUUAUUGUGUAGUAUUUGAUUGUCUUCAUUGUCAUGCUUUGCAUAAUUAAACUGGACAUGCAUCAUAUGUGUUUGUGCAUCAUGCCAUGUAUGUGUUGUGGUGUUUUAUCGUGUGUUCAUUGUUUGUUUCCAGAUUGUUUCUUCUCAUUAUCGUUCUAAACCGCUUCGGUGUGUGAGGAUUCGUUUGACUACUUCAUGAAUUCGUUUUUGUUCCAAUUGGGAUCUGAGGCAAGAUGAUCAUUUCCCUAGAUACGAGUACUAUAAUUUCUAUGCUAGUUAUCUUGCUUCUAUCGCUAUGUCUCGCUGCCUACCACCUAUUAUGUCAAGCCUCCAAACAUUGCCAUGAAAAGCCUCUAACCCCCUCCACAUCCCAAGAAACCUUUGUUUGGCUAUGUUACCGCUUGUUCAGCCUUCUUAUAGUGUUGCUAGUUCCAAUUCCAGAUGCUUCCAUGUGACAACACGGAUAUUCUUUUGAAUGUCACCAUAUUAUUUCUAUUUAAUUUAAUGCACCUACAUACUUGGUAAAGGUUGGAAGGCUUAGCCUUCUAGCUAGGUGUUUUGUUCCACAUUUGUCGCCCUAGUUACUUGUGAACCGGUGUUAUGUUCCAUAUUGAGCGCUCCUAACAUGCUUGGGCUGUUAUGGGGACCCCUUGAUUUUUGUUUUGGGAUAAAAUCUCUUCUUGCAAGGCCUAACAUUGGUAAUACAUUUGCCUAAUAACUAAUAAAAUUGCAUAGGGACCUAUCGGCCCCCAUGAGUGUUGGCCCAAACUAGAGCCAUGUGCUUAUCUGUCGUGUCCUGAGAAUGAGAAAUGCGGCUCCUAUCGGGUCCCUCGCCACAUGGGGCGGUCUUUAUGGAUAAUUUUACAUUUAUCUAAUGUCUUGUGCGCGGGAUUCUGAGGAUACUUUGGGCUAUCUUGAGGUUGAGGUUUUCCGACGGGAUCUUGAGGAGACUACGGGUUUGUGGUUGAGGUUUUCCACGCAGCUUGUGGCUAGUUUGUGAUGGAUGAGUUGGAGCACCCCUGCAGGGUUAAAUCUUUUUGAGAAACGUGCCCGCGAUUAUGUGGCAACUUGGAAACUUUGUUUAACACCCGGUCAUAGAAACUUGAAGUAAACUCAAUUAAAAUAUGCAAAUUGUGUGCGUAACCGUGACUGACGCUUCUCGUGAGUUCUGAAUCUAAGAGAGGACAUGGUGGAGUUAUGUUUAUCUCGUAAGUAGGUGUUCAGGAUCACGUCGUGAUCAUUCUAGUUCAUGUCCGUUUAUGCGUAGAUCAUCUCCCCCUAUUAUGCGUGUACUCGUAAGUUAGUCACUCGGACAAAUGUUUAGUGUUUGUUGCGGCAUCACCACUUCACCAUGCCUCACCCAUUAAGCUUUGCUAGUCUUGCUACCGUCGGAAAUGAGAUUGUUGAGUCUGUGUGGAUCACACAUUACUACAACAACAACUGCAGGUACAGGUAAAGCAAUACUUUGACGUGAGCGCGAUGAUUGUUCUAUUUGGAGUUUCUUGUUGUUUUUCUCCAUCGAUCAUAGGAUGGGUUCCACACCAGCAGCCUGGGAUAACAAGGAUGGACAUCGUUUUAUUCAUUUGUUUUCGUCUGUAGUCAGACCUUGCUCUUCUGAAUGAUUAUUGAAUUUAUGUUUGUAUUGAGAUGAUCAUGAUUAGCUUCUUGCGAGUGUAAGCCAAUUCCAUAUACUCAUUUCUUCUUUACAUGUAGCUGUAACGAUAUCCAUUCCUGCGAAACUACGAGAUGCGCUUCUAUACAUGUUAGGCCCUCGUGCCAAAAUAAGGAAGAAUCACAUCUUUGGCGUUACAAAGGGGGGCCCAUGGAGGGGGAGGAAGAACAUGAAAAAUCUAUAGAGGUUUGUGUUGUUGGACCACCUUUAUGAGAAGCAUCUCAUUUAUAGGGAUCAAUACGAGCUAAGUCUCUUAACUCCUCACUGUUUGCACAAUAUUUAAUUUCUUUAGUGCCAACUGCACAAUCCUUAAGAUUAAGAUCCUCCUUCUCAAUUAUUACCUGAUGGAGCUUGAGAUUAUCAGAGGAGUAAGAAAUUGGGAGGAAUUCACAGAGCAGUUCAACCACAUUUGCAAAGUAAACAUCACCUUGUGGCAUCGGUAUGAAGGUGGUGAUUCCAAGAUCCUCAUGAUGCUCAUGAAUGUGGGAGCUAAAAACCCUAACUUGCGUUGGUUGAUCUUUAAUCUAAAGAGUCUGAUGACCUCUCUGCAAGAAUGGCGUGGGAUCAAAGGGGAAUGUCUCCAUCUCCUCACUGGUCUUUGCUGGCGAUGGCACAGAGGGGCAAGCAAAGGAAGGGUGAGCUGCGGGACGAACAGUGCUAGGUGGUAAAGCCGAAGAGGCAACUCCCCGAGUAGCCUUAUUUUUUCCCCAACACCUAUCGAUUUCUCUGGGCCCUUGACCGUGGUGACUUGAUUGCUUACCAACGUAGUCUUGGCAAUCAAAUCAGGUGAAGAUUUGGCAAUAGGAUCAAUUCCCGUGCUAAUUUACUGCUUAAUAAACUUCUUGACAGUCCCACUAACUUGCGAAUUACAAUAAUUGGCCUCAAUGUGGCCCAUCUUCUCCAAGGUGGAAAAUGGAUUCUGUUUUCACAUUGUGGCUUGAAUUAGCCCACAUCCAAGCAUGUCACACAGAAAGGCUUAUGAGGCAGAAUAUUGGGCUUAGGUCCCAUCAUUUUAAAAGUUGAAGAUCCCACCUGCUUUGAAAGAUUAGACGGUCCAUAAUUUCCCUCAUAAAUCAGGAAUUCAAACCUCUUGAAUAUCGAGAUUUUCUCUUUGUUUGAAUUUGAAACUUUUGAAUUAGUGUGAACAAAGAAUCAUGGGUAUUUAACCACAUCAGUAAAAGAUCUACUAGAUUUUUUGGAUCUUGAAACCAUGGUCCAAUCAUCUUCUUGCUCUUCAUAGUAAUCUGCAAACUCUUUUGCAGCAUUAGGACCUCAAUUGCCCCAUGGAAAGAAAUGCAGAUUUGUAAGUGCAUCUAGUGCCCCUUAGUGAUUUUGGUGGAUUGAAGACUUAUAGGUUAAGAGUUUGAUGUGUUUGUGAGUGUACACGGGCUCUAUAAGUCGCUGAGGAGUUUGAGCUAUUCGAUGAAUAUCGACCCCUAAAAAUGUAUGUCUUCAGGUGAAUACUUUGGUCAUUCCUUGAAGACUUUGAUCGUGAAGAAAUUGCAAAGAAAUUGAUAUUCCUCAUGAGUACAUUGAAGAUGAGGAAUUUGGUGUGUCCCAAAGAAAAUACUCUGAAGACUUUGAAGCUUAAAGAUUUAGUCUUUCUAUUUCAUUUUCUUCAUUCUUGAGGCAUAAGAACACCGUACUGUUAAAGGGGGUCGUGGUAAAACUAAGGAAAGAAUUUCCUCAUGAUACUCAACUCAAACCUACACCUACCAGAUCCUCAAAGUGAGGAACAUGAGAGACAUGAUGUAACAACUAAGAUGCGGCCCUUUCCUUAUUUGGGGGCGAUGCCUCAAAAGGGGAAAGGGUCGCAUCUAUGUGUUUUGCAAAUGGGAAAAUCAUCACAAUACAUAAUUAAAAGAGUAAAAAGUAGGGCAUACACUUGCAAUCUGUUAAGAUUAUAGCAUAUAGCUUACAGACACACUUUAUUCAGAGUAGCAGCAGGUCCAGCUACGGACUUAAACACAAAACAGAUGAUCUAACGCAUCCCGUAUGCUAGCCCACGAUCACGACCACGGCCUCAGUCUUCCGGAUAGUUCACAUACAUAUGGCCAGAGUCCUCAUCGAACUCCCACUUCAGCUGGUUGUCAUCAGGAUCUCCCGCGUCGAGCGUAUCUGUUCCUGUUGGGGUUUGUAGGAAUCUGUGAGCCACGGGGACUCAGCAAUCUAAUGACCUUGGUACUGAAUCUAGCCAAGUUAUUAGGUGAGGAAGGUUUAGUGUAUGGGUUUGCAGCAACCUAAGCAUAUAUGGUGGCUACCUUAUGUUGAUCAGAGUAUCAUAUGGUGGUCUACGCAAGCGAUCGAAGACUAGGUGACCACUAAGUGAUCCUGAACACCUACUUACGUCAAACAUAACCCCACCAUGUUCUCGAUCGGAGAACGAUCUCCGAAAGAGACGGUCACGGUUACGCACACAGUUGGCAGUUUUAUUAGAGUUACUUCAAGUUGUCCAGAACCAGAUGUUAACAAAAUAUCCACAUUUGCCACAUAACCACGGGCACGACUUUCCAAAAGAUUAAACCCUGCAGGGGUGCUCCAACUAGUUCAUCACAAACUGCCACGGGCCGCAAAGUAAUCCUCUAUCAUGAAACUCGUGAUCUCGUCGGAUUCCUUAGAGGAAAACCUCAACUUUGAGGAGACCCAGAAUCAAAUAAAACCUUGACAAUAAUAUCAUUAACUGAGUGAUUACCCAUAAUCACAUCUAAGGAGUUCUCUACUUCAGCUGCAUUCACCAUAUUGACUGUCGCAGACCUCGGGUUGAACUUCACUAUAGCAUUGCUUGGAGGCUUCCCUGGAGGAGGGGGCAGAAGACGCAGCUGAGAGGUGCACUUGUUGGCAUAGUGACCCUUCUGCCCACACUUGUGACAAGUAACCUCUGCCGGCUGAUGGAACUGCACCUGAGGAUUCCCUUGCUUCUACUGCUGAAACCUCUGCUGGAAAGCUGGGUUGGGUGGGUGGGAAGAACCACGACCACCAGACUACUUGAACUGCUGAUUCUGCCGAGGAGGAGGAGAAGACACCAAGUAUUUCUGCUGCUUCUGUACCACCUGAGUUGAGGGCGACGAACUGGACUCUCUAAAACGCUUUCUCGAAUUCUCCACCCUGAGCAAAGCUGCCUCAGCCCUGAGAGCCAAGUUAGAGAACUUAUCAAACUCAUCGGGGUCGUGCAAGGCAAGGGCCAGCUGCAAGUCCUCUCUCAGACCACCUCUGAACUAAUAGAUCUUGCUCUUCUGAUCUGGAUUGUCGUGUAAGGCAUAUCGAGCCAGCUCAUGGAACUCGACAAUGUACUUGUACACAGAGGAACCACCUUGCUUCAAGCGUCUGAACUUCUCACGCAUCUCUUCCAAAAAGCUAGACGGGAUAUAGUGAGAUCUGAAAUUUCUGCAGAACUCAUCCCAACUGAUCAUUCUGCCACCCCUGGAGUCGUUCAACUACUGCCACCAAACUGUUGCGUGUCCAUUGAGCUAAAACGUUGCAAACUUGACGAAGUCCUCUACACACGCACUUCCUAGGACAAGAACAACAUAUCUAGGCCUAGCAUGGAUCUAUUAACAUGGUCACACAAACAUAUGGAAAUGUGGUUAUCCACACACACACACACAUGUGCAUCUCACAUACACACCACCUACACCUACACAUGCACACACACAAUAACCAUACACACAACACCACCAACAUAGUGGAAAACAUGAGGGGUUAGGCCCUCAUGCACAAGUGCAUAUGCACCCAUGCACACACACACAUACAUGUGCUCACACACACACUCAAGUGCAUACACUCAUGAAUAGGUGCAACAUGAGGGGCUAGGCCCUCUUGCACAUGUGCAGGUGCACACUCAUGCACACACACUCACUCACAUGUGCACACACAUACACUCAUGUGCACACACACACACUCAUGUGCACAUACACACCACUAGGCCUCAAAACAACAACACAACAUCAACACACCAACUAGUUUUAAAAAGAAACAACUCCAAACAGUGAAAGAAAGAAAUGCAGCAAAAAAAUCAAAAGGGGGGUGGUUGUGGUUCGAACCCACAACCUCCUGUUGCCACCACAUGCACAACACCACUCUGCUACUACUUCGGCGCUUGAUAGAGAGGGGAAACCGACAGGCUAAGCUUCUCUGUGCUGCUCUCCUACUAGCGAAAAACAGGAAAACAAAAAGGGGCCUGCGGGGGAUCGAACCCAUGAUGCGCUGCGCGUGCCCAGGCUCGGUUGCCACUGUGCUACGUGGGAGAAACUUAACAGAGAGGGGGAGCAUGCUCUUUUGAGCAGCCCCUCUGCACUAUUCUACCACGCCGGCGGCCAAAACAGGGGAGGACGACGGCGACUACCCGGCGACCUACUAAAGACGGCAAGCUACAGCGCGGGACGCGGGAGCCUUGGGGGCUCCAUUCUCGUGCCAAACGCAACCGGAGGAGGCCCACGGCGGCGUCGCAAUGGUGCACCUAACUACGGCGACGACGGCAAUAGAAGAAGACUACGGUGACGGCUACGUGCAUCCGGAGACUCUACGCGAUGGGAAGAGGAAGGAGGGGGAGGAGGUGCUCGCCCUGGUGUGCUCGGAGAAGGGCUCGCUACCGAGAAGAGCAAGAAGGGGAGGACGUGUGCGACGACCCGAAGCUCCGCUCCGGCGAUGUCGUCGUGGAGGAGGCGCCAGGGAGGGGGAGCAUCCCCGCUAGCGUCGGAAAUGGAACGGGGGGAGAACCCCCAUCCUCGCGGACGCGUCGGACGCCGCAGGGGAGGCUGUGGGUUACGAGGAGGACGCGGGAUCGACGGCGGCGCUCAUUGAACUUCUCUGAAUCUCACUGGAGCUUACCUGCACAGGGAGAGGGAGAGAGAUGGGAACGAGGUGGCGGCGGAGAGAGGAACCCUAGAUGAGGCCCACACGUCGAGGGAAUAAAUAGCCGAAGGGGGGAUGGUCUCGACGUCCAUGAAGCCAUGGCGUCGGGAGCUCUCUCUCUCACAUGGCGACGCUUUCUCUGACGGAAAGGAGGGGAAAACGCAACGGCGUCAGGAGAAAGAAGAGGGACACCGAGCGGGCCAAGCACUAGCAAAGAAGGAAAGAAAAGGGACGAGGCCCGGUGGGAGAGGAGGGAGCUAGCCCACCUAGUCUUCUCUCUAGAGCCGGCUAAGCCAAAUAAGAAAGGGGUUUUUUCUUUUAAAAUAAACAUUACAGCAAAUCAAAAUACCCUGAGCAACACAUGGUUUUCAAAAUAAAAAUAAUAAUGCCUCAGGCAUGAGGAAAUUAUGCCCUAUUUAAAUAAAAUACAAAUCUGAUUUUUGGAACAAGUAAAUUAUAUUCAAAACAGGAUUUAUAAUGCUGUUUUGUUAAUAAAAACCCCAUAUGACUUAAGCUUAAAAACCAUAAGACAAUACCCCCUCAAUCACAAGUUAAUACUCUGAAUGUUUUACAUUUUUAAAACAGGUUCUAGCAAGGUUUGACACACAAGUUUAGAAAUAUCAAAAGGGGAUUUGCCUUGUUUGAAAAGCAUAGUUUGAGAAGCAUUGUUUUAAACCAAUGGUUUGAAAGCACCACAACAUCACAUUUCUACAACCAAGCUAUCAAACAAGAUGGAAUAACUAGCAACACCAGAGUGAAAGCAAAACAAAUGAAAUGGAUGAUGGCAUGAUGCAAAGAUGAUAACAUGAAAUGAUCCACAUGAAAUGAUGACUUUAUAACAUUCAAAACAUGGUUUCACAAAAGGAAAGGAUCCCAAAAUGGCAAGGAUUACAUCUGGGGCAUUACAAACUCUCCCACACUACAAGGAGAUAUCGACCCGGGAUCUAGGACUGAAAGAACUCUGGAAGUUCAAAACGGAAGUGAUCCUCGCGUGCCCAAGUGGCCUCUUUAUCGGAAUGAUGUGACCAUUGUACCUUGAGAAACUUGAUUGACUUAUUGCGGGUCUUGCACUCAGUCGUCUCUAGAACUGCAAUUGGAUGCUCACGGUAGGAUAGGUCGGGUUGAAGGUCGAUAUCCUAAAGAUCAACUAUGCGCUCGGGAGUCUUGAAUCAUCUCCGAAGGUGAGAGACAUGGAACACGUCAUGCACAUUUGCGAAGUUUGAAGGGUGCUCUAAAUGAUAUGCAAGGUCGCCUCUCUUGCCAACAAUUCUGAAAGGACGAACUAAUCGAGGAGCAAGUUUCCCUUUGAUGCCGAAGCGCUGAGUGCCCUUCAUAGGAUACACUUUAAGAUAGACGAAGUCAUCGAGCUCAUAAGACAUGUCACGAUGCUUGCUAUCGUAGUAGCUCUUCUGACGGGACUGCGCUGCUUUGAGAUUAUCCCAAAUGACACGACACAUCUCUUCUGCUUCAGCAAUCAUGUCAUUCCCAAGAAUCUGACGCUCACCAGUUUCUGACCAGUUGAGCGGGGUACGACACUUCCUGCCAUAAAGAAUCUCGAACGGAGCUUUUCCUGUACUUGCCUGAUAGCUGUUGUUAUAUGAAAACUCAGCAAAAGGUAGGCAGUCUUCCCAGUUCAUGCCAAAGGAAAUGACACAGGCUCUUAGCAUAUCCUCGAGGACAUGAUUGACUCUCUCAACUUGCCCACUAGUCUGAGGAUGGAAGGUUGUACUGAAUCGAAUCUUAGUACCCAUCGCAGACUGAAAUGAAUGCCAGAACUUGGGAGUAAAUAUGCUUCCUCGAUCCAAAGAAAUCAGCAUUGGAACACCAUGCAAUGAGACUACCCUUGACGUAUACAGCUCCGCAAGCUGAGCUGCCGAGAUAGACUCCUUGACUGGAAGGAAAUGAGCGACUUUGCUCAACUUGUCGAUAACGACGAAGAUGGCAUCGUUACCCUUCUUGGAGUUUGGAAACCCGGUGACGAAAUCCAUCUCAAUAUGUUCGAACUUCCACUCGGGAAUGGGCAAUGGAUGCAAAAGACCUGCUGGACGUUGAUGCUCUGCUUUCACCCUUAGACAUACAUCACAUUCAUUUACGAACUGAGCAAUCUCAUGCUUCAUGUGAGUCCACCAGAAGGUCUGUUUCAAAUCCUGAUACAUCUUGGAACUUCUUGGAUGUAUCGAGAGAAGAGAAUUAUGAGCUUCUUCCAUGAUAACCUUUCUAAGAUCCCCUUUCGGAACGACAAGACAAUCCUCAAAGAAUAAUGUAUCUCUGGUAUCAACACUGAAGCACUUAUAUUUGGGAACUCCCUUUGCCAAGCCAAUCUUAACUUUCUUCACCAUUGCAUCAAGAAAUUGAGCUUGUCGGACUUGGUCUUCCAAGGUAGGAGAAAUCUGAAGAUUAGCAAGAAAUCCCCGAGGUACUAACUGAAGGUUGAGCUUUCUGAAAGAUUCACGAAGGUCAGGCUGGAGAGGCUUCAGAAUGAGACUGUUGUAGUAAGCCUUCCUGCUCAAAGCAUCUGCCAUGGCAUUAGCUUUUGCCUGGAGUGUACUCAACACUCGGAUUAAAAUCUUGGAGCAUUUCCAUCCAAGGAGUUUGCCGAAGAUUAAGGUUAGGCUGGGUGAAGAUGUACUUGAGACUCUUGUGAUCGGUGAACACUUCAACCUUUCUCUCCAACAAGAGGUGUUUCCAAGUCAUCAGAGUAUGUACCACUGCCGCCAACUCAAGAUCAUGAGUGGGGUAAUUCUUCCCCCUUGGCUUCAACUGCGUGAAAGUAUAAGCUACCACUUUCUUGUCUUGCAUCAACACUGCACCAAGUCCUUGACGCGAGGCAUCGCAGAACACUUGAUAAGGUUUGGAGUCAUCAGGAGGAACCAAGACUAGAGUAGAAGUGAGCUUCUCUUUGAGUGUGUCGAAGCCCAACUAACACUGUGGAGACCAGACAUACUUCACACCCUUCUGAAGAAGACUUGAGAGAUGCUAAGCAAUCUUGGAGAAAUUCUCAACGAAUCUUCUGCAAUAGCUUGCAAGCCCAAGAAACCUUCGAAGUUGCUUCACAUUUUGCGGAGGUUCCCACUCAACAAUGGCCUGCACCUUCGACGGAUCAACUUUGAUGCCCUCGGCAGAGAUGAUGUGCCCAAGGUAGACAACUUAUUUCAACCAGAACACACAUUUGGAAAACUUAGCAUAGAACUUAUGCUCUCUUAGCUUAUCAAGCACAAGUCUGAGAUGUUCUUCAUGAUCUUCCUCAGUUUCCGAAAAGACCAGAAUAUCAUCAAGAUACAACAAGGCGAAUUCAUUCUUGAAUGGGGAGAAGAUAUAAUUCAUCAUCCGACAGAAGGUCGGUGGAGCAUUAGCCAGACCGAAAGACAUCACCGUGUACUCAUACGAGCCAAAGCUUGUUCUGAAUGCAGUCUUUGGAAUGUCCUCUUCGCGAAUGCGAAUCUGAUGAUAACCCAUCCUGAGAUUAAGCUUCGAGAAGAUCUUAGACCCUUUCAAUUGCUCAAACAACUCAUUAAUGUUAGGAAGUGGAUACUUGUCUUUGAUCGUCUUCUUAUUCAAUGGACGGUAAUCGACAUAGAGUCGUUCCGUACCAUCCUUCUUCUUGACAAAAAGAACUCCACAGCCCCAAGGAGAUGAGCUUGAUCUGAUCAAACCCAGACGCUCUUGCUCAUCAAGUUGUUUCUUCAGCUCCUUCAUCUCUUCUGGACCCAGUUUGUACGGCCAUUUACACACAGGCUCAGUACCCGGUUCAAGCUCAAUUACGAACUCAACUGCUCGGUGCGGAGGCAUUUCUGGCAGUUCUUCCGGAAAAACAUCUUCAUACUCGCAGAGCACUGGGACUUACGAAAUUGGAGAGAUCUCACCCUUCUCUUUCAAGGAAAACAGACGGACCGUGUCAUCACGCGCUACGAAGAUAAUCACGUCCUUCGAACAAUGGGUUAGCUUCACUUCUUUAGCUUCACAAUCAAUAUCAGAGUUGCCAAGGACAAUAGGAGAAGCCAAAAAGGCAUAAUCACCCAUCUUGAUAGAGACAUCCGAAAAUACCACAUUAGAACUCAUCAACAUACCCGGGGAAACCACACGGAAAGGUUUGUCCAAAGUCUUAGAAAAUAAAUCGUGCUUCCAUGCAAAUGGUCUAGACAUGAAUGAAUGAGAAGCACCAGAAUCAAAUAAAACCUUUACAGGAAUAUCAUUAACUGAGAGAUUACCCAUAAUCACAUCUGAGGAGUUCUCUCCUUCAGUUGCAUUCACCAUAUUGACUGUCGCAGACCUGGGGUUGAACUUCACUAUAACAUUGCUUGGAGGCUUCCCCAGAGGAGGGUGCGGAAGACGGAGCUAAGAGGUGCACUUGUUGGCAUAGUGACCCUUCUGCCCACACUUGUGACAAGUAACCUCUGCCGGCUGACGGAACUGCACCUGAGAAUUCCCUUGCUUCUGCUGCUGAAACAUCUGCUUGAAAGCUGGGUUGGGUGGGUGGGAAGAACCACGACCACCAGACUACUUGAAUUGUUGAAUCUGCCGAGGAGGAGGAGAGGACAUCCAGUAUUUCUGCUGCUUCUGGACCACUGAUUUGAGGGCGACGAACUGGACUCUCUAAAACGCUUCCUCGAAUUCUCCACCCUGAGCUAAGCUGCCUCAGCCCUGAGAGCCAAGUUAUAGAAAUUAUUGAACUCAUCGGGAUCGUGUAAGGGAAGGGCCAGCUGCAAGUCCGCUCUCAGACCACCUCUGAACAGAUAGAUCUUGCUCUUCUGAUCUGUAAUGUCCUGCAAGGCAUAUCGAGCCAGCUCAUGGAACUCGACGUUGUACUUGUACACAGAGGAACCACCUUGCUUCAAGCGUCUGAACUUCUCACGCAUCUCUUCCACAAAGCUGGACGAGAUAUAGUGAGACCUGAAAUCUCUGCAGAACUCAUCCCAACUGAUCAUUCUGCCACCCCUGGAGUCCUUCAACUGCUGCCACCAAACUGCUGCCUGCCCCUUGAGCUGAAAUGUUGCAAACUUGACGAAGUCCUCUAGACGGACAUUGCUGCACUCAAAGUGUUUGAUCAUGUCCCGAAUCCAGUCCUCAGCGUCGAACGGCUGGUCGCAAGACGUGAAAGACUUCGGCUGCUUCGCCAGGAAUUGAUUCAGAGAUGCAAACUGAUUACCACCAUGGUAGAAAUUGCCCUGCUGCUGAUUGGUCCUCUCUUGCAACAGCUGGAUUAACAUCUGGGUGUUAGCAUUUAUUGAAGUCAUCACCGCUUGCCAAGCCUGUGCAGGAGGAGGCGGCGGUGGAGGAGGAGGCGGAGGAGGUGGUGGCGGAGCAUCAGCACCCUUGCGACCCGGAUUCUGGCGAGUUGGUGGAGCCAUCCUGAAGACGAAAAACACAUUAGACCAGAGAAUAACAUUCAAGGUAAAGCUGAAUCAAAAGGCAGGAAUUUCUGAACAAGAAUAUUUAGCAAUUGCACUCGAACAAAAUAGUAAGAAUGCUUCCUCAAAGUGACUCUCGACAAAAUCUGAUUAAAAACCACUUGCAAACCAAGUAUGAGCUAGAACUACUCGGAACAAACGUAUGAUAGAGAUUCCAUCCGAUAUCUUCGUGGAUAUGAUCGCACGAGCUUGAAUUUAUAGUAGACAUCCUGUGCAAGGCAGUGCACACGACUUACGAAGCAUCCCCGAGUCGUAGCAAGCUACAAGGACUCUUUAAGACACAACGAGAACCACUGUAGACGAGUGUGAACAAACGUACCCACUGAAUGUCGAAUCCCAACCUCACAUCAUGCAUAUGUGGAAGAUUGUCCUAUAAGUCACUACUUGAUAUCCCACCCAUGAAUUCUCGAAAUAUCUGGUCAUGCAAUCUGGUACACGGAUACAAGGAGUAAUAUGUCACACAACUCGUAUACUAACCUGUCGAGUGUAUCACAUCCGUCAACACAUAACCAGAAUCUCGGAGCUUCAUCUACUACAGACCCUCGUAAUCACGACGAUACAAAGUGUGGCGAUACAUCCGGAACUCUCUGCACCAGUACUGGGGAAGUCGGACUCCUCUCGUCACAACUAGUAUUGAAGCAAUUACGAACAUCCUCCGUCCUGAGAUACUAAGAAAUCUGAAUGACGGUGAUGUGCACAAGAAUCCCCUGGAGGUCAACUCCCCGGAAGAAAUCAAGUGAGACAGGAGGCACCAAGAUAGAACUCCGUCACAUCGAUAUAAAAAGAUUUCAAAAUACCCGGGUGAUCCUGGAAAAAAGAUUGAGCGAGACGAGGAGUAGAAUUAAGAUUUCCUACGUCGAGAACCUCGCUAGAGCAUAGAAAGCGAGAAAAAAGAAACCUAUUAUCUGAUAUAACUAAAACUCAAAACAUUUUACUAGACUCGACUCGACCAAGUUCGAUCACACAAAGGCUCCUAUGGUCGUAAGGCUCUGAUUACCAACUUGUAACGACUAAGAUGCGAACCUUUCCUUAUUUGGGGGCGAGGCCUCAAAAGGGGAAAGGGUCGCAUCUAUGCGUUUCGCAAAUGGGAUAAUUAUCACAAUACAUAAUUAAAAGUGUAACAAGUAGGGCAUACACUUGCCAUCUGUUAAGAAUAUAGCAUAUAGCUUACAGACACAUUUUAUUCAAAGUAGCAACAGGUCCAGCUACGGACUUAAACAGAAAACAGAUGAUCUAACACAUCCCGUAUGCUAGCCCACGAUCAUGACCACGGCCUUAGUCUUCCGGAUAGUUCACAUACAGACGGCCAGAGUCCUCAUCGAACUCCCACUUCAGCUGGUUGUCAUGAGGGUCUCCCGCGUCGAGCGUACCUGUUCCUGUUGGCGUUUGUAGGAAUCUGUGAGCCACGGGGACUCAGCAAUCUAAUGACCUUGGUACUGAAUCUAGCCAAGUUAUUAGGUGAGCAAGCUUUAGUGUAUGGGUUUGCAGCAACCUAAGCAUAUAUGGUGGCUACCUUAUGUUGAUCAGAGUAUCAUAUGGUGGUCUAUGCAAGCGAUCGAAGACUAGGUGAGCACUAAGUGAUCCUGAACACCUACUUACGUCAAACAUAACCCCACAGUGUUCUCGAUCGGAGAAUGAUCUCCGAAGGAGACGGUCACGGUUACGCACACAGUUGGCAGUUUUAUUAGAGUUACUUCAAGUUGUCUAGAACCAGAUGUUAACAAAAUAUCCGCAUUUGCCACAUAACCGUGGGCACGUCUUUCUAAAAGAUUAUACCCUGCAGGGGUGCUCCAACUAGUCCAUCACAAACUGCCACAGGCCGCAAAGUAAUCCUCUAUCACGAAACUCGUGAUCUCGUCGGAUUCCUUAGAGGAAAACCUCAACUUUGAGGAGACCCAAAGUUUCAUCGGAAUCCCUAUACGCAAGAUAUAUCGGUAAGGUAAAACAAAUCUAGUAGGACCUCCCGACGUGUUGACAACCCAGAUAAGAGCCGCGUAUCUCAGUCUGAGGACACGACGGAUAAGCUGCACGCACGAUGCCUGAUAGAAAUCACUCAAGUUGCCCUGAGUUGGCCCCGCGCAGUGCUCUAAUUUGGACCAACACUGAUGAGGAGCACUGACCCGGGUUGUUGAUUAAUUCCUCGGGGUAGCUAUUCCCUAUGCAAAUUAUUAUUAGGUGAUUAGCAGAUUGAAACCAAUGUUGGGUCCUGCCGGACAAGCCUUAACACUAUACGAUUUAUCAAGGGGGUACCCAUAACAAUCCCGAACGUGUUAGGAGCGAUCAGUUUUGGAAUCAAACAUCGGUAACCGAAACUAAGGCGGCAACAACGGAACAAAUCACCCGGCAAAAGGCUAGGCCUUCUGUUAUUAACCAAGUAUAUAGGUGCAUUAAUUAAAUAGAAGUUUAAACAUAAUGAUAUCACAAUACUCAUGUUAUCACAUGAGACAGCUGGCACCUACAACUAGCAAAGCUACUCAUUAGUGGUUGAGCAAGCCUACUUAGCAAAACAACAUUUGCUAGGAGAGGGAAGUGUUUGGGGGUCAUGGCAAAGACAAGUGGCAUUUAUAUCAAGUGGGAGGCAGCGAGCAUAACGAAGGGACCAUGAUUCUAAGCAUAACAAAGCUAGAUACGGUGUCAAGGUCACGGUCAUCUUGCCUGAGAUGUCUUCAGCUUGGAACUGCUCUUGAUCUCCCUGCACGUACUCUCCAAAAUCCAUGUACUCGCUAUCCGUUCCCGAUGCUACCCAAGAUAAGAUAACAGCCAAUGAACACCAGCAAAACAUAAUGCAACAAUCAAUAUGAUGCAUGUGUGAAGAAGGAAACAUGCAUCACUAUUGUAGUCACUUUCAUAUGCAUUAGUUGAGUUAAUUGAAUUCUGGACAAAACCUAAUUUUAAGUUAUCUUGACAUGCAUGAAGAUCACAAGAAAAUGAUGCAAAAACAUAUAAAGAAAGUAGAGAACGGAGUCACGGGUCAACAGGAAACUACGAAACAAGUUAUGGAGACCUACGGUUCAAAUCAGCCACAAACAAACUCCAAUGGCACUCCCCUGGUGUUACUAGGUUGCCACAUGAUCAAGCAACAAAAUAUAAUUGGGGUGGUGCAUGGGAACACAACACACCAUCAACAAUGCCCACACAAGCUUCAAAUCAACACAAACAUGCAAUAUGUUUUCAACAGCAACAUAGAAGUUUGUCUUCAAUAUUUAAAGUAGCUACAACCAGCUAAUGCAAAGGAGUCACCCAUGAGAAGAUCUAUAGACCCUAACUUAGACAAAAUAUCACAGAUUCUGGGACUUAGUGAAAAUCACAGAUUUUCACGAGCUGCUUAUGCUCUGAAGCAUUUUGGCAGCCUCCAAAAUGAUAUCUACAGGAAGUGCAUAAGCAUGAAAUUUAACAGGGAGCUAAACAAACAUAAAAGCUCACAAACUUUAGUUAGUUGCAUGGGCUCAUUCCCAACACAGGAGCUAAUUCACAAAAGACAACAGGGGAAGAAAAUAACAUCAGAUUCUCAGACUUUGUGGAAAUCACAAGGUUUCACAAAUCUGUCAGAUUCAGCCAAGUGUCAACUUUGACAGGGCACAUUAGGUGCAUAAAAAUUCCUAAGAAUAAAACAAAGACCCCAUGAUGUAGAGGGGUUCACUCACUACCACUCCAUCAAGGAAUCAUCCUCAAAGGGUUAAGGCACCACCUAAUACAAAGCACUAAGCAUGGCACCAUGACAGAAAAUAACAGUUUUAUGAAGUUGUUGUAAAGUGAAAUCUGAUUGCACCAAUGGAUUCUUGGGAUGAUUCUACCCCAAAAUCAUAUAUAAUACAUGGGUACUUGCAUGUAAUAUCAAGGCACAAAGCUAGCUUGAAAAUGACACAUAGAAUCCUAUUACUACAAAUGACUAUCCUCACAUGUAAAACUAGCACAUAUUUCAUCAUCUACACAUGCACUUCCUAGGACAAGAACAACAUAUCUAUUCCUAGCAUGGAUCCAUUAACAUGGGCACACAAACAUAUGGAGAUGUGGUUAUCCACACACACACACACACACAUGUGCAUCUCACACCACCUACACCUACACAUGCACACACACAAGCACUAUACACAUAGCACCACCAACAUAGUGGCAAACAUGAGGGGUUAGGCCCUCAUGCACAAGUGCAUAUGCACCCAUGCACACACACUCACAUACAUGAGCACACACACACACAUACAUGUGCUCACAAACACACUCAAGUUUAUACACUCAUGAAUAGGUGCAACAUGAGGGGCUAGGCCCUCUUGCACAUGUGCACGUGCACACUCAUGCACACACACUCACUCACAUGUGCACAUACACUCAUGUGCACAAACACACACUCAUGUGCACAUAGACACCACUAGGCCUCAAAACAACAACACAACAUCAACACACCAACUAGUUUUAAAAAGAAACAACUCCAAAUAGUGAAAGAAAGAAAUGCAGCAAAAAAAUAAAAAGGGGGUGGUUGUGGUCCGAACCCACAACCUCCUGUUGCCACCACAUGCACAUCACCACUCUGCUACUGCUUCGGCGCUUGACAGAGAGGGGGAAAUUGACAGGCUAAGCUUCUCUGCACUACUCUGCUACUAGCGAAAAACAUGAAAAAAGGGCAUGCAGGGGAUCGAACCCACGACGCGUUGCCCGUGCCCAGGCUCGGUUGCCACUGCGCUACAAGGGAGAAACUUAAUAGAGAUGGGGAGCAUCCUCUUUUGAGCAGCCCCUCUGCACUAUUCUACCACGCCGGCGGCCGAAACAGGGGAGGACGGCGACGACUACCCAGCGAUCUACUAGAGACGGCAAACUACCAUGUGGGACGCGGGAGCCUUGGGGACUCCAUUCUUGUGCCAAACGCAACCGGAGGAGGCCCACGACGGCGUCGCAACGGUGCACCUAACUACGGCGACGACGGCGACAGUAGAGGACUACGACGAUGGCUACGCGCAUCCGGAGACUCUACGCGAUGGGAAGAGGAAGGAGGGGGAGGAGCUGCUCACCCUGGUGUGCUCGGAGAAGGGCUCGCUACUGAGAAGAGGAAGAUGGGGAGGACGCCUGCGACGACCCGAAGCUCCUCUCCGGCGAUGUUGUCGUGGAGGAGGAGCCAGGGAGGGGGAGCAGCCCCGCUAGCAUCAGAAAUGGAACGGGGGGAGAACCCCCAUACUCGUGGAUGCCUUGGACACCACGGGGGAGGCUGCCAGCGACGAGAGGAUGCGGGAUCGACGGCGACGCUCACUGAACUUCUCUGAAUCUCAUUGGAGCAUACCUGCAGAGGGAGAGGGAGAGAGAUGGGAACGAGGUGGCGGCGGAGAGAGGAACCCUAGAUGAGGCCCGCAUGUCGAGGGAAUAAAUAGGCGAUGGGGGGAUGGCCUCGACGUCCGUGAAGCCACGGCAUCGGGAGCUCUCUCUCACACGGCGACGCUCUCUCUGACGUAAAGGAGGGGAAAACGCAACGGCGUCAGGAGAAAGAAGAGGGACGCAGAGCGGGCCAAGCGCUAGCGAAGAAGGAAAAAAAGGGACGAUGCCCACGGGGAGAGGAGGGAGCCAGCCCACCUGGGCUUCUCUCUGGAGCCGGCUAAGACAAAUAUUAAAGGUUUUUUUAAAUAAACGUUAGAGCAAAUCAAAAUACCCAGACGAACACAGGGUUUUGAAAAUAAAACUAAUAACACCUAGGGCAUGAGGGAAUUAUGCCCUUUUUAAAUAAAAUACAAAGCUGAUUUUUAGAACAAGUAAAUUAUAUUCAAAACGGGAUUUAUAAUGUUGUUUUGUUAAUUAAAACGCCAUAUGACUUAAGCUUAAAAACCACAAGACGAUACCCCCUCAAUCACAAGUUAAUACUCUGAAUGCUUAACAUUUUUAAAACAGGUUCUAGCAAGGUUUGACACACAAGUUUAGAAAUAUCAAAAGGGGCUUUGCCUUGUUUGAAAAGCAUAGUUUGAGAAGCAUUGUUUUAAACCAAUGGUUUGAAAACACCAGAACAUCACAUGUCUACAAGCAAGCUAUCAAACAAGAGGGAACAACUAGCAACGCACGAGAGUGAAAGCAAAACAAAUGAAAUGCAUGAUGGCAUGAUGCAAAGAUGAUGACAUGAAAUGAUCCACAUGAAAUGAUGACUUUAUAACAUUCAAAACAUGGUUCCACAAAUGGAAAGGAUCCCAAAAUGGCAAGGAUUACAUCUGGGGCAUUACACAUGAGGACUUUCACAGUUGAAAGUUCAACCGUCGCCGCGCCGCAGAGCACCUUUCCCUAAUCUUAUCCACCCAAUGGUCAUAUCAUUAAGGGCAUUAAUGUCAUAUCAUGUCGGGAUGUUCCCAGGCUAUAAAUAGCCACCCCCUACAACCACUAGCUAGUUGGCUGCUCCGAGAGAAUGUGACACCUGUCAUUUAGAGCAACCCAAUUCCUCGAGGACUUUGACCAAAAAUCACCAAGUGAGGAAAUACCCCAAACACCCAAACCAAAACGGAAAACCCAAAGUGAUUGACCAUCACUAAAGAGAUUGUUCCUGUGUGGAACCGACACUUGUUACCUCUGAGGAUUGUGCAUCCUCGAGACAGUUAGGUGUCAUGGUCUAGAGCAUCGAGCAGUCAAUUAUGGAUCGUCGGGUGACCAAGUUUGUGAGGGUUUGGACGUCUCCCUUGAAGACUUACCACGAGUGUUGGGCAGGGACUGUGUGUCCUUAGCUCAAGGAGAAUACGGUAGGGACUAUGUGUCCUAGGACUGUGUGUCCUUUGGUUUCAAUACCAAGCCACUCCAAACUACACGUACAACUGUCACAGUAGUUGGAACUGGGUCAUCAACCAUUGUCUUCAUCGAGCUACCGGGUCUAUUUCUUCAACUCUUUUCAUUUCCUCAAUUGCAUGGUGAAGAUUUUCAUCUGUACUAUUUGAAGAAUUUGACUAAAGACUUUGUCCUAAUUCCUCGCCUCAAAUUCUUCACCUGAGUUAUUCAUCACCUCCUUAUCCUAUAUACGUGACCUGUGCAAACCGAACCUAUCAAUUCACUCUAGGUACUUUGCUGUAAUCACUUUUGCACAUCAGUCUUAGUACUAUUUCCGUGGCACUCAGUUCAUGACUGAAGACUUUCCUCACUAGAAAUUUCCUCAGUGAUGAAUUUUUCAAAUUCACCUAUUCAUCCCCCCUCUAGUUUAUAUAAUGCACUUUCAAUUGGUACCAGAGCAAGGUACUCCCUUGCUCUGUGUGAUUUUGGUUUAACCACGUGGAGUUUUAAUUAUGUCCACUGCAGGUAUGAUCAAGGUUAUUGUAGUGUGCCAUACCUUCAAAGGAAAGGACUCCCCCUACUAGAAGAACAAGAUGCAAAUGCAUCUUCAAGCAAUUGAUAUAGAUCUCUGGUAUAUCAUGGAAAAUGGUGUUCCCUGUGUCACUUCAACUAUCAUUGCUGGUGAUGUGAAGAAAUUCAAGCAACUCGACUCACAAGCGAAGAAUAUCAUCUAUGGCCAUCUGAGCAAAGGUAAGUAUGGCAUGGUGAGUGCUUUGGGCUCUGCGAAGAUAAUCUGGGAAAGGUCGACCAAAGUCAAUGAGGGAGUCUCCACACAACGUGACUCUCGAUUUGAUGUUCAUCGAAUCUCUUCAACCGCUUCAAGAGACUGGAUAAUGAAAGCUGCCAAGAUACCUUUGAUCGCCUCACUCACAUCUCAAAUGAGGUGCAAGCUCUGGAGCCAGAGACAUCACAUACCAUGAAGUCGUGAAGAACAAAGAGAUUUCUUGGUGACCUUGAUUUGGAACAUUGGUUCUGAUGAUCCAAGAACAAAGAGACUAGAAGAUGCUUGAUCCUGCUGAUAUACUUGAGAGACUCAAUACUCAUGAAUUCCAAAAAGAAGAAAAGAGAGACCUAUAUGGACCAAGCUACUCAAGACCUCGUGCGCUGAAGGCAAAGGUUGUUUCCUCAUCUGAAGAAGAAGAAUCUGACGACAGUCUUGGUGACCCUAAAUAACUUGCUCACGAACUUCCUAUGCUCGUGAGAAAAUUCUAGAAGUUCACAAAGCAUAGCCAGUUCGUAAAGUCUUCAAGAAGAGAUAUGAGGAAAUAAGAAUCUUCACCUGAGGAAUACAGGAAAAGAACCUGCCAUAAAUGCAAGAAAGCUAGUCACUACAUUGUUGAUUGUCCUUGUUGGGUGAAGGAAUCAGGGAAGAAGAAGUACAAGGAUGAAACUUCUGACGACUCGAAGAAAAAGAAGAAAUCUUCAAAGUCCUCAACGCACAAGAAGACCAGUUUUAGAAAGGCUCGGGCACUCAUUGGCAAGGAAAUGGAUUCUGAAGAAGAAUCUGAGAAAUGUGAUGAAGAGGAAGGUUAUGAAGUUUUCGGGACCCCGAUCCUAAGCCAUAGGAAUCCAGCCUGUAACACAUCGCAUCCCUUUGCAUUCGCACGCACGGUUAACUCCACGGCUGCAGCCUUACCUUAGCCGGGACCGUUUGCGUCUUUUGACUCACGUAUGCAAUAGUGUCACUAGCAUUCCGAUGUCAAAGAACCCGGAUCGACAAGUCCAGUGAUAAACCAAAGAGGCAGUACCGCACAAGGACAGGCAUACAUGACCCANNNNNNNNNNNNNNNNNNNNNNNNNNNNNNNNNNNNNNNNNNNNNNNNNNNNNNNNNNNNNNNNNNNNNNNNNNNNNNNNNNNNNNNNNNNNNNNNNNNNGGCCGAGAUGGUGGCUACGUGGGCCACUUGGCCCACUUGGCGAGCGUUUUUUUUCUUUUUUAAAAUUUUUAUUUUUAUUUUUUAUAUAGCUUAUGUUUUAAAUAUAUAGUGAUUAUAAAUAAUUUUUAAAAAAACUUGUUCACUUUUAUAAUUCAUUAGGGAAUUUUUAAUAACUUCCCCGACAAUUUUUAUUGUAAACAUUAUAAAACUUUUCCCGUUUGAUUUAUUUUUAAACUUCCAAUUUUGGCUCGGUUUCAACUAAGACGAGAUCAACGAUAUAAUUUAUGAUGACGUGUCAUUCAUUCCAUAGAUUUACUGUAGCUUAAUUACAUUGAACACUAUAACAAAAGCCGAGGAUGUCACAACUCUCCCCUACUAAUAAGAAUUCUCGUCCCGAGAAUUAAGAGGUAGAAGGAAAGAGCUCGGGGUAUUCAUCACGAAGAUGAUCCUCGCGUUCCUAAGUGGCUUCAUCUUCAGAAUGAUUUGACCACUGCACUUUAAGGAACUUGGUGGCUUUGCGACGAGUCUUACGUUCAUCUUGGUCGACAAUGCGGACCGGAUGCUCUUUAUAAGAGAGGUCUUAUUGCAGCUCAAGCAUAUCAUGAUCCACUGCUCGAAUAGGAUCCUUGAAGCAGCGGCGGAGCUGAGAAACAUGGAAGACAUCCUGAACCUGAGAAAGGUUCACCGGCAGUUCCAAUUGGUAAGCCACUCUUCCACACCUUUCGAGAACAGUGAAAGGACCAAUAUAGCGAGGAGCUAACUUGCCCUUGACCCCAAAACGAUGUGCACCUCUCAUUGGUGUGACACAAAGAUAAGCCUUUUCGCCAGGUUGAUAGAUCAUAUAUUGAUGAUGACGGUCAUACUGACUCUUCUGACGAGACUGAGCAGCCUUCGGAUUCUCAAGAAUAAUGCGGACUUGAUCUUCAGCAUGUUAAAUAACAUCCGGACCGAAGAGUGAUCGUUCCCCAGUUUCUGACCAAUGCAGAGGAGUUCAACACCUUCAUCCAUACAAUACUUCGAAAGGGGCCAUCUUCAGACUAGCUUGAUAGCUAUUGUUGUAGGAGAACUCAGCAUAUGGGAGAGAUUCCUCCCAUUUCUUACCGAAAGAAAUGGCACAAGCUCGAAGCAUGUCCUCGAGAAUUUGGUUGACUCGUUCAACUUGUCCCUGGGAUUGAGGAUGAAAUGUCGUGCUGAAGGACAGAUGAGUCCCCAUAGCCUUCUGAAAACUUUCCCAGAAUUUUGAAGUGAACAAGUUGCCAUGGUCCGAGUUGAUUAUCAAUGGAAUACCGUGAAGUGAAACAACUCUUGACAUAUAAAGAUCUGCCAGCUGACUACCAUUAAUUGUUUCUUUGACGGCCAAGAAAUGUGCAAGUUUGUACAGUCGGUCAAUGACGACAAGAAUAUCAUCAUUAACUUUCUGAGAUUUGGGAAAACCAGUGAUAAAGUCCAUUUCAACAUGGUCCCAUUUCCACUCAGGAAUAGAGAUAGGUUGCAGAGUUCCAGCAGGCUUUUGAUGUUCUGCUUUGAUACGCCGACAAAUAUCACAUUCUACCACAUAGCGUGCAAUGUCUUGUUUCAUAUUGGGCCACCAGAAUCUUUGCCGGAUGUCUUGGUACAUCUUGGUGCUACCCGGGUGAAUAGACAAUGGUGUGUCGUGAGCUUCUUUCAUCACCUCACCGGUCAUUCUAAGAUUUUCCUUCUUAUUUGGGACGAAUAGGAGACCCUUGAAGUACAAGGCGCCAUCUUCAGCAACAGUGAAAAAGGAGGGUUUACCCUUCGUAAUAUAGCUUAUAAUCCUGUGGACAUCAUCGUCAAAGCAUUGUAGAUUCUUGAUGGUGCUCACAAGAUCUGGUUCAACAACCAGGUUACCGAGGGAACCCUGAUUAACAACACGAAGUAUCAUUUUUCCACACUCUUCAGGAGGGGGAACAAGGUAACCCUGAGGAACAAUAUGGAGGUUCAGCUUACGAAAUUCCUCUUGUAGACGAUCGUGAACCUUAUGAACCUGGAGGUGGUUGCAGUAUGACUUGCGACUCAAGGCAUCAACCAUUACAUUAGCCUUGUCGGUGGUAUAUGAUAUACUACAGUCAAAAUCUGCUAUACGCUCCAUCCAUCUUCGUUGACGUAGAUUCAGCUCCGGUUGAGUGAACAAGUACUUCAGACUUUGAUGGUCGGUGAAGAUUUCACAGCGAUUACCGACAAGGUAUUGUCGCCAUUCUUUCAGUGCAUGAAUAACUGUGGCAAGUUCGAGAUCGUGAACUGGAUAGUUCUCUUCAUGAGCACACAGCUGACGUGAGGCAUAAGCAAUCACCUUGCGAUCCUGCAGCAGGAUAUAGCCUAUUCCUUGACGAGAAGCGUCACAAUAUAUGAUGAAAUCCCUUUACAUAUCCGGAGGAGCAAGUACUAGAGCGGAUGUCAGUUUGUCCUUGAGUGCCUGUAAACUUUCCUGACAUUUAUCAGUCCACUCAUACUUAACACCUUUGUGAAGAAGAUUGGUAAGGGCUUCGCAAUCUUGGAGAAGUUCUCGACGGAUCGACGACAAUUGCUGAUGAGUCCGAGAAAACUUCUGACUUGCUUGACAUUCUUCGGGGGAGUCCAGUCAAGAAUAACUUGAAUUCGUUCGGGGUUGACUGCAAUACCAUCCUUGGAAAUCACAUGACCAAGGUGUGUCACUUCGUCCAGCCAGAAUUCACAUUUAGAAUACUUCGCAUAGAGUUUAUGCUCUCGAAGCUUAUCCAAUACAAGACGAAGAUGUUCAGCAUGCUCUUCUUUAUUCUGAGAAAAUACCAGAAUAUCAUCCAGAUAUACCAUGACGAAUUUGUCGAGGUAGUCCAUGAAUAUAUAAUUCAUCAAUCGAGAGAAGGUUGCCGGUGCAUUGGUUAAGGCGAAGGACAUGACGGUGUACUCGUAUUAUCCAUAACGAUUAACAAAGGCAGUCUUUGGAAUAUCCUCUUUGCGAACACGGAUCUGGUGGUAUCCCAACCUCAAGUCGAGAUUAGAGAAGACGGUGGAACCAGCAAGUUUAUCAUACAGAUCAUUUAUCCGAGGGAGAGGACAUUUGUUUUGAAUAGUGGCCUGGUUGAUAGGACGAUAGUCUUGAACCAAUCAAUUUGUCCCAUCCUUCUUCUUAACAAAGAAAGAAGGUGCUCCCCAAGCAGAGAAACUCGAACGAAUGAAACCCAGACGAAGCGAGUUGUCAAUUUCUUGCUUAAGUUCAAGGAGUUCAUGUGGUGGCAUUUUAUAAGGACGCUUGGCAAUAGGAGUUGUACCGGGUGCCAAGUCAAAGACAAACUCGACAACUCGAGCAGGGGGAAUCCCCUGAAGUUCUUCUGGAAAGACAUAUUGAAACUCCUGGACAACUGGAAUGUUUUCAAUCCCUUCAAGAGGCGACUCAUUUAAUGCAUUCAAGGCAUAUAGCCGUGCCUCAGCAUCUCGGAUGAGAUGAGCAUGGUAGCUUAUUAAUUCAUCUCAAGGGUGUAGGAGGUGGACGGUCUUGGUGGCACAAACGAUCGAUGACGUAAGAGCUUUCAACCAGUUCAUCCCCAGUAUGAGAUCAAUGUUGGAAGAACUCAAUAACAUGGGAGCGGCAAGGAAUUCCAAUCCUUCAAUUUCAAUGUGGACAUUGCGGUAGACCACGGCAUUGGCCCGAGGGGGUGCUUACCACUAUUGGGACGUUCAUCUCUUCAUACUUAAUGCCAUGCAUGAAUGCAAAAUUUUCCGACAUAAAGGAAUGCGAUGCUCUUGUAUCAAACAAUACAGAAGCAGGUACUGAUUUAACGAGAAGUGUACCCAUCAUGGUAGCAGGAUGGUCUUGAGCUUGACCCAUAUCAAUGUUGUUGGUGUGACCACGAACAUAAGGAUGCUUAGCAUUGUAGUUGCGGUUCUGGUUGUUGCCACUGCCAGUUGAGGCAAGUACCAGUUGAUUCGGAUUCUGUCUGCAGUCUCUAGCAUGGUGACCUGCACGGCCACACUUGAAGCAUAGCCCAUCCUCAGGACGGGAAGGAGGAACUCGAGGCGGUGGAGCUGGAAGCCUCGGUUGCCUAGGUGGGGCAGGAGGCAGGCGAGGUGCACCGUAGGACGGCCUCGGAGCACGAGCCGGUGCAUGGUACAUGUUGAUGGGAAUCCAGAUCUUCCGCUUCUGUGCAUAUGAGCCCGAAGAUGAGCCCAUGUCACGGUUGUGCUUGCUGCUAUCCUUGUAUUCCUGUAGACCAGUCUCAACCUGAAUAGCCUUGUUCACCAGGGUGGCGAAAUCAGCAUAGUCCAGAGUGCCAGCUUGAUAUCAGGGUGAAGGCCGUCAUGGAAUUUCUCAUGACUCCGUGCAUGAGUUCCAAUGUCUUCUUCAGCAUAGCGAGAUAAGUCCACAAAUUCCCGCUGAUAAGCAUCCACAGUUUUAUUGCCCUGGAGAAGGUUGCGGAACUCACGCUUCUUCCGGUCCAUGAUUCCCUGAGGAAUGUAGCAAGCACGAAAAGCAGCCUUGAACUCCAUCCAAGUGAUGACAGUUCCAACGGGCUGAGAGCGCCUGUGACUGUCCCAUCAUUGAGCGGCGGGACCCUUCAGGAAGUAGGCGACAAAGUUGACAUAGCUCGCCAGGGGCACAUUGGCAGACUCCAGCUCAUAAGCAAUGUCACGGAGCCAGUCAUCAGCAUCAAGAGGCUGAGUUGAGCUGCGGUAGAUCGUAGGGUUGAGGUGGGAGAACGCUUGCAGUCUCACACCUUGCUGUUGGUUCAUGUUCGGCCUUUGGAACUGAUCCAUGAGCCCUUGCAUAAACUGGCGGUUNNNNNNNNNNNNNNNNNNNNNNNNNNNNNNNNNNNNNNNNNNNNNNNNNNNNNNNNNNNNNNNNNNNNNNNNNNNNNNNNNNNNNNNNNNNNNNNNNNNNNNNNNNNNNNNNNNNNNNNNNNNNNNNNNNUUCAGCUCAAAUUGUUGGAUCAUCCCCGCCAUAUACUCAGGAGGCGGGGGUGGUGCAUCAUUGGCAGGACCACGCGGGCGGCCAGCUGGUCUAACCAUCCUGCGAAAUAUUUAACACGGGUAGUUUAGCUUAAAGUAAUUGCAAAGGCAUCGCACGCAUUCAUGAAGUAAUUAAACAUUACGAAAGGGAAAUGCGAUAGAUACUACAUAGUAGUUGAGUUCGACAUAAAGACCCAUACAUAAGUUCGAUUACACACCAUCGAUUACAAAUUCGAAAUUUGGCGAUAAGCUGGACGCAUUAGACGAUACCCUGGACUCACUAGGCGGCACGCAGGCGCGCGGUGGAAGAGUACCACAACAAGACAUAGCGAUAAGGCUACAUCAACGUCGGAGAGGACGAACAAAUCCUGGUAGGUGGCGGUGAUAGAAGGUAGGAACACGACCCUGUGUCUCGUGGUGACUCUAGUGAGGGUACCACAUCCACUCGAGGAGCUGAGGUCCAAGUGCAGGGGUUCUACCCCCAACAUCAGUACACUCAAGACCUGAUGGUAGCUCUGUCCUGCUCGGCUCGCGGAUGUGCCCAGGGGGAACCCUCGGGCAGUGUGCUGGCUGCAGCUCUUUCAACGCGUCGUAAAGACGAGCAUGCGUAGCGUACAGCUCCACAGUCAGAGCUCGAAAAGCACGAUCCAGUGCCUCAGUGUACUGCACCACAACCCGCCCGUCGUAGCGACGCGUCGCGUAGGGGGCACAGACAGCGACGUAGGAUCGGUCGUUGCGCUCCCGAACGCUAGUAGUGUAGGCAGUGAGAUCAGACCCAGUCUGAUCCCCAGCAGGAGCAUGCGGGAUGUAUCGGGUAGCACUCUCCUCCAGGUGAGGGUACGCUCCACGAAGACGGGUGAUAGCGAUGUAGGCCGCAUCAUAGACGACCAUCUCGACUGACACUCCAAUACCGCAAAAGACGUGGCGCUCGAGGGUGGAGCCGCCCAUCUGGUCGAAGAUGCGAACCUCAGCCUGGUACUGGUACUGGUUGUACUCGCGGAAGGCCUCGUACACAGUGUACUCGGGGUACCAGCGAUAUCCUAGCCUGGUCAGGAGGUAGACCAAAAUGGCCGGAAAAACAGUCGUCUCGGUGGCCUGUGUCAGGCGCACGUGCUGUCUUGCGGGACGCAUCUGAAAAUAAGAUUGAGGAUGUCAAAUGACAGUGUGUGUAAUAUAUAUUCAGAAGAACAGAGUAGAUAGUCCAGCGCUCCAGGUUGAUGUGAUUACGAGAACCUAAUGUUAGAGUUAGUAAAAUCUUUAACCCGAAAGAAAAGAGAGAGUAGAACCCAGAGUAUAGAAAAGGAGUAAAAGAUACUAAUACCACCCAAUUGAGAUGUGGGUCUGUAAGCCACAUCAUCACUGUUACUAAAGUUUUUCAAACACUAGACUCAACUUCGGCCAAGGAGUUCGAAAGGUGGCUACCUACAGGCAGUCGGCUCUGAUACGAACUUGUGACGCCCUCAGUUUAAUCAUACGCUAAUCAUACACGCAAAUGCGUAUGAUCAAACUUAAGGACCCACGGGAAGAUAUCACAACACAACUCUAGACACAAAUAAAAUAAUACCAGCUUCAUAUUACAAGCCAAGGGCCUCGAGGACUAUAAUACGGAAGCUCGAUAAACACACGAGUCAAUGGAAGCAAAAAUAUCUGAGUACAGACAUAAACCAUGGGGUGCCUUAGAGAGGCUAGCACAAAAGAUACAACGAUCGAACGAGGCGAGGCCUCCUGCCUGGGAACCCUAACUACUCCUGGUCUUUAGAGGCCUCCACAUAGUAGUAGGCACCGUCGGGGUAGUAGUCGUCGAAGGCGGGAGCCUCCAUCUCCUGGGCUCCAUCAUCUGGUCGAAGCAACGGAUCAAGGGGAGAAAGGGGGAGCAAUGCAACGGUGAGUACUCAUCCAAAGUACGCGAAAGUAUUACAUCAAAACUAUUCUAAGUAUGCAUCAGUAUCAAAGAAGGGAGGGUGGUUAUAUGUGGACUGACUGCAGCAAUGCGAGAAAAGAGGGAGAAGGCCUAGUCCUAUCGAAGACUAGCAUCUUCAGGGUCUUGCAGUGAUAGACGAGAGCAGAACAGGCGUAACACAAUUAAAUAGUCAUAUUGUUGCAGCAAUAUUAAUAUGAGGUCACGCCGAGAGAUCCUCCCUCGAGUCCAUGCGAGGAAGCAAUCCCGGGGCAACUAAUUCUUGUUAAGUAACAAUUGUAGUUGUAUAAGAUGAGGGCACAACUCCAAGUCGUCCUCUAACCGUGGACACGACUAUUCAAAUAGAUAAGUUCUUCCCUGCGGGGGUGCACAACAUAUUCACCGACGCGCUCGAUAACACUCUGGCCGGACACACUUUUCUGAGUCAUUCCCGGCUUCGGAAUAUCGACACAUCGCAGCCCCACCUAAGCUCGGCAGAGAGGCCAGACCGCCCGUCUAACUCCUACGCACAAAGGGGUCAUGGGCCCACUUGCCCUCCGCGCUCCUGCACGAUGUGAGAGCGGCGGAUGUCAGUCCUAGCACCCCUUAAUACAAGAGCGAUGCAUCUUGGGACCACUCAGGCACACACCGCUACAUCGCUGACGUCCGAAGAGCUUCGGCUGAUACCGCGAUGUCGAGUACCCAGAAUUCUUCCCACACAGACGGUUAGUGCGUAAUAAGGCCUUUCGACCAACCCAGAUCAAAUACCCAAAUCCAUUAUCAUUUUUAUUAAGCCAUAGACACAAACACGCGGGAAUGCACCCGCCUAACAACUAUUCAUCAAAGAUCCCAGUAACAUGGUCAAGUAAUUGUGUGGUUGAAACAUCAGGGGGAAUCCAAGGUAUCACCCUCGUUGGAUUCCGAACGAUGUAUCCGUCAAGGUGGAGCUAGAGGAAUCACCCUCGAGGGUCCCACACUUGAGGGGUUGCACGGCACAGGCAUCGUCGGGAAUGGUGAAGGAGGAAUCACCCUCGAUAACCAUGACCGACUAGCUGUACUACAAAGAUAUCAUUAGGAGUACUUCGCGAGGUGUCACCCUCGGUACCCAAGAAUAUCUCUGUAGCGCCGCACAACUAAGGGGGUGUAGUUCUGUGCUGGGUCUGGCUCGUUGAUCAGGGAUCGAGACUUGAAAACAAAGCGGGGCAACUGGACUACGGGGUCAGAGGGGAUGACUGCUCCACCUAAACUAAACAGUUUAAAGGUACAGUACUGAAAGUAGUAGUUCAUCAAAAUUAGGCUAUGCAUCAGAUAUAGGAGCUAACUACAAUAGUAGCAAAAUUAUAAUGCAAGGAGUAGGAAGAAAGACAUAGGCGAUAUAGCAAUGAUCAAGGGGUGGUUUGCUUGCCUUGUUGCUCUGCGGCAAAGGGCUGGUCGUCAGGAGGGUAGGUGUACCCGACAACAGCGUCAGUCUCGGGGUCUACCGGUAAGAAGAGGGGGGAGGAAACUAAAUAAUAGCAAUAGGUGCAAUAUACAGACUAGGCAUGAACUAACGCAACAACAUCCGUCAUAGACGGGUCGGGAAAAUAUCACAUGAUAUUUCUCGGGUCUGUGGCUACUACCGGUCUGACUGAAAACGAUGGAAAGUUCCACGUCUGCUAUGCUAGGGACGCGUGACACACGAAUGGACUGUGUAUCCGGGUUCGUCUCGUUCUGUUGAUCAACUUUCAUGUUGAAAAUAUUUUGAUCUGACUUAUGGAUUAUUUUAUAUUAAUUUUUAAAGUUUUAUUCAAUAUUUAGGAAUUAAAAACAGAUUUAAUUAAUUUGACUAAUUCAAUUAUAACAUCAGCAUGAUGUCACGCUAACAUCAGUAGUUGACUGGUCAACUGACCAGUGGGUCUCGUGCGUCAUAGACUCAGUUUUUAAUUAGGUUUAAUAUUAAUUAAUCAGAUUAAUUUAGUGGGGGACCCACAUGUCAUACUGUAAUAGGAUAAUUUAAUUAUCCUAAUUAACAUAUUAUCUAAAUAAUCUAUUUAAUUAGUUAACUAAUUAAUUAAAUAAUAUAUCUAAUUAUUUAUCUUUUAUUUAUAUAAUAAAAAUAUGUAUUUUAUUUUUAUAUUUUAACAGUGCGUGUGAGGCCUCCCUGUCAGUGGGAGUGGGGGUGUUGGCCCCACCGGUAAGUGGCAUUGGCCACAUACACACAAAACACACAUACACAUAUGCAUACACAUAAUGUAUUCUUUUUUACAUUCAUGCAUAUAUACCCAAUACAUACACACAUACAUACAUACGUAUAAUACAUUCAUAAUACAUACUUCAUUUUUUUCUUUUUUUCUUUCUCUCAUCUCCGACCUCUCUCUUUGUGAAUAUCUUUGUGUGUUAACUCUCUUUCAACAAAGAAAGAGAAACUCCACCUCCACCUCCCGGAGCUCAACGGGGCCGGAACGCGGCGGUGAUCUCCGGAAUGGAACCGGGAGAGGGAGGAAGAGAGGAUGGCCGGGUGCCGGAGCUCACCGGCGUUGAUGGAAAGGACCGGAGUAGCCGGAGUGCACGGGGAGUCGGCGCGGUUCCGACGAGGAGGAGUUCCCGGUGGUGGUGGCGACGUUGAAGGAGGAGUCCCGGCCGAGGUGAAGGUCGGGGCCGGCCGGAUCCGGCCCAGAGGAGGCGAGGCGGCCGCCGGAGGGAGGGGAUGGGGCGAUGGGGACCGGGCCAGCGCGCGGGGAGCGCUGGGAGGAGAGGGAGGUGGGGUGAGGUGGAUAUGGGCCAGGGAGGGAUCUGGGGCGGUAGCGAGGUGGGGUGGGGAUCGGGAGGAGGAGCUCUCGUGAGGAGAGGCAGCGAGGGAGAGGUGGUGGUGCGAGGGGCGCUAUGGGGUGGGUGGCGGCGGCUCCAGGAGGAAAGGGAGCGCUGGAGGGUGGUCUAGGGUUACGGUGUGGGGGAUUUAUACCCCACCCACAAGGUGGGCCGAGAUGGUGGCUAGCUGGGCCACUUGGCCGAGUUGGCUAGGUUUUUUUUCCUUUUUUUUAAAUUACUUUCUUUUAUUUUUUGAUUUUUUGUAUAGCUUCUGUUUUAAAUAUAUAGUGAUUAUAAAUAAUCUUUAAAAAGACAUGUUCACUUUUAUAAUUCAUUUGGGAAUUUUUAAUAACUUCCCGACAAUUUUUAUUUUAAACAUUAUAAAACUUUUCCUGUUUGAUUUAUUUUUAAACUUUGAAUUUUGACUCGGUUUCAACUAACACGAGAUCAACGAUAUAAUUUAGGAUGACGUGGCAUUCAUUGCAUAGAUUUACUGUAGCUUAAUUACAUCCAACACUGUAACAAAAGCUGAGGAUGUCACAUGAUGCUUCUCUUUUGUGAGGUGGAAACAACUAAAGAAGAUAGACAACCUUUUAACUUCAAAACUAUGGAGCAAGAAAACAUAAUAGCUGAUUCUACGCCUAAAGGGAAUUCUGUUUCAGUAAACAAUACAAGUGAGUGCGAAAUUAAUCGUAUUAUCCCUGUGCAGCCUUUUCUGAAAGAUAUAAAAAAUCAUGAUGAUCUUCUCAAAUUGCUAUGAAUCGUGAUAUUUCAGUUUCAGAACACACGUUAUUGGCAGAUCAGUGGUCUCUGACAUUGCCAGCUAGUGUUAGUCAUGAAGCUAAGUCUGACCAGAAUGCCCACAGACAAAAUAUUGUGAGGAAUGAUCCAAUGGAUGAUACUAUGGUCUUUUGACACGAACUUCUCCCAAUGUCCGACACCUCUGAUAAUCUCAAGCUCCAUGAGGUGAUAAUUGAGAAGGACUAGAUUACUCUUAAGGAUUCUGCAACUGGCACUGAAGGAAAUAAAUCUGCUGAAAUAGUGAGGAGUUAAGAGACUUAGCUCCUACUGAUCCCUAUAAAAGAGAUGCUUCUCGUAAAGGUGGUCCUACGACACAACCUUGUGCAGAUUUUUCAUGUUCUUCCUCCUCCAUGGGUCCUCCCCCUAGAUUUACUAAAAAAGGAAAAUUUUCUAUGGCUAUGAAUUCUGAUGCAGUAUCUCUGCGUGGAUUUUAGUUAAUGUUGCUAGGAGAAUAUCUGGAUAACUAGGAACUUCAAGGAAUGGGACAAGAAAGUGUUGAGAUGAGGAUCAUGCACUUUGCUCCAAAAGGAAUAGAAGUUAAAGUAAUCCAUGUACCUCUAGACUGGGUAAACUUUCUUAUAAUGGCCUUAUUAUCUCCUGGUAAAUUUGAUUGGGAAAAAGGAUUUAUGACCUCUCACAUAUGGGAUAUUGUUAUUCAAGGAUCCUCAAAAAAAAUUAUGAUUCCUUUUGUAAUACAAGAUAAAUGUUUCCCUAAUCGGAAAGCUAUUUGUGAGCACCUUUUGGAACAUUCUAAUAGUUCUGAUUAUGAAGUCUGUUUUAAUACCCCACAGAUUAAAUUAACUCACCCAAAGAAAGUGGAGGAUGAGCAAGCCUAUACUACAAGUGUGGUACAUCUCAAGAGAAAGAGGCUAGAUAAAGCUCCAACAAUGGAAACUCUGGUAAGGAGAAACUCCAGACUAAUGGAUCUUAAUAAAGGCUUUAAGAGAAAAAAAUGCACCAAACAGAACUGCUUGACAUUUCAUUCUGACCCCCCCCCCAACCUUAAUGGAAAAAUGGUAAAACUCUCAGCUGUGCUUUUUGCAAGGUUCCAAGCCAGGAAGCCACUGAUGAAAUCCUCAAGACUAAAACAAAGAAUAACAAGGUGUCAGAGGAGGGAGGAAAUAAAGACGAGGGGGGGAGCAAGGAUGAUGCAGCUUAGAAGGAUUCUAGAAAGUGUCCACCUUUGGUGUGGAGAAUCUAUCAAGUGUAUCUUUUGGAGAAUAGUGAUAAGAUACUUCAUCUUUGGUCACCUAUGUUUGAUAUGAAGAACUAUAUGAAGUAUGAUGUAGCUACCUUCCUGGCCCUUAGCUCAGUUAGAAUGUUGAUUGUUGUAACAAUAUGUGUUCAGAUAUGCAGUACUUAAUUUAUAGCACAAAUGGAGAAACAACAGAAAAUCAUAAUCUGGAACAUCGGAUGUAUAAACAAAGUAAAAAUUGGUUGACUCUUGCUAAUAAAGUUCAGAAAACUAGAUUUGACAUCAUGUGUUUACAAGAAAUAAGGAAGGAAAACUUUGAUUCUAGUUUCUUAAAAAAAAUCUGUCCUAGAAGGCUUAAUAAAUUUGACUUUGUCCCCUUAAUUGGAGCUUCUGGAGGAUUUCUUGUGGUAUGGAAUGGGCGAUGUUUCUGGGAGAGAAAGUGUUUGGCAAGAAAUAUGGAAUUUCAAUACAUUUCACCUCUAGAUCCAAUAGAAAUUGCUGGAUUUUAUCUAAUAUUUUUGGACCCUGUCAACGAGACGAAAGAUCUAAAUUUAUUAACUCGUUUGAGAACAUCCAGAUGAAUGAUGAAGUAGAUUUGGUGGUUCUGGAAGAUUUUAACUUUAUUAGAUACCCUCAAAACAGAAAUGUUGGGGGUGCAAAUAUCAAUGAUAUGAUNNNNNNNNNNNNNNNNNNNNNNNNNNNNNNNNNNNNNNNNNNNNNNNNNNNNNNNNNNNNNNNNNNNNNNNNNNNNNNNNNNNNNNNNNNNNNNNNNNNNUAGCCACCAUCUCGGCCCACCUUGUGGGUGGGGUAUAAAUCCCCCACACCGUAACCCUAGACCACCCUCCAGCGCUCCCUUUCCUCCUGGAGCCGCCGCCACCCACCCCAUAGCGCCCCUCGCACCACCACCUCUCCCUCGCUGCCUCUCCUCACGAGAGCUCCUCCUCCCGAUCCCGCCCCACCUCGCUACCGCCCCAGAUCCCUCCCUAGCCCAGAUCCACCUCACCCCCAUCUCCCUCUCCUCCCAGCGCUAGCUCGGUCCCCAACGCCGCAUCCCCUCCCUCCUGCGGCCCUCCAGCGGCCUCCUCGCCUCCGCCAUGACGGAUCCGGCCGGCCCCGGCCUUAACCUCGGCCGGGACUCCUCCUCCAACGUCGCCACCACCACAAGGAACUCCUCCUCGACGGAACCGCGCCGACUCCCUGUGCACUCUGGCUACUCCGGGCCUUCCCGUCAACGCCGGUGAGCUCCGGGCCCCAGCCAUCCUCUCCUCCUCCUUGUCCCGGUUCCAUUUCGGAGAGCACCGCCGCGUUCCGGCGCCGUUAAGCUCCGGGAGGUGGAGGUGGAGUUUCUCUUUCUUUGUUGAAAUAGAGUUAACAAAGAGAGAUGUUCAGAAAGAGAGAGGUUCGAGAUGAGAGAAAGAAGAAAAGAAAAAUGAAAUAUGUAUUAUGAAUGUAUUAUACGUAUAUAUGUAUCAUGUAUGUAUGUGUGUAUGUAUUGGGUAUAUAUGCAUGCACCCCCACUCCCACUGACAUGGAGGUCCCACACGCAUUUUUAAAAUAUAAAAAAUAAAAUAUAUGUUUUUAUUAACUAAAUAAAUAAAUAAAUAAAUAGAUAUAUUAUUUAAUUAAUUAGUUAGUUAAUUAAAUAGAUUAUUUAGAUAAUCUGUUAAUUAGGAUAAUUAAAUUAUCCUAUUAGAGUAUGACACGUGGGUCCCCCACUAAUUAAUCUGAUUAAUUAAUAUUAAACCUAAUUAAAAACUGAGUCUAUGACGCACGGGACCCACUGGUCAGUUGACCAGUCAACUGCUGAUGUGAGCGUGACAUUAUGCUGAUGUCAUAAUUUCAUUUAAUAAAAUUAAUUUAAUCUGUUUUUAAUUCCUAAAUAUGCAAUAAAACUUUAAAAAUUAAUAUAAAAUAAUCCAUAAGUCAGAUCAAAAUAUUUUCAACAUGAAAGUUGAUCAGUAGAACGAGACGAACUCGAAUACACGGUCCAUUCGUGUGUCACACUUCCUUAGCAUAGCAAACGUGGAACUUUCCAUCGUUUUCCGUCUGACCAGUAGUAGCUAGAGACCCGAGAAAUAUCAUAUGAUAUUUUCCCGACCCGUCUAUUACGGAUGUUGCUCCGUUAGCUCAUGCCUAGUCUGCAUAUUGCCAUUCCAUGCUUAGUGUUGCACCUGUUGCUAUUAUUUAUUGUUUCUCCCCCUCUUCUUACCGGUACACCUACCCUCCUGGCGACCAGCCCUUUGCCGCACAACAACAAGUCAAGCAAACCCCCCUUGAUCAUUCCUAUAUCGCCUAUGUCUUUCUUCCUACUGCUUGCAUUAGAAUUUUGCUACUGUUGUAGUUAGCUCCUAUAUCUGAUUCAUAGCCUAAUUUUAAUGAACUGCUACUUUCAGUACUGUACCUUUAAACUCUUUAGUUUAGGUGGAGUAGUCAUCCCCUCUGACCCCGUAGUCCAGUUGCCCCGCUUUGUUUUCAAGUCUCGAUCCCUGAUCGACGAGCCAGACCCGGCACAACACUUACACCUCCUUAGUUGUGCGGCGCUACACAGAUACUAUCGGGUACCGAGGGUGACACCUCGCGAAGUACUCUUGAUGAUAUCACUGUAGUACAACUAGUCGGUCUUUCACCAUUCCCAACGAUGCCUCUGUCGUGCAACCCCUCAAGUGUGGGACCCUCGAGGGUGAUUCCUCUAGGUCCACGUUGACGGAUACAUCGUUCCGAAUCCAACGAGGGUGAUACCUCGGAUUCCCCCUAAUGUUUCAACCACACAAUUACUUGACCAUGUUACUGGGAUCUUUGAUGAAUAGAUGUUAGGCGGGUGGAUUCCCGCGUGUUUGUGUCAAUGGCUUAAUUCAAAUGAUAAUGGAUUUGGGUAUUUGAUUUGGGUUGGUCGAAAGGCCUUAUUACGCACUAACCGUCUGCAUGCGAAGAAUUAUGGGUACUCGACGUCGCGGUAUGAGCCGAAGUUCUUUAGACGUUAGCAAUGUAGCGGUGCGCGCCCGAGUGGUCCCGAGAUGCAUCGCUCUUGUAUUAAGGGGUGCUAGGACUGACAUCGGCCAACCUCACAUCAUGCAGGAGCACGGAGGGCAAGUGGUCCCAUGACCUCUUUGUGCUUAGGAGUUAGACCGGCGGGGUGGCCUCUCUGCUGAGCUUAGGUGGGGUUGCGACGUGUCGAUAUUCCGAGGUCGGACAUGACCCAGAAAAGUGUGUCCGGCUAGAGUGUUAUCGAGCGCGUCGGGGAAUAUGUUGUGCACCCGUAUAGGUAAGAACUUAUCUAUUCGAAUAGCCGUGUCCACGGUUACAGGACGACUUGGAUUUGUGCCCUUAUCUUAUACAACUACAAAUGUUACUUAACUGGAAUUAGUUGCCCCGUGAAUGCUUCCUCGCAGGGAGUCGAGGGAGGAUCUCUGGGCGUGACCUCAUAUUAAUAUUGCUACAACAAUAUGACUAUUUAAUUGUGUUAUACCUGUUCUACUCUCGUCUAUCGUUGCAAGAUCCUGAAGAUGCUAGUCUUCGAUAUGACUAGGCCUUCUCCCUCUUUUCUCGCAUUGCUGCAGUCAGUCCACAUAUAACGACCCCCCUUCUUUGAUACUGAUGCAUACUUAGAAUAGUUCUGAUGUAAGACUUGCGAGUACUUUGGAUGAGUACUCACCGUUUCUUUGCUCCCCCUUUGUCCCCUUGAUCCGUUGUUGCGACCAGAUGAUGGAGCCUAGGAGAUGAAGGUUCCCGCCGCCGACGACUGCUACCCCGACGGUGCCUACUACUACGUGGAGGCCGCUGAAGACUAGGAGUAGUUAGGAGGUUCCGAGGCAGGAGGCCUCGCCUCAUUCGAUUGUUGUAUCUUUUGUGCUAGCCUUCUCUAAGGCACCCCAUGUUUUAUGUUUGUACUCAAAUAUUGUUGCUUCCAUUGACUCGUGUGUUUAUCGAGCUUCCGUAUUCUAGCCCUCGAGGCCCCUGGCUUGUAAUAUGAAGCUGGUAUUGUUUUAUUUGUGUCUAGAGUUGUGUUGUGAUAUCUUCCCGUGGGUCCUUGAGUUUGAUCAUACGCAUUUGCGUGUAUGAUUAGCGUACGAUUAAACGGAGGGCGUCACACAUCGCUACUUCUUGGGCCAUAUGUGUAACUGGCAUAUGUGGCCCAAAAUGUUAACAAGAAGGAGGCCCACCUGGAGGGCCCAACAUCAAAGGCCCAGGAGCCAAUUCUUAAGGUGGGAGACUGAAAUCUAAUACAGAUAUGCCUCCUUCAAUGGAACACUAGCAUUCUCUAAAAUAGUAAUGACAUUGUUAGAGUGAGAAGUUUCUUGUGGUACUUGAAUGUCCAUGUUAUCCUGAAGAGGUUGAAGCGGGUCAUUUAACUGCAGAAAUUCUCCAUCCUCAAUUUCAACAUCAACCAAUUCAUUUUGUUGAGGUACACACAUGGCCCAAUGCCCAAAACCUUCUUCAUUUUCCACUCGAUCUUCCUGAAGAUCAUUGUCAUCCAUCAAUAAGCGUUGAGGAAUGGGACCCACCAUAUGGUUGUUCUCAUUAGGAUGGAAGUGCUCUACAUUUGGCAAAAUGUGGAGUAGUGAGGUCAUAUUAACAUCUGGCUCUAUAGAGUGCCUCUCUUAUAUGUAGGUACAUCCAUGCCAUUUUUUUGAGCUGAAACCAUAUAACAAUAGUUCUACAUUGUUUUUCCAUUAAUAUAAUAUAAUAUGUACAAAAUAUCAAUAAAGGUAAAGGACAAUCCUUUAGGUAUCUAACCAAUUCCUGCUCUUGCAAUCGUGGUAACUGUUUUAAUGUAAGUUUAUUCUAAAUAUUAGAUGCAAUCCAAUCUCUUAGAUGAACUAGAUUGUUUUUCUUCACUCCAUGUUCAUGAAAAAAUAACUAUUUUUUCAUAAGAAAUUUCCAAGACUCCAUACUUUGUGCUUCUCUUGUGAAUAUAUUACUAUUUCUCUGUAUCCAAAUGUUCCAGCAUCCUGUGAUGAUGAUGUCAAGAGAAACUGACUGCGGAAAAGCUUCCAUUGCCACAAAAGUGUCAUCACAGAAUGAAGUUCCUCUUUUUCGGCCAGGGCUGAUUCUUUGCCAGCAAUCUUGUGCAUGGCUGCAGUCCCAGAGUAGGUGAUAAGUGGUCUCUCCAGGCCCUUCAUUACAAAAUACACAUUUAUAGCAAUCUAGGUGCAUAUUUAUUCUCUUGAGAAGGUUUCUUGUGUUAGGUCUAUCAUGAAGAAAUAACCAAAACUACAUUUGGUGUCUUCUUCCUACAGCUCCGUUCCAUAGCUGAGCAUAAAUAUGAGGAGCCAUUGGAUCCGUGGCUAGAGCCUGAUAAAUAUUUGUGGAAGAGUAUUUUUCUCUUUCUCCAGUUGCCUUCCAUUUGUUAGGAUUAUUUGGGUUACUAUGUUCCAUGACGAGGUCUUGUAGCUCAUGAACUUGUUGAAAGGUUAUAGUUGAUAGAGGUGUGGAAAUGAUCACUGAUGUUGUUGUUAUUGAGAAUAGAGGCCAAUCACUAAUUUUUAUAUUUGGCAAAUGGGUGCACUUCUGGGAACUUCAUUGCAGGUGGAAGAGUGAGCCAUUUAUCAUGCUAUAACUGAAUACAAUCUCCUAGACCAGUAGUGCCGAUUGCAGUUGUUUUGAAAGCUGGCAACAGCUUGAGAUUGGCUUUCCACCAUGAGGAUCCAGUCAUUCUUGUACCUGGGAGUUGCUGGGUGUAAUAAGAGUUCCAUAUGAGUUGUACCCAAGGCAGAUGUUUCUUGUUUAAAAACCUAUGGGUAUUCUUCAUUAGCAGGGAUUUAUUAUGGUUUUCCACAUCAAGAAUUCCUAUCCCUCCUUGUUUAUUGGCUUUGCACGCUUUUUCCCAUGUAAUUAGCACAGACUCAUAUUCUUCCUGUCCAUAAUUCCUCGAGAAUAAAUGUGUCAUGUAUUUGUUAAUUUGUUCCACAAUGCCCAUGGGCAUGGUCAAGGUGCUCAUGAAGAAUAUGGGAAGAGNNNNNNNNNNNNNNNNNNNNNNNNNNNNNNNNNNNNNNNNNNNNNNNNNNNNNNNNNNNNNNNNNNNNNNNNNNNNNNNNNNNNNNNNNNNNNNNNNNNNNNNNNNNNNNNNNNNNNNNNNNNNNNNNNNNCAAGAGCGGAGAAGAUAAGUCUUAUAAGCUACAUUUUUCCAUCAAUGUUUAGCAUUGUAUAGCAUCCAUAUAAUCUUCUUUCAAUGGUUUAACAAAUUGAUGGAAGUCUUCAAUUCUUAGUCUAUGAGGUGUAACUCGCAGUCAAAGAUAUGUAAAGGGGAAUUUCCCCAAUUUACAGCCCACGAGAGCAAUAAUUCUGUUCAGAUCUUCUAUAUGCACAUGAAGAGGGACCAGAACGGAUUUGUGAUAGUUGAUCUUGAGGUCAGUGUCUGUGGAGAAAUGUGAGAGCAAAUUGGUGAGCUGUUGUAGCUGCCUGAGAUCUGUUGGCAUACCAAGAUUGUGUCAUUAGCAUACUGUAUCACAAGGAAAUCUUGAUUUGUGUGGUCACUAAUAGGAUCUUGAAUUAAUUGAGCUUGCAUUUCUUUGUUCAGAAUGGAAUGUAGAAAUUUAGCAGCUAGCACAAAUAAUGAUGGAGAAAAAGGGUCUCCUUAUAUUACCCCUCUUUUGCAUUUGAAAUUUUCCUUAGCACCCCAUAUAGUAAAACAUAAGAAUACCUUCUUUCAGAACUCAUUUUUACCCAGGAAAUCCAUUUUUCUCCAAAUCCCUUAGCCUUCAAUAAUUUAUAGGAUGGUUUCAUGCUCUAUCAUGUCAAAAUCUCUUUCAAACUACACUUUUAGAAUCACUAUUUGUUUUUUCAUUGUUUACAUUGAUGUAUAUAUUCAAAGGCCCAAGUGAGACAGUCUUGAAUGGAUCUAGACUUGAAAAAACCAUAUUGAUUGGUAUGGAUCAGUAUCUUGAUGACUUUUUGUAAUAUUUUUGCCAAUAGCUUAGUGAUGAUCUCGAUUGUGCAGUUCAAAAGGGAGAUAGGCGUGAAAUCAUUGGGAGCUUGUGCAUUAUCUUUCUUUGGGAUAAGAGUAGUGAAUGAAUUGUUUAUUUAUUGCAGAUUCACUAUUCUAGAGUACAAAUCUUCAAUGAGCUUAUAGAAAUCUUCCUCUAUAAUAUUUCAACAAUUCUUAAUGAAACCUCCAUUAAAACCAUGUGGACUAGGGUCUUUGUCACUAGGCAUAUUUUUUACCACCUCAUAAAUUUCUUCCUUGAGGAAAGGAGUCUCAAGCUUUGUGAGAUCUAAAUCUUUUUCCAAUAUCUCAUAAAACUCAAAGAAAUUUGUAGUUGGUGCAAAAUUUACUAACCUUUCCUUGAAAGAUUUCCAUAACAUGUGUAUUUUUUCCUAGUGAUCAAAAUGUAUAUACAUGUUAUCAUCCAAGAUCAUUGGAAUUUGAUUAUUCCUGUAUUCUACAUUUACUUUAGCUUCGAAGAAUUUUUUAUAGUGGCUCUUUGCUUCCAGUAGAUACUCUGAUAUUCCAAGAGUUUUAAGAUGGGUCUUUUAACAAUUUAUCUCACAUUCCAUUCUUCAAUAGUGAGUGCUCUUGCUUCCUCAAUGAUAUCCAACAUGGUGAUCAUCUCAUUGGAGUUCUUAAUGGCCAAAGCUAGACUUAAGAUUUUUCUUGGCCAGAUUUUCAAACCAUUCUCUAUCUUUUAAAUUUUGCUCUAAUGAUCUUUGCACUACUGUUCACAUGCAUAUUUUGAUCCCACGUAUUUUUUGACUACUUCCUCAAAAUCAUGCAAUUCCAUCCAGUAGUUCUCAAAUCUGGAAAUAUUUGAUUUGGGUAUGUUUGUGCCCACUUGAAUAAUGCAGGGAACAUGAUGUGAUAUGGGUUUUGAAAGAUAAGAGGCUGUUGUAUUUGAGUAGUUUAGAGACCAAGAUUUUUAGGAGAAACACCAAUCAAUAUUUUCCAAUAGAGGGGCCUCUUGCAUGUUACUCCAAGUGAAAUUCAUUCCAGUCAUAGGUAUUUCUAGCAAUCCAAGCCCACUUAUGGCUGCAUUAAAAUUCAUCAUAUCAUUGAAAUUUCCACCCCCUGUCAUUUCUAUUUUUAGGGUAUCUAAUAAAGUUGAAAUCUUCGAGAAACAACCAAUCCUUUUCAUCAUUCAUUUGGAUGUUCUCAAAUCAGUUAAUAAAUAUAGAUAUUUCAUUUGGUUGACAGGGUCCAUAAAUAUUAGAUAAAAUCCAACCAUUUCCAUUCGGUCUAGAGGUGAAGUGUGUUGAAAUUGCAUAUUUGUUUUCAAACACUUUCUCUCCCAGAAAGAUGGAUCAAUUACAUACCACAAGCAAUCCUCGAGAAGCUCUAAUUAAGGAGAGAAACUCAAAUUUAUUGAGCCUUCUAGGACGGAAUUGUUUUAAGAAACUAGAAUCAAAGUUUUCCUUCUUUGCUUCUUGUAAACACAUGAUGUCACAUCUUGUUUCCUGAACUAUAUUAGCAAGAUCCGAUCACUUUUUACUCCUCUUUAAACCUCUGAUAUUCUAGUUUAGGAUUGUCUACUGUUUGUGCAUUUGUGGCAUAAAUUAAGUACUACAUAUCUGAACACAUACUCUCAUAACAAUCAACAUUCUAGCUAAGAUAAGGGCCAAGAAGGUAGCUACAUCAUAGUUCAUAUAGUUCUGCAUAUAUCAAACAUUUGGGACCAAAAGAUGAAGUGUCUUAUUACAAUUCUCCAAUAGAUACACGUGAUAGAUUAUCCACACCUAAGGUGGACGCUUUCUACAAUCCUUCUAGGUUGCAUAAUCCUUGCUCCCCCCCUCUUUCUUUCCUACCUCUUUUGACUCCUUAUUCUUUUCAUCAGUGGCUUCAUGGCUUGGAACCUUGCGAAAAGGAGUGUUGAGAUCUUUAACAAUUAUUCCAUUAAGGGUGAGAGCAUCAGCAUGACAUGAAAAGUAGUUCUGUUUGGUGCAUUCUUUCCUCUUAAAGCCUUUAUUAAGAUCCGCUAAUGUGAAGCUUAUCCUUACCAGAGUUUCCACUAUUGGAGCUUUAUCCAGCCUCUUUCUCUUGAGAUGUACCACACUUGUAGUAGAGGCUUUCUCAUCCACCACUUAGUUUUCCUAGCAUGAUUUACUCUAUCGAGUAUUAAAAGAGACUUCAUAACGAGAACUACCAGAAUGUUGUGAACGGUGCUGACAAAUAUGUUUAUGAUUAGGAAACAUUUAUCUCGUAUUACAAAAGGAAUCAUAAUUUUUGCUUGAGUAUCCUUUAAUAAUAAUAUCCCACAUCUAAGAGGUCAUAAAUCCUUUUUNNNNNNNNNNNNNNNNNNNNNNNNNNNNNNNNNNNNNNNNNNNNNNNNNNNNNNNNNNNNNNNNNNNNNNNNNNNNNNNNNNNNNNNNNNNNNNNNNNNNNNNNNNNNNNNNNNNNNNNNNNNNNNNNNNNNNNNNNNNNNNNNNNNNNNNNNGAGAUAAUAAGGCCAUUGUAGGAAAGUUAACCCAGUCCAGAGAUACGUGGAUUACUUUAGCUCUUUUCCUUUCGGAUCAAAGUUCAUGUUCCACAUCCCAACACUUUCCUGUCUCAUUCCUUGAAGUCCCUAGUUAUAUAGAUGUUCUCAUGGCAACGUUAAUUGGAAUUCACGUAGAGAUACAACAUCAGAAUUCAAAGCCAUAGAAUAUUUUCGUUUUUCAUUUAAUCCAGGAGAGUGCAGUAGCAAGGAACCGAUGCUCCAGAAGAUUCCCCUUUCAUUCCAUUGUCAUUGUUUGAUUUAUUUGGUUGUCACAUUCAUCAUCGCAUCAUGUUCAGCAUCCGGAUCGCAUCGGCACUCUGUUGUUGUCAAUUUUAAAAAGCUUGCAUUCGUUGUUAGUUGCCGGUNNNNNNNNNNNNNNNNNNNNNNNNNNNNNNNNNNNNNNNNNNNNNNNNNNNNNNNNNNNNNNNNNNNNNNNNNNNNNNNNNNNNNNNNNNNNNNNNNNNNNNNNNNNNNNNNNNNNNNNNNUGUUAGUUGCCGGUUCUCUUUGUUUUUGUUGUUGACCAUUUCAGGACCAACCACACACGCACGCGCUCGGGGCAUUGUUAAAAUCUUGUUUUUAAAAGUAUGUAUAACACUUUCUCGGAUUGGGUUGAAAGUUGGCACACGGUCUUAUUAUAGUGUAGGUAGGCCGCCUGCCUGAUUUCGUCACAAUCGGAGUUCAUUUGAUACCUGAACCGUUAAAUGAAUAGUGGCACUAUAGCCAGUUUAAUUGUCAGAUGUUUGUGUGUUUAAAAUCCUAUGUAGGUCCAUACAACUUCCCUCUUUUCUCAGCCCAAACCUAUCUACACAGACCACUAGACCACCUACCCUACCCCCUUUGUUUUGGACCACCCAUUCGAGAUCCGACGGUCCGAAAAAGGAUGAAAUUAGCUAAACCUAGCCCCCAUACUAUAAAUAGNNNNNNNNNNNNNNNNNNNNNNNNNNNNNNNNNNNNNNNNNNNNNNNNNNNNNNNNNNNNNNNNNNNNNNNNNNNNNNNNNNNNNNNNNNNNNNNNNNNNNNNNNNNNNNNNNNNNNNNNNNNNNNNNNNNNNNNNNNNNNNCCCCCCCGUGUAUGUUUUCAAACCAUAGCAACCCUAGCCUCAUUUUCUGCGUUCAGCCGCCAGCCUCCCACCACUCAGCCGCCUCCCUCCUCUAGCCACGGCCCGCCACGCCCAACUGGGGCCCGCCCGGGCCCGGAGUCAUGCCGUUGCCCGCAGCCGCAAGGGAGCUGAAGGUUGGUCCUCCGAUGCCAUGGAGCCGAGGCUCCCAAUCUCACCGUUGCCCAUCUUCCUCGCCAGCCCCGACAGCCAUCAAACCUUGCCGGACAAGCUGCCGCCGGUGACCAGGAAUGAGACCGGACCUCCGCCCCUCGCCUCUCUGUCCUGUUCUCACUCUCUAUCCCUCUCCUAACCAAAUCUCUCUCUCCCUUCUUUGUACAUGGGCCAUGGAGGAACAUUGGAUGUUUUUGCUAACGGGAUCACAUCAUNNNNNNNNNNNNNNNNNNNNNNNNNNNNNNNNNNNNNNNNNNNNNNNNNNNNNNNNNNNNNNNNNNNNNNNNNNNNNNNNNNNNNNNNNNNNNNNNNNNNCGGGAGGAGGGAGAGAGCCGACGCUGGGAAUGGAUAGGUGAGGCCUCGGGGAGCUUAUCCCUGGCCUUGCCAGCACGAGGCGGAGGCCAGGCAGGCGCACAGGUGCGUGGCCGCGCCGGAGGAGGCGGCGGCCACCUCCUGCUCCUACUGGCGCGAGGGAGACGACAGGAGCUGGGAUGGGCCGGGCCAGGCUAGGCGACAGGUAAGAGUUUCCCAUUUUUUUUUCUAUUUUUGUUUCUGUUUUAGCUUCUUCAAUAUUUUGCUAUUUAUUUCAGCUCCAAAAAAAUUGCAAAAACUAUUUUAAACACACCUGAAUAUUUGUUAUAAUAUUCCCAACCAUUUCCAAAGUUUUCAACAUUUUUGAAAAUUUAUAGUUUCUGAUUUCAACUUUAAAGUUUGAAACCAGUGGCUUUUUGCAUUUAUUUAAAAUGCUUAAAGUGUCAAGAAAAUAGUUUUCUCCAAUGCUUAUUUACUUUCAUGAUUUAUCAGAAAGUUUGAACAUUUCUUGAGGCCAUUUUGGUUUCAUUGAUUUUAACUAGUUUGAGAUUUUCAUUAUUUGAAGUAGUGGCUAGGGUUUUGAGUUUUUCCUUUGCCACUUUCUUGAUCUUGUUGGAAAAUCUUAGAUGCAAAUGCAAAGUAGACAUGAGCACAAGACUAACUUGCUUAAGGGUUAGGGAUGUGACAACUCACCCCCACUCAAAAGAAUCUCGUCCCGAGAUUUAGAAGUCGUCGGGAAUAACGCAGGAUAUUCAAGUCGGAGACGAUCCUCUCUUUCCCAAGUUGCCUCCUUUUCAGAAUGGUUUGACCAUUGAACUUUAAGAAACUUGAGGUUUCGACGUCGAGUGGUACGCUCAGCUUGAUCAAGAAUACGCACGGGGUAUUCUCGGUAUGAAAGGUUAUCCUGGAGAUCAAGCGUUUCGUGGUCCACUUCACGGAUAGGAUCCGAAAAGCAACGCCUGAGUUGCGAGACGUGGAAAACAUCAUGAACCUUGGAAAGAUACGGAGGAAGUUCCAACUGGUAGGCAACUUCUCCUCGUUUGGCAAGAAUGCGAAAAGGACCAAUGUAACGAGGAGCCAAUUUGCCCUUGAUACCGAAUCGAUGGGUACCCUUCAAAGGUGUAACCCGAAGGUAAGCCUUCUCGUCAACUUCAAAGGUCACAACCUUAUGAUGACGAUCAUAUUGGCUCUUUUGACGAGACUGGGCUGUUUUCAACUUUUCACGAAUAACGCGAACCUGCUCUUCUGCAUCCUGGAUCAUAUCCGGGCCAAAGAGUUGCCUCUCUCCGGUUUCUGACCAAUUAAGAGGUGUCCGACAUCUUCGUCCAUAGAGAACUUCAAAAGGGGCUUUGCCCAAGCUUGAUUGGUAACUAUUGUUAUAAGCGAAUUCGGCGAAUGGAAGACACUUCUCCCAAUUCAUACCGAACGAAAUAACACAAGCUCGGAGCAUAUCUUCUAGGAUUUGAUUCACUCUUUCUACUUGACCACUUGAUUGAGGAUGGAAAGCAGUGCUAAAAGAUAGGUGAGUCCCCAUGGCAUUCUGAAAACUUUCCCAGAAGCGAGAAGUAAAGAUACUUCCGCGGUCCGAGUUAAUCUCCAGGGAAACACCAUGAAGAGACACUAUUCGGGAGAUAUAUAACUCUGCUAGCUGGCUAGCUGUUAUACUCUCACGAACCGGAAGAAAAUGAGCCACUUUGGAAAGACGGUCAAUGACCACAAAGAUAGCAUUAUUUCCUUUCUUGGUCUUGGGAAAUCCGGUAAUGAAAUCCAUGCUAACUUUAUCCCAUUUCCAUUCAGGAAUAGCUAAAGGCUGAAGGGUGCCAGCAGGCCUUUGAUGUUCUGCCUUAACUCCACGACAAACGUCGCAGUUAGCAACGAACUCAGCAAUUUCUCUCUUCAUCCUAGUCCACCAGAACCUUUGGUAUAGGUCCUGAUACAUCUUAGUACUACCGGGAUGAAUGGUGAGAGGAAAAUCAUGAGCCUCCUUAAGGAUUAACUGCCUUAGAUGUGGGUUCUUAGGAACCACUAAACGAUUCUGGAAGAACACCACACCUUGAUCGUUCAUGGAAAAUUCUUUAGCGUUUCCGCUAAAAAUAUUCUCCUUGAUCCGUGAUAUACCCUUGUCACGCUUUUGGCCAGCUAUAAUUUGAUCCUUAAGAGUAGGCUUCGCCACCAGGGUAGAAAGGAAUCCUUGAGGAACAAUAUGAAGAUUCAACUUCUGAAAGUCCUCAUGGAGAUGUGGUUGACCUUGUUGUAGCAUCAAAUUGUUACAAUAAGAUUUACGACUUAGUGCAUCAGCCAUAACAUUGGCCUUCCCCGGGGUGUAAGUUAUCCCUAAGUCGUAAUCCGAGAUCAACUCAACCCACCGUCUUUGCCUGAGAUUCAAAUCCGGCUGGGUGAAGAUAUAUUUCAGACUUUGGUGAUCAGUGAAUAUUUCGCAACGAUUACCCAGAAGGUAAUGUCGCCAGGUUUUAGUGCAUGGACCGCAGCUGCAAGCUCAAGGUCAUGUGUGGGAUAGUUAUCCUCAUGUGGACGCAACUUUCGAGAUGCGUAUGCGAUCACAUGACGAUCUUGCAUGAGAAUGCAACCUAAUCCUUGUCGCGAGGCGUCGCAAUAGAUAACAAAGUCCUUAGAAAAAUCUGGUGGUAGCAACACAGGUGCAGAAGUCAGGCGUCUUUUCAGUUCCUGAAAACUAUGCUCACACUUUGGUGUCCACUCGAACUUUUUGUCCUUCUUGAGGAGUUCAGUUAGAGGCUUUGCAACCUUGGAGAAAUUCUCGACAAAGCGGCGACAAUAGCUCGCUAGACCAAGAAAACUCCUAACUUGCUUAACCGAUUCAGGUUGAGUCCAAUCAAGGACAACUUGAACUCUCUCGGGAUUGACAGCAAUACCCUUACCAGAGAUUACGUGGCCUAGAUAGGUCACUUCUGGUAACCAGAAUUCACAUUUUGAAAAUUUGGAAUAAAGGCGAUGCUCUCGAAGUUUCAUCAAUACCAACCUUAGAUGCUCGGCAUGUUCUUGUUUAUUCUUCGAGUAGAUGAGAAUAUCAUCGAGGUAUAAUACGACGAAUUUAUCCAAAUACUCCAUGAAGAUUGAAUUCAUCAGACGAGAGAAGGUGGCUGGGGCAUUGGUUAAACCGAAGGACAUAACGGUGUACUCAUAUUCGCCAUAACGAGUAACAAAAGCCGUUUUUGGAAUGUCCCCGUUCUUAAUCUUGAUUGGAUGGUAUCCCAACCUCAAAUCCAUUUUGGAGAAGACUGAGGAUCCAGCGAGCUGAUCGUACAGAUCGUUGAUCCUGGGGAGCCGAUACUUGUUCUUUAUGGUGACCAGAUUAACUGGUCGGUAAUCUACAACCAUCCGAUCCGUUCCGUCUUUCUUCUUGACGAAGAGGACGGGGCAAGCCCAAGGAGAAGAGCUAGGACGAAUGAAACCCUUGUUAAAGGCCUCAUCUAAUUGCUUCUUAAGUUCGGCUAGCUCCAGGGGUGCCAUCUUAUAUGGUCUUCUGGCUAUUGGGACAGUUCCCGGAACAAGAUCUAUCACGAACUCUACAUCUCUGUCAUGUGGAAUUCCUGGCAGUUCCUCUGGAAAGACAUCCGGGAAGUCACGGACUACCAGAAUGUCUUCGAGUUCCGGAAGAGGGUUGGCAUUUAAGGAAUAGAGUUGGCAUUUGGCAACUCGAGUGGAGACAUUUACUAUCUCACCCGAGGGAUGGGUAAGCUGGACAUUUCUAGAAUGAGUAUCAAUCUUGGCAUACUGAGCUGACAUCCAAUCCAUGCCCAAGAUGAUAUUAAUAUCCGAAGAUUUCAAGGCUAUCAAUGAGGCUAGAAAAACUAGCCUAUCUACUAGAAUUUCAUUGUCAUAGGUUAUCCUAGAGGUUUGCCAUUUACUACCAGGGGUUUGGACAACCAAUGGGAUUGGCAUAUCACAAAAAGACAUGUUAUGCAACUGUGCAUAACUUUCUGAAAUGAAGGAAUGAGAAGACCCAGUGUCAAAGAGAACGGACGCUGGGUGAUGAUUAACAAGAAGCAUACCCAGCAUGACGUCGGGAUCCUCUGCAGCUUCUUCUGCUGACACAUAGUUCACACGGCCACGUGCAGGAAUUGGCUUCACAUAAUAAGCUUUGCCCGACUUGGCUUGCCCGACGGACUUUCCGGGUUGCUUGGCACCCACAUUCUAAGGACACUCACGGGAAUAGUGCCUUGGUUCUCCACACUUGUAGCAUAUCACCUGGUUGGCACGUGGUGCAGCAUUGCUAGCUGGACCACCAUAAGCUUUUGAUGGAGGGUUGGCCUGAUUCGUCUGAGGCGCCACGUAGGAUGGCCUCGGAGUGUAUCUUGGCGGCAGAGAACUGUUUGGAACCCACAGCCUGUGUUUUGGAAACGCGUAACCAGAAGAUGAGCCAAAGUCACGGGAGUGCUUCCUUGUGGCCUCGAAAUCAGUAUGACCAGUCUCGGCACUGAUCGCUUUGUUGACCAGGGCUUGAAAGCUUGCACACUCAUGGAGGCGCAGGUCACGACAGAGCUCAGGGCUCAGACCCUUACGAAACCUUGCUUGCUUCUUGGCGUUAGUAGACACCUCCUCUGUUGCAUAGCGGACGAGGUUACCGAACUCGCGGCUAUAGGCAUCCACAGACAACUUGCCCUGAGUGAAGGCACAUAACUCCUCUCUCUUUCUGUCCAUCAGGCCCUCUGGAAUAUGGUGCAGACAAAAAGCUGCACUGAAGUCUGCCCAUGUGGCCACUGGUUCAGCGGGACGCAUAGCUUCAAAAUUCUCCCACCACAGAUUGGUGGGUCCUUCCAGGAAAUACGCUGCAAAGGUGACCUUGUCGGCCUCAGACACAUUCACAGAGCGAAUCUUGCGUGAGAUGCUGCACAGCCAGUCAUCAGCGUCGAGGGGAUCGACGGAAUGAUGAAACUGUGGAGGAUUCAGCUUCACAAAGUCAUUGAGGGACACUACGGCAUUCCUAGGCUGUCAAGCCGUAUUCUAUUCAAUACGCUCUAGCAGUCGAUUGGUCUCCCUUUUGUUUCUUUCUACCUCAAGCAUCACUUCCACCAGAGAAGGCGGGUGAGGCAGGUCUUCCUGCGACGCUUGACUACCCUCACCUUGCUCAUGAGCAGGGGCACGGUUCAACCUGGUGAACACCAUCCUGACAAACAAACUCAUAGCUUAGACCAAUAUCAUAUCAAUACUAACUAUGGAGUAAGAAUGUACUGAACACACGGAAUGCGGAAAUGAAUAUCCAAACAGCAUGGUAACAAGCAACUGCUAUAUAUACACCAUGGUUCAUACACACCCUUACAUAGUUCAGUACACCCUUAACCGAGGGGCAAACUACUGAAAUUGUGAAACUACUCAUCAGAGGCUUACAAGCUUCCUAUACAUUAUUUAUCUAGGCCUCCGGAAAUCAUUUCACUUUACAUGCAUACUUCACAAGUCAUGCAGGACUGUGAACGUACGGCUACUACCAUACUAUCCUUCCGCUCACAGCUCAGGCAUCCGCAUAGAACAUCUCAUAGAGAUUACCAGCUCAACCUGCUGAUCAGGAAACACUCUAGCCUGAGAUCCCUGGGAUCCAUAAGGACACGGAUGUGGCCUUGGUCCCCUGACUGGUGGUAAGAGGGGUCCCCGAAGAGGUGUGACUCCUCCUAUAGCUGGCCAGUCAACGUGAGCCGGAAGAUGGGUCCUAACAGGGUUCAGCAUCUCCAUCUCUCCAUACCCUGUCUGGACUACCGGUGCCAGCUGCGUCAAAGCUGUCCACAGACGGGCACGGGUAGCAUAAAGCUCCAUACGGAGAGCACGAGCAUCCCUGUCUCCGUUCUCUAGCAUCUCAACAGUGGACUGCAGAAGUGGAUCCUCCAUAGAAGAAUCAAAAUAGACUCCACUGAGGUAUCCCUCUUCACCAGGCUGAGAGGCCGGAACAUAGCAGAACUCUGAAUUCUGCAGUAGUGCAUGUCUCGCUCUCAUAAUGGUCAGCAUUGAAUAGGCAGCAUCUUGUACUGCCAUGUCAACAGUGACCCCCAACCCAUAGGACCAAUGGAUUGGCUUCUCCGCUCCAGGGUAAUCUGGAAAUACCCUAACAGUGCAGAUGUACUGGCUCUGGUUGAAGUCUCGGUACUGUUCCUCCACUGUGUACUCGGGGUACCAGCGCUAACCGCACACCGAAAUCACCCUGACCAGCAUGGCCGUAUGACCCGACACAUCAAUGCACCUGGUCAGACGUACCACCUAACGAGAAGGACGGCCAGGCAUCUGUAAAUAGAGAGUAAUGCAAAAGCAUUAGAGCUCUGAAUACAAAAUUGGGCAGUAUAACGACUGUAAAUGCUCAAAAACAAAUUUUGAGACAACCCAAAAUGGAAUAGCGUAACCACUCAACUAUCAAGUUCAACUCUAUGAUCAUCAAACUUACUUCCUGCUUCCUAGGAAUAAAAGAAACCAAUAUCCCUUGACCUGUAGUCCUAUAAUCUACCGAUCAGAAACACGAGCCUAGGAGAAGAUGAGUAACCUAGUCCUUAAUUCCCGGAGAAAAGACGAGAAUGACCAGAAUAGAAUAACUUGAGAAGAGAACAAGAGUCUUACGUUCCCUUCCACAAACAAUUCCCUUAUAUAUAACUAAAGCAAUUCUAGACUCAACUUCGACCAGUUUGGCUUAGUAAUCCUACAGUCAGUCAGGCUCUGAUACCAACGCUGUCGGGACCCCGAUCCUAAGCCAUAGGAAUCCAGCCUGUAACACAUCGCAUCGCUUUGUGGUCUCACGCACGGUUAACUCCACGGCUGCAGCCUUACCUUAGCCGGGACCGUUUGCGUCUUUUGACUCACGUAUGCGAUAGUGUCUCUAGCAAUCCAAUGUCAAAGAACCCGGAUCGACAUGUCUAGUCAUAANNNNNNNNNNNNNNNNNNNNNNNNNNNNNNNNNNNNNNNNNNNNNNNNNNNNNNNNNNNNNNNNNNNNNNNNNNNNNNNNNNNNNNNNNNNNNNNNNNNNGGAUCGGGGUCCCGACAACCUCUCAACAACGGCACGAGCCUGAAAUCCCUAUUUCAUCACUUGGAACAUCUCGUAUGUCCCGCGACAUUUGAAACGUCUUUAGCGCCUCAAUUCUAAGACGUUUAAGCAUUAUGCACUGAACUAUCAUGUAGUCAUCGAAAAUGUGUAUGCCAGAUGUUCGCAACAUCUACAGAUGCCGUUCGGGGUUUAGCACACCGAGCGAUGCAUUACGGACAUAUGCCUUCUAUGCAGCAAUGGGGACAAUCCUCAGUUUAAGGACCUAGUCCGCAUGAUUGCUACUAUCAUCUUUCAACUAAAUUUUCUCAAGGAACAUAUUAAAGACAGUAGAGCUACAACGAAAACUAGAACUAAACGGACUAUGUUCAUGAUAAUGAGGUCAAUUAAUCAUAUUACNNNNNNNNNNNNNNNNNNNNNNNNNNNNNNNNNNNNNNNNNNNNNNNNNNNNNNNNNNNNNNNNNNNNNNNNNNNNNNNNNNNNNNNNNNNNNNNNNNNNNNNNNNNNNNNNNNNNNNNNNNNNNNNNUUAAUCAUAUUACUUAAUAACUCCCACUCAAAUUGACAUCCCUCUAGCCAUUCGAGUGUCGCAUGACCAGAAUCUACUAACUCAAGUCCGAUCAUGACGUGAGUUGAGUUUAGCUUCAAUGGUGAACAUCUCCAUGUUGAUCAUAUCAACUAUAUGNNNNNNNNNNNNNNNNNNNNNNNNNNNNNNNNNNNNNNNNNAUGCUAGGCUCGUCAAGUCAACCUAAGUGUUUCGCGUGUGUAAAUCUGGCUUACACCCGUUGUAUGCAAACUUUAGAAUCUAUCACACCUGAUCAUCACGUGGUGCUUCGAAACAACAAUCCUCAUAAUGGUGCACACUUAGGGGGAACACGUUUCUUGAAAUUUUAGUGANNNNNNNNNNNNNNNNNNNNNNNNNNNNNNNNNNNNNNNNNNNNNNNNNNNNNNNNNNNNNNNNNNNNNNNNNNNNNNNNNNNNNNNNNNNNNNNNNNNNNNNNNNNNNNNNNNNNNNNNNNNNNNNNNNNNNNNNNNNNNNNNNNNNNNNNNNNNNNNNNNNNNNNNNNNNNNNNNNNNNNNNNNNNNNNNNNNNNNNNNNNNNNNNNNNNNNNNNNNNNNNNNNNNNNNNNNNNNNNNNNNNNNNNNNNNNNNNNNNNNNNNNNNNNNNNNNNNNNNNNNNNNNNNNNNNNNNNNCACCAUGAUCUCCAUCAUCACGAUCUCCAUCAUCGUGUCUUCAUGAAGUUGUCUUGCCAACUAUUACUUCCACUACUAUGGCUAACAGUUAGCAAUAAAGUAAAGUAAUUAUAUGGCAUUUUUGAUUGACACACAGGUCAUACAAUAAAUUAGGACAACUCCUAUGGCUCAUGCCAGUUGUGAUACUCAUCGACAUGCAAGUCGUGAUUCCUAUUACAAGAACAUGAUCAAUCCCAUACAUCACAUAUAUUUCAUCACAUUGUUUUGGCCAUAUCACAUUACAUAGCAUACCCUGCAAAAANNNNNNNNNNNNNNNNNNNNNNNNNNNNNNNNNNNNNNNNNNNNNNNNNNNNNNNNNNNNNNNNNNNNNNNNNNNNNNNNNNNNNNNNNNNNNNNNNNNNNNNNNNNNNNNNNNNNNNNNNNNNNNNNNNNNNNNNNNNNNNNNNNNNNNNNNNNGUUGUUGCAAGUUUUACAUGGCUGCUAUGGGUUUCUAGCAAGAACGUUUCUCACCUAUGUUACAGCCACAACGGUGAUAUGCCAAUUGCUAUUUACCCUGCAUAAAGACCCUCUUCAUCAAAUCCGAUACGACUAAAGUGGGAGAGACAGACACCCGCUAGACACCUUAUGCAACAAGUGCAUGUCAGGCCGUGGAACCAGUCUCACAUAAUCGUACGUGUAAAGUCGGUCUGGGCUGCUUCAUCCCACAAUGCGGCCGAAUCAAGAUAGGACUAGUAACAGUAAGCAAAUUGACCAAAUCAUCGCCCACAACUUACUUGUGUUCUACUCGUGCAUAGAAUCUACGCAUAGACCUAGCUCAUGAUGCAACCGUUGGGGAAUGUAGUAAUAAUUCAAAAUUUUCCUANNNNNNNNNNNNNNNNNNNNNNNNNNNNNNNNNNNNNNNNNNNNNNNNNNNNNNNNNNNNNNNNNNNNNNNNNNNNNNNNNNNNNNNNNNNNNNNNNNNNNNNNNNNNNNNNNNNNNNNNNNNNNNNNNNNNNNNNNNNNNNNNNNNNNNNNNNNNNNNNNNNNNNNNNNNNNNNNNNNNNNNNNNNNNNNNNNNNNNNNNNNNNNNNNNNNNNNNNNNNNNNNNNNNNNNNNNNNNNNNNNNNNNNUCGCGGCGAUUCAAAUCACGGAAGAUAUGAUCCAAGCACCGAACGAAUGGUGCCUCCGUGUUCAACACAUGUAUAGCCCGAGGACUUUUCCUCCUUGAUCCAGCAAGGGGGGAGAAGUUUGAGGUACAGCUCCGGCAACGACGACGGCGUGGUGGUUGUGGAGCUUGUGGUUCUCCAGCAGGGCUUCGCCAAGCGCUGUGGAGGAGGAAAUGUAGGAGGUGUAGGGCUGCGCCAGGUGGAGAGAAUUCAGGUGUGUCUGCAGCCCUCUCAGCCCUCCUGUAUUUAUAGGAGAAAGGGGAGAGGGGGUCGGCCACCCCUAGAUGACCUUGGAGGGGGCGGCGGCGGACAAGGGGGAGGCUUGCCUCCCAAGUUGGUGGGAGGGAGCCCCCACGCCCUAGGGUUUCUAACCCUAGGCUCCUUGGGCCCUUGGGUGGUGCGCACCAGCCCACCACGAAGCUGGUUCCCUCCCUCUUUCGGCCCAUGUGGCCCUCAGGGACAGGUGUCCCCUCCCGGUGGACCCNNNNNNNNNNNNNNNNNNNNNNNNNNNNNNNNNNNNNNNNNNNNNNNNNNNNNNNNNNNNNNNNNNNNNNNNNNNNNNNNNNNNNNNNNNNNNNNNNNNNCUCUCUCCCUCCUCCCGGAUCUCUUCCUCCUCCCUGCUGCCGCCAUUGGAGCCGAGCAAAGCUCGAGCUGCCCGUGCCCCUUGCCUUAGCCUCCUCUUGCUGAGCACGCCGUUAGCUCCACCUCGUCGCGCCGGUCCUCUCUGCAGAAGCCGAAGCUUCCCCGAGCUCUGCAUCGCCCCAACGCCAUCGUCUUCCACCUCCGGCCGCCGGACCUCUCCCGUCGAUUCGCUCCCUCCGGCGCACCCCCGAGCCCCUCAACAACACCAUCGGAACCGCGGUGAGCUCGUCAUCGUUUCCCCUCUCGCCCCACGCUCUUACGUGCAUCGUAGCCCCGUUCCCCACCAAGGCCGAGAGCUCCUCGCCGCCGGUCAUGUCGUCGCCGUCGCUGUGGUGUCUGAUCCACGCGCUUGAGCUAUGGUUCGAGCUCCUGGAGCCUCCAGGAGUGCGAUGAGCCCUCCAGCUGCCCUCCCCGUGCCCUAGAGCCGUCUCUCAUAGAAGGCCGAGCUUCGGCCGCCGCUUCGGCUCAUCGUCGGCGCCCCUUCCGGCGACCCUAGCUUCCCCUGAUGCCCCCGCUAGAUGCGGCGUUGCACCAGCUAUCCGUAGCUGCUUUCUGCGCCCAAAGCCGACGACCGAUGCGCAGUCUAGCUUCCUCCGGCGAGCCCUCCGCCACGCCCGUGGUCGCCGCCGGCCAUGCUCCGGUGGGGGUCGACAUGGCAAAGCUAACCCAGUAGAUUAGGAGCUUAAUCUCUCGCUGACAGUGGGCCCAAGGCCAAGUCAACUCGGUUUAGGGACUGGUCAGCGCGGGAUUAGUCCUAGAGAGGCUGACCAGUGGGUCCCCCCUGUCAGGUUUGACCUGAACAGGUCGGCUGACCUGCUGACGUCAGUCUGGUGCAAUAAAAAGAAUUUCCAGUAUAGAAAUAAUUCCAGUAAAUUGCUAAAACUUGUAAAAAUCAUAGAAAUUAAUCUGUAACUCCAAUGAAAAUAAUUUAUAUAUGAAAAAGUAUCAGAAAAAUUCAAGGAUUCUGAUUAUGCUAUUUUCAACCAUGUUUGAAAAAGUUACAGAACCCUAAAAUGUGGAAUAAGGAAUAAUUCAAUUCUUAUAUUUACUUUUUAAAUGGAAUUUGGAAAAUUAUUCAAAUUUCAUUAUGAAUGCAAUGAUCACACACUGUCCUAGUUACAAAUCAGUACCUUAACAUGACAACUCAUGCAUGCUAACAUCAAAUUGAUCUGAGCAUCAGGUCGAAUCAAUUAAACCGGUAUCCGAGACUACCUCGUUCGAAUUGAUUUUGAAUGUGAUUCAAGUCAACUUCAAACCUAACACAUGUUGAUUAUAAUAAUACCACCUUGCAUUCUCAUGCCAUGCUCAUGCAUCAUUUUGAUUGCAUAUGAUUGUUAUUAAUUGUUGCCAUUCAUCUCGGUAGGCUCCGCACCCUCGGAUUCCACCGAAUAUCCGUCUGACGGAUAUCGUUCCUCCUCUGAGCAACAAGGCAAGCAACCCUUUUGAUCAUCCCGAUAAUUCCCAUGUUCUUGCUCCUGCACUUAUUUAUUGCAUUNNNNNNNNNNNNNNNNNNNNNNNNNNNNNNNNNNNNNNNNNNNNNNNNNNNNNNNNNNNNNNNNNNNNNNNNNNNNNNNNNNNNNNNNNNNNNNNNNNNNNNNNNNNNNNNNNNNNNNNNNNNNNNNNNNNNNNNNNNNNNNNNNNNNNNNNNNNNNNNNNNNNNNNNNNNNNNNNNNNNNNNNNNNNNNNNNNNNNNNNNNNNNNNNNNNNNNNNNNNNNNNNNNNNNNNNNNNNNNNNNNNNNNNNNNNNNNNNNNNNNNNNNNNNNNNNNNNNNNNNNNNNNNNNNNNNNNNNNNNNNNNNNNNNNNNNUUGUGUAUGGUCUGUCAUCUGGGAGAUGAACAGAAUUGUGAGAAUGCGUUCGGUGAGCAAAGGUUGUGUGUUGAACUUGAUUUGGUAAAGGUACCGGUGAAAGGCUGUGUAGGAGUACAUGGCGGGUUGUUUCAUUGGAACCGUCCUUAGGAACUGAGUUUCGUGUAUGUAAUCCAAGACUAGAUACUACCACAUGCUGGGCCCUGAAAUAUGACCCCGCUCGGCAUAUUAACCGCGUAGUACUCGGUCGAGGAGUUGCAAGUAGUUUCUGGUGUUUAUAGUAAUGCUGGAGGCCGUGCAUGGUGCUGACCUGAGAGGUGGACCGUGAUGCGGUAGGCAGUNNNNNNNNNNNNNNNNNNNNNNNNNNNNNNNNNNNNNNNNNNNNNNNNNNNNNNNNNNNNNNNNNNNNNNNNNNNNNNNNNNNNNNNNNNNNNNNNNNNNGAAUUCCAAUGCAGCCAUAAGUGAGAUUGGAUCGGUAGAAAUACUCAUGAAGGGAAGGAAUUUCACAUGGAGUAACAUGUAACAGGUCCCUCUAUUGAAAAAAAAAAUCAUUUGUGUUUUUCCUCUAAAUUGUGGACUCUAAACUACCCAAACACAAUAGCCUCUUGUCUUUCAAUACCCGUAUGAGAUCAUGUUCUAUGCAUUAUUCAAGUGGGCACAAACAUACCCAAAUAAAAUAAUUUUAGAUUUGAGAACUACUGGAUGGAAUUGCCUGAUUUUAAGGAAGUAGUCAAAAAUAUCCGGGAUCAUAAUCUGCAUAUGAAGAGUAUUGUAAAGAUCAUUACAACAAAACUUAAAAGAUUGUGAAAAGCUUUGAAAAUAUGGUCUAGCUUUGACCACUAAGAACUCCAAUGAGAUGAUCACCUUGUUGGAUAUCAUAGACGAAGCAAGAGCACUCACUACUCAAGAAUGGAUUUUUUUUUGGAAAAGGAGGUUAAACCUCCGGCCUCUGCAUCAAUUGAUGCAUGCAGCCAUCUUUAUUAAUUAUUUCACAAAGGUCUAACAAGAGUAUACAUCAAUCCACCCAAAGCCACCACUCACACCUACAAACUCGAUAAUGUGGAGUGCUCGCACUCCACAUAUCUAAGACCGGUGUUGUCGCCAAUCCAUCCACAUAACGUAUCGGGAGCAACAGCCGGUGCAGCACACCUAAAAUGCACACCUCACGCACACGUUUUACAAGCCGCCAUCAUCAUUAAACCACUGACCCAUCUUCAGGAAAGAGAUCCGCAUCAUCCAUGCCAGUCCAAACAUCCGUCGACGCCACCACGGCGCCCAACGGCGCCACCACCCUGCGCUCAUCCGUCCAGAUGCGAAGACUCCGGGAGAUCUGUCGUGCGUAGCACCUGCCAACCAGGCAUGACUCAGCGUAGCACCUGUCGGCCAGGCAUGACUUGAUAGCUCCACCGAAAUUCCAUGCAAGACGAAGCCGCUCCACCUCCUGCCUCAGUCUGCCAGCGCUGCUCCACAAACGAUGCUCCCAAGAGAGAAACGACACCGCAAUACCGCCAUCGUCCGAUCUGGAAGACCAGAUCCUAGGGUUUCCCCCGAAGCAGUGCCCACCACCAGCAACCGUUCAGGACCCACAUAGUGCCCACCACCACUCAGCCCUCUAGGCGACGCCUUCAGGAAGGUCACGACGUCAAGGACGCCGCCGCCGCCCACCGGAGUUAGGGUUUUCACCCGAGAGGCAAGCAAGGGGAGCAGAGGAGCAGAUGUAUACCGACGUCUCCAAAAAGAAUAACGGCACCCUCGAGCGUCGUCGGCGGCGCGGCUGGCCUGGGCCAACCAAGGGGUUUCCCCCAAUCCGAAUCUCCUCCACCGGCUUCACCCGCAGGUAGGGCCCCGGCAACCACGCCGGCACCGCCAAGAAUCCGCACUAUCUUAAAUCUAUUGGAAUAUCAGAGUGCGAUAUGGCGGCGACUAAUGUGUGCUAUUGAUUAUCACAAAAUAAUAGCAGAUGAUAUAAUGGGUUAACGGAAAUAUUUUCUAUUACAUGAAAACAAGAUGUUGCAUCAUUCGAUUAUUAUGCCAACGAGAAGGAAAAGAAGUCCCUAGGAGUGCAUGUAUUGAAGGGGAAUAAUUUCAUGCAAGGUAAAUUACCAACUCAAGACAAAGGAUAUGCGUGCAAUAUUGACCAGGCGUGGUUUGGCAAGGAAAUAUCGACGUGCACUAAUUCCUUGGAAGAAAAGGCAACAUAUGCUAAUGUGAGGAAUCAUCCCAGAUCUGAUUUAUUUGCAUCGGUCAACAAGAUAAAAGGAAGAGACAUCUUUCUUUUUAUCCCACUCCCACGCAAGUUAAGGUCUAUUAAUUGCAAUAAAUGUACAUGAAGAAUUAGAGACAUGCUAAUCUUGAGAGGGUUUGGUUGGAGUCCUGGGUUGUUAUACGGAAGGGACGACUAAGGCUGCUGGAUACUUUAUUACUUAAAUUUUGAUUAGUUAAAAUAGGAGAGAAAGAGAGUCCGUUUCAAUAUAGAGUAAUUAGGUCGGUUUUGUUGUUUGUGUGUUGCUUAUAAAAUGGGCUGGCGAGGACCAAUGUACACAUGUUACUUUUUAUGAUACUAGCACAAAUGCCCGUGCGUUGCAACGGGACAAAAUUUUAAACUAUAUUUCAAUUUUAAGCAAAUACAUAUUCAAAUCUAAUCAAUUGCAUCAUUCAAAUAAAAGUAUAUAUUUGGAUAAAAAUAUCCCUUUAUGCUCUAUGAAUUUUAUUUCAGAAACAUACGAAUUUUGAAGGAGCAAACAUUUUUGUGGAUGCAUGAACUUUAUUUGAAAUUGUAGAAUAAUGGUGGCAAAGCGACGAGAGAGAUGGUAAAACAGAGUGGAGUGCUCCCCCUCCCAGCUCGCGUGCCGGGCUGAAACAGGACGCGGACAACAUGCUCUCUCUUCAUCCCUCCAUCUCUUCUCCGUAUCUCAUCAACAACAUCAAUGACAUCCCGAGUUAAGGGGUAUCUUAAUUGUCAGCAAAUCCUAAUGAGCUUCAAUUAUCUUCUUCGUUAAAAAAUAAAAUAUAGAAAAAAUAAUGAAUAUAAAAACAUACCCAUUUUUUUUGUUUUUGCAACCGGUAGUACACAUAGCAUGCAACAUCUAGCAACUUGUGAUAGGUGUAACCAUUUAACCUUUAAAAAAAAAAGCAAAGCAAAUAGACCAAAAAUCCCCACCUAGAGAGCUCCCUUAUCCACAUAGCGCUGCUCAUUCUGAACUUUGAUUGUGAUUGGUAGCACAUAACAGAUCCAACAGCGAUGCAACCAUCAAAAAAGCGAAUAGACCAAAAAAUCUCCCUUAUCCAAACAUAGUUGCUUGUCAUCAACCCACCACCGCAAGGAGAGCUUCUCCAACCCGCCCCAGUUCUUCCCUUCGUGCUCUCUCCAGCCACACACGCGCCCGUGCUCCAGCCACGCUCUCUCCAGCCACGCACGCGCCCGUGCUCCAGCCACACCCCCACUGUGCCGCGUACUUUCUAUUCCCUCCUCCAUUCCACAUGCAUCCUCAGGGACCAUGGCGCCAGAUCGAGCGAGCAAAGAUGCGCGCGGUAAGGAUCCCCCUCCCGCCCCUGAUUCCCCCCUUGGUGGCCUCGCACCUCUCCGCGCCUAUGAUACACUACGCCUCCUGGAGUGCACCAGGGCCGGCGAGGGGCGGGGUUGAGACGGUGUGGGGAAGGGGGGCCACACGAUCCAGCCGGUGGCGGUGUGUUUGUCGAGUGCACGCCGUGCGCUCCCGACUCUGCUCUGCUCCAACGCCCGACCUUGUGUGUCUGCCGAAUGCACGCCGCCCUACAUCACCAGCACCUACAGCCCCGAGCAUCGUCGCCGUUUCAUCGAGCAACAUCGAGGAAGGAGACCUGCUUCCCCUGAAUCGAGACGAAGCUGCGAGGCCAGCUCGCGUCCUCCAUCCUCCCACGCCGCCGAACCGUAGCCGUAUCCGCAGAGGAAGGGGAUGAAUACGGUCUGGAUCUGGGUUGGAUAGGGGGUUAUCCUGUAAAAAGGAAAUGUUAUCUCAGUAAAAACAGGACUGCAGGUUAAUUAUCAAAAAAUAGGAGGGCUUUUUUGCAAAACUGACACGGCGGGUUUUCCGACAGAAGCAAUAGCCUCUUUAUUAUUAGGUAAAGAUGGACACAAUGUAUUUUUUACGGUUGACACCCGUAUCAAUUUUUGGAGGGAUCUUUAGAAAACCUCCAUGUUGCGAUUUCUUUGUAGAAAUUGUUUUGCAUGUGAGUACCAUCAUUGAGAUUGGUUUUCCCGUAUUCAGCCACAAGGUUCAAACCCUCUAUUUGGUGUACAUCUCGUGCACUAGUAGACAAAAGGGUCUUUUGGCCGAGGACCGAAAGACCAUUAGUCCCGGUUCAAACGAAAACCGGGUCCCUCGCAUUGGUCCCGGUUCGGUGCCGGGGCAUUGGUCCCUGUUCGGUUCACCUCAUUAGUCCUGUUUCGGGGCAAAACCCGGGACUAAAGAUCCAGCGACUGCCACGUGGCGUGCCGCGGAGCAUUAGUCCCGGUUUGUGGCAAGAACCGAGACUAAAGGGUAGGCUUUUAGUUACGGUUUUUGACAAAAACCGGACUAAAGUGUUGCAUAUAUAAACCCUCGCCCCUAGCCACCCUCUUCUCUGUUUUUUGGCAGUUGAAGUGUGCUCAUGCCAUGCUCUUGCCACUCUAGUUCAUGCACAUGAGGUGUUCGAUGAAAUGUCCGAGCCACACUACUUAAGCUUUCUCCUCUCCAAGCUCGACCUCCAAGCUCCAUUUUCCUCAAUAUUUGUCUAGGUUUGGCCGUCCACCAACUGCACAAGUGUUUUAAAAUGUUAGCUAGUACAUCAUUUCAUCUGUCACUGCUAGUUUAGCUCAUUUCAAAUGCUCAAAUUAACUUCUUAGAGUCUGCACAUGUGUAGGGUGCCGGCUCGUGCCCGUCCUCACCGUUGUCGAUCGCCCUGCGCCGAUCUUGUCGCGAGCACCACCGUGGUGAGCACCUUAUUCUUAUCUUCUUUUUAAAAGAAAAAAUCUUACUUGUAUGAUUUAGAUACAUACUUGUAUAAAUUACUUACUUUCAUUAUUUUUUGUUAUUAUAUAGUGCGAUGAUUUUGGUAUCCGCCUCCGUCGGCCCUCGUCCUGUUUAUGAUUCGGAUGUGGUAUAUAUUAUCUUUUAUAACUAUUUAUUUUAUUUAUUGUUCAUGACAAUUAUGACGACCAACUUGACAUAUAUUUUUUAAUCUAGGAGGUAUGUGAACCGGAAAUUCCAACCCACAUAGAAAUUCUUGUCGAGAAGUUAAAUUUGGUUGAAAAAGAAAACAAAUACUUGAAGGAAAAAUUGAAAAUAAUUGAGGAUAAGAAUAUGGAACUGGAGUUGCAUGUCGCCGAUGUCAUCGAUGAUCGCAAGAUGAAGAUCGAUGCGAUGCGGUUGAAGAUGGAUGCAAUACGCUUGAAGAUUAGGAAUAUUAGAAAAUAUGUCAUGGAUAAAGAGGCUCGGUAUCAUUAUGUUGUUGGGUCAAUUGUUACCUUAGUUGCGAUUUUGAUCGCAUUUGUUGUUGCAUUUAAAUGUUUAACAUAGUUGUAUGUUGUUUUAUGACAGAACUUUGUGUCUUUUUUUGCAAUAAUAACAUUUGAUCCCUACUGUGCUUUGGUUUUAAUGUGAUGAUGAACUUGUAUUAAUUUGGUCAUACGUUCUGCAAUGGUUUUUUGAUAUACUUAAUUUCAUAAUAGAGAUAAACCGCCAAUGGAUGUAUGGUGACCGACACACUUCGGAGUACAUUACGAACCGGGAAUAAUGCCCGAGUCACACUUAAGUUCACAAAAAAUGGUAUCCUCGACCGAGGUUAGCAACCUUACCCUUUUCAUCUGUAAUUGAUACAAAAAUAUUGCAUGUGUCAAUGUACGGUGGCCAUUUCAAUAUUCAUCUAUGAUGCCAGAUCAAUGCACAGAAGCGAUGGAUGUGGCUGAGGCAAACAAAGUGGAUAAUUUUAUGCCUUGUCCAUGUGUUGUCUGUCGAAACGUGAAGGAGUACUCUAGCUCAAAAAACAUUCAUCUCCACUUGCUUCAGAGAGGUUUCAUGCCCACAUAUUAUUGUUGGACCAUGCACGAAGAAAGAGGGGUUAGGAUGGAAGACAAUGAAGAAGAAGAUGAUGAUGACAACUAUCCUAUGUUCACUGCAAAAUACGGUGAUACUACAAUGGAAGACAAUGAAGAAGAAGNNNNNNNNNNNNNNNNNNNNNNNNNNNNNNNNNNNNNNNNNNNNNNNNNNNNNNNNNNNNNNNNNNNNNNNNNNNNNNNNNNNNNNNNNNNNNNNNNNNNNNNNNNNNNNNNNNNNNNNNNNNNNAGACAAUGAAGAAGAAGGAGGUGAAGAACAACCGGCAUCUGAUGAGCCUGCUGAUGGUCUUGGUCGGGUCAUUUAUGAUGCAAAGAGAGAAUGCGAUACAGAAAAGGAGAAGCUGAAAUUGGAGGCCAUGCUAAAGGAUCAUAAAAAGUUGUUGUACCCAAAUUGCAAAGAUGGCAGCACAAAGUUCGGUACUGUAGAAAUGGAAGGCACAAACUGGUUUAUCUGACAAGGAAUUUGAGAAGUUACUGAAAAUAUUGAAGCCGAAGCUUCCAAAGGAUAAUGAAUUGCCCGAGACUAUGUACGAAGCAAAGAAGGCUAUCUGCCCUCUUAGAUUAGAUGUGCAGAAGAUACAUGCAUGCAUUAAUGAAUGCAUCCUGUACCACGGUGAGAAUUACGAGAAUAUGGAUAAAAGCCCGGUAUGCACUGCAUGUCGGUACAAUAUCAGACAGGAUGACCCUGGUGAUGUUGAGGGCGAUGACGAGCCCUCUAGGAAGAAGGUUCCUACUAAGGUUAUGUGGUAUGCUCCUAUNNNNNNNNNNNNNNNNNNNNNNNNNNNNNNNNNNNNNNNNNNNNNNNNNNNNNNNNNNNNNNNNNNNNNNNNNNNNNNNNNNNNNNNNNNNNNNNNNNNNNNNNNNNNNNNNNNNNNNNNNNNNNNAUGUGGUAUGCUCCUAUAAUACCACAGUUGAAACGUCUGUUCAGAAACAAUGAGCAUGCCAAGUUGAUGCGAUGGCACAAAGACGAGCGUAAGAAAGACGGGAAAAAGUUGAGAAACCUUGCAGAUUGGUCGCAGUGGAGGAAAAUCGAGAGGGAGUGGCCGGACUUUGUAGAUGACCCAAGGAACUUAUGGCUUGGUCUAAGUACAUACGACAUGAAUCCUUUUGGGGAGCAGAGCUAUAGUUACAGCACCUGGCCCGGGACUCUAUGUAUCUACAAACUUCCUCCUUGGUUGUGCAUGAAGCGUAAGGUCAUUAUGAUGGCAGUGCUCAUCCAAGGACCGAAGCAACCCGGCAAUGACAUUGAUGUGUACCUAAGGCCAUUAGUUGAUGAACUUUUGCAGUUGUGGGCCAAACCAGGUGUACGCGUGUGGGAUGAGCACAAACAGCAGGANNNNNNNNNNNNNNNNNNNNNNNNNNNNNNNNNNNNNNNNNNNNNNNNNNNNNNNNNNNNNNNNNNNNNNNNNNNNNNNNNNNNNNNNNNNNNNNNNNNNNNNNNNNNNNNNNNNNNNNNNNNNNNNNNNNNNAGCAGGAAUUUGACCUACGAGCAUUGUUGUUCGUAAGCAUCAAUGAUUGGCCUGCUCUUAGUAACACUUCAGGACAGUCAAACAAGGGAUACAAUGCAUGCACACACUGUUUAGCUAAGACUAAAGGUACAUAUUUGGAAAAAUCUAAGAAGGUUGUCUACCUAUGGUGUCGUCAAUUUCUUCCGACCAAUCAUCCCUUAAGGAAGAAAGGCAAGCAUUUCAAUGGUGAGGCAGAUAACCAAAAGAAGCCUAACCUCCCUACUCGUGAUGAGUUAUUGGCUAUGGUCAAGGAUUUGGAUCAAAUAGUAAUCUUUGGAAAGGGUCCUAGUGGUUAAUCUGUUCCGAAAGACGACGUUACCGGACACGUGUCCAUGUGGAAAAAGGAAUCUUUAUUUUGGGAGCUACCCUAUCGGAAACACCUAGAGGUCCGGUCUUCAAUCAACGUGAUGCACGUGACGAGGAAUCUUUGCGUGAACCUACUAGGCUUCCUGGGAGUGUAUGGAAAGACAAUAGAUACAACAGAAGCACGGGAGGAGCAGCAACGUAUGAAAGACCCAUACGACAAGAAGGCUGAUAAAGUGCGUCAAUACUUAAGCAGCUAUGCUCUUACCAAAGCAGAGAAGGAAAUCUUUUUUGAAUGCCUGAGCAGUAUGAAGGUCCCCCGCUGGCUUCUCAUCUAAUAUAAAGGGAAUAAUAAAUAUGGCAGAGAAAAAAAUCCAGAACCUAAAGUCUCAUGAUUCACACGUGAUUAUGACAUAGUUGCUUCCGGUUGCAUUGAGGGGGAUUCUACCGGAAAAUGUUCGAUUACCCAUUGUGAAGCUAUGUGCAUUUCUCAAUGCAAUAUCUGGAAAGGUAAUCGAUCGAGAACGUAUGGAAAGGCUAUAGAAGGAUGUGGUCCAAUGUCUUGUCAGUUUUGAGUUGGUGUUCCCCCCGUCCUUCUUCAAUAUUAUGACGCAUCUCCUGGUUCAACUAGUCGACGAGAUUUCCAUUCUCGGUCCUGUAUUUCUACACAAUAUGUUCCCCUUCGAGAGUUUCAUGGGAGUCUUAAAAAAAUAUGUGCAUAACCGUGCUAGGCCAGAAGGAAGCAUCUCCAAGGGCUAUGGAACACAGGAGGUCAUUGGGUUCUGUGUAGACUUUCUUCCUCACCUUAAGCCGAUUGGUGUUCCUGAAUCGCGGCAUGAGGGGAGACUGAGUGGAAAAGGCACACCAGGAAAGAAAGUAAUGAUAUGUAGGGACGGGCAUUCUUUCACUCAAUCUAACGACUAAGAUGCGGCCCUUUCCGAUUUGGGAAACAAGGCCCGAAUUGGAAAGAAGCGCAUCUAAGCAUUUCGCAAGCACGGUAACAUAGCACAUACAUAAUAAUAGUAGAAUGACAAUAAGGGAUUCAACUGCCAUCUCAUAAAUAUAUCAGAGUUACAUCACGCAUCCAACCAAGGUAGUUCCACUACGGACUACAAAACAUGAGAAAUGACUAUGCUAUCCUGCAUGCUUGCCCACGAUCACGACCACACCUUAGUCUUCUGGAUAGUUCACGUACAUGCGGCCGUUCUCCUCAUUGUACUGCCACACCAGCUGCGUGCCGUCGGGUUCACCUGUCUCAAGGGUACCUGAACCUGUUGGUGUUGUGAAGGAAUCUGUGAGCCACGAGGACUCAGCAAUCUAUGACCUUGGUGCCAGAACUAGUCAAGUUAUUAGGUAAGGAGGGUGGAGUGUUUAGGUUGCAGCAUCCUAAGCUUUAUGGUGGCUAACUUACGUAGAACAUAUAUUGAAGGUGGUCUAUACUAGCGAUCAUUGAUUAUCUGAUCACUAAGUGAUCCUGAACACCUACUUACGUCAAUCAUAACCCCCACCAUGUUCCCGACCGAAGAGAGAUCUUUGGAGGGGACAGUCACGGUUACGCACACAGUAGGCAAUUUUAUUAGAGUUACGUUUAAGUUAUUUAUAACCGGUGUUAACAAUUAUUCCAAGUUGCCACAUAACCGCGGGCACGGCUUUCCGAAAGAUUAAACCCUGCAGGGAUGCUCCAACUAGUCCAUCACAAACGGUCACGGGCCGCAAAGUAAUCCGCUAUCACGAAUCUCGUGAUCUCGUCGGAUUCCUUAGAGGAAAACCUCAACUCUGGGGAGAACCAAAGCUUCACCGGGAUUCCUAUACGCAAGAUAUAUCGCUAAGGUAAGACAAGACUAGCAGGACCUCCCGUUGUGUCGACAACCCUGAUAAGAGCCGGGUAUUUGAGUCUCACGACACGACGGAUGAGCUAGACGUCGGGAUGGCUAAACCUCUGGGUGACCAGUGGGGCCCCAGACAUCGCUCAGGUGGGACCAACACUCAUGAGGAGCACUGGCCUGGGUUGUUGAUUAAAUUCCUCGGCGUAGCUAUUCCCUAUGCAGAUUAUUAUUAAGUGAUUAGCAAAUUAACACCAAUAUUGGGUCCUGCCAGACAAGUCUUAACACUACACGAUUUAUCAAGGGGGUCCCCAUAACAACCCCGAACGUGUUAGGAGCGAUCAUUAUGGAAUCAAACACCGGUAGCCCAUAACUAUGGCGUCAAUAACGGAACAAAACACCCAGCAAAAGGCUAGGCCUUCCGUUAUUCACCAAGUAUAUAGGUGCAUUAAUUAAAUAUCAGAUUUAACAUAAUGAUAUCAAGCUCAUGUUAACACAUGAGACAAAGCACCUGCAACUAGCAACGCUAACAUUAGAAGCUUAGCAAAGCCUACUUAGCCAAACAAGAUUUGCUAGGAAGGGUUACGUGUUUGGGUUUCAUGGCAAUAUCAGGAGGCAAUUAUUUCAGUGGUAGGCAGUGAGCAUAUGACGGAAGAAACGUAAUCUAGCAUAACAAGUCUAGAGAUGGAAUCAAGGUCAUGUCAUCUUGCAUGUGACGUCCUCAUCUUGGAACUGCUCUUGUUCGUCCUGCACGUACUCUCCCGUAUCCACGUACUCGUUCUCCGAUCCCGGUGCUACCCAACAUAAAAAUAGCAUCCAAUGAACAAUAGCACCUCAAGAUGCAACAAGCACAUGAUGCAUGAGAUGGAAAUGAACAUGCAUCUCUAUUCUACUCACUUGCACAUGCAUGAGAUGUAAAUGUAAGUUCCUAGACAGAACUGCACUCUAAGCUAUUUUGACAUGCAUGAUAAUGACAUGAUCAAAUGCGUCAUGUGAAAAUGAUGCAAAAACAUAUAAAGAACGUAACGAUCGGAGCUACGGAUCAACGGGAAACAACGAAACAAGAAAUGACAUCCUACGUAUCAAAAUCAUCACAACAUACACCAAUGGCAUACUUCUGGUAUUUCUAGGUUGCCAAGGCAUAAAACAAACCAACAUGGAAGGGGUGGUGCAAAGAAUAUCACCACACCAUCAACUAUGCACUCACAAGCAUCAAAACAUCAAAACUAUACAAUCUGCCAUAAACAGCAUCAUAGCCUUUUCAGACCUACAUGCAAAGCACCUACAUCCACCCAAACAUGCCAAAUAGGAUAUGUGGCAGAAGCUAUUCAAAAGUACUACAAGCACAAGCAAAAAGAUAAUGCAAAGGAGUUUCACACAGAAAGUUACACAACUGCUAACUUAGCCAAAAUAUCAGUUUUCAGGGACUUAGUGAAAAUUCAAGAUUCUCACUAGCUGUUUAUGCUCUGAAGCAUUUUGACAGCAUCCAAAACAAUAUCUACAGGACUCCAAAUGGAAUGAAAAAUUCCAUAGAGUUAGAAAAACACAAAAGCUACAACUUCCCAGUUGAAAGCUAAGGCUCAUUCCCAACACAUGGAUCUCUACAAGCUCAACAAUAGGAGAAGAAAAUAUAAACACACUUAGGGAAAAUCACAGAUUUUCACUAAACUGGAAUUUCAGCCACAUGCCUACUUUGACUAAGCACCACUUGCACAUAUGAGCUACUAAGCGUGAAACAAAACCAACAUGUCAUAGAGGGGGUCACCCUCUAAUGCCACAACAAGGAGUCAACCUCUUGGGCUCACCACAACUCAUGGAACCAAGCUCCAAACAUAGACCAAAUCUGAAAAAUGCCAUCUCCAGAAAAUGUUCCAAAGGCAAAACUGACUUCACCAAUGGAUUCCUGGGAUGAUUCUACCCCAAAAACAUAUAUAAAACCUAUGUGCUUGCAUAGAACAAAUGGGCACAAACUAGAAAAUAAAUCCUACAUGGAAUCACAUAUAGUGAAUAGUGCAUCAUCACAUGUGCUAUUCACUAGAACUACACCUACACAAGCUAUUGCACACUCUCACAAGGCCAAUGGUGACAUGAGGGUUUAGACCUCAUGCAUGUGUGCCAUAGCACAUCACCAUUCCCAAACAAAUACCACAAGCACCACAAGCACCACAACACCUACACAUGCUAAAUAGAAUUCACUUCUACAUUGCACUCACAUAAGCACUUCUACACCUACACAUAAUCUUCUCAUGUGCUCUCCAAGGCACUUCAUGCCUUGGGCAUGUGUGAAACUCACACACACAAACACACCAAAAAGAUAUGAUCAACUAUCUACCCACACACACAUAAGGUAUGUGGGGAGGGGGAAAACCCAUCCACACACACACACACACUUGCACAAGAUCAUCACCAUGAGGAUGAUCAGCAAUCCCACAUAAUCACUAGCCUAAGCAAAACACACAAGUUUUACACACACACAUGCAUGGCAACUAGCUCACAUACACACACACUAUAUAAGAACUAGCACAUACAUCAUAUAUAUGCCACAAGCCUACACCACACUACUCUAAAAAUACCACAUGCUAUCAAAAAUAAUAGACACCACAAGCUGUUGAGAGCUGAAAUAAUAACACAUAGUGUAGAUCACACCAUAGCAACACACAUAAGCACAAAAAAGGAAAAAACAGCAAGAAAGGAAAAAUAAAAAUUAAAAUGGGGUGGUAGGUUUCGAACCCAGGACCUCCUGGAACCACCACAGAAACAACAACAACUACACCACCCUGCUAGACGCCACUUUCUCGGCAGUAUAGGGGGUGCAUCCCAGGUAACUAGUCCCUGUGCCACUGUGCCAAACAAAUAAAAUGCAAAAGGGGUGCCGAGGGGGGAAUCGAACGACCAGCUACUAGCACCAAAACCACCACUACCACUACGCUACUAGAAGGGAUCUUAACAGGGGAGGGGAUUUACUCUUUUGAGUAACCCCUCUCAGCAAUUCCUCUGCCCGACGGUGGCCGGAACAGGGGACGGUGCUCGCUGGUGAUAUACUACAAAUCCAGCUACGGCUCCUAGAUGGAAGGGAAAAGGAGUUCCCACGGUUCCAUUUCAACUCCGAGCUCCGCUCGAGAGGACCUACAACGACGGCUCGACGUGAUGCAACGGCUUCGGUGACAGAGAAGGAACGCCGUCGAGCCUACGACCUACUGCUCGUGAUCUGAGACAGGGAGGAAGGGGAGAUGGAUCUACCUCACCUACUGGACGAGGUGGAUGCUUCGGCUGGAGAGGAAGUAGAGGAAGAAAGAGGAAGUAGCCGCUCGGGGAAGUUCGUCAGGGAAGAAAGCCGCCGUCAUGGAGGAGAGGUAGCAGAGCAGAUCUUUACGUCCUAGCCGCGGGAAUGGAUUCCUGGAGGAUCCCGCGUGCUCGCCGAGGCGUCGGAGGGGAAGAAGAGGUACGGGCGCGACGACGAGGAGCUCCUCAUCUCGCGGCCAUGGCGGCGGAGCUGAUCCCCUUACCUGGAGUCGUCGACACAGAGGGAGAUGGCGACGGGAUGGAGGUGGCGGCGCGAGAGGGAAACCCUAAGCGGCACGGACACCAAGGGGGGCCUUUUUAUGGAGGAGGAGGGCGAGGGACGCGCCUCGACGUCCGUGACGGCAUCUGUUGUCGUCGCUCUGCUCCUGUCUGUGAAGAAGAACUGACGGAGGAAGGAGAACAGGACGGCGUCUACAGGAGAAGGAGGCAGCUGGGCUGCGAAGGAAAAGAGAGGAGGGGGAGAUGGGCCUGCUAGUGGGAGGAAGGCCACUAGUGGAGCCAGAUAGAAGGAAAAUAAUUCCCUGGGGUUUUCCAAAUACAAAAAUACCAGAGAAAGGAAAUAAAGCAUAGACAAAUCUGUUGGGGUUAAAAACAAAACAAAAAUGCCCCUGGUCAUAAGAAUUCAUGACCUAUUUGAAUAAAUUAUAAGAGGAAUAUUUGGAGCAACUAAAUAUUUACAAAACAGUAUUAUUGGAUCUGUUUUGUAAUUAUUUGCACCUUUGGAACACCUUUUCAAAACAGCAAAACCACAUCUCCAAUCCACCACAAAACAAUGCUAACACAUGGGCAUUUUAGAAAUACGAUUGGAACAAGAGGAACUUGACCUUGAGAUAAAUAAGAGGAAGAUGGUUUGAAGCCUAUGCAAAACAGAAGGUUAUUCCUACUAUCCAACCACAACUAUAUCACUCCAAUAAUCACACACAACAUCACAUGACAACUCAUGUCAACACAUCACCACAUAUGGUCACAAGGCGACAAACCAAGACAAGGAUGAAAUGAUAUGGAAUGCAUGCAUGCAAAGGAAGAAUAAACAAGGUGACAUCACAUGAAAUCAUAUGCAUAGGAUAGCUCUCAUAUCAAUGACAAGGUGGACCCAUAUAGACAAGGUUCCAAAAAUGGAAAGAUACACUCUUGGGGCAUUACACUCAAGCACACUACACAGUUCUAAAAAGUUCCACCUUCGUGGCUUCGUAUAUCGAGGAACACAAGAAUUUUGUACGCUCCGAGUUCCCAGGGAAGGCUAUCUCCUAGAUUGAAGAAAAACACAUGGAUACUUUCGUCAGUUGGUUGCGAGCACGUCUCAUGAAUGACAACAGUGUUGGAGAUCAACUCUACUUGUUAGCCACGUCACCUUCUUCGACUGUAUUACAUUUCCAAGGGUACGAGAUAAUGGGAAUACAUUUUACACGACCGCCCAAGAUAGAAAGAUCACGAACCAAAACAAUGGUGUCUGCUAUGAUGCAACAGACGAGAAUGGGAAAAAUGACACAUACUAUGGUUACAUAGAGGAGAUAUGGGAACUUGACUACGGACCUACUUUUAAGGUCCCUUUGUUUUGGUGUAGUUGGGUGAACAUGAAUGGAGAAGGGAUAAAGGUAGACCAGUUGUAUGAAAUGACAUGUCCUCCAGACUAAAAAAAAGAAAAAAAAAGCAAAUGAAUACAUCGGACGAUGAGCCAAAGUGUCGGAUAGUUGUUUCAGGGAAAAGAAACAUCAUGGGAUCGAGGACAAGAUAGACAUCUCAGCACAUUAUAAUAAGCUUGAUGAAAUUCUGCCCUUCAUACUGAGCAUUGACACAAGCAUCCCGUUAAAUAAUGAAGAUGCUCCAUGGUUACGGCCAAAGCCAUCAUAGGCAAGGCCUCAAAAUAUAAAUCUAUGUAAUGUAUUAAACUUUAUAUGAUGUGUACUAAUGUAUUAAACUGUAUGUGAUGUGUACUAAUGUAUUAAACUUUAUGUGAUGUGUACUAAUGAUACUUUGUGAUGUGCCUUUGAAUGGUGCAUUUUAAACACACAGAAAGUAUGGAGUUCAAAUAAGUUCAAAAAUUGAAAUCCUUUUGUAACACAUGAGUUCUCGUUCGAAACCCUGAUACUUCGAGAGAGAUUGUCCGUUUUGUACACCAAGUGCAUCCAGUUUUUGUCGUAACCCUCUCAACUUUUUAGCACAUGCUAUGUGGGUGAAAUGAUUAUACCAUGCCAACGUUCAACAUUUUCAGAGUUCAUUUGUAGUGCUUUUCAAUUUCAGGGUUAACUAGCUCAAAAAAAAUAAGUAAAUGCACGGAAAAUACCACAUGAAGUAAGAAAUUGUUGAAAAUUUGUGAUGUGCCUUUGAAUGGUGCAUUUCCAACACACAAAAAGUAUGGAGUUAAAAUAAGUUAAAAAAAUGAAAUCCCUUUGUAACACAUGAGUUCUCGUUCGAAACCCUCGUACUUCGAGAGAGAUUGUCCGUUUUGUACACGAAGUGCAUCCAGUUUUUCUCGUAACCCUCUCAACCUUUUAGCACAUGCUAUGUGGGUGAAAUGAUGAUACCAUGCCAACUUUCAACAUUUUUAGAGUACAUUUGUAGUGCUUUUCAAUUUUAGGGUCAACUAGCUCAAAAAAAGUAAAUGCAUGGAAAAUACCAAAUGAAGUGAGAAAAUUGUUGAAAAUUUGUUAAAAUAUUUAAUAGAAAACAAAAAACAGCCAACUAAAAAGAAUCAACUAAAACAUUAACUAAAAUGAAUGAAUUAAAAAUAAUCAACUAAAAUUAUCAAAGUGCUUAUUUGUUAAAAAGAAUCAAGUAAAACAUUCUAAAAAGAAACAAAAAAGAUCAACUCAAAAGAAUUUUCAUAAAGUUUUUUGGUAAAAAUCUUUAAUAGAAAACUAAAAUAGAAGAGAAAAAAAAAAUCUUUAAUAGCAAAAAAUGAAAGUAAAGUUAUUAACAAAUUUCAAAAUUUCAAAUUUGAAAAGUAAAUAUUUAGCUCUAAGUAGAAAAAAAGAAAAUAAAUAAAGCAAAGAACAAAUCAAAAAUAAUGGAAACAAAUUGAAAAUAUAUGAGAAUUUAUAGAGAAAAUUCAACCUAAAUUCAAAGUGAGCUCACUUUAAAUUUAGGUUGAAGUUUGUCUUUAAUUUCACAUAUAUUUUCAAUUUUUAAAUUUAGAGUGUGUUUAGGCCUGUAAGCCUGCUUUAGAGAGGAGCUCGAUACGGUUGGGGACAGCGGGCCUUCUAUACCAGUCGCAUCUCCUCUCGACAAGUGAGGUGGGACUAAACUUCGAACUGCCGCCAGCCCCAGGUCUUUAGUCCCGGGUNNNNNNNNNNNNNNNNNNNNNNNNNNNNNNNNNNNNNNNNNNNNNNNNNNNNNNNNNNNNNNNNNNNNNNNNNNNNNNNNNNNNNNNNNNNNNNNNNNNNNNNNNNNNNNNNNNNNNNNNNNNNNNNNNNNNNNNNNNNNNNNNNNNNNNNNNNNNNNNNNNNNNNNNNNNNNNNNNNNNNNNNNNNNNNNNNNNNNNNNACCCGGGACUAAAGACCCUCUCUUCCGGCCCCUCCGCCCGCCGAAAAACUGCCUUUAGCCCUAGGUCGUGGCUCGACUCGGGACCAAAGGGGGUCUUUAGUCCCGGUUCGAGCUACGAACCGGGACUAAUGCUCCGCCUAUAUAAGCGGGAGUUGGAAAUUUUUUAUGUCCAAAUCGCCAGUUUUGAUUUUCUUCCUCCCCGCGACGGACGAACCCUCGACGCCGCUAGGCUACGCAACUCUUCCCCGACACCGUCGCCGCGCUCCUCCCCGCCACCGUCGCCGCUCUCCUCCUUGCUGUCGCCCUCUUCCCCGUCGCCGGUGCCGCCUUUGCCUCGAGCCCUUCUCCCCAUCGAUCACCCGUGCCGCGCGCGCUCCUCCCCCCCUCGGGCUUCCUCCUCCCUGCCGCCGGUGAGCAUCCUCUCGAUGGAUCGUCAAAAAUAUGCCAGUUUAAGUGAUAUUUGUAUAGAUUAUAUAUAGAACAUUUGUAGAUAUUGUACAUUGGUGAAUUUUCUUGUAUAUUGUAGAAUAUUUGUAGUGCAUAUAUGCAGAUGAUUCAAUUUGUAGAAUAUUUGUGGAAUAUUUGGUGAACUCCGUGAAUAUUUGUAGAAUAUUUGUAGUUUAAGUGAUAUUCAAAUAUGUCACAGUUUAAGUGAUAUUUGUAGGUUAAAUGAAUUCCGUGAAUAUUUGUAGAAUAUUUGUAGUUUAAGUGAUAUUCAAAUAUUUGUAGAUGAUUCAAAAAAAAAUUGUGGAAUUUUAAAAAGAUAAAACAAUGUAAUAAAAUGUUCACGGAAUUUGGAUUCAGAACCUAACGAAUAAAAAAGGUGUAUAUUCAAAAAAUAUAAUAAAAUGUUUAUAAAGUGCAUAAUUAAAAGUCAAGUUUAGUUACAUUCAUGUGAUUUCUCAAAACAUUGUUAGUGUUAAAAAAGUGCAUAAUUAAAAGUCAAGUUUAGUUACAUUCAUAUAAUAAAAACUUUAUACAAUAUCAUAAUAUAUAUCCCUUAAAUUAAGGUUAAGAGAAUCCGUUAGACAUAUUUUAGAGUAUAGAUUCACUCAUUUUGCUCCGUAUGUAGUUUUCUAAUGAAAUCUUUAAAAGUUCUUAUAUUUUGCAACGGAGGUAGUACAAGUUUAGAAAAGUUUAUUAAAUAGUAGGAAUUUAAAUAGUAGGACAUACAAUGCCCGGACCGCAUCCUCAUCGUCGACUCGGUGUCGGCCACGUGCUUGAUAGGCGCCAACAUGUGCGGGGCUGGGCUCCGCAGGGCUGGCACUGGGGAGAGUUACCUUCCGGGGCGCGCAACUUGGUGAGGAACGAGGCUCCCGUCGUCGACCCGGAGCUUCUUUGGUGGCGGUCGCGGGGGCCACUUUUGGUGCCUAAGUUGCCGGCCCCCGAGGAGGACGUAUGUCGCCGUGUCAGGGAGGAGGACGAGCACGUCCGUCGGUACAUGGAAGCGUUGGAUGCCAGAUUCUCCAGUACCUGGGAGGUUCUUCAGGGAUCUCACCCGAGCUAUGAUCCGGUGAUGGUCCCUGCUCUUUGGUUGUCCACCGCCCGCGCCUUAGUACAACAACGACUCUUUGUUGGUUGAUCAGUUAUAUAUUAUUCGAUGUAUUACUGUAUUCGAGAGAUGUAUUAUUUAUGUAUUCCACAUUAUAUAUUCGAUAAUAUUAAGUGGAUUAUUUGACGAUGCAUUUAUUAAGUGGAUUAUGCGAUGAUGUUUAAUUAAUUUGUAGAUACUAUGGAUCCAAUACACGGCAGAGACGAAUAGCAGGAGGACGUGAUGGAUGGUGUCAUCCGCGGGGAUGCUAUUUUAGUUCACGAUGUCGAUGUCCCCAAUCAGUUUCUGAACGAGUCCGGCGAGGGAGAUGAGUCUCUCAACACACGAGGUAGAAGCUCCGGUGAGGUAGAUGCCCACGCCUCGGGCUAGGGAGGAAUCGGCGGCUCCAAUGAGGAAGAAGCCGACGAGGGAUAAGCCGACCGCUCCGGCGAGGUGCAUAUAUAUAUAUAUAUUAUUAAAUUAAUCAUCUGAUGUCUAUAUACAUAUAUUAACGCUCUUUCUUUUAGCCCUCCGGAUCGAGCAAAUCUUCAGUACGGACGAAACGAGGCCCAACCAAGAAGCAUGAUGACUGUGAGAGAUACAAGAUUGAAACAGUCUCAAAUGCUGGGCAACCAAUUGCUACCACACAUGUAAAGCAGAAGUUUGUUUAGGCAUGCGGAGUUGUUGCUAGGGACCACAUCCCUAUCACCACUCGAGAAUGGAUUAAGCCAAGGGAGGAAGGAGUCUCAUAUGUCAGCACAGCAGCCAAAGAAAACCUUUGGAGAAAGCUCAUGCUUCAUUUCACCCUGCCGGCGCUAGAGGUGGAUCCAAAUGAGGAGGAAAUGAAUAGGCGAAAAGAGACCCUAGAGAAGAAGUCAAGGAGUGGGCUCUUAAGAAGAUGGCCGAUCUAUUCAGGGGUUGGAAAAAAAGAUUGCACCAGGAUUUUAUCUUGAAAGACAAGACUCCAGAUUUCGAUCAUGGCUAUGAUAAGAUUAAAGACUACUGGGCCGAAUUUGUGGCAUACAAGAAAACGAAGGACGCCUUGAAAAAGUCAGCAACAAAUAAGACGAAUGCAGGUAAGAAGAAGUACCACCAUAUUAUGGGGCCUGGUGGCUACAGGGGUAAGAUGGCUAAGUGGGAAGAACUUGAGGCAUCAUUUCUGGACAAAAAUGUCACUCCAGAACCCUUAAGACGGCUCGAACGGGCAAGAAAUUGGUUUUACGGGCAUGGGGGCUUGUUGGACGCAGAAGGGAAGGUAAUAUAUAACCAAAGAGACAAAGGUAUUCCCCUACCCAUCGAGGAGAUUAGACAUGUAGUACAUGAUGUUGAAGAGGGACGGUUCUUACCCGAUAGAGAGAACGACGAGCUCACACACGCCCUUGGGAAUAAGGAACACAAAGGGCGAGCACGAGGCUUACCAGGCUCCCCGCCGUGGAUUCUUGCUUUCUCCGAGGAAAGGAAGAGAUUUCCUGAUAGAAGCCAUCAGAGGAGAAAGGAAAAGGAGGCACGUGAUAAAGCGGCUGAGGUAGACCGGAUGCAUAAUCUAGAAGAAGCAGUAAAGCGGCAGCAGCAGGAUCAAAUCGACAGACAACAAGGUAGCGGCCAAUCUCAGCGGCUCAUGAUAGAAGUUGCAUCGAAUCGGAAAAGCAGUGUCUCUUCCACUCAGCUCCAGAAUGAGGGUGAUGAUGCAUUGACGACGGAUCCUCCUCGUCGCUACCCAGUGGAUGAUAUCACACAGAGCACACCUUGUGAGCUAAAGGUGAAUCUUGCUAACUUAAGGUUGACGGUGGCGGUCGGCAUGGCCAUACCAAUUGGACGUAAUCCAACUUGGCAUUUCUCUCCGGUUCCACAAGGGUACGCUGUCAUCGCGGUCGAUGAAGUGAUGCAAGAUUAUGAGGAGUUGAAGCUCGACCACCCUGCAGGUGAAGAUAGGGAUUUGACUCAACUUGGAGAAGUCAAGAAACAAACCGUUGUAUGGCCAAAGGUGGACAUCUUGCUUCCAAAUUGGACGCCAAGGCCACCGACUCCUCAUAGCAGCAAUCCUUCUUCGCCUCCACCUCACCAGUCACCAGCGCAACCGUUGUCUUCGCCGCCUCACCCAUGUCCAGCGCAACCGUCGUCUACGCCGCCUCACCAGUCUCCAGCGCAGCCGUCUCCACCGCCGCAUCAGCCGUCUCCACCGCCUCGUCAGCCAUCUCCAUCCACUGAGGAGUAGAGCAAAAAGCGGAAACGUACCCCCGCUAAUAGUGGCGGCAGAAAGGGGAUCCGAUCACCAAAACAUAAGUUGUCGCCCCUCCCAAAAGUACCUCAUCCGAAUAUGGAGAAGAGACCUUGGGACUAUACUCAAGAGGACAAUAUUAAGACGGCAGACGCCCAACAUGAACAGUGGAAGGCUCAAGUGGCUAACAAGAAGAAAGCGAAAGAGCCAAAGUUCCCGGACACCCCAGAAGAACACGCCACAUGCGUGAAAAUGCUGAAAAACCUUGCAGAUCCCCCGCCACCGUUGCCACCAGACUAUGAACGCUCUAUUCUCAAGUCACCUCACGCAAAAAAGCAGCGGUUGAAGAGUAGUACGUCUAGCGAGAAAUCAGUUGCCCAGCUCGGACAACAAAAAAACCAAUCGUGCCCCCUACUCAAAGUGUAUUCCGAUACAGAUGUGUGCUCGAGCGGAGCUGUGGUCCAGCACAGGAAUGAUGAAACAACUGACAUCGAUCCGGAUUUUCUUGAACAAUACGGAGAAGUGUCCAAGGCUCAAGGCAUGUCUAUUGAUGAGUACUUAAACCAUUUGGAGGUAUUCACUGACAUAGCAUACACGUACCGGUACGGGGCUCCUCUCAUCAAACCCGAGUUAGUCAACGAGCUACCAACAAAAAUGCAAAGAUUGCAUGACUGGUACAUGCAAGCAUGUGUUCAACACGCAAACUGGAUAUACCUUGAAUUUAAAAACGAGCAUUUCGGGGAUGGAGAUGGCGUGGUAAUGAUUGAAUUCGACGAAUUAUUUCAAUUAUACCAACAAGACGCCCUCGACAAAUCUAUCAUCAGUGCCUAUUGUUUGUAAGUAUUAUUAAUUUAUGUCAUUGAGUCUUACUCAGUUCAUUCUUUCAUGUAUAAUCUUACUCAUCACUAUAUUAAUUUUGUAGAAUGAAGAUUCUCGAAUGCAAAAGAGGACAAAUCUAUGACAUUGGGUUCAUUGACCCAUAUUUCAUUCAUCACCAAAGUCUCGCAACGAGUCCCCGCGAUACAGAGAAUAACUUGAUACAAGGGUUAAGGUUUUUCGGUACCAAAAGGGAAAUACUAUUUCCUUACAACUUCAAGUGAGUGUUACUACACACAUUCUAUUUUCGCUUACUUGAUGUUAUUAUAAGUGUAUAAUUGACUCGUUAUGCGUGCGCAAGUUUCAUUUUAUUUUGUUAAUCAUUGUACCUGACAAGGGACAAGUAAUAGUCAUGGACCCGAAAUGCACAUCCCUCGAUGAAUGGACGAACAUGCAGGAAUGNNNNNNNNNNNNNNNNNNNNNNNNNNNNNNNNNNNNNNNNNNNNNNNNNNNNNNNNNNNNNNNNNNNNNNNNNNNNNNNNNNNNNNNNNNNNNNNNNNNNNNNNNNNNNNNNNNNNNNNNNNNNNNNNNNNNNNNAGGAAUGCCUCCAGAGGUAAUUUCAAACAUUAUGGCACUAUAUCGGCAACUUCUCUUUCAUUUCCUGAUAGCAAGGAAUUAAUAUAGAACUCUUUUAUUCAUUUUCUUUUCUUGGUAGGGCUUGGAAAUGGUUCAGCGCCAAGGCUUGGGGUGAUUGAAAGCCAGAGCUUACAUUUAAACAAAUAGAUGUAAGUAACUACUAGCUAGAUCCGCGUAUUUCUUUAUUCUAGUUUCAGUAUCAUUAUAAUUCUUGAUUAUGUUUUUGAUUGAACUCACUUCUCGUAAAGUGCUUGAGGCAGGAACAUGGGAACAAUUUAUGUGGAUACUAUGUUUGCGAGUUCAUUCGCCAGACGACCCAUGAGAAAGGGAAAAACUGGAAUAUAAAAAAAAUCUAAGUACGACAAACAAUACUCACAACUUUAUUUUAUUACUGUGAAUUGUGUUCGGUUUCAUUGAUAUAUAUAUUGACCCAUUCUUUAAAUUAGAUCGAACGGUUGUGGGACGUUCUUCUACCACAGAAACGUGUACGAGCAAUUCAAGAGGAAAUUGCAGGAUUCUUAAAUGCAGAGGUCCUAGUUGUGAAGGGAGUAUAUUAUUGUCCGUCGAUGAGAAUGAUAUGAAAUGUUAUAGUGUAAAAGAGACAUAUGUGCAUUUGUGUAACUCGUCUCUACAUUUUGUAGUAUGUUCGACAAAGCACGACGGGUGAGAUGGUGUAAUAUAUUCGUGACGAUGAUGUGCAAUAUAGUUGUUCUUUAUUGUUAUGUAUGUACCAUCCAAUUUAGUAAAAGGGAAAAUUGGGGGCAGCAAAAUAGCUCUAUCCAAUUUAAUGCAAAAUAAAAAUUUAAAAGUGCCCAAAACAAAUAAAUGGAAAAAUUAGGGGCAGCAAAAUAGCCCAAAACAAAUAAACCCUAAAAAUUGCUAAAAAACAGAAGAAAUAGCCCCGGUUCGUAAUACGAAUCGGGACUAAUACUCCUCCCCCCUCGCUCCCAGCCCCGCCACGUGGAAGGCCAUUAGCCCCGGUACGGGAUCAAACCGGAUCUAGCAUUAGUCCCGGUUUACGAACCGGGACUAAUGGCCCAACCGAACCGGGGCUAAAGACCUUUUUUCUACUAGUGGUGGGCAGACCAGAGGUUGCUACUGCUGGUGGUGUAGUGGCGUGAAAGAUCGGACGGAAUGACAGAUCGAAUCUCACAUCAAGGUUUGGUGUACAUCAGAUGGUAUUCAGAGAAAAGGUUGUCCACGACACUAUAUUUUUCUUUGAGUUACUAUUUAAGUUUUUAUCAUGAGAAGAGAUUGUAGCUAGUAAAUGAUGAUGGCGAUGGAGAAGGAUCCAUUACGUACCUUGCCGUGGUACCAAGGCUUUAGGCGUGUGCGUGUAGGGCCGACAAGUUGAGCAACCUUGAUGAAAUGCUAUUCUAGGAUGAACAUAGUGAGAGAGACUAUGGUUGAUGAUUUGAACCUUCCGUUGACUGAACAUUCAGAACCAUACGACAUCUGGUGGAAGGACAAGUUUCUCAAGAUCAUGCAUCCUGUAGAGGUAUUGUUUAUUCUAUGUGGACAUGGUGACCUUGUCAUGGGUGAUGUGUUUCCUAUGCACAUGCAUACAUGUUCAAUACUGCUAGGAAAACGAUGGAUAGAUAAAAUUUAUUUGACAUAUCAUUCGGUUGGCCAAUUUUCUUUUGUUCGUGGAGGCCAAUGCAUACCACUUGAUUCGUACACAUGACAGAACUAUAUGGCUGAUCGCGAAAAGCGGGAUAUUGAUCAAGCUUAUUUAGAAGUAAAGAAUAAGAAGGUUAAGAUCAAAAUUUUCCAAGCGUUGUGCAAACCGCAAAUAAAAUUAUUGUUCAAGACAUUGAUUCAAAACCGAGGAUGGUUUGGAUGCAUGGAUGGAUGAGGUGGAUGCGCACGCGCAUAUGCCUACCCCGAACGUGGUGCCGGGCAUGCUGGUGCAGCUAGGCGCAGCAGCUGCGUUGCAGGCAAACGUGGCAACGAUGUGUGAAGAGCUACGGGUCUCGCUCUCGCCGAUCCUCUCCAGGCCAGAGAGCCGAGCUCCGGCGUGCAAACGAGACAACCCAAGGAAGAAACGGAAGGUUGAGGCGACACCUUCAAGACGAAGCGCAAGGAUUGCGAAGCACGUGACUACGAGGCAACAACAGGUGCUCAUCAGGAGAUUAUGCUUGGCGCAUGAGGGCGAGGUGAUUUCGGAGGAGGCACUCCGCACGUACGUGGACUUGUUCUCCCGACCACUUUCAGACGCACAUAUUGUUGCCGUGUUGGCCCUGUUUGGAUGAGAGUCACCGCCAAUGCCAUUGGCGGAGGGGGUCGCGGUGGUCUAGCGGUUUUGUGGCGUUUCGGUGGUCCUCCGCAGGCUUUCAAAAUGAAUUAACAUCCUUUGAAAGUACAUUGUGUGGAAAGUGCGUGGUCUAAAUGCCCCGGCUAGGAGGAGUGCAGUGUAUCAAGUAGUGGUGGCGGCGAGACCGGCCAUUGUGUGCUUGUAGGAAACAAAACUCCAGGACGUGUCUUUCGCUCUUGUGUAUCAAUGUUUGGGCAAUAGAUUUGGGAAGUUCUUCUACUUGCCGGCUGAUAGGACACGUGGUGGUAUUUUGGUGGCGUGGGAUGAUACGGUCUGUCAUGGUUUUGUCACGACAGAUGUCCUCGUGAAAGGACUUAGUACUGGAGCCAACGCACCUUGGUGGCGACUCAAAGGGGUUGAGGAGGAGAGACACGACGAUUUACCCAGGUUCGGCCCCUCGUGAGGAGGUAAAGGCCUACGUCCUGCUUUGAGUUGUAUUGAUGUGGUUUCGAUUACAAGGAGGGCGUAACUCGCCAAACCUAGCAUUCCAUGAUUUCUAACCUGCCCUCUGCUUCCCUGGGACUCGCCUUUAUAUACAGGUCGAAUCCCUAGGGUUUACAAGGGUACUUUCCUUCCUACAAAUCGUGACUUCUACGGUCUCCAAGUCGCCAUCUUCCAAAGCUUGGAGACCUUCCGGAGAUUAUAAACCGCCACACAACUUUCGGCCUUACCAGGCCAAGGCCCGAAUCACGCUCAGAUGAAUCGGCUGAUUCGGUGACCCGGCCCAACUAGGGCGGGUUAUUAACAGGUAAUAUCCCCAACAUUAGGCCCCAGAUUGACUUGAAUUCUCUUCACGCCAGUAUUUUCGCUCAGUUAAAGGCGAUUCAUCCUUCAUCCUUCUCUACACGUCAGAAACUUUAACCCGCCAUCUGUCACGGAAGAACUUAAAUCGCCAAACCAUUUCUCGUUGGCAUCUUCUUAUCCCUUGGAUUUCGGGAAGACUGACACAAUCCUAAGGGAUCCUUUGAUAUCGUCAUCCCAAAAUUUUUGGAGCGCCAUUAUAGCGAAUCUUUUUAUCCUUCGGCGGUUCCCGCUCACGGCGCCUCGAUUCCAGCGCCUGCCCCGUUAAAUAGGUGGGGGGGACAGGACUGGUGCUUUCCACCUACCAGUCUCGUCAAUCUCCUCCCCAUUAUCACAGCGAGGAAACCUUACUGCCUUCCGAGGGAUCCGCCGCCGACCGCAGUUCCUGUCGUCGCCCGAAAGCUUUGGCGCCGCCCACAUAUCUUUGUCGCCGUCAAGCUCCGUACCGCGGCCGAGCUGCUCGCCACCAUCGACCAUCUCACCGCCGCCGACCACCUCGCUGUUGCUAGGCACUCCGUCGCCGCCGAAGAUCUCCGCGCCCGAGCAAGACUUUCCUGCUCCGCCAAAAGCCUCUGUCGCCGUCGACCACUUCCGACCGAACUCAUCAGGUUAGGUCACCCCUUAUUUAAGAACAGAUCCCCAUCCAUGUUUGAAGUUUCAUCAUCACCAUGUUCUUGAUGCCUUCGCGAAUAUCUAUUGCCUGUCCUUGACUGAUUAGUAUUAAUGACGAUGAGAUAGCUAACGUUUUUAAUACCUAAACUUGUCCACCCUUGAUUUGCGUCUUUAGAGCAAUAUUUCAUCAAACGAACAACAUCAUCUUAUCCUGGUAGUAAGUUUCCAUGUCCAGUCAUUUUUCUCAUGUUUUUUCUGCUGUCCAGUAAAUCCAUAGUUUACCGUUCAUUGCGUAAAAGCUGUUUGUAGUCUUCAUACUUCACCAUUUUGAACAAAUGUCUCCGACGCCUUAAGACACAACUCUUGUGAGUAGCCAAACUUCGUAAGUCGCCAUAGCAACCCGACCCGGAUCUUUAUAUGGCGGGUCAAAAAAUUUCCUCAGUCCAUGAACAAAUUACUUGGCGAGUCAAAUGAACUUAUUUCACCUCUUACGGUAGAUGUUCAAGCGUGUAAAUUCACCCGUACUUUACUCCUUUGUAGCAUGGGCACCGUCUUCAAAAGUGACUGGCUCCCUACCAAAGUCGACGAUACCAUACUAGCAGAUUAUGUGAAAACGGGCAAUUUGGACCCUCAGGAUGUUAUCGGUUGGAGUACCGUGUUCGGAGAGGAUCUCCCCAACCCCAAAGAAGGGGAGAUAGUCGUUUUCGUCGAACACCUUGAACGAGGUUUUAAGCCGCCCGGAUCAAAGUUCCUUAGAGACACCAUGGCUUUCAUGAAUGUCCGCCGCCAGGAUCUGGGACCUAAUUCGAUAAGUAACCUAUGCCAGUUCCAAGUGUUCUGUGAAGCUUACUUGCGGAUGCAACCCUCAGUUCCCUUAUUCUGGUACUUUUUCCACAUAAAUCGCCAAACGGAAUUUCACAAUGGCCCCAGCCUGGAACUUGGCGGUGUAAAUGUUCAGCGCCGCAGGGAUAGCCCGUUUCCCUCACUCGCCAUGCCAAGCCAUCCCAAAGGCUGGGGCGGGUCUUGGUUCUAUUGUCAAGAGACCUCGCCUGCAGGCGAAAACAAGCUUCUGGGCUAUAGGAAAGAUCGCCUUCCAACGAAUUUCAAGCUUCCGGACAAGCUCACCGAAGAGGAGGAAUCAGAUUUUAUCCCAGUAUUGUGUGAGUUAAGAUUUUUGACAAACAACGGCCUUACUGGGGUCGACUUGAUCCGCUGCUGGGUCGAAUGGCGCAUCCUCCCUUUGAGUCGCCGGGACGGGCUAAUGUGCGAAUUUGAUGGCACCUUAGAUCAUCCUCAAUGUUAUUUCCAUAUGGCUUUAACGGAAAAGGAUAUUGUCACCAUCAUCAAGAAGCUAACCGCCGAGCCUGCGGGAAAAUGUGGCCAAAUCGGCCUCAAACCCUUCCGCAAAAUUAAUCCGGCACCCAAGGUAAGCAAUUUUAACCCGCCUUUUGUAUUUACUUCUUAUGUUUCAUUCGAAUUGUGGCCCUUUAUAACAUAUGCAAUUCCAGAAAGGUGAUAGGUUUUGGUCCAAGAAACCCAAAAGGCCAGCCAUGAAGCAAGCUAAGCCGCCCCCAAAGAAAACCAAGGGCAAGGGCAAAGCUGCUGUGGCCGAGCCAUCCGAAGCCGAUGAAUCUCAAGUCGGCGACACACCUUCAGAGGUAAAAACCUAUCCUCUUUUCACUCGCCAUCCGCUACAGUUAACUUUGUAUUUAUGUCUCUGCCUCUCUUGAAUAGAAUGAAGACAACGAAAGCCAGGAGGAUUCUGUAGAGGUAAUUUCUGUUUCCUCCGAUUCAUCUCCUUCUCCACCUAAGCCGGCCACGCGAAUUUGUGGCAAAGUUCCCUUCUCACAACCAAAUGCUUGUUUGGACCCAAAUUUUCUACUGAAGAAAGCACAACAUACUUCAAACCGGAAGACCCGAAGUCAUUCCGGUGAUCUGGUGUCCGGCUUACCAGCAAGGAACAAGAGGAAACCAAAUGAGGUACCCAUGAACAACACUUCUUCAUGUUUCUUUGGAUCACAUCUGUAACCCGCCUAUAUCUUUGACGUAUAAGUCUUGCAGAAUUCUCCUCCUACAUCUGGCGACUCAGUAAUGUCGACACUUCAGCCAAUGAUUCGAGUCCCUGGGUAAGUCCUUUGAUAAUUUUGCUUUGAAUCUGAGGGUGAUAAAUUCUCAGUCCUUUAAUGCGCCUCGCCCCUCUUUUAGGGCACAGGCGAAGAAGAGGAAGACCAGCGGGUCAACUCCUAUCAUAAUUUCAGAGCCCAUCAAAGAGUCAGCGCCGAUCCAAGAUAACCCGGAUCAAGACGAGCCUGAGGGUCAAAUGGAUCUUCCUAGCUCACCCAAGGAAACAAUGGAUGCCCCUAAGCCGCCAAGUCCAUUGAAAACAGCAGAAGACCCAGAUGCUGUAAUUAUCACUGGUACGAGCUUCUCUAAACCGAUCACAACGGUUUUGUCAAAGCAUGUGCCAUCAUCCUCUCAAACCAUUCAUGAGUCUGGACUCUCCAAGGCUAAGCUUUCUGAAUAUGAACAUCUGGAAUUGAAAGGACUCUGCUCUGGUUUUGCAAGUCGCCUGGAGGCGAGUUAUGAGAUGGAGAAAAGCCUGCUUCGGAUGCUAAAAAAUAAACAUGAGGUAAGCUUUGUUAUAUAUUAUAUUAUCCCCAUUAACCCCCAAGGGCAGGGUCAUCAGUAAAAAGAUGAGUCGGGUCUUGAUUUUUUAGAAAAACUUUCGACCAGUAACCCCCAAGGGUUGGGUCAUUAGUAAAAAGAUGAGCCGGGUCUUGAUCAUUUAGAAAAACUUUCGACCAGUAACCCCCAAGGGCCGGGUCAUCAGUAAAAAGAUGAGCCGGGUCUUGAUCACUUAGAGAUUGUUUUGUCUAGUAACCCCCAAGGGCCGGGUCAUCAGUAAAAAGAUGAGCCGGGUCUUGAUUUUUUAGAAAAACUUUUGACCAGUAACCUCCAAGGGCCGGGUCAUCAGUAAAAAGAUGAGCCGGGUCUUGAUGCUGUAUAAUUUUAUCUGAAAAAAUUAUACAUUAGCCCCCAAGUGUCAGGGAUAUUGCUUGCAAUAGUUCUGAGACUUGCCCCUUAUCAUGUACUUCAACAGGAAACUCUUAUUCAGACUGAAUCAUCACUUGGCGAUUUAAAGAAAAACUUAUCUGAUCAACAAGAUGCCCGAACCAAGUAGGAGGAAAAGUAUCAAUUGGUCUUAGCUGAGAUGGAAAAACUAAAAGCCGAUUUAAAAAGGGCUCAAGCUGACCAAGAUGCUGCAACAAAAAGAGCAGAGAAACCUGAAGCCAAGAUGGCUACUGUGCAACAAGACCUAUCUCGCUUGAAAUGUCAUAUCUCAAACAUGGCGCAAGCCGUCUUUGGUAAAAUACUCAAAACUUUGAUCUUUGUUUAAACCAAUAACUCUUAUCCAGAGUCACUGAUUAUCAUUACCCCUUGGAUAGGUCCUAGAGCCGCCAAUCUUCAGGAUGAUUGCAUGCUGAUGCUGAAGGCGAUUUACACGCUAACAGAGCAGCUAUAUACCGGCAGUGUACUAACUGUUAAAGCAGUGAUGGGCGCCAAGGAGCCUAUAACCUCCAUAAAGAAGAUGCUUGGCUGCCUAUCCAUGCUUCCUCCCUAGAUUGGCGAGUUGACACGGUCAGCCGCCCGGAAGGGAGUGUUGACUACAUUAAGUCGCUGCUUAGCUUAUUGCUCCAGAGAUCAACCCGGAAGAAGUAGCAGCGGGCUUCCCUCAACUCAAGGAUGACGGGUCAGAAUUCGUCGAAGAGGACUAUCGGCGUGUCGUCAAGGACUCCCGGCUGGCGGCGACUCAACUUGCUGCAAGUCUGGACUUAUCAAAGUAUCAGGCUCCUUAUGAUAGCAAGAACAAGAAGGUCAACCCGCCAACCUUUGUGACAACCAGCUUAACUCCACGGCGACCCAAGAACCCUUUUGACUUGGACGCAGAUCUUUCAUCAAUCCUGACCGAUGAGAAUGACUUCGCGGAUCUGGCCAAGUGCAACUGGGUACUGGGCGACUUGCAAAUUGAGGUCGGCCAAAGCUCGCAGCAAAACGAUCCAAGGGCGCCAGCAGAAUAAACUUCAUUGAUUUGGCCCUAAGAGCCAUGUAAUAGGUCUCCAUUAGGAAUCGGUACUGCUUUUGUUAUACUUUCGAAAAGAAUCCUUAUGUCGCCCUUAAGGCGAUUUGAAAUACUGGAUCCGCCAUUUCAUUGGCUCAUAAGUUCGCGACAGGAUGGGGCGAGUCAGAAAACUCAAGCGCCACCCUAGAUGAUGAUUUCGUCGGCUCAUAAGGUCGCGACAGGAUGGGGCGAGUCAGAAAGCUCAAGCGCGCACCCUAAAUGAUAGUUUCGUCGGCUCAUAAGGUCGCGACAGGAUGGGGCGAGUCAGAAAGCUCAAGCACACACCCUAAAUGAUGGUUUCGUCGGCUCAUAAGGUUGCGACAGGAUGGGGCGAGUCAGAAAGCUCAAGCACACACCCUAAAUGAUAGUUUUGUCGGCUCAUAAGGUCGCGACAGGAUGGGGCGAGUCAGAAAGCUCAAGCACACACCCUAAAUGAUGGUUUCGUCGGCUCAUAAGGUCGCGAGAGGAUGGGGCGAGUCAGAAAGCUCAAGCACACACCCUAAAUGAUGGUUUCGUCGGCUCAUAAGGCCGCGACAGGAUGGGGCGAGUCAGAAAGCUCAAGCGCCACCCUAAGAUGAUAAUUCUGUCGGCUCAUAAGGUCGCAACACGAUGACAAAAUUGAUCUCAAUGAGGAAGCCCCCAAGCCGGGGAGCAUUUUAAUUUUAUUACUUCAUAAUGAAACUAAAAAACUUACAAAAUGCAGAGCUUAUGAGCUCAAGUGUAAUAAGGCCGCAAGUGGGCAAUAUUCUAGGGGCGAGUUGACUCAGCCUCCGUGGUUGGCCGGUUAGGCCGAAGAUCCACCAGAUAAUAAGAGCCGUUGCGAAGAUUCUUGCUGACGACGAACGGUCCUUCCCAUGGUGGUGACAACUUAUGCAUGCCAGCACGAUCUUGUAUCAACCGAAGAACUAAGUCGCCUUCCUGAAAGGCCCGGCUCUUAACCCGGCGGUUGUGAUAGCGCCGUAGAUCCCGCUGAUAGAUGGCCGAACGGGCCGCAGCCAAGUCACGUGCCUCUUCUAAGGCGUCCAAGGAGUCUUGACGCGCCAACUCAUUGUCUUGCUCCACAUAUGCGGCGACUCUAGGUGAGUCAUGCCUUAUGUCAGUAGGAAGAACAACUUCUGCUCCGUAGACCAAAAAGAAAGGGGUGAAACCCGUGGACCGGUUCGGGGUGGUCCGGAUACUCCACAACACUGAAGGCAAUUCUUCGACCCAACAUCCUGGGGUUUUCUCCAGGGGAACCAUGAGUCGGGGCUUAAUUCCUCUUAAAACCUCCUGAUUCGCCCGUUCCGCCAGCCCAUUAGAUUGUGGGUGAGCGACCGCACAAACAUCAAGCCGGAUAUGUUCUCGACGGCAAAACUCCUGCAUCGCCCCUUGGGACAGGUUAGUACCAUUAUCAGUAAUGAUACUGUGUGGAUAUCCAAACCGGAAGAUUAGCUUCUUCAAGAAUUUGACCGCUGUCUCCGCAUCGCAAGCUCCAAUAGGUUCCGCCUCAACCCACUUGGUGAACUUAUCAACCGCCACCAGCAAAUGGGUUUUCUUGUUGGAUGACAUUUUAAAGGGGCCGACCAUGUCUAACCCCCAGACCGCAAAAGGCCAAGUGAUGGGAAUCAUUCUUAAUUCUUGAGCUGGCACAUGAGCCUGUCGUCCAUAACGCUGGCAUCCCUCGCACCGACGAACUAUAUCUUCUGCAUCUGCAUGGCCGUCAACCAAAAGAAACCAUGACGGAAUGCUUUUGACACCAAAGAGCGUGACCCGACAUGAUGCCCACAGUCUCCGGAAUGAAUGUCAUUUAAGAUUGUGCAUCCUUCUUCGGAGGAAACACAUCGUUGAAAAACUCCAGAGGCCCUCCGCUUAUAUAACUCGCCAUUGAUGAUCACCAUGGAUUUGCUGCGCCGAGCGAUUUGACGAGCCGAAACAUCGUCUGUUGGUAACUCGCCUCGGGCGAGAUAAGCCAAAUAGGGAAGAGCCCAAUCCGGCGUGACGUGGAGAGCCGCCACGAGAUGAGACUCAGGAUCUGGUUUUGCCAACUCCUCCUCCGAUGGUAAAAUCACGGAUGGUUUAUGCAAAAUAUCCAAAAAAACAUUGGGAGGAACUCGCUUUCGCUGGGAACCAAGACGCGAAAGGGCGUCAGCCGCCUCGUUGAGGCGCCGAUCAAUGUGGUCAACGUGAUAACCAUGAAAAUGACCCACCACGUCAGACACAGCUCUUCUGUAAGCCGCCAUCAUGGGGUCCCGAGAAUCCCAGGUACCUGAAACUUGCUGCGCCACCAAAUCAGAAUCGCCAAAACACCUGACUCGCGUUAGAUUCAUUUCCUUGGCGAGUCGCAAGCCAUGAAGCAAAGCUUCGUAUUCCGCAGCAUUGUUAGUGCACGAAAACAUGACUCGGAGUACAUAACAGAAUUUAUCUCCUUGAGGGGAUACCAAUACCACACCGGCCCUCGAGCCUUCCAGCUGUCUAGAUCCAUCAAAAUAAAUAGUCCAGUAAGUAAGAUCAGGCCUGUCUUCCGAAGCCUGCAACUCCGUCCAGUCAUUGACGAAAUCAACUAAGGCCUGAGACUUGACGGCUGUGCGGGGGGUGUACUGCACGUGAUGCGGCCCAAGUUCAAUCGCCCACUUGGCAAUCCGCCCUGUUGCCUCCCGAUUCUGGAUGAUGUCCCCAAGGGAGGCAGAGCUAACCACUGUGAUAGGGUGUUCUUGGAAAUAAUGCUUAAGUUUCCGACUCGCCAUAAACACCCCANNNNNNNNNNNNNNNNNNNNNNNNNNNNNNNNNNNNNNNNNNNNNNNNNNNNNNNNNNNNNNNNNNNNNNNNNNNNNNNNNNNNNNNNNNNNNNNNNNNNNNNNNNNNNNNNNNNNNNUCGCCAUAAACACCCCAUACACUAACUUCUGCCAGUGUGGGUACCGUUGCUUGGAAAGGGUUAGCACUUCGCUGAUAAAAUACACCGGGCGUUGCACUGGGUACUCCUUCCCUUCCUCCUUUCUUUCAACGACCACUGCCACACUUAUUGCUUUGAAAUUUGCAGCAAUAUACAGAAGCAUGAGAUCUUUCUCAGUCGGGGUGGCCAGGACCGGCGGGUUAACCAAUUGUCGUUUCAAGGCUUCGAGCGCCUCGUCUGCCUCAUUUGUCCAAACAAACCGGUCAGAUUUCUUUAGUAACUGAUAAAGAGGAAUCGCCUUUUCACCCAGGCGACUUACAAAGCGACUUAGAGCCGCAAUGCGACCCGCUAGUCGUUGAACUUGAUUAACAUUUGUCGGCCUUCCAAGGGAUGUAACUGCUUCGAUUUUGUCCGGGUUAGCUUCAAUGCCACACUCAGACACCAGGAAGCCCAACAAUUUCCCUNNNNNNNNNNNNNNNNNNNNNNNNNNNNNNNNNNNNNNNNNNNNNNNNNNNNNNNNNNNNNNNNNNNNNNNNNNNNNNNNNNNNNNNNNNNNNNNNNNNNNNNNNNNNNNNNNNNNNNNNNNNNNNNNNNNNNNNNNNNNNNNNNNNCCUACAGGAACACCAAAAACACACUUGGUGGGAUUCAACUUCAUCUGAUAUACCCGUAGAUUAUCGAAAGUUUUCUUGAGAUCCUCCAGUAGCGUCUCCCCCUGGCGGGUUUUGAUCACAAUAUCGUCGACAUAGGCGUGGACGUUGUGACCGAUUUGGCUGCGGAGGCAAUUCUGGAUGCANNNNNNNNNNNNNNNNNNNNNNNNNNNNNNNNNNNNNNNNNNNNNNNNNNNNNNNNNNNNNNNNNNNNNNNNNNNNNNNNNNNNNNNNNNNNNNNNNNNNNNNNNNNNNNNNNNNNNNNNNNNNNNAGGCAAUUCUGGAUGCAGCCCUGAUAAGUGGCCCCCGCACUCUUGAGUCCAAAAGGCAUGGACACAUAGCAAAAGGCCCCAAAGGGGGUUAGAAAAGCUGUUUUCUCUUGAUCCUCCACGACCAUCUUGAUCUGGUGAUAUCCUGAGUAGGCGUCCAAAAAGCACAAUCAUUCGCAUCCCACCACCGAGUCAAUGAUCUGGUCGAUGCGGGGAAGACCGAAAGGAUCUUUCGGACAAGCUCUGUUGAAGUCCGUGUAAUCAAUGCACAUACGGAAGGUACCGUUCUUCUUGAGUACCAAAACCGGGUUAGCCAGCCAUUUGGGGUGGAAAACUUCCACGAUGAAUCUGGCGGCUAAGAGACGGGCGACCUCUUCCUCGAUCGCCUUGCGCCGCUCCUCGUUAAACCUGCGAAGAUACUGCUGGAUGGGUUUUGCCUUUGGGUCAACAUUAAGAUGGUGCUCAUCGAAUUCUCUUGGCACACCAGGCAUGUCAGAAGGUUUCCAUGCGAAGGUGUCCCGAUACUCACGGAUGAAUUCGAUGAGCGUGCUUUCCUAUUUGGGAUCCACACCCGUCCCGAUGGUGAACAGCUUGGAUGAGUCGCCGGGAACGAAAUCGAUUGUUUUAGUGUCAUCCGUUGGUUUGAACUUGAGGGGCGACUCAACAUCUGUCGUUGGCUUCUUUAGGGGUGACAUGUCUGCCGGGGCAACAUUGGCUCGAUGGUGUUUGAGCUCCUCUGCAGCGCAGGCGACUUCCGCAUAAGCCGCGUCCCCUUCUUCACAUUCCUUUGCAAUCCUUCUAUCCCCAUCAACCGUGAUGGGUCCCUUAGGACCGGGCAUCUUGAGCUUAAGGUAAACAUAACACGGGCGAGCCAUGAAACGGGCAUAAGCUGGUCACCCAAAUAAUGCAUGGUAGGGGCUUUUCAAUUUGACCACCUCGAAUAUCAGUGACUUGGACCUGUAAUUCUGCGCCGUUCCAAACGCCACCGUGAGUCUGACUCGGCCUAUGGGGUACGCCGACUUGCCCGGGACGAUUCCGUGGAAAACCGUGGUUGAAGGCAUCAGGUCCUUUUCCAAUAGGUUCAUCCUUUGGAAAGUGUCAAAAUACAAGAUAUUAAUGCUGCUGCCACCAUCCAUUAGCACUUUGGGCAGGGUGUAGCCCCCAACUUGGGGAGCCACGACCAACGCUAAAUUGCCAGGAUUGUCAACUCUUGGCGGGUGGUCCUCCCUACUCCACGAUAUGAUCUGUUCAGACCAGGGGAGGUACUUGGGAAGCGCCGGCUCACACACACUGUAUGCCCGGUGACUUACCUUUUUAUCACGUCUGCAAGCAUUGGUGGUGAAAACGUGAUACUGCCCAUUGCUUAACUGUUUGGGAUUGUUGCGGAAACCUCCGUUGUCAUCCUGACCCUGCGGAGCCCCUUGUGGGGGCGACUGCAGAAAGGCCCCUGGCGGGUUAUACCGCCGCUGGUGGUGCACCGGAUACUGGCCGCUGCUUGGUUGCGGGCCUCCCUGAGCCCCCUCUUCGGGAAAACCGCUAAAGGGGUUCUGUCGUUGGUUAGGUGCAGCAAACUGCUCCUGCCGUUGGUCCAGGUCAUCAUUUUGGCUUUUCUUGAUCGCCUCCGCCCGAAACUCCCGCAUUACGAAACAGUUCUCCCAGGAGUGAGUCGCCGGACCGUCUACCAUGGCAUGGUGUGGGCAAGGGCCCUUGAGUAACUCUUCAUAGUUACGCGACCUCUUCCCACUAAUCCCUUGUUUUUCUUCUGGCGUUGGUUGCCACUGUUGGUGUAGGUGUUGGCGACUAAGUCCGAGGGUUCCUCUUGCUGCCUUCGCUUGCCAUUGGCUCCUUGAUUGUGGCGGUUACGUCCCUGGAACCGGGUAUGAUUUUUGGAUGACUCGCCUUUCUUGGGCGAAUUAGCUUUACCGUCCUCACCAGGGUCUUUGGUGUCAUCCGCUUCAGCAUACCUAGUGAGGGUGUCCAUCAGCUCUCCCAUGUCUUGGACCUUUCGCUUGAGUCGCCCCAGUUUCUGUACCAAGGGUUCAUAAUGCCAAUUCUGCUCGAGGAUCAACACAGCCUGAGCCGCCGUAAUACCAUCUGACGAAUGGAUAAUUUCCGCAACCCGCCGUGACCAAUGGUGGGCCGACUCAUCAGGGCGCUCAACGCAGUGCUGCAGAUCGACGAUCGUCAUUGGUCGUUUGCAGGUUCCUCGGAAGUUUUUGAUGAAUCGCUCUUUCAACUCGGCCCAGGUCUGGAUGGAGUUGGGAGGUAAGUUUUUCAACCAAGUGCGUGCUGACCCCUCGAGCAUCAUCAUGAAGUAUCUGGCGCAAACUGCCUCGUUCACGUCGAGCAUGUCCAUNNNNNNNNNNNNNNNNNNNNNNNNNNNNNNNNNNNNNNNNNNNNNNNNNNNNNNNNNNNNNNNNNNNNNNNNNNNNNNNNNNNNNNNNNNNNNNNNNNNNNNNNNNNNNNNNNNNNNNNNACGUCGAGCAUGUCCAUGGUGAUUUCAUAACUCUCGACCCACGAUGCCGGCUCAAGGUCCGGGGUGUAGUUAGGCACCUUUCUUGUCCCUUAAAAUCUUUGGGCAUUCUUUUGUUGCGAAGGGCGGGGGCCAAGCAUGGCACCCCCACUCUCCCACCGCUCCCGACGAGAGGGGCCGGGGCGAUUUGGAUGUUUGGGAGAUCCCGGCCAGGCGGGUUCUGAUGAUCAGGCGGGUUGUCCUGAGGGACGGGUCGCGGCCCGCUAUUUAUGGCGGGCUGAUCCUCUGGCCGAGUCCUGGUGUAACUCGCCUGGGGAGUGUAAUGCAGCCUAUCUAGGCUAUGUGAGAACUGGGCGUUUUGAACGACCGCUGUCUUCAACAUCUCAAUGGUGUUCCUUGCUUCUAUCUCGGCAGGGGUGUUGCCGUGAAUCGNNNNNNNNNNNNNNNNNNNNNNNNNNNNNNNNNNNNNNNNNNNNNNNNNNNNNNNNNNNNNNNNNNNNNNNNNNNNNNNNNNNNNNNNNNNNNNNNNNNNNNNNNNNNNNNNNNNNNNNNNNNNNNNNNNNNNNNNGGAAGAGAUUCCAGAUGGCGAGUUGCAGCCAGGACGUUGUCCACCAGGUUGGAAAAGUGGCCUCGAGGCGUCCGGAAUCGGGGAAUGCGAUCCUCAAUUGUCUGAUCCGGCGGGUUAGGCGGUUGNNNNNNNNNNNNNNNNNNNNNNNNNNNNNNNNNNNNNNNNNNNNNNNNNNNNNNNNNNNNNNNNNNNNNNNNNNNNNNNNNNNNNNNNNNNNNNNNNNNNNNNNNNNNNNNNNNNNNNNGCGGGUUAGGCGGUUGACCCGGUCCUCCCCCUGGGGCGGCUCCCGCCCUCGGGGUUCGCGAAGUAUCGAACAGGCGGGUCGGGUUGAGAUCAUGAGGCACGCGACCUGGGUGUCUCCGUUGAUGGACAGCUUCGGAUGCGCGUUGGUGUAUUUUGAGCCGCCAGUUGUCAGUAUUUAAGCGAAUCCUCUCGGCCGCAAUUUGAGCUUGCCGAGUCUCGAUCCUGGCGGACUCCACCUCGGCAUCCCGAUGAGCAUUUGCCACUGCCUCUCUGAGUUUCGCCAGCUCCGCGUUUAUCUCCACCUGAUUUUCUGGCGUGAGGGGAGUCGCGAUCAGCCUUGUGAUUUCCGCCGCUAAUUCCAGCAGGACAGCGGCCGGGCUUCUAGACGUCUCACCGGUUCCAUCGCCUCUUGUAGGGUUUUGCAAGGGUUGAGUCGCCCCCGCCAUAUAAAUGGCGAUCUGGCGGCGGGUUCGGUCAAGGACUUAGGGGUCCAUGGCCAGCGACAAGCCCCCAAGACAAUCCCCAUGUCGAGACCGGAUUGAAUCUGAAUCGCUCAUGGAUGAUUCGUCAUCAGUGUUGACUGGUGUGGUUUCCUGGGACGCCGAGCGUUCUGGCUCCUCCGAUCCCUGCGUGAACCCAACAAAGACCGGGCGAGUCAGAUUUGGCGUCACUACUGGGCGGACGUACCUGGCCGGCUCGACNNNNNNNNNNNNNNNNNNNNNNNNNNNNNNNNNNNNNNNNNNNNNNNNNNNNNNNNNNNNNNNNNNNNNNNNNNNNNNNNNNNNNNNNNNNNNNNNNNNNNNNNNNNNNNNNNNNNNNNNNNNNNNNNNNNNNNNNNNNNNNNNNNNNNNNNNNNNNNNNNNNNNNNNNNNNNNNNNNNNNAUGCCGAUGAAGAUGUUGAUCUUGCCGAAGGGGACCCUGUAGCCAGAUUCGAUCGAAUCCACCUCGGGCCCCCAUUGCCGAUUGUCGAUGUAGGUCUUCCCGCGGCGGCUCCGGGUCAUGAGCCCCGUCGCGUAACUCCCAAACCCUGGUAGGGAUCCCUUUGAGAACUCAACUCCACCGUGCGUAGGCCCCACGGUGGGCGCCAACUGUCGCGGUUUUGUCACGGCAGAUGUCCUCAUGAAAGGACUUAGUACUAGAGCCAUCGCACCUUGGUGGAGACUCAAAUGGGUUGAGCAGGAGAGACACGGCGAUUUACCCAGGUUCGGCCCCUCAUGAGGAGGUAAAGGCCUACGUCCUGCUUUGAGUUGUAUUGAUGUGGUUUCAAUUACAAGGAGGACGUAACUCGCCAAACCUAGCACUCGAUGAUUUCUAACCUACCCUCUGCUUCCCUGAGACUCGCAUUUAUAUACAAGUCGAAUCCCUAGGGUUUACAAGGGUACUUUCCUUCCUACAAAUCGUGACUUCUAUGGUCUCCAAGUCGCCAUCUUCCAAAGCUUGGAGACCUUCCAGAGAUUAGAAACUGCCACACAACUUUCGGCCUUNNNNNNNNNNNNNNNNNNNNNNNNNNNNNNNNNNNNNNNNNNNNNNNNNNNNNNNNNNNNNNNNNNNNNNNNNNNNNNNNNNNNNNNNNNNNNNNNNNNNNNNNNNNNNNNNNNNNNNNNNNNNNNNNNNNNNNNNNNNNNNNNNNNNNNNNNNNNNNNNNNNNNNNNNNNNNNNNNNNNNNNNNNNNNNNNNNNNNNNNNNNNNNNNNNNNNNNNNNNNNNNNNNNNNNNNNNNNNNNNNNNNNNNNNNNNNNNNNNNNNNNNNNNNNNNNNNNNNNNNNNNNNNNNNNNNNNNNNNNNNNNGCAGGAAUGGUGGUUAACCUAUGUGUACGGACCUCAGGAUGAGCGGGAUAAGGUUGCAUUCUUGCAAGAGUCGGUGGAUAUUCGUGACUUGCAUGCUGGGCCAUGGCUCAUGGCAGGUGAUUUCAACCUUUUGGUGAACGAAGAGGAUAAGAACAACACAUUGAUUAAUUAGAGAAUGAUGGGCAGAUUUCAUGCGAAGCUAAAUGCACUUGAACUUAAGGAGCUAUAUCUAAAUGGGCGGCGAUACACUUAGUCGAAUGAGAGGCAGCAUGCAACACUUGAGAAGAUUGACCAUGUCUUUGUCUCAAAUGAGUGGGAUGAGGCGUGCCAUACUUGUUUUCUACCAGCUCUAGGGACGGCCAUAUCGGAUCAUUGUCCACUGAUGCUAGACUUGAACAUGGAAGUGUCCACGCGGAAGAGGUUCAAGUUUGAGUCUUUUUGGGUCAAGGUGGAGGGCUUUAUGGAGACGGUGCAGACGGAGUGGAACUCAACUCUGCUCGCUUCCAAUGUAUAUCUUACAUUACACAAUAAGCUGAAGGCAACGGCUAAAGCCCUACAGAAAUGGAGUGAUCGGUGGAUAGGCAAUGUGAAGCUGUAGAUUUGCAUUGCUCUGGAGGUGAUCAACAGGCUAGAUAUCGCCAUGGAUUCCCGAGAAUUAUUAGCUGCGGAAGUGGAGCUUCGUAGAUGUUUGAAGAGAAAAAUCUUGGGGCUAUGCUAUCUGGAGUGGACCAUUGCGAGGCAACGAUCGCACUUAUUGCAACUGAAGGAAGGGGAUGGGAGCACGCGCCUAUUCCACCAGCACGCGAGCCACCAACAAAGGAAGAACAUGCUAAGAACGGUGCGUCAUAAUGAGAAUCUAUUCUCAGGCCAAGAGGAGGUAGCGUCGGCUGUGGAUGAUUACUAUUCCAUGGCUUUCGGGUCGUGUGAGGUGCGGACCCAUGCGCUCAACCUGGAGGCGCUUGGGCUGCCGCGUCGGGAUCUAGCUCAUUUGGAGGAGCCGUUCUUGCAAGAGGAAGUGGAGAAGGUGAUCAAGGCUAUGCCCCCGGAUAAAGUACCUGGGCCGGACGGGUUUACGAGUCGGUUCUAUGCAGUUUGCUCGCAUAUCAUACAAGAUGACUUCAUGGCUGCGAUGAACUGCUUCUAUGUUAGAGGCAUGGCGGCGAUCAAUAGGUCUCUAGUGACCCUUCUGCCGAAGAAAGAAGGGGCGCUGGACGUGGGGGAUUUUAGGCCUAUCAACCUGGUGCAUGGGGCUGUCAAGAUCAUUGAAAAAGUGCUUGCAUCGAGGCUUGUGGUGGAGCUGCCAAACCUGGUUGGGAAUCAUCAAAGUGCCUUUGUCAAAGGACGAUCACUCCACGAUAAUUUCAUGCUAGUCCAGAGUAUGGUGAGGCGAUUUCAUGCGCUCAAAAACCAUACGGCGCUCCUGAAGUUGGACAGUUCAAAAGCUUUUAUCUCAGUUCAGUGGCUGUUUCUCCUCGAGGUCAUGGAGCAACUCGGUUUUGGACCAAGAUGGAGAGCUGGCGUGUGUGGGAUUCUAGCCACAUCGACCACUAAGGUCAUGGUGAAUGGUGACCCCGGAAACAUAAUUUACAACCGCAAAGGCUUGCAGCAAGGCGACCCUGUCUCACCGAUGUUGUUCUUACUUACUAUGGAGCCACAACAAUGUUUGUUUGAUUGGGCAGUGGAUAGAGGGCUCUUGCACCGCCUGGUGACGACCGGAUUGAGGAAGAGGAUCUCUAUCUUCACGGAUGAUGUGGUUCUCUUUGUCAAGCCAGAGCCCAUGGACCUUGCGGUUUGCAAGUGCAUUUUUGAUCAGUUUGGAGAGGCGUCGGGGCUGCAUAUCAACAUGAGCAAAUCGGUGGCUCUGCCGAUACACUACUCUGACCAUAGUAUCAACAUGGCUAGCGCGGAGCUUGGGUGUCGAGUGGGAUUGUUUCCAGUUCGUUAUCUUGGACUCCCACUGUAUUUGAAGAAACUUUCAUCUACACAACUUCAAUAUCUCGUGGACUAGAUGGCAAACAGGCUGCCAAAGUGGAAGGCCGGUCUCAUGCCAAGGAGUGGUAGGCUGACUCUGGUGCAUUCUGUCAUGUGUGCUAUGCCCAUUCACGCUAUGAUGGUCUUCGAUCUUCUGAUCAAGACGAUUGCCGCCAUGAAUAAGUUGUGUCGGGGAUUUCUGUGGUGUCGCAAGGCCGAAGCAAAUGGUGGGAACUGCGCUGUGGCAUGGGAGGCUGUGUGCGCUCCAAAAUGGGCACGAGGUUUAGGCCUACCAAAUUUGAGAUGGCUCAACUUAGCUAUGCAGGCCAGGUGGCCUUGGUUACAACGAACUGAUGGGACAGGACUGUGGAGUGAGUUUUCUAUCAAGGUGCCAGACGAAUCAAUGAAGUUAUUCCAAGGAGGCAAUAGAUGGACUAUUCGGGAUGGAAUGAACACGCUCUUCUGGUAGGAUCGGUGGCUCGACGAAAUAAGCUUACAUGAGAUCGCACCGGACAUCUAUGAUCUGGUGCCAAGUCGUGUGCGAAAUGCAUGCAUGCUCGGGCAUGUCCGGGAGACGUGGGCGACAAGUGUUGACCCCAACUUGGGGGAGGAAGCCUUGCAUCAGUUCCUACAAUUGUGGCAAAGGAUUCAGAAUAGGGAACCAAUGAAAAAUGCCCCAUAACAUCUCUUGGUCUUGGGACAAAAGCGGGCAAUUCACAGUCCAGUCGGCCUAUGCCGCCUGGUUUUGGGGUAGAGAGAUCAUACCCACCGCAGACCUCGUUUGGAAAUCGAGAGCUCCGGCAACAUGCAAGUUCUUUAGCUAGCUAGCCCUACGCAAAUAGAUGUUGGACAUCGAAUCGACUGUCUAGGAGGGGAUUACCACACCAAGACAAGUGCCCACUUUGUAUUCAAGAGGAAGAAAGAUCGAGCAUGUGCUCUUAACAUGCGCUUUCGCUAGAACGGUGUGGGCAGGACUAUUCGAGGCUAUGGGGAAGAUUGAUUGGAUGCCCACUUCAAAUGAGUCCCUCCGGACUUGGUUAUGCAGCAAACAAGGACUCCCAACCAUUUCCAACAAAGACCUACACACACUACUUGUGCUGACGAUGUGGGAAGCGUGGAAGCAUAGGAACGCGGUCGUGUUUGAUGGGGCAGCGCCUUCGGUAGCUCAUCUUUUGCACAAAACCUCCUCGGAAGGUAGAACGUGGUCGUUGGCCGGGCUCAUUAAAGGAAAUGUAGAUUCUGUGUUUUCCUAUCACGGUGGAGCAUUGGGGAUGAGUAGACUAUAUUAGUGUGGAGUGGAGUUGUUUGUGUUUUCGUGUGGUGUAUCACCAUGUGAUGUAAAUAACUGGUGGAGGCAUUCUUCGCCUUUCUUCUAUCUCGCCUUUCUUCUAUCAAUAUAUGAUAUGCACACUCGCACAUUCGAGAAAAAAAAAAGAUAUGAUCACGACUAAUGUUAGUGUUAUUGAUGAUCGCAAAAUGAUAGUAGAUGUUGGUGGGCUAAAGGAAAUAUUUUCUGUCACAAGAAAACAAGAUGUUGCUUCAUUCAAUCAUUACGCCAACGAGAAGGAAAAUAAUUUACUAGACGUGCAUGUAUUGAAGGAAAAUAAUUGCACGCAAGGUAAAUUACCAAGUCAAGAUAGGAGAUAUGCAUGCAAUAUUGACCAGGCGCGGUUUGGCAAGGAAAUACCAACAACUAAUUCCUUGGAGGAAAAGGCAACCUAUGCUAAUGUGAGGAAUCAUGCGAGAUCUGAUUUAUUUGCAUCGAUCAACAAGAUAAAAAGAAGAGAUAUCUUCCUUUUCAUCCCACUCCCACGCAAGCUAAGGUCUAUCAAUUGCAUGACAUGCACAUGCAGAAUUAGAGAUAUGCUAAGCUUGAGAGGGUGCAGGUGGGGUCCACUUUUCCUUGCAGAAGACCCACCAAGCAAAAUUAGGAGUCGUGGAUUGUUAUACGGUACGAGGCGAUCAAGGCCGCCACAUACUUUAUUAGUUAAAUUUUUGAUUAGUUCGAAUAAGAGAGAGAGAGUCUAUUUCAAUCUAGAAUAAUUAGACUGGUUUUGUAUUUGUGCGUUGCUUAUAAAUGAGGCUGGCGAUGGCCAAUGUACACAGAUUAUUUUUUAUGAAAUGGACACAAUGUUUCUUGGGGUAUACACGAGUAGACACAAUUUAGUUUUGAAGGUUUCUUUAAAAAAAUUCAUGUUCGAAUUUAUUUGUGGAAAUUGUUUUGCGCGUGAGUACCGUUGAUACGUCUCCAACGUAUUGAUAAUUUAUAAAGUAUUCAUGUCAUAUUUUUUUAUGUUUAGAAUACUUCUAUAUAAUUUAUUUAGAACUAACCCGGACUAAUGCUAUUUUCAGCAGAAUUACCAUGGUGUUGUUUUUUGAGAAGAAAAUAGAAGUUUACGGAAUUGCCAGGAACUUUUUUAUUAUUUUUUGGGGAAAAGUAGAAAUACCAGAGCGAAGAACCACCAGAGAAGAGCAACCUAUGGGCCAUGAGGCAACAAGGCACGACCACCCCUUGGUCGCGCCCUGUUGUGUAGUGGGGCCCACGUGGUUGUGUCUGGCAUAAUUCCAACACUAAAACUUCCUAUAUGUGCAGAAACCUCCAAAAGUUAACCUAGAACUGCCACCCGCCGCUGUAACUCUUUGUAUCAAUGAAAACCCAUCUAGAACAUUUCCAGUACCCUACCGGACAGGCGAAGUCAUCACCGCUAGCCAUAUCCAUCAUCCCGACAGUGUCCAUGAUAAGGAGAUUGUAGUUUACCGUUGGGGAUGAGGGUACUUACCAGUAGCUAUGUGUUUGAUCUCUCUCUCAUGUUGUUGAGAUGACAUAAUCUUGAUGUAUCACGGGAUUUGUUAAUAUAGUUGGAUCAUAUGGUGUUCUUUCCUUGCUAUCUUGUUGUGAUUAAUUGAGUCUUUCCCUUUGAGAUCUCGUUAUGUUCGAUUGAAUAUUGGAUUUGAGAACAUCUGAUGUAUGUCUUGCAUGUGAAUACUCGUGGUGUCAUUGAGAGUUUUCUAUUGAUCCACUUGAUAUAUGUUAUGCCAUCAACUUGCAGAUUCCAUUGACCUUGGGGAUAUAUGCAUAGGGCUUGAGUGCACGUUUUCAUACUACGUUCUCCAAUAGAAAUCUGGUGGUAUGCUUUGAAGUUCUUUGUGUUGGAUUGAACAUGUUGAAUCUAAAAUUGUUUGAUGCAAGUCAUAUAAUUAACCCAUAGAUACUUGAGGUGACAUUAGAGUAUUUAGGUGACAUUAGGGUUGAUUGAUAUGUAUCAUAGGUGUUAUUUUACUACGAAUUCUAGGGCAUUUUGUGACACGUAUAGGAGUAGCCCAAAAGAUUGAUUGGAAAGAAUAACUUUGAGGUGGUUCUACUACGCACAACAAUUUCAUCUUAUGUUCUCUGCUAGAUAUUAAUUUUGAAGUGAUUCUUUAUUGCACAUUGAGGGAUGAUCAUAUGAUUCUAAUAUGUUAGCAUUGUUUCGAGAUUGCACUAGUGAAAAUAUGAGCCCUAGGCCUUAUUUCCAAGCAUUAAUAUACCAUUUUGUUCAUUGUUUGCCACUUGCUACUUGGCUGUUUUUAUAAUUUCAGAUUAUAAAAACCUAUUUCUACUAUCCAUACUACACUUGUAUCACCAUCUCUUCACUGAACUAGUGAACCUAUACAAUUUGCCAUCGUAUUGGGUGUGUUGGGGACACAAGUGAUUUUUUGUAUUUGAUUGCAGGUUGUUUGAGCGAGACCAUCUUCAUCCUACACUUCCCACGGAUUGAUAAACCUUAGGUCAUCCACUUGAGGGAAAUUUGCUGUUGUCCUAUAAAAUAUGCACUUGGAGGCCCAACAACGUCUACAAGAAUAAAGUUGCAUAGUAGACAUCAAUGGUCAUCGAGAUUGGUUUUCUUGUGUUGAGCCCCAAGGUUCGAACCCUCUAUUUCGUGUACAUCACACACGUGGGCGAGAGGUUGAUACUUCUGGUGGUGGAGUGUUAUGAAAGAUCGCGUCGCAAUGACACAUCAGAUCUCACAUCGAGAUUCGGUUUACAUCAGGUGGUAUUCAUGGAAAAGAUUGUUCACGACACUCUAUUUUUCUUCGAGCUACUAUUGAUGGUUUUAUCAUGAGGAAAGAUUGUAGCUCGUAAGUGAUGAUAGCGGUGGAGAAGUUUCACAGCCUGUGUUUUUCCUCUCCUGACUUAGUCAACAUAGCUCAAAAAUUAGGACCAAUUAAAACUUGUGUGUGUGCUUGUGAUGCUUGACUUGGUUGUGAUUCCUUACUUGUUUGAUUGUGUUUUAAAAUCACAAAACUUCCUCCUACUUUCUAGACUCAUCUUCUUGAUCCAAAUCCUUUCCCAAUCACCAUACCAUGUGUACAAUACCUAAAACUAUUUUUAGAAAAUAAUAUUUUAACCAGAAAGCAUUUAUUUGAUUUAGCUUUUCAAAAACCCAUGAAUUGAGGUUUGUACUACAAGUCCUCAAAUUAGGGAAGAUGUUUUGCCCGAGGUAAUUUAUUUAAAUCAUAUUAUAGAAAAGACUUCCCGAAACCACAAAAUUAUAAUUUUAAAAGUUAUUUUCCUAUUUUAUUUAAAUAACAUUUUCUAAGGCCAGAAAUGGUCUUUUAUAAGGAAAACAUUAUUUUUAUGCUUUCAAAAUAUUUGAGAAAAUUUAGGGAAACCCAAUGGACAUGUAUGGUGCAUAUAUAAGAGUUUCAGCACAUGGUCAUGUUCAAAAUAUUGGAUAAAACCCUCCAAAACCCUUUCUGCCUGUUUCAAGAUUUUGAAAUAUUUCUAAAAGAAAUAUUCUCAAUAAAAUCCAGGAACAUUCUAGCAAGUCACACAUGAUAUAUGUGUUGAUAUUGCCAAGUUUUAUCUCAGUCCAAGUUGACUUGGUUCACCAAAAUAUUACAAAACCCUCUUUGUCCAGAACGACAUUUGAGAAACUUUACAUUUCCAAGUGUCUCCAAAUGUUCUCAAAUUUCAUGGACUUGUGCUAAUACCCUAAUAAUGAAAAUACACCAAGUGGUGCAUCAUGGAGAACAAAUCCACUUGUCCAAAUACCCUCAAAACCACUUUUGCUAAUUUCUAGAAUUGGGAAUAUUUGCAUUGUCAAGUUUCUCCAUUGGAUCCGAAAUUGUUUGGGCAUGCUCUAAUCCUCAAAUAAUGCCACCACUCCAAGUGGUGCAUUAGGGGGAAUUAAGUUGCAUGUAUUUGUCUAGAUAAAAUCAGUUUUUGCCCAUUUCUACGAUUUAUAAAGCUUACAUUGUGAACUUUCACGAUAUAACGUCAAAAAUGGGGAUUAUGUCCAAAUGUUCUUACCAUUUACCCCUCGUAAUUAUUAGGGCCAUUGGAUACCCCUAGAUGCCCUAAGACAUCAUGAAACACCUUCAGCCAUAAGCUUGGGGACAAACAAAGUUGACCCGAAAAGAUUCCCUUGCCUCUAACCUUUUACCAAAGUAUGUUGUAACCUUGUAUUCCCUCGAGUAACUUUGCCAUAGCCUCAAUUAAAUUAUCGAGGGGGGGGGGGGAACUCCCUAACUUACCCUCUCUUGUUACCAUGGCAUCACCUCUUUUACCCCUCUCUCAUUAUUCUAUACAUGCAAAUGCAUCCAAAAUUUACCGCAACCUCAUUUGCAUACUGAUACAUCAAUUCAAGCCCAAAGAUCACAUGCUCAUGUGGAAAAUAUGAGCAAACCACCUAAAACUAGCUUAUGGCAGCAAAUGUGCCUUUGUACUACGACUACCGUGUAUACUUGUCUCCCACGAGUGAAAAAUGGUGUACAUAUAGUCUUCCCAUACCUAAGCCUCUGAGAAAACCUUUUACCUCUUAAGCCCCUCAUAUAAAUACCCUAAACUAGCCCCCAAGUUUACUACUACAAACUGAACCUGAGUAGAAAACCACCCCACCUAGGUCCAUAGGCAGGGAAACUCCACGAGAGCUCUCGUGCAUGAGUGCCUUACAUGUUACACAACUUAUCCUAACAAAUAGGUUGUCCUGGACACAAGUUGGCAUGGUGACCACGUUGUUGUCAUGUAGAAACGAUGCUCUGCCACUUGUGCUUGUCUUGUAGCUCGCUGCAGGGCAUGGCAGGGUGACCACUCGCGCCAGGGGCUCCCAUUCGACCUCCCACGCCUCUCCCCAUGCCAGAACGCUCCAAGGUGGCUCUGCCAUGCGCGCUCUUCAUGCUCGAAGGCACCCGAGGCGCGUCCGAACCCCACUUCGUCGCCCCCUCCAUUUACCUCCCCUCCGAGCUCACCCUCGCACCCAGGCCACUCCUCCCACUCUCACAGGCCCCUUGCCCGAGACAUUGGACCUCUUGAGCUCGAAAGGCCCUCCUAUAACCGCAGCUGCCAUCGUUUGGCUCCGCUCGAAUUCAAGCGAGCGAGCCCUCCCUCUCCUCUAAUUCCACCUCCUUUGAGACCCUCGUGGCCACUCCAUCCUUCCCGACACCCCAAGACGUGAUCUCCACCACCAUAUUGCGCUAGCUAGCAUCGGCCAACGCUGCUGUCUACCCCUCCCGGUGGGCAACUUGCUCGGGCAAUACCCGCGACCGAUAGGACCACCCCAAGCACAGCAGGGAGCGGGGCGUCCGCCCAUGCCCCCAACUCGGCGAUUGGCGCAGCAAAGUGGCCGGAGCUAUGGUGGCUGGCAUCCCCUUUGCCUCUUGUCGGGAGGUAGGAGAAGGUGGGAAGGAGAGAGAUGGAACCAACAGUGCCCGCCUGUAAGCGACUCCAACGAUUGGGCCCACGCGUAAGGUGAGACUGCUCCGCGUGAACCCGCCUCUUCACGGUGGAGGCGUAUUUGCUGGAAUAAGCAUUCGGUGCUCCCCAGCCGCUCAAUCGGGCCAUUGGGCCGGCCCAUUUUCUAUGUGGCGCCUAUUGCGCCAUUUUAGCCAUUUUGGUGAGAAUUCUUCCUCGUGUCUUUUUUCCACAGAGUCUAAUCAAUUCAUAUAAACUCUAAAUUUGAUGAUUCAAAAUCCUAGGUGCUCCUAAAAACAUGGCCUAUCCAAAUAUAUGCAUUGCACAUUUUUCCAAAGAACUUAUCUAUAGUGUUCAUAUUCAAAUUCAAAAUUGAAUAUUUCAAAUCCCAACCUUGGAAAUUUCCUAUAACAUUCCAAUCAACUCCAAAUGGAGUGAUUCAAAUUUCCACAUACUUCAAAAAUCAAGCCUUAUUUGUACAGCCAAGGUGACAUUUUUCUUAGUAUUGUUUCUCCUAGGCCAAAUAAAUGGAUCCCCUUUUCACUAUUUCCAUCUUAAAUAAAUCACGGGAAAAUCAUCCCAACCCCAAAUCCAGUGAAACCACUUCCUAAAUUCCUCUACAAUCAUGCCCUAUUAAAUGAGUGCCUCCACUCAUUUUUAGGAAAAUAUUGUUUGAAGACUUCUUGUGGGGCCACUCAUGCCUCCAUUUCCACCAUUCGAAAUUCUCCGAUGAUCCAAAUCCAUUAGAACAAACUUUAGGAAUUUUUCUUAUGAUGAGAGAUGUCCAAGAAAAAUAAAACUCAUAUUUAUAGAGCACUUCUGUUUCUCUGCUUGUUGUGUGUCUUAUUGUGGUUGUUUCCGGCGAUAGUUGAUAAAGUAGACAAAGUGCUCAGAGUUGGACGAGAAGCGUCAGAAGACCUCGAAGACUUUAAUCAACUAGGCAAGCAACCCUUUGACCAUGACUAUGAAAUCAGUUUUAUGCAUGUCAUAUGUCAUUUAAUUUCGUUGCAUAUGAAUCAUGAUUGAAUUGGUGACCACCUUGGUGUGUUGUCUCCGAUAUUUCCUCUUUGAUACUUGCAAUGAGCAUGACCCAACCAUCCAAUGAGGGCUGUGUGGGUGGGGAGUAGUUAGGAUGCUAAAGUAGAUGCUACGCAAGUUGGAUUGGAAUAUGCAUGGUGACAAAAAAGAAAUGAUUUCAAAGACUUCUCGAAAACCCCGUCGAGUGCCACUAUUUCCCGAGGGAGAUGGUGUUGAUCUAGGUAACCACUUGAGAAAGAGGUGGUUCUUUCGAAAACAGAUUGGUUUAAGUUGCGACCAUUACUCCAACCUUACAUGUUCGACCACGACACCCCUUCAUGGGACCGGACUUUGUUGAUUACUCUGGUUGAUUCUAGCAGAGAGCCCGCAUUACUAGUGGCGGGAGGGCCAGAGUUACCCUCUCAAUACACGGUCGUGCCAGGUAGGGAGACCAUGGAAUGUUUUUAUGAACACCGGGCACACCCUUGUGUCAACUCAAGGAUGGUACAAUCUUGAGUGAGGCUCGUAUGAUGUACGUCAUGAGGACGUGGGCCAACGAGUGAAUUCGUUGUUUAGUGUCUCCGGGGGAAAGGCAUUGUUCUGGUGCUUACCUCGGGUAUGUAAUAUACCGCGAGUCUUGGAUGACACGGAAGUUCUCGGAGUCUUGUGGGUACAACGCGCAAAUCAGAGUAUAAAAAUAUUCGAAUAGCCAUGUCCAUGGUCAAGGAUAGUUGGAUGACCGCUCUUGGGCUACGUCCAUUGUUGCAAACUUGGCAUGUAUGUACGAGAAAGAUGAUACUUGAGCGUACUCACAUGACUGGACAUGGUGAUUGAACAUGAGAUGUUUAACCCUGCAUAUGAUGAUAUCUAUGACUUGUUCGUAUGGAUAUCGGCAACCUGUUGAUGCAUGCUUUUACAAGUUGAUUGAUCAUGACAUUCCACUGUAAACUAGAUUUCUACAAAUUACCUACUUAGUGCUAUAUCAUGCAUUCUUAUUGCCUUGUUCCAAACAUGGGUUGCUAGCGAGUACAUUCAAAGCACUCACUAGCUUGCCACUAGUUAUUUUAUUGACCAGGCAUGAGAGAACAUGAUAAGAUGAAGAAUACCUUGGUGACUUAAGUGCGAGCUAGGACGCUUCCCUUUGAGAAUGCCUAUGGGGUUAAGGCAGAUGGCAUGGGUUAAUGCUAUCGAUGAAGAUUUCCACUACAAAUAUAUGAAGACUUGCCCAUGGAAGCCAUUUCCGAGUAAAACGGUACGUAAAGGAUGUAAGUGUUGAAAAUAUGCCGUGGAGGCAAUAAUAAAGUGGUUAUUAUUAUAUUUCCUAGUUCAUGAUAAUUGUCUAUUAUUCAUUCUAUAAUUGUAUUAACCGGAAACCGUAAUACAUGUGUGAAUAUAUAGAUCACAAUGUGUCCCUAGUGAGCCUCUAGUUGGCUAGCUUGUUGAUCAAUAUAUGAUCAUGGUUUCCCGAUCAUGGACAUUGUAUGUCAUUGUUAACGGGAUCACAUCAUUGGGAAAUGAUGUGAUGGACAAGACCCAAUCCUAAGCAUAGCACAAGAUCGUAUUGUUCGUCUGCUAAAGCUUUUCUAAUGUCAAGUAUCGUUUCCUUAGACCAUGAGAUUGUGCAACUCCCGGAUACCGUAGAAGUUAUUUGGGUGUACCAAACGUCACAAUGUAACUGGUGAUUAUAAAGGUGCACUACAGGUAUCUCCGAAAGCGUUUGUUGGGUUGUACGAAUCGAGACUGGGAUUUGUCACUCCGUGUGAUGAAGAGGUAUCUCUUGGCCCACUUGGUAAUCUAUCAUCAUAAUGAGCUCAAUGUGACUAAGGAGUUAGCCAUGGGGUGAUGUGUUACAAAACGAGUAAAGAGACUUGCCGGUAACGAGAUUGAACAAGGUAUAGGGAUACUGACGAUCGAAUCUUGGGAAAGUAUCAUACCGGUAGACAAAGGGAAUUGCAUACAUGAUUGAUUGAAUCCCUGACAUCGUGGUUCAUCCGAUGAGAUCAUCAUGGAACAUGUGGGAGCCAACAUGGAUAUCCAGACCCCUCAUUUGGUUAUUGACCGGAGAGGUAUCUCGGUCAUGUCUGCAUGCUUUCCGAACCCGUAUGGUCUACACACUUAAGGUUCGAUGACGUUAGGGUUAUAUGGGAAUAGUGUACGUGGUUACCGAAGGUUGUUCAGAGUCCCGGAUGAGAUCUCAGACGGCACGAGGAGUUCCAUAAUGGUACGUAGGUAAAGAUUCAUAUAUAGGAAAUGAAGAUUUCAUCGCCAGAAGUGUUACGGGCGUCACCUGUAAUGUACCGGGACCACCGGAAGGGUUCCGGGGGUCCACCGAGAAGGGCCACCAGCCCCAAACUACUACAUGGGCCAAAAGUGGAUGGGAACCAGCCCCUAGGUGGACUGGUGCGCCACCACUAAAGGCCCAAGGCGCAGCAAGUGGUGGAGGGGGGCAAACCCUAGGCGUGGAGGGGCUGCCUUGGGCCUCAAGGCCCACUCUAGGGCGCCUCCACCCUUGGCUGCCGCCCUCCUUGCCCAUCUGGGGCCGCCGCACCUCUUAGGGUGGGAAAUCCUAAGGGUGGUGUUGGGGAUAUUACCUGCGGUAUGACCCGCCCUAUUGGGCCGGGCCAGGUAAGCGGCGAUUCAACAUUCAUGAUAAAAGAUUGGCCUUGGCGCAGGGUUUGAGAUGCGUCAGGAGAACUUCAACGAAAAGCCGGCCAGGGCCCAUGAGCCUAGAUGGCGGUUCAAGAUUAAUGGAGAAGAUAAGUCGCCGAGGAGAUUUCCUAGCAUGGAAUACACGACGGUUAGAGAUAUGGAAGGCCACGAUUUGUAAUGUGGCCAGGACUUUGUAAACCCUAGGGCCUCGAUGUGUAUAUAAAGGCGAGUCUGUAGGGAAGAUAGGUUAAGUGAGAAUCCAUCGAGAGCUAGGCCAGGCGAGUUACUCCCUCCUUGUAAUCGAAUCCACCGUCAAUAUACACAAAGGAGGACGUAGCUUUUACCUCCAUAGGAGGGGCCAAACCUGGGUAAACCUAAGUCUCGCUUCCGCUCACCCCCUUUGAGUCGCCACCAAGGUGCGAUGGCUCCAUCACUAAGUCCUUUCACGAGGACACCUGCCGUGAAAAAACCACGACAGUUGGCGCCCAAUGUGGGGCUUGCACACGGUGGAGUUGAGUUUUCAAAGGGAUCCCUUCCAGGGUUUGGAAGCUACGCUGUCAGCAUCAUGACUAAGAGUCGUCGUGGGGAGUACUACAUCGACAACUCUCAAUGGGGGUCUGAGGCCGAUUCAAUCGAAUCUGGAUACAGGGUCCCCUUCGGCAAGAUUCACAUCUUCAUUGGAAAGUUUGGGGCUCCCGUACCUGAGCCGGACACCUUCACCGACACCGUCGAGCCGGCCCGGUACGCCCAUCCUGCCAAGCAUCAGGUCAGGAAACGCCAUGCUUUUGUUGGUUUUACACAAGGAACCGACCUACCGGAUGAGACAGUAAUCCAGGAGAACACACCUGUCAACUCGGACGACGAGUCGUCCAUAGGCGACACAGAUUCAAUCUAUCCUCUCCACGAAGGAUAGCCGAGGGGCUUGCCUGAGGCAGCAAUUUCCGAGGACGUUGAAGGCCCCCAUCGUCAGGUCACCAUUUACAUGGCAGGAGCAGCGGUCCCUCAGCCAAACGCGGCUGGCAACAACAAAGCCAGCGAAUCAGGGAAGACCCCAGCUCAAGCCAUGGCGUAUUUAGUAGCCGAGGUGGCCAAACUCACGUCAAUCACUGUGACGGCGGAGAAUCAGGAACAAGUCAACGCCAAGUUAGGAAAACUAAGGGAGGAGAUGGCCAAAAUCCAGCGCGACAUUGAAGGUGAAGCCGUGUAAGAGCCCAGAUGUUUCCCUUUCCUUAAUUGUAAUUCCUUUCCUCUUGUGGCACAUUGUUGAGCCUAUGUAUGGAAGUUAUGAGGAGGUUAUCAUUUCAUGUGGCCAUCAUUCCCUGUCAUCAUCUUGCAUCAUGGCAUUCUUUUGCAUCCUUUGCACCCCCUUACUUGUGUUGCUAGUGUUUGGUCCAUCAUGGAAGUGCUAGUGCUCAUAUAAGUGUUUGGGUUGAGUGUGGUGUUUUCAAACCUUGCAAAACACUCAUCCCAUUAUUUAUUCUAACUUGUGCUUUAAACUUUGCUUGAACCUGUUAUAAAAAAUGUUAAUGCCUUAGAGGUCUUAUUUGUGAAUGUAGGGGUUGCUCUCAUUGUUAUUUUAGACUUUGGUUUAAUGAGGGUUUUAAAAGAAAACAACAUCUAAUUUCUGUUUUAAGUGUGAAUUAUCUUGUCCUAAAAAUAUGUUAAUUAUUUUUGUAAAAUAGGGCAUAAUUCCCACAUGGCUUGUCUAUUUUUACUUUUUACCAAAUCCUUUUGCUUGCCUCUAUUUGAAUUCAGGUGUAAAACCAUAUUUCGAAAAGGGAAAAGCCUUUUCUUUCCUGCUAGUUUUGUUGUGUGAUACGUCUCCAUUGUAUAUACUUUUCCAAACUCUUUUGCCCUUGUUUUGGACUCUAAUUUGCAUGAUUGGAAUGGAACUAACCAGGACUAACGCUGUUUUUAGCAGAAUUGCCAUGAUGUUGUUUUUGCGCAGAAUUAAAAGUUCUCGGAAUGACCUGGAAAUGUACGAGGAUUUUUUGUGAAAUAUAUAAAAAAUACUGGCGCAAGAAUCAACCGGAGACGUGGAGCGAGGUGCCCACAAGCCCAGGAGGCGUGGCCCCCAUGGCCAUAUUUAGUCCCUUUCGUCCGGAAUAAGAUCAAGGAGAAGAGUUCAUUGCAUUUUACGAUACGGAGGCGCCGCCACCACCUGUUCUUCCUCUGGAGCGCAGAUCUCGAGUCCGUUCUGGGCUCCGGAGAGGGGAUAUCGUCACCAGCGUCAUCACCAACCUUCCUUCAUCGCCAAUUCCAUGAUGCUCUUCACCGUUCGUGAGUAAUCUCAUCGUAGGCUUGCUGGACGGUGAUGGGUUGGAUGAGAUCUAUCAUGUAAUCGAGUUAGUUUUGAUGGGGAUUGAUCCCUAGUAUCCACUAUGUUCUGAGAUUGAUGUUGCUACUACUUUGCCAUGCUUAAUUCUUGUCACUAGGGCCCGAGUGCCAUGAUUUCAGAUCUGAACCUAUUAUGUUCUCGUCAAUAUAUGUGUGUUCUUGAUCCUAUCUUGCAAGUUGUAGUCACCUACUAUGUGUUAUGACCCGACAACCCCGGAGUGACAAUAGCCGGAACCACUCCCGGAGAUGAUCAUAGUAUGAGGAGUUCAUGUAUUCACUAAGUGCUAAUGCUUUGUUCCGGUUCUCUAUUAAAAGGAGAACCUUAAUAUCCCGUAGUUUCCGUUAGGUCCCCGCUGCCACGGGAGGGAUGGACAAUAGAUGUCAUGCAAGUUCUUUUCCCUAAGGACGUAUGUCUGUAUGCGGAAUGCAUGCCUACAUUACAUUGACGAAGCGGAGCUAGUUACAUAUCUGCCCAUGUUAUAACUGUAGCAUGAUGAAUGUCAUCCGACAUAAUUAUGCAUCACCGAUCCAGUGCCUACGAGUCUUUUCCGACUGGUUCUUGCUAUGUUACUUUGCUUCUACUGCUUUCACUUCUGCUACUGUUACCGCUACUGCUGUCACUGUUGCUACUGUUACCGUUGCUACUGUUGCCAUCACACUACAUUACUACUGAAAGUUUGCUGUAGAUACUAAGUCUUUCAGGUGUGGUUGAAUUGACAACUCAACUGCUAAUACUCGAGAAUAUUCUUUUGCUUCCCCUUGUGUCGAAUCAACAAAUUUGGGCCGAAUACUCUACCCUCGNAUUGCGGGGGGGGGGGGGCAUAGCUAUAGUCUCUGAGUCACUUGGGAUUUACAUCUGUUGAUCACGAUGAGGAAUCCGAGAGAUCCAAAAACUAAAGUCUUGCCCUCAACUACGAGGACGGGUAAGGAACUACCAUCUAGCUCUACACUUAAUUCACCUUCAGUUAUGAGUAAGUUUGCGACACCACCUCGUGCUAGAAAUUCUGAUAUGUCGUAUGUGCUUGAUGAUGCUACUUCCGUUAUCCAUGAUGGUUGUGAUGAUGCUUUGCUUGAUACUGCUUUUCCACUAGGUGCAUUCCUUGAUGCACAAAUUGCUAGAGUUGCUGCUGAAUGUGAUGAUACUUCUGAAACUGCUGAGAUUAUUGAAGUAUAACCUGCUAUUUCACCUGUUCGAACUAGCUCUCCUAGAUAUGAAUUGCCUGAUAUACCUGAGGGUUAUGUUAUGGAGGGAGAGAUAGCUGAGGACUUUCUUGCUUGUAAGGAUAUCUAUGAUCUUGAGAAAUUAUUGAGCAAGUGGAAAGAAAAAUCUCUGAACGCUAGGAUGAAAAACGAUCCUAAGUUUGCUAAUUCGCCUAUCUUUGUGACCGAUAAGGAUUAUGAAUUCUCUGUCGACCCUGAGUUAAUCACUUUGGUCGAAUCUGAUCCUUUUCAUGGUUAUGAGUCUAAAAUGGUUGUAGCACAUCUUACUAAGCUGUACGAUAUAGCCACCCUAUUCACGAGUGAGGAAAAGAUUCGCCACUACUAUAUCCUUAAGCUGUUUCCUUUCUCGCUAAAGGAUGAUGCUAAGACUUGGUUUACGUCUCUUGCUCCUGGUUGUGUGUGUAGUCCCCAGGAUAUGAUCUACUAAUUCUUUGAGAAAUAUUUUCCUGCCCAUAAGAAACAAGCUGCCUUCCAGGAAAUAUAUAACUUUGUGCAAGUUGAAGAAGAGAGUCUCCCACAAGUUUGGGUGAGGCUUGUCCAGCUACUGAAUAUUUUGCCUGAUCACCCUCUUGAGAAGAAUCAAAUACUUGAUAUUUUUAUAAUGGACUAACCGAUGCUUCUAGGGACCACUUAGAUUGCUGUGUGAUACGUCUCCAUCGUAUCUACUUUUCCAAACUCUUUUGCCCUUGUUUUGGACUCUAAUUUCCACGAUUUGAAUGGAACUAACUUGGACUGACGCUGUUUUCAGCAGAAUUGCCUUGGUGUUAUUUUUGUGCAGAAAUCAAAGUUCUCCAAACGUCCUAGAAAUUUACGGAGAUCAUUUUUCGAAAUUAUGAAAAAAUAUCUGCGCCAAGUUCCACCAGAGGGGGUGGGCCAGUGGGCCAGAAGCCCUGGCUCCGCCACCCCCCUGGUGGCGGUGGGCAGGCUUGUGGGGCCCACACGGCUCUGCCGCCCCCAAUCUCAGAUCUAUAAGUUCCCUUUUAUCCUAGAAAAAAUAAAAAGAGAAGUUUUCGUCGCGUUUGCGAUACAGAGCCGCCGCCACCACCUGUUCUUCAUCUGGAGGGCAGAUCUGGAGUCCGUCUUGGGCUCCGGAGAGGGGGAAUCGUCGCCUUCGUCGUCAUCAACCUUCUUCCCUCUCCAAUUCCAUGAAGCUCUUCGUCGUUCGUGAGUAAUCUAUUCGUAGGCUCGCUGGGCGGUGAUGAGUAGGAUGAGAUCUAUCAUGUAAUCGAGUUAGUUUUGAUGGGGAUUUAUCCCUAGUAUCCACUAUGUUCUGAUAUUGAUGUUGCUACUACUUUGCCAUGUUUAAUGCUUGUCACUAGGGCCCGAGUGCCAUGAUUUCAGAUCUGAAAUUAUUAUGUUGUCACCAAUAUAUGUGUGUUUUAGAUCCGAUCUUGCAAGUUGUAGUUACCUACUAUGUGUUAUGAUCCGUCAACCCCGGAGUGACAAUAACCAGAACCACUCCUGGUGAUGACCAUAGUUUGAGGAGUUCAUGUGUUCACCAAGUGCUAAUGCAUUGGUCCGGUUCUUUAUUAAAAGGAGAACCUUAAUAUCCCGUAGUUUCCUUUUGGACCCUGCUGCCACGGGAGGGAUGGACAAUAGAUGUCAUGCAAGUUCUUUUCCCUAAGCACGUAUGACGACACACGGAAUGCAUGCCUACAUCACAUUGACGAAUGGGAGCUAGCCACAUAUCUCUCCAUCUACGAGUUUGUCCUACAGCUACUGUUACUUGUUUUGCUCUGCUGCUGUUACUACUGUUGCUGCUACUGUUACUUGUUUUGCUCUACUGCUGUUACUACUGUUGCUACUGCUACUACUUGUCUUGCUCUGCUGCUACUGUUGCUACUACUAUCGCUUGCUACUGUUGCUACUUGCUACUACUGUCACUACUGCUUUUCCUUGCCGCUGCUAUUUGCUCAUUACACUGCUGCUAUCUGCUACAAUUUUGGUUCGCUGGUCAUUGAUGGGAACUGAUAAUUUCCGUCAACGAGGCAACUUGGCGCCAUUGAUACAAUCGUUAGGAAUAGUCUGCCGUGUCAACAGAUCGUUUCUAACACCGUUGUUAUCAUACUACUUUGUUGUUACUACUUUGCUUGCAGAUACUAAUCUUUCAGGUGUGGUUGAAUCUGACAUAUUCAGCUGCUAAUACUCGAGAGUAUUCUCUCACCUCCUGUUUGGCAAUCAACAAAUUUGGGUCGAAUACUCUACCCUCGAAAACUGCUACGAUCCCACGCGCUGGUGUGCCGUCAACAACAUUCUUCUAGUUUCGAUUGCCGGAGAGUGCUAGCAGCAUUCUUCUGGUGCCGUUGCAAGGGGAAGCAUAGCUGACAUCAUUGUGCUGCUUGUGUUUUCAGGGAACGAAUUGUGGAACAAGCUGAGAUUCUAUUGAAUAAUAUCUUGUGCAAUGAGAAUGCUUGGACUAUUCCCGAACCACCUCCGAAGCCAACUCCAAAGAAAAGAGGUAUCCUAUUCCUCAGUCCUGAAGAUAUGCAAGACGCUAAGAAAUCUAUGAAAGAGAAGGGCAUUAAAUCUGAAGAUGUCAAGAAUCUACCACCUAUCAAAGAGAUCCAUGGUCUUGAUAACCCGACACAUGUAGUAGAGGUAAAUUCUCUUUGUAGAUUCAAUGAGAGUGAUAUUCCUUUUGAUAAACCUGCUAGCUUAUGCUUAGAUGAAUUUGAUAACUUUGUUGCCAAACAACAGAGUUUCAAUGAUUAUGUUAGCAGACAAUUGGAACAUAAUGCUCGUAUGCUUAGUCAUUUAAGUGCUUGGGUGGAUAGAAAUGUCAAUGGCCUUAAGCUUUUGAGUAAACAUGCCUCUAUGGUCACCACUCAAGUAGAACAAGUAUUUAAGGCUCAAAAUGACUUGCUCAAUGAGUUGAAUGAAAAUUCUGUUAGAGUCGUCACUAGAGGUGGUAGAAUGACCCAAGAACCUUUGUAUCCUCAGGGUCAUCGUAAGAGAAUUGAACAAGAUUAUCAAGGAGUUAGCACCGAGGCACCUAGUCAUCCUAGGAAGAAGAAGAAAGAUGAUAGGAACUUACAUGCUAGCAACCCCGUUGCUGUUACACCCGAGAAUCCAAAUGAUAUCUCUGUUUCUGAUGCCGAAACACAAUCUGGUGAUGAACAUGAGCCUAAUGAUGAUAUCGAAAGUGAUGUUCGUGUUGAUGCUCAACCUAGCAAUGAUAAGGAUGUGGAGAUUGAACAAGUUGAUCUAGAUAACCCACAACCUAAGAAUAAGAGAUACGAUAAGAAUGACUUUAUUGGUAGGAAGCAUGGUAAAGAAAGGGAUCCAUGGGUUCGGAAACACAUGCCUUUUCCUCCCAAACCAUCCAAGAAAAAGGAUGAUGAGGAUUUUGAGCGAUUUGUUGAAAUGAUUAGCCAUGUCUUUCUGCAAAUGCGUUUGACAGAUUUUCUCAAAAUGUCUCCUUAUGCUAAGUACAUGAAGGAUAUUGUGACUAACAAGAGGAGGAUACCUGAGGUUGAGAUUUCCACCAUGCUCGCUAAUUACACCUUCAAGGGUGGAACUCCUAAGAAACUAGGUGAUCCCAGAGUGCCCACUAUACCUUGCUCCAUUAAACGAAACUAUGUUAAAACUGCUUUAUGCGACCUUGGAGCCGGUGUUAGUGUUAUGCCUCUCUCUCUUUAUCGUAGACUUGAAUUGGAUAAGUUGACACCCACUGAAAUCUCCUUGCAAAUGGUCAACAAAUCAACUGCUUUCCCUAUCGGCAUUUGUGAGGAUGUGCCUAUUGUGGUUGCUAACGUUACUAUCUUAACAGACUUUGUUAUUCUGGAUAUUCCCGAGGAUGAUGCCAUGGCGGUCAUCCUUGGAAGACCCUUUUUAAAUAUUGCAGGGGUUGUUAUUGAUUGCAUCAAAGGCAAUGUCACUUUGUAUGUCAAUGGUAAUGAGCAUACGGUGCACUUUCCAAAGAAACAAUAUCGAGUACAUUGCAUCAAUGCUAUUGAGAAAAAUUCAUCGAUUCUUUUUGGAGCUUUGAAUGCCCUAUACCUACUGUUAAGAUGAAGUAUGAUUUGCUUGUUGGGGAUAUGCACAUCCCCAUUGAGGUAACCUAGUGACUAUUCGAAAAUUCUCUGUUUUUAUUCGAUGAAAAAAAGCUUGUCAAGGAGACUUGAUCAACCUCAUUGACGGAUUUCUGUUGAUGACCAUGAGAUGAAUGAAUUUAAGAGUCACAACAUUCUGCCCCAACUUUUACAUUCGGUUGUUUAGAAGGAAAAUGAUAAAUUUAGCUUUAGUUUUUCCUGUUUUCUGCUUCUUGCGUCUCGUAGAAAAGUGUCCCAAAAAUAAAAGUUCUCUGAAUACCCUGAAAAUCAAGUAUAAUUUUUUCUAGAAUUUUUGAAAAAUUCUUAGACGGAGAGCUAGUCAGGGGGAUGCACUAGUGGGCCACAAGCCCAAGAGGCGCGGACACCCCCCUGGUUGCGCUUACCAGGCUUGUGGGGCCCACAUGUCCCCCCUCCACUUAUUCCUUCUCCUACCUCCAGAAACAUUCAUUCCGCAGCUCAAACCCGUGUUCUUGCUCUUCUUGCUGCGAUUUUCGAUCUCCUUGUGCAAAACCCCAUUCACCAAACUGUUCUGGGGAAAUUGUUCCUUGGUAUGUGACUCCUCCAUUGGUCCAAUUAGUUUUUGCUCGAGUGCUUUAUUCGUUGCGUAUUAUUGCUGCCUUGGUGACCCUGUUCUUGAGCUUUGGAUGUUAAUUUUAGUUGGUCCCAAGUAGUUUUGAUGCAUGAUAUGGCCUCUAGGAACUUGUAGGAGUAGUUCCUUUGAGCUUCGUUGAGCCUUGUUCACUUUUCCUUUGAGUCACUAAAAAUUUCAGAAAAAGGAAGAUGUUCAGGAAAAACUAUCAUGGUGGUUCUUCAAGCAAGAGGGGUCCCCGUCUCGCGAUUCGUGAGCCCGAUCCUUACCAACCGAGGAGCGCACAGGUACAACCGUUUGAAUGGCCUUCUGAUGAAUUCAUGAUUGAUGCAGGUUUCAAAGACGAGUUUGAUACACUUGUUCACAAGUUGGACUUGAAGAGUUCAUCUCCAAUAAAUAUGAACAAUAUACUUCUCUCACUACCUCUUUUGUUUGUAGAUUCAAAUUUUUAGCUAGCCGUGACACAUCCAUACUGUUUGAUCUCUAUGACAAAUCGUACACCAUGGAUUUAGAGGAUUUCAAUAGAAUUUGCAAGAUACCUGACUGGGAUAGUCUCAAUGAUCCUCCUAAGUCUCCGGUUAGAAUUUUAUCUCUAGUAUAACUGUCGGAGAAACUAGAGAUAUUACGCAGGCUACCAUGGGGAGCAUUCAUUUUCCUGCCUUCCAUUACUUUGCCCUCUUCAUAGGUAGAUGCAUUAACGGCAAGAUCGAGCAUUGUCACCUCUUUGCACCCGACCUUAGCAUUCUUAAGAGCGCAGUAACGGGUGAUAGAAGUUUCAACAUGGGAGCUAUAAUCGCGAGGAGUAUCUUGCGCUAGAGUUGAUAGCAUACAUUUUCCCGUGCUUCGGUACUUCUCAUUAUUCGUGGGAAAAUGUUUGAUUGGCCGUGGGAAAGCUGUAGCCCUUAGCUCCCCAGAUAUUGCGGUCUUGCACGAAGCUCUUUAUAAUGAUAAAACUUAUAGCUUGGGCGCUAUAGUGGCUCAACGGUUGAACACGAACCGUACUAAAGGUGCUGUUUAUGGAGGUAUCUAUGCUACCCGUCUUGCUAGACAAUUAGAGAUACCUAUUAGACUUCACGAGGAAGAAGAGAUUCUUCUUCCUGAGAGAUAUCUAGAUUAUGAUAGUAUGGUUCGCCAUGACUUUCUUGAUAAAGAUAUAAAUAAUAGGAUGCUUUAUAACCUGGUGUUUAGUCAGGGUACUCGUGAGACUAUUACUUUGCCUGAUUCUUCUUUGUCAAUCUUCAUCUAGGAAGGUACAUUAUUAUGCCCUCGGACAUCUACGCAUAUUGGGGCAUAGCGCCACCACAGGCGCCCGUGCCCGAGCUACUAGUCGAGUACCAGAUGCCAGUUUAUCAGUGGGAGCCAGAGGAGCUCACCCAGCAGUGGCACCCUGAGUACACUCCGGAGUACCCCGGAGACGGUUACUUCCCACCUUGGUAGUAGACCAACUUAGGCCAAAAGCCUAAGCUUGGGGGAGUACGUGUUUCUCAUCGACUUUAUAUUCUUGCUCACGCUUUCACUUUGUUAGUCGGUAUUCGCACCUUACCACUUUAUCAUCCAUGCUAGUUUUUUUAUUUUUCUCGCUUUCUCCUCGUGUGUUUGUCUAGUUUGAGAAAACCCAAAAAGAUUUCUCAUUCUAAUUUUUCUUGUUGGGAGCUUUCCCAUGUAAAUAGUUUUCUUUUCUUUGGGUCAAGGUAGAAGACCAUGGUUACAAUGUUUAGUGGCUCUCGCAUGCAUAUCUGUUUAUCUCUCAAAGAGCCAUAUUACUUUGUCUUCUCCUUUGUGUUUGCUUGCAGAUUGUAGCUUAGUCCAAUGCACGAACACUUUAUUUUUCUUCUCAUCAUUCAGUCGUGCAAGUGAAAGGCAAUAAUGACGAUAUAUGAUGAAGUGACUGGGCCUGGAAAAGCUGGUAUGAACUCGAUCUAUUUUUUUUUUGUAAAUAUGACUAGCUCAUCGUUCUUAAUUCAGCUUUGUUGUGAGAGAAACAUGUUUGCAAUGACAACUUAGAGAUCAUAGUUUCUGAUGCCAUGCUUAAUUAGGUAGGAGCUUAUAAUGGUUUGUCUUGGAUGCCAACACGAAUCUCAAGAUGAUUAUGAUGUAGUAUGAUAGGAUGGUAUCCUCCUUUGGAUGAUUCAAGUGGCUUGACUUGGCGCAUGUUUACGCAUGUAGUUGAAACAAAAUCAACAUAGCCUCUAUGAUAUUCAUGUUUAUGGUGAUUUAUGUCCUACUCACACUUGCACUCAAUGUUGGUUAAUAUCAAUCCAUAUUGAUGACAGUUGUCGCUCUCUAGUUGGUCGCUUCCCAGUCUUUUGCUAGCUUUCACUUGUACUAAGAAGGAAUACUGCUUGUGCAUCCACUUCCAUAAACCCUAAGUGGUUCCAUAUGAGUCCACCAUACCUACCUAUAUGCGGUAUCUACCUACCGUUCCAAGUAAAUUUGCAUGUGCCACUCUCUAAACCUUCAAGUAAUAAUCUGUUUUGCAUCCCCGAACCGCUCAUGUGGUGACAAGGGGCGGUCAGUAUCUUCCAUGCUAGGCGUGUUAUCCUCGAUAUGUGUUUAUUUACUAUCAUUCACGAGAAAGGGGCCGGUAAUUGGAAUGCCCAGUUCCAUGCUCAAAUCGAAAAGAUAAUUGCAAACAAAACUCCCCGUGGAUUGUUGUUGGUAUGGACGGCACCCGAGUAUUCGGCUAGUCGCGGAGUGUGAUUGAUCGGUGGUGGGGGAGUCAAAACUUUACUUUUCUAUUUGGGAACCGCCUAUAGCAUGUGUAGCAUGGAAGAUGGUGAAAACUCUUGGUCAUUGCAUUGACAAUGAACGCAUGCCACCCAAAAUUAUUUAUCUUUGUCUUCCAAGCUUGAGCUUUGGCACCUCUGCAAAUCAAUGCUUCCCUCUGUGAAGGGCCUAUCUAUUUAUGUUUCUAUUGAGUCAUCCUCUUCUUUCCAAAGGCACCAAUUAGAGAGCACCUCCGUCAUGUUUAUGCUUUGCUUUUAAUUCAUAUUGAGUAUGACUGUGACUGGAUCUUCUUUGCGAUGAAUUACAAUGUUCAGUCAGCCCUUGGUCUUUGAAGGUGCUCUGUAUUUAUGUUUUGCGGUCUCAGAAAGAGCUAGCGAGAUACCAUCUGUUCAUAUUGCUUCAUGAUAGUUUUGCUUGAAGUGUUAAUGUUUGAAACUUAUUAUUAUUGCUCGCUAGUCGAUUAUGCCAUUGAUAUGAGUACGCCAUGAGACCUAAAUGUCAUUGCUUAUGUGGUUAGCUUGUGAUCUUGCUGAAAAUCUGAAUAUGAGUUAGACAUAAUUACAACAACAAGAUCAAACAGAGUUCGUAAAAGUUUUUCUUUUGUCUCUUUCAGUUUGUCAACUCAAUUGCUUGAGGACAAGCAAGGCUUUAAGCUUGGGGGAGUUGAUAUGUCUCCAUCGUAUCUACUUUUCCAAACUAUUUUGCCCAUGUUUUGGACUCUAAUUUGCAUGAUUUGAAUGGAACUAACCCAGACUAAUGCUGUUUUCAGCACAAUAGCCAUGGUGUUGUUUUUGCACAGAACUAAAAGUUCUCGGAAUGACCUGGAAAUUUACGAGGAUUUUUUAUAGAAUAUAUAAAAAAUACUGGUGCAAGAAUCAACCAGAGACAUGGAGCGAUGAUCCCACAAGCCGAGGAGGCGCCCCCCUGGCCGCGCCUAGCAGGCUUGUGGGGCCCUCAGGGCUCCGCCGCCUCCAACUCUAGCUCUAUUUAGUCCCUUUCGUCCGAAAAAAAAUCAAGGAGAAGAGUUCAUCGCGUUUUACGAUACGGAGGCGUCGCCACCACCUGUUCUUCCUCUGGAGGGCAGAUCUCGAGUCCGUUCUGGGCUCCGGAGAGGGGAGAUUGUCGCCAUCGUCAUCACCAACCUUCCUUCAUCGCCAAUUCCAUGAUGCUCUUCACCGUUCGUGAGUAAUCUCAUCGUAGGCUUGCUGGACGGUGAUGGGUUGGAUGAGAUCUAUCAUGUAAUCGAGUUAGUUUUGAUGGGGAUUGAUCCCUAGUAUCCACUAUGUUCUGAGAUUGAUGUUGCUAAUACUUUGCCAUGCUUAAUGAUUGUCACUAGGGCCCGAGUGCCAUGAUUUCAGAUCUGAACUUAUUAUGUUCUCGUCAAUAUAUGUGUGUUCUUGAUCCUAUCUUGCAAGUUGUGGUCACCUACUAUGUGUUAUGACCCGGCAACCUCGGAGUGACAAUAGCCGGAACCACUCCCGGAGAUGACCAUAGUAUGAGGAGUUCAUGUAUUCACUAAGUGCUAAUGCUUUGUUCCGGUUCUCUAUUAAAAGGAGAACCUUAAUAUCCCGUAGUUUCCAUUAGGACCUGAUACAUCUCAAACGUAUCUAUAAUUUUUGAUGGUUUCACGAUGUUAUCUUGUCAUCUUUGGAUGUUUUAUGUAGCUUUUAUAUCUUUUUUGGGACUAAUUUAUUAAUUCAGUGCCAAGUGCCAUUUCCUGUUUUUUCUGUGUUUUUGGCUCUUUUCAUAUCUGAUUUUGGAACGGAGUCCAAAUGGAAUAAAAUCCCCGAAAUGAUUUUUUCCCGAACGGAAGAAGAUCAAGGGGCCUGUGGGCCAAGCCAGGAGGGCUCCAGGGAGCCCACAAGCCCCCACUCCUCCACCAGGGGGGAGGCGGCGGUGGCAGGGCUUGUGGCCUCCCUGGCGCCCCCCUGAACUAGAUUUUUGGCCUAUAUAUUCCCUAAAAUACAGCAAAAAAUCAGGGGAGCCUCGAAAAUACUUUUCUGCCGCCGCAAGCUUCCGUUUCCGCGAGAUCUCAUCUGGAGACCAUUCCCGGUGCCCUUCCGGAGGGGACUUUGGAGUUGGAGGGCUUCUUCAUCAUCAUCAUCGCCCAUCCAAUGACUCGUGAGUAGUUCACUUCAGACUGACGGGUCCGUAGUUAGUAGCUAGAUGGCUUCUUCUCUCUCUUGGAUCUACAAUACAAAGUUCUCCAUGAUCUUCAUGGAGAUCUAUCCGAUGUAAUCUUCUUUGGCGGUGUGUUUGUCGAGAUCCGAUGAAUUGUGGAUUUGUGAUCAGAUUGUCUAUGAUAUAUAUUUGAGUCUUUGCUGAUUUGUUAUAUGCAUGAUUUGAUAUCCUUGUAAGUCUCUCCGAGUCUUGGGUUUUGUUUGGCCAACUAGAUCUAUGAUUCUUGCAAUGGGAGUAGUGCUUGGUUUUGGGUUCUUACCAUGUGGUGACCUUUCCCAGUGACAGUAGGGGCAGCAAGGCACACAUUGAGUGGUUGCCAUCAAGGGUAACAAGGUGGUCUCUGUCGUUGAUAUGAGAUUGUCCAUCUACAUCAUGUCACCUUGCUUAAGGCGUUACUCUGGUUUUUUGGACUUAAUACACUAGAUGCAUGCUGGAUAGCGCUCGACGUGUGGAGUAAUAGUAGUAGAUGCAGAAAGUAUCGCUCUACUUGUUUUGGACGUGAUGCCUAUAGAUAUAAUCAUUGCCAUAGAUGACGUCACGACUUUGCGCGGUUCUAUCAAUUGCUCGACAGUAAUUUGUUCACCCACCGUCUACAUGCUUUCAUGAGACAAGCCACUAGUAAACACUACGGCCCCCGGGUCUAUUCACAUCUAUAGUUUACACCUCCGAUUUUACUUUGCUUUGUUACUUUGCUGCUUUCAAUUCUCACUUGGCGAACAAUCUAUAAGGGAUUGAAAACCCCUUCAUAGCGUUGGGAGCAGGUUAUUUGUGUUUGUGCAGGCUCUUGUGACACUCCUUCACUGGAUCGAUACCUUGGUUCUCAAACUGAGGGAAAUACUUACCAUCACUGCGCUACAUCACCCUUUCCGCUUUGAGGGAACACCAACGCAAGGCUCCAAGGCCACGGGGGAAAUCCUUUGCAUAUUUGCCUAGGAAGUCCCUUAAGGCGUAACCGUAGUAGAAGGAUUCCUGGUGCCGUCGACACACCUAUUUGUAGCGCCAUUGGAAUGUCUUUUGUUGCAGUAGCAGAAGUAUUUCUGGCGCCGUUGCCGGGGAAGGAGAGAUCUAUCCAAGUAGGUCUCACAAACUCAUCUCUUGCAUUUACUUUUUUGCGAGUUACCUCUCGUUUUCCUCUCCCCCACUUCACAUUUGCCAUUUUCGUUUGCCUUUUCGUUCGCCCUUCUUCCGCUCGGUUUCUGUUUGCUUGUGUUACCAUGUGCCUUCUUUUAGCUUGCAUCUUUGCUUGCUAAAAAUCUAUUGAUAUGGAUACUCAUCCACUAGCUAAUCUCUUUAAGAGACCCACUUAUGUGGAACGAAUUGCUAGUGAGUUGAGUGCGCUUGACUAUGUUUAUGGAGUUUUGCUUGAGUUGCGUGAAUCUAAAAAUCGUGAUGAAGAAACUGAUGAAGUGAUUCACGAGGUCUCCUUGGAUGAAAAGCAUGAUUGCAAUGGUUUCACUAUAAACUCUAUUAGUGACAAUCAUGCUAAAAACAUGCAAAACCCUAAGCUUGGGGAUGCUAGUUUUGCUAUGUCCACUACUUGCUGCAAUAAUCAUGAUUGGGGUGAUGAUCUUUCUUAUGAUCUUGAAAAUUUGUUCAAACCUCAUGAUGAAUAUGAUAUUUGCAGCAAUAUUGAAAGUGGGAUUGGAGAAGUCAUGACUUUAAUUGAUGAUAAUCCCACUAUUUUUGAAGAGCAUUCAACUUUGCAUGCAUGUGNNNNNNNNNNNNNNNNNNNNNNNNNNNNNNNNNNNNNNNNNNNNNNNNNNNNNNNNNNNNNNNNNNNNNNNNNNNNNNNNNNNNNNNNNNNNNNNNNNNNNNNNNNNNNNNNNNNNNNNNNNNNNNNNNNNNNNNNNNNNNNNNNNNNNNNNNNNNNNNNNNNNNNNNNNNNNNNNNNNNNNNNNNNNNUAUGAUCCCACAUGUAAUUUCUAUGAGACAGGAAAAUAUUUUGGUAGAAACUUUCAUGUUACCAAAUUACGUCUCGUUAUGUUGAGAUUGGUCUUGUCUCUUUCUUCUUCCUUGCAUUUGGUAGCUAUUGGUUGUCUUGCCAAUUUGUUUCCCUUUAAAAUGCCUAUGCAUAGGAAGUAUGUUAGACUUAGAUGUGAUUUCCACAUGCUUUAGGAUGUUCUCGUUGUGUUUCAAUUCUUGUCUUUUGUGAGAGCAUCAUUGAAUGCCUAGCUAAUGGCGUUAAACAAUAGCGCUUGUUGGGAGGCAACCCAACGAAUUUUAUUUCUGUUUUGUGUUUUCCACACUUUCAUAAUUCUGUUAUGAUUGUGUUUUUUGUGUUUCUUUUUGCGUUUGUGCCAAGCAAAACCGUUAUGAUUAGUCUUGGGGACGAUCGUUUGGUCAUGGUGGAAAAGACAAAAACUUUGUGCUCACGAAAAGAAUUUUAGUAUUUUUUUUCUGUAAGAGCUUUUGAGUUGAUUCUUCUUGUUGCUGAUUGCUACGCAAAUUCUUCAGACUGCCGUAAUGUUUCAGAAUUUUUGAAGUACUAGAGGUAUACGAAAUAUACAGAUUGCUACAGACUGGUCUGCUGUUAACAAAUUCUGUUUUUGUUGUGUUGGUUGCUUAUUUUGAUGAAACUAUGGAUAGUAUCGGGGGGUAUUAGCCAUGGAAGAUUGAAAAUACAGUAACCCAAAAUCAGCAUAAGUAGAAUUUAAGUUUGCUACAGUACCUAAGGAAGUGGUGGUUUGCUUUCUCAUACUAAUGUUAUCACGAGUUUCUGUUUAAGUUUCGUGUUGUGAAGUUUUCAAGUUUUGGGUGAAGUUCUUAUGGACAAAAAGAUAAAGAGUGGCAACAGCUCAAGCUUGGGGAUAGCCAAGGCACCCCAAGAGAUUUAAGGAUGCCGUAAAAGCCUAAGCUUGGGGAUGCCUCGGGAAGACAUCCCCUCUCUCGUCUUCAGUCCAUCGGUAACGUUAAUUGGAGCUAUAUUUUUAUUCACUUAAUGUUAUGUGUUUUUGCUUGGAGCGUCUUGAAUCGUAUGAGUCUUUUAUUUUUGUUGUGUCACAAUCAUACUUGCUGCACACCUAGAGAGAGAGACAUGCACUCACCGUGAUUUUUUCGAGCUUCACUUAUAUCUUCUGGUAGACAAUUCAGCCCACAUGUGCUUCACUUAUAUCUUUUGAGCUAGAUACUUUUGCUCUAUGUGCUUCACUUAUAUCUUUUAGAGCACAGCAGUGCAUGGCUUGAUAGUUGAUCUAUGCUUUGAAAGUAGUCUUAAAAGGGGUAGUUAUCCAAAGGGAUACGAAAGCUUCCACCUUCAUGUGCAUUGAAUAGUUAGAGAAGUUUGAUUCCUCUCAAUUAGUUUUGAGUUGUGGUUAUGGUAACAUUGAAGUCAUGCUGGUAAGGUUUUGUGGAUCUAGAAAUACUUGUGUUGAAGUUAGUGAUUCCCGUAGCAUGCACGUAUGGUGAACCGCUAUGUUAUGAAAUCUGAGCAUGAUUACUCCAUUGAUUGUCAUCCUUUGCGUGGUGGUCGGGAUCGCGCGAUGGUUUAUACCUACCAACCCUUCCUCUAGGAGUAUGCGUUUAAUGCUUUGUUUCAAUUACUAAUAAAACUUUCGCAACAAGUAUAUGAGUUCUUCAUGACUAAUGUUGAGUCCAUGGUUUAGAUGUACUUUCAGCUUCCACCAUCACUAUCUUCUUAGUGCCGUGCAACUUUCGCCGGUGCACAAAACCCACCAUUAGCCUCCCUCAAAACAACCACCAUACCUACCUACUAUGGCUUUUUCAAAGUCAUUUCGAGAUAUAUUGCCAUGCAACUACCACCAUGACAUGUGCCACCACGUCUACAUUUCCAUUGCAUGAUCAUAAGAUAGCUAGCAUGAUGUUUCCAUUAAUGUCUAUGCCAUGCUAGAUCAUUGUCAUGGUACACUACCGAAGGCAUUCCAUAUAGAGUCAUCGUUGCUCUAAGUUUUCAGUUGAAAGUGUGAUGAUCAUCAUUGAUGGAGCAUUGUCCCAUGUGAGGAAAUAAAAGAGGCCAAAGAAGCCCACCAAAAAAAAGAUGCCAAAGAGCCCACCAAAAAAAAUUAAUAAUAAAAAAAUGAGAGAAAAAGAGAGAAGGGACAAUGUUACCACUUUUCCACACUUGUGCAUAUUAAGCACCAUGAUCUUCAUGAUUGAGAGUCUCUCAUUUUGUCACCACCAUAUAGCUAGUGGGGAAUUUUCAUUAUAUAACUUGGCUUGUAUAUUCCAAUGAUAGGCUUCCUCAAAAUUGCCUUAGGUCUUCGUGAGCAAGCAAGUUGGAUGCACACCCACUAGUUUUCUUUAAGAGCUUUCACUUACUCUUAGCUCUAGUGCAUCAUUUGUAUGGCAAUCCCUACUCAUUCGCAUUGGUAUCUAUUGAUGAGCAUCUCCACAGUUCAUUGAUAUGCCUAGUUAAUGUGACUAUCUUCUCCUUUUUUGUCUUGCAACCUCCACCACACUCCACAUCAUCUAUAGUGCUAAAACCAUGGCUCACGCUCAUGUAUUGCGUGAGAGUUGAAAAGGUUUGAGAAAGUAAAGGUGUGAAACAAUUACUUGGCCAAUACCGGGGUUGUGCAUGAUUUAAAUUCAUUGUGCAAGAUGAUAGAGCAUAGCCAUACUAUAUGCUUUUGUAGGGAUAACUUUCUUUUGGCCUUGUUAUGUUGAAAGUUCAUGAUUACCUUGCUAGUUUGCUUGAAUUACUAUUGUUUCCACGUCAAUAGCAAACUAUUGUUUUGAAUCAAAUGGAUCUGAACAUUCACGUCACAUCAGAGGAGUUACAAACGACAUCUAUGCUAGGUAGCAUGAAAGCAUCAAAAAAUCAUUCUUUAUCACUUCCCUACUCGAGGACGAGCAGGAGUUAAGCUUGGGGAUGCUUGAUACGUCUCAAACGUAUCUAUAAUUUUUGAUGGUUUCAUGCCGUUAUCUUGUCAUCUUUGGAUGUUUUAUGUACCUUUUAUAUAUUUUUUGGGACUAACUUAUUAAUUCAGUGCCAAGUGCGAGUUCUUGUUUUUCUGUGUUUUUGGCUCUUUUCAGAUCUGAUUUUGGAACGGAGUCCAAACAGAAUAAAAUCCCCGAAAUGAUUUUUUCCCGAACGGAAGAAGAUGAGGGGGCCUGUGGCCAAGCCAGGAGGGCUCGAGGGAGCCCAGAAGCCCCCAGUCCGCCACCAGGGGGAGGCGGCGGUGGCCGGUCUUGUGGCCUCCCUGGCGCCCCCUGACCUAGAUCUUUGGCCUAUAUAUUCCCUAAAAUACAGCAAAAAAUCAGGGGAGCCUCGAAAAUACUUUGCCGCGUCGCAAGCUUCCGUUUCCGCGAGAUCUCAUCUAGAGACCCUUCUUGGUGCCCUGCCGGAGGGGACUUUGGAGUUGGAGGGCUUCUUCAUCAUCAUCAUCGCCCCUCCAAUGACUCGUGAGUAGUUCACUUCAGACCUACGGGUCCUUAGUUAGUAGCUAGAUGGCUUCUUCUCUUUCUUGGAUCUUCAAUACAAAGUUCUCCAUGAUCUUCAUGGAGAUCUAUCAGAUGUAAUCUUCUUUGGCGGUGUGUUUUUCGAGAUCCGAUGAAUUGUGGAUUUGUGAUCAGAUUAUCUAUGAUAUAUAUUUGAGUCUUUGAUGAUUUUUUAUAUGCAUGAUUUGAUAUCCUUGUAAGUCUAUCCGAGUCUUGGAUUUUGUUAGGCCAACUAGAUCUAUGAUUCUUGCAAUGGGAGAAGUGCUUGGUUUUGGGUUCUUACCAUGUGGUGACCUUUCCCAGUGACAGUAGGGGAAGCAAGGCACACAUUGAGUGGUUUCCAUCAGGGGUAAGAAGGUGGGCUCUAUUGUUGAUAUGAGAUUGUCCAUCUACAUCAUGUCAUCUUGCUUAAGGCGUUACUCUGUUCUUUUGGACUUAAUACACUAGAUGCAUGCUGGAUAGCGGUCAAUGUGUGGAGUAAUAGUAGUAGAUGCAGAAAGUAUCGGUCUACUUGUUUUGGACGUGAUGCCUAUAGAUAUAAUCAUUGCCAUAGAUGACGUCACGACUUUGCGCGGUUCUAUCAAUUGCUCGACAGUAAUUUUUUCACCCACCGUCUACUUGCUUUCAUGAGAGAAGCCACUAGUAAACACUAUGACCCCCGGGUCUAUUCACAUCUAUCGUUUACACCUCCGCUUAUACUUUGCUUUGUUACUUUGUUGCUUUCAGUUCUCACUUGGCGAACAAUCUAUAAGGGAUUGACAAACCCUUCAUAGCGUUGGGAGCAGGUUCUUUGUGUUUGUGCAGGCUCUUGUGAUACUCCUUCACUGGAUCGAUAGCUUGGUUCUCAAACUGAGGGAAAUACUUACCAUCGCUGCGCUACAUCACCCUUUCCACUUUGAGGGAACACCAACGCAAGGCUCCAAGGCCACGGGGGAAAUCCUUUGCAUAUUUGCCUAGGAAGUCCAUUAAAGCGUAGCCGUAGCAGAAGGAUUCCUGGUGCCGUCGACACACCUAUUUCUGGCGCCAUUGGAAGGUCUUUUGUUGCAGUAGCAGGACCCCGCUACCACGGGAGGGAUGGAGAAUAGAUGUCAUGCAAGUUCUUUUCCCUAAGCACGUAUGACUAUAUAUGGAAUGCAUGCCUACAUUACAUUGACGAGCUGGAGCUAGUUACAUAUCUCCCCAUGUUAUAACUGUUGCAUGAUGAAUGUCAUCUGGCAUAAUUAUCCAUCACCGAUCCAAUGCCUACGAGUCUUUUCCUACUGGUUCUUGCUACGUUAAUUUGCUUCUACUGCUUUCACUGAUGCUACUGUUACCGCUACUGCUGUCACUGCUGCUACUGUUACCAUAGCUACUGUUGCUAUCACACUACUUUGCUACUUAAACUUUGCUGCAAAUACUAAGUCUUUCAAGUGUGGUUGAAUUGAUAACUCAACUGCUGAUACUCGAGAAUAUUCUUUUGCUUCCCCUUGUGUCGAAUCAACAAAUUUGGGUUGAAUACUCUACCCUCGAAAACUGUUGCGAUCCCCUAUACUUGUGGGUUAUCACUUUGCAUGAGAGAACUGCGGGCUUGGCCCAUGGCCUCGAGCCCAGGGAGACACCGCGUCUCAUUCCCCUUUACAGCGAGGCGCCGAGGACCCACGCGCCAGUGGCUCUCCUCGCAGCCACCUUUUCCCUCCCGCGCAUCCCUCCUCCUUUGCUCGUGCGCGCACAUGGGCGCCGGACGCCGUUCCUCCCUCCUCCUCCUUUAUAACCCGCCUUGGCGUCCGUGCCUAGGGUUCCUCCCUCUCGCCGCCACCCUCUCCUCCUUGUCCUCCAUUUCUGCCCCCAGGUAAGCUCCUCUAGGUAGAUCAGAGAGCAGCUUUGAGAGAGAGAGGAAGAUCGCCGUCGUCCCUGGCAUCGGCGAGGAUGUCCAGGAGCUCGGGGUUGUUCCCCGCAUUCCAUUCCUGGUGUUAGUAGCCCUGGGGAACCACCACGUCGACGGGCCCUUCCCCGUCUACGUUGUCGUCGUUCUGCUCUGCGCGGGCCGCUCUGCUUCAUCGCUGGCUGCUUCUCCGACCUCUUCUUGCCCUGCGUUGAUUCCCUUGACCUCCAGGCUGAGCAUCGCUGGUUCCUUCCACUCUACCUUCUCCCGUAUGCUCGCCGAAGGAUGCUCGCCGUGCUGCUGUUGCUGCCGUAGCACAUAGAUUCCGCGCCUCCAGGCUGUCGUUGCAGGCUCCCUCCCGUAGUUCCAAGCACGGGAAUGGAACCCCCAGUGAUCCCGCGUCAAGCGCCGAGGCUUGCCGUGUCGAAUAGAUCAUCGGAGUGUCGGCGGAGACGUCCCCUGUUUCGGUCGCCUGAGUUGCAGUUAGAGAAGAGGGGUCUGCUCAAAAGAGUAACACCCCUGUUGGGGAUAUUACCUGUGGUGUAACUCGCCCUAACUGGUCUGGGUCACUGAAGGGGCGACUCAUCCUUUGGUAAUACAAGCCUUGGCCCAGGGGGCCCAGGAGCCAGAUGGUGGUUCAGGAGCUAUGCAGAGGAUAGGCCGCCAAGGAGGUUUCCAGUCUUGGAAAGCACGACGACUUAGAGAUAUGGAAAACCGUGACCUGUAGUGUGGCUAGGACUCUUGUAAAUCCUAGGGCCUCAACCUGUAUAUCAAGGCAAGUCCCUAGGGAAGAUAGGGUAAGUUAGAAAUCAUCGAGAGCCAGGCUAGGCGAGCUACGCCCUCCUUGUAAUCGAAACCAUCAUCAAUCUACAUAAAGCAUGACGUAGGCUUUUACCUCCACACAAGGGGCCGAACCUGGAUAAAUCUGAGUCUCGCUUUCGCUCACCCCCUUUGAGUCACCACCAAGGUACGAUGGCUCCUUCAUUAAGUCCUUUCACGAGGACAUCUGCCGUGAAAAACCACGACAGUUGGCGCCCACCGUGGGGAUUGCGCAUGGUGGAGUUUAGUUCUCAAAGGGAGCCCUACCAGGGUCAGAAAGCUAUGCGGUCGACAUCAUGACGAAGAGCCGCCGCGGAAGGUACUAGAUCGAUAACUCGUUGUGUGGGCCUGAAGCCGAUUCAAUCGAAUCCGGUUACAGAGCCCCCUUCGGCAAGGUCAACAUCUUCAUCGGCAUCAUUGGAACACCCGUGCCUGAGUCGGACACCUCCACCGACAUCGUCGAGCCGGCCAGGUAUGUCCUCCCCAUCACACGUGAGGACAGGAGACGCCAUGUUUUCGUCGGUUUUACGCAGGGAGCCAGUGUACAAGACGAACCAGCGGUCCAGGAGAUAAAUCCCAUCAACUCUGAUGACAAAUCAUCCAUGGGUGACAAAGAUUCAAUUCGCCCUCUAUACGAAGGACAACUCGAAGAUUUGCCAUUGGCGAUGGACCCCGAGGUCUUCGAAAGAUCCCAUCGACAAAUGGCCAUCUACAUGGCGGGGGCGACACAACCUAAGCCAAACCCGGCCCGCAACAAUGAGACUAGCGAAUCGUCGAAAACCCCGGCUCAAGCCAUGGCGGACAUGACGACGGAGGUCACCAGACUCAUGACAACCGCUGUGACGGCACAAAAUCAGGAAGCGAUCAACACCGAGUUGGCGAAGCUACGGGAGGAGAUGGCGAAAGCCCAGCGGGACAUGGAAGAGGAAGCCGCCAGGAUGGCGGCACAGCAGGCUCGGAUCAUCGCGGAGACGGAGCGGCUGAACACCUAAGGCUGGCGGCUCGAGACACAACAGCGCAUGUCCGAUGCUAUUCAUCAGAGAAGGCACCACGAGCGCCUCCCGGCCGAUCUACGUCCAACUCGCCUCUUCGACACCCCACGCACUCCUGGGGUGGGACCCAAUCAACCCUUGCAGGCCGCUCCAGGGGGGUCCAUUUCAACCGCCUAACCCGCCACCACCUCAACCAACGGAUGCCCCCACACCUCGCUUCCAGAUACCACGAGGCCACUCCUCAAAUCCCGUGGAUAACAUGCUGGCGGCAACCCUCUAGUUGGAGUCCCUCCCGAUCUAUGGAAACUCCCCGGCCUAGGUGGAGGGGAGAAACGCCAUCGAGAUGCUGAAGAUAGCAGUGGUCCAACACGCACAAUACUCGCACAGCCUUGACCGGUUCCACUCCACACCCCAGGCGAGUCACACCAGGAGUCGCCAUGAGGACCAACCCGCGGUGACCGGUGGGCAACGACGUUUGCCUUAGACUAACCUGCCCGGGGUCCAUGACACUCGAGCCCAAGACAUUGUGGAUGCAGCACGCGCCGCGGCGGGUCAGGGCUAUCCGGCUUAUACCCAGACACCUCCUGCACCGCUCGAUGCCGGAGGCAGGCACAUUGGGGUGUCGUGUCUCAUGCCCUCUCUACGCAAUGAGUGGAUGCCGAAGGAUUUCAAAGGACCAAGGAAGGUACCCAAUUACACACCAGAUCUCGAGACGGGGUCAUGGAUCGAGAGUUACGAACUUGCGAUGGACAUGCUCGACGUGAACGAGGCGGUUUGCACCAAGUAUUUCACUAUGAUGCUUGAGGGAACGGCGCGUGCAUGGUUGAAAAACCUGUUACCUAACUCCAUCAACACUUGGGCAGAGUUAAAGGAGCACUCCAUCAAAAAUUUCCGAGGGACUUGCAAAUGCCCGAUGACCAUCGUCGACUUACAACACUGCGUUCAUCGACCGGAUGAGUCGGCCCAUCAUUAGACAUGGUGAGUUGUGGAGGUCAUUCAUUCGUCGGACGACAUCUCGGCGGCUCAGGCAGUGCUGAUUUUGGAGAAAAAUUGCCAUUACGAGCCUCUGGUGCUGAAGCUGGGGCGAAUUAAGCGUAAGGUGCAGGACAUGGGCGAGUUAAUGGACACCCUCACCACAUACGCCGAGUCAGAUGACACCAAGGAUCCCAGGGAGGACGACGACAAGGUUAGCACCGCCAGGAGAGGUGAGUCAUCAAAAGGUCACUCCCAGUUUCAAGGACGUGGUAACCACAACCAUGGUGGGCAAGGUAAAAGAAAAUAGCAGGAAGGUCCCACAGACUUCGUCGGCAACACCAAUGCCGGCAACGGAAACUAGUGCUAGAGGAAGCGGGAUUUCAGUGGGAAGAAGCCGCGCAACUAUCAUGAAAUGUUCAAGGGCCCCUGGCCACAGCACGCUAGAGCCGUAGACCCACUCCUGGGAGGAUUGCUAUGUGAUGCAGGAGUUCCGAGCUGAUGCACUCAAGAAAGGCCAAGCAGGUGAUCAGGGCCAGCGACAGGAGCAGUUCGGCGCGCCUGGGUCAUGCCAAAGCCCGUUCGGUGGUUUCCCUAACCCGGCUCCACACGGCGGGUCAAAUCCUAAUAGAGGACUGUACCAAGUUCACAACCAACAACAGUAUAACCCGCCGGGAGUGUUUCAGCAACCACCCCCGCAAGACGAUCUCUAGCUACAAGAUGAUCAUAGCGGUUUUCAGAAUAAACCUAAGCAGCUGAACAGUGGGCAAUAUCACGUGUUCACCACUAGCACCUGCAAACGGGACCACAAGGUGAAACAUAGAACUUUCAGCGUGGCUGAGCUGGCGCUCCCUAGGUACCUACAUUGGUCCGAACAACCCAUAACCUAGAGUAGGGAGGAUCACCCGCCCCGAGUUGAUAACCCUGGCAACUUGGCUUUGGUCGUGGCUCCCUAAGUCGGAGGAUACACCCUUUCCAAAGUCCUUAUGGAUGGAGGCAGCAACAUUAACAUCCUAUACUUCGAUACCUUUCGAAGGAUGAAUCUCUUGGAGAAAGACUUGAUGUCGUCGUCCACGGUUUUCCAUGGCAUUGUUCCUGGUAAGUCGGUGUAUCCAAUUGGGAGGAAUAAAUUUAACGUGGCUUUUGGCACAGAGUCCAAUUACAGGAGCGAGCCACUCGUGUUUGAGGUGGUCAAAAUCAAGAGCCCUUACCACGCAUUGUUUGGAAGGCCGUCUUACGCUCGAUUCAUGGCUCGCCCAUGCUAUGUUUAUCUCAAGCUCAAGAUGCCUGGACCUAAGGGGCCUAUUACGGUCUGCGAGACACGAAGAUAGCCCAGGAUUGCCAAGAAGGAGACGCAGCUUAUGCCGACACGGCUUGAGCGGCCGAGGAGCUCAAAUUUCACCAAGGCAAUGUUGCCCCGAUGGAUAUGACGCCGCUCAAGAGGCCGACAAUUGACUCUGAGCCGCCCCUCAAAUUCAAACCAACAGAAGACACGAAGGUGAUAGACUUCACGCCUCGCGACUCAACCAAGCACUUCACUAUUGGGACGGCUCUGGACCCCAAAUAGGAAAGCGAAUCGGGACAUCUUUGCGUGGAAACCUUCUGACACGCCAGGUGUACCAAGAGACUUCGCUGAGCACCAUCUUAAUACUGACCCCAAAGUAAAGCCAGUUCGGCAGUAUCUUCGCAGGUUUAACGAGGAACGUCGCAAGGCAAUUGGACAGGAAGUCGCCUGGCUUUUGGUCGCCGGAUUCAUCAUCGAGGUUUUUCAUCCUGAAUGGUUGGCUAACCCGGUCUUGGUGCUAAAAAAGAAUGGCACUUUCCGCAUGUGCAUCGACUACACCGACCUCAACAGAGCCUGUCCAAAGGAUCCCUUUGCCCUUCCCCGCAUUGAUCAAAUCAUUGACUCGACGGCGGAUUGCGAGCAUUUAUGCUUUUUGGAUGCUUACUCAGGAUACCACCAGAUCAAGAUGGUUGUGGCAGACCAGGAGCAAACGUCCUCCAUAUCCCCCUUCGGAGCCUUCUGCGACGUGUCGAUGCCGUUCGGGCUCAAGAGUGCGGGGGCGACUUACCAGCGUUGCAUCCAGAAUUGUUUGCAUAACCAGAUCAGACGCAAUGUCCACGCUUAUAUUGAUGAUAUCGUAGUCAGAUCUCAGAAGAAAGAGUCGCUCUUGGAGGAUCUCAAGGAGACUUUUGACAAUUUGCGCAUAUACCAGAUGCGGCUUAACCCCACCAAUUGUGUGUUUGGUGUUCCCGCGGGAAAGUUAUUCGGUUUUCUGGUGUCAGAACGCGGCAUUGAAGCUAACUCGGACAAAAUUGAAGCAAUCACUUCUUUGGGAAAGCCGGUUGAUAUCAAUCAAGUCCAAUGCAUGGCGGGUCGUAUCACGGCUCUAUGUCGCUUUAUAAGUCGCCUUGGGGAGAAAGCCAUCCCUCUUUAUCAGUUGCUCAAGAAAACUGAUAGUUUUGUUUGGACGGAUGAAGCAAACGAAGCCUUUGAAGCCUUGAAGCAACAACCGGCUAAGCCGCGGGUAUUGGCCGCUCCGACGGACAAGGAGCCUAUGCUCUUGUACAUUGCAGCUAAUUCCAAGGCGGUAAGCAUGGCAGUGGUCGUCGAGCGGAAGGAAGAAGGGAAGGAAUAUCCGGUUCAGAGACCAAUGUAUUUUUAUCAGCGAGGUCCUGACCCUCUCCAAACAAUGCUACCCGCAUUGGCAGAAGCUGGUCUUUGGGGUGUUUAUGGCGAGUCAGAAGCUGAAGCACUACUUCCAGGAGCAUCCCAUCACGGUGGUCAGUUCUGCUCCCCUUGGUGACAUUAUACAAAAUCGAAAAGCGACUAGAUGGAUUGCUAAGUGGGCCACCGAGUUAGGACCGCAUCAUGUGCAAUAUACUCCCCGUGAAGCCAUUAAGUCUCAAGCACUAGUGGAUUUCAUCAACAACUGGACCGAGUUGCAGAUUUCAGAAGAUAGGCCCGAUCACACAUACUGGACCAUCUAUUUUGAUGGAUCUAGGCAGUUGGAAGGCUCGGGGGCUGGUGUGGUGUUAACUUCGCCUCAGGGUGACAAAUUCUGCUAGGUCCUCUGACUCAUGUUUCCAUGCACCAACAAUGCAGCAGAGUAUGAAGCUCUGCUCCACGGGUUGCGACUCGCCAAAGAGAUGAACCUCACCCGAGUCAGAUGCUUGGGCGACUCAGAUCUAGUGGCACAACAGGUUUUAGGCACCUCGGAUUCUAGAGAUCCCUUGAUGGAGGCUUACACGCGAGCUGUGUCGGACGUGGCAGGUCACUUUCAUGGUUAUCAAGUGGAUCACAUUGAUCGGCGACUCAACGAAGCAACAGAUGUUGUUUCUCGUCUCGGUUCACAGCGUAAGCUCGUUCCCCCCAAUGUCUUUUUAAAUGUGUUACAUAACCCCUCGGUGAGGCUACCUUCAGAGGAAGAUUUGGCGGUGCCGGACCCUCAGUGUCAGCUUGUGGCGGCUCUUCGUGCUACCCCGGAUUGGGCGAUUCCCUACAUGGCGUAUCUCACAUGAGGCGAGCUACCCACGGAUGAGUUAUUGGCUCGCCAAUUCGUCCUUCGAUGCAAAUCCAUGGUUAUACAUAACGGCGAGUUGCAUAAACGAAGCACUUCAGGGUUAUUUCAACGGUGUGUCUCUUCCGAGGAAGGAUGUAUGAUUCUCAACGAAAUUCAUGCAGGCGACUGUGGUCAUCAUGUCGGGUCAUGCUCCCUGGUUUUGAAAGCUUUUCGGCUUGGAUUUUAUUGGCUGAUGGCUCAUGCAGAUGCGGAAGAAAUAGUUCGCCAAUGUGAUGGUUGCCAAAAAUUUGGACGCCAGAUGCACGUGCCAGCUCAAGAAUUACGAAUGAUUCCAAUCACUUGGCCGUUUGCGGUCUGGGGGCUGGACAUGGUUGGCCCUUUUAAAAUGUCAUCCAAUAAAAAGACUCACCUAUUGGUGGUGGUUGACAAGUUCACUAAGUUGGUUUAAGCAGAACCCGUUAGUAGUUGUGAUGCAGACACGACUGUCAAGUUCUUGAAAAAGUUGAUCUUCCGGUUCGGAUACCCUCAUAGUAUCAUUACUGACAAUGGUACUAAUCUAUCAAAGGGCGCAAUGCAAGAGUUUUGCGGACGAGAGCAUAUACGGCUUGACGUUUCUACAGUCGCACACCCCCAGUCUAACGGACAGGCAGAAAGGGCGAAUCAAGAAAUAUUGCGAGGAAUCAAGCCCCGACUUAUGGUACCUCUAGAGUGUACUCCAGGAUGUUGGGUGGAAGAAUUUCUCUCAGUGUUAUGGAGUAUCAGGACCACCCCAAAUCGCUCCACGGGUUUUACUCCUUUCUUUCUGAUCUACGGGGCAGAGGCAGUUUUACCAAGUGGCAUCAGACACGAUUCACCACGAGUCGCCGCGUAUGUGGAACAAGACAACGAGUUGGCACGACAAGAUUCGUUGGAUGCUUUGGAGGAAGAGCUAGAUUCGGCUGCAUCGCGAUCGGCGAUCUAUCAACAGGACCUGCGACGCUAUCCCAACCGCCGCGUCAAGAGCCAGACUUUUCAAGAGGGCGACUUAGUGCUCCGGUUGAUUCAAGACCACACUGGUAUGCAUAAGCUAUCACCUCCAUGUGCAAGGACCGUUUGUCAUCAGCAAGAAUCUUCGGAACAGCUCAUACUACUUGGUGGAUCUACGCCCUGCUCGGCCAUCUACAGAGAUUGAAACAACUCGCCCCUGGAAUAUAGCCCACCUAAGGCCUUACUACACCUAGAGCCAUUGGCUCCUUUCUUUUCUGCAAAUCUCAGAACUUGUAGUCUUUUACUUAUAAAGCAAUAAAGCCGGCACCCACGAACUUCGGGGUCCUUUGCUGUUUCAGCUUCUGGAAAGCAUGAGUCUUUAUUGUUCUAUGAGUCAUCCAAGCAUGGACGCUAUCAGUACCAAAGAGCAUAAGUCGCCACGCUGCACUUAUUUCAAAACUGGGUACUGAUAAGCCAAAGAGGACCAAAGUUGCCACGCUGCACGGUUCAAACGUGGGCGCCUUAUAUGGUUUUGAGAAUUAAGCCGGCUUACUUGGGGGCUACUAGUUCCCAAGUCGUUUUGCAGUAAGAGCGUAAAACGCUUCUGCAAUCCUAUGUCCGACUUUUCCCUAAUCACAGGUCACUUGGGGGCUUCCACUCACUGAGUUCAGCCUGAAUACCCUCUUGGCUAGCGAAAAAUUACCGCAUUACAAAUGGUUAUACUGGACUAUGUAUUGGACGAGUUGCCCUAUGGACCCAUGUACUCUUGGCGAGUCAAUCCGCUUUUUGGGACCCUGAACUCGCCUUGGUUAAAACAUGAAAGGUACUGGCCAGAGCCACACACGGAAAAUAGAGAAACCAUUGGUUCGCUGAACCUGCUUCACUGAAGCCUGACUCGCGCCUGAUCAGCCGGUCUAAAAACUUGGGCUAUUGCAAAAGCCUUCUUAGGGUAGCACUAGAGUUUUGCAAACUCAUCCUAUCCCGUCGUAGGUCAUCGAGCCGACAGUAUUUUUAUGAUUAUCCUCAUGGCACUACCGCAAGGUUUCGUAAACCUUUUAUAUGACUCGCCGCGACUCACUGAGCCGGCUCCUUGCUUAUAACUCGCCAUGACUCACUCGGCUGGUUUUGUUUCUUGCCACAACUCAUUGAGUCGGCCUAUGGUGUUUUUUCCCUGACAAACGGGUUGAAGAAGAUAUUCGACAAGAACACUUUCAAGCAUCAGGAUUGGUAAAGGCAAUUCAUGAUCCGCAAAAAGGAUAAACGGUUCAGUAAUGUCAAGGAAAAGAUAUGGAUGGAAGAUUGUUUCCCUGAAUCCUAAUAACUAAUACAUAGCUCACACGGCCAUACCGGGCGUCAUCCCCCGGUCAAGGAAAGAUCAUUUUUUUCCAGCAGUGAUUACACCCUGGUUAGACUUAAGCCGCCUCCGGGUCGCAUUGCUUUGAGCUCUCUCCAUCUUCAAUUUGUAAGUCGCCCAGUUUCCAGUUGCACUUGGACAAGGCGAUGAAUUCAUCUUCGUCGUUCAAAAAGACAGAUAGGUCUGCUUCAAAGUAGAAGGGAUUCUUGGGCCGGCGAGGAAUCAGGCUGGUAAUUCCAAACGAAGGAGGAGUCACCUUUUUGUUGUUGUCGUCAUAUGCAACCUGGUACUUGUUCAAGUCCAAACAGGCCGCCAGCCGAGUCGCCGCGGCACGGGACUCUUUCACAAGCCAGUGGUAAUCGCCUUCAGCAAACUCCAACUCGUCGUCCUUUAGUUUAGGGUAACCAGUGUUGGGGAACGUCGCAUGGGAAACAAAAAUUUUCCUACGCGCACGAAGACCUAUCAUGGUGAUGUCCAUCUACGAGAGGGGAUUUCCGAUCUACAUACCCUUGUAGAUCGCACAGCAGAAGCGUUAAGAAACGCGGUUGAUGUAGUGGAACGUCCUCACGUCCCUCGAUCCUCCCCGCGAACCGUCCCACGAACCGUCCCGCGAUCCGUCCCACGAUCCGCUCCGAUCUAGUGCCGAACGGACGGCACCUCCGUGUUCAGCACACGUACAGCUCGACGAUGAUCUCGGCCUUCUUGAUCCAGCAAUAGAGACGGAGAGGUAGAUGAGUUCUCCGGUAGCGUGACGGCGCUCCGGAGGUUGGUGGUGAUCUAAUCUCAGCACGGCUCCGCCCGAGCUCCGCAGAAACGCGAUCUAGAGGUAAAACCGUGGAGGUAUGUGGUCGGGCUGCCGUGGCAAAAGUUGUCUCAAAUCAGCCCUAAAACCCCACUAUAUAUAGGAGGGAGGGAGGGGAGGAGGCAGCCUCAAACCCUCAAGGUUUGGCCAAAAUUUGAGGUGGAGGAGUCCUACUCCAAUCCUACUUGGAGUAGGAUUCCACCUUCCCACUUGGAAACUCUUUCCACCUUGUGUUUUUCCCUUCUCAAACCUUAUGGGCCUUAGUGGGAACUUAUUCCAGCCCACUAGGGGCUGGUUUAUCUCUUCCCAUAGCCCAUGAGACCCCUUGGGGCGUGACACCCCUCUCGAUGGUCCCCGUCACCCCUCCCGGCACUCCUGGUACACUAUCGAUGAGCCCGAAACCUUUCCGGUAAUGCCCGAAAACUUUCCGGUAACCAAAUAAGGUCAUCCUAUAUUUCAAUCUUCGUCUCCGGACCAUUUUGGAAACCCUCGUGACGUUCGUGAUCCCAUACGGGACUGCGAACAACAUUCGGUAACCAACCAUAUAACUCAAAUACGCAUAAAACAANNNNNNNNNNNNNNNNNNNNNNNNNNNNNNNNNNNNNNNNNNNNNNNNNNNNNNNNNNNNNNNNNNNNNNNNNNNNNNNNNNNNNNNNNNNNNNNNNNNNUGCUUGAUAACUGGAUCACGUCAUUAGGAGAAUCACGUGAUGGACUAGACCCAAACUAAUAGACGUAGCAUGUUGAUCGUGUCAUUUUAUUGCUACUGUUUUCUGUGUGUCAAGUAUUUAAUCCUAUGACCAUGAGAUCAUAUAACUUACUAACACCGGAGGAAUACUUUGUGUGUAUCAAACGUCGCAACGUAACUGGGUGACUAUAAAGAUGCUCUACAGGUAUCUCUGAAGGUGUUCGUUAAGUUAGUAUGGAUCGAGACUGGGAUUUGUCACUCCGUGUGACGGAGAGGUAUCUCGGGCCCCACUCGGUAAUACAACAUCACACACAAGCCUUGCAAGCAAUGUGACUUAGUGUAAGUUGCGGGAUCUUGUAUUAUGGAACGAGUAAAGAGACUUGCCGGUAAACGAGAUUGAAAUAGGUAUACGGAUACUGACAAUCGAAUCUCGGGCAAGNNNNNNNNNNNNNNNNNNNNNNNNNNNNNNNNNNNNNNNNNNNNNNNNNNNNNNNNNNNNNNNNNNNNNNNNNNNNNNNNNNNNNNNNNNNNNNNNNNNNNNNNNNNNNNNNNNNNNNNNNNNNNNNNNNNNNNNNNNNNNNNNNNNNNNNNNNNNNNNNNNNNNNNNNNNNNNNNNNNNNNNNNNNNNNNNNNNNNNNNNNNNNNNNNNNNNNNNNNNNNNNNNNNNNNNNNNNNNNNNNNNNNNNNNNNNNNNNNNNNNNNNNNNNNNNNNNNNNNNNNNNNNNNNNNNNNNNNNNNNNNNNNNNNNNNNNNNNNNNNNNNNNNNNNNNNNNNNNNNNNNNNNNNNNNNNNNNNNNNNNNNNNNNNNNNNNNNNNNNNNNNNNNNNNNNNNNNNNNNNNNNNNNNNNNNNNNNNNNNNNNNNNNNNNNNNNNNNNNNNNNNNNNNNNNNNNNNNNUAUAUAGGAUGACCUCAUUUGAUUACCGGAAGGUUUUCGGAGUUACCGGGAAUGACGAAUGGGUUCCGGGAGUUCACCGGGGGGGGCACCCACCCCGGGGAAGCCCAUUGGUGUUAGGGGUGCCGCACCAGCCCUUAGUGGGUUGGUGGGACAGCCCAAAAGAGGCCUAUGAGCAUUGGGAAGAAAAUCNNNNNNNNNNNNNNNNNNNNNNNNNNNNNNNNNNNNNNNNNNNNNNNNNNNNNNNNNNNNNNNNNNNNNNNNNNNNNNNNNNNNNNNNNNNNNNNNNNNNUGCCACCCUAGCGGCCGGAGCCCACCCCACCCCACCCACCCCUUUGCCGUGUGCCACCCAGCCUUUGCAGAUGGCAAAGGGGGCUCCCUCUCUAACGGUGCAUAGCCCCCCACCCCAUCCGCUAACGGCUCUCGCGCCCACUGCCCGCUCUCUCUCUCUAGCCCUGCCCUCUCUCUCUCUCGCCUGGCCACCUCCCGCCACCGCCGUCNCUCUUUGGACUCUUGUUGAUCGAAAAGACCCCAACCCCCGAUGCUAGUGACCCUCGCCCCCGACGACACUGACCCCCAACCAUCGACGCAUUUAACCCGACUCCCGACCACCGACACCCGACACCACCGACCCUCGACGGCACUGACUCCUGACGCCACUGAGCCCCGACCCCCGACACCCCUUCUACCUUCUUUUGAACGAGAAGGUGCUUUUCGGCCUUCGAGAGGCCCACGAGGUCAUAGUUUUGUAAAUUAUGAGUUAGGUCACAUAUUUUCCGAUUAUGUUAAUUAUAAAAACAUCGUAUUUGUGUUGAUCGUGUGAAUUUCAAUGUGCAGUUGUUCGACGACCUCCACGUGCGUUGGACGAGCUUCGCCCUUGCGUUUGUUGGUGAGCACAAAUGACUUCUGCUCCUACCUCCUUAAUUUUCUCUGUCCCGGUCUUCGUGCCGAUGAAACUUGCUAGCUAUAGGUUUCUUCGAUCAUGAGUAUGCGUGACCAGUAUGUGUAUCCCGUUCGAAAGGGCGACAUCUAUAAAUAUGCAUNNNNNNNNNNNNNNNNNNNNNNNNNNNNNNNNNNNNNNNNNNNNNNNNNNNNNNNNNNNNNNNNNNNNNNNNNNNNNNNNNNNNNNNNNNNNNNNNNNNNNNNNNNNNNNNNNNNNNNNNNNNNNNNNNNNNNNNNNNNNNNNNNNNNNNNNNNNNNNNNNNNNNNNNNNNNNNNNNNNNNNNNNNNNNNNNNNNNNNNNNNNNNNNNNNCUUCUUCUCUUUCUCUUCUUCUACGUAGCUUAGACUCAUCGAAGAAAGGCUAAAUUGGCUAAUUAUCCUACGAAAUGACAUAAUUGGCUUAGUUAGAUCCAAAAUGACCUAUUUAAUAAAAAAUGACCUACAGUUAGCUAAGUUCUCUCCUAAAUGACAUAAUAAAGCUUACGUAGCUGCAAGAUGACCUAUUCCCCCUAACUUAGGUAUUAAAUGGCCUAUAAUUAGCCUAGCUAGAUCCAAAAUGGCUUAAUAAGCAUAGUUUGCUCCGGAAUGAUCUAUUUUACCCAAGUUAGCUUCGAAGCGACGUAUAGUUAGCUAGGGUUCCACCUAGAUGACAUAAUUAGCUUAGUUAGCUCCUAAAUGGUCUAUUUAAUAAAACAUGACCUAUACUUAGCUAAUUAUCCUCGAAAUGACAUAAUUAGCUCCAAAAAGGCAUUCUUAGCGAAUUUAGCCCGAAGAAGGGGACAAGAGGAGAAGAAAGAGGAAAAAUGAAAGGAAGGAAGAUGAAGAAGAAGAGAAAAAGAAGAAGGAGAGGGAGGAGGAGCUCCUUCUCCUUCUUCUCCUCCUUCUUCUCCUUAUCCCUCCUUCCUCCUUUUCCUUCUCCUUCUUCUUUUCUUCUUAUUCUCCUCUUCCUUCUCCUUCUCCUCCUCCUCCUUCUUUUACUUCUUCUCUUUCUCUUCUUCUACGUAGCUUAGACUCAUCCAAGAAUGGCUAAAUUGGCUAAUUAUCCUACGAAAUGACAUAAUUAGCUUAGUUAGCUCCUCAAUGGUCUAUACUUCGCUAAUUUCUCUCCGAAAUAACAGAUAUAUACACUUCUUAAUCUAGUAUUAUUCUUCUAACUUUCUUAUUUGUCAUUUUGCAGAUUACCUUCACUUCACGGGAAGCUUGGAUUAUAUUGAUGGAAUGCUUGAAGAUGAUUUCUUGUACCAUGGCUUGUAUUGAAACUAAUGUAGUAUAUGGAUAUAUAUGAAACUUUGUAUGCAUGUGGAUGAAACUGGUGUAAUAUAUGGUUUGGUACGGAUGCAACUUGCAUAAUAUGUAUGCACUAUGGAUGAGAGUUAUUUUAAUAUGGUUAUGAGUACGGAAAGAAAUUUAUUUAUGUCAAAUAUAUAUAUAUAUAUAUAUAUAUAUAUAUAUCCUGAUUAUUGUUAAAAAUGUUGGAUAUAAUAAAAAAAUUAAUUAAAAUGGGGCAGGUUCCCCUCUUUGCCGUCUGCCCCCACAUGGCAAACGGGGGUGGGCAAACGACAAAGGGGGGAAUCUGCCCCCUCUGUUUCCCCUCUUUGUCGUCUGCCCCCACAUGGGAAUGGGGGGGGUGGGCAGACGACAAAGGAGAGAAUCUGCCCCCUCUGUUUCCCNNNNNNNNNNNNNNNNNNNNNNNNNNNNNNNNNNNNNNNNNNNNNNNNNNNNNNNNNNNNNNNNNNNNNNNNNNNNNNNNNNNNNNNNNNNNNNNNNNNNCGACGUUUGAUACACACGAAGUAUUCCUCCGGUAUUAGUAAGUUAUAUGAUCUCAUGGUCAUAGGAAUAAAUACUUGACAGGCAGAAAACAGUAGCAAUAAAAUGACACGAUCAACAUGCUACGUCUAUUAGUUUGGGUCUAGUCCAUCACGUGAUUCUCCUAAUGACGUGAUCCAGUUAUCAAGCAACAACACCUUGUUCAUAAUCACAAGACACUAACUAUCGUUGAUCAACUGGCUAGCCAACUAGAGGCUUGCUAGGGACAGUGUUUUGUCUAUGUAUCCACACAUGUAAAUGAGUCUUCAUUCAAUACAAUUAUAGCAUGGAUAAUAAAUGAUUAUCUUGAUACAGGAAUUAUAAUAAUAACUAUAUUUAUUAUUGCCUCUAGGGCAUAAUUCCAACAGUUUCUCCAACUUUANNNNNNNNNNNNNNNNNNNNNNNNNNNNNNNNNNNNNNNNNNNNNNNNNNNNNNNNNNNNNNNNNNNNNNNNNNNNNNNNNNNNNNNNNNNNNNNNNNNNNNNNNNNNNNNNNNNNNNNNNNNNNNNNNNNNNNNNNNNNNNNNNNNNNNNNNNNNNNNNNNNNNNNNNNNNNNNNNNNNNNNNNNNNNNNNNNNNNNNNNNNNNNNNNNNNNNNNNNNNNNNNNNNNNNNNNNNNNNNNNNNNNNNNNNNNNNNNNNNNNNNNNNNNNNNNNNNNNNNNNNNNNNNNNNNNNNNNNNNNNNNNNNNNNNNNNNNNNNNNNNUGAUGUGAUAUGGCCAACGAUGUGAUGUGAUAUAUUGGAUGUAUGAGAUGAUCAUGUUGUAAUAGUUAAUAUCGACUUGCACGUCGAUGGUACGGCAACCGGCAGGAGCCAUAGGGUUGUCUUUAAACUAACAUUUGUGCUUGCAGAUGCGUUUACUAUAUUGCUAGGACGUAGCUUUAGUAGUAAUAGCAUGGAUAGCACGACAACCCCAAUGGCGACACGUUGAUGGAGAUCUUGGUGUGACGCCGGUGACAAGAAGAUCGUGCCGGUGCUUUGGUGAUGGAGAUCAAGAAGCACAUGAUGAUGGCCAUAUCAUGUCACUUAUGAAUUGCAUGUGAUGUUAAUCCUUUAUGCACCUUAUCUUGCUUAGAACGACGGUAGCANNNNNNNNNNNNNNNNNNNNNNNNNNNNNNNNNNNNNNNNNNNNNNNNNNNNNNNNNNNNNNNNNNNNNNNNNNNNNNNNNNNNNNNNNNNNNNNNNNNNGAGCCGGGUCUUGAUCACUUAGAGAUUGUUUUGUCUAGUAACCCCCAAGGGCCGGGUCAUCAGUAAAAAGAUGAGCCGGGUCUUGAUUUUUUAGAAAAACUUUUGACCAGUAACCUCCAAGGGCCGGGUCAUCNNNNNNNNNNNNNNNNNNNNNNNNNNNNNNNNNNNNNNNNNNNNNNNNNNNNNNNNNNNNNNNNNNNNNNNNNNNNNNNNNNNNNNNNNNNNNNNNNNNNNNNNNNNNNNNNNNNNNNNNNNNNNNNNNNNNNNNNNNNNNNNNNNNNNNNNNNNNNNNNNNNNNNNNNNNNNNNNNNNNNNNNNNNNNNNNNNNNAUGAGCCGGGUCUUGAUGCUGUAUAAUUUUAUCUGAAAAAAUUAUACAUUAGCCCCCAAGUGUCAGGGAUAUUGCUUGCAAUAGUUCUGAGACUUGCCCCUUAUCAUGUACUUCAACAGGAAACUCUUAUUCAGACUGAAUCAUCACUUGGCGAUUUAAAGAAAAACUUAUCUGAUCAACAAGAUGCCCGAACCAAGUAGGAGGAAAAGUAUCAAUUGGUCUUAGCUGAGAUGGAAAAACUAAAAGCCGAUUUAAAAAGGGCUCAAGCUGACCAAGAUGCUGCAACAAAAAGAGCAGAGAAACCUGAAGCCAAGAUGGCUACUGUGCAACAAGACCUAUCUCGCUUGAAAUGUCAUAUCUCAAACAUGGCGCAAGCCGUCUUUGGUAAAAUACUCAAAACUUUGAUCUUUGUUUAAACCAAUAACUCUUAUCCAGAGUCACUGAUUAUCAUUACCCCUUGGAUAGGUCCUAGAGCCGCCAAUCUUCAGGAUGAUUGCAUGCUGAUGCUGAAGGCGAUUUACACGCUAACAGAGCAGCUAUAUACCGGCAGUGUACUAACUGUUAAAGCAGUGAUGGGCGCCAAGGAGCCUAUAACCUCCAUAAAGAAGAUGCUUGGCUGCCUAUCCAUGCUUCCUCCCUAGAUUGGCGAGUUGACACGGUCAGCCGCCCGGAAGGGAGUGUUGACUACAUUAAGUCGCUGCUUAGCUUAUUGCUCCAGAGAUCAACCCGGAAGAAGUAGCAGCGGGCUUCCCUCAACUCAAGGAUGACGGGUCAGAAUUCGUCGAAGAGGACUAUCGGCGUGUCGUCAAGGACUCCCGGCUGGCGGCGACUCAACUUGCUGCAAGUCUGGACUUAUCAAAGUAUCAGGCUCCUUAUGAUAGCAAGAACAAGAAGGUCAACCCGCCAACCUUUGUGACAACCAGCUUAACUCCACGGCGACCCAAGAACCCUUUUGACUUGGACGCAGAUCUUUCAUCAAUCCUGACCGAUGAGAAUGACUUCGCGGAUCUGGCCAAGUGCAACUGGGUACUGGGCGACUUGCAAAUUGAGGUCGGCCAAAGCUCGCAGCAAAACGAUCCAAGGGCGCCAGCAGAAUAAACUUCAUUGAUUUGGCCCUAAGAGCCAUGUAAUAGGUCUCCAUUAGGAAUCGGUACUGCUUUUGUUAUACUUUCGAAAAGAAUCCUUAUGUCGCCCUUAAGGCGAUUUGAAAUACUGGAUCCGCCANNNNNNNNNNNNNNNNNNNNNNNNNNNNNNNNNNNNNNNNNNNNNNNNNNNNNNNNNNNNNNNNNNNNNNNNNNNNNNNNNNNNNNNNNNNNNNNNNNNNUACACUAACUUCUGCCAGUGUGGGUACCGUUGCUUGGAAAGGGUUAGCACUUCGCUGAUAAAAUACACCGGGCGUUGCACUGGGUACUCCUUCCCUUCCUCCUUUCUUUCAACGACCACUGCCACACUUAUUGCUUUGAAAUUUGCAGCAAUAUACAGAAGCAUGAGAUCUUUCUCAGUCGGGGUGGCCAGGACCGGCGGGUUAACCAAUUGUCGUUUCAAGGCUUCGAGCGCCUCGUCUGCCUCAUUUGUCCAAACAAACCGGUCAGAUUUCUUUAGUAACUGAUAAAGAGGAAUCGCCUUUUCACCCAGGCGACUUACAAAGCGACUUAGAGCCGCAAUGCGACCCGCUAGUCGUUGAACUUGAUUAACAUUUGUCGGCCUUCCAAGGGAUGUAACUGCUUCGAUUUUGUCCGGGUUAGCUUCAAUGCCACACUCAGACACCAGGAAGCCCAACAAUUUCCCUACAGGAACACCAAAAACACACUUGGUGGGAUUCAACUUCAUCUGAUAUACCCGUAGAUUAUCGAAAGUUUUCUUGAGAUCCUCCAGUAGCGUCUCCCCCUGGCGGGUUUUGAUCACAAUAUCGUCGACAUAGGCGUGGACGUUGUGACCGAUUUGGCUGCGGNNNNNNNNNNNNNNNNNNNNNNNNNNNNNNNNNNNNNNNNNNNNNNNNNNNNNNNNNNNNNNNNNNNNNNNNNNNNNNNNNNNNNNNNNNNNNNNNNNNNCGUCGAACCUUAAGUGUGCAGACCCUGCGGGCUCGAGAACUAUGUAGACAUGACCCGAGUGACUCCUCGGUCAAUAUCCAAUAGCGGGACCUGGAUGCCCAUAUUGGAUCCGACAUAUUCUACGAAGAUCUUAUCGUUUGAACCUCAGUGCCAAGGAUGCAUAUAAUCCCGUAUGUCAUUCCCUUUGUCCUUCGGUAUGUUACUUGCCCGAGAUUCGAUCGUCAGUAUCCGCAUACCUAUUUCAAUCUCGUUUACCGGCAAGUCUCUUUACUCAUUCCGUAAUACAAGAUCCCGCAACUUACACUAAGUCACAUUGCUUGCAAGGCUUGUGUGUGAUGUUGUAUUACCGAGUGGGCCACGAGAUACCUCUCCGUCAUAGGGAGUGACAAAUCCCGGUCUUGAUCCAUACUAACUCAACUAACACCUUCGGAGAUACCUGUAGAGCAUCUUUAUAGUCACCCAGUUUCAUUGAAACGUUUGAUACACACANNNNNNNNNNNNNNNNNNNNNNNNNNNNNNNNNNNNNNNNNNNNNNNNNNNNNNNNNNNNNNNNNNNNNNNNNNNNNNNNNNNNNNNNNNNNNNNNNNNNNNNNNNNNNNNNNNNNNNNNNNNNNNNNNNNNNNNNNNNNNNNNNNNNNNNNNNNNNNNNNNNNNNNNNNNNNNNNNNNNNNNNNNNNNNNNNNNNNNNNNNNNNNNNNNNNNNNNNNNNNNNNNNNNNNNNNNNNNNNNNNNNNNNNNNNNNNNNNNNNNNNNNNNNNNNCGUCUAUUAAUUUGGGUGUAGUCCAUCACAUGAUUCUCCUAAUGAUGUGAUCUCGUUAUCAAGUGACAACACUUGCCUAUGGUCAGGAAACCUUGACCAUCUUUGAUCAACGAGCUAGUCAACUAGAGGCUUACUAGGGAUAGUGUUUUGUCUAUGUAUCCACACAUGCACUGUGUUUCCAAUCAAUACAACUAUAGCAUGGAUAAUAAACGAUUAUCAUGAACAAAGAAAUAUAAUAAUAACUAAUUUAUUAUUGCCUCUAGGGCAUAUUUCCAACAGUCUCCCACUUGCACUAGAGUCAAUAAUCUAGUUCACAUCACCAUGUGAUUCCAACGAAUCCAACACCCAUAUAGUUAUGGGGUCUGAUCACGUCUUGCUCAUGAGAGAGGUUUUAGUCAACGGUUCUCAAACUUUCAGAUCCGUGUGUUCUUUACAAAUCUUUAUGUCAUCUUAUAGAUGCUGCUACUAUGUGCUAUUUGGAAAUACUCCAAAUAUCUACUCUACUAUACGAAUCCGUUUCACUACUCAUAGUUAUUCGGAUUAGUGUCAAAGCUUGCAUCGACGUAACCCUUUACGACGAACUCUUUAACCACCUCCAUAAUCGAGAAAAAUUCCUUAGUCCAUCAUGUACUAAGGAUAAAUUUUGACCGCUGCUAGUGAUUCAAUCAUGGAUCACUCUCUGUACCUCUCAACAGACUUUGAGUCAAGGCACACAUCAGGUGCGGUACCCAGCAUGGCAUACUUCAGAUUCUACGGCCAAGGCAUAGAAGACGACCUUCGUCUAUUCUCUUUAUUCUGCCGUGGUCGGGUUUUGAGUCUUACUCAAAUCCACACCUUACAACACAACCAAGAACUCCUUCUUUGCUGAUCUAUUUUGAACUCCUUCAGAAACUUGUCAAGGCAUGCAUCUUGUUGAAACUUCCAUUAAGCGCUUUCGAUCUAUCUCCAUAGAUCUUUGAUGCUCAACGUUCAAGUAGCGCAAUCCAGAUACUCCUUUGAAAACUCCUUUCAAACAACCUUGUAUGCUUUAUAGAAAUUCUACAUUACUUCUGAUCCACAAUAUGUCAACCACAUAUACUCAUCAGAAAUUCUAUAGUGCUCCCACUCACUUCUUUGGAAAUACAAGUUUCUCAUAAACCUUGUACAAACCCAAAAUCUUUGAUCAUCUCAUCAAAGUGUAUAUUCCAACUCCGAGAUGCUUGCACCAGUCCAUUGAAGGAUCGCUGGAGCUUGCAUACUUGCUAGUAUCUUUAGGAUCGACAAAACCUCCUGGUUGUAUCACAUACAAUGUUUGCUCAAGGAAACCAUCGAGGAAACAAUGUUUUGACAUCCUAUGUGCAAUAUUUCGUAAAUAAUGCAGCAACUACUAACAUAAUUCUAACAGACUUUUAGCAUCGCUACGAGUGAGAAAGUCUCAUCAUAGUCAACUGUUUGAUCUUGUCGGAAACAUCUUUGCGACAAGUCGAGCUUUUCUUAAUAGUGACUUAUCACCAUCAUCGUCUGUCUUCCUUUUAAAGAUCCAUCGUUAGUCAAUAGUCCUAUGACCAUCAAGUAGUUCUUCCAAAGUCUACACUUUGUUUUCAUACAUGGAUCCUCUCUCGGAUUUCAUGGCCUCCAGCCAUUUGUCGGAAUCCGGGCCCACCAUUGCUUUCUUCAUAACUCGUAGGUUCACUGUUGCUCAACAACAUGACCUCCAAGACAGGGUUACCGUACCACUCUGCAGUAGUACGCGACCUUGUGAACCUACGAGGUUUGUAGUAACUUGAUCCGAUGCUCGAUGAUCACCAUCAUCAGCUUUCACUUCAAUUGGUGUAGGCGCCACAGGAACAACUUCCUGCGCCCUGCUACACACUGGUUGAAGUGAUGGUUCAAUAACCUCAUCAAGUUCUACCACCCUCCCACUCAAUUCUUUUGAGAGAAACCUUUCCUCGAGAAAGGAUCUGUUUCUAGAAACAAACACUUUGCUUUCGGAACUGAGAUAGGAGAUGUACCCAACUGUUUUGGAUAUCCUAUGAAGAUGCAUUUAUCCGCUUUGGGUUCGAGCUUAUCAGGCUGAAACUUUUUCACAUAAGUGUCGAAGCCCCAAACUUUCAAGAAACGACAGUUUAGAUUUCUCUAAACCUCAGUCUAUACUGUGUCAUCUCAACGGAAAUACGCGGUGCCCUAUUUAAAGUGAUUGCGGUUGUCUCUAAUGCAUAACCCAUAAACGAUAGUGGUAAUUCGAUAAGAGACAUCAUAGCAUGCACCAUACCAAAUAGUGCGUGGCUAUGACAUUCAGACACAUCAUCACACUAUGAUGUUCCAGAUGGCAUGAACUGCGAAACAAUUUCCACAUUGUCUUAACUGCGUACCAAAACUCGUAACUCAGAUAUUCAUUUCUAUGAUCAUAUCGUAGAUCGUUUAUCCUCUUGUUACGACGAACUUCACUCUGAAACAGAAUUGAACUUUUCAAUAUUUCAGACUUGUGAUUCAUUAAGUAAAUACUCUUGUAUCUACUCAAAUCGUCACUGAAGUAAGAACAUAAUGAUAUCCACUGCGUGCCUCAGCACCCAUUGGACUGCAUACAUCAAAAUGUAUCACUUCCAACAAGUUACUAUCUUGUUUCAUCUCAAUGAAAACAAGGCUUUGCUCAUGUGGUAUGAUUUGCAUGUCACUAGUGAUUCAAAAUCAUGUGAGUAUAAAGAUCCAUCAGCAUGGAGCCUCUUCAUGCAAUUUAUACCAACAUGACUCAAGCGGCAGUGGCACAAGUAAGUGGUACUAUCAUCAUUACCUCGUAUCUUUUGGCACCAAUGUCAUGAACACGUGUAACACUACAAUCGAGAUUCAAUAAACCAUUAAAGGUGAUUAUUCAAGAAAAUAGAGUAACCAUUAUUCUCUUUAAAUGAAUAAUCGUAUUGCAAUAAACCCGAUCCAAUCAUGUUCAUGCUUAACGCAAGCACCAAAUAACAAUUAUUUAGGUUUAACACCAAUCCCGAUGGUAGAGGGAGCGUGCGACGUUUGAUCAUAUCAACCUUGGAAACACUUCCAACACGUAUCGUCACCUCACCUUUAGCUAGUCUCGGUUUAUGCCGUAGCUUUCAUUUCGUGUUACUAAUCACUUAGCAACCGAACCGGUAUCCAAUACCCUCGUGCUACUAGGAGUACUAGUAAAGUACACAUCAACAUCAUGUAUAUCAAAUAUACUUCUUUCGACUUUUGCCAGCCUUCUUAUCUACCAAGUAUCUAGAGUUGCUCCGCCUCAGUGACUGUUCCCCUCAUUACAGAAGCACUAAGUCUCGGGUUUGGGUUUAAUCUUGGGUCUCUUCAUUAGUGCAGCAAUAGUUUUGCCGUUUCACGAAGUAUCCCUUCUAGCCCUUGCCUUUCUUGAAACUUAGUGGUUUUACUAACCAUCAACUAUUGAUGAUCCUUCUUGAUUUCUACUUUCGCAGUGUCAAACAUCGCGAAUUGCUCAAGGAUCAUUGUAUCAAUCCUUGAUAUGUUAUAGUUCAUCACGAAGCUCUCACAGCUUGGUGGCAGUGACUUUGGAGAACCAUCACUAUCUCAUCUGGAAGAUUAACUCCCACUUGAUUCAAGCGAUUGUCGUACUCAGAUAAUCUGAGCACACGCUCAACGAUUGAGCUUUUCUCCCUUAAUUUGUGGACAAAGAAUCUUGUCAGAGGUCCCGAACCUCUUAACAAGGGCACAAGCAUGAAAUCACAAUUUCAUCUCUUUAGAACAUCUCUUAUGUUUCGUGACGUUUGAAAACGUCUUCGGCGCCUUGCUUCUAAGCCAUUAAGUAUUUUGUACUGAACUAUCGUGUAGUCAUGAGAAACGUGUAUGUCGUAUGUUCACAACAUCCACAGACGACGCUCGAGGUGCAGCACACCGAGUGGUGCAUUAAGGACAUAAGCCUUCUGCGCAGCAACGUGGACAAUCCUCUGCAAAGUUUGCUACUAUCAACUUUCAACUAAAUUUUCUCUAGGAACAUAUAAAAAUAGUAGAGCUAUAGCGCAAGCUACAUCGUAAUUCGCAAAGACCAUUAGACUAUGUUCAUGACAAUUAGUUCAAUUAAUCAUAUUACUUGAGAACUCCCACUCAAAAAGUACAUCUCUCUAGUCAUUUGAGUGGUACAUGAUCCAAAUCCACUAUCUCAAGUCCGAUCAUCACGUGAGUCGAGAUUAGUUUCAGUGGUAAGCAUCUCUAUGCUAAUCAUAUCAACUAUACGAUUCAUGCUCGACCUUUCGGUCUCAUGUGUUCCGAGGCCAUGUCUGCACAUGCUAGGCUCGUCAAGCUUAACCCGAGUGUUCCGCGUGUGCAACUGUUUUGCACCCGUUGUAUGUGAACGUCGAGUCUAUCACACCCGAUCAUGACGUGGUGUCUCGAAACGAAGAACUGUCGCAACAGUGCACAGUCGGGGAGAACACAAUUUCGUCUUGAAAUUUUAGUGAGAGAUCACCUCAUAAUGCUACCGUCGUUCUAAGCAAGAUAAGGUGCAUAAAGGAUUAACAUCACAUGCAAUUCAUAAGUGACAUGAUAUGGCCAUCAUCAUGUGCUUCUUGAUCUCCAUCACCAAAGCACCGGCACGAUCUUCUUGUCACCGGCGUCACACCAAGAUCUCCAUCAACGUGUCGCCAUUGGGGUUGUCGUGCUAUCCAUGCUAUUACUACUAAAGCUACGUCCUAGCAAUAUAGUAAACGCAUCUGCAAGCACAAAUGUUAGUUUAAAGACAACCCUAUGGCUCCUGCCGGUUGCCGUACCAUCGACGUGCAAGUCGAUAUUAACUAUUACAACAUGAUCAUCUCAUACAUCCAAUAUAUCACAUCACAUCGUUGGCCAUAUCACAUCACAAGCAUACCCUGCAAAAACAAGUUAGACGUCCUCUAAUUGUUGUUGCAUGUUUUACGUGGUGACCAUGGGUAUCUAGUAGGAUCGCAUCUUACUUACGCAAACACCACAACGGAGAUGUAUGAAUUGAUAUUUAACCUCAUCCAAGGACCUCCUCGGUCAAAUCCGAUUCAACUAAAGUUGGAGAAACUGUUGGAAUUAUGCCCUAGAGGCAAUAAUAAAUAUAGUUAUUAUUAUAAUUCCUGUAUCAAGAUAAUCAUUUAUUAUCCAUGCUAUAAUUGUAUUGAAUGAAGACUCAUUUACAUGUGUGGAUACAUAGACAAAACACUGUCCCUAGCAAGCCUCUAGUUGGCUAGCCAGUUGAUCAACGAUAGUUAGUGUCUUGUGAUUAUGAACAAGGUGUUGUUGCUUGAUAACUGGAUCACGUCAUUAGGAGAAUCACGUGAUGGACUAGACCCAAACUAAUAGACGUAGCAUGUUGAUCGUGUCAUUUUAUUGCUACUGUUUUCUGNNNNNNNNNNNNNNNNNNNNNNNNNNNNNNNNNNNNNNNNNNNNNNNNNNNNNNNNNNNNNNNNNNNNNNNNNNNNNNNNNNNNNNNNNNNNNNNNNNNNCGGAGACCAUGGGUUAGUACACAAACACGUAAUGGACAAUGCUUACCAUACCAUGGGAUCACUUGAUCCCUCUCGAUACAUCUUGUACGCUUUGUGUGUUGAUCAUAUCUUGAUUCAUUCUUUGUCUGAGAUCUUGAUCAACCUUGUGUCUCUAUGACCAUUCUUUGGAUAAUACCUUGAAUACCAUCUUGUUCAUCAUAUAAACUCCUUGAACCCAACAAAUGGACUUCAAGAGGUGCCUAUGGACAAAUGCUAUAAAUAUAACUUAAGGCAACCAUUAGUCCAUAGGAAUUGUCAUCAAUUACCAAAACCACAUAUGGAGAUAUAUGCUCUAACACUCCUCAACCGCCAUCCAGCUCCUGCCCCCCUUGGGCCAAGGCUUGUAUUACCAAAGGAUGAGUCACCCCUUCAGUGACCCGACCCAGUUAGGGAGGGUUACACCGCAGGUAAUAUCCCCAACAUUAGGCCCCAGAUUGUCUUGAAUUUAUUCAUGCCAAUAAACUUCCACUCAUUUUGGGGCGACUUGUAUCAUUCCUAUCUUUCAAACGAAUGACAAGCCGCCAUCCAUCAUGAAUUGUUUGAGCCGCCAAGCAAAUUUUGAUGACAUCACCUUUUCCCUCAAAUUUCGGGACUUAAUGACACAACCACCUGACGGAUCUUUCUCACCACCAUUUUGUUAUCCCAAAAAUCCAAGCGCCAUCAUUGCAAAUUUUUAGUUUGUCGCCUCUAUUCCCGCGCCUGCCACCUCAAUUCCAGCACCCGUCCUUCCAAUAACCGAAGGGGGGAGUGGGGGCACCGUCACCUACCCCCACUUCAGCUUCCUCGUCAAUCUUCGUCUUCCUCGCACUAACGCCCCUAUCUCUUCGCCGUCGCCGAAGCUUCCAGCCAGCCGUCGCGGUCUGGACGACUCCAGGCAAACCGAACGCGCAGGAUCCGCUGCAAACAUUCCGCAUCUUCCUCCGGGGGCCGCCAUUCUUUCUCACGUAAGCACCUUUCCCCCACUAGGGUUAGACUUCGCUGCCAUGUUUAGUCUAGGUCAGCUUCGGAAUGCAGCAAUGAUCCCUCUCCUAUUUUAGAUCCAUUAGUCACACUUCUAAUGGACCCUCCAUAGUAUUGAAGCACGAUAGCAUCACCGCAUCUGCUGGCCAUUUUGACGUUUACACUUCAUAGAAUCAUACGGUACUCCCGUCGCGUUCUUUGCGUUCAUAGUCUUGGCAGCUUCGUUUAAGCAUUAUCUCCUUAAUUUGAUCCACCCGUAGAUCCAUAUUUCAUUGCUUGCUUUUAGAAACUUGUUUAUCCCACUCCGAGAAUAUCCCUAAGGAAAGAAUCUUUUCUGAAUCGCCACUCGCCAUCUUCCACCACAGCGAGUUAGAACAUGGCCAAGGCUACGCUUUUGAUGGCCGAAGGGCGACUCAUAACACCUUCGUAGACAUACUAUAAAUAGCUCAACUGGCGAGUUAGAAUAUCCUCAUAUCCAGGUUUUUAGUUACCUAAUGUCGAGUCAUAGGGCCUUUACACACAUAUCAUAGGUCUCCAACUGGCGAGUUGCCACGUUUUAUGGUCCUUAAUGAGCCGCCUUGUUUCUUAUUUUUUGUAGUCAUGGUUAGCAUCUCGAAAUGCGAUUGGCUACCAACCAAGAUUAAUGGCGCCUUUGUCGAGAAAUUUGUCAAGUCGGGUCAUCUUGAUUGUAAGGAAGUCAUUCGUUGGCGGACCGCUCCAGGCGAGGUGAUUCCCAAUCCCGCCGAGGGGGAAGUCGUUGUUUCCAUUGAUCAUCUUGAACGAGGCUUCAAACCGCCCGGGUCAAAGUUCUUUAGAGACGCUCUGCAUUUCCUCAACGUUCACCCUCGGGAUCUGGGACCCAACUCCAUUAGUAAUCUUUGUCAAUUCCAAGUAUUUUGUGAAGCAUACCUACAGAUAGAGCCCACAGUUCCAUUAUUUUGGAACUUAUUUCAUCUGAACCGCCAGACCGAAUUUUCCAGUGGGCCCAACUUGGAACUCGGGGGGUCAACAUCCAGCGGCGCCGCGAAUGUGGGUUUCCGUCCGUCCUCCUGCCCAGCCAUCCCAAAGGCUGGGCCGAGUCUUGGUUUUAUUGUCAUGACACUUCUCCUCCCGGUGAGAACCCACUUCCGGGUUAUAGAGAAGAUAGCUUACCCAUGGACUUCAAGCUGCCAGAGAAACUUACCGAAGAAGAAGAAUCGGAAUUCAUCCCCAUCUUCUCCAAGCUACGGUCUUUGACCAAUAAUGGGCUCAUCGGGGUUGACCUAUUCCGUUGCUGGGUGGAGUGGAAUAUCCUUCCUCUGAGUCGCCGGAAUGGUCUGAUGUGCGAAUACGACGGCAGCGUGAACCAUCCGCAAUGCUUUCAUCAUAAAAGACUCCCCGAGAAAGACAUUGUUGACAUAAUCAAGAAAUUAACCGGCGAGUCCUUGGAAAAUUGUGCCAAGGUCGGGCUCAAGCCUUUCUGCCUCACCAACCCGGAUCCACCGGUAGCAAUCUAAGUCGCCACCUUCUACCUUUUUGAAUAUAUGUGCCAGCAUUCCAGGUUUGAAUUUUGAUUCUAUCCACCAGAAAGGUGAUCCAUUUUGGUCUCGAAGGCCAAAGGUGACUGUCCAGAAAACAACUAAACCGCCGCCGAAGAAGAAGAAAAAGACGAGCAAAGGCAAAGCCGCCGUCAAGGUGUCAUCCUUCGUCGGCGAGUCCCAAGCCGGCAAAGAACAGUCAGAGGUAAAAAUUUACCCUUUUCUUUGUCAUCAUUAUGUUCCGACUUAUGCUGAUGUCCGGUUACCUUUGUACGUAGGACGAUCGCUAUGAGAGCCAAGAUGACGUGGUCGAGGUAAUUUCUAUUUCUUCUGACUCAACUUCCUCUUCUCCUAGGCCAGCCAGGCGGAUUUGUGGAAAAGAUCCCAUGUCUCACCCAAAUGCUUGUCUGGACCCUGAUUUCCUUUUGAAGAAGGCGAAACAUACUCCCAAACGAAAAACCUGAAGCCGUUCUGGUGACUUAGUUUCCGGGUUACCUGAAAAGACAACCGGUCGGAAGCGCACAAUUGAGGUAUACUCCUAUUGAACACUCUCCUCCUUGUAGAAAAUGUGAUUCAUAAGUCAUUCACUCCUUGAACUUUUAUUCUUUCAGGUCUCUCCUCCUUCAUCUCGCGACUCAGUGAUAUCAGCUCUUCCGCCAAUGAUUCGUGUACAGGGGUAAGUUCUUUUAUUAACCUUUUUCCUUCCCAAUAAUGAUAUUUGUUCUAACUUUGAUGUCUUUAUCUCAGAGCACAAUCAAAGAAUAUAAAAACUGGCGACUUGUCUUCUGCUCCUAAGAUGACUGAGGAGUUAGGCAUGAGCACCAAUGCCCCAGGGCUUGAUGAGGACCAAGCGGCGGUUCAUGAUGAUCCCGCGGAUGACAUUACUGACGUCCGGAACGACUCUCCAGGCUCUUUAAAGGAAACCAUUGACAAAGUUAACCCGCCGAGCUCUUCCAAGGUGACUGAAGAUCCAGAUACCUUAAUUAUUACUGGUACUGGCUACUCCAAACCUGCAGCGGCGGUGUUAUCCAAACACACCUCAAAAGAAUCCCAUCCUUCCGCAGAACAAGAUAUCACUAAGCUGAAGCUUCCCCAUUAUAAGAAGCUCGAAUUUGACCAACUUUGCUCUGGCUUCAUAAGUCGCCUGGAGAUGAGUUAUGAAAUGGAGAAGAGCUUGAUCUACAUGAUAAGAGUUAAACAUGAGGUACGUCCUUUAUUAUGUGUUCUUCCACCCAUUAGCCUUCGAGGAGACUAGUCUUGCUUGAUGAAAUAAUGUUUGUUGCAAUAUUUGGUAGACCCAUAUCUGUCCUUAGCCCCCAAGGGCCGGUUCAUAUUUUGAAAGAUGAGACGGGUCUUGAAUUGAUAGAAAAACUUCAACCUGUAGCCCCCAAGGGCCGGGUCAUCUUUUGAAAGAUGAGUCGGGUCUUGCAUUAGAUAAAAACUUCAACCUGUAGCCCCCAAGGUUCGGGUCAUCUUUUGAAAGAUGAGACGGGUCUUGCUUUAGAUAAAAACUUCAACCUCUAGCCCGCAAGGGUCGGGUCAUCUUUUGAAAGAUGAGCCGGGUCUUUCUUUAGAUUAGAACUUCAACCUGUAGCCCCCAAGGACCGGGUCAUCUUUUGAAAGAUGAGUCGGGUCUUGCUUUAGAUAAAAACUUCAACAUGUAGCCCCCAAGGACCAGGUCAUAUUUUGAAAGAUGAGCCGGGUCUUGCAUUAGAUAAAAACUUCAACCUCUAGCCCCCAAGGGCCGGGUCAUCUUUUGAAAGAUGAGUCGGGUCUUGUAUUUUGUACGACUUCACAUAGAAUCAUACAUUAGCCCCCAAGUGUCAGGGAUGUUGCUUGCAACAUUUCUGAAUCUUGUCUCCCCAAAAUUUGUUUGCAGGAAUCUAUGACCCGGGCCGAGUCAUCUCUUGCUGACGUGAAGAAAAGCUUAGCCGAACAACACGAUGCUCGGACUGCGUCUGAAGAAAAAUAUCAGUUGGCUUUGGCUGACAUGGAGAAGAUGAAAGCCGGCCAUAAAAAAUUGAGAAGAAAGCUAAUGCUGAUCAAGCCGAAUCCUCAAUCGGGUAGAACAAGGCGAGGCAAAGUUAGAAGCCGCCCUACAGGAACUCUCCGGGCUAAAAAAGCAUGUCUCCAACAUGACCCAAGCCAUCUUUGGUAAGGACCAAUUCCCUCGUUCGGAAAGAGAAGUCAUAAUUUUAGUUUGCAAAUACUGUUUGUCAUUAUUUUAUCCUUUGUUGGUCCACGAGCAGCCAAUCUCCAAGACGACUGCUUCCUAAAGCUUAAGGCAAUUUACACCUUUACGGAGCAGCUGUAUACAGGGAGCAUGCUUACAAUGAAGGCAGUAAUGGGCAACAAGGAACCAAUCAAGUGCAUCAAGAAUAUGUUGGGUUUCUUGUCAACGUUGCCACCACAAGUAGAGGAGCUAAAGAGGUCAGCCGCCCGCAAGGGAGCUCUGACCACCCUAAAUCGGUGCCUGGCGUAUGCCCCUGAACUCAAGCCAUAGGAAGUAGCAGAUGGUUGUUGGAAAUAUGCCCUAGAGGCAAUAAUAAAUUAGUUAUUAUUAUAUUUCUUUCUUCAUGAUAAUCGUUUAUUAUCCAUGCUAUAAUUGUAUUGAUUGGAAACACAGUGCAUGUGUGGAUACAUAGACAAAACACUAUCCCUAGUAAGCCUCUAGUUGACUAGCUCGUUGAUCGAAGAUGGUCAAGGUUUCCUGACCAUAGGCAAGUGUUGUCACUUGAUAACGGGAUCACAUCAUUAGGAGAAUCAUGUGAUGGACUAGACCCAAAUUAAUAGACGNNNNNNNNNNNNNNNNNNNNNNNNNNNNNNNNNNNNNNNNNNNNNNNNNNNNNNNNNNNNNNNNNNNNNNNNNNNNNNNNNNNNNNNNNNNNNNNNNNNNNNNNNNNNNNNNNNNNNNNNNNNNNNNNNNNNNNNNNNNNNNNNNNNNNNNNNNNNNNNNNNNNNNNNNNNNNNNNNNNNNNNNNNNNNNNNNNNNNNNNNNNNNNNNNNNNNNNNNNNNNNNNNNNNNNNNNNNNNNNNNNNNNNNNNNNNNNNNNNNNNNNNNNUGUGUGUAUCAAACGUUGCAACAUAACUGGGUGACUAUGAAGAUGCUCUACAGGUAUCUCCGAAGGUGUUAGUUGAGUUAGUAUGGAUCAAGACUGGGAUUUGUCAUUCCGUAUGACGGAGAGGUAUCUCNNNNNNNNNNNNNNNNNNNNNNNNNNNNNNNNNNNNNNNNNNNNNNNNNNNNNNNNNNNNNNNNNNNNNNNNNNNNNNNNNNNNNNNNNNNNNNNNNNNNNNNNNNNNNNNNNNNNNNNNNNNNNNNNNNNNNNNNNNNNNNNNNNNNNNNNNNNNNNNNNNNNNNNNNNNNNNNNNNNNNNNNNNNNNNNNNNNNNNNNNNNNNNNNNNNNNNNNNNNNNNNNNNNNNNNNNNNNNNNNNNNNNNNNNNNNNNNNNNNNNNNNNNNNNNNNNNNNNNNNNNNNNNNNNNNNNNNNNNNNNNNNNNNNNNNNNNNNNNNNNNNNNNNNNNNNNNNNNNNNNNNNNNNNNNNNNNNNNNNNNNNNNNNNGGGAUUAUAUGAAUCCUCGGCACUGAGGUUCAAACGAUAAGAUCUUCAUACAAUAUGUAGGAUCCAAUAUGGGCAUCCAGGUCCCGCUAUUGGAUAUUGACCGAGGAGUCACUCGGGUCAUGUCUACAUAGUUCUCGAACCCGCAGGGUCUAAACACUUAAGGUUCGACGUUGUUUUAUGCGUAUUUGAGUUAUAUGGUUGGUUACCGAGUGUUGUUCGGAGUCCCUGAUGGGAUCACGGACGUCAUGAGGGUUUCCGGAAUGGUCCGGAGACGAAGAUUGAUAUAUAGGAUGACCUCAUUUGGUUACCGGAAAGUUUUCGGGCAUUACCGGAAAGGUUUCGGGCUCAUCGGUAGUGUACCGGGAGUGCCGGGAGGUGUGACGGGGACCAUCGAGAGGGGUGUCAUGCACCAAGGGGUCUCAUGGGCUAUGGGAAGAGAUAAACUAGCCCCUAGUGGGCUGGAAUAAGUUCCCACUAAGGCCCAUAAGGUUUGAGAAGGGAAAAACACAAGGUGGAAAGAGUUUCCAAGUGGGAAGGUGGAAUCCUACUCCAAGUAGGAUUGGAGUAGGACUCCUCCACCUCAAAUUUUGGCCAAACCUUGAGGGUUUGAGGCUGCCUCCUCCCCUCCCUCCCUCCUAUAUAUAGUGGGGUUUUAGGGCUGAUUUGAGACAACUUUUUCCACGGCAGCCCGACCACAUACCUCCACGGUUUUACCUCUAGAUCGCGUUUCUGCGGAGCUCGGGCGGAGCCCUGCUGAGAUUAGAUCACCACCAACCUCCGGAGCGCCGUCACGCUGCCGGAGAACUCAUCUACCUCUCCGUCUCUCUUGCUGGAUCAAGAAGGCCGAGAACAUCGUCGAGCUGUACGUGUGCUGAACGCGGAGCUGCCGUCCGUUCGGCACUAGAUCGGAGCGGAUCGUGGGACGGAUCGCGGGACGGUUCGUGGGAUGGUUCGUGGGGCGGAUCGAGGGACGUGAGGACGUUCCACUACAUCAACCGCGUUUCUUAACGCUUCUGCUGUGCGAUCUACAAGGGUAGUAGAUCGGAAAUCCCCUCUCGUAGAUGGACAUCACCAUGAUAGGUCUUCGUGCGCGUAGGAAAAUUUUUGUUUCCCAUGCGACGUUCCCCAACAGUGGCAUCAUGAGCUAGGUUCAUGCGUAGAUGUAAUCUCGAGUAGAACACAAAAGUUCUUGUGGGCGGUGAUGUGCGUUUUGCUGCCUUCAUUAGUCUUUUCUUGAUUCAGCGGUAUUGUUGGAUCGAAGCGGCUCGGACCGACAUUACUCGUACGCUUACGAGAGACUGGUUUCAUCGCUACGAGUAACUCCGUUGCUCAAAGAUGACCGGCGAGUGUCGGUUUCUGUUGGGGAACAUCGCAUGGGAAACAAAAAAAAUUCCUACGCGCACGAAGACCUAUCAUGGUGAUGUCCAUCUACGAGAGGGGAUGUGUGAUCUACGUACCCUUGUAGACCGUACAGCAGAAGCGUUAGUGAACGCGAUUGAUGUAGUGGAACGUCCUCACGUCCCUCGAUCCGCCCCGCGAACCGUCCCGCGAUCAGUCCCACGAUUUAGUGCCGAACGAACGGCACCUCCGCGUUCAGCACACGUACAGCUCGACGAUGAUCUCGGCCUUCUUGAUCCAGCAAGAGAGACGGAGAGUUAGAAGAGUUCUCCGGCAGCGUGACGACGCUCCGGAGGUUGGUGAUGAUCUCGUCUCAGCAGGGCUCCGCCCGAGCUCCGCAGAAACGCGAUCUAGAGGUAAAACCGUGGAGAUAUGUGGUCGGGCUACCGUGGCAAAGUUGUGUCAAAUCAGCCCUAAAANNNNNNNNNNNNNNNNNNNNNNNNNNNNNNNNNNNNNNNNNNNNNNNNNNNNNNNNNNNNNNNNNNNNNNNNNNNNNNNNNNNNNNNNNNNNNNNNNNNNNNNNNNNNNNNNNNNNNNNNNNNNNNNNNNNNNNNNNNNNNNNNNNNNNNNNNNNNNNNNNNNNNNNNNNNNNNNNNNNNNNNNNNNNNNNNNNNNNNNNNNNNNNNNNNNNNNNNNNNNNNNNNNNNNNNNNNNNNNNNNNNNNNNNNNNNNNNNNNNNNNNNNNNNNNNNNNNNNNNNNNNNNNNNNNNNNNNNNNNNNNNNNNNNNNNNNNNNNNNNNNNNNNNNNNNNNNNNNNNNNNNNNNNNNNNNNNNNGAUUUUCUUCCCAAUGCUCAUAGGCCUCUUUUGGGCUGUCCCACCAACCCACUAAGGGCUGGUGCGGCACCCCUAACACCAAUGGGCUUCCCCGGGGUGGGUGCCCCCCCCGGUGAACUCCCGGAACCCAUUCGUCAUUCCCGGUAACUCCGAAAACCUUCCGGUAAUCAAAUGAGGUCAUCCUAUAUAUCAAUCUUCGUUUCCGAACCAUUCCGGAAACCCUCGUGACGUCCGUGAUCUCAUCCGGGACUCCGAACAACAUUCGGUAACCAACCAUAUAACCUAAAUACGCAUAAAACAACGUCGAACCUUAAGUGUGCAGACCCUGCGGGUUCGAGAACUAUACAGACAUGACCCGAGAGACUCCUCGGUCAAUAUCCAAUAGCGGGACCUGGAUGCCCAUAUUGGAUCCUACAUAUUCUACGAAGAUCUUAUCGUUUGAACCUCAGUGCCAAGGAUUCAUAUAAUCCCGUAUGUCAUUCCCUUUGUCCUUCGGUAUGUUACUUGCCCGAGAUUCGAUUGUCAGUAUCCGUAUACCUAUUUCAAUCUCGUUUACCGGCAAGUCUCUUUACUCGUUCCAUAAUACAAGAUCCCGCAACUUACACUAAGUCACAUUGCUUGCAAGGCUUGUGUGUGAUGUUGUAUUACCGAGUGGGGCCCGAGAUACCUCUCCGNNNNNNNNNNNNNNNNNNNNNNNNNNNNNNNNNNNNNNNNNNNNNNNNNNNNNNNNNNNNNNNNNNNNNNNNNNNNNNNNNNNNNNNNNNNNNNNNNNNNNNNNNNNNNNNNNNNNNNNNNNNNNNNNNNNNNNNNNNNNNNNNNNNNNNNNNNNNNNNNNNNNNNNNNNNNNNNNNNNNNNNNNNNNNNNNNNNNNNNNNNNNNNNNNNNNNNNNNNNNNNNNNNNNNNNNNNNNNNNNNNNNNNNNNNNNNNNNNNNNNNNNNNNNNNNNNNNNNNNNNNNNNNNNNNNNNNNNNNNNNNNNNNNNNNNNNNNNNNNNNNNNNNNNNNNNNNNNNNNNNNNNNNNNNNNNNNNNNNNNNNNNNNNNNNNNNNNNNNNNNNNNNNNNNNNNNNNNNNNNNNNNNNNNNNNNNNNNNNNNNNNNNNNNNNNNNNNNNNNNNNNNNNNNNNNNNACAACACCUUGUUCAUAUUCAGAAGACACUGACUACCGUUGUUCAACUGGCUAGCCAACUAGAGGCUUGCUAGGGACAGUUUUUUUUGUCUAUGUAUCCACACAUGUAAAUGAGUCUUCAUUCAAUACAAUUAUAGCAUGGAUAAUAAACGAUUAUCUUGAUACAGGAAUUAUAAUAAUAACUAUAUUUAUUAUUGCCUCUAGGGCAUAAUUCCAACAGUCUCCCACUUGCACUAGAGUCAAUAAUCUAGCCCUCACAACAUCAUGUGAAUUACAUUGUAAUAAAUCUAACACGCAUACAGUUCUGGUGUUGAUCAUGCUUUGGCCGUGGAAGAGGUUUAGUCAGCGGGUCUACUAUAUUCAGAUCCGUGUGCACUUUGGAUAUAUUUACGUCCUCACCUUCGACGUAGUCGCUGAUGAGGUUGAAGCGUCGUUUGAUGUGUCUGGACUUCUUGUGAAACCGUGGUUCCUUUGCUAAGGCAAUGGCACCCGCGUUGUCAUAGAACAAGGUUAUUGGAUUCAGUGCGCUUGGCACCACUCCAAGAUCCGUCAUGAACUGCUUCAUCCAGACACCCUCCUUAGCCGCCUCCGAGGCAGCCAUGUACUCCGCUUCACAUGUAGAAUCUGCUACGACGCUUUGCUUGGAACUGCACCAGCUUACCGCACCCCCAUUAAGAAUAAAUACGUAUCCGGUUUGCGACUUAGAGACGUCCGGAUCUGUGUCAAAGCUUGCAUCAACGUAACCUUUUACGGCGAGCUCUUCGUCACUUCCAUACACGAGAAACAUCUCCUUAGUCCUUUUUAUGUACUUCAGGAUAUUCUUGACCGCUGUCCAGUGAUCCACUCGUGGAUUACUCUGGAACCUGCCUGCCAUACUUAUGGCCAGGCUAACGUCCGGUCUAGUGCACAUCAUUGCAUACAUGAUAGAGCCUAUGGCUGAAGCAUAGGGGACGGAGCGCAUAUGCUCUCUAUCCUCAUAAGUUGCUGGGCACUGAGUCUUACUCAAUCUCGUACCUUGUAAAACUGGCAAGGACCCCUUCUUGGAUUGUUCCAUUUUGAACCUCUUCAAAACUUUAUCAAGGUAUGUGCUUUGUGAAAGUCCUAUCAGGCGUUUUGAUCUAUCCCUAUAGAUCUUAAUGCCUAUAAUGUAAGCAGCUUCUCCUAGGUCCUUCAUAGAGAAAUUUUAUUCAAGUAAUCCUUUAUGCUCUCCAAAAACUCUACGUUGUUUCCAAUCAACAAUAUGUCAUCCACAUAUAAUAUUAGAAACGCCACAGAGCUCCCACUCACUUUCUUGUAAAUACAAGAUUCUCCAACCACUUGUAUAAACCCAAAUGCUUUGAUCACCUCAUCAAAGCGUUUGUUCCAACUCCGAGAUGCUUGCACCAGUCCAUAAAUGGAUCGCUGGAGCUUGCACACCUUGUUAGCAUCCUUAGGAUCGACAAAACCUUCAGGUUGCAUCAUAUACAAUUCUUCCUUAAGGAAACCGUUAAGGAACGCCAUUUUGAUAUCCAUCUGCCAGAUUUGAUAAUCGAAAAAUCCAGCUAUUGCUUACAUGAUUCUGACGGACUUAAGCAUCGCUACAGGUGAGAAUGUCUCAUCGUAGUCAACUCCUUGAACUUGUGAAAAACCCUUUGCCACAAGUCGAGCUUUAUAAACUGUCACAUUGCCGUCAGCGUCCGUCUUCCUCUUAAAGAUCCAUUUGUUCUGAAUAGCCUUGCGGCCCUCAGGCAGUACCUCCAAAGUCCACACUUUGUUCUCAUACAUGGAUCCUAUAUCGGACUUCAUGGCUUCUAGCCAUUUGUUGGAAUCUGGGACCACCAUUGCUUCUUCAUAAUUUGCAGGUUCAUUGUUGUCUAACAACAUGAUCGAUAAGACGGGAUUGCCAUACCACUCUGGAGCUGCACGUGGUCUCGUCGACCUGCGUGGUUCGACAGAAACUUGAACUGGAGUUUCAUGAUCAUCAUCAUUAACUUCCUCCUCAACCGGCGUCGCAACGACAGAGGUUUCCCCUUGCCCUGCGCCACCAUCCAGAGGGAUGAGAGGUUCGACAACCUCGUCAAGUUCUAUCUUCCUCCCACUCAAUUCUAUCGAGAGAAACUCCUUCUCGAGAAAAGCUCCGUUUUUAGCAACAAACACUUUGCCCUCGGAUUUGAGAUAGAAGGUGUACCCAACUGUCUCUUUUGGGUAACCUACGAAGACACACUUUUCCGCUUUGGGUUCCAGCUUUUCAGGUUGAAGCUUUUUGACAUAAGCAUCACAUCCCCAAACUUUAAGAAACGACAACUUUGGCCUUUUGCCAAACCACAGUUCGUAUGGUGUCGUCUCAACGGAUUUUGAUGGUGCCCUAUUUAAAGUGAAUGCAGCUGUUUCUAAUGCAUAACCCCAAAAUGAUAAUGGCAAAUCGGUAAGAGACAUCAUAGAUCGCACCAUCUCUAAUAAAGUACGAUUACAACGUUCGGACACACCAUUACGCUGUGGUGUUCCAGGCGGUGUCAACUGUGAAACAAUUCCACAUUGUCUUAAGUGAGCACCAAACUCGAAACUCAUAUAUUCACCCCCACGAUCAGACUGUAGGAACUUGAUCUUCUUGUUACGAUGAUUUUCGAAUUCACUCUGAAAUUGCUUGAACUUCUCAAAUGUUUCAGACUUGUGCUUCAUCAAGUAGACAUAACCAUAUCUACUCAAAUCGUCAGUGAAGGUGAGAAAAUAACGAUAUCCGCCGCGUGCCUCUACGCUCAUCGGACCACACACAUCGGUAUGUAUGAUUUCCGACAAGUCACUUGCACGCUCCAUUGUUCCGGAGAACGGAAUUUUAGUCAUCUUGCCCAUGAGGCAUCGUUCGCACGUGUCAAGUGAAUCAAAGUCAAGUGACUCCAAAAGUCCAUCGGCAUGGAGUUUCUUCAUGCGCUUUACUCCAAUAUGACCUAAGCGGCAGUGCCACCAAAAUAUGGCGCUAUCAUUGUUAACUCUAACUCUUUUGGUCUCAAUGUUAUGUAUGUGUGUAUCGCUAUCAAGAUUCAAUAUGAACAAUCCUCUCACAUUGGGUGCAUGACCAUAAAACAUGUUACUCAUAGAAAUAGAACAACCAUUAUUCUCUGACUUAAAAGAGUAACCGUCUCGCAAUAAACAAGAUCCAGAUAUAAUGUUCAUGCUCAACGCAGGCACUAAAUAACAAUGAUUUAAGUUCAUAACUAAUCCUGACGGUAACUGAAGUGAGACUGUGCCGACGGCGAUUGCAUCAACCUUGGAACCAUUUCCCACGCGCAUCGUCACUUCAUCUUUCGCCAGCCUUCGUCUAUUCCGCAGUUCCUGUUUCGAGUUGCAAAUAUGAGCAACAGAACCGGUAUCGAAUACCCAGGCACUACUACUAGAGCCGGUUAAUUACACAUCAAUAACAUGUAUAUCAAAUAUACCUGAUUUUUCUUUGGCCGCCUUCUUAUCAGCCAGAUACUUGGGGCAAUUGCGCUUCGAGUGACCCAUACCCUUGCAAUAGUAACACUCUGUUUCAGGCUUAGGUCCAGCUUUGGGUUUCUUCGUCGGAUUGGCAACAGGCUUGCCGCUCUUCUUCGAAUUACCCUUCUUGCCUUUGUCGUUUCUCUUGAAACUAGUGGUCUUAUUCACCAUCAACACUUGAUGCUCUUUACGGAGUUCAGACUCUGCGACUUUCAGCAUCGCAAACAACUCGCCGGGAGACUUGUUCAUCCCUUGCAUGUUGUAGUUCAACACAAAGCCUUUAUAGCUUGGCGGCAGUGAUUGAAGGAUUCUGUCAGUGAUAGCUUCUUGCGGGAGUUCAAUCCCCAGCUCAGCUAGACGGUUUGAGUACCCAGACAUUUUGAGCACAUGUUCACUGACAGACGAGUUCUCCUCCAUCUUGCAAGCAUAGAAUUUAUCGGAGGUCUCAUACCUCUCGAUCCGGGCGUUCUUCUGAAAGAUAGACUUCAACUCCUGGAACAUCUCAAAUGCUCCAUGACGCUCAAAGCGACGUUGAAGUCUCGGUUCUAAGCCAUACAAGACUGCACAUUGAACUACUGAGUAGUCCUCCUUACGUGCUAACCAAGCGUUCUUAACAUCCUGAUCAGCCGUAGCGGGUGGUUCAUCUCCUAGCGCAACAUUAAGGACAUAAUCCUUCUUCCCAGCUUGUAAGAUUAGCUUAAGAUUACGAGCCGAGUCUACAAAGUUGCUUCCAUCAUCUUUCAACUUAGCUUUCUCUAGGAACGUAUUAAAAUUCAGGGUGACUGUCGCGUGAGCCAUGAUCUACAACACAAAUAUAUUCAAAGUGGACUUAGACUAUGUUCAAGAUAAUUAGAGUUUAACUUAAUCAAAUUAUUUGCUAAACUCCCACUCAAAAUGUACAUCUCUCUAGUCAUUUGAGUGGUUCAUGAUCCACUUACACUAGCUCAAGUCCGGUCAUCACGUGAGUUGAGUAUAGUUUCAGUGGUAAGCAUCCCUAUGCUAAUCAUAUCAUCUAUAUGAUUCAUGAUCGACCUUUCGGUCUCAUGUGUUCCGAGGCCAUGUCUGCACAUGCUAGGCUCGUCAAGCUUAACCCGAGUGUUCCGCGUGCGCAACUCUUUUGCACCCGUUGUAUGUGAAUGUUGAGUCUAUCACACCCGAUCAUCAUGUGGUGUCUCGAAACGACGAACUGUAUCAACGGUGCACAGUCGGGGAGAACACAGUUUCCUCUUGAAAUUUUAGUGAGAGAUCACCUCAUAAUGCUACCGUCGUUCUACGCAAAAUAAGGUGCAUUAAAGGAUUAACAUCACAUGCAAUUCAUAAGUGACAUGAUAUGGCCAUCAUCACGUGCUCCUUGAUCUCCAUCACCAAGCACCGGCACGAUCUUCUUGUCACCGGCGCCACACCAUGAUCUCCAUCAAUGUGUCGCCAUUGGGGUUGUCGUGCUACUCAUGCUAUUACUACUAAAGCUACAUACUAGCAAAAUAGUAAACGCAUCUGCAAGCACAAACAUUAGUAUAAAGACAACCCUAUGGCUCCUGCCGGUUGCCGUACCAUCGACGUGCAAGUCGAUAUCAUCUAUUACAACAUGAUCAUCUCAUACAUCCAAUAUAUAACAUCACAUCAUUGGCCAUAUCACAUCACAAGCAUACCCUGCAAAAACAAGUUAGACGUCCUCUAAUUUUGUUGUUGCAUGUUUUACGUGGUGACCAUGGGUAUCUAGUAGGAUCGCAUCUUACUUACGCAAACACCACAACGGAGAUAUAUGAGUUGCUAUUUAACCUCAUCCAAGGACCUCCUCGGUCAAAUCCGAUUCAACUAAAGUUGGAGAAACUGACACCCGCCAGUCAUCUUUGAGCAACGGAGUUACUCGUAGCGAUGAAACCAGUCUCUCGUAAGCGUACGAGUAAUGUCGGUCCGAGCCGCUUCGAUCCAAAAAUACCGCGGAAUCAAGAAAAGACUAAGGAGGGCAGCAAAACGCACAUCACCGCCCACAAAAACUUUUGUGUUCUACUCGAGAAGACAUCUACGCAUGAACCUAGCUCAUGAUGCCACUGUUGGGGAACGUCGCAUGGGAAACAAAAAAAAUUCCUACGCGCACGAAGACCUAUCAUGGUGAUGUCCAUCUACGAGAGGGGAUGUGUGAUCUACGUACCAUUGUAGACCGUACAGCAGAAGUGUUAGUGAACGCGGUUGAUGUAGUGGAACGUCCUCACGUCCCUCGAUCCGCCCCGCGAACCGUCCCGCGAUCAGUCCCACGAUCUAGUGCCGAACGGACGCCACCUCCGCGUUCAGCACACGUACAGCUCGACGAUGAUCUCGGCCUUCUUGAUCCAGCAAGAGAGACGGAGAGGAAGAAGAGUUCUCCGGCAGCGUGACGGCGCUCCGGAGGUUGGUGAUGAUCUUGUCUCAGCAGGGCUCCGCCCGAGCUCCGCAGAAACGCGAUCUAGAGGUAAAACCGUGGAGAUAUGUGGUCGGGCUGCCGUGGCAAAGUUGUCUCAAAUCAGCCCUAAAANNNNNNNNNNNNNNNNNNNNNNNNNNNNNNNNNNNNNNNNNNNNNNNNNNNNNNNNNNNNNNNNNNNNNNNNNNNNNNNNNNNNNNNNNNNNNNNNNNNNNNNNNNNNNNNNNNNNNNNNNNNNNNNNNNNNNNNNNNNNNNNNNNNNNNNNNNNNNNNNNNNNNNNNNNNNNNNNNNNNNNNNNNNNNNNNNNNNNNNNNNNNNNNNNNNNNNNNNNNNNNNNNNNNNNNNNNNNNNNNNNNNNNNNNNNNNNNNNNNNNNNNNNNNNNNNNNNNNNNNNNNNNNNNNNNNNNNNNNNNNNNNNNNNNNNNNNNNNNNNGAUUUUCUUCCCAAUGCGCAUAGGCCUAUUUUGGGCUGUCCCACCAGCCCACUAAGGGCUGGUGCGGCCCCCCAACACCUAAGGGCUUCCCCGGGGUGGGUGCCCCCCCCGGUGAACUCCUGGAACCCAUUCGUCAUUCCGGGUACAUUCCCGGUAACUCCGAAAACCUUCCGGUAAUCUAUUGAGGUCAUCCUAUAUAUCAAUCUUCGUUUCCGGACCAUUCCAGAAACCCUCGUGACGUCCGUGAUCUCAUCCGGGACUCCGAACAACAUUCGGUAACCAACCAUAUAACUCAAAUACGCAUAAAACAACGUCGAACUUUAAGUGUGCAGACCCUGCGGGUUCGAGAACUAUGCAGACAUGACCCGAGAGACUCCUCGGUCAAUAUCCAAUAGCGGGACCUGGAUGCCCAUAUUGGAUCCUACAUAUUCUACGAAGAUCUUAUCGUUUGAACCUCAGUGCCAAGGAUUCAUAUAAUCCCGUAUGUCAUUCCCUUUGUCCUUCGGUAUGUUACUUGCCCGAGAUUCGAUCGUCAGUAUCCGCAUACCUAUUUCAAUCUCGUUUACCGGCAAGUCUCUUUACUCGUUCCGUAAUACAAGAUCCCGCAACUUAUACUAAGUCACAUUGCUUGCAAGGCUUGUGUGUGAUGUUGUAUUACCGAGUCGGCCCCGAGAUACCUCUNNNNNNNNNNNNNNNNNNNNNNNNNNNNNNNNNNNNNNNNNNNNNNNNNNNNNNNNNNNNNNNNNNNNNNNNNNNNNNNNNNNNNNNNNNNNNNNNNNNNAGGAUCAUGCCAUGUGAAUAGAACCAGAAAAUCAUUUUUGUAAAUUAUUAUUUUAACAAAAGGCAUUUAUUUAUUUUAUGUUUUCCAAAACCCCUCAUUUGAGAUUUGCGCUGCAAGUCCCCAAUUUAGGAGAGAUGCGUUACCCCAAUGUAUUUAAUUUGGAACCUAUUAUUAAAAAGUUUUCCCAAAACCAUAAAACAAUUAUUUUAAAAGUUAUUUUACCAUUUUUUAAACACAUCUUUUUGGAGCCAGAAAUGAUAUUCCAUAAGGAAAAAUUACUUUAUCACUUCAAUAAUAUUUGAGAAAAUUUAGGGAAACUCAUUGGCCAUACAUUUUCCAUACGUAAGAGUUUCAAUACAUGGUCAGGCUAAAAAUAUUGGAAAAAACCCCUCAAAACCCUUUCUGCCUAUUUCAAGAUUUUGAAAUAUUUCCAUAGGGGAUAUUCUCAAAAAAUUCCAGGAAAGUUCAAGCAAAUCACACAUGAUAAAUUUGGUGAUCCUACAAAGUUUAAUCUCAAUCCAAGUUGAUUUGAUCCACCCAACAAUCCGAAAACCAUUUCUGUCCAGAACAAAAUUUGAGAAACUUUACAUUGUCAACUUUAUAGAAUUGAUGCCAAAUUUUACAAGAGUGAUCCAUCCCCCGAAUAAGGAUGCUACACCAAGUUGUGCAUUUGUGGGAGUUGAUCUGAUGCCAAAUUUUACAAGAGUGAAAUCUAAUUAUGUCCAUUUCUAGGGGUUUUCAUGUUUACAUUGUCAACUUUGCUCAAAUGAGGUAAAACCUGGUGAAUCCUACUGAUUUUACCCAUGAAAUAAUGUUGGUAAAUCUCACUGCAAGUGGUGAGUUUUAUCUUGCUCAAUCCAGCAUCAAACACCUUCGGGUGAUUUGGUAAAACUGGUGCUUUCACUCCUACCAUGCCCCUUCACUCCAAAUUCUUACCACAAGCCGAAAUUGUUACCCUUCACCUCCAGCAAAAAGAUCCAGCUUUGGUUCAAUGGUUGGGGUGGGUAAAAACUCCAUUUACCUCUCUGAUUCAUCACGACAGGAGCUUUCUCCCACUCUCUCUUUGACCUCGACCUCUCUCCUCAAUUACAAAGCUUCCAAGGAGCAUCUCCACUGCCCCCAGGCACUGCUGGACAAGAUGGGAUGCGCUAGAGCGCGCUAACAUGUCGUGGCAUGCCCAAACUGCGCUUUGGACGUGCUAUAGUGCGCUCGUGCACUCAAGCGUGGCCAACCCCGACCAUCUCGUGCCCCCUCUGGGCGUCACCCGAGUUGCCCUCGACAACCGAUACCUUGCGCCUUCUCGGGCCCCUCCUCUCUCUCCCUUUGCCCUCUGAGAUGCGUGCCCGUGGCUGCCCGAUUUCGCUAGUAGGCGCCCGCCAUCGUGACAAGCCAUCAGCAUUCCCCCGCUCCUCCUCACCCUCUUCCCGACCCCAAACCGUGUCCACAAAGACCACAGACACGUCCCUAAGUCCCCUCUCUACCUCUGGCAGUCGCCACGGUCUCGCUGGCGCACGAGCUCUCGGUGGACCCUGGUCUCCUUCUCCCUCCCUUCGACCUCCUGUUGCUCCUAAUCGAGCUCCUAGACUACCCACUCCUAAUCAAGCUCCUGAGAUCGAGAUCCAGCUCAAGAUCCACCACAUCAGGACUCUAGAAAUCCUCGAAUACAAGGCUGCUCCGGCCCUCCUUUCUUCCCCUUUGUAACCGCGACAACCUCCUCAUGCUUCUCCUCCUUCACCCCAUUCUUUUUCGGCAACAAUCGGCCCCGGCGACCACCCUCCCGAAAUGCCUCCGCCAGGGGAUGUCGCUGGCGGCGGCUCACUCCACCACAUCCCCUUCCUCCACCACCAACCAAACGUCACGAUGGCUCUGGUCUCAUUCCCGUCACAGACGAGCCCAACCUUGCGCCAUCUCGUCGGUGGUGUGGUCUCCCUUUCUCCUGUCAGGAAGUUGAAGUUGACUCCGGAGGGCCCGCGUGUCUUCCUCCUUUCCCAUCCCUCUUUCACUAAUAGCUGGGGACGAGCCGUCAGGUUUGAACAAGCAGGCCGCAUGCACUGUGUCGGCUGAAGGCAUAAAAUGCCUUUGCGCCUUCGAAGUAGCUGCCUUGCACGGGCUGGUUUCCCUAUGGGCUGGCUCUACCGAGGCGGUUUGGCCCAUGGGGAAUAGUGGCCCUUCCUUUUAGUCCUUUUCCAGAAUCUUUCAAAAAUCUCCUAAGUUUAAAUAUUUGUUCAAAUUCAAAUAUUCCUCCACCAAAAAUCUUGUCAUCUUGUGUAGUAUUUUAGGGUCCCACUUGUGUAAUUUUUACAAUAGGUUGCAUGCACAGUUGUAUUUUAAAACCCUAUUUAGGGUAUUUUAACAAUCUAUUAAAAUAAUUUUUAGAACUUCUUACAGUCCAAAAAUAAAAUUAGCUAAUUUUUAGAGUACCUAUAGUCACCCUAGUAUUUUACAAAAAUGGUGUGACAUUUUUCUGAGUUGAUUAUUUUGCACUUCAAGUCCCUGAACAAAGAGGGAUGUUUUACACCAAAUAUUUUAUUUGAAUCCUAUUUUCCAAAAGACUUCCCAAAACCACAAAAUAAAUAUUUUCAAAGCUAUUUUCCUAAUUUAUUGAAAUACCUUUUUUGAGGCCAGAAAUGGUAUUACUUAAGGAAAAAAUAUAUUUCUUGCUUCAAAAAUAUUUGAGAAAAUUUCGGGAAAUUCAGUGGACAUAUAUUUUCCGUACAUAAGAGUUCAAACACAUGGUCAUGUUCAAAAUAUUGGACAAAACCCUCAAAACCCUUUAUGCCUAGUUCAAACCUUUGAAAUAUUUCCAAAGGAAAUAUUCUCAAUAAAUCCCAGGAAAAGUUUUGCAAGUCACACAUGAUAAUUGUGGUGAUCCUGCAAAGUUUCAUCUCAAUUGAAGAUGAUUUGAUCCACCUGUUAAUUCCAAAACCCUUCUUUACGAGAACCAAAUUUGGGAAAUUCUACAUUGCCAAGUUUACCCAAUUUCUCUCAAACUUUGCAGGAGUGAUCCAGGCCCCAAAUAAGGAUACCACACCAAGUUGUGCAUUUGUGGGAGCUGAUUUGAUCACCUUGGUCAACAAAAAUCUGAUUCUGUCCAUUUCUAGAUUUUUCAUGUCUACAUUGUCAACUUUGCUCAAAUGAGCUCAAACUUGGUGAAUCAUAUUGGUUUUACUCAUAAUCCAAUCGUGUUAAAUAUCACUGCAAGUGAUGAGGUUUAUCUUUCUCAAACCAGCAUGAAACAUCUUCUGGUGAAUUGCUAAAAUUGCUACUUUCAACCCCUACACUGUUCUACUUCACUCCAAAUUUUUACAACAAGCUCACGGAGUCACUCUUCAUAUGCAGUAGCAAGAUCUAGCUCUAGUUAAACCGGGAGUUAGAAUAAAACCCCAAUUAUCCCUCUGGUCCACCCUAGCAGAAGCUUUUCACCCACUCCCUUUGACCACACUCCUCCCACUCGGCUCCAAGGCAUCCCAGGAGCAUCUCCGCAUACCCGAGACACUAGAGGAGAAGAUGGGGUGCGCCAGAGCACGCCAGCAUGUCGUGGCAUGCCAAAACUACGUCUGGCCAUGCUACAGUGCGCACCCGCAUACUGGGAGGCCAGCCUCGACGGCAGGAGACCUAUGCCACCUCCAACCCCUCUCUCCUCUUCUAAUCCCCCUACGACGCAUGCCCUUGGCGGCCGAUUCGGUCAGAUGGCGCCCGCCACCACGUCAAGCCGGGAGCCAGCUCCCCACUGCUCCUCGACCCUGUUCCAACACCAGACCACAUCCACGAAGACAACAUAUGCGCUCCCAAGCCCUCUAUCCUCCCCUGGCCGUCGACAUGGUCUCGUCAAUACACGAACAUUCGGUGCAUCAUGCCCCCUCUAUAUAAUGCCACCCGAGCCUCCCUCUCCCUCCCUUCGACCUCGUGCUACACCUAAUCACUCCACUGAGCCACCCAUUCAUCUUCGGGAGCCUCGAGCUCGAGACCGAGCUCCGGAUCGGGUUCAUCGGGAUUCCGGCAAUCCCCGGGUACAAGGCCGCUCCGUCUCUCAUUUCAUUCCCAAUUGGACCACAACAACUUCAUGAUGCUUUCCCAUAUCUCCCCUAUUCUUUUGCUACAGUUUUGGCACCGACAACCACUCUCCCGAAGCUCUUCCGCCGUAGUACCUCUUCACCGGCGACUCCUUGCACCCCUGGUCCUCUGUCCUCCACUAGUUGAAUGGUGGCUUAUCCUUGGAUCCAUUUCCAUCCCUAGCCGCACUCUCGUGCCCUUUGUCGUCACCGGUGAGCUUGCUGCCCUCUCUAUCCAUAGGUUGAAGAUGAGAGGUGGAGGCUACCUGUCAUCCUCACCUAUCCCUCAGCUCCCCUCUCUACCACUGGCGGCUGGGCCCCACCUGUUGGGUUUAAACCCUGGCAGGUGCACACACCUAGUCUACAUGCGCUGGUUCGCUAGCUGGGCCGAUUCGGCCAACACCUCCAUGUUGAGGAACGUUGCAUGGGAAACAAAAAAUUCGUAUGCACAUACAAGAUCUAUCCAUGGUGAUGACCAUCUAUGAGAGGAGAUAUCGGAUCCACAUAUCAUUGUAGAUUGCUAUGUGGGAAGCGUUAAGAAAUGCGGUUGAUGUAGUCGAACGUCUUUGCAAUCCAAAUCACAAGCCGUCCUGCGAUCCAAUCACGAUCUAGCACCGAACGGACUGCACCUCCGCGUUCAGCACAUCUACAACUUGAUAAAGAUCUCCACCUUCUUGAUCCAGCAAGAGGGGAUGGAGAAGUAGAUGAUUUCUUCAGCAGCACGACGACCAGGUGGCGGUGGUGGUGGACUAAUCCGACAGGGCUUCGCCGAGCUCUACCAAACCAAUCUAGAUGAAGAAGACGAUCUAUGGAGGAUAGGGCAGCACGUGGCUUUUCAGGUGGCGGCUGCCAUCAAAACCUCCGUUAUAUAUAGGAUAGAGGGGUAGGUGGGCUUGCGUUGGCUUCAUUGUUCUUGAUAUAGAAUGCAAUCCUACAUGUCCUAUUAAUCCUGGUAGACAUUUCCUUAGAACAAUUGGUGCCAUUAUUGAUAUGAAGGAAGGUAAUAUUAGAUUCCAAUUCCCAUUAAGGAAAUGCAUGGAUCACUUUCCUAGAAAAAAAUAAGAUUACCUUAUGAAUCUAUUAUUAGAGCUACCUAUGGAUUGCAUACCAAAGAUGAUAAUACUUAGAUCUAUUGCAUUAUGCCUAGCUAGGGGCGUUAAACAAUAGCGCUUGUUGGGAGGCAACCUAAUUUUAUUUUUUCAUUUUCUUUUUGUUUUUGUUUCUGUUUUUGUGUGCUGCACAUAUUAUUACUUCUGUAAUAAUUGUGUUUUCUUGUUUUAGUUAGUGUUUGAGCCAAGUAAUACUUUUGGGAUGGUCCGCGGUGUUUGCAAGUUGAUUCUGCUCAAAAACACAAACUUUCGCUCAGAGUCCAGGAAUUUUAUAAAUUCACUGGAACAUGCUCACGAUCUAAAUUGUUUACACAAUAUUGGUUUACAAAUUGUGCAAACCUUCCUAAGUUUUCAGAUUUUUUUGAGUGACACAAGUAUUCGAAGUAAACAGAUUGCUACAGAAUGUUCUGUUUUUGACAGAUUCCGUUUUCUUUGUGUUGUUUGCUUAUUUUGAUGAAUCUAUGGGUUGUAUCGGGGGGUAUGAACCAUGGAGAAGUUGGAAUACAGUAAAUAUUAAAUAAAUAUAAAAAACAAUGAGUUCACAACAGUACCUAAUUGGUGAUUUAUUUUUCUUAUACUAACGGAUGUCAUGAGUUUUCUGUUGAGUUUUCUGUUGUGAAGUUUUCAUGUUUUGGGUAAAGAUUUGCUGGACUACAGAAUAAGGAGUGGAAAGAACCAAAGCUUGGGUAUACCCAAGGCACCCCAAUACAUAUUCAAGGAUACCAAAGAGCCUAAGCUUGGGGAUGCCCCGGAAGGCAUCCCCUCUUACGUCUUCAAUCGGUAAAUUAACUUGAGGCUAUAUUUUUAUUCACCACAUGAUAUGUGUUUUGGUUGGAGCGUAUUGUACGAUAUGAGUCUUUAAUAUCUAGUUUUCAACAAUCAUCCUUGCUGCACAUGCCUUUUGAGAGAGAGAGAGACGCUGAAUCGUGAGUUUAUUACAAUACUCUUUGUGCUUCACUUAUAUAUUUUGAGCUAGGCAAUGUUGCUCUAGUACUUCACUUAUAUCUUUUAGAGGACAUCGGUGUUUUGUUUUGUAAAAAAUAUUAAACUCACAUACUUCACUUAUAUUAUUUUGGGAGUUCUUUAAACAACAUGGUAAUUUGUUUAGGUUAUGAAUUUAGUCCUAAUAUAAUAGGCAUCCAAGAGGAAUGUAAUAAAAACAUUCAUAUUAAGUGCAUUGAAUAUGAUGAGAAGUUUGAUUCCUUGCAUAUAGUUUUGAGAUGUGAAGAUGGUAAUAUGAGAGUCAUGCUAGUAAGUAAUUGUGAAUUAUAAGAAAUACUUGUGUUGAAGCUUGUGAUUCUCGUAGCAUGCACGUAUGGUGAGCCGUUAUGUGAUGAACUCCGAGCAUGAUUUGAUUAAUGAUCGUCAACCUUUGUGUGGAGGUUGGGAUUGCAUGAUGGUUAACUCCUAUCAACCUUUCCCCUAGGAUCUUGCGUCUAAUACUUUGCUUUGAUAACUAAUAGGCUUUUGUAAUAAGUAUGUGAGUUCUUUAUGACUAAUGUUGAGUUCAUGGAUUUUACGCACUCUCACCCUUCCACCUUUGCUAGCCUCUCUAGCACCACGCAAUUUUUGCGAGUACAUUAAACCCACGUUCCUCAAAACAGCCACCUUAUAUUUUCCUCAAAACAGCCACUUACCUAUUAUGGCAUUUUCGUAGCCAUUCCGAGAUAUAUUACCAUGCAACACCACCGUCUAGUUUUUAUGACACGGGCCAUCACUUCCUUAUUGCUUAUAAAGUCAUACUUUGUUCCAUAUAUCGAGUUGUAAUCUUUGAGUUGUAAGUAAAUAAAAGUGUGAUGAUUUGCAUUACUAGAGCAUUGUCCCGUGUGAGAAAAAGGAUGAUGGAAGCUAUGGUUCCCUCACAAGUUGGGAUGAGUCUCCGGACAUUACAAAAAAAUAAAAGAGGCCAGUGAAGCCCAAAAAAAAUAAAAGAGGCCAAAGAAGCCCAUUCAAAAGAAGAAAAAAAAUAAAAAACAGAAGAAAAGAAAAGAAAAAUGAGAGAAAGAGAGAAGGGACAAUGCUACUAGCUUUUUACACACUUGUGCUCCCAAAAUAGCACCACGUUCUUCAUGGAGGUUCUCCUAUGUUGUCCCUUUCAUAUAACUAGUGGGAUUACAUCAUUUGCACAACCACUUAGUUUUCUUUUUGAGCUUUCAUAUACUUAUAACUCUACUGCAUUUGUUGCAUGGCAAUCCCUACUCACUCACAUUGAUAUCUAUUCACGGGCAUCUCCAUAGCCCAUUUAUAUGCCUAGUUGAUGUGAGACUAUCUUCUUCCUUUCUUUUUGCAACCUCCACCACAUUCUAUUCCACCUAUAGUGCUAUAUCCAUGGCUCAUGCUCAUGUAUUACGUGAGAGUUGAAAAGGUUUGAGAACAUAAAAAGUGUGAAACAAUAGCUUGAUUUUCAUCGGGGUUGUGCAUGAUUUAGAUACGUUGUGUGGUGAAGAUGGAGCACAGCCAGACCAUAUGAUUUUGUACGGAUAACUUUCUAAGACCAUGUUAUUUUGAAAGGAAGCAAUUGCCUUAUUAGUAUGCUUGAAAUAUUAUUGUUUUUGUCUAAAUAUUGGAAUUUUUUUUGAGUCUUAUGGAUCUCAAUAUUCAUGCCACAUUAGAGAAUAUUACAUGGAUAAAUAUGUUAGGUAGCAUUCCACAUCAAAAACUCUGUUUUUAUCAAUUACCUACUUGAGGACAAGCAGGAAUUAAGCUUGGUGAUGCUAAUACAUCUCCAACGCAUCUAUAAUUUUUUAUUGUUCCAAGCUAUUAUAUUAUAUGUUUUGGAUGUUUUAUAUGCAUUUCUAUGUUGUUUUUUAUUAUUUUUGGUUACUAACCUAUUAAUCUAGAGCCUAGUGGGCAUUUGUAUUUUUUCCACGUUUUUUAAUAUUGCGGAUAAGGAAUAUUCAACGGAGUCCAAACAGAAUAAAAUCUCCCGAAAUAUUUUUCGUGGACGAGAAGACACACAACAGACUUGGAGUACGGGGCAAGGCAGUUGCAGGGAGGCCACAAGCCUCCAGGGCGCGCCCUAGGGGGUGGUCGCGCCCCCUGGCUUGUGGUCCCCAUGCAGGUGUCCUCGCCCUAAUUCUUGUGCUAUAAAUUCUCAAAUAUUCGCGUAUCGCCAAAGGGUGCCACAAAAAUAAUUUUAUGCCACCGGAAGCCUAUGUUUCCUAGAUAUCCAAUCUGGGGGCAUUUCCGGUAAUCCGUCGGAGAGGGAAUUGAUCACGAGGGCAUCUACAUCAACUCCAUUGCCCCUCCAAUGAAGCGUGCGUAGUUCACCAUAGACCUAUGGUUCUAUAGCUAGUAGCUAGAUGGCUUGUUCUCUCUCUAUGAUCUUAAAUACCAUGUCUUCAUGAUCUUCAUGGAGAUCUAUCCGAUGUAAUACUCUUUUGCAGUGUGUUUGUCGAGAUCCAAUGAAUUGUGAGUUUAUGUUCAGAUUUUCUAUGAGUAUUAUUUGAGUCUCUUCUGAAUUCUUAUAUGCAUGAUUUCAUAUCUUUGCAAGUCGCUUCGAAUUAUUUGUUUGGUUUGGCCAACUAGAUUGGUAAUUCUUGCAAUGGAAGAAGUGCUUAGAUUGUAUUGUCGCCAUCGAGGAUAAAAAGAUGGGGUUUUCAUCAUAUUGCUUGAGUUUAUCCCUCUACAUCAUGUCAUCUUACUUAAUGCGUUACUCAGUUCUUCAUGAACUUAAUACUCCAGAUGUGAGUCGGUCGUGGAGUAAAAGUAGUAGAAGCAGAAUCGUUUUGGUCUACUUGAUACAGAUGUGAUGCCUAUAUGCAUAAUCAUUUCCUUAGAUAUCUUCAUGAAUAUUUACUUUUCUAUCAACUGCUCGAGAGUAAUUUGUUCAUCUACCACAUUAUUUUCCUUUAUGAGAGAAGCCUCUAGUCAAACCUAUGCCCACAGGGUCUAUUUUCCAUAAUAUAUUUUCAGAUCUAUAAACCAAAAAUACCAAAAAUACUUUCCUGCAAUUUAUUUUCUUUUCCCGCAAUAUUUUAUAUCUAUUUCUAUCAGAUCUCAUCAUUGAAAAUAACUCUGAAGGGAUUGACAACCCCUUUUAUAGCGUUGGGUGCUAGUGUUUGAUUAUUUGUGUAGGUACUACUAUGGGAGCCUUGCUUGUUCCUCCUACUAGAUUGAUACCUUGGUUAUCAACAAACUGAGGGAAAUACUUAUCUACUUCGCUGCAUCACCCUUUCCUCUUCAAGGGAAAACCAACGCAAGCUCAAGAGCUAGCAAUCACAUUAAUGAAUGAACUAUUUAUUGAUUGCAGAUCCAUUGUUCCUAUGUAGAAAUCUUCAAUGAUCUUAUAGAAAUCUUCCAUUAUAUUAACCCAAUAGUUCUAAAUGAAACAUCCAUUAAAACCAUCUGGAACAAGGGAUUUGUCACUAGGCAUAUUUUUUACUACCUCACCAAUUUGUUCCUUGAGGAAAUGUGUCUCAAGCUCUGUGAGAUAUAAAUCUGUUUGCAAUAGCUCAUGAAAGUCACAAAACUUUGUAGUUAUUGUAGAAGUUCCUAACCUUUCCUUGAAACAUUUCCAUAGCACAUGUGCUUUUGCCUAGUGAUGAAAAUGUUCAUACAUGUCACCAUCCAAGAUCAUUGCAAUUUCAUUAUUCAUAUAUUUUAUAGUGGCUUUAGCUUGGAAGAAUUUUGUAUUACCAUCUCCAUAUUUCACCCAUCUAAUGGUGGCUCUUUGCUUCUAGUCUGAUGUACAUUGAACAUUGAUGUGAGAUUCAAUUUGUCGUUGCGGCGCGAUCUUUCAUGACAUUCCACCACGAGAAGUACCAACCUCUCACCCACGCACACAAUGUACACAAAAUAGAAGGUUUUAACCUUGCGUAUCAACACGGGGAAACAAAUAUCGAUGAUGGUACUUGAUUACCCACAAGUAUAGGGGGUCAAUCAUAGUCCUUUUGAUAAGUAAGAGUGUUGAACCCAAUGAGUAGCAGAAUGAAAUGACAAGCGGUUUUCAGCAAGGUAAUUUCUGCAAGCACUGAAAUAGCGAUAACAAGUUGUUUGAUAGGAAGAUAAUUGGAACAAGUAAUGAGUAGAAAUAGUAACAAUACGUGUAGCAAGUUAGCCCAAUUACUUUGUGGCAAAGGACACGGCAGAACAGUUUCUUAUAAUAGACAAAGCAUUCUUGAGGGCCCAUGGGAAUUUAAUCUAGUCACUUUCAUCAUGUCGGGUUAAUUCGUGUUGGGUACUUUGAUAAUUUGAUAUAUGUGUGGAUCGGUGUUUGCGUGUUGUUUGUACUUGAACAAGCCUCCCACUUAUGAUUAACCAUCCCGCAAGCAUCCGCAACUAUGAGAAAAUGAAUAAUAAUAAUCUCUAACCAUAGCAUUAAACAUAGGGAUCCAAAUCAGCCCCUUACGGAAUAUCACAGAAACUUGGGUUGAACUUUCUGUCACUCUCGAACCCACCAUCUAAUUACUACUCCAUAAUGCAUUUCCUUAGGCCCAAAGAUGGUGAAGUGUUAUAUAGUCGACGUUCACAUAACAUCACUAAGGGAAUCACAACACUCAUAUCAUCAAAAUAUCAAACGAAUAUCAGCUUCACAUGACUACUUGCAACAUGACUUCUCCCAUGGCCUCAAGAAAAAAAGUAACUACUCACAAGUGAUAAACAUGCUCAUGAUUUGAGAGGUAUUAAAUAGCAUAUUGGAUCUGAAAAUAUGAUCUUCCACCAAAUAAACCGUAAAACAUAAACUACAAGAUGUAAUCAAUACUACUAGUCACACCCCAGGUACCAAUCUGAGGAUCCGGUACAAGAUUGAGCACAAGACAUGAACUAUGGUUUUGAGAGGACAUGGUGUUGAUGAAGAUGUUGAUGAAUAUUGGCCUCCCCAAGAUGAGAUGGUUGUUGGUGAUGAUGAUGGCCUAGAUUUCCCCCUCCCGGAGGGAAGUUCCUCCGGCAAAAUCGAUCUACCGAAGGGAAGAUGUGCUCCUGCCCAAAUUCCACUUUGAGACGGUGGCACUUCCUCCCGAAAGUCCUCUCUCGAUUUUUUACAGCUCAAAAGAGAGUAUAUACAAGAAGAUUGUCGCUAGAGGUGGGCUGGGUAGCCCACUAGCCACCAGGCCAUGCUAGGGGGGUUGGGGCGCCCUGGUGCCUAGGGUGCACCUGGCAGCCCCCUCGAGUACUUGUUUCCUCCAAUAUUUCUUAUAUAUUCCAUAAAAAAUCAUCAUGAAGUUUCAGCCCAUUUGGAGAUAUGCACAAUAGGUAUCUCUGACGUAGCUUUUUCAGGUCCAGAAUUCCAUUUGUGGACAUUCUCCCUCUAGGUGUAAACCUUGCAUAUUAUGAGAGAAAAGAUAUUAGAAUUACUCCAUAAAGUGGUUAUGCAUGAAAACACUAUAAAUAACAGUAACAAAACAUGAUGCAAAAUGGACGUAUCAACUCCCCAAAGCUUAGACCUUGCUUGUCCUCAAGCGAAAGCCGAUAACGAAAAUCAUGACCACAUGCUUUCAGAGAGAGGUAUCGAUUGACGGGGUUGUACAUUAGGGGUAGUCCUACGAAUCUGCAUUCCUAGGCCUCCCUAAGACCCGACAUGGACAUCAGCAUCCCAAAAGCCACCGGUGGGGUCACGAGCUCACUCGGGUGAGUAUAUCUUCACUCAUCCAGCACAAGGUCACUCGGAUCGUCUCGUGUCAGUCGGGUGUACCCAGACACUAGACCGCUGUAAGGCGUGGGCAACGAAGGGACUGCAACGGCUACAGACUUAAACUAUGACAUGAAGUGCAGUGAAGACAUGUGUUACUAGUAGGGUUGGAGUUAGAGUUGCCAUUACUAGUAACUUCUAUAGUUAUUAACAUUAACUCGCCCUUGUAAUGAGGUUUGGCCGGUCGUGGUGCACUCUAUAUAAGCCACACUUGAUCUCAUGACCAAGGUUUCAACAUAUGGUCUGAUCAUACACCCCACACGCAAACAUCAGCCUCAGGGCUCGAGACGUAAAGGUUGUUACCACUCCCGAGUGGGGCCCGAACUUGUACUUCCGAAUGUAUCCACUACGCCCUAGCUAGGCUCCGCGCACCCUUUUGUAUCAAGGGAAAAUCCUGGAUAAAGUAUUAUAGGAGGUAAAACGCUCCCCAGGACACAUGGGAAUUUCGGUCAAGCUAGUUUUCAUCAUGUUCAUAUGCUUCGCGUUCGUUAUUUUGAUAGUUUGAUAUGUGCGUGGACCGGCCCUUGGGUACUGCCCUUACUUGAAAAAGCAUCCCACUUAUGAUUAACCCCUCUCGCGAGCAUCCGCCACUACGAAAGAAGAAUUAACACAAAGUCUAACCACAACAUUAAACUAGUGGAUCCAAAUCAGCACCUUACGAAGCAACGCAUAAACUAGGGUUUAAGCUUCUGUCACUCUAGCAACCCAUCAUCUACUUACUAGUUCCCAAUGCCUUACUCUAGGCCCAAAUAAUGUUGAUGUGUUAUGUAGUCGACGUUCACAUAACACCACUAGAGGAAAAACAACAUACAACACAUCAAAUUACAGAACGAAUACCAAAUUCACACGACUACUUAUAGCAUGACUUAUCCCAUGUCCUCAAGAACAAAAGUAACUACUCACAAAGCAUAAUCAUAUUCAUGACCAGAUAGGUAAUGAGUAGCAUCAAAGAUAUGAACACAAACUCUUCCACCAAGUAACCCAACUAGCAUCAACUACAGAGAGUAAUUAACACUACUAGCAACCUUACAAGUACCAAUCGGAGUCGCGAGAUGGAUAUUGGUUACAAGAGAUGAACUAGGGUUUGGAGAUGAGAUGGUGCUGAUGAAGAUGUUGAUGGUGACGAGUCCCCUCCGAUGAGAGGAGUGCUGGUGAUGACGAUGGCGACGAUUUCCCCCUCCGGGAGGGAAGUUUCCCCGGCAGGAUCGUCCUGCGGGAGCUCUAGAUUGGUUAUGCUCAAGUUCCGCCUGGUAGCAGCGGUGAAUCCUCCGAAAAGCCUCCUCCUGAUUUUUUUUAGACCGAAACCCUUCUUGUAGCAAAAGGGGGAAGCCAGAGGGCCAAGUGGGAGCCCACAAGCCCCCUAGGCGUGGCUAGGGGGGAGGCCGCGCCUAGCAGGCUUGUGGCCUCCUGCUGGCACUCCUCUCAUACUUCUUCGGCCCAGUAUUUGUUAUAAAUCCCAAAAACAAUCCACGUUGAUUUUCACGGCUUUUGGAGUUGCGAAGAAUAAACAUCUGAAACUUGCUCCUUUUUCAGGCCAGAAUUCGAGCUGUCGGCAUUCUCCCUCUUCAUGUAACCCUUGCAAAAUAAGAGAGAAAAGGCGUAAGUAUUGUACCGUGAAGUGUAUAACAGGCCAAAAAGCGAUAAAUAUCAGCAUGAAAGCAUGAUGCAAAAUGGACGUAUCAACUCCCCCAAGCUUAGACCUCGCUUGUCCUCAAGCGAAAGCCGAGAUCAAUAAAUAUGUCCACAUGUUUAGAGAGAGAGGUGUCAACAAAACAAGAUACGAACAUGCAGGCAUCAUGAUCAUGAUCAGAACAACAAUACGAUCAUAUCAACUCUUAUGCUAAAGUGACAAUUCCUUCACAAAGUAAAGCAUGGAUCAAGAACCUUACCGAGAAUUAACAACCGAUAGCCUUUAGUCAUUAGAGCAAUUGCAUUUAUCACAACAUCGGAAACAGCAAAAUAAGAGCAUGUAAAGCAAAUCCACAUACUCAAUCAUCUUUUCGUUCUCUACAAUUGCUACAACUCACGUGGUACUCAUGAGAUCAAAGUUUCAGUUGGACACAGAGAAAGAGAGGGGCUUAUAGUUUCGCCUCCCAACCAUUUACCUCAAGGGUAANNNNNNNNNNNNNNNNNNNNNNNNNNNNNNNNNNNNNNNNNNNNNNNNNNNNNNNNNNNNNNNNNNNNNNNNNNNNNNNNNNNNNNNNNNNNNNNNNNNNNNNNNNNNNNNNNNNNNNNNNNNNNNNNNNNNNNNNNNNNNNNNNNNNNNNNNNNNNNNNNNNNNNNNNNNNNNNNNNNNNNNNNNNNNNNNNNNNNNNNNNNNNNNNNNNNNNNNNNNNNNNNNNNNNNNNNNNNNNNNNNNNNNNNNNNNNNNNNNNNNNNNNNNNNNNNNNNNNNNUUGAUGACCCACAAGUAUAGGGGAUCAAUCGUAGUCCUUUCGAUAAGUAAGAGUGUCGAACCCAACAAGGAGCAGAAGGCUCUGAUAAACGGAUUUCAGCAAGGUAAUAGCUGCAAGCACUGAAAGUACUGGUAACAAGUGAUUGUGUAGCGAGGUGAAACGUAGCAAGCAAAGAGUAACAAGUAACAAGUAGUAGCAAUGGUGCAGCAAGUGGCCCAAUCCCUUUUGUAGCAAGGGACAAGCCUGAAAAAAGUCUUAUAGGAGGAAAAACGCUCCCGAGGACACACGGGAAUUUCUGUCAUGCUAGUUUCAUCAUGUUCAUAUGAUCCGCGCUCGUUACAUUGAUAGUUUGAUAUGUGGGUGGACCGGCACUUGGGUACUGCCCUUACUUGGACAAGCAUCCCACUUAUGAUUAACCUCUCUCGCAAGCAUCCACAACUAAAAAGAAGAAUUAAGACAAAGUCUAACCAUAGCAUUAAACUAGUGGAUCCAAAUCAGCCCCUCACGAAGCAACGCAUAGACUGGGGUUUAAGCUUCUGUCACUCCAGCAACCCAUCAUCUACUUACUACUUACCAAUGCCUUCCACUAGGCCCAAAUAUGGUGAAGUGUUAUGUAGUCGACGUUCACAUAACACCACUAGAGGAAAAACAACAUACAACAUAUCAAAAUACCGAACGAAUAUCAAAUUCACCUGACUAUUAUCAGCAUGACUUAUCCCAUGUCCUCAGGAACAAAAGUAACUACUCACAAAACAUAAUAAUAAUCAUGAUCAUAGGUGUAAUGAAUAGCAACAAGGAUCUGAACAUAAACUCUUCCGCCAAGUAAUCCAACUAGCAUCAACUACAAAGAGUAAUCAACACUACUAGCAACCUUACAAGUACCAAUCGGAGUUGCGAGACGAAGAUUGGUUACAAGAGAUGAACUAGGGAUUGGAAAGGAGAUGGUGCUGAUGAAGAUGUUGAUGAAGAUGCCUCCCCUCCGACUAGAGGAGUGUUGGUGAUGACGAUGGCAACGAUUCCCCCCUCCGGGAGGGAAAUUUCCCCGCAGGAUCGUCCUGCCGAAGCUCUAGAUUGGAUCUGCUCAAGUUCCGCCUCGUGGCGGCUGCGAAACCAAGAAAAAGUUCCCUCUUGAUUUUUUCCAAACCAGGACGCUUCAUAUAGAAAAAGAGGGGGCUAGUGGGCCUUCAGGCAGCCUACAAGACUGCCCUGCGCCACCAGGGGGUGUGGUGGCGGUGGGUAAGCUUGUGGGGCCCUGGUGGCCCCCCUCUGGUAGUUCUUUCACCCAGUAUUUUUAAUAUAUUCCAGAAAAAAUCCACGUAAAUUUUCAGGGCAUUUGGAGAUGUGCAGAAUAGUGGACUAGGAUUUGCUCCUUUUCCAGUCCAGAAUUCCAGCUGCCUGAAUUCUCCCUCUUCAAAUAAUCCUUGCAAAAUAAGAGAGAAAAGGCAUAAAUAUGGUACCACAAGUAAUAUAACAGCCCAAAAAGCAACAAAUAUCAACAUGAAAGCAUGAUGCAAAAUGGACGUAUCAACUCCCCCAAGCUUAGACCUCGCUUGUCCUCAAGCGAAAACCAAGUUCCAUAAACAUGUCCACAUGUUGAGGGACGAAGGUGUCGAUAAAACAUAAUACGGACAUGAGGGCAUCAUGAUCACACAUAGGACAGCAAUAUAUCAUAAAGAUUCUUCUGGGAACGUAACAAUUCCUUCACAAAGCAAAGCAUGAAGCAAAAACCUUACCGAGAAGUAACCAACAAUAAUCCAUAGUCAUUGAAGCAAUUGCAAUUUAUCACAACAUCAGAAAGAGUCAAAUAAGAGCUUGUAAGGAAAACCCACAUACUCAAUCAUCUCUUUUGUUUUCCACAAUUGUUACAACUCACGUGGUACUCAUGGUGUCAAAGUUUCAGCUGGACACAGAGGAAGAUAGGGGCUUAUAGUAUUGCCUCCCAACCAUUUACCUCAAGGGUAAAGUCAACAACAAUAAAGCAUGAGUACUCAACUCCAAGUUGAUAUAUGAAUAUAGAUCUUUCCCAAGUAUGUGACGGUAGCCAAGACAAAGUGAAAAAAGGGAAUUGGUGAUGAUCACCAUGACUCUUACAAGGGCAAAAGUAAAGGUACAAGAUAGGCCCUUCGCAGAGGGAAGCAGAGGUUGUCAUGCGCUUUUGAGGUUUGAAUGUGUGUCCUCUUAGUGCGGAGGAACGUCACUUUAUAUUGCCUCCUGUGACAAAGAACUUUAUUAUGCAGUCUAUCGCUUUUAUGUCUUCCUCAUCACAGGUUCGAACAAAGCUUAUUUUCCACACACUAAUAGAUCAUACAUAUUGGAGAGCAAUUUUUAGUGCUUGCACCAAUGACAACUUACUUGAAGGGUCUUAUUCAAUCCAUAGGUAGGUAUGGUGGACUCUCAUGGCAAAACUGGGUUGGAGGUUUAUGGAUGCGCAAGUAUUAUCUCUACUUGGUGCGGGAGUUUUGGAUAAUAUGAGGUGGAAGCAAUCGUGACAUGCUAAGGGAUCUCUAAUCAUAUAAAAUUGUUUGGAACCAAGCAAACACAAUUCAUUAUGUUGUCUUCCUUGUCCAACAUCUACUCCUAGGCAUGUAAUAGUUUGGUGAGUGCUCACAAUUGUAAAAAGUGUCUAAGAUGAUAUAUUUAUAUGUGAACCUCUCUUUCCUUAUUACAUCUUAUUAAUUGCAACAAUGACUAAGGUCUAUGUUGAUUUAUUCUCAACAAGUUUCAAUCAUCAUACAUGCCAUAAGUGAAGUUAUCACUUUCCAUAAGAUCGUCUCAUGAUCUUUCAUGCUAUCGUUCUUUUCAUAAUUUUGAUCAUGGCACAAAGCAAAGCCCUUAACUAAUACACUCUUUAUUAUAUAGCUCGUAAGUUCGAAUACAUCGGGGGAGAGACAAAAGCAAAAGACUCAAACUAAAAACUAAAGACUUAUUCCUCUAAAAGAAGAAAUAAAAACUAAAAAGGAAAGAACUAAAACAAAGGUAAAAGCCAAAGAUAUAAAGGUGACACGAUACCAGGUCAACUCCCCCAAGCUUGGUAGAAGCCAAGGGGAUUGCCCAUACCAAUGCUUAGUUGUCUUCCUUUGGUGGUGAUGGUGGUGUUGUUGGAGUAGUCUGAUCCUCUGUCUUCCAAGGCAUAGGUGCUCCAUCAUGGCAGGAUGAACGAGUCGCCGGAAUCCUCAAAUCUGCAGCCAACCUUAUUGAUUUAAAUCUGUACUCAUACUCACAGUUUUGAUUUUGCGGGUCAUAGAUCUGGCCCUGAAGUUGGUCAACCCUAUCGUAGAGCCUGGAGAGGUGUUUCCCAAUAUCAAUGGCGUCCAUCUUGUGAUUGGUAGUGAACUCCAUGGUCAUUGUGUGGUUGGCGUUGAGUCCACGCUCCACCAUCCCUUAGCAUUUGAAGACUUGUUGCUCCAUUGCUUCGAGCCUCGUCUCCACGCUUCUGGUCUUCUUAGGCCCCUCAAUAUCAUGGAUGUGCAACAUCCCCUCUCUCAUCUUGAUAGAUUGAGGGUGUUUCAACACUUCCGUCAGGUAGGGAUUGAUGACCUUCUUGAAGAUCUUGUCCUUAGGAGCGUUUGGGGAAGCCAUGAUGAUCUAGAUUUGCGGCAGAAACAAGCUCGAAAUGAAAACAGAGGAAAACUGCGCGAUACGGAGAUCGAAACCUUCGGGCAACUAUACAUUGAUUUUUUUCUGGGCCAGAAGAAGUCCUCCGCAAUUAAACGGAGUCCGGGAGGCACACGAGGUGCCCACAAGCUUGCCCACCGCCACCAAGGGGUGGUGGCUGAGUGGGCCCUUGUGGCUGCCUCGUUCGCUCUCCGGACUGCUUUUUAUUUUUCUAAUUUUCCAAAAAUUCCGAAACGGAAGAAAUUUCUUAUUGGAAAAGUAUCAGAGUCCAACUUCUUACCGAAACAGAUACAUCUUCGUUUUCAAGGUCUGAAACAGGCUGAUAAACAUCCCUUAUGUACUCCUCUGGAGUUAUGACAUUGAUGAUAUUGGUCUCAACAUUUAUGGGAGUACCAGAGAUGUAAUGCUUGAUUCUUUGCCCAUUUACCACUCUAGGAAAAUUUCCUUCCGUGUUAUUGAUUUUGAUGGCACCGGAACGAUAUACUUCCUCGACAACAUAGGGACCUUCCCAUUUAGAGAGAAGCUUGCCUGCAAGGAAUCUCAAACGAGAAUUGUAUAGCAAGACAUAAUCACCUACAUUGAACUCUCGUUUCUGUAUUCGUUUGUCGUGCCAUCUCUUAACUUUUUCCUUGAACAACCUCGCAUUCUCAUAUGCCUGGGCUCUCCAUUCAUCUAACGAGCUGAUAUCAAACAACCGCUUCUCACUUGCAAGUUUGAAAUCAAAGUUGAGCUCUUUGAUUGCCUAAUAAGCUUUGUGUUCCAGCUCAAGAGGUAAAUGACAGGCCUUACCGUAAACCAUUUUAUACGGUGACAUGCCCAUGGGAUUCUUAUAAGCAGUCCUAUAAGCCCAUAGUGCAUCGUCAAGUUUGCUAGACCAAUUCUUUCGAGAUAUAUUGACGGUCUUUUGUAGGAUCAACUUGAUCUCCCUAUUACUCAAAUCCACUUGACCACUAGACUGAGGAUGAUAAGGAGAUGCAACUCUAUGGUUGACAUCAUACUUAGCUAGCAUCUUGCGGAAAACACCAUGAAUGAAGUGUGAACCGCCAUCAGUCAUCAAGUAUCUAGGGACUCCAAAUCUUGGGAAUAUGACUUCUUUAAGCAUCUUAAUAGAGGUGUGGUGAUCAGCAUUUUUAGUGGGAAUAGCAUCUACCCACUUAGUAACGUAAUCCACAGCAACUAAGAUGUGAGUAUACCCAUUGGAACUUGGGAAGGGUCCCAUAUAAUCAAAGCCCCAGACAUCAAAUGGUUCAAUGACAAGUGAAUAGUUCAUAGGCAUCUCUUGACGCUUAAUGAUGUUCCCUAUUCUUUGGCAUUCGUCACAAGACAAGACAAACUUACGAGCAUCCUUGAAGAGAGUGGGCCAAUAAAACCUGAUUGCAAUACCUUAUGGGCAGUUCUAUCUCCAGCAUGGUGUCCUCCAUAGGCUUCGGAAUGACACUUCUGCAAGAUCUGUCCCUGUUCAUGUUCAGGCACACAACGUCUAAUAACACCAUCUACUCCUUCCUUAUAAAGGUGAGGAUCAUCCCAAAAGUAGUGUCUCAAAUCAAAGAAGAAUUUCUUCUUUUGAUUGUAGGUGAAACUGGGUGGUAUGUAUUUGGCUACGAUAUAGUUUGCAUAAUCGGCAUACCACGGUGCACUACGUGAAGUGCAGAUGACAUUAAUUUGCUCAUCAGGAAAGUUGUCAUGAAUAGGUAGUGGGUCAUCAAGGACAUUCUCUAGCCUAGACAAGUUAUGUGCUACAGGGUUAUCAACACCCUUUCGGUCAACGUCUUUCUUCUCCAUGAGGUACUUAAUAGCAGCAUGAUCAGAGUGAAUAGUGACUUUGGAGUCAACUAUGUAAGAUCUGAACUUUUCACAUGCAAACACGACUGCUAAAAAUUCCUUCUCCGUAGUGGCAUAGUUUCUUUGGGCACUGUCUAGAGUUUUACUAGCAUAGUGAAUGACAUUCAACUUCUUGUCAACUGUUUGUCCUAGAACAUUACCAACAGCAUAAUCACUAGCAUCACACAUGAUGUCAAAGGGCAAGUUCCAGUCAGGUAGUUGAACAAUAGGUGCGGUUAUCAAAGCCUUCUUAAGUAUUUCGAAAGCUUCCUCACAAUCCUCAUCAAAAACAAAAGGAACAUCCUUCUGCAAGACGUUGGUAAGAGGCCUAGAAAUCUUAGAGAAGUCUUUAAUGAACCUUCUAUAGAAACCAGCAUGACCUAAGAAACUUCGUAUACCUGUGAUAUCUGUGGGGCAAGGCAUUUUCUCAAUUGCCUCAACCUUAGCCUUAUCAACUUCAAUGCCUCUCUCAGAAUUUUUGUGUCCUAAGACGAUACCUUCAUUAACCAUAAAGUGGCACUUCUCCCAAUUCAAGACGAGGUUGGUUUCUUCGCAUCUUUGUAAGACUCGAUCAAGAUUGUUGAGGCAAUCAUCAAAGGAAGACCCAUAAACGGAGAAGUCAUCCAUGAAAACCUCGACGAUCUUUUCACAAAAGUCAGAGAAUAUAGCCAUCAUACAUCUUUGGAAGGUGGCAGGUGCAUUACAUAAGCCAAAAGGCAUACGUCCAUAAACAAAGGUACCGAAGGGGCAGGUGAAAGUCGUUUUCUCCUGAUCAGAUUGUGCAACAGGUAUCUACGAGAAACCUGAAUAACCGUCUAGAAAGCAGAAGUGUGUGUGCUUUGAUAGCCUUUCUAGCAUUUGGUCAAUGAACGACACAGGAUAAUGAUCUUUCCUAGUUUCCUUGUUCAGUUUCUGGAAGACUAUCACCAUCCUAUAGCCGUUAAUAAUCCUUUGUGGGAUUAGUUCAUCCUUAUCAUUAGGAACGACGGUGAUACCUCCCUUCUUAGGUACACAAUGUACUGGACUUACCCAAUCACUAUGGGCAACAAGAUAAAUGAUUCCUGCUUCCUGAAGCUUUCAUAUUUCUUUUCUAAUGACCUCUUUCAUAUUGGGCUUCAAUCUCGUUUGAUGAUCAGCAACUGGUUUGAAGUCAGGAUCGGUUUUAAUCUUGUGCUGAUAUAGAGUGGGACUAAUACCCUUAAGAUCAUCGAGAGUAUAUCCAAUAGCAGCAUGGUGCUUCCUCAGAGUUUUUAGUAACUUCUUCUCUUCGCGCUCUGAGAGGAGAGCACUAAUAAUGACAGGAUAUAUCUCCUUCUCAUCAAGAUAGGCAUACUUAAGAGUAUCAGGCAACUAUUUAAGCUCGAACACAGGAUCACCCUUUGGUGGGGGAGGACCCCAAGCAGUUCAACAGGCAGAUUAUUCUUGAAAAUACGAUAUUGUUCUAAGACAAUUUUAUCUAUCUCAUCUCUCUCCUCCAUGUGCAUAUCAUUUUCAUGCUCAAGAAGAUAUUGCUCUAAAGGAUCCGUAGGAGGUACGGCAAUAGAGGCAAGAGCAAUGAUUUCAUCCCUACCAGACGAAUCUCUUUCAUGGGGUUGUCUUCCAAACUUGGAGAAGUUAAAUUCAUGAGACACACCCUUGAAACUUAUUGUGACAGUCUGCUUAAUGCAAUCAAUGUGAGCAUUGACAGUGUUGAGAAAGGGUCUACCGAAUAUGAUGGGACAAAAGCUAUCUUGUGAAGUACCAAGGACGAGGAAAUCAGUAGGAUACUUCGUCUUACCACAAAGGACUUCUACGUCUCUCACAAUUCCCAGAGGGCAGAUAGUGUCUCUAUUAGCUAGCGUAAUAGUGACAUCAAUGGGUUCUAACUCAGCAGGUGCAAUCUCAUCUUUGAUUUCAUCAUAUAGAGAACGGGGUAUUGCACUAACACUAGCUCCUAUAUCACAUAAACAAUGGUAAGAGUGAUCUCCUAUCUUAACAGAAACAACGGGCAGGCCAACUACAGGUCCGCGUUUGUCUUUCCCGUGAGGUUUAGCAAUUCUAGCGGAGUCCUCACAGAAUUUGAUAACAUGCCCGUCUAUGUCUUCGGCUAUGAGAUCUUUGAUAAUAGCAACACUAGGUUCAACUCUAAUCUCCUCAGGGGGUGCAAGUGGUCUAAUGUAACCACUACGUAUCACAGUUGGAGCUUUAGAAUAAUCCUUUAUCCUAGCAGGGUAUGGUGGUUUCUCAGUGUAAGCACAAGGAACAACAGGAUCACUAAAAGCUAUGAUUUUCUCCUCAACUAGAUUGGUUUUGGCUAUGUUGCUUUCUACAGGAGGAUGAUAUUUAAACCACUUCUCUUUGGGAAGAUCAACAUGAGCAGCAAAAGAUUCACAUAGUGAAGCUACUAUCUCAGAGUCAAGUCCAUACUUAGUGCUAAAAUCUCUAGAAGUGUUUGUCUCAACAAAAGAUUUAACGUUAUCAAACUGGAAAUUCAUACCUGGCUCCUUACCUUCCUCCAGCUCCCAAUCUUCAGAGUUGCGUUUGAUUCUCUAAAAAUAAAUUCCAUUUGUGAUCAAUAUCCUUCUUCAUAAAAGAACCGGCACAAGAAGUGUCAAGCAUGGUACGAUCUUCACGAGAAAGCCGACCAUAAAUGUUUUGAGUGAUGAUUUCUCUCGAGAGCUCAUGAUUGGGGCAUGAAUAUAGCAUUGAUUUAAGCCUCCCCCAAGUUUGAGCUAUGGUUUCCCUGUCACGAAGCCAAAAGUUAUAAAUAAAGUUCUGAUCCCGAUGUACUAAAUGCAUAGGAUAGAUCUUUUGAUGAAAUUCCAAUUUCAAUCGAUUGUAGCCCCAUGAUCCAGUAUCAUCACAUAGCCUAUACCAUGUCAACACCUUAUCCAUCAAACAUAAAGGAAAUACUUUUUUAUUUACCUCAUCCUCGGGCAAACCUGCAAGCUUAAAUAAACCACAAACUUCAUCUACAUAGAUUAGAUGCAAGUCUGGAUGUGAAGAUCCAUCUCCUGUGAAAGGACUAGCCAGCAGUUUCUCAAGCAUACCCGAAUGAAUUUCAUAAAAGAUAUUUUCAGUAGGUACCUCAGGUUGAGGAGAAACUCCGCGUGCUUCCAUUCGUGGUGAAGAUACCCCGAACAAAUUCCUGAAAGGAACAUUUUCCAUAGUGACAAGUGAUAAUAAAUUUUAGCACAAUAUAAAAAUGUUUCCUUACCAAUUUCCACUUACCAAAGGCACAUCACUCCCCGGCAACGACGCCAGAAAAGAGUCUUGAUGACCCACAAGUAUAGGGUAUCAAUCGUAGUCGUUUAGAUAAGUAAGAGUGUCGAACCCAAAGAGGAGCAGAAGGCUCUAAUAAACGGAUUUCAGCAAGGUAAUAACUGCAAACACUGAAAGUAGUGGUAACAAGUGAUUGUGUAGCGAGGUGAAACGUAGCAAGCAAAGAGUAACAAGUAACAAGUUGUAACAACGGUGCAGCAAGUGGCCCAAUCCCUUUUAUAUCAAGGGACAAGCCUGAACAAAGUCUUAUAGGAGGAAAAACGCUCAAGAGGACACACGGGAAUUUCUCUCAUGCUAGUUUCAUCAUGUUCAUAUGAUUCGCGCUCGUUACUUUGAUAGUUUGAUAUGUGGGUGGACCGGCGCUUGGGUACUGCCCUUACUUGGACAAGCAUCCCACUUAUGAUUAACCUCUCUCGCAAGCAUCGGCAACUACAAAACAAGAAUUAAGACAAAGUCUAACCAUAGCAUUAAACUAGUGGAUCCAAAUCAGCCCCUCACGAAGCAACGCAUAGACUCGGGUUUAAGCUUCUGUCACUCCAGCAACCCAUCAUCUACUUACUACUUACCAAUGCCUUCCUCUAGGCCCAAAUAUGGUGAAGUGUUAUGUAGUCGACAUUCACAUAACACCAUUAGAGGAAAAACAACAUACAAAAUAUCAAAAUACCGAACGAAUAUAAAAUUCACAUGACUAUUAUCAGCAUGACUUAACCCAUGUCCUCAGGAACAAAAGUAACUACUCACAAAACAUAAUCAUAAUCAUGAUCAGAGGUGUAAUGAAUAGCAUCAAGGAUCUGAACAUAAACUCUUCCGCCAAAUAAUCCAACUAGCAUCAACUACAAAGAGUAAUCAACACUACUAGCAACCUUACAAGUACCAAUCGGAGUUGCGAGACGAAGAUUGGUUACAAGAGAUGAACUAGGGAUUCGAGAGGAGAUGGUGCUGAUGAAGAUGUUGAUGAAGAUGACUCCCCUCCGACGAGAGGAGUGUUGGUGAUGAUGAUGGCGACGAUUCCCCCCUCUGCGAGGGAAAUUUCCCCGGCAGGAUCGUCUUGCCGGCGCUCUAGAUUGGAUCUGCUCAAGUUCCACCUCGUGGCGGCGGAGAAACCACAGAAAAGCUCCCUCUUGAUUUUUUCUAGACCAGGACGCUUCAUAUAGAAAAAGAUGGGGUCUAGUGGGCCUUCAGGCAGCCCACAAGCCUGCCCUGCGCAACUAGGGGGAUGGUGGCGGUGGGCAAGCUUGUGGGGCCCUAGUGGCCCCCCUUCGGUAGUUCUUUCGCCCUGUAUUUUUAAUAUAUUCCAGAAAAAAUCCACGUAAAUUUUUAGGGCAUUUGGAGAUGUGCAGAAUAGUGGACUAGGAUUGGCUCCUUUUCCAGUCCAGAAUUCCAGCUGCCUGAAUUCACCCUCUUCAAAUAAUCCUUGCAAAAUAAGAGAGAAAAGGCAUAAAUAUGGUACCACAAGUAAUAUAACAGCCCAAAAAGCAACAAGUAUCAACAUGAAAGCAUGAUGCAAAAUGGACGUAUCAAAGAUCACCAUGACUCUUUCAGGGGCAAAAAGUAAAGGUACAAGAUAGGCCCUUCGUAGAGGGAAGCAGAGGUUGUCAUGCGCUUUUGAGGUUUCGAUGUGUGUCCUCUUAGUGUGAAGGAACGUCACUUUAUAUUGCCUCCUGUGAUAAAGAACUUUAUUAUGCAGUUUGUCACUUUAAUGUCUUCCUCAUCACAGGUUCGUACAAAGUUUAUUUUCCACACACUAAUAGAUCAUACAUAUUAGGGAGGAAUUUUUAUUGCUUGCACCGAUGACAACUUACUUGAGGGAUCUUAUUCAAUCCAUACGUAGGUAUGGUGGACUCUCAUGGAAAAACUGGGUUGAAGGUUUUUGGAUGCACAAGUAGUAUCUCUACAUGGUGCGGGAGUUUUGGCUAAUAUGAGGUGGAAGCAAUCGUCACGUGCUAACGGAUCUCUAGUCAUAUAACAUUGUUCGGAAGCAAGCAAACACAAUUCAUUAUGUUGUCUUCCUUGUCCAACAUCUACUUCUACGCAUGUAAUAGUUUAGUGAGUGUUCACAAUCAUAGAUGGUGUCAAAGAAGAUAUAUUUAUAUGUGAACCUCUCCUUCUUUAUCAUUUAAUAGUAAUUGCAACAAUGACCAAGGUCUACGUUUGUCUAUCCUCAACAAGUUUCAAUCAUCAUUCUUUUUAUAUGUGAAGCCAUCACUUCCCAUAAGAUCAUUGCAUGAUCUUUUCAUGCUUUUGUUCUUUUCUCAUUCUUUUGAUCAUGGCAUGAGGCAAGGCCCUUAACUAAGACAGUCUUUAUUAUAUGGCUCGCGAGCUCGAAUACAUCGGGGGUGAUACAAAGCAAAAUCGAGCCAAAAACACAAAGACCUUUAAUUAACUAGAGAAAGAGAAAACUGAAAAGGAACAAACUAAAACAAAAAAUAAAGGCAAAAUAUGUGAUGGUGAUACGAUACCGGGGCAACUCCCCCAAGCUUGGCACAAGCCAAGGGGAUUGCCCAUACCCAUGCUUAGUUGUCUUCGUUUGGAGGUGAAGGUGCUGGAGUUGUUGCAGAGGUCUUGAACUUGUUUAAUAUCCACCUGAGCAUAAAAUUAUGCUCCCUCAGAUCAUCAUUUUCCUCUUCAAGCCUCAACACCCUUUGGCAUAAUUCUUGCUUACUCUCCUGCAAGAAACGAUAAGGGAUAAACAAAGUCUUAGGCUUCUUCCUUGAGUCACGGAGGCUCGAAUUCUUGAACUCCACAUGUGUGUGUCCAAGUAGAGGUAGAUGAGCCUCCUCCUCAUCGGAACCUUUUUGUUCCUUCCCCUUGGGAUCAUAAUGUUCUUCCUCAUCAGUGGUCCAACCAUAAGGAUCCAAGUCCCCAUAGACCUUGGGGUUAGCAAGGUAAUCGGCCACAUAGCUCUCCCCCUCUGAAUCUUGAGAAGACAUCUUGCCCUAAAUCUACGGCAGAAAACAGGCUCGAAAUGAAAACAGAGGAAAUUUGCGUGAGACCAUACGGGAGAAUAUAUAAUGAUUUUUUUCCGACCAGAAGGAGUACUCCGCAAGAAAAAGGAGUUCGGGGGGCACACGAGGUGGCCACAAGCCCCCCAGGCGUGGCCAGGGGGCUGGCCCGCGCCUGGCAGGCUAGUCGCCUCCUCGUGCGCUUUCCGGACUACUUCAAAUUUUUCUAUUUUUUUGAAAAAUUCCAAAACGGAGGAAAAAUCCUACUGGAAAAGUUUUGGAGUCUGUUUACUUACCGAAUCACAUACCUCUUCGUUUUCGGAGUCUAAAACUGGCUGAUAAAUAUCCCUUAGUUACUCCUCCGGAGUUAUGGUAUUGAUAAUAUUGCUUUCAACAUUUGUGGGAGUACCUAAGAUAUAAUGCUUGAUUCUAUGCCCAUUUACAACUCUCGGACAAUUACCUUCCGUGUUGUUGAUCUUGAUAGCACCGGAACGAUAUACCUCCUGAACAAUAUAGGGACCUUCCCAUUUAGAGAGAAGCUUGCCUGCAAAAACUCUUAAACGAGAAUUAUAUAGCAAGACAAAAUCACCUACAUUGUACUCACGCUUUUGUAUACUUUUAUCAUGCCAGCUCUUAACCUUUUCUUUGAACAACUUGGCAUUCCCAUAUGCCUGAGUUCGCCAUUCAUCAAGUGAGCUAAUAUCAAAUAACCUCUUCUCUCCAGAAAGUUUGAAAUCAAAGUUGAGCUCUUUGAUUGCCCAAUAAGCCUUAUGCUCUAGCUCAAGAGGUAAAUGACAUGCUUUACCGUACACCAUUUUGGGCGGAGAUAUGCCCAUGGGAUUCUUAUAGGCAGUUCUAUAAGCCCACACUGCAUCAUCGAGCUUCUUAGACUAAUUCUUUCUAGAACUAUUGACAGUCUUUUGCAGAAUUCGUUUAAUCUCUCUAUUGUUUAGCUCUACUUGACCACUGGACUGAGGGUGAUAGGGAGACACAAUUAUAUGGUUGACCUCGUACUUAGCAAGUGUUUUACGGAAAGCACCAUGAAUGAAAUGUGAACCACCGUCAGUCAUUAUAUAUCUAGGGACUCCAAAUCUAGGGAAAAUAAUUUCUUUAAACAUCCUGAUAGAGGUGUUGUGAUCAGCACUACUAGUUGGGAUAGCUUCUACCCACUUAGUGACGUAAUCAACACCAACUAGGAUAUGAGUAUACCCAUUGUAUUUUGCAAAAGGUCCCAUAUAAUCAAAGCCCCAAACAUCAAAUGGUUCAAUGACAAGUGAAUAGUUCAUAUGAAUUUCCUGACGUUUACCGAAAUUACCUAUUCUUUGACAUUCGUCACAAGACAAGACAAAUUUACGGGCAUCCUUGAAGAGAGUGGCCAAUAGAGACCUAAUUGCAAUACCUUGUGUGCAGUUAUAUCUCCCGCAUGGUGUCCUCCGUAGGCCUCGGAGUGACACUUCUGUAGGAUCUGUCCCUGUUCAUGUUCAGGUACACAACGUCUAAUAACACCAUCUACUCCUUCCUUAUAAAGGUGAGGAUCAUCCCGGAAGUAAUGUCUCAAGUCAAAGAAGAAUUUCUUCUUUUGCUGGUAUGUGAAACUAGGUGGUAUAUAUUUGGCAACGAUAUAAUUUGCAUAAUCAACGUACCAGGGUGCACUAUGUGAAGUAUUGAUGACUUUCAAUUGCUCAUCAAGAAAGCUAUCAUCAAUAGGUUGUGGGUCAUCAAGAACAUUCUCCAACCUAGACAAGUUAUCUUCUACUGGGUUAUCAGCACCCUUUCUGUCGACAACAUGCAAAUCAAAUUCUUGUAGCAAGAGAACCCAUCUGAUAAGUCUAGGUUUAGCGUCCUUCUUCUCCAUGAGGUACUUAAUAGCAGCGUGAUCAGUGUGAAUAGUGACUUUGGAAUCAACUAUGUAAGACCUGAACUUUUCACAUGCAAACACGACUGCUAAAAAUUCCUUUUCUGUAGUAGCAUAGUUUGUUUAGGCACUGUCUAGAGUUUUACUAGCAUAGUGAAUAACAUUCAACUUCUUAUCAACUCUUUGCCCUAGAACAGCACCGACAACAUAAUCACUAGUGAAAGUGCAGUCAUGCCCUUAAUCGUGUUUUGGUGUUGCUGACAACACACAUAUAGAUAACUAAUCACUAAUCCCAUUGAAGCUAUUGUGAAUGAUCAUGUGUUGAUAAGGACAAGCUCAUGUGCUAACAAGGACACGAUCAAGAUAAGCAUUCCUGAGCACUACAUGCUUGAUUCUUGUGGAUGUUCACAUGGUGGACAAAUGAAGAUGAAUACAUAAGCUAGGGUUUCCACAUUGUGUAUGAGAGAGUUACUUGAAGACUUCAUCAUGUCUUGCUUUCAACUUGAGCCAAGAAGGAACAACAACAUCAAGCCCAAGUGAAAGGCCUAACUCAAAGGCAUCAAUCCCUUUGACAUUAGUGGUGCGGAGUGAUGAUCAGCAAAUAAAAGUAUACACUCAAGUAUAGAUCAUCGGUACCCCUUUUAUAAUUCUUGAGUCUUUAGGGAUCCCGCACUAUUAAGAGGGGAUCACAGGUUCUGUGAUGAACUUUCUCAAAAUAGAUAUCCACUGUUCUGCUCAUACCACAUCUCCAGUGCUCUGUUGUUAUCAGAAAACAGGACCAGUGCCUCGGACAUCCGGCCUCCUCCGGACGUCCGAGGGCCGGACGUCCGACCUGCUUCAGAAAUCCAGAAUCCUUUACCAGAGAAAUCAGAGCCAUAUAACUCGGACUUAUGGCUCCCUCCGGACGUCCGAGGGCCGGUCGUCCGACCAGCAUCGGAAAUCCGGUGCUUUGCACGGGAAAAACUUGAGCCAUAUAACUCGGACUUCCGGCUCCCUCCGGACGUCCGAGGGCCGGACAUCCGUCCCCUUUCGGAAAUCCGGAAUCUUGCACCAGAGAAGUUUGAGUCGAAUAACUCGGACUUCCGGCCUUCUCCGGAUGUCCGGUCCCUGUUCAACUCCAUAGUGGUUCCAGAUAUAUUUACAGCCCUCGGACGUCCGACCCCUGUCGGACGUCCAACCCCUUGUAGAUGCCCGGACAUCCGUGAACUGCCGGAUGUCCGAGCCCUGUGUGACUUAAAGUGUCCCCAAUGGCUGUUUUACUCUCCCCACUAUAUAUACCCCCCUCCCACUUCGUGAGAGGGUUCCCAACACAGCCAUAUCCUCAUAAGAACUCAUUUCUACCUCACACACAUUUGCUUACAUCAAAUCUUAGAUCCCAAGAGCAUUUGUGAGCCCCUAUGAGAGUUGUUACAAUCAAAACAUAGAUCGUCUCCCUCUCCUUCUCUCAACCCAAGCUAUUUGAGAUUUGAGCAAGUUUUGAGCAUUCCCCGUGAUCUUGUUACUCUUGGAGGUUGGAGACUCCUAGGCGGUAGGAGUUCUUCGGAGAGGAAUCAAUCCGUGUGAUUACCCCCCGGAAAAGUUUGUGAGGGUUUGGAAGCCACCUCAAAGACUUACCACUAGUGGUUCGGAAACGCCUUCGUGUUAUCUCAAAGGGAGAAUAGGGUGAGCCUUCAUGGCGUUGGUGUGCCUUCGUGGUAACAUCCACCUCUAUAACGGUGACUAGCUUCCCUCCAAGGAAGUGAACAUCGGGAUACAUCUUCGUCUCAGUGACCUUGGUUAUCCUUAACCCUAACUCCUUACUUGUGGUUUACUUGUGUUACUUUAGCAUACAUACAUUGCAUAUUGUUUGUGCUCAUUAUAUUGUGUUGGCAAUUUCUUGUAUAAGAUUAAUCAUUCAAGCAUACCCUGUAUAUCCACAUGUUCACACUUGCAGCUUUUGAUAUAUCGUGUGCUAUAGUGUGAUCUAGUAUCUUGUGUCGUUCACCUACUUGUCGUGUGAUAUAGCUCAAGUAAAUUUGUGUAACUUACUUGUGCUUGUUAGUAACUGUAUUGUGUCAAUCUUGGUAGAUCGUGUUGUUGAUACACGUUGCAGUGCCUAGUGCAUUUAGGAUUUGUGCUUGACAAGUAUCCUCUUAGUUUAUUUCCGCAUUAGGUUUAAGCCAAAUCCGAAGAAGUUUUUAAAUAGCCUAUUCACCCCCCCUCUAGGCGUCAUCGAGGUCUUUUCAAUUGGUAUCAGAGCAAGAUCUGUCUUUAAUUAGGUUUCACGACCUAGAGAGUAUAGAUGUCGACUAUUGGACUAGUGUACAAUGACACCUUUGAGUUUGAUGGCACAAAUUAUACCCUAUGGAGAAUUCGUAUGCUUCAUCACUUUCGGGACAUGGGCCCAAAUACUUUACGAAUUGUUCUUGUAGGGAUUGCCGACAAAAAGGAUGAUGCAUCUUCAUCUACUAAUGAAAUGUAUCUUGAUUGUGAGGCUUUUCUUGCAAUUCAUCGAACCAUUAGUCCUGAAGUGUUUAAGUCUAUCUUGACUUGCAAGUCAGCUCAUGAAGUUUGGACUAAACUUGAAGAUAUAUAUGGUGGGUGCAAUCUUGAUGAAGAUGAUAUUAUGAUGAAGGAGUUGGUGCAUGAGCUCUUCACUCUUUUUGAUCAUAAGGAGUCCACCACUACUUCCAUAUCUGAUUGCUUGGACACCUCAGCGUCUUCAAUCUCAUAAGGUAAUGAUAUGGUGAGUGAAGAAAUAUAUGUUGAUGAAAAUGUCAUAGCCUCUAUGGACACGAGCAUAUCUAGCACCACAUGUGGUGUAAAUUAUUGUGCUGAUAGGUCAUGCAUUUCACCUAAAGAUCCCUCGACAAAUGUCUGUGGUGAUAUGUCUGCUUUCCCGUGUCCUCUUGAUCAAAAUAUCUUGUUUCUCCCUAGUUGUUCUAUGACUAAUCAUUUAGGGGAAAUCAAGAAAUAUGAAGUACCUUUGACUAAUGAAGAAUCUGAUUCACCAAAAGAAUCAUCAUCAACUCCUCAAGUUCACAUGUGCCUCAUGGCAAGAGGUAAUAAUGAGGUAUCAUCUUCCCUGUGCAAUAACGAUGAUAUUUGCGAUGAGGAUGAUGAUGAUGACUUGACUGAAAAUAUCUAUGUGAUCAGUAAAAUUCUUCAUCAAGCUAAAAAUAACGCUCUUCAAAGAUUCCAAUAUGUUCUUGCUUACUUUGAAAAUUGCAAUGAUUUACUUAAUCAUGAACAAGCUAAAAGUGAACAACUUGAACAUGAACUUGAGAAGAGUCAUCAAGCAUGUAGAGACUUAAGAUCUUCAAAAGGAGAGAUUGAAGUUGCUCAUGAUAAACUUCAAAAGGAUUUUGAGGUCCUUCUCCUUGAAUGCAAGAAUGUCAAGGGAGAGCUCAUCAAAACCUCUAAGAUCUAUGAGGAGCUUCAAUCUACUCAUCAGAAGUCUCUAAUCGCUACUUACUCCUGUCAUAUUGUUGAUGAUACUUGUACAUCUAACCCUAUCUCUUUUGAAGUAUCAACAUUGAAGGAGAAUGUUGAGCUACGUGCUCAACUUGAUUUACUAACUAGCGAUUAUGGGAAGUUGGAAGAAAACCAUGUAAUGCUCACAAGCUCUCAUGCCGAUCUUCUAACAUCCCAUAAUGUGCAAAAGUUAGCUCAUGAGGCUAUCAUCACCAAGGUAACAUCAAGUGAGCCUCAUGUGGACAAUGGCACCACUUCUAAUCAAAGUACUAUAUUUCCACGUGCUAGUCCUCGUAAUUCGUCUACUCAUAAUGUUGCUACCUCGUGUGAUGAAUUACUUUCCUUGCCUUGUUGCUCUAACAAUGAAGCUUACACUUCCUCUAGUACUUGCAUUGACACUAACCGUGCAGAGGAAAUCGAAGAGCUCAAGGCCCAAGUCACUUAUUUGAAGAAAGACUUGGAACAGUGUCAUGAAGGGAUGUCCACACUCAACAACGUCCUGUGUGAGCAAACAUCUCCGAAUGACAAACAUGAUGUUGGAGUAAACUCAAACAAGAACAAGAGUGGCCUAGAAUGAGUUAAGAAUUCGGCAAAAAUCAUUUGCUUCAAGUAUAAAGAUAAAGGGCACCAAGUUAGAUCUUUCCCUCUGAAGACAAAGUCUCGAAGUCACAAGCAACAAGGGAAGCGGCCACAAACUCAAUCACACACUCAGCUACAAGUUGAAGGAAGGCCUCUUCCCAAUAAGACCCAAGACUACACUCCCCGAGGUGAGAAAUCAACUGGGAAGAAAACAAAGGGUAGAUGGUGCUACUUAUGUCGUGAGAAGGGUCACGUUGCUUCGUAUUGCACGAGAGGUAACUUAUCCAACCCAAUCACUAUUGAUGAUAGCUAUUCCCUUGGGAAGGAUAAGGUUGGCAAUGUGUUUGCCAAUUUUGUUGGUACUCAAAAUGGUGUCAAGAAAAGAACCAUUUGGGUUGCCAAGCCUAUUGUGACUAACCUCUUAGGACCCAACGUAGUUGGGGACCAACAAGCUCAAACUUGAUAAAUAGGUGACUUUGGAGGACAUUGGAGACUUGGAUACACAAUGAAGAUUUGAGGACUCUUCAUCAUUCGUAUCAUCUCAAGCCAAGUCACUUGGAUUAUCGAGCCCAUAUCCCAUAUCCAAUGUGCCUCUUUGCGGUGACUUGUACUUAAAUUGUUUACAUUGAAAGUUGCCUGCCCCACUCCUUCUCAUGUCUAGGUUUGGUACCUAGCAUGUACUUUGACAUGUUGCGCCUACUAGUAUUAUUGUUAUAUGUAAUAUAUCAUAUGUAGGUCGUUAUGUAUGUCAUAUAGUUGUGUGUAGUCCUGAUCAUUACUUGCAUCCUAGUUGCACCGUUGUGUGGGUCUUUUCAGACGUUAAUAGCUCAUCACAUUAAGGGGGAGUGUUUCUUCUCUACGCACAUCACUAACCCAAAAUGUGUAUGUAUGUAUUGGACUCCAUCUAGUAUUCGGCGCAAGAUUAUCCAAUCAAUUCGUUUGAUGUCAAAGCCAUCCGAAGUUCAAAUUGUCAUCCACUUAUCAGCUUAGUUGGAUGAUUGAUUGCCUUGUAUGAUAAAUACAUGGAUUAUCACAUUAUGGGAGUGUGAUAUGCAUUGUGCACGUCACAUCCUCUAGUAAGAUAAAACAUCCGAUGUAUGCCACUCAGAAUCUACCACAUGGGGUUAUUCUAUAACUGUGUGGCAUGUCAUGCUCCACAUAUCUUAAUUCGCAUAAUAACCCUGUUGGUGUCUAAAUGCCUUAGAUGUGCGUGAGUAUGGCGUCCUACUACAACAAUACUCAUGGCUUAGCCACUAGAUCGUAUCUAAAAGAAGGGCAUUGUUGAUGCAUGCUUUUCGAAUUAUUUCUCCACACUAUGAUCUAACUAAUUGGGAUGUUAACGUAUGACAUCUAAACAUUAUGCUUAUGGUUGAACUCCCAUAUCACACUUGUGUGAGUAUAAAACGAUCUUUGUGCUCGUUUGGCACCUACCACCACUCAUAAUUCUAAAUGCCAUUGUGUUCUCUCACACAUGGUAUCUCUGGCUUGGUAGUGUUUUCCAUGGUCAUUUUAUUUCAGCCUUGUCUUCAUUUGACCUACUUAACUUGCCGAGAAAUUCAUGUCUCUCUCUCGGUAAUCUCCCAUGCAUGUCUUUGAGAUCGCACUAGUUAUUUCAUAAUGUUGUGGGAGUUAUAAUCAUAUUACCUACACCUAUACAUCUACUAGGGUGAGUCAUGCAUGUAAGGUUGUGCAAAAUGCAUACCUUACAUGGUUUGAUGCCUUGACCGGUUCAUGUGUUGAACUUGGGGUGCUACCAUAUGUUGAUUUUUCACCCUGGUCCAUUUUGGACGACAUGCAUGUUCUGUAAUAGAAAAUUAUGUGUUCAUUUGUCCAAAUUGUAUAUCCUUGGAUUUUGAUAGGCUUGUGUAGGCAUAUCUACAAUGUGUAGAUACACAUGCCAUGUCUAUCGUAUCUUUGAUCCAAUAUAUGUAUAUGGUAAAUCAGACAUAUCCAUUAAAAGGUUAAGGUGUGCUUGAAAGUAAAACUUAUAUCUAUAUGCACAUAAUUGAGUGAUCUUACCCUAUAUAUAUUGUAGUUGGACUAACUACUUUGGACCCAAUAAGUUUGGGCACCAUAUUGUGCUUAAUUGAUGGUUUAGGUACUUUGGAGAAGCAUUGCUAUCUUGACUUAUUCUCAGAAGAAGAUGGUGCUAGUCACGAAGAAAUUGGAAUCAAGACAGGACUCGGCUACUUCUACGCCAUACCAAUGCUUUUCCGGUAACAAGUAUUUACUUCAUGCAUGUACAACAUUAGAGUCAACACUGUGUAGGUUGCAUCAUGGCAUGAACAUAAUACUUUUUGCACUUUGUAAUUUCCUGCAUGUCCUUGUCAAUCACAUUCAUGAAAUGCUUUGUGUUCGUGUUCUCUUAGCACUUCAUGGUCAUAUGAAUGAGACAAAUUUGUGCCAUGACCCUUGUGUCAUGUGCCUUGCUCUUAUAAGAUGAUAACUUGUGCAUGAUUCUAUGCACUCAUGCGUUUGACGAUAUUUUGGACCCACACUUAUCAUAGUAAUCGUAUUAAAAGAUUUACAUCAUACCAUGUCCAAAAUAUGUUAGUUGAGUGCCCCCCCCCUUGGUUGCUACACAUGCGAGAAUACUCAUCAUCCAAAUCCCAGAAAUUGCCUCUUCCUUCUCUCUCUCGGUCGUCCGACGGAUCUCGGACGUCCGACGGCUAAACUCAUUCAAGACGUCCGGCCAGUGUCGGUCGUCCGACGGCUAAAUCCACUCCAGACGUCCGACGCCUGUCGGACGUCCGACACAUCGGGGCACUAUAAAUAGAAGGGCGUGGGCUGGGCCUUGCCCUAGCCCCCACGAGCCUCCUUUUCUCCCAGCCGCCGCCGCCGCCAGCUCCAGGGGAGCUCGCCCGCGCCGCCACCUCCGGGAUCUGACUGAUCUCCUCCGCGGGAUACGUCUCCCCUUCCUCUCCUCUCUUGAUCUGCAGGUAUCCCCUCCGCCCCCCUCGCGUUUGGUUCCCUUUUCUCCCACGUUCACGUGUUUGUUCAUAUGGUUUGACCGUGACCGUUCCCCAUUGGGUUUCCAACCGUGUAGGCUUUUGCUCAUCAUGCCCAAGAUUAAGCACUCCGCCCGGAAGGACACUGCUGGCUCAUCCGUUCGUGCCCCUACUGGCACGGGGUCGGACUCCGAAGGGCAACGUCGUCCCUUCAAACGGACUUCCCGGCGUCCUCCGCCUCAACAGCUCCCCUGGAGGAUGAGCUUGCAGCUGAGACCGUGCUGAACAGCCCGCCGUUCGGAAGUCUAUGCCAAAGCCUGGGACUCGCAGGCCCUCCUAUAUGCCACCACCUCCUCCUGAACAGCCCGAAGGUGAAGCUCGUUGCAUCUCACUUGAACCUCCUGCUACAUUAGGUGGUGAAGUCAAGAACUUCACCACGGUUGCUAAGUCUUCCUACCUCACUUUCCGCCACGACGUUGACCAAUUCUCUGUUGUACGUGACUCUAUGGACUCACGUUUCCACACAAACGUCCAGGCGGACAUCUUUACUACGGUCAUUGUACCUAAGGGUCUCUCUGUCCAUCACUUUAUUGAUCUUGAGCAUAUUCGCAUGCACCCGGUGAAAUACCCGGGUGCCAUUGAGCUCAUUGAUUCAUCGGGGCUUGCUGCCCCCUUUGCUUUUCGGCUCGAUUUUAACGCUGCUGCUAUUCACCAAUUUUAUGCCACAUGUUUCUUUGGUCCAAACAACACUAUUAGCUGGAUAACCUCUGACGUUCAGUUCAUAGCCUCUUAUGAUGAGUUUGUUGCCGCACUUGGUUUCCCCAACUCCGGCUUCAAAAUCCAUAAGAAUGAUCCUAACCAUGCACAUAAGCCAAUUGAGGCGUGUGGGUAUCUCCUCAAACCACUCCGUGAACUUGAUGCAGACUAACGAAUGAAGGAUCGUAACCAAGUAUCCAUCUGGCGCUCUCCCUACUUUAUCAUCUUUCAGUGUCUUAUCCGCUCCAUCUAUCCCAAGAUGGGUGAUAAGGGAUCCUGAAGUGGCUACUGUAUUGACAUCAUGUCACAUUUGUACGAGCACCCCAAGAGCAAAAUUAAUGUGCCUCACUUUCUAUGGCAUGAGAUUCGGCUUGGUAGUUUUCAAUACAAGCGAGCCUUCCCUCAUGCCCCCUUCAUCUAGGCUUUUAUUAACCAUGUUGAUGAAUUCACUGUUGCUGUCACUCACACGCAUCACAAGUGGGUCAUUCCCGCUCACAUGGCGGAUAACUAUGCUCCCAAGAAAACCCCACCAUCCACCUCCACUCGCCGCACUGCGUCCCGGUCAGCAACCCCUUCAUCUAGCUCAGCUCCUCUCGGUCGCUUUGCAAUAUUCAUUGGCAAGGAACAUUAUGCUAUGAUGAAGGCCUUCUCUUUCCAGUGCGUUCAAACUCAUGAUGUGGUUUCUCGCCUCGUCUCCUCCAAGAAUUCCCUCAAGGCUCGUCUGAGAGACUCGGGCACUCUUGAUGUGAGUGACGAUGAGGCCCUUCCUGCUGCUCCUCCUUCUGACUUUGGCUUCCCAUCUGUUCCUGAGUGGGCUGAUUUUCUUGAUGAGGCUGGGGGCAGUGGUUUGCCUGAGAAUGAGGAUGAGGAUGAUGAGGAUGAUGCAUGAUGAUGAUGAUUAUGAUGAGGGUGAUAUUUCAGUAUGUGGUAGCAUUGUCGGUUUCCCCUCCUUUUUGGUCCUUGAUGCCAAAGGGGGAGAACAUUCUCUUAUCUUAGUUUCAAUUUUAGUUUCGAUUUUAGUUUCUCUCAUAAUGUAUGGUAUGAUGUAUUAUGUCGAACUUAAUGAUGUGUCAUCAUGUAACGAUAUUUAUGGAUGAUGUGCUAUGCCAUCACUUAUGGAUGAUGUAUUGUUGAACUAUCAUGUGGUGAUGAGAUAUCAUGAUAUUAUCGCUGUGUCAUAUGAUGAUGAGUUUUAUGCUAUCCUAUUGAUUCAUAUGAUAUGCUAUGAAUUAUUGAUUCUUAUGAUAUGCUAUGUAUUCCUGAACUAUUAUGGUGUUAUAUCAUGCUAUUAUCUUCUUGCACACAUUAAGGGGAAGCUCCCGCACUUACCUAUUUUACAAUGCAUAUAAUAAGGUGGAGCUUCAUAAGCAUCAUAACAAAUCUCUCCUAAGCCGCACAUGUUUAUUACUAUUUUUGAGAGCUAUAUGUAUGUUGUCAUCAACUACCAAAAAGGGGGAGAUUGAAAGUGCGGUCAUGCCCUUAAUCAUGUUUUGGUGUUGCUGACAACACACAUAUAGAUAACUAAUCACUAAUCCCCUUUAAGCUAUUGUGAAUGAUCAUGUGUUGAUAAGGACAAGCUCAUGUGCUAACAAGGACAAGAUCAACAUAAGCAUUCCUGAGCACUACAUGCUUGAUUCUUGUGAAUGUUCACAUGGUGGACAAAUGAAGAUGAAUACAUAAGCUAGGCUUUCCACAUUGUGUAUGAGAGAAUUACUUGAAGACUUCAUCAUGUCUUGCUUUCUACUUGAGCCAAGAAGGAACAACAACAUCAAGCUCAAGUGAAAGGGCUAACAAAAAGGCACCAGUCCCUUUGACGUUAGUGGUGCGGAGUGAUGAUCAGCGAAUAAAAGUAUACACUCAAGUAUGGAUCAUCGGUACCCCUUUUAUAAUUCUUGAGUCUUUAGGGUACCCCUUUUAUAAUUCUUGAGUUAGGGUUUCGGAAAUCCGGAGCUUUGCACCAGAAGAACUUGAGCCAUAUAACUCAGACUUCCGGCUCCCUCCGGACGUCCGAGGGCCGGACGUCUGUCCCCUUUCGGAAAUCCGGAAUCUUGCACCAUAGAAGUUUGAGUCGAAUAACUCGGGCUUCCGGCCUUCGCCGGACGUCCGGUCCCUGUUCAACUCCACAGUGGUUCCAGAUAUAUUUACAGUCCUCGGACGUCCGACCCCUUGUGGAUGCCCGGACAUCCGUGAACUGCCGGAUGUCCGACCCCUGUGUGCUUAGAGUGUCCCCAACGGCUGUUUUACUCUCCCCACUAUAUAUACCCCCUCCCACUUUGUGAGAGGGUGCCCAACACAGCCAUAUCCUCAUAAGAACACAUUUCUACCUCACACACAUUUUCUUACAUCAAAUCUUAGAUCCCAAGAGCAUUUGUGAACCCCUUUGAGAUUUGUUCCAAUCAAAAGAUAGAUCGUCUCCCUCUCCUUCUCUCAACCCAAGCUAUUUGAGAUUUGAGCAAGUUUUGAGCAUUCCCCGUGAUCUUGUUACUCUUGGAGGUUGGAGACUCCUAGGCGGUAGGAGUUCUUCGGAGAGGAAUCAAUCCGUGUGAUUACCCCCCGGAAAAGUUUGUGAGGGUUUGGAAGCCACCUCAAAGGCUUACCACUAGUGGUUUGGAAACGCCUUCGUGGUGUUAUCUCAAAGGGAGAAUAGGGUGCGCCUUCGUGGUAACAUCCACCUCUCUAACGGUGACUAGCUUNUGUUGUUGAUACACGUUGCAGUGCCUAGUGCAUUUAGGAUUUGUGCUUGACAAGUAUCCUCUUAGUUUAUUUCCACAUUAGGUUUAAGCCAAAUCCGAAGAAGUUUUUAAAUAGCCUAUUCACCCCCCCCCUCUAGGCGUCAUCGAACUCUUUUCAACUAGCAUCACACAUGACUUCAAAAGGUAAGUUCCAACCAGGUGGUUGAACAAUAGGUGCAGUUAUCAAAGCCUUCUUAAGUAUUUUGAAGGCUUCCUCACAAUCAUCGUCAAAGACAAAACGAAUAUCCUUUUGCAAGAGAUUGGUAAGAGGCCUAGAAAUCUUAGAGAAGUCUUUAAUGAACCUCCUAUAGAAACCAGCAUGACCAAGGAAACUUCUUAUACCUUCGAUAUCUGUGGGUAUGGCAUUUUCUCGAUUGCAUCAACCUUAGACUUAUCGACUUCAAUACCUCUUUCUGAAAUUUUAUGUCCUAAGACGAUGCCCUCAUUAACCAUAAAGUGGCACUUCUCCCAAUUGAAGACAAGAUUGGUGUCUUUACAUCUCUGCAAGACCCGAUCAAGGUUGUUGAGCCAAUCAUCAAAAGAAAACCCGUAGACGGAGAAGUCAUCCAUGAAAACCUCAACAAUCUUUUCACAAAAGUCAGAGAAUAUAGCCAUCAUACAUCUUUGAAAGGUGGCAGGUGCAUUACAUAAGCCAAAAGGAAUACGUCUGUAAGCAAAGGUACCGAAAGGGCACGUGAAAGUGGUUUUCUCCUGAUCAAAUUGUGCAAUUGGUAUUUGGGAGAAACCAGAAUAACCGUCUAGAAAGCAUAAGUGUGUGUGUUUAGACAGUCUUUCUAGCAUUUGGUCAAUAAAAGGCAAAGGGUAAUGAUCUUUCCUAGUGGCUUUAUUCAAUUUCCUAAAAUCGAUCACCAUCCUAUAGCCAGUAAUAAUCCUCUGUGGGAUCAAUUCAUCCUUAUCAUUAGGGACAACGGUAAUACCUCCCUUCUUAGGGACGGAAUGCACCGGACUCACCUAAUCACUAUGAGCAACAAGAUAGAUAAUACCUGCUUCCAGGAGCUUUAGUAUUUCUUUUCUUACUACCUCUUUCAUCUUAGGAUUUAAUCUCCAUUGAUGAUCAUCAACUGGUUUGGAAUGAGGAUCGGUUUUAAUCUUGUGCUGGCAUAGAGUGGGAAUAAUACUCUUAAGAUCAUGAAGAGUAUAUCCAAUAGCAGCACGGUGCUUCCUCAGAGUUUUUAGUAACUUCUUUUCUUCAUGCUCUGAGAAGCUAGCAGUAAUGAUAACAGGAUAUAUCUCUUUUUCAUCAAGAUAAGCAUACUUAAGAGUAUCACGCAACUGUUUAAGCUCGAACACAUGAUCACCCUUUGGUGGGGGUGGAUCUCCAAGAAGUUCAACAGGAAAGUUAUUCUUAAGGAUAGGAUAUUGUUCUAAGACAACUCUAUCUAUCUCAUCCCUUUCAUCCAUAUGCAUAUCAUUUUCAUGCUCAAGCAAGUAUUGCUCUAAAGGAUCAGUAGGAGGCACGGCAAUAGAAGUUAGGGAAAUAGUUUAAUCCCUACUAGGCAACUCUUUUUCAUGAGGUUGUCUACCAAACUUGGAGAAAUUGAACUCAUGUGACACACCUUCAAAGCCAACAGUGACAGUUUGCUUCUCACAGUUAAUAUGAGCAUUGACAGUAUUGAGAAAAGGUCUGCCAAAUAUGAUGGGACAAAAGCUAUCUUGUGUGGUAUCAAGAACAAGGAAAUCAGUAGGAUAGUUCGUUUUACCACACAAGACUUCAACAUCCCUAAGAAUUCCCACAUGGUAGAUAGUAUCUCUAUUGUCAAGCUGAAUAGUGACAUCAAUAGGUUCCAUCUCAACAGGUGCAAUCUCGUUUUUGAUUUCAUCAUAUAAGGAUUGAGGUAUUGCACUAACACUAGCACCCACAUCACAUAAACCAUGAUAACAAUGAUCUCUUAUCUUAACAAAAACAAUAGGCGUGCCAAAAACAUGCCUAUGUUUGUCUCUAGCAUGUGGUUUAGCAAUUCUAGCAGCAUCUUCACAGAAGUGAAUAUUAUGGCCGUCAACAUUGUCGGACAGGAGAUCUCUGAUAAUAGCAAUGCUAGGUUCAACUAUAAUUUGCUCAGGGGGUGUAGGUGUUCUAAUGUAACCUCUACGUAUCACAGUUGAAGCUUUAGAAUGAUCCUUUAUCCUAACAGGAAAGGUGGUUUCUCAAUGUAAGCACUAGGAACAAUAGGAUCAUUAUAUGCAAUGACUUUCUCUUAAACUGGAUUAGGUUUAACUACAUUGACUUAUAAGGGAGGAUGAUAUUUAAAUCACUUCUCCUUGGGGAGAUCAAUAUGAGCAGCAAAAGAAUCACACAAUGAAGCUACCAUCUCAGAGUCAAGUCCAUACUUAGUGCUAAAAUCACAAAAAGUAUUUGUUUCAACAAAGGAUUUAACACAAUCAAACUUGAAAUUCAUAAUUGACUCGUUACCUUCAUCAAGCUACCAAUCUUCAGAGUUGUGUUUAAUUCUCUCCUAUAAAUUCCAUCUGAAGUCAAUAUCUCUCUUCAUAAAAGAACCGGUACAAGAAGUGUCAAGCAUGGUGCGAUCAUCAUGAGAAAGCCGAGCAUAGAAGUUCUGAAUGAUAAUUUCUCUCGAGAGCUAAUGGUUGGGGCAUGAAUAUAACAUUGAUUUAAACCUCCCCCAAGCUUGAGCGAUGCGUUCUCUGUCACGAGGCCAAAAAUUAUAAAUAUAAUUCCGAUCACGAUCUACUAGAUGCAUAGGAUAAAACUUUUGAUGAAAUUCCAAUUUCAACCGAUUGUAGUUCCAUGAUCCAGUAUCAUCACAUAUCCUGUACCAUGUCAACGCCUUAUCCUUCAAAGAUAAGGGCAAGAUAUUCUUCUUGACCUCAUCCUCGGGCAAACCUACUAGCUUAAAUAAACCACAAAAUUCAUCUACAUAGAUUAGAUGCAAGUCUGGAUCUGAUGUUCCAUCUCCUGUUAAAGGAUUAGCCAGCAGUUUCUCAAGCAUACCCGAAUGAAAUUCAAAGCAAAUAUUUUUAGUAGGUGCAGCAGUUUGAGGAGAUACACUUUGUGCUUCCGUUCGAGGUGAAGAUACCCCGAACAAGCCCCUCAAGGGAUUAGUUUCCAUAGUGACAAGUGACAAUAAAUUUCAGCACACUAUAUAAAUGUUUCCUUACCAAAUUCCACUUACCAAAGGCGCUUCACUCUCCGGCAACGGCACCAGAAAAGAUUCUUGAUGACCCACAAGUAUAGGGGAUCUAUCGUUGUCCUUUCGAUAAGUAAGAGUGUCAAACCCAAUGAGGAGCAGAAGGAUGUGACAAGUGGUUUUCACCAAGGUAAUAUCUCCAAGCACAGAAAUUAUCGGUAACAAGUAGUUGUGUGGUGAGAUGAUUCAUAGCAAGUAGCAAGUAACAAAAGUAACAACGGUGCAGAAAAGUGGCCCAAUUCCUUUUGUAGCAAGGGACAAGCCUGGACAAAGUCUUAUAGGAGGUAACGCUCCCGAGGACACGUGGGAAUUUCUGUCAAGCUAGUUUUCAUCAUGUUCAUAUGAUUCACGUUCGUUACUUUGAUAGUUUGAUAUGUGGGUGGACUGGUGCUUGGGUACUGCCCUUACUUGGACAAGCAUCCCACUCAUGAUUAACCCCUCUCGCAAGCAUCCUCAACUACGAAAGAAGAAUUAAGACAAAGUCUAACCAUAGCACUAAACUAGUGGAUCCAAAUCAGCCCCUUACGAAGCAAUGCAUAAACUAGGGUAUCAGCUUUUGUCACUCUACCAACCCAUCAUCUACUUACUACUUCCCAAUGCCUUCCUCUAGGCCCAGAUAAUGGUGAAGUGUUAUGUAGUCGACAUUCACAUAACACCACUAGAGGAAAAACAACACACAACACAUCAAAUUACCAAACGAAUACCAAAUUCACAUGACUACUUAUAGCAUGACUUAUCCCAUGUCCUCGGGAACAAAAGUAACUACUCACAAAGCAUAAUCAUAUUCAUGACCAGAGAGGUAAUGAGUAGCAUCAAAGAUCUGAACAUAAACUCUUCCACCGAGUAAUCCUACUAGAAUAAACUACACAGAGUAAUUAACACUACUAGCAACCUUACAAGUACCAAUCGGAGUCGCGAGACAGAGAUUGGUUACAAGAGAUGAACUAGGGUUUGGAGAUGAGAUGCUGCUGAUGAAGAUGUUGAUGGUGACGAGUCCCCUCCGAUGAGAGGAGUGUUGGUGAUGACGAUGGCGAUGAUUUCCCCCUCCUGGUGGGAAGUUUCCCCGGCAGGGUCGUCCUGCUGUAGCUCUAGAUUGGUUCUGCUCAUGUACCGCCUCGUGGCGGCAUCGAAUCCUCCGAAAAGCCUCCUCCUGUUUUUUUUCAGACCGAAACACUUCUUGUAGAGAAAGGGGGAAGCCAGAGGGCCAAGUGGGAGCCCACAAGCCCCUAGGCGCGACCAGGGGGGAGGCCGCGCCUAGCAGGCUUGUGGCCUCCUGCUGGCGCUCCUCUAGUACUUCUUCGGCCCAGUUUUUUUUAUAAAUCCCGAAAAAGUCCAUGUUGAUUUUCACGGCUUUUGGAGUUGCGCAGAAUAGUCAUCUCAAAGUUGCUCCUUUUUCAGGCCAGAAUUCCAGUUCCCGGCAUUCUCCCUCUUCAUGUAAACCUUGCAAAAUAAGAGAGAAAAGGCAUAAGUAUUAUACCGUGAAGUGUAAUAACAACCCAAAAAGAAAUAAAUAUCAACAUGAAAGCACCAUGAAAAAUGGACGUAUCAAUAUGUAGUUUCACGGGGUCAUCCCCGAGAAGAAGGCUGAAUCACUCGGUCAAAUCACCCUGAAUGUCAUAUUCGGUGGUGAGAAUAAUUAUAGGAAUGAAAGGCUGACCUUUGUGGUGGUCGACAUCUGAUGCGCGUUUCACACCAUCCUGGGUAGGGUCUGCGUACGUGUGUUUCAUGGCCCGUCCAUGUUACAUGCAUCCUAAAAUUAAGAUGCUAGGACUGAAAGGUGUGAUUACAGUGACCAGCUAUCAGAAAAUCGCUGAAGAAUGCCUACAUCACGGCUGUCGAAUCGCCAACGAGCAAGUCAUUGCAGCCGAGCUCAAAGGGUACAAGAAGGCGGUGAACUCUGCUGACAUGCUCAGGUCCAAACGGCUGGCUACUGAGUGUGCCUUUCAGUAGGCCGGUGAGACCAAGAUGAUUCACGUCCACCCUACCGACCUGAGUGCCUCCGAGAGAAACAUUUCCACUUCACUCGAGGAGAAAUAGGAAGUCGAGCUCAUCCAGUUCCUCCGUGAGAACUGGGACAUCUUCACAAGGAAGCCUUAUGACAUGCCGGGUGUUCCUAGGGAACUGGCUGAGCACCGCCUCCGAGUGGACUCCAAAGUCAAGCCCGUCAAGGAACACUUGCGCUGCUCCUCCAUGGAGAAGUGCAAGGCAAUCAACGAGGAGAUUGCUCCGCUCCUAGCUGUCGAGUUCACCGACGAGGUGUACCACUCCGAGUGGUUGGAGAACGUGGUCAUGGUGCCUAAGAAGAACAAUUCACUCCAAAUUUGUAUUGACUUCAAGCACCUCAAUCGGGCGUGCCUGAAGGAUCAUUUCCCUUUACCUCGCAUAGAUCAGAUUGUAGAUUCAACUACUCGAUGUGAACGCAUGUUGUUCCUGGAUGCAUACUCUGGGUACCACCAGAUCUGAAUGUAUGGACCAGAUGAAAUAAAAAUGGCCUUCAUCACCCCCAAUUGGGUGUUUUUGCUACAUCAUCAUGCCAUUCGGCCUCAAAAAUGCUAGAGCUACUUUUCAGCACAUGAUCCAGAAGUGUUUGCUGGAACACAUCAGUCGGAAUGUCGAAGCGGACAUGGAUGACAUCUUGAUCAAGUCCAGGAAAGGUUCCGACCUCAUGUUUGACCUCACCGAAACCUUCACGAACCUUCGGCGCUUCAGGAUGAAACUUAGUAUGGCCAAAUGCACUUUCGGGGUGCCGGCUGGUAAGUUACUCUGUUUCCUUGUUUUUGAACGAGGCAUUGACGCCAAUCCCGAUAAAAUGGUGCCAUAAUCCAAAUGAGACGUAGAGAGUGCAUCCAGGAUGUGCUUAUGGGUUCCCUUGUGGCCCUGAGCCGCUUCAUCUCAAGACUCGGCGAGAAGGCCCUACCUCUUUACCGACUGAUUAAAAAAUCCAAUAGAUUUGAAUGGACCAACGAACCACAAGUCGCUUUUGACCAACUCAAGCCUUUGCUAUUUCCCCAGCCGGUGUUAGCUGCCCCGAGUAGCCAGGAGCCCUUACUCUUGUAGAUUGCUGCCACUAGCCAAGUCGUUAGCAGCAUUCUCACCGUGGAGCGCAAAGAAGCGGGAAAGCAUACAAGGUGCAACGGCCCAUCUAUUACAUCUCACACGUAUUGACUCCCUCCAAGCAAAGGUAUCCACAUUACCAGAAGCUGGUUAACAUUAUCUAUCUGGUUGUGAAGAAGUUUGUCCAUUACUUCCAAGAUCACUCGGUCACUAUCAUCGAUGACGCUCCCUUGGCGGAAAUCCUACAAAACAGGGAUGCCACUGGCCGAGUGGCUAAAUGGACGAUUGAGCUCCUUUCGCUAGAGAUCAAGUUUGAAGCAAAAAUAGCGAUCAAGUCCGAGGAGAUGGUUGACUUCCUAGCCGAAUGGAUGGAGCAAGAGCAGCCGGCUCCUCGAGUUCCCGAGCAUUGGACCAUGUUCUUAGACGGGUCCAACAUGCUUCGCGGUUCAGGGGACUCGAGUGGUUCUCGUUUCCCAAGGGGGAGACCAAGUGAACUAUGUGCUUCGAAUCCACUACGACCCAUCCAACAAUGAGGCUGAGUACGAAGCCCUCUUGUACGGACUACACAUGGCCAUCUGACUCGGCGUGCGAUGCUUUAUGGUCUACGAUGACUCAGAACUCGUCGCAAAUCAGGUGAUGAAGGAAUGGGACAUUCAAAGCCCAGCCAUUACAUCCUACUCGAACGCGGUUAGAAAGCUAGAGAAAAACUUCGAAGGGUUGGAACUGCACCACUUGCCCCGAGCGAAGAAUCAAGCAGUUGAUGACUUGGCGAAGAUCGGUUCCACUCAGAAAAUCGUUCCGAAAGGUGUGCUCCUCGAACACCUGUGCACCCCCUCAGUCAAAGAAGAUCCUUUUAUGGAAGAACCUCCACAGGAAAUCGGUCCGUCAAUCUGACUGAAAUCAAUGUCUCGGCUGUGGACGACCUCAUCCACAAGAUGCUGGUCAUCACGCCCGAAUUGACUCAGCCUUAUCAGGCUUACUUGCUUCAGCAAGAGCUCGCUGAAGAUGAAUAGGAAGCUCAUCGAACCGUUCGACGGUCUAAAGUUUUCGGAAUCCUCGAAGACAAACUAUACAAGAAAUGUGCUACAGGAGUUAGUCAAAAGUUCAUUUCCCCAAAGGAAGGACUACAGAUCUUGCACGAGGUUCACUUGCGAACCUAUGGACAGCACACGACCUCUUAGACGCUUGUGGCCAAGGCCUUCCGAGCGGGAUUUUAUUGGCCCCGAGCCAAUGAGGCAGCACGAGACCUAGUCGAGCUUUGUGUAGGACGCGCGUUCUAUAAAAAUCAGUCCCACAAGCCUGCAUACGCGCUGAAAGCGAUUCCUCUCACCUGGCUAUUCACCGUGUGGGGUCUCAACAUGGUUGGCCCUUUACGGACUAGGAUGAGCUUAUUCACCAACCUGCUAGUUCUGGUGGAUAAGUUCACCAAGUGGGUCAAAGUGAAGCCCAUCAAAAGCCUGGAUUCGACGACUUCCGUCAGCUUCAUUCGGCAGAUUAUCUUCAGAUUCAGAAUUCCUCACGAUAUCAUCACCAACAAUGGGUCCAAUUUUGAAUAGGAAGAAUUAUGCAACUUUUGUCACUCUCAGGGCAGUCCAAUGGGCACGCAGAAUGAGCGAAUUGCAUGAUACUGCAGGGACUAAAGCCCCAACUGAUGAGAGAUCUCAAGUACGAUGUGGGUGCAUGGGUAGAAGAAUUACCAUCCGUCUUGUGGGGUAUGCUGGCGACUCAAGAUCGUUCAACCAAGCGUACUCCUUUCUUCAUGGUGUACGGGUCUGAAACUGUUCUGCCGAGUGACUUACAUCACAACUCCCCCGAGUGGAGCAGUACAAUGAAGCUGAAGCCGAAGCAGCACGACAAGAAAUUUUGGAUCUGUUGGAAGAGGAGAGAUAACUAGCUCUCAUUCGGUCCACACUGUACCAGCAAGACCUGAGGCGCUACCAUGACAAGCAAGUGAGGGGCCGAGCGUUUCAAGAAGGGGACUUCGUCCUCCGACUGGACCAACAAAACCCCCAUAAGCUCACACCUUUGUGGCAAGGGCCAUACGCCAUCUCCAAAGUCCUGCACAAUGGAGCUUAUCGAUUAUACAACUUGAGAAUGGAGUCGAAGAGCCCAUAACCUGGAAUACGGACCUGCUCCACAUGUUCUAUACUUAGAACAUGUCUUCUCAUUCCUGUAAUGAAUUCGAAUGGUUAGAGGAAUAAAGUACUUUCUUUCUUCAAGUAUGGUCAAACCUUUCACUCCGGUGAAACACACACGAGUGCGUGAAAAUCCUUAGCUACUAACCAUUUUCGCCUAAGGUAAAACUUGCUCCGAGCGUGGACAACUUCCACACACAGGGACUUAGCCACGAAUCAGCCUUGACCUAAGUUACAACGGUCCCGAAUGAGGGCACGAUCUUCGUUCAGGCACCAAGAUGGAUAGGACCAUCAUCAAGUUUGGAAGAACUAUCCUCUCAUCUUGGUAGUGGACCUAUUUUCGCCUAAGGGAAAAACCUGCCCCGAGUGUGGACAACCUCCACGCAUGGGGACUUAUCCAUGAACCAACCUUCACCUAAGUUAAAACAAUUCCGAAUGGAAGCAAGUUCUUCAUUCGGUCGCCAAGAUGAAUAGAACAAUCAUUCCUUAGCUACGAACAUGUUUUCGCCUAAGGUAAAAUCUGCCCCAAGUGUGGACAACCUCCACGCUCAGGGACUUAGCCGCAAACCAGCAUUCACCUAAGUUAAAAUGCUUCUAAAUGGAAGCAUGUUCUUUAAUUCGGCGGCCAACAUGAACAGAACAACCAUUCCUUAUCUAUGAACCUGUUUUCACCUAAGGUAAAACCUGCCCCGAGUAAGGACGGUCUCCACACUCGGGGACUUAGCGCGAACCAGCCUUCGCGUAAGUUAAAACAAUCCCGAGUGAGGACAACCUCCACACUCGAGGACUUAGCCAUCAACUAGCUUUCGCCUAAGUUAAAAACAAAUCCCCGAGUGAGGACAACCUCCACACUCGGGGGCUUAGCCGCAAACUAGCUUUUGCCUAAGUUAAAAACAAUCCCGAGUGAGGACAACCUNCACACUCGGGGGCUUAACCACGAACCAGCUUUCGCCUAAGUUAAAAACAAAUCCUGAGUGAGGGCAAUCUCCACACUCGGGGGCUUAGCCACAAACCAACUUUCGCCUAAGUGAAAAACAAAUCUCGAGUGAGGACAACCUCCACACACGGCGGCUUAUCUGGGAAUCAACUUUCGCCAAAGUUAAAAACAAAUCCCAAGUGAGGAUAACCUCCACACUCGGUGGCUUAGCUGUGAACUAGCUUUCGCAUAAGUUAGAAACAAAUCUCAAGUGAGGACAACCUCCACACUCGGGGUCUUAGCCACGAGUCAGAUUUCGCCUAAGUUAAAAAUAAAUCCCGAGUGAGGACAACCUCCACACUCGGGGGUUUAGCCACGAACCACCUUUCGCCGAAGUUAAAAACAAAUGCCAAGGGAGGAGAACCUCCACACUCGGGGGGCUUUUCCAUGAACCAGAUUUUGCCUAAGUUACAAAAAAUCCUGAGUGAGGAGAGCCUCCACACUCGGGGGCUUAGCCGCGAACCAGAUUUCUCCUAAGUUCAAAACUUCCCCGAGUAAAGAUAACCUUCACACUCGGGGGCUUAGCCGCGAACUACCUCAAGUUAGGACAACCUCCACACUCGGGGAUUAGUCGUGAACCAGCUUUCGCCUAAGUCAAAAAUAAUCUCGGGUGAGGAAAACCUCCACACUCGGGGUUUUGGCAACGGAUUAGUUUUCGCCUAAGUUAAAAACAAUCCCCACUAAGGACAACCUCCUCACAUGGGGACUCGGUCGCGAACUAGCUUUCGCCCGAGUAAAAGUGACCACGAAUAAGGAUAAUCAAGGAAAUAAGAUCCAAAUUAAAAGGGGGAUGAACAAAAUCGAGUUCUGGUUCAAGUAAAAGGUGUGCAUAAAAGGGAGCACAUGGCUCGCUUAAAGUUUGGUGGUUAGAUUAACCACUCGACAUCCCAUGGCAAAUUGGAACUUAUUGUUUUUUCUCAAAGAAUCACUCGGAGGCUGAAGACUCCACAGCUUGCACGAAGGGUUCAAGGUCGAUCCCAUCAGAGAUCUGAGUGGCGACCGCCAUGAACAUCUCCAUGAAGUCCUCAAACUUGGCGCUCUUCCUGUUGAUGACCCGAAGAUUCUUCAGCUUGUCUUCAUCGACUCCUUUACAAUGGAUGCAAACGAGUGAGAGGGUGAUGCCGGCUCUGGCCCAUGCCGCUGAUUUCUUCCAAUAUUGGAGCUCUUUGGGGAUUUCCUUCACUCAGUUCACAAUGGUCUCGGCGUCCUCAGGAAGUUCAACGUGAGCGGUGAUCCCUUGAUCUAUCUCCCCGAUGGCCGAUUGGAGUCCCUUGAAGCAACCAAACACAUAGUUGAUGCGAGCUUCCAACUUGAGAAGAGCUAAAGCGACAUUUUCCUUCAGGAGCCCUGUUUUAGGGUCCAACUCCUUCUCGAUUCGUGUUGUCUCCUCUUCGAUGCCGAUGCAGAAGGCUGGGUUCAGUCAAAAAACAAGAGGGUGAGAAAUAACAUUGGAAACUACAAGGCUACAACAACAGACCAUUCAGAUUCAUAACAUACCUUUAAGCUUCUCACAAUGUUCCUUGUUGAAGUCCUCAAAGAACUGCUCCAGUUUGGCUUUCUUUGCAACGAUCUCCCUGAAUCUGAUCUCCAUCUCGGUGUAGUGCCUUUUUAGCUCAGCGAGCUCCUCAACAGAAUUCACCGCGCCAGCCUUCAAAAGCUGGUUCUCUUCUUCAAGUGUCCCGACCUUCUUGAGCCUGGUUUCAACCACCUACAUUUUCUGUUUGGCCUCUAUGCAGGCUGAUGUGAGGUCUUCAUCCCUAUUUUCGAGGGCCUCCUUCAUGGUAACUAAAGAAAUGGAAUUCUUCAACCUCUCAGAAAGACGAUCUGACAAGAUAGCCUCAGUCGGAUGAGGAGGAAACUCGAAUCAAGAGACAGUCAGACAAUGAAGGCUUACCCUCAGCGAAAUGUUUCUCCUAUUCGAGAUGUUUGCUCUUGGCCUUGCAGCAUCAACGCUCAGUCAAAGGGCUUGCAACUCGCUAUCCACAAUAUCAUCACGGCCCCUAGGCUUGCACGUAGUCUAUCGUCAACAAACACAAGUCAAGCAGAAUGCAGAGAUGAUAAUUCGAAAAUUACCACCAACUGAUCUAGUAAACGGUAGCCUCGGGGACUACACCCAGUGGGUGUGCUCAGCACGCCCCCACUGGAAAGAUCAGAGGAGGAACAAAAGGCCCUCUACCCUAUCAACCUUUCUUGAAUCAACACAAGAACUAAGACUAUUGCCGACUGGUCCAGUCGACGGUAUCCUCGGGGACUACGACCAGUGGGUGUGCUUACCGCGCCCCCACUAAAAACUGACACCAAGUGGGUCUGACACAGAGAAAACCCACUCGGGAUUGAGUUCUUAUAAAAAAAAUAUGUGCACGCAAAUAACUCACCGAAUGUUCUUCGCCAUGGCUUCGCUAGCAUCGUAUGCUUCCUUCAGCCACCUAACCAUCACUUCCAGUUAGGCCAGGGCCUCCUUGCGUGCCCUUCUUGAUCUUCUGGGAUAUCGCGCAUCUGGAAAAGGGUAUGUUCCACAGGAGGAAGUGACGGAGUGAUAAACAGACCAAGUCUGAAUGAUGCUCUAGCCAAAACAGCCUCCCGAGCCACAGGAACAUGAACCUUGGCAGCCAAGGGCCCAAUCACUCGGUUGUGAGUCGCGGCUUCUUAGAUCCUUCGCCAACUACUUCAGGACUGAUAGGGUCGAGUUAGAUUAUGCUUGGUGACUCCGCACGCAUUAACAAACAUUCAAAAGGUCAUUUCAUGGCUAAGUCUCAAGUCCCGAAUGGAGCUUAAAUAAUCCCAAAGGUUACCUUUGGAGGAAUCGACGUUGGCAUCUGACUGCCCUUUAUCAGAGGCCUUUGGCUCCAGAGAAGCGGUCGAAGUAUCAGACCUGCAACAAAGACAAAAAGAAAGCCAACCAUCACUCGGCAAAAUUACUUACGCCGAAGCCAUUGGCACGUCGACGAUGAUGUGCAGUAGAACGGCCUUCCGGGGCUUGGAGGUCGUGGUCUUGGCAUGCUUGCCAGCCUUCUCCGAUGACACCUACGGCUCACUCCGGCCUCGUUUGGAACUACGGGUCGGCAUAGCCGACACAGUCGACUUAGCCACCUUUGGGGUCCUAGCGCCCCCAGUAUGGACCCCAGGGUCCUGGCGCGCCUUGGACAGAGUCUCAGGCGGGACUUCAUCGGACAGAGAAGACUUUGCCGUGUCCCCGUGUUCGUCACCACUCUCCUCCAUCUCCUCAUCGUCAUCUUUGUCCUCUUCACCUUUCGAGUCCUCCUGGUGCUCGGUGUCACUCGCCACAUCGAUAGGUGCACGACCAACCACCCAAAUGGAAAUCACUAGUCCUCUAAAAAACUGUCAAGUGGUGGAGUUAUAAUCCAUAAGUAUAGGGGAUCAAUCGUAGUCCUUUCAAUAAGUUAAGUGCAGCAAUGUAGCCCAAUCCUUUUGUGGCAAAGGCAGGACAAAGUGGUUUCUUUUAAUAGGCAAAGCGUUCUUUAGGGCACACGUGGAUUUCUUCUAGUCACUUUCAUCAUGAUAGCUUAAUUCGUUUUUGAUACUUUGAUAGUUUGAUAUGUGGGUGGACCGGUGCUUAGGUGAUGUUCUUACUUGAACAAACCUCCUACUUAUGAUUAACUCCCUCGCAAGCAUCCGCAACUAUGAGAAAAGUAUUAAGACAAAUACCUAAACAUAACAUUAAACUUCUGAAUCCAAAUCGGUCCCUUACGAAGUAGCGCAUAAACUAGGGUUUAAGCUUCCCUCACUCUAGCAACCCAUCCUCUAAUAACUACUCCAUAAUGCAUUCCCUUAGGCCCAAAUAUGGUGAAGUUUCUUGUAGUCGAUGUUCUUGUGACACAACUAAGGGAAUCACAACAUACAUACUAUCAAAAUAUUAAACACAUAUCAAGUUCACAUGAUUAAUUGCAAGAUGAUUUCUCCCGUGGCCUCAAGAACAAAAAUAACUACUCAAAAAUGAUAAACAUUCUCAAGAUCAGAGGAGUAUUAAUUUGUAUAAAGGAUAUGAACAUUUUGUCUUCCACCAAAUAAACCAUAUAGUAACCAACUACAAUAUGUAAUCAACACUACUAGCCCUUCAUAAGCAACAAUCCAAGGUUCUGGUGCAAAGAUUGAACACAAGAGAUGAACUAGUGUUUGAGUGGAGAUGGUGUUGUUGAAUAUGUUGAUGAAGAUUUUCCUACCCAAGAUGAGAGGGUUGUUCUUCAGGACGAUGACGAGGAUUUCCCCCUCGGGAAGGUAAGUUCCCCCGGAGGAAUUUCUCCGCGGGAGGGCAAAAGUGCUCCUUCCCAAGUUCCGCCUCGAGACGAUGGUGCUUCGUCCCAAAAGCCUCCUCUAUAUUUAUUUAGGUCAAAACUAAAUAUAUACUAGAAGGGGGCAUUAGAGGUGGGCUGGGCUGAGCACCACCCACCAGGGCUCACCUGAGGGGCCUAGUGUGUCGUGCUGUCUUGUUCUCAGUUGGUGGUCCCCCGAUGGUAACUCUUUGCUCCAGUAGUUUUUUAUAAUCUCGGUGAAGUUUCAGCUCAUUUGGAGUUCUGCAGAAUAGGUAACUCGGUGUAGCUUUUUCAGGUCGAGACUUCCAGCUGUCGGUAUUACUCCCUUUUGUGCAAACCUUGCAUAUUAUUAGAUAAAAUGCAUUAGAAAUACUCCCAAAAGCAAUAUUAUGCAUAAAAAAUUAAAAAUAAUAGUAGGAAAACAUGAUGCAAAAUGGACGUAUCAACUCCCCCAAGCUUAGACCUCGUGUGUCCUCAAACGAAAAACCGGUAUCGAAAAACAUUUCCACAUGCUUAGAGAGAGAGGUGUCAAUAGAAACAAAAUACGGACACAGAAGCAUCAUGCAUAGUAUCAUAACACCAAUAAAUUUCUUAAUAACACUUCAUAAUAGGACUUUAUCUUAUGACUUCUCAUGAAAAGUAACAAUUCAUCACAAUAUCAAAGUAGAAGCAUAAACUUUAUUGAAAACCAACAAACUAUGUUCUUGAUCAACUUUGCAACUACAAUUCAUCAUCUUGUCAGGAAGGGUCUCAUGUCAGAGCUUUUUGGCAAGUACACAUGCUAAACCAUCAUAUAAUCUUCUAUGAUUGCUAACACUCACCGCAUACACAUGAGCAACAGGUUUCAACCAUACACAUAGAAGGAUAGGGGCUUUUAGUUUCGCCACCCAACGUAUUCACCUCAAGGGUGAUGUCAGUAAUAAUAACUCAUGCUCACCCAUAUUCAACUGGAUAUAUGUGCCUAGAUCUUUCCUCGCCACAUGAUGCUUGCAAAAAGAUAAGAAUAAAAAGAAGUAGAAGAAAAUAUUUGACUCUUUGCAUGAAAAUAAAAGAUAGGCCCUUCGUAGAGGGAAGCAGAGGUUGGCAUGCACUUAUUUGCUUGUAUGAUAAAUCCCAUAAUGUAAAAGAACAUCACAUUAUAUAGCCCCUUACGAUAGCAACCUUUAUUAUGCAGUCCAUCGCUUUUAUUACUUUGCCAUCACAAGUUCGUACAACACUCCAUUUUAUCUUACACUAAAUGGUCCAACACAUUUAGAAGCAAUUUUUAUUGCCUUAUUGCACCGAUGACAACUUACUUGAAGGAUCUUACUCAAUCCAUAGGUAGGUAUGGUGGACUCUUUGGAAUAAUGUUUGGGUUUAAGGCUUUUUUGGAUGCACAAAUAGUAUCUCUAUUUAGUAUGAAAUUUUUGGUCAGGAAAGAUACCGAGCAAGCACGACAUGUCAAAGGAUCCAUGACAAUAUAACUUCUAUGUGAAUAUAAGCAAGCAUAAUCAUUACGUUGUCUUCCUUGUCCAACGUCAACCGUUUUAGCAUAUAAUAUUUUGACGGGGACUCAUAAUCAUAAAAGAUGUCCAAGAUAGUAUAUUUGCAUGUGAAUCUUCUCUUCCCUUGUUAACUUUUUCAUGAGUUGCAUUACUGACCAAUAUUAUGUUUGUCAAUAUCCAACAGAUUUUACUACUUAUACUCUUCCUUAUGUAAUGUCAUUACUCGACAUAAGACUAGUAUAUGAUCUUAUUCAUUUAUUUCCUUUCCUUUAUUUUGAUUGCAACAUAGAACUAAAGAAAGAAAAACUUGAAGUAAGUUUAUUAUAUCUCGACACACGAUUACAAAGAUAGAUCACUAAGAAAACACUCGAAAAGAAAGGAUCGAACUAAACUUAUUAUUCAACUAAAUCAUAGGAAAAGUAAGGAUCAAACUUAAGUAGAUAAAAAUAAAGAUAGUGGUGUGGUAUGAUACCAGGGCACCUCCCCCAAGCUUGGAUCAAGCCAAUGUGAGUGACCAUACCCGAUACUCAAUCCUGCUUGGGUGGUGAAGAUGAUGAAAGUGGUGGUGAUGACGUAGUAGGUUUGUCCUCCGGUUUCCAUGGAAGUGGCUCACCGUCAUAAGAGGAAGCGAGGGUCAUGGGAGUCCUGCAGCUAGCACCCAAACUCAUACCUUUGAACCUUGUCUCAUAUUCAAAGACUUGGUUUUGGAGAUCAUAGAUUUGUCUUGCAGAAAGUUCAUUUUCUCAUCGAAAGUGAAGACAAUGUCCUACAUGGACUUUCCAUCCACCUUGAGAUCAUGGGUGAAGUCCGCGAUCAUGAGGUGAUUGGCGUCGAAUUCAUGUUCCACCAUCCCCUUGCACUUGAAGAUCUCUUGUUCCAUAGCUUCGAGUCUAUCCUCCAUGGUUCCCUUCCCCUGGGAUCCCUGGACGUCUCGGAGGUGGAGCACCCUCACACGCAUGUCGAUGGACUGAAUGGUGCUGCAUCACCCCCCGCAAAUAUGGGUUGACGACCUUGUCGGAGAACUUGUCCUUGGAGGAGCUUGAAGGAGCCAUGCCGAUCUAGAUCUGGAGAAAACAACAAAGAACAAGAACAAGAGAUUUCUCUGUGGUACGGUGGUCAAUACGGUCAGGGAGCAUAUAAAGAGUUUUUAUCUUGGGAAACAAGCACAACGAGGGGAAAACAGAGUCAGGAAGGUGUCCGAGGUGGGCACCACCCACCUGGGCGUGCGUGGGGUGCCUGGUGCGCCUUGGUGUCUUGUUCCCUCCAUGGGUACCUUCUGGGUUGUUUCUUAUUUUCCAAAUUUUUAUACAUCCAAAACUGAUAAAAAAUAUUUUUGUGGAUUUUUCAUAGUCUGUUUACUUACCGUAUCACAUACGUCCUAUUUUUCACGAUUCUAGAGUGUUUCAGAACGUUUCCCUUUUGUGUUCCUUCGGUGUCAUGGUUUGAAUAAUAUUGCUUUCAACAUUAUUGGGCGUACCUGCUAUGUAGUGCUUAAUUCUUUGAACAUUGACCAGCUUAGGGUUAGUACCUUCGGCAUUAUUUAUUUUGAUAGCUCGAGAACAAUAAACUUCUUCGAUGAUAUAAGGUCCUUCCCAUUUAGAGAGAAGUUUUCAUGGAAAGAAUCUUAAACGAGAGUUGUACAAAAGAAGAUAUUCUCCCAUUUAAAUUCCCACUUUUGAAUUCUUUUAUCAUGCCAUCUUUUAACUUUUAUUUUAAAUAGUUUGCCAUUUUCAUAAGCUUGGGUUCUCCAUUCAUCUAGCAAGCUAUAUGAAAUAACCUCUUUUCACUGGCAGGUUUGAAAUCAUAGUUGAGCUCUUUGAUUGCCCAAAAUGCUUUGUGUUCUAACUCAAGAGGCAAAUGACAAGCUUUUCCAUAGACCAUUUUAUAGGGAGGCAUACCCGUAGGACUUUUAUAGGAUGUUCUGUAGGCCCAAAGUUCAUCAUCUAAUUUCUUAGACCAAUUCUUUCGAGACCAAUUGACAGCAUUUUGUAAUAUCAAUUUUAUUUCUCUAUUGCUAAGUUCAACUUAUUCACUAGAUUGAGGAUGAUAGUGUGAUGCAAUUCUAUGGUUAACAUCAUACUUAGCAAGCAUUUUAUGGAAGGCACCAUGAAUAAAGUGUGAACCACCAUCAGUCAUUAGAUAUCUAGGGACUCCAAACCUAGGGAAAAUAAAUUCUUUAAGCAUUUUAAUGUAAGUGUUAUGAUCAGCACUACAAGUUGGAAUGGACUCUACCCACUUAGUAACAUAAUCAACAGCAAACAAAAUAUGAGUAUACCCAUUAGAGGAAGGAAACGGUCCCAUAUAAUCCAAACCCCAAACAUCAAAUGGUUCAACAACAAGUGAAUAAUUCAUAGGCAUUUCUUGACGCUUACCGAUAUUACCAAUUCUCUAACAUUCAUCACAAGAUAAAACAAACUUAUGUCCAUCCUUGAAGAGAGUAGGCCAAUAAACCAGAUUACAAUACCUUGUGAGUAGUUCUAUCUUUCGCAUGAUGUCCUCCAUAAGCUUCAGAGUGACAUUUUCGUAGGAUUUUUUCUUGUUCAUGCUCGGGUACACAAUGUGUAAUUAUACCAUCUACUCCUUCUUUAUAAAGAUGUGGGUCAUCCCGAAAGUAAUGUCUUCAAUCAUAGAAGAUUUUUUUCUUUUGUUGGUAUAUGAAACUAGGUGGUAUAUAUUUGGCAACAAUAAAUUUAGCAUAGUCAGCAUACCAAGGUGUGUUGUGAGAAAAAUUUAUUGCAACUAAUUGUUCAUGAGGGAAACAAUCAUGAAUAGGUAGUGGGUCAUCAAGAACAUUUUCGAACCUAGACAAGUUAUCAGCAACGGGGUUUUCAACUCCUUUCCUAUCAGUAAUGUAUAAAUUAAAUUCUUGUAGCAAGAAAACCACCUAAUGAGUCUAGGUUUAGCAUCUUCCUUUUCCAUCAGAUAUUUUAUAGCAGCAUGAUCAGUUUGAACAAUUACUUGGGAAUCAACAAUAUAAGGUCUGAAUUUAUCACAAGGAAACACAACUGCUAAAAAUUCCUUUUCAAUGGUAGCAUUAUUCCUUUGAGCAUUUUCUACAGUUUUACUAGCAUAAUGGAUGACGUUUAAUUUUUUACCAACUCUUUGUCCUAGACUAGCACCAACAGCAUAGUCACUGGUAUCACACAUAAUUUCAAAAGGCAAGUUCUAAUCAGGUGGUUAAACAAUGGGUGCAGUGAUCAAGGCUUUCUUAAGUGUUUCAAAGGCUUCUACACAAUCAUCAUCAAAAACAAAUGGAACAUCCUUUUGUAAAAGUGUUGUAAGAGGCCUAGAAAUUUUAGAGAAGUGUUUAAUAAAUAUCCUAUAGAAACCAGCAUGACCAAAGAAACUAUGAAUACCUUUGAUAUCUUUAGGACACGACAUUUUCUCAAUUGCAUGAACUUUAGCUUUAUCCACCUCAAUGCCUCACUCGGAAAUUUUAUGACGCAAGACAAUACCUUUAUUAACCAUAAAGUGGGACUUCUCCCAAUUCAAGACAAGAUUAGUUUGCCCACAUCUCUACAAAACUCGAUCAAGGUUGCUCAAGCAAUCAUCAAAAGAAGUUCCAUAAAUAGAAAAAUCAUCCAUGAAAACCUCAACAAUCUUUUCACAAAAAUCAGAGAAUAUAGCAGUCAUACAUCUUUGAAAGGUAGCAGGUGCAUUGCAUAAACCAAAAGGCACGCGUCUAUAAGCAUAAGUUCUAAAAGGACAGGUACAAGUGGUUUUCUCUUGAUCAGAUUAUGAAACAACUAUUUGAGAGAAACCUCAAUGUCCAUCUAAGAAGCAAAAAAUGUGUGUUCUUAGGGAGUCUUUCCUGCAUUUGAUCGAUAAAAGGUAAAGGGUAAUGAUCCUUUCUAGUUGCUGUCUUUAAUUUCCUGAAAUCAAUUACCAUUCUAUAGCCAAUGACAAUUCUUUGUGGGAUAAGUUCAUUCUAGUCAUUAGAAACAACAGUAAUACCUCCUUUCUUAGGGACACAAUGAAUGGGGCUUACCCAUCUACUAUCAGCUAUGGGAUAGAUUAUACCUGCUUCCAGAAGCUUUAAUAUUUCAAUUCUUACCACUUCUUUAAUUUUGGGAUUCAACUAACGUUGAUGAUCAACAACGGGUUUAGCAUCAGGUUCCAUAUUAAUCUUGUGCUGACAUAGAGUGGGACUAAUGCCCUUAAGGUCAUCAAGAGUAUAUCCAAUAGCAGCUCGGUGCUUCUUCAGAACUUUCAAUAAUCUUUCUUCUUCAUGUUCUGAAAGGUUAGCACUAAUAAUGACAUGAUAUAUCUUCGUUUCAUUAAGAUAAGCACAUUUCAAAGUUUGAGGCAAUUGUUUCAAUUCAUACACAUGAUCAGCUUUAGGUGGAGGAGAAUAUCCUAGAGUUUCAAUAGGUAAAUUGUGUUUAAGUAGAGGUUGUUGUUCAAAUAAGGUGUCUCUAUUUCACUUCUUUCAUGCAUAUGCAUAUUAUUUUCAUGGUCUAGCAAAUAUUGUUUCAAAGGAUCAGUAAGAGGCACGGCAAUAGAAGCAAGACCAAUUAUCCCAUUUUUAUUAGGAAAUUCUUCCUUGUAAAGUUUUCUGUUAAACUUGGAAAAAAUAAACUCAUGAGAAUCACCACCAAAAUUAACACCGACAAUUCGGUUAUGACAAUCUAUAGUAGCAUUAACGAUGUUCAAGAAAGGUCUACCAAAGAUAAUUGGAAAACGUCAUCUUGUGCAGAACCAAGGACAAGAAAAUCAGUAGGAUAUUUUGUUUUCCCAUACAAGAAUUCAACAUCUACAACAAUCCCAAGUGGUGUGAUGCUGUCUCUAUUAGCAAGUUUAACAGUAACAUCUAUGUGUUCUAUUUCAGCAGGUGCUAUUUCAUCCAUAAUUUCUUGAUACAAAGAAAAGGUAAUAGCACUUAUGCUAGCACCUAUAUCACAUAAACCAUGGUAACAAUGAUCUCCUAUUUUAACUGAAAUGACACGCAUGCCAACAACUGGUCUAUGUUUAUCUUUCCCAUCAGGGUCAGCAAUUCUAGUAGUUUGACCACGGAAGUAGAUAGCAUUCCCAUAAAUAUUUUAUUCCAAGAUAUAUUUACCAUAUCAACAUUACAUCUACCUUAAGUUAUUCAGAAGUUUUAGGUGCUUUAAUAUCACUUUUGUGAAUCACAGUUGAAACCUUAGCAUGUUCUUUUAUCUUAACAGGAAAAGGAGGUUUUUCGAUGUAAGCAGUAGGGACAACGGGGUCAACAUUAUAAAUGAUAGUUUAUUAUUUGGCUAUUAUUGGUCAUUUAAUUUCUUAUUUAAUAGGGGGAUGAUAUUUAAACCACUUCUCCUUAGGGAGAUCAAUAUGACUAGAAAAUGAUUCACAAAAAGAGGCUAGUAUCUCAGAGUCAAGUCCAUAUUUAGUGCUAAACUUUUGUAAAGCAUGGGUAUUCAUAAAAGAUUUAACACAAUCAUACUUAAGCUUAAUACCUGACUCUUUACCUUUGGCAAGUUCCCAAUCUUCAGAGUCGCGUUUAAUUCUUUCUAAGAGAUCCCACCUCAAUUCAAUAGUCUUCUUCAUAAAAGAACCAGUACAAAACGCGUCAAGCAUGGUUUGACUAUUACGAGAAAGACGAGCAUAAAAGUUUUCAAUAAUAUUUUCUCUCAAGAGCUCAUGAUUGGGGCAUGAAUAUAACAUUUACUUAAGUUUCCCCCAAGCUAGAGCGAUAAUUUCUCCUUCACGAGGCCAAAAAUUAUUUGUAUAAUUCUGGUUACGAUAAACUAGAUGCAUAGGAUAAAAUAUUUGAUGAAAUUCCAUUUGCAAUCGAUUCCAGUUCCAUGAUCCAAUAUCAUCACAUAGCCUAUACCAUGCCAUGCUGUUACCUUCAAAUAUAAAGGGAAAAUCUUCCUUUUAACAUCACCUUCGGGUAAACCUGCAAGCUUAAAUAAUCCAUAAAUUUCAUCUACAUAUAUCAAGUGCUUAUGAGGAUGUUCAGUUCCAUCUCGUGCAUAAGGAUUAGCUAGCAGUUGUUCUAUCAUACCCGAAGGAAUUUCAUAACUAAUAUUUUCAGUAGGUGAAGUAGGUUGAGGGGCAAAUAAUUGUGCUUCCAGUCAAGGUGAAGAUACCCCGAACAAACCCCUCAAAUGAUUGUUUUGCAUAGUAUCAAGUGACAAUAAAUUUCAGCACAUACCAAUAAAUUUUCCUUACCAAUUUCCACUUACCAAGAGCGCUUCACUCCCCGGCAACGGGGUGAGAAAAGCGUCUUGAUGACCCACAAGUAUAGACAAUCAAUUGUAGUCCUUUUGAUAAGUAAGAGUGUCGAACCCAACGAGAAGAAGAAGGAAAUGACAAGUGGUUUUCAACGAGAUUAUUUCUGCAAGCACUAAAACAGCGGUAGCAAGUUGUUUCGUAGCAAGAUAGUUGUAACAAGUAACUGGUAGCAAGAGUACACUACAGGAAUCACCUUCUUUGCCGUCUGCCAUCACAAACGGCAAAGACAGUAUCCCUGACGGCAAAGACAAUACCACAAACGGCAAAGAUUGUCACGGCCGGCAAAAUUUCUGCGUCAGCCUACGACGGCAUAGGACCUUCUUUGCCGUCUGCCCCCCCAAAGAGGACGGCAAAGUUCUUUGCCGUCAGCUUUCAUUAGGAGCAGUCGGCAAAACUUUUGAGACGGCAGCCGACAGGCGUUGCCUCCAUUAGGGGUUAACAGAGCCUUCGCCGUCUGCCUGCCCGUCAAUCUUUGCCGUCUGCCUCCCCGUCAAUCUUUGUCGUCUGCCUUCUACUCCCCUCCCCUCUCCUCCAUCUUUGCCGUCUGCCUCCAGGACAAUCUUUGCCGUCUGCCCGGUCGUCCCCUCCCCCCUCUCUGCACUCUUUGCCGUCUGCCUUCUGUGCCCUCUUCUUUGCCGUCUGCCCCCCAGGAAGCGGACGGCAAAGAGACUAUAUGACCAGCAGCUACUGCCCAGGUUGUACAGCUGGGCGCCACGUGGCACCUUUGUUGUCGGCUGGCUGACGGCAAAGGCCUUUGCCAUCAGCUGGCAGACGGCGAAGAGCCUAUAUUGUCACAUAUUUAUUUAUUUUUUCUAUUUCACAGCACAUAUACAUAUAAUUCAUAGCACAUAUAUCAUAAAUAAAUCACAACACAUAUAUGAUAUACAUAUAAAGCUCAUCAAUGCCAUUUGUUCAUCAACGUACAUCCCAUAUGUCAAAAGAACCAACACAUACAAAGUUUCAUCCAUAUAUACAUACAUAUAGUUGCACAUAUAUUGUUAUCAACACAUUGUUCAUCAACACAUACAAAGAACCAACACAUUUUUCAUCAAAUCAAAUAAAAACAGAAACUAAAGCACACCAACGCCAGCUUCCAUGCAUGUAGUACAUCCAAUCUGCAAAAUGGGAAUAAGAAAGUCAAAAGAAGAAGAAGAAGAACAUAUAUAUUACAAAUAAGCUAAAUUGAAGAAGAAAGAGAAGAAGCAAGAAGAGAACAAGGAGAAGAAAAACAAGAAGGAGGAGGAGGAGUAGGGGAAGGGGAAGGAGAAGGAGAAGGAGAAGGAGGAGGAGAAGAAGAAAAAAGAAGAGAAGAAGAAGGAGAAGAAGGAGGAGAAGAAGGAGAAGAAGGAGGGCUCCUUCUCCUUCUUAUUCUCCUCCUUCUCCUUCUUCUUCUCUUCUUCUCCUCCUCCUCCUUCUUCUUAUUCUCCUUCUCCUUCUCUUCUUCUUCUCUUCUUCUUCUUCUUCUUCCUUCUCCUUCUUUUUGAGAUAAAUAUUCCAAUUAUGUCAUUUUAGAGGAAAACAAGCUAACUAUAUAAUAUUCAUGAGCUAACCAAGGUUCUUAUGCCAUUUUGAGCUUANNNNNNNNNNNNNNNNNNNNNNNNNNNNNNNNNNNNNNNNNNNNNNNNNNNNNNNNNNNNNNNNNNNNNNNNNNNNNNNNNNNNNNNNNNNNNNNNNNNNNNNNNNNNNNNNNNNNNNNNNNNNNNNNNNNNNNNNNNNNNNNNNNNNNNNNNNNNNNNNNNNNNNNNNNNNNNNNNNNNNNNNNNNNNNNNNNNNNNNNNNNNNNNNNNNNNNNNNNNNNNNNNNNNNNNNNNNNNNNNNNNNNNNNNNNNNNNNNNNNNNNNNNNNNNNNNNNNNNNNNNNNNNNNNNNNNNNNNNNNNNNNNNNNNNNNNNNNNNNNNNNNNNNNNNNNNNNNNNNNNNNNNNNNNNNNNNNNNNCUCCUCCUCCUUCUUCUUCAUCUCUUCUUCUUCUUCUAUCUUUUCAUUUUUCUUAUUUCUUCUCCUCUUCUCCUAUUGUUGGAGCUAAAUUACCUAAUUAUGUCUUUUUCGAGCUAAAUAUUCCAAUUAUGUCAUUUUAGAGGAAAACAAGCUAAGUAUAUAAUAUUCAUGAGCUAACCAAGGUUCUUGUGCCAUUUUGAGCNGGAAAACAAGCUAAGUUUGGAGGAGAAACUUACCGUAGUGGUCAUCAAGGAGGCGAAGCACCACGGUUGCUCGCGCCGGCUUCGUUUGGAGACGGUUGCCCUCGAGAAGGGUCGUGCGAUGCCGCUCGGGAGUUAUUCUGCAGAAAAGAUAUUUUGCAAUGUCUCAGUUAGCAUGAUGACACUUAAUUAUUAAUACUAGUUUAUAAUAAUUCUCACCGUGCCAAUCAAAGAGAAGACGGGCAUCGGCNNNNNNNNNNNNNNNNNNNNNNNNNNNNNNNNNNNNNNNNNNNNNNNNNNNNNNNNNNNNNNNNNNNNNNNNNNNNNNNNNNNNNNNNNNNNNNNNNNNNNNNNNNNNNNNNNNNNNNNNNNNNNNNNNNNNNNNNNNNNNNNNNNNNNNNNNNNNNNNNNNNNNNNNNNNNNNNNNNNNNNNNNNNNNNNNCUCUUCUCACACAGACCCUGAAGAAUGGGUCGUAUUAGUUAGUAUUGAAACAGGCAUUACACACAUGAUUUGGCUAAUGUGAAAAAAAACAUACCACAAAAAGCUAGUACAGGGCCCGUUGACCCGCCUCAUUCCGGGCCCUCUCCUCCUCAAGCAAUCGUGUCGUGGUCUGGUCCCUCUCAUCAAGAGCAGCCUGAAGAGUAGCCUGGCUUGCCAAUCUCUCUUUCUCAAGAGCAGCCUGGUUUGCCGCUCUCUCUUUCUGAAGAGCAGCCUGAAAAACAAUUCCUCGUUACCACAGUAAUGAUCUAUGGUGACACACAUAAUGAAAAGGAUGAAAGUGUUCUUAGUCCGUACAACUAACCUCGAUGGCAAGUUCGGCUGACCGUGGACGAGGCGUUAUCUCAGGACAUUUGCUCGACUGGCGCGCCUUGAUCUCCGGAAGAGUGAGUGGACAACGUAUUAUCCCAUCUCCAAUGGCUAUCGAGCCAUGGGGCCUCCCGCCACCAGAUAUCAUCACCAGCUCUGGAUACAAAGGUUCCUGGCUAGGGUUAAAGUCAUCCCCUUUCGUAGCCUUCCCCGCGUCCCUGUAUGCCACGAGCUUCUGGUGGGAUGAUAUGUUGGUGAAGUUACUGGGAUCAUCCAGGUCAGACUCAGAGAAUGCCUUCGCCUUCUUGUACGAGGCAGUAUGGGCCAUGCCAUGAAGGUCGUACAAGUGUGGCAUCUCAGUCUUAUUGUGAUGCGCCUAAAAGAGAGGAACAAAAUGUUAGCAUCAAGAAUGAGUUGCAUGAAUCAUGAAGCAAAUCACAUACCCAGUUUCGUCCAAACUGAAGUCAAUUGGCGCUGCCUUGAUGGUGUGGCACACCAACCAUUUGUCUACGCCGAUCCUUCGCAUUCUCGUGGACGGCUCGCCAGCUGCCUGUGCACCACUCAUCAACCAAUGCCUCCCAACAAUCCAUCUUAUCCGCACACCAUCUCGGGGGCACCUGUAAGUUAUUAGAAAGAAUUUUCAGUGCUACGCCUAUGAAUGAAAUCAAGAAAACUACGUAGAAGGACUUAAUAAUAGGUAAUUACCUUCAUGUAUUGCUCCUUCUUCAGAAACUUUCCACGGCAAUCCUUCUUCUCCUUCUUAAUACCACGCGUGGCAUAGUAAUCUCGAAUAGCCUGCGGCCUAGCGUCGUGGCGCAAGUUCUGUAGUAACCGCCUACACUCGACCUCGAGAACCCUGGCUGCCUCCUCCUCAUAUCCAUCCUCACACCUAUAGAAGGUCUGCAAUCAAACGUGAAAACACCGAUUAGUACAAUAAUUAGGUAUAUUGUUAAUUUUAGAUUCUGUAAAAGGAUAAUUUACCCAAAAGCUCCUAAUCACCAUCUCAGCCCUCGUGUGGCACAAGACACCAUCUAUAAUCUCCUCCGGCUGGGCCUGCGCAGCCUGGUAGUGCUCCCAGGUAAAUCCUAGUGUAGGAACCUGACCCUCACCAGGCAACGUGACAAACCCCGGGAAAUUUGUCCGGCAAAGCACACCAAGGACGGAGUUCGGCCUGCGGACUCCAACAGGGUGUACCCAUCCCCUGCAGUAUGAUAAGGUCAGCGCAUUAGAUAUUUGAACAAACUUGAAGGCAAAAGCUAAAAAAAGGGUAAAUGUACUUACCUAUCUCCUUCAGGUUUAAUCACCGGCCUCUGCUCGCGGGUAGCCGGGGCGACCGGGAGACGUGUACUACCACGCCUGUACACGGUGUCCCCGUCCACCUACACAUCGCCCUCACUAUCCGUAAGCUCAUCCCCGCCAUCCCCGCCCCCUGAGCCACCCGGACCCUCGGUCCAAUCCGGCAACUCGGUACGAUCCGGCCAAGGCUCCCAUCCGGCCCUGUCCACGUCGGGUGAAGCCUCCGGAACCGUAGUCUCCUCCGGCUGCUCCUGGGCCGAAUGCACCUCGACCCGAGGCUGCUCCUGGACCGGAGUCUCAUGGGACGAAUGCCCGUGAACACCAGGCUCCUGGACCGGAGUCCCCGUAGCCUCCUCCGCAAACGGGUCGACCAUACUAGUCCUAUGCUCGGGUGAAUGAGCCGCUGGUGGUGGCGAGGACGGCUCAACAGUCCUCUUGGAUCUUCCACGGCCACCACCUCUCCCUGUACCCUUCCCCUUCCUCCCUACCCGACCAGCACCUCUCCCAGUGGGCAAGGCCGCCGACGAAGAAGAACCCCCGGCUGGUGUCGAAAGACUGUCUGCCAAGGCUAUACGGAGAGAUAGGGGUGGAAGGGAAGUACCACCCCUCGUGCGGGUCGCCUGGGAAGAACCCGUCGAGCGCUCUGGACCCGCGCCCACCAUCUUUCAACACCUGCCAUGAUAAAGAUUAAAAGAAAUUAGUACAACAUAAAAAAAUUGAAUGACUGACAUGAAUAAUAAUAUGUACAUGAAUAAUAAAGAUUAAAAUAUAUAUAAUUUAAGUUGUGAAUCUUACAAACUAAUAAUCAUCAUCAAUAAAUGCAUCAUCAUCAUCACUAUCACGCAUGUCUUCAUGAAUGACGUGCUCAUCGCGUUCAACGGCGUGAAGUUGUGAAAGGCCUUCCUUUAAUCAUUGAAGCAUUGACAGGUCAUCCGCAUCAGUAACCUCUACGAGUUCCAGGUCUUCUGGUUCCAGCUUAGGGCUGGAGUCGGAUUCAUUGUCGCUGUCUACUUCCAUGUUCUUGCAUGAAGCAUGGCGGUUCUUGAAAUGUUUCUUGGAAAGACAUGCUUCUUGGAAGAAUUCUCCAUCAUAUGUGUCUGGGUUAAUGUGAGGUUCAUAAUCCUGUUCAUUUGGGAGAGGUGGUCUGACAUGUCGCGGCACUUCAUAAACAACAUACCAACCUUCCAGAUUCUUAUCCGUUUGGCAUGCCCACGGUAGAUAGAAAACUUGGGUCGCCUGUUGAGCCGUAAUAUAGACAUCAGGAACAUCUAAAUGGGUGUUUGGAUUGAUUUCGACUAGUCCUAUAUGUUCAUGAGUCCUUCUAUUCUUUUUCAGCUGGAACCAAUAACAUUUGAAGACUACGACGUUCGGUGGGUUAUCACCAUAGAAUUGAAGUUCAUAAAUUGCUUCAACUCUUCCAUAAUACUCGAUAACACCUUCGCCGAUAGCAGAGACACCACAAUUUGUAGAUUUCCGGUCGGGCAUAGAUAGCUCUUUGCCAAAGGUACGAAAGAGAUACCCGUUGAUGUUGUAUUUCUCAAAUGAACGGACCUUAUAGUCAAAACCAUUAGCGACUUGUCUCAAUUCGGCGUCCAUAGACUCUGAAUUAGCCUACAAGUUUAAUACGAAACGGUUGUUGCAUUAGCCGCAAGUUAGACCAAGAAUGAAAUGGUCCGUUAUUGAUAAUUACCGUUUGUUUGAACAAAGAGAUGAAACCGGGAUAGCCGCCUCCUAUCUUUGACAGAAGCUCAUACUCUUCGACGGAAUCAUUUUCGAUCACCGCUCCAUCCGAGAAUUUGACGAUGUAAUGACUGUUUGAAAUAUCCGGGAAUAAGAGUAGUUCAAAUGAAUUAGAAGUUACGGGAAAAUGUGCCGAGAACUCACUCGAUGUACGGCCGCACUUCUGUUAGGUUGUUGGAGAUAUACAACGAAAUGUUCCGCCAUUCUUCGAUAUCCAACGUUAUUGGUUUCGAAGCACCGGCUGGUGCGAGCUUCCCUUUGAAUAGACUGAGGUUGGACCCACCUUUUUUAGGGUCUCCAUCAUUGUGCCGAGGCUUCGGGUUAUGCAAAUGAUGAUUUUUGGCUUCGUAGUGUGCUGUCACAAAGUUUGCCACCUCCUCAGUAAUGAAUGCCUCAGCCAUCGAUGCUUCAGUUCUACGCUUAUUUUUACAUUUAGCUCGAAGGGUCUUCUGCAUCCUCUCAGUUGCAUAGCACCAACGAUCUUGCAUGGGCCCACCCAAUCUUGCCUCGGUCGGUAGAUGUAAAAUCAAAUGCUGCAUUGGAUUAAAGAAGCCCGGUGGAAAGAUCUUCUCUAACUUGCACAACAACUCCGGUGCAAACUCCUCCAUGUCUUCUACCACGCCAGGCGACAAUUCUUUCACACAAAGUACAUGGAAGAAAUAGCUCAGCUCCGCCAGUACUAGCCAUUCAUCCUCAGGAAUAAAUCCACGUAACAUCACCGGCAUUACCUGCUCUAGCCAUAUGUGCCAAUCAUGACUCUUGAGACCAAAGAUUUUUAUUUUUUCAAGACUCGCUCCCCUCUUUAGAUUCGCUGCAUACCCAUCGGGGAACAUCAAGUGCAUUUUGACCCACAAGAUAAUUUCCCUCAUAGCUGGCCUUCCAAGAUUGAACCAGGCCUUUGGCUUCGACCACUUCUGCUUUCCUUUGCCUUCUCGCAUGUUCUGUAACGGUCGAUGACAUAGUGUCUCUUGAUCGACUCUAGCCUUAAUAUUAUCCUUUGUCUUCCCAUCUAUGUCGAACAAUGUACCAAAAAUAGCCUCUCCGAUAUUCUUUUCAGUGUGCAUCAUGUCGAUAUUGUGCGGAAGAAGGAGGUCUUUGAAGUAAGGCAGAUCCCACAAGCAUGGCUUGUGAGUCCAGGCAUGUUUUGAAUUAUACCCCUUGAAAUACCCUGGACGCUCUGGAUCAGGCUCAAGGGCGUUUUACUGAUCCAGGAUCUGUUGGCCUGUGAACGCAGGUGGUGACAAGUUUUUGACAACUUUACCUUUGGUAAAGUUCUUCUUGUCUUUUCUGAACUGAUGGUCAGGAUCCAGGAACUGUCUAUGCAAGUCAAAGCAAGAAUACUUCCGACCCUCCUGCAACCAAUGAAACUGAAGAGGUGCCUUGCAUUGGGGGCACGGGAACCUUCCAUGCACACACCAUCCAGAGAAUAGCGCAUACGCUGGCAAGUCAUGCAUAGAGUACAUGUACCACACAUGCAUUUUGAAGUUUUAUUUUCUAGUGGCAUUGUAUGUCUUGACCCCAUUUUCCCAAGCUUCUUCCAAUUCAUCCUUAAGCGGUUGCAGGUACACAUUCAUAUUCUUCCCCGGAUAAUUGGGCCCUGGAAUUAUCAACGUCAGAAAUAUGUUCUUUCUUUGCAUAAUCUGCCCGGGGGGGAGAUUGAGUGGAAUGACAAAUACAGGCCAACAACUGUAUUGGGUUGCCGUCAUGCCGAAGGGAUUAAAACCAUCCGUGGCGGCGCAGACUCGAGGAUUCCUUGGAUCUGCCGCUUUAUCCGGAUGCAAUCCAUCGAAAUGUUUCCACGCUUCCCCAUUCGAUAUGUGUACCAUCAUCUUCUUCCCAUCCGCAUCUAGUUCGAUUCUUUUGCCCAAUUUGUGCCAUGUCAUCUGUCUGGCAGUCUCUUCGACCAUGAAAAGACGUUGAAGUCUUGGUACGAUUGGCAUAUACCGAAGAACACUAACUGCGAUUUUGGUCUGCCUCUUCUCACCCAUACCAUUGUCUACCAGAAGAUACCUGCAAGACUCGCAAUUGGGACAAUAGUCCAAGUGUGCAUACUCCUUCCUAAAUAAGACACAUCCUUUCUCACAUGCAUCUAUCUUCUCAUAGGGCAUCUUAAGUACACGAACUAUUUUGUCCGACUGGUACAGGUUUGCAGGCAUGACAUGGCCUUUGGGUAGGAAACGUCCAAAUAGUGUCAUCAUCGCGUCGUAGCAUUCUCUUCCCAAGUUGAACUGAGCCUUCAGAGCCAUUACUUGUGCAAUUGCAUCCAGCUGACAGAGCUCAGUGUGCUCAUGGAGAGGACAUUUUGAAGACUCCAACAUUUCAUAAAAGGCCUUUGCAGAUUCCUCCAUCUUAUCUUCCGAAUCCCGAGCAUCAUGAAAGUCUUGCACCAUGUCUUCGAUCCCAGUACCAUGCUCGUCCGUGUGACGACGGACCACCUCAUCUCUUGUGCGUUGUAUAGACUCACCAUGAAAUGUCCACACCGUAUAAUUAGGCAUAAAACCCCUCCUCUGCAUGUGUUUAAUCAUUACAGCCUCUGUCGUCUUUUUAUAGUUGUCGCAUCCAGGACAGGGGCAAUAGUUUCUUUCCUAGCCAUUUGCGAAUGCGGCUUUCAAAAAUUCCUUUGUUUUUAAAAACCAUUCUUUCGUCAUCUCUUUCUGACUAGGGUGACCGGUAUACAUCCACGCACGAUCACUCAUCUUGCAUAGCUACUAAAGAGAGAAGAAAUAUAUUUAUAUAUAAUUUAGCAUUUAUAUUCAUCGGUUAAUCAGGUUCGUCAUUUUUAUUACGUCUAGGCAACCUACACGCUAAUAGGUAAAGAUAGGUCCUAAUCCCACCCGAGUAUGUGUAGAUUGGGUUCGUUUUCCCAUGCUCUGCUCCGGAUCCAACGCAAAAUUUUGGCAGCACCUCCCCGCUGUUAUCCUGAUACACGUCUCCGCAAUAAACAGAGAGGAUGUGCAUCCGGAGAACAACAGGGAGGCACUGACGAAAUUCCGCAUCGGAUCCAGAGCAUAGCAUACGGGAAAACGAACCCAAUCUACACAUACUCGAGUUGUCCCUGGAUAAUGUUGGACAAUUCAAAAGGAUGGCGGUUAUAAAUAUGCAAAGACAUGCAUAUUUAUAGAUGUCACCCUUUCGAACGGGAGACGCAUACUGGUCACGCAUACUGAUAAAUUAAUUGAAUUACCUAAAUCUAGAAAGUUUCAUCCGGAAACCGAGCCACGGUAAAUGAAGGGGGGCGGGGAGGAGAUGAAAUUUGUACUGACCCACGAAUGCAGGGGCGGAGCUCGUACAACGCACGGGCAGGUCUUCGCACAGCAGACCUCACAACGACGAGACAACUAUCACAUGUAAAUCCUUUGAUCAACACAAAUAUUCCAAUUAUGUCAUUUUAGAGGAAAACAAGCAAAGUAUAUAAUAUUCAUGAGCUAACCAAGNNNNNNNNNNNNNNNNNNNNNNNNNNNNNNNNNNNNNNNNNNNNNNNNNNNNNNNNNNNNNNNNNNNNNNNNNNNNNNNNNNNNNNNNNNNNNNNNNNNNNNNNNNNNNNNNNNNNNNNNNNNNNNNNNNNNNNNNNNNNNNNNNNNNNNNNNNNNNNNNNNNNNNNNNNNNNNNNNNNNNNNNNNNNNNNNNNNNNNNNNNNNNNNNNNNNNNNNNNNNNNNNNNNNNNNNNNNNNNNNNNNNNNNNNNNNNNNNNNNNNNNNNNNNNNNNNNNNNNNNNNNNNNNNNNNNNNNNNNNNNNNNNNNNNNNNNNNNNNNNNNNNNNNNNNNNNNNNNNNNNNNNNNNNNNNNNNNNNNNNNNNNNNNNNNNNNCUCCUCCUCCUUCUCCUUCUUCUCUUCUUCUUCGUCUUCUUCUUCUUUCUUUUCAUUUUGCCUAUUUCUUCUCCUCUUCUCCUCUUGUUGGAGCUAAAUUACCUAAUUAUGUCUUUUUUGAGCUAAAUGGGCUAAUUANNNNNNNNNNNNNNNNNNNNNNNNNNNNNNNNNNNNNNNNNNNNNNNNNNNNNNNNNNNNNNNNNNNNNNNNNNNNNNNNNNNNNNNNNNNNNNNNNNNNNNNNNNNNNNNNNNNNNNNNNNNNNNNNNNNNNNNNNNNNNNNNNNNNNNNNNNNNNNNNNNNNNNNNNNNNNNNNNNNNNNNNNNNNNNNNNNNNNNNNNNNNNNNNNNNNNNNNNNNNNNNNNNNNNNNNNNNNNNNNNNNNNNNNNNNNNNNNNNNNNNNNUUCUUAUGCCAUUUUGAGCUUAUUAUGGUAUUUUGGAGCUAAAUGGACUAAUUAUGUCAUUGUUGGGGAAAUUAAAGCAAUUGCAAGGAUAAUAUGAAAUAGGAGAAGAAAGAUGAGGAGGAGGAGAAGAAGAAAUCAAGGAGGAGGAGGAGGAGAAGGACUAGAAGGUCCUUGGCCUUCUCCUCCUCCUCCUCCUCCUCCUCCUUCUCCUUCUUCUCUUCUUCUUCUUCUCUUCUUCUUCUUCUAUAUUUUCAUUUUGCCUAUNGCAGACGGCAAAGAAGCUCAUCUGGCCGGGGGAACCUUAGGUCAACCUACUCCCUUCUUUGCCGUCUGCUGGCGCCUUCUUUGCUGUCUGCCGCAGGCGGCAAAGAGCUGACUGCUGGCAAAGACCUUCUUUGCCAUCAGCUAGUUCUUUGCCGUCAGUUUUGCUGAAACUGAUGGCAAAGAGAGUCUUUGCCGUCCGCUAGCUGACGGCAAAGAAUAGGCAGACGGCAAAAUCUCUGAUUCCAGUAGUGAGUAACAAUAAGUGAACCAAGGUAGCCCAAUCCUUUUCUGGGAAAGGACAAGCCAAAGUGGUUUAUUGUAAUAGGCAAAGCGUUCUUCAGGGCACACGGGAAUUUCAUCUAGUCACUUUCACCAUGAUAGCUUAAUUCGUGUUCGAUAGUUUGAUAGUCUGAUAUGUGGGUGGACGAGUGCUUAGUUUUUGUUCUUACUUGAAAAAACCUCCUACUUAUGAUUAACUCCGUUGCAAGCAUCCGCAUCUACCAGGAAAGUAUUAAGAUAAAUAAAUAACCAUAGCAUUAAAGUUUUCGGUCCAAAUCGGUCCCUUAUGAAGUAGCGCAUAAACUAGUGUUUAAGCUUUUAUCACUCUAGCAACCCAUCAUAUAAUAACUACUCCACAAUGCAUUCACUUAGCCCCAAAUAUGUUGAAGAGUGAUGUAGUUGACGUUCACAUGACACCACUAAGGGAAUCACAACAUACAUACCAUAAAAUUAUUGAACACAUACCAAGUUCGCAUGAUUACUUGCAACAUGAUUUUUCCCGUGGCCUGAAGAACAAAAGUGACUUCUAACAAAUGAUAAACAUGCUCAAGAUCAGAGGAGCAUUAAUUUGCAUAAAGGAUCUGAACAUUUUGUCUUUCACCAAAUAAAACAUAUAGUAAUCAACUACAUGAUGUAAUGAACACUACUAGCCCUUGACAAGCAACAAUCUAAGGUUCCGGUGCAAAGAUUGAACACAAGAGAUGAACUAGGGUUUGAGAGGAGAUGGUGCUACUGAAGAUGUUGAUGAAGAUUGUCCUUCCCAAGAUGAGAGGGUUGUUGGUGAUGAUGAUGACGAUGAUUUCCCCCUCCGGGUGGAAGUUGCCCCGACGGAAUUUCUCUACCGGAGGGCAAAAGUACUCCUGCCCAAGUUCCGCCUCGAGACGGCGGCGCUUCAUCCCGAAGUUCCUCCUCUAUAUUUGUUAGGUCAAAACCAAAUAUAUACCAGAAGGGGGGUACCGGAGGUGGGCCGGGAUGAGCACCACCCACGAGGGCACACCUGAGUGCUCUGGUACGCCCUGGUGACUUGUGCUCACUAGGUGUCCCCCUCCGCUAAACCUUUGCUCCAGUAUUUUUUAUAUAUUCCACACAAAUUCUCUGUGAAGUUUCAGCUCAUUUGGAAUUCUGCAGAAUAGGUAACUUGACAUAGCUUUUUUAGGUCCAAAUUUCCAUCUGUCGGUAUUCCUCCCUUUUGUGAAAACCUUGCAUAUUAUGAGAGAAAAUGCAUUAGAAAUACUCCCAAAAGCAUUAUUAUGCAUAAAACAUUAUAAGUAAUAAUAGGAUAACAUGAUGCAAAAUAUAUGCAUAAUGGAGUCCGAAUUAGAAAUGGAAACUACAACCGACAAAGAAGUUCACUCGGUCCAAGCGCAUGAAGCCUUACCUCGUUCGGCGGCUGCUUCGCCGAGAAAGGAGGCACCAACCUGGUACCCCUGGGAUUGUAUCAGACGGAUGUAAUGGCCUUGAGCUUUUCUUCUAGCUGCUACGGCCCAAUCUCCUCCGAGUGAACGAGAGUUGGGUCAUUCGGACCGCUAUACAUCCACAUGGGGUGAGCCCUGACGUGUAGAGGCUGGAUCCUCCGCUGGAAAAAAUACUUCUAGAAGGUCCAUCCCAUUGAUAUUCUUCCGCAAUAGAGAAAACAAUGCUAGCACAAGGAUAUCUACGCCCGUCCUCUCUUCCUUCGACAUAGUCAGUGAGGGAGCCGACAUAAUUCCCUCAGGCGAAUAAGGUGCUAAGCCUGACUGACCCUUGCCGACUGGAACAUCCUGGCAAUAGAACCCAGAGUCGUGCCAACCCUUCACAAAGUCCGGGAAGGACAUCUAAGGAAAACUACUUUUACCCCUAAGUUGUACUCCUAAACCCACGCAGAGUAGCACUACAUGCGUCUUCCCCCAACCGAGAAGACUUAUUCACUCUCAUCAUUCGGCAUGUGAACAAAUGCCUACACAAUCCCCAGUGCGGACAACACCCGAGGAAGUUCUCGCACAAGGAUACGAAAGCGGCUAAGUAUGAGUCGACAUUGUGGGGGAAGACGGUGAAGUUGCGUGCCAAAAAAGUCAAGGAACACGCAGACGAACGGAUGCGGGGGCAAAGAAUAACCUCUUUCCGCAUGGGUGACCAAAAACACUCAAUCGUCGCCCCUCGGCGCAGGCUCCAGCUCUCCCUCAUCCGGCAGCCGCCAGCUCCCCGGAGUAACCAGGCCCUUGCUCUCCAGCUCCUGCAGUCGCUCCUUGGAGACUCGGAAUGACAACUAGUCGCCCUGAAUCUAGCCCGGUGGGAGCGCCCCGUUACUCGAAGAAGAUCCACGUGAACCCUUCUUGCCCCGCACGGCUUUAGUGAUCGCUCCUUUCCCCACUCUGUGUGGUGGGGAAGGCAUCAUGGGAGGACGUCGGAGGUGGCAAGGAACUCUGAGCCGCAACCACAAGGUUCGAGAGACGGGAUGAGAAUGACUGAAAUCUGGGUACGUGGUUCCCUCCCCUCGCUGCCUCAGCCAAUUUCUAGGCUACAGGAAGAUACCCCAUUGAAUACUUCAUUUGCACAAGGAAGAUCCACCGGAUCCCGGUGAUAGCGCUCCUGUAGCACGAAAGCGACAUUUCAGGCACGGGAAUCAAGGCGUCUCUCCACUACCUCCACUACCCAAGUCAUUGCUGAUUCUGCCACCCCUGUGUCCUCCAUUAAUUCAAAAAUCACGGAGAAACCACCUACCUCAUAGCCCGAAUGGAUUUAGUAUCCGCAGCGCAUAAUGAGAGAUCUGAAUACUCUGUCACUCGUCCUUCCGUGGGACCCCAAAGCUUUCGGACAACAAAAGAAGGCGACCAGAUCGCCCGCACCAUAGCGCGAGUGGGACCCGUCCUACCUUGCCAAUUGGACAAUCGGAGCCUUGAGUUUGUGAUUGUCCGAAUCAUUGAAUUUAUCUUCCCGAAAGGUAUUUAAUUAUUACUGAUUGGAAAUGUGUCAACAUGCUCCAGCGUUCGGUAUCUUUUGCUCUUGAAUUCGCAGUGGUUUAUUGAGAGCCCAAGUGAUUAAAUCCUGAGCUACAACCUCGGUGUCCCUGAGACACCGAGGGCACCACAAAAUGCCUUCCACUCAGCCAGUAAAAUCUCAAUUGAUUCGUGGGCUACUAACGGGGUUAUACAUUAUGGGUAGUUCUACGGACUUGGAUCCCCAGGCCUGCCUAAGACCCUACAUGGAUAUCAGCGUCCCAAAAGCCACCAGUGCAGUCAUGACCUCACACGGGUGAGUAUAUCUUCACUCGACCCACACAAGGUCACUUGGAUCGUCUCGCGUAAGUCGGAUGUACCAGACACUCGGACCACAGCAAGGCGUGGGCAACGAAGGGACUGCAAUGGCUACAGACUUAAACUAUCACAUGAAGUGUAGUGAAGAUGUGCGCUACCAAUAACGUAGGAGUUAGAGGUGUCGUUACUUGUAACUUCAAUAGUUAUCAGCAUAAACUCGCCCUUGUAAUGAGGCUCAGCCGGUCGUGGCGCACUCUAUAUAAGCCACUCCCGAGCUCCGGACGAAGGGUUCAACAUCUUGUAUUAUCAUACACCCAUAAGUAAAUAUGAGCCUCAGGGCUCGACACGUAGGGUUGUUACCACUCCCAAGUGGGACCCGAACUUGUACAUCCAAGUGUACCCACUAUGCCCUAGCUAGGAUCCUCCCCCCCAUUCGUACCCGUGGUAUUAUUGUCAGGAUCAUUCCCAUGACAUCGAUAAAAACAAAAUACAUACAUAGUAGCAUCAUGCUCAUUAUUAUAAAAACAAAUAAAACUUUAUAAAAUAUUUCAUCACAACAUUUUCAUCAUAUAACUUUCACCAUAAAGUCUUCUUAUUAACAAGUAACAAUUCAUCACGACAUCGAAUUAUGUAACAUAAACUCUACUUGAAAACUAACAAACUAUGUUUUCAGCCAACUUUGCAACACAAUUCAUCACACUUUCAGGAAGGUCUCAUUGGAGCUUUUAAGCAAGUCUACAUAUUCAACCAUCAUUUAGUCUUCUAUGAAUGCUAACACUUACCGCAUACAUACGAGCAAAAGGUUUCAACCGGACACAUAGAAAUAUAGGGGCUUAAAGUGUCGCCUCCCAGCGUAUUCACGUCUAGGGUGAUGUCAACAAUAAUAACUCAUGACCACCCACAUUCAACUGGAUAUAUAUGUAUAGAUAUUUGCCCACCACAUGAUGCUUGCCAAAGAGAAGAUAAGGGGGAGUAGAGAAGAAUACUUUGACUCUGUCAUAAAAGUAAAUACAUAAAAGUAAAAGAUAGGCCCUUCGCAGAGGGAAGCAGAGGUUGACAUGCACCUUUUGAUUGUAUGCCAAAUGCCUUAGUACAAAGGAACGUUACAUUAUAUUGCCCCUUAUGAUGGCAGCCUUUGUUAUGUGGUUUAUCGCUUUUAUUAUUGCCAUCUCAAGUCCAUACAACGCUUAAUUUCCCUUACAAUAAAUGAUCGAACAUGUUAGAAGCAAUUUUUAUUGCCUUGUGCACCGAUGCCAACUUACUUGAAGUAUCUUAGUCAAUCCAUAGGUAGAUAUGGUGGAAUCUUAAAACAUGGAUUUGGGUUUAAGGUUUUGGAUGCACAAGUAGUAUGUUUACUUAGUGCGGAGUUUUGGCUAGCAAAGAUAUUGGGGAAUUACCACAUGUUAGAGGGUCUAUAGCAAUAUGUGAAUCCGAACAAACAUAAAUCAUUAGGUUUUCUUCCUUGUCCAAUGCCAAUAGUUUUGGCAUAUUAUAAUUAAUGGGGGCUCACAAUCUUAAAUGAUGGAAAGGAUAGUGUAUUUGCAUGUAAACCUUCUCUUCCCUUAUUAAUUAUUUCAUGUGUUGCAUCACCGACCAAUGCUAUGUUUGUCAACCUUCAAGAAAUUUUACCACUUAUACUUUUCCUUAUGUGAUUACACUACUACUAUAAGAUUAGCAUAUGAUAUUUUUCAUUGUCUUCCUUUAUUUUGAUUGCAGCAAGAAAGUAAAGAAACAAAAUUCAAACUUAACUUUAUUGCAUAACUCCCACUUGAUUGCAUAGAUAUAUAGAUAGAAAUAUCACGAAACUGGCACUCAAAAAGAUUGGUGAAAGUAAACUUUUGUAUUUGACUAGAUCACGAAAUAACUGAAGAUCGAACUAAGAUGGAUGAAGAUAAUAAGAGUGAUGGUGAUACGGUAUCCGGGCACCUCCCCCAAACUUGGGAUAAGCCAACGUGAGUGCCCAUACCUGUGUACUUAAGUCUCCUUCUUUGAUGAUGAAGAUGCAGGUGGUGGUGUAGAUGAUGAAGUAGAAGCAAACUUGUCCUCUGGUUUCCAUGACAGUGGCUCACUAUUAUAAGAGGAGGCAUGAGUCUCCAAAGUCCUGCAACUAGCAGCUGAACUCAUACCUUUAAACCUGGCUUCAUAUUCAAAGAUUUUAUUUUGAAGAUGAAAGUUUUAGCCUUGCAUAAAAUUUAUUUGCUCGUUGAGGGUGAAGACGAUAUCCUUCAAGGACGUGGCAUGCACCUUUUGAUCAUGGGUGAAUUCUGUGAUCAUGAGGUGAUUGGCACUAAGUCCACGCUCCACCAUCCCUUGGCAUCUGAAGAUCUCCUGCUCCAACUCCUCAAGCCUCGCCUCCACGGUUCCCAUCUUCUUGGGCCCUUGAACAUGCUAGAUGUGGAGCACCCCCUCAUCCAUCUCAAUGGUUUGAGGGUGCUUCAUCGCCUGCGGCAAGUACGGGUUGAUAACCCACUCUAAGAACUUGUCCUUGGAGGAGCUUGAUGAGGCCGUGCUGAUCUAAAUAUGUUAGAAAAAUAUCAGAAAACAAGAAGAGAGGAUUUCUCUGUGGUACUAGGGUCAAAUCAUUGGGAGGUAUGUAUAACGAAUUUUUAUACAGGGAUAUACUUGUCCUACAAGAAAAGGAAGCUGAGAAGCUGCCUGAGGGGCCCAGUACCUACCACGUCACGCCAUGGGGGGCUGGCGCGCCCUAGUUCCUAGUGGGCACCUGGGUUGCCUUCCCGUGUGUUUAUCAAUUUCCUAUUUUUUUCUAAUAAUCCAAAACUAAGAGAAGAUAUGUUUGCGGAUUUUUUGUAGUCCGUUUACUUACCGUAUCACAUACCUCUUCCUUUUAGGGUUCUGGAGUGUUCUGGAAGGUCUCCUCUAUGUGUUCCUCCGUUGUCAUGGUUUGAAUAAUAUUUGUUUCAACAUUAAUAGGUGUACCUGAAAUAUAGUGCUUUAUUGUUUGUUCAUUGACCACCUUCGGAUUAGUGCCUCUGGAGUUAUUUAUCUUAAUGGCUCCACACCGAUUAAAUUCUUUUAUGAUAUAUAGUCCUUCCCAUGUGGACAGAAGUUUUCCUGCAAAAAAUCUAAGACAAGAAUUGUACAAUAGAACAUAUUGAACGACUUUGAGUUCCCUCUUUUGGAUUCUUUUGUCAUGCCAUCUUUUAACUUUUUUGUUGAAUAGUUUGGCAUUUUCGUAAGCUUGGGUUCUCCAUUCAUCUAAUGAAUUAAUAUCAAAUAACUUCUUUCCACAAGGAAGUUUGAAAUCAUAGUUGAGUUACUUAAUUGCCCGAUAAGCUUUAUGUUCUAACUCAAGAGGUAAAUGACAUGCUUUUCCAUAAACCAUAUUGUAAGGAGAACUACCCAUAGGAUUUUGAUAAGUUGUUCUGUAGGCCCACAAUGCAUCGUAUAAUUUCUUAGACCAAUUCACUUGGGACCAAUUGACACUAUUUUGAAAUAUUAAUUUUAUUUCUCUAUUGAUUAAUUCUACUUGACCACUAGAUUGAGGGUGAUAGGGUGAUGCAAUUCUAUGGUUAACAUCAUAUCUAGCAAGAAACUCAAAAAAAACAACCAUGAAUAAAAUGUGAACCACCAUCACUCAUCAAGUAUCUAGGGACUCCAAAACAUGGGAAAAUAUAUUCCUUAAGCAUUUUAAUAGAGGUGUUAUGAUCAACACUAUUGGUUGGAAUAGCUUCUACCCAUUUAGUGACAUAAUAAACACCAACCAAAAUAUGUGUAUACACAUUAGAGGAAGGAAAAGGUCCAACAUAGUCAAAUCCCCAAACAUUAAAUGGUUCAAUAACAAGUGAAUAAUUCAUAGGCAUUUCCUGCGUCUACUAAUAUUAUCAAUUCUUUGACAUUCAUCACAAGAGAGGACAAACUUUCGAGCAUCUUUGAAAAUAGUAGGCCAAUAAAAUCACAGUGUAAUACCGUGUGUGCAAUUCUAUCUCCCACAUGGCGUCCUCCAUAAGCCUCAGAGUGACACUUCAGAAGGAUUUGUUCCUCUUCAUGCUCAGGUAUACAACAUCUAAUAAUACCAUCUACUCCCUCUUUAUAAAGAUGUGGGUCAUCCCAAAAGUAAUAUCUCAAACCAAAGAAGUUUUUUUUGCUGAUAGGUGAAACUAGAUGGUAUGUAUUUAGAUACAAUGUAAUUAGCAUAAUCAGCAAACCACAGUGUGUUAUGAGAAACAUUGACCAUAGCUAUUGUUCACCGGGGAAGCUAUCAUCAAUAGGUAGUAGGUCUUCAAGAACAUUUUCUAACCUAGACAAGUUAUCAGCUAUGGGGUUGUCACCUCCUUUCCUAUUAAUGAUAUGCAAAUCAAAUUCUUGUAGCAAAAGAAUCGACCUAAUAAGUGUAGGCUACUAUCAGCUAUGGGUUAAAUUAUACAUGCUUCCAGAAGCUUUAUUAUUUCAUUUCUUACAACUUCUUUCAUUUUGGGAUUCAGUCUCCAUUGGUGAUCAACAACUAGUUUAGCAUCUGGUUCCAUAUUAAUCUUGUGCUGAUAGAGAGUGGUACUAAUGCCCUUAAGAUCAUCAAGAGUAUACCUAAUAGCAGCACACUACUUGUUGGGGAUAUUAUCUAUUGAUAACCCACCCUAGUUGGGCCGGGUCACCAAAUCAGGCGAUUCAUCCAAGCAUGGUUCGGGCCUUGGCCUGGCAAGACCAAAGGUUGUAUGGCGUUUUACAACUUCCGGAAGGUUUCCAAGCUUUGGAAAGAUGGCGACUUAGAGAUCGUAAGAGUCACGGUUUGUAGAAAGGAAAGUACCCUUGUGAACCCUAGGGACUCGACCUGUAUAUAGAGGCGAGUCCCAGGGAAGAGGAGGGCAGGUUAGAAAUCAUCGAGUGCUAGGUCCGGCGAGUUACGCCCUCCUUGUAAUCGAAACUCCAUCAAUACAACUCAAAGCAGGAUGUAUGCCUUUACCUCCUCACGAGGGGCCGAACCUGGGUAAAUCGCCGUCUCACUCCCGUUCAACCCCUUUGAGUCGCCACCAAAGUGUGAUGGCUCCAAUACUAAGUCCUUUCACGAGGACAUCUCCCGUGACAAAACCACGACAGUUGGCACCCACCGUGGGGCCUGCGCACGGUGGAGUUGAGUUCUCAAAGGGAGCCCUACCAGGGUUUGGGAGCUACGCAACGGGGCUCAUGACCCGGAGCCGCCGUGGGAAGUACUACAUCAACAACCUGCUAUGGGGGCCCGAGGCAGAUUCAAUCGAAUCUGGUUACAGGGUCCCCUUCGACAAGAUCAACGUCUUCAUCGGCAUGAUCGGAUCAUCCGUGCUUGAGCCGGACAUCUCCACCGACAUCGUCGAGCCGGCCAGGUACGUCCGCCCAGUAAUGACACCGAAUCUAACUCGCCCGGUCUUUGUUGGAUUCACGCAGGGAUCGGAGGAACUAGAACACUUAGCGACCCAGGAAAACACACCAAUCAACCCCGAUGACGAAUCGUCCAUGGGCGAUUCAGAUUCAAUCCGGUCUCUACAUGGAGAUUGUCUUGGGGGCUUGUCGCUGGCCAUGGACCCCGAAGUUCUUGACCGAAUCCGCAGCCAGAUCGCCAUUUAUAUGGCUGGGGCGACUCAACCCUCGCAAAACCCGACAGGCGGGGAUGGAACUGGCGAGACAUCUAGAAGCCCGGUCGCUGUCUUGGUGGAAUUAGCAGCGGAAAUUACAAGGCUUAUGGCGACUCCCAUCACACCGGAAAACCAGGAGGCAGUAAACACGGAAUUGGCGAAACUAAGAGAAGCAGUGGCAAAAGCUCAUCGGGAUGCCGAGGUGGAGUCCGCCAGGAUCGAGACUCGGCAAGCUCAAAUUACCGUCGAGAGAACUCGCUUAAAUACUGACAACUGGCAGCUCGAAACACACCAGCCCGCAUCUGACGCCGUCCAUCAGCGGAGGCACCAGGGUCGCCUGCCCCCUGAUCUCAACCCGACCAGCCUGUUCGAUACUCCGCGAACUCCCGGGGCGGGAGCCGCCCUAGUGGGAGGACCGGGCCAACCACCUAACCCGCCGGUUCAGCCAAUUGAGGAUCGCAUUCCCCGACUCCGGACACCUCAAGGUCACUUUUCCAACCCAGUGGACAACGUCCUUGCCGCAACUCGCCAUUUGGAAUCACUUCCGAUUCAGGGCAAUACUCCUGCCGAGAUAGAGGCAAGGAACGCCAUUGAGAUGUUGAAAACGGCGGUGGUUCAAAACGCCCAGUUCUCACAUAGCCUAGAUAGGCUGCAUUCCACUCCCCAGGCGAGUCACACCAGGAGUCGGCCAGAGGACCAGCCCGCUGUAAACAGCGGACCGCGACUCAUCCCCCAGGACAACCCGCCUGAUCAUUAAAUCCCGUCGAGCUGGGAUCUCCCGAACAUCCAAGUCGCCCCAGCCCCUCUCGUCGGGAGCGGUGGACGAGUGGGGGUGCCGUGCUUGGCCCCCGCCCUUCGCAACGAACAAAUGCCCAAGGAUUUUAAAGGACCAAGAAAGGUGCCUAACUACACCCCGGAUCUUGAGUCGGCGGCGUGGGUCGAGAGUUAUGAAAUCACCAUGGACAUGCUCGACGCAAAGGAUGCAGUUUGCGCCAGAUACUUCACGAUGAUGCUCGAGGGGUCAGCAUGUACUUGGUUAAAAAACAUACCCCCCAACUCCAUCCAGACCUGGGCUGAAUUGAAAGAGCACUUCAUCAAAAACUUCCGAGGAACCUGCAAACGUCCAAUGAUGAUUUUCGAUCUGCAGCACUAUGUUCAACGCCCCGAUGAGUCGGCCCACCAUUGGUCACGGCGGGUCGCGGAAAUUAUUCAUUCAUCAGACGGUAUUACGGCGGCUCAGGCGGUGUUGAUCCUCGAGCAGAAUUGCCACUACGAACCUCUGGUGCAGAAGUUGGGGCGACUCAAGCGAAAGGUCCAAGACAUGGGGGAGCUAAUGGAUACCCUCACUAGAUACGCUGAAGCGGACGACACCAAAGAUCCUGGUGAGGAUGGUAAAGCUAACUCGCCAAGGAAGGGCGAGUCAUCCAAAAAUCAUACCCGUUUCCAGGGACGUAACCGCCACAAUCAGGGAGCUAACGGCAAGAGAAGGCAGCAGGAGGAAUCUUCGGAUUUAGUCGCCAAUACCAACACCAACAAUGGCAACCAACGCCAGAAGAAAAACACGGGGUACAGUGGUAAAAAGCCGCGUAACUAUGAAGAGUUACUCAAGGUCCCUUGCCCGCACCAUGCCAUGGCAGACGGACCGGCAACUCAUUCCUGGGAGAACUGUUACGUGAUGCGGGACUUUUGGGCAAAGGCGACCAAAAAGGACAAAACCCUGACCCGGACCAACGGCAUGAGCAGUUUGCUGCACCCAACCAACGUCAGAACCCCUUUGGCGGUUUUCCCGAGCCGGGGGCUCAGGGGGGCUCGCAGCCGAGCAGCGGCCAGUAUCCGGUGCAUCACCAGCGGUGGUAUAACCCGCCCGGAGUUUUUCAGCAACCACCCCCACAGGGGGCUUCGCAGGGCCAGGAUGACAACGGCGGUUUUUGCAACAACCCCAAACAGUUAAGCAACGGGCAGUACCACGUUUUCACCACCAAUGCCUGCAGGCGUGAUAAAAAGGUGAGUCAACGGGCGUACAGUGUGUCUAAGCCAGCACUUCCCAGGUACCUACACUGGUCCGAGCAGACCAUAUCAUGGAGUAGGGAGGAUCAUCCGCCAAGAGUUGACAAUCCUGGCGACUUAGCGUUGGUCGUAGCUCCGCAAGUUGGGGGGUACACCCUGUCGAAGGUUCUAAUGGAUGGUGGCAACAGCAUUAAUAUCUUGCAUUUUGACACUUUCCAAAGGAUGAACCUAUUGGAAAAGGAUUUGAUGCCUUCAACCACGGUAUUCCACAGAAUCGUCCCGGGCAAGUCGGCGUACCCCAUAGGCCGAGUCAGACUCACAGUUGCAUUUGGAACAGCAUAUAACUAUAGGAGUGAGUCGCUGGUGUUUGAAGUGGUCAAAUUGAAAAGCCCCUACCAUGCGCUAUUUGGGUGGCCGGCUUACGCCCGGUUCAUGGCUUGCCCAUGCUAUGUUUACCUUAAGCUCAAGAUGCCUGGUCCUAAGGGACCCAUCACGGUUGAUGGUGAUAGAAGGAUUGCAAAGGAAUGUGAAGAAGGGGACGCGGCUUAUGCGGAAGUCGCCUGCACUGAAGAGGAGCUCAAAUAUCAUCGGGCCAAUGUUGAUCCGGCUGACAUGUCACACCUAAAGAAGCCAACAACAGAUCCUGAGUCACCCCUCAAGUUCAAACCAACGGAUGACACUAAAACGGUUGAUUUCGUUCCUGGCGAUUCAUCCAAGCAGUUCACCAUUGGGACCGGUCUGGGUCCCAAAUAGGAAAGCGCGCUCAUCGAAUUCAUCCAUGAGAAUCGGGACAUCUUCGCAUGGAAACCUUCUGACAUGCCUGGUGUGCCGAGAGAAUUCGCUGAGCACCAUCUUAAUGUUGACCCAAAGGCAAAACCUAUUCAGCAGUAUCUUCGCAGGUUUAACGAGGAACGACGCAAUGCAAUCGGGGAAGAGGUUGCCCGUCUCUUAGCCGCCGGAUUCAUCGUAGAAGUUUUCCACCCCAAAUGGUUGGCUAACCCGGUCUUGGUACUAAAAAAGAAUGGUACUUUCCGUAUGUGCAUUGAUUACACGGACCUCAUCAGAGCUUGUCCAAAAGACCUUUUCGCUCUUCCCCGCAUCGACCAGAUUAUUGACUCGGUGGCGGGAUGCGAACGUUUGUGCUUUUUGGAUGCCUACUCUGGAUAUCACCAAAUCAAGAUGGUUGUGGAGGAUCAAGAGAAAAAAACUUUUAUAACCCCCUUUGGGGCCUUCUGCUAUGUGUCCAUGCCGUUUGGGCUUAAGAGUGCAGGGCGACUUAUCAGCGCUGCAUCCAGAAUUGCCUCUGCAGGCAAAUCAAACGCAACGUCCACGCCUACGUCGACGACAUUGUGAUUAAAACCCGCCAGGGGGAGACGCUACUAGAGGAUCUUAAGGAAACUUUCGAUAAUCUCCGGGUGUAUCAGAUGAAGUUGAAUCCCACCAAGUGUGUUUUUGGUGUUCCUGCAGGGAAAUCGUUGGGCUUCCUGGUGUCUGAGCGUGGCAUUGAAGCUAACCGAGACAAAAUCGAAGCAGUUACGUCCCCUGGAAAACUGGCAAAUGAUAACCAAGUCCAACCAAUGGUGGGUCGCAUUGCGGCUCUAAGUCGCUUCAUAAGCCGCUUGGGAGAAAAGGCGAUUCCCCUUUAUCAAUUACUAAAGAAAUCUGACCAUUUUGUUUGGACAGAUGAAGCAGACGAAGCUUACGAAGCCUUGAAACGGCAACUGGUCAACCCGCCGGUCUUGGCCGCCCCGACUGAGAAAGAACCCAUGCUUUUGUAUAUUUCGGCACACUCUAAAGCAGUAAGUGUGGCGGUGGUCGUUGAAAGGAAGGAGGAAGGGAAGGAAUACCCAGUGCGGCGCCCGGUGUAUUUUGUCAGCGAAGUGCUAACUCUUUCCGAGCAAUGGUACCCACAUUGGCAGAAGUUAGUGUAUGGGGUGUUUAUGGCGAGUCGGAAGCUUAAGCAUUAUUUCCAAGAGCAUCCUAUCACGAUGGUUAGUUCCGCCCCCUCGGGGACAUCAUCCAGAAUCGGGAGGCAACAGAGCGAUCGCCAAGUGGGCGAUUGAACUUGGGCCGCAUCACGUACGAUACACCCCUCGCACAGCCAUUAAAUCUCAAGCCUUAGUUGAUUUCGUCAAUGAUUGGACAAAGUUGCAGGCCCUGGAGGAUAGGCCUGAUCUUACAUACUGGACUAUUUAUUUUGAUGGAUCCAGACAGCUGGAAGGCUCGGGGGCUGGUGUGGUACUGGUUUCCCCUCAAGGAGAUAAAUUCUGUUAUGUCCUCCGACUCAUGUUUCCGUGCACUAACAAUGUUGCGGAAUAUGAAGCUUUGCUUCACGGCUUGCGACUCGCCAAGGAGAUGAGCCUUACGCGGGUCAGAUGUUUUGGCGACUCUGAUCUGGUGGCGCAGCAAGUUUCAGGCACUUGGGAUUCUCGGGACCCCGUGAUGGCGGCUUACAGAAGAGCUGUGUCCAAUGUGGCGGGUCAUUUCCAUGGCUAUCAGGUUGAUCACAUUGACCGACGCCUUAACGAGGCAGCUGACGCCCACGUCUUGGUUCCCAGCGAAAGCCGGUUCCCCCCAAUGUCUUUCUGGAUAUUUUGCGUAACCCCUCCGUAAGUUUGUCGUCAGAGGAGGAGUUGGCGAUACCAGACCCUGAGUCUCAAUUCAUGGCGGCUCUCCAGGGCACGCCGGAUUGGGUUCUUCCCUAUCUGGCCUAUCUCGCGUAGGGUGAGUUACCAACAGACGAAGUUUCACCCCGCCAAAUUGUUCGGCGAAGCAAAUCCAUGGUGAUCAUCAAUGGAGAAUUAUAUAAGCGGAGUGCCUCUGGGGUUUUUCAACGAUGUGUUUCCUCCGAAGAAGGAUGCAUAAUCCUAAAUGAAAUUCAUUCCGGAGAUUGUGGGCAUCACGCCGGGUCAUGCUCUUUGGUUUCAAAGGCAUUCCGUCAUGGUUUCUUUUGGUUGACGGCUCAUGCAGAUGCAGAAGAGAUAGUUCAUCGAUGCGAGGGAUGCCAGCGUUAUGGACGACAAGCUCAUGUGCCGGCUCAAGAACUAAGAAUGAUUCCCAUCACUUGGCCUUUCGCGGUCUGGGGGUUAGACAUGGUUGGCCCCUUUAAAAUGUCAUCCGACAAGAAAACCCAUUUCCUGGUGGCGGUUGAUAAGUUCACCAAGUGGGUUGAGGCAGAGCCUGUUGGAACUUGCGAUGCGGAGAUGGCGGUCAAAUUCUUGAAAAAGCUGAUCUUCCGGUUCAGAUAUACACACAGUAUCAUUACUGAUAAUGGCACUAAUUUGUCUCAAGGGUCGAUGCAGGAGUUUUGCCGUCGAGAGCAUAUCCGGCUUGAUGUUUCUGCGGUCGCUCACCCACAAUCUAAUAGGCACGCGGAACGGGCGAAUCAGGAAGUUUUAUGGGGAAUCAAGCCCCGGCUCAUGGUUCCCUUGGAAAAAACCCCGGGAUGUUGGGUUGAGGAGUUGCCUUCAGUAUUAUGGAGCAUCCGGACCACCCCGAACCGGUCCACGGGUUUUAUCGCUUUCUUUCUAGUCUAUGGAGCAGAAGCUGUUCUUCCCACUGACAUGAGGCAUGACUCGCCCAGAAUUGCCGCUUACGUGGAACAGGACAACGAACUGGCGCGUCAAGACUCUUUGGACGCCUUAGAGGAGGCGCGUGACUUGGCUGCAGUCCGAUCGGCCAUUUAUCAGCAGGAUUUACGGCGUUAUCAGAACCGCCGGGUCAAGAGCCGAACCUUUCAGGAAGGCGACUUAGUGCUUCGGCUGAUACAGGAUCGUGCUGGCAUGCAUAAGUUAUCACCACCAUGGCAAGGACCGUUCGUCGUCAGCAAAAAUAUUCACAACGGCUCUUACUAUCUGGUGGAUCUCCGGCCUAACCGGCCAACCACGGAGGCUGAGUCAACUCGCCCCUGGAAUAUUUCCCACUUGCGGCCUUACUACACUUGAGCUUUUUAGCUCUCCAUUUUGUAAGUUUUUUUAGUCCUUAUUAUAAAGCAAUAAAGUUAAAACGCCUCCCGACUUGAGGGCUUCCUCUCAUUGAGAUCAAUUUUAUUAUCCAUUUGGCAUAUGAAAUCAUUAUCUUGGGUGGCGCUUGAGCUUUUUGACUCGCCCUAUCCUGUCGCGACCUUAUGAGCCGACGAAAUCAUUAUCUUGGGUGGCGCUUGAGCUUUUUGACUCGCCCUAUCCUGUCGCGACCUUAUGAGCCGACAAAAUCGCUAUCUUGGGUGGCGNAUCCUGUCACGACCUUGUGAGCCGACGAAAUUGCUAUUUUUACCUUCCUGGCACUGCCGCAAGGUUUUUCAGACUUUUUUCUUAUUUGUCUCAAAAUAUUUUGGGGCGACUGCUAUUUGUUAUCACUUAUUAUUCAUUGAGAUGGUUUCACAUAUGUUUUUCAAGCUUAGAACAGGUUGAUGAUCGAAAUCACUCUAUCCAUGGUGGAUUAAGCAUCAUAAAAAAGCCUCAAACGGCGGAUCAAGAAUUUCAAAAUGCCUUAAGGGCGACAUAAGUUUUUUUUAAGGUAUCAAAAAAGCAGUGUCGAUUCCUAAAGGAGACCUAUUACAUGGCUCUCAUGGCCAAUUCAAUGAAAUUUUAUUCUGCUGACGCCCUUGGAUCAGCCUGCUGCGAGCUUUGGCCAACCUCAAUCUGCAAAUCACGCAGUACCCAGUUACACUUGGACAGAGCAGCAAAUUCAUCUUCAUCAGUCAGGAUUGAUGAGAGAUCCGCGUCCAAGUCAAAAGGAUUCUUGGGUCGACGCGGAGUUAAACUGGUCGUCACAAAGGUUGGCGGGUUGACCUUCUUGUUCUUAUUGUCAUAGGCGGCCUGGUAUUUCGAUAAGUCCAGGCUUGCAGCAAGCUGAGUCGCCGCCAGACGGGAGUCCUUGACAACACGCUGGUAGUCCUCUUCGGCGAAUUCUGACCAAUCAUCCUUGAGUUGAGGAAAGCCCGCCGCUACUUCUUCUGGGUUGAUCUCUGGAGAAUAUACUAAGCAUCGACUCAGUUUAGUCAACACUCCUUUUCGGGCGGCUGACCGAGUUAACUCGCCAAUCUGGGGAGGGAGCGUGGAUAGGCAGCCAAGCAUCUUCUUUAUUGAUGUUAUAGGCUCCUUGGCGCCCAUCACUGCUUUCACAGUCAGUACACUGUCGUUAUAUAGCUUCUCUUUCAACGUGUAUAUCGCCUUCAGCGUCAGGACGCAAUCAUCCUGAAGGUUGGCGGCUCUCGGACCUGUAUAAGGGGUAAUGAUAAUCAACGACUCAGAUAAGAGUUAUUUGUUUAAAAAGGUCAAGAGUUAGUAUUUUACCAAAGACGGCUUGUGCCAUGUUUGAGAUAUGUCGUUUUAAACCAGACAGUUCUUGUUGCACAGUAACCAGCUUGGCUUCAGCCUUGUCUGCUCGCUUUGUUGAAGCAUCUUGGUCAGCUUGAGCCCUUUUUAAAUCGGCUUUUAGCUUUUCCAUCUCAGUUAAGGCCAGUUGAUACUUCUCCUCUGAUUUGGCCCAGGCAUCCUGCUGAUCAGAUAAGAUUUUCUUCAAGUCGCCAAGUGGUGAUUCAGUCUGGAUAAGAGAUUCCUGUUAAAGCAUAUGGUUAAGGGGCAAGUCUCAGAACUAUUGCAAGCAACAUCCCUGACACUUGGGGGCUAAUGUAUAAUUUUUUCAGACAAAAUUUAUACAACAUCAAGGCCGGGCUCAUCUUUUUACUCAUGACCCGGACCUUGGGGGUUACUGGUCAAAAGUUUUUCAAGUCAUCAAGACCCGACUCAUAUUUUUACUGAUGACCCGGCCCUUGGGGGUUACUGGUUGAAAGUUUUUCAAGUCAUCAAGACCCGGCUCAUCUUUUUACUGAUGACCCGGCCCUUGGGGGUUACUAGUCGAAUGUUUUUCAAGUCAUCAAGACCCGGCUCAUCUUUUUACUGAUGACCCGGCCCUUGGGGGUUACUGGUCGAAAGUUUUACAAGUCAUCAAGACCCGACUCAUCUUUUUACUGAUGACCCGGCCCUUGGGGGUUAAUGGGGAUAAUAUAGUAUACAACAAAGCUUACCUCAUGUUUAUUUUUCAGCAUCCGAAGCAGGCUUUUCUCCAUCUCAUAACUCGCCUCCAGGCGACUUGCAAAACCAGAGCAAAGUUCUUUGAACUCCAGAUGUUCAUACUGAGAGAGCUUUGCCUUGGAGAGUUCAUACUCAGGAACAGUUUGAGCUGAUGAUGACGCAUGCUUCGAUAAAACCGCUGUGGCCGGUUCAGAGAAGCUGGUACCAGUGAUAAUUACAGCGUCCGGGUCUUCUGCUGUUGUCAAUGGACUUGGCGGCUUGGGGGCAUUCAUUGUUUCCUUGGGAGAGCUACGGUGAUCCACUUGAUCUUCAGGUUUGUCUUGGUCCGAGUUAUCUUGGAUCGGUGCUGACUUUUUGGUAGGCUCAGAGAUUAUGAUGGGAGUUGACCCGCCAAGUUUUCGUUUCUUCGCCUGUGCCCUGAAAGGAGAAGGGGGUGCAUUUAAAGGACUGGAAAUUUAUCACCAUCAGGUUAAAAGUAAAUAUUAUCAAAGACUUACCCAGGUACACGGAUCAUUGGCGGAAGUGCCGACAUUCUUGAGUCGCCAGAUGUAGGAGGAGAACACUACAAGAAUUGUACAUCGAAGAUAUAAGUGGGUUACAAAUGCGAUCCAAAAAGACAUGAAGAAGUGUUGUUAAAGGAUACCUCAUUUGGCCUUUUCUUGUUCCUUGUUGGUAGACCGGACACCAGAUCGCCGGAAUGACUUCGGGUCUUCCGAUUUGAAGUGUGUUGUGCUUUCUUCGGAAGAAAAUUUGGGUCCAGACAAGCAUUUGGGUGUGAGAGGGGAACUUUCCCACAAAUUCGUCUCGCCGGCUUAGGUGGAGAAGGAGAUGAAUCGGAGGAAACAGAAAUUACCUCUACGGAAUACUCCUGGCUUUCAUUGUCUUCAUUCUAUUCAAGAGAUGCAGAAGUAUAAAUACAAAGUUAUCAGUAAUGGAUGGCGAGUUAAGAGAAGAUAGGUUUUUACCUCUGAAGGUGCGUCGCCGACUUGGGAUUCAUCGGCCUCGGAUGGUUCGGUCACAGCAGCUUUGCCCUUGCCCUUGGUUUUCUUCUUUGGAGGCGGCCUAGCUUGCUUCAUGGCUGACUUUUUAGGCCUCUUGGACCAAAAUUUAUCACCUUUCUGAAAUGGCAUGUUUGAUAAGGGACCAUAGUUUGAAUGAGACGUAAGAAGUAAAAGACAAAAGGCGGGUUAAAGUUGCUUACCUUGGGUGCCGGAUUAAUCUUGCAGAAGGGUUUGAGACCUAUUUGGCCGCAUUUCCCGCAGGCUCGCCGGUCAGCUUCUUGAUGAUGGUGACAAUAUCACUUUCCGUUAGAGCCGUGUGGAAGUAGCAUUGAGGAUGAUCCAAAGUGCCGUCAAAUUCACACAUUAACCCGUCCUGGCGACUUAAAGGGAGGAUGCGCCAUUCGACCCAAUAACGGAUCAAGUCAACCCCAGUAAGGUCGUUGUGUGUCAAAGAUCUUAACUCGGACAAUACUGGGAUAAAAUCUGAUUCCUCCUCUUCGGUGAGCUUGUCCGGGAGCUUGAAAUUCGUUGGAAGGCGAUCUUCACUAUAACCCAGAAGCUUGUUUUCACCUACAGGCGAGGUCUCUUGACAAUAGAACCAAGACUCGCCCCAGCCUUUGGGGUGGCUUGGCAUGGCGAGUGACGGAAAUGGGCUAUCCCUGCAGCACUGAACAUUUACACCGCCGAGCUCCAGGCUGGGGCCAUUGUGAAAUUCUGUUUGGCGAUUUAAGUGGAAGAAAUACCAGAAUAAGGGAACUGAGGGUUCUAUCCGCAAGUAAGCCUCACAAAACACCUGGAACUGGCAUAGGUUGCUUAUCGAAUUGGGCCCUAGAUCCUAGAGGCGGACAUUCAUGAAAGCCAUGGCGUCUCUGAGGAACUUCGAUCCAGGCGGCUUAAAUCCCCGCUCAAGGUGUUCAACGAAAAAAAACUAUUUCCCCUUCUUUGGGAUUGGGGAUUUCCUCUCUGAACCCGGUACGCCAACCGAUAACAUCCCGAGGGUCCAAAUUUCCUGUUUUCACAUAAUCCUCUAGUAUGGCAUCAUUGACCUUGGUAGGGAGCCAGUCACUUUUGAAGACGGUGCCCAUGCUACAAAGGGAUAAAGUAAGGGUGAAUUGACAUGCCAAAACAUCUACUGUAAGAGGUGAAACGAUUUCAUUUGACUCGCCAAGUAAUUUGUCCGCGGGCUGCGGAAAUUUUUUGAUCCGCCAAUGAAGGCCCGAGUCAGGUUUCUAUGGCGACUUACGAAGCUUUGACUACUUAAAGGAGCGAUAUUUCAAGGCGUCAGAGGCAUUUAUCCAAAAAUGGCGAAGUAUGAAGACUACAAACAGUUUUCACAUAACAAGCGGUAGAUUAUGGAUCUACUGGACAUAUGAAAAUAAAUGCGGAAAAUGACCGGAUACGGCAACCUACGACUAAGAUGGGAUAAUGUUGUUUAUUUGGUGAAGUACUACUCUAAGUGUGCAAAUCGAGAGCGGACAAAUAAAGGUAUUAGAGACAUUGGUUUUCUCGUCGUCAUCACCAUCAACUAAUCAGGAACAAGUAACAACUAUUCGGUAAAGCGCCAAGAACAUGGCAGUGAUGAACUUUGAAAGAGAAUGGGGAUCUGCUCUUGAAUAAAUGGAAACCUAACCUGGUGGAUUCGGCUGGAGAUGGUCGACGGCGAUGAAGCCUUCAGGAUGGGCGCGAAAACCUCGGGCGGCGACGAAGUAUUCGGCGACGACAAAGUGUUCGGCGGUGACGAGGUGGUCGACGACGACGAGACGGUCGAUGACGGCGAACUUCUCGGCCGCGGUGAAGUGCUUGGCGGCAACAAGGUCCUCGGGCGGCACCAAAAGUUUUCGGACGACGGCGAGAACCACGGUUGGUGGCGGAGCUCUCGGAAGACAAUGAGGGUUUUCGCUGCGGUAAUGGGGAGAAAAGGCGACAAGACUGGUGGGUGGAAUGCGCCCAGUCCUGUCCCCUCACCUAUUUAACAUGGCAGGCGCUGGAAUCGAGGCGCCACGAGCGGGAACCGCCAAAGGAUAAAGAUUCGCCAUGAUGGCGCUCCGAAAAUUUUGGGAUAACGAAACCAAAGGAUCCGUUGGGAUUACGUCAUUAUCUUUUCCGGAAUUCAAGGGAUAAGAAGAUACCAACGAGAAAUGGUUUGGAGAUUUAAGUCUUUCCGCAACAGAUGGCGGGUUUAGUUCAUGGCGUAUGGAAGAGGAUGAAAAAUGAAUCGCUCUUAAUUGAGCAAGAAUAUUGGCGUGAAGAAAAUUCAAGUCAAUCUGGGGCCUAAUGUUGGGGAUAUUAUGUAUUGAUAACCCGCCCUAGUUGGGCCUAGUCACCAAAUCAGGCGAUUCAUCUAAGCAUGGUUCGGGCCUUGGCCUAGCAAGACUGAAGGUUGUAUGGCGGUUUACAACUUCCGGAAGGUUUCCAAGCUUUGGAAAGAUGGCGACUUAGAGAUCGUAAGAGUCACGGUUUGUAGAAAGGAAAGUACCCUUGUGAACCCUAGGGACUCGACCUGUAUAUAAAGGCGAGUCCCAGGGAAGAGGAGGGCAGGUUAGAAAUCAUCGAGUGCUAGGUCUGGCGAGUUACGCCCUCCUUGUAAUCGAAACUCCAUCAAUGCAACUCAAAGCAGGACGUAAGCCUUUACCUCCUCACGAGGGGCCGAACCUGGGUAAAUCGCCGUCUCACUCCCGUUCACCCCUUUGAGUCGCCACCAAAGUGCGAUGGCUCCAAUACUAAGUCCUUUCACGAGGACAUCUGCCAUGACAAAACCACGACACUACUUCCUUAAAGUUUUUGGCAAUCUUUCUUCUUCAUGCUUUGUAAGGUUAGCACUGGUAAUAAUAGGAUAUAUCUUCUUAUCAUCAAGAUAAGCAUAUUUUGAAGUUUCAAGUAAUUUAUUUAAUUUAAACACAUGAUCACCCUUGGGUGGAGGAGGACCACCUAGAGUUUCAACAUGCAAAUUGUAUUUAAGGAUAGGUUUUUGCUCGAACAACAUAUUAUCUAGUUCAUUUCUUUCACGCAUGUGCAUAUCAUUUUCAUUGUCUAGCAAAUAUUUUUCUAAUGGAUAAAUAGGAGGAAUGGAAAUAGAAGCGAGACCAAUUACUUCAUCUUUACUAGGCAAUUCUUUAUCAUGGGGUUGCUUACUCAACUUGGAGAAAUGAAACUCAUGAGAAAUACCACUAAAAUUAGCACUGACAGUUUCCCUUUUGCAAUAUAUUUGAGCAAUGGCAGUGUUCAAGAAUGGUCUACCAAAUAUUAUGGGACAAAAAUCAUCUUGUGGUUAGCCAAGGACUAGAAAAUCAGUAGGGUAUUUUACUUUUCCACACAAGACUUCAACAUCUCUAGCAAUCCCAAGUGCUCUGAUGGUGUCUCUAUUAGCAAGUUUAAUAGUAACAUCUAUGUCUUCUAUUUCAGCGAGUGCUAUAUCAUGCAUAAUUUCUUGAUAUAUGGUAAAAGGAAUAGCACUACCACUAGCACCCAUAUGACAUAAACCAUCAUAAAAAUGAUCUCCUAUUUUGACUGAGACGACACGCAUGCCAACAACGGGUCUAUUCUUAUCAUUAAUACCAGGUUUGGCAAUUCUAGUACCUUCAUCACAGAAAUAAAUAACAUGCCCAUCAAUAUUAUCGACCCAGAGAUCCUUAACCAUAGAAAUACUAGGUUCUACGUUGAUUUUGUCAGAGGUUUUGGUUGUUCUAACAUAACUUUUGUUAUACAUUGUUGAAGCUUUACCAUGUUCCUUUAUCCUAAUAGGGAAAGGUGACUUCUCAAUAUAAGUAGUAAGCACAACUGGGUCAACAUUGUAAAUGAUAGUUUCAUCCUCAACUUUAAUUGGUUCUUCAACUUUUUCUUUAAUAGGUGGAUGAUAUUUAAGCCAUUUCUCUUUAGGGAGAUCAACAUGAGCAGCAAAGGUUUCAUGAAAUGAGGCUACUAUCUCAGAGUCAAGUCCAUAUUUAGUGCUAAAAUCAUUGAAAGCAUCGGUAUUCAUAAGAGAUUUAGCACAAUCAAACUUAAGUUUUAUGCUUGACUCUUGACCUUCGUCGAGUUCCCAAUCUUAAAAGUUGCAUUUAAUUAUUGCCAUAAGAUUCCACUUGAAUUCAAUAGUCUUCUUCAUAAAAGAACCUGAACAAGAAGUGUCGAGCAUGGUUUGAUCAUUACAAGAAAGCCGAGCAUAAAAAUUAUGAAUAAUAAUUUCCCUCGGGAGCUCUCAUGAUUGGGGCAUGAAUAUAAAAUUGACUUCACCCUCCCCCAAGAUAGAGCGAUACUGUCUCCUUCACGAGGCCAAAAAUUAUAGAUAAAAUUCCGAUCACGAUGAACAAGAUGCAUAGGAUAGAAAUUCUGGUGAAACUCCAAUUAAAAUUGAUUCUAGUUUGAAGAUCCCGUAUCAUCACAUAGCCUAUACCAUGUCAAUGUACCCUUCACACAAAAGAUAAAGCUAAAAUGUUCUUCUUGACUUCAUCUCUGGAUAAACCUGCAAGCUUAAAUAAUCAACAAACUACAUCCACAUAGAUUAGGUGCAUAUCAUGAUGUUUUGUUCCAUCUCCUGCAUAAGGAUUACCUAGAAGUUUCUCUAUCAUACCCGAAGGAAUUUCGUAAUAAACAUGUUCAGUAGGUUCAUAAGUUUGAUGGAAAACUCUUGGUAUUUCCGAUCGAGGUGCAAAUACCCCGAACAAACCCCUCAAAGGAUUACUUUCCAUUGUGACAAGUAAUAUUAAAUUUGGCACGUAAUAUAAAUUUUCCCUUACCAAAUACCGCUUACCAAAGGCUUCACUCCCCGGAAACGACGCUCAAAAAGAGUCUUCAUAACCCACAAGUAUACGGGAUCAAUAUUAGUCCUUUCGAUAAGUAAGAGUGUCGAACCCAAUGAGGAGCAAAAGAAAAUGACAGGCGGUUCUUAGCAAGGUAAUUUCUGCAAGCACUAAAAUAGAGGUAACAAGUUUUUUGAUAGCAAGAUGAUUGAAACAAGUAACGAGUAGCAGUAGUAACAAUAGGUGCAACAAGGUAGCCCAAUCCUUUUGUGGCAAAGUACACGGUGAAACAGUUUCUUAUAAUAGGCAAAGCAUUCUUGAGGGCACACGAGAAUUCCAUCUAGUCACUUUCGUCAUGUCGGGUUAAUUCGCGUUCGGUACUUUGAUAAUUUGAUAUGUGGGUGGACCAGUGCUUGGGUUCUGUUCUUACUUGAACAAUCCUCCCACUUACGAUUAACCCUCCCACAAGCAUCCGCAACUACGAGAAAGUAAUUAAGAAUAAAUUCUAACCAUAGUAUUAAACAUAGGGAGCCAAAUCAGCCCCUUACGGAAUAGUGCAUAAACUCGUGUUUAAGUUUCUGUCACUCUCGCAACCGACCAUCUAAUUACUACUCCACAAUGCAUUCCCUUAGGCACAAAUAUGGUGAAGUGUUAUGUAAGUUGACGUUCACAUAACACCACUAAGGGGAUCACAACAUUGAUAUCAUAAAAUUAUCGAACAAAUAUCAACUUCACAUGACUACUUGCAACUUGAGUUCUCCCGUUGCCUCAAGGAAAAAAGUAACUACUCACAAGUGAUAAACAUGCUCAUGAUCAGAGAGGUAUUAAAUAGCAUAUUGGAUCUAAACAUAUGAUCUUCCACCAAAUAAACCAUAAAGAAUCAACUACAAGAAGUAAUCAACACUACUAGUCACACCCGAGGUACCAAUCUGAGGUUCCAGUACAAGAUUGAGCACAAGAUAUGAACUAGGGUAUUGAGAGUAGAUGGUCCUAAUGAAGAUGUUAAUCAAGAUUGGCCUCCCCAAGAUGAGAGGGUUGUUCAUGAUGACAAUAGCCUCGCUUUCCCCCUUCGGGAGGGAAGUUCCUCCGACGGAAUGGCUCCACUGGAGUGCAAAAGUGCUCGUGCCCAAGUUUCCCUCCACCGAAGUUCGUAAUUCACCUUGAAUGAAAGAAUUCCCCUUCAAUAAAUGCACGUCCAGGGAAUUAUUUUCCUUAUCAUUAGCAUAAUGAUUGAAUGACGCAACGUCUUCGUUUUCUUGUAACAGAAAAUAUUUCCUUUAACCCAAUACCAUCUGCUAUUAUUUUGUGAUCAUCAACAACACUAACAUUAGUCGUGACUAUACCAUCCUCUCCUCCUUGAAAAGAAACCGUCAUCGGUUUCGAAUCAAUCUCUUCAACAGUAUUUUUAUUUGCACUUUGAACAAUGCCUGGAAAAAUUUCAAUAGUCUCAACCUUCUUCUUCUUUACUUCUAAUAAAGCUUGAGCAAUAUCCCUCUUCUUGCAAUCAGCCAUAUAGUUCUCUGAUGUGUAUGAAUCAAAUGGUAUCCACUUUCCUCCAUGAACAAAACAAAAUUAGCCAGCCGAAUGAUAUGUCAAUUGUCUUUUAUCUGUCCAUGGUUUUCCUAGGAGUAUUGAACAUGUAUGCAUGUGCAUAGGUUGCACAUCACACAUGACGAGAUCACCAUGUCCACAUAGAAUAAACCGAACAUCGAUAGGAUCCAUGAUCUUCGCAAACUUGUCCUUCAACCAAAUCUCGUAUGGUUCUGAAUAUUAAAUCAACAGCGGGUUCAAAGCAUCAACCAUUGUCUGGCUCACUAAGUUCAUCCAAUAAUACCAAUUCAUCAAGGUUGCACAACUUGUCGACCCUACAAGCACACACAUAAUGCAUUGGUACCACCGUAAGGUACACAAUGGAUCCUUCUCCACCGCCAUCAUCAUUUGCGAGCUAUAAUAUCUUAUCAUGAUAAAAACUUAAAUAGUAACUCAAAGAAAUAUAUUUUUUGAACAACCUUUUCUAUUAAUACUGCCUAUUGUAAACGUAACCUUGAUAUGAGAUCUGAUCUAUCAUUGUGGCUCGAUCUUUCAUGACACUCCAUCUGCAGAAGUAGCAACCUCUCGCCCAUGCACACGCUGUAUAGGAAAUAGAGUGUUUCAACCUUGCGCCUCAACACGAGAAAACCAAUCUCGAUGGCGGUUCUCAUGCGCAAAACAAUUGCUACAAAAAAAAUGCAAUAGGAGAUUUUCUAAAGGUCCCUCCAAAACUUGAUCCGGGAGUUUACCGUGAAAAACACAUUGUGACUAUUUCAUAAAAAGAACCUAUGUACAUUGGUCGUUGUCGGCCCCUUUUAUAAGCAACACACAAAUAACAAAACCAACCUAAUUACUCUAGAUUGAAAUGGAAUCUAUCUCCUAUUUGAACUAAUCAAGAAUUUAACAAAUAGAGUAUCUCGCAACCUUGAUCGUCGUGUAACGCAUAACAAUCCCGACCUCUAAUUUUGCUUCGUGGGUCUUCUCCUAGGGAAGGUAAACCCUGAUACUUCUCCAAUGUACCUAUAAUUUAUGAAGUAUUCAUGCCAUGUUUAUCACAAUUCUAUAUGGUUUUGGCAUGAUUUGAUUAGAACUAACCCGGACUGAUGCUGUUUUCAGCAUAGCUACCGUGGUGUUGUUUUUUGUGCAGAAAUAAAAGCUCUCCAAAUGCAACAAAACCGUUUGACAAUUUUUAUAUAAGGAAAGAGCCCCAGGAGGCUUCGAGGAAGGACCAUAAGAUGCUCAGGGUCCCCACACCGCACCGGGCCCCCCUGGCGUGGGCUGAUUUUGUGUGGGCCCCCUAAGGCUCCCCUUCGUGUGAAACCAACGCCAAAAAUUCACAUAUAUAAAGAAACCUCCGAUGGAUAACCUAGAACUUGGACUCCUCCGCCGCAUGCCUCUGUAUCCUCCGAAAACCAAUCUGGACCCUGUUUUGACACCCUGUCGGAGGGGGGAAUCAUCACCGGAGGCCAUCUUCAUCAUCCUGGCGACCACCAUGAGAAGGAGGGAGUAGUCCACCCUCGAGGCUAGGGGUAUGUACUAGUAGCUAUGUGUUUAAUCUCUCUCUCUCUUGUGAUCUUGAGAUGUCACGAUCUUGAUGUUUCUUGGGCUUUGUUAAUAUAGAUGGAUCAUAUGAUGUUGCAAUGGGGUAUCAUAUUGAUCCACUUGAUGUGUAUCAUAUCUCUCCCUCUCUACAUUUGUUGUGAUGAAUUGAAUCUUUCCUCGUUGAAGUUUUGUCUUGUCGGAUUAAAUACUCGAUGUGACAAUGGGGUAUCAUAUUGAUCCACUUGAUGUAUGUUUUGGCACUCAACUAGCGGAUUCCCGAGGUGACAUUGGGGUAAUCUAUGCAUAGGGGUUGAUGCACGUUUUCAUUAUCUUUUCUUUGAUAGAAACUUUGGGGUCUCCUUUUGGUUCUUUGUGUGGAUUGAAUAUUAUGAUUGUGAAGUUGUUUGAUGCAUGUCAUAGGAUCAACUCACGGAAAUUUGUGGUGACAUUGCAGUAUCUAGGUGACAUUAGAGUUAGUUGAUGUGUGUCAUAUGGUGCUAUUUUAGUACGAGCUCUAGGGCUGUUUGUGACACUUAUUGGAAUAUCCCAAUAGAUCGAUCAGAAAGAAUAACUUUGAGGUGGUUUCGUACCCUACAAACAAUUUCUAUCUUAUGUUCUCUGCUAAUAGGAAUUUGGGAGUGACUCUUUUUUGCACUUUGAAGGGUAAUCAUAUGAUCCAACUAUGUUAGUAUUGUUGAGAGAUUGCACUAGUGAAAGUAUGUAUCAUAGGCCUCAUUUUCUAUCAUUGCAAUAUCGUUUGUUCUCCGUUUUAUUAUUUACUACCUUGCUAUUUUUUAUAGUUCGCACUACAAAAACUCAUAUCUACUAUCCAUACAAAACUUUUAUCGUCAUGUCUUCGCCGAACUAGUGCUUCGAUACAAUUUGCCAUUGUAUUGGCUGUGUUUGGGAGACAAUAGAUUUUUUGUAUUUAAUUACAUGGUUGCUUGAGAGAGACUACCUUCAUCCUACGCCUCCCACAGAUUGAUAAACCUUAGUUCAUCCACUUGAGGGAAAGUUGCUACUGUCCUACAAAACUCUGCGCUUGGAGGCCCAACACGUAUCUACAAGAAGAAGUUGUGUAGUAGACAUCAGACCCCACCACACCCUCUCAAUCUUAGCAUGUCUCUAAUUCUGCAUGUACAUCUCAUGCAAUUGAUAGACCUUAACUUGCGUGGUAGUUCGGCAGAAGGAAAGACAUCUCUUCUUUUUAUCUUGUUGACUAAUGCAAAUAAAUUAGAUCUCGCAUGAUUCCUCACGUUAGCAUAGGUUGCCUUUUCUUCCAAGUAAUUAGUGCACGUUGGUUUUCCCUGCCAAACCGGAGCUGGCCAAUAUUGUAUGCAUAUCUUCUGUCUUUAGUUGGUAUUUUACCUUGCAUGCAAUUAUCCCCCGUCAAUACAUGCACGUCCACCAAAUUAGUUUCCUUCUCAUUGGCAUAAUGAUCGAAUGAAGCAACAUCUUGUUUUCUUGUAAUAAAAAAUAUUUACUUUAACCAACUAACAUAUGUUAUCAUUUCGCAAUCAUCAACAACACUAACAUUAGUUGGGACCAUAUCAUACUAUCCUCCUUGCAAUGAAACUUUCAUUGAUUUCGAAUCAAUCUCUUCAAUAAUAUAUUUAUUAGCACUUUGAACAAUGCCUGGAAAAAAUUUAAUAGCCUCAACCUUCUUCUUCUUUACUUCUAAUAAUGCUUGAGAAAUAUCCUACUUCUUGCGAUCAGCCAUAUAGUUCUCUGAUGUGUAUGAAUCAAGUGGUAUCCAUUGUGCUCCAUGACCAAAAGAAAAUUGGCCAACCGAAUGAUCCAUCAAUUGAGUUUUAUCUGGACAUGGUUUUCCUAGAAGUAUUGAACAUGUAUGCAUGUGCAUGGAAAGCACAUCACACAUGAUGAGAUUACCAUGUUCAAAUAGAAAAAACCAUACCUCCAUACGAUGCAUGAUCUUGACAAACUUGUUCUUGACGUAAAUCUCGUAUGGUUCUGAAUGUUCAAUCAAUGGUAGAUUCAAAGCAUCAAUCAUAGCUUGGCUCACUAAGUUAAUCUUAGAAUAGCAAUUCACCAAGGUUACACAGGUUGGUGGGCCUUGAAAGUGCAUUAUAUCGACUAUAGGUGGGGUGAAUAGGCGAUUUUUCGAAUUUCAUCACUUAGGAAAUUCCUUUUGAAGAAAUUCCUCACCGAUGAAUCACGUACAACGGAAAUAGCACAGCAUCACAAGUGCAAAGACUACUACAGCAGAUUACUGGGUGAAUAUUAUGAGAAUUGGUUUGCUCAGUACGCAGGUAUAAAGAACGCAGAUGAAGAUUAACUCAAGUGAAGAAUUUGAGGUUGAGGAAAUUCAGAGAAAGUGUCCAUACAAAUUCUUCAAACAACACAGAUGAAAGUCUUCACUAUACAAUUCUAAGGAAAUGAAAGAGUUGAAGAAAUAGAACCUGUUUCACGAUGAAGACACUUGUUGAUGACCGAGUUCCAACUGUUGUGACAAUCGUACAUAUGGUUUGGAGCGGCAUGGCAUUGAAACCAAACGACACACGGUCCCUACCGUAUUCUCCUUGAGCUAAGGACACACAGUCCUCGCCCAACACUCGUGGUAAGUCUUCUGGGUAGACUUCCAAACCCUCACAAACUCGGUCACCCACCGAUCCACAAUUGACUGUUCGAUGCCUUAGACCAUGAUGCCUAACCAUCUGGAGAUGCAAAGUCCUCAAAGGUAAAAGGCUUCAGUUCCACACAGGAACAAAUUCUUUAGUGAUGCUCAAUUACUUGGUUUUUGGUUUGUGGUUUGGUGUUUGGGGGUAUUUCCUCACUUGAUGAUUUACUCUCGAAGACUCUGAGGAAUUUGGGUUGCUAUAAAUGACAAGUGUCAGUUUCUCUCGGAGCAGCCAACCAGCUAGUGGUUGUGGGGGCCGGAUAUUUAUAGCCUGGGAGCAUCCCGACAUGAUUUGACAUUAAUGCCCUUAAAUUAUGUGACCCUUGGGUGGAUAAGAUCAGUGAGGUGGCGUGUGUCGUGACAACGGUCGGGACUAUCAACUGUGAAAGUCCUCAUGUUUCUCAUAUGCCUCACUUGAGGCUUUGGUAGGUUUAGGCUUGGGUUGAGCAUCAUGAGGAAAUUCGUUCCAUAGUAUUACUUCGACCCCCUUUAACAGUACGGUGUCCCUAGUACUCAAGAGUAAAGAAAAAGAUAUAGAAAGAGUAAAUCUUCACGCUUCAAAGUCUUCAAACUGAUUUUCUUCAGGACACACUGAAUUCCUCAUCUUCAAUAUCUUCCUGAGGAAUAUCAAUUUCAUCGCGACCAAAGUCUUCAAAUUAAGACCAAUUACUUCAGCCGAAGACAUUCAUUUUUAGGAGUAGAUAUUCAUCGUAUAACUUAAACUCCUCAGCAACUUAUAGAGCAUGUGUACACUUACAAACACAUUAGUUCCUUAACCUAUAAGUCUUCAAACCACCAAAAUCACUAAGGGCACUAGAUGUACUUACAAUCUGCCCCUUUUUGGUGGUUGAUGAAAAUUAGCUUAAGUUUUCAACAGGGAUAAAAAUAUGAAGAGUAAGUACUGAGUUUGGAAUUUGAAAUCAAGAUACUGACAGACUCCCCCUGAAUAUGUGCAUAUUUUGAGGAAUUUGCUUUGCACGGUAGAUGCACAUUGAUGAUUUAUAUCAUGGAGAUCUCCCCCUGUAUCUUGUAAAUUAUGCAUAAAUUUGACAUAUAAUAUGAGGAAUUUGAAAAUGCAUGAUGAAAAAUGGUGUCUGAUGAAUUUUAGCAUGCCUGCAUUAAUAGACUUUGAGGAAUAAGCAUGCGAAGAAAAACGUUCAAAAGAGUCAGAGCACCAUCAGUCUUAAGUUACAACUCAUUACAUCAAAACACUUCAGAAGAACCACGAUUUUGUAACUUAAUAAUGUUAAUAAGCCCCAAAAUAGAUCCCGCUUGAAGACUAACUCUCAGAUUUCUCCCCCUUUGUCAUCAAGUGAUGAAAAGGGACAAAACUGAGGAUUAACGCCCUUUGAAGAAAUUCACUUUUUAGCUGAUGAAGAGUCAUGAGGAUUCUUCGAGACAGGCUUCUUCCUUGGACCAGGUGCGUUGUUUUCUGGUUCUUCAUCUGACUCAGUAGUGCGGAAUGAAUAUAGAGCUGUCCACCAAGUCAGGAACUGGAUUUGGCUUGAAUUUUUUCUUUGGAGGCCACGACCAGUCGAAGUCUUGAGUAAACUCCAAUUCCCUAAGUUGCUCUUGAGUAUUCAGAUGAGCCAAGGUGGCCCAGGUUCGAUCAAACACCUCAUGAAGAUAAUAGUGAUUUUUCUUCACUAAAUUCUGAGUUUCUUUGAGGGUUUUCACAAUGGCACUGAAGUGACGUUUAACCCACUUGUGAUUGCGAUUGACCUUUUGAUGAAAACUGAGGAGUAUAUCUCUAUUAUUCAUCACUCUAGGGGCAGUUGGGCUUGGUGGAUCUUGGGUAGCAGUGUCAUCAUAUGAAGAAUAUGAGUCUGCCUUGCGACAUUGGCCAUCAACGGGCCGAUUUCCGUCAUCAAUGACAAAUUUUCCUUUGCCUUCAACAGACUCAAAUGAUUUCAUGAUGACUCUGAUCGGCGGCAGAUAUCUGAGGUGAUUUUGAAAAUCAGCUUGGUAAUUGAUGCUUGACCUGUUUUUGAUGAAUCUCAUAAUCCAGGGCACAUAAAUAUUCAAUUCAAAUGGCGACAGGGCAUUGUCAGCCAAAGUCCUCAAGAAGAAAUCAUGAAGGUUCAUCGGUAUGCCAUGGAUGAUAUUGAACAAAAUAUUCUUCAUGAUGCCUACGACAUCUUCUUCAUCAUCAUGCCCUUUGAUAGGAGCAAUGGCAUAAGACCAGAUUUUGUAGACUAUUCUUGGUUCAUACUUCAAGUCUUGUACCAGAAAUGGAGUCCUUGGGGGUUGGUCCUUGGCCAAAGGCUUCAUGAGGACUUCCAUCAGUCCGUUGGGCAGUUCACAUUCAUCAUACAUCACAGCUGCAUCCUCUAAGGGAAUUGAGAUUGGAAGAGCUCUAAGCAAUUCAGUUGUAGGCGCUUUGUAGUGCAUGUGAUGAGUCAUCCAAUCCAAAACCAUAGUGUUGACAUCCUUUGGGUCACCAGAGAUGUGCAGAGUGGCGUAGAACUGAAGAAUGUUGUCAGUGUUCCAAUCGCCGAUGUCAGUGCAGAAAGGCAGUAAUCUAGCUUCUUAAAGAACGUUGAGGACUAGAGAAAAUCAAGGUAUUUCAUCCAUAUCACAGAGAGGAAUAUGGGUAUGCUGAAAUAUCUUGUUUCUCCCACAGAGCACUGAAGCAUAAUGGUUGAGUUUGUUCCUUGUCCAAAACUUCUUGUGCCUGAUGCGAAGCUUAUCGUGUGGAUUUUCGCCGGUGAAGUACAUGUGUUCUUCGUAAAAUUCCUCUUUUUGAAACUUUGGCAUUUUGGAGAAAGGUGGAUUUUGCUGUGGUUGAAGAUUAUGCUGCUGUUCUUGAGGAGUAGCUACUACCAUUCGUGUUUUUGUGUUUACCACAACAAUAGCGAUCUCAGUGUUGGGCACAGUAAUAUUUUCUUCAGUUUGAGGAUUUUCUGCAGCUUGUGGAAUUUGCUUGUUGGAGGAGGCAGUUGCAGUAUUUGUCGCUGCAUUGUCUUCAGCUGAGGCAGCUGAUUUUUGAGCAGAUUCCUCACGAAAGGUUUUCCCAUCAAAACAUGUGAGAAUUUCAGUUGCAGCAGGAGUCAGAGGAAUUUGAGUUGACCUGGGUGAGCGAGGAUGAGUCUCUUCUUAGAAAUCAUCAUGAAUCACUAGAGUGCUGCACCCAGUUUCAUCAUCACCCACUUGUUCUUCACUGGUCUUUGCAGGAAUGGUGGACUGAGGAAUAUCGUCUAUCUGUACUUCCUCAUCAAUGAUUUCUUCUUCUUUAGCAUCCUACAUUUCUUCGUCAUCUUCAGGAAUGACAUAGUCAACCCCGAAGGAAAUGAUCAAGUAAGAUGCAGCUACAUUCAGAGGAGUAACAUCCACCGGGGCAGUUGGUGACUCUGACUGAGGGACCUUUUAGGGUUUGGCCUCUGAGGUUUCUGAGAUCAUUGAAGCUUUUCUCUUCUUUGCUUCUUUCUCAACUGCUUUAGUCUUCUUCACGUCUGAUACAGACGGAGUCACUUUCUUCACCUUUGAUGGUUGUGGUGAAGGAACAGUUUCUUCAGGCACUGGUGGAGUGUCAGGCCUAGUAGUUUCAUCAGCUGGAGCAUUUUUUCAGCUGGAAUAUCUUUAGGAAUUUCCUCACCAGCUGGUUCAUCAGUUUCAUCUUUCUCGGGCAGCUGAAGAGUGUAGCUUGACUGAGGUGCUGCUUGCUGCUUUGGAUGGGCCGUUCUCUUGUAGUAUUCAUCAAUUGCGGCAGAUGCAACCUUGAUGAAAUUCACCUUGUCUCCUUCACGAUCAGUGUGAAGACUUGUAUACAUAUUUCUUAGGGUUCUGAGUUCAGCCUAAGUUGAUACAAGUGCUUCAGGCAUCAUCUUGAGGAGUUUCUGCUUGAGGAAUUUCUCUAUCUUGAUUUUUGCAGCCUUUGCUUGCUUGGCUUGCUGGUCUUUCCACUUUGCCUCAUUGAUGAAAGUGGCUACCAUGUGGCUUACACCUGGGGGAAGCUUUAAGUCAUCGACAGGAGUGUUUGCACCUUCAUACCAGAGGUCUAUGAAAUCCAGCAAAACCUUUGGGUCCAUUGCUAAAGGAAUGAAUCUGCCUGAGGCUUGAGCAACUCAUUCCUUCUUGUUUUUGUUGAUAGCUUGAAGUGUCUCCUCAUCAAAUUCUUCACUUCAGUCAACAGAAGGAACGUUGAUGACUUUGCUAGGACUUGGCCUGAUGCCUCUUCCAGCAGUCAUUUUAGUCUUCAAUAAAGGUGGUGAAGAUUUUGCAACAGAGCUCGUGGCAGACAGCACUGAGGAACUUGAUUGAGCAGGCUGAUGCUUAAUGAGAUGCUUCUGUUGAGGUUGUGAAGACUGUGGUGCUGUUGAAGAUUUUGCCACUGUUGCAGCCUUUUGAGGCAUUUGCUCUUUUGGCACUGAGACUUUGGGUUUCUUCAGCACAGUCUUCUUCUCAGGAAUUGCUGUAGCACAGGCCUCAGCAGCUAAAGAGGUGGCGGAAGUGUGUGCAGCAGCAGAGUCAUCAUUGAAUUUCUUCACAACUGCUUUUGCCUUCUUCUGUAGCUUAGAAAAAUAUUUUCUCUUCUCAUCAGGAUAAUCCUCCAUGGUUUCAACGCUCGAGGGAUGAGCAUCUUGUUGAUCACCCUGAGGGGUCCUCUUGCAAGGUGGCUUGAGGGCGAAUUUCUACGCAUACUUAGGAGUAACAUAUUUGUACUCAUUCCACUCCUUAGCCCACCUGCUUCAAUUUUCUGAAGCCUUAUCUUGCGCUUUGCCAUGGUUUCUUUGCCAUGAAUUUCCUCAUCUGGAGUGCCGUAAUCAGCAUAUAUGUCUUCAGGUAUGUCGAACGUUGUGUUCUGUUCAAGCUUCUUUCCUCCCUUCUGCUUCCGGUCAUCCUCCAAUUUCUUUAACUGAGGCUUUUGCUGAGGAAUAUGAACUCUUGAAUAUUUUGAUGACACGGGUAAAGUUUCUUCGAGAAAUGCUACAAAUGAGUUAAGUUGAUGAGAACCUAGAGAUUCAUCAACUGGCAUUUUUGUACCUGUGAACAGAGUAUAGGUGCGAAGAAUUUGGAGAGGUCAUAUGCGUUCUCAGAUUUGAAGAAAUUGAAAAUUUUAGUACUUCAGGAAUUUGAUGGGUUGAGGAAUUUGACUAAGCAUUCUGAUCUUGGGUUCCAGAGUUGUGCACAUUCAAGAAUUUACACAAUCGAGGAAUCUCAUGAAGAAUUUGAGUGGCUUAGUGAAAUUCAUAGAGUGUUUGAGGAAUGAGUGUGCGUGGCUGGCAGACACUCUGAGGAAAAACAAAUUUGGUGAGUCUAAAGUGAAAUAAUAGAUCAACAGAGGCAGCAAAAUAGGAUUUUAAUUACCGUGAGUGAAGAACACGAAGAACUGGAGCAGUAAAAGAGAGAAACUCUUUGGUUCAGAUCUUCCACACCCUAACUUGGCAACAGAGAUCAGCUACGGCAGCGGCGGAGGAAGAGAUUCCGUGUCCGGUGUGAGUUCCACGACGGUGAGGGCGAGGUAGCAAAGAUUUUCCUCACCGGCGACGAGAUUGCUAGCGGUGGCGCUAGGGUUGAGCUCGAGCGAAGAAGACGAGAGGACGAAGAGUUUUGACAGAGGGGGGUAAGAGCCAUUUUAUAGCUCUGGUGAAAAACUGUUCGGCUGAAAAUUUCAAACCAAACUGCCCUUGCCCAUUCGUCUCCGCAUGACACGUGGAGCCCACGACUGAAGCGGUGGACUUCGUGGUUAUCCGAUCAUGGGAAGUGGGUCCAAUUAUCGUGUAACAUUAUAAAAACAAUUUUUUAAGUUUUGAGGAUUUCGUUGCAAAGUCUUCAGCUGACAAUGACACAAUGAGGAUUUUGAACACGUCUCGGGUAGAACGCAUAUGAAGAAAUGAAUAGACUGGGUUGAGCUUAUCAUAGAGGGGAGUAGGGUCCGAUCACAUUCACUUAGAUGAAAUAUCAAAUUGAAAAGUGAGUUAUAAGUGAAUGUUGUUGAGGACUUUGAAAUUUUAGUCUAUAUGCAAAUGAAAAUAUUCAAAUGUUUUGAAGAAUUUGAAGAUUUUGAAAAACUUGAGAAUUUUGUGACAAAGUGCCAAAUUGAUGAAUUUCAACUUUGAAGAAAAACAGCUUGAAGAAUUUCAAAGUUGGGUGGUGGCGUGACCCACCAUAUAAGAAUGAUGAUUUCACGCGCCGCUUACAAUUGUUGUAGGGCCGUGAGAACCCAAUUCUUCAUUAAUUUCCUCACACUGAGAGUGAUAUUCCUCAUCAAUUGAAUAAAAUCGAUUCUUUGUGUGUUGCACAUCUAAGUCAUCAAUUUUGCAUAGGUGUUAGAAUGUGUGCAUAUUUUCACAAAACAUUUGAAGACUCCAAGAUAUUUAGCUCACACCGCAACUUGCAAAACCUUCUCUCAUCCAAGGGCUUAGUGAAAAUAUCUGCUAGCUGAUUGUCAGUCUUCACAUGAUCGAUGAUGAUAUUGCCCUUGAGGACAUGGUCCCCAAGAAAAUGAUGACGAAUCUGGAUGUGGUUAGUCUUCGAGUGUUGUACUAGGUUGUCGGCGAUCUUGAUUGCACUCUCACUGUCGUAGUAGAGGGGCACAUUCUUCAUAUUGAUGUCGUAGUCUCUGAGGGUUUGCUUCAUCCAUAGCUGUUGUGCACAGCAGGAUCCAACAGCAAUGUACUCAUCUUCGGCAGUGGAGAGAGAAACACAGUUGUGCUUCUUUGAGGGCUAGCAGACUAAAGAUCUUCCGAGGAAAUGGCACAUGCCAGAUGUUGACUUGCGAUCCACACGGUCACCAACAUAAUCAAAAUCAGAAUAUCCAACGAGAUGAAGAUUUGAGCCCUUGGGGUACCAUAAUCCUAGUAUUGGUAUGUGAGAUAAGUAUCGAAGAAUAUGCUUCAUAGCCUUAUUGUGUGAUUCCUUCGGUUUUGCAUGAAAACAAUCACACAUGCAAACACUAAGCAUUAUAUAUGGCCUAUAUGCACAUAGAUACAAUAAAGAGCCAAUCAUCGAGCGAUAUACCUGUUGAUCAAAAUCUUUACCACUUUCCUCAGUGCAGAGGUAGCCAUUGGUAGGCAUAGGAGUCUUGACUCCUUUGGAGUCAUGCAUGCCGAAUUUCCUCAGAACAUCCUUGAGGUAUUUCUCCUGUGAUAUGAAGAUGCCAUUGCGUUGUUGAUGAAUUUGAAAACCUAAGAAGAAUUUCAGCUCCCCCAUCAUAGACAUCUGAUAUUCUUCAGUCAUGAUGUAAGAAAAUUCAUCACUGUAACGUUUGUCAGUACAACCAAAGAUAAUGUAAUUGACAUAUAUUUGACACACAAAUAGUUCAUUAUCAUAGGAUUUUGUGAAAAGAGUAGGAUCGAGUAAACCAGGUUUGAAGCCUUUCUUCAUGAGGAAUCCCUUCAAUGUAUCAGACCACGCCCGAGGGGCUUGCUUGAGGCCAUAGAGUGCCUUUUUGAGUCUGAAGACUCUGGGGUCCUAGCAACAUAUACUUCUUCCUCAAGCUUACCAUUAAGGAAUGCACUUUUAACAUGCAUUUUAUAUAGAGUAAUAUUAUGAUGAUUAACAUAAGCAAGUAGUAUUAGAAUAGCUUCAAGUCUAGCAACAGGUGCAAAAGUUUCAUCGAAAUCAAUUCCUUCAACCUGUGUGUAGCCUUGGGCUACAAGCCGUGCCUUAUUCCUCACCCACUUGACCAUCCUCAUCUUGCUUGUUUCGGAAAAUCCACUUAGUGGCGAUGAUAUUGUGCUUGCGAUGAUCUGCUCGUUUGACGAGUUCCCAUACGUCAUUUAGCUUGAAUUAAAGAAGUUCAUCUUGCAUGGCUUGAAUCCACUCAGGAUCCAUGAAGGCUUUAGCAACUUUUGAGGGUUCUGUGAUAGACACAAAAGAGGAAUGCCCACAAAAGUUAACUAAAUGUGAAGCUUUUGAGCGAGUGAGAGGACAUGGCCCAUUGAUGUCAUCGAGGAUUUUCUCAAGUUCUACAUCAUUUGCGAUUCUUGGAUGAGCUGGUUGAGGAUUUUGUCUGGGCUGAGGAAUUUGAUCUGGAGCAAUUUCCUCAGGUGCACCUUCUUGAAUUUCAUCAGUGUUGGGGAUGAUUUUUUCAGCAAUUUCCUCAGUAGGAACGAUGUCUUCAGUAGCUUUGAACUUGAUAGCUUCCUCAGGAGAUAAUUUCUCUAGCACAACACGCAAUUGCUCUAUUGGGUUUCUUGUCAGUGAGGAGUUCAUAUGAGGUUUUCUUGAGGAAUUUGUGGAGAUAUACCCUGUUGAUGAUGUGGAAAGCAGUAUCGAUUGCUUCUGGCCAGAAACAACGAGGAGUCUGGUAUUCUUCAAGCAUGGUCCGUGCCAUUUCAACUAGAGUCCUGUUCUUGCGUUCAAUGACGCCAUUAUGUUGAGGAGUAUAAGGAGCAGAUAAUUCGUGAGUAAUACCAAGUUCAUCAAGAUAAUCAUCAAGAGCAAUGUUUCUGAAUUCUGUUCCAUUGCCACUCCUGAUGUGUUUGAUCUGCACGCCGAAGUUCGUCAAGGCCCUUGAGGAAAAUCGUUUGCAAACUUCCUGCACUUCAGUUUUAUACAGAAUGAUAUGUACCCAAGUGUAUCGAGAAUGGUCAUCAACGAUGAUAAAACCAUAUAAGGAUGCCGCAUUGGUUAGAGUAGCAUAAUGAGUAGGUCCAAACAAAUCCAUGUGAAGCAAUUCAAACGAACGAGUAGUGGUCAUGAUAGUCUUCGAGGGGUGUUUUGGUCUGGUCAUUUUUCCAAACUCACAAGCACCGCACAGAUGGUCCUUAAGGAAUUUGACUGAUUCGAUGACAAUGACAUGCUUCUUCUUCGCCAACGUGUGCAAAUUCCUCAUGCCUGCAUGACCAAGUCUUUGAUGCCAGAGCCAGCCUUCUGAGGUUUUUCCUAGUAAGCAUGUGGCUGGUUGAGGACCUCUCCUAAAGACUUCGAACACUUUGGAUCUGUCAGAUUCCAUGAUGACUACACAUCUGUAUUUUCCAAAGAUAACAACCAUAUCAAGAUCACAAAGCAUUAAGACUGACAUGACAUUAAACCCAAGGGAUUCGACAAGCAUCACUUUGUCCAUGUGCCUGUCCUUGGAAAUAGACACUUUGCCAAGUUCCAAUACCUUGCUUUUCCCUUUGUCAGCAUAAGUGAUUUGCUUCAGUGGUGAUGGAGUCAGUGGCAUAUUCAUCAGCAAGAUUUUAUCACCAGGAUUGUGGUUUGUGCAACCACUGUUAGGAACCCACUCAGUAUUCUUGGGCUUGUCAUCUUGCAGAUGAAUUAGUACAUCUUACCAUCUCAUAUGCUUCAGACUUGAAGAAUAUGAUUGCAAUUUCAUCAGAUAGGAAUUUCAUCAUAAACAGUAAAUUUGAGGACAUGUGAAAUGUUAUCAUUUCAUCAAUUUUAGCUUGCGCCCAAUCAAGCAUUUUCUUCACGUCUCCAGCAAAUUCUUCAGAAGAUGAUUUUCAUCUGGAGACCUAACCUGCAGAAGUGAUUAGUUCAAUUUAUUCACCACCCACAUCUGAAGGGUUGGCAAAGAGUUCGUCAUCCUGCGAGCACCAUAUGACAAAGGGGGCAUUGAAGCUAAUGCACUUCGUUUCACAAUAGGGGGGUUAGAGUACUUAAAUGAAUAGGCAGAGAAGUUGUUUGAGGAUUUACGAACAUAAUGAUUUGAGGAAUAAUGCUCAUAUUCAUAUCCCUUGUAAUUUCCCUGCAUAUAAGAAGCAUUAGCACACGUACGAGCAUAGUUUUGACCAGUUGAGGAUUUUAUACUCUUGAAGACUUUGGUCCUCCUGAGGAAUUUGAUCUGGGGUUCAGGUUCUUCACAUGUCGUGUCAUGAGGACAUUCACCUCAAUAUUUUUCAAGUAACUUUUGGGGACCCAGAUUUUCCUCAGGGUGGUCCAUUCCUGUAGUUAGUUCCAACAUAUCGAGCAAAUACUUCACCAGAUUGAUUGUUGAACAGUUUAGAUAAUUCACAUGCAAAGGCUGUUAGAGUUGAUGGAUCAACGGAAGGUCCUUUAGAAGAAACCCAUGAGGUUUUGGGGUACUACCCAGGUUUCCAGUAUGAUCCAUGAGCAUUCAAUUUCCUCUCGAAGGCAAUUCCUUCUUUCCUCGGGUUCCUGUUCAAAUCUUUUUUUGAGCACAUCGCAAAGGGUUUGAUGCCCUUUGAGACUUUUGUACAUGCCUGUCACAUACAAUUCCUUCAGCCCUGCAUUUGCAUUAGUAACAUUUGUGGUUUCCUCAAGUGAGGAAUUUGAUACCACAUGAGCAGUUGAAGAAUUUGUAGCAAUAUAAGCAUUUGAUGAUUCUGGUGAAGAGUUGGCAGUUUCACGCUCGAUGCAUUUGAGACAUGCUGGAGUGAAUUCAAACUGGGUGGCACUGAUCUGUUGAGCAAGCAAUGAAUCGUUUUCCAUUCAAAUAUCAUCAUCAGACAUCUUCAACUUCUCAAGAUCAAGUUUCCUUCGAAGAAAUUCAUAGGAAAGUUUCUCAUGAUCAGCCAGGAGUGUGCCAUAACGCUCUUGAAUACUAUCAAAUCUACACUAAAGACUUUUCACAUCUUCGGUGAGGAUUUGACUACGAUUGACUUCAUCAUUCAACACAUCAUCGCUUCUGUCUAGUAGUUUUUGAAGUUUUUCAAUGGCACUUUGUUGUUUAGUUGCAAUGUUGGCAAGUUUAUUGUAACUGGCUUUUUUAUAAUCAUCAAGUUCACAGUCACUUGAAUCAGAGGAGGAAGUGUUAUUCCGUACUUUGAACCUUUCCCCAUGAAGCAAUAGGUUGGAGCAAAGUCAUCAGCAUAGUCAUCAGUGUAGACAGCAUUUUCAUUUUCAUCAAAGUUGAAGAUUGACUUGCUGAUGAAUGUGGUAGUCAGUGCAAGACUUGCCGCACGAGACUCUGAGUCUUCUUCAGAACCUUCCUCUUCAUCACAUUCCUCUAAUUCUUCCUCAGAAUCCAUUUCCUUGCCAAUGAGUUCCCGAGCCUUUCUGAAACUAGUCGUCUUGUGCGAUGAGGACUUUGAGGAUGAGGAUUUUGAAGAUUUCUUCUUUUUCUUCUAGUCAUCAGAACUUUCAUCCUUGUAUUUCUUCUUCUUUCAUUCCUUCACCCAGCGAGGAAAAUUAGCAAUAUAGUGACCAGAUUUCUUCCAUUUAUGGCAACUUCUUUUCUUGUAGUCCUGAGAUGAAGAUUCUGAUUUUCUCAUAUCUCUUCUUGAAGAUUUACCAAACAGGCCACGCAUUGUAAACUUCUGGAAUUUCCUCACGAGCAUUGGAAGCUACUAUCCAAGUUCUUCAGGGUCACCAAUGUUGCAAUUUGAGUCUUCUUCUUCAGAUGAAGAAAUUGCUUUGGCCUUUAGCACACGAGGUCUUGAGUAGCUUGGUCCAUACAGAUCUCUCUUUUCAUCCUGUUGGAAUUCAUGAGUAUUUAGUAUUUCAAGUAUAUCAGUAGGAUCAAGCAUCUUAUAGUCUCCUCUUUCUAUAAUCAUCAGAACCAGUGUAUCAAAUGAUGGAUCAAGAGAUCUUAGCAGUCUCUUCACAACUUCAUGGUCAGUGAUGUCUCGAGCUCCGAGUGCUUGCAGUUCAUUUGAGAUGUCACUCAGGCUAUCAAAGGUAUCUUGGCAGCUUUUAUUAUCAAGCUUCUUGAAGCCAUUGAAGAGAUUGCGAAGAACAUCAACACGAGUGUCACGCUCAGUUGAAAUUCCUUCAUUGACUUUAGACAGCCUAUCCCAGAUAAGCUUAGUAGUGCCUAAAGCACUCACUCUGCCAUACUGGCCUUUGCUCAGAUGGCCAGGCUACCUCUUCAGCUUGCGUUGGUUUUUCCCUUGAAGAGGAAAGGGUGAUGCAACACAGUAGCAGUAAGUAUUUCCUUCAGUUUGAGAACCAAGGUGUCAAUCCUGUAGGAGUAUCAAGGCAAGUCUCCAAAGUACCUACGCAAAAACAAACAAACUUGCACCCAACGCUACAAAGGGGUUGUCAAUCCCUUCACGAUUGAUUGCCAGGUGAGAUCUGAAGGAGGAAAGUGCAACAAAGUGAAAGUGUAGAGCUGAAAAUAUGAAGUGAAGUAGACCCGGGGGCCAUAGUGUUCACUAUAGGCUUCUCUCAUGAUAGCAAGUAUUACGGUGGGUGAACAAAUUACUGACAAGCAAUUGAUAGAACCGCGCAAAUUUAUGAUGAUAUCUAAGGCAAUGAUCAUACAUAUAGGCAUCACGUCCGAGACAAGUAGACCGAUACUUUCUGCAUCUACUACUAUUACUCCACACAUCGACCGCUAUCCAGCAUGCAUCUAGUGUAUUGAGUUCAUAACAAACAGAGUAACGCCUUAAGCAAGAUGACAUGAUGUAGAGGGAUAAAUUCAUGCAAUAGAUAUAAACCCCAUCUUUUUACCCUUGAUGGCAACAACAUGAUACUUGCCUCGCUACCCCUUCGGUCACUGGGUGAGGACACCGCACGGUAUGAACCCAAAACCAAGCACUUCGCCCAUUGCAAGAAUUGUAGAUCAAGUUGGCCAAACGAAACCCACAACUCGAAGAGAAUUACAAGGAUACGAAAUCAUGCAUAUAAGAUAGAUCAGAGGAAACUCAAAUAACAUUCAUAGAUAAUCUGAUCAUAAAUCCACAAUUCAUCGGAUCUCGACAAACACAUCGCAAAAGAACAUUACAUCGGAUAGAUCUCCAUGAAGAUCAUGGAGAACUUUGUAUUGAAGAUCCAAGAGAAAGAAGAAGCCAUCUAGCUACUAGCUAUGGACCCGAAGGUGUGUGGUGAACUACUCGUGCAUCAUCAGAGAGGCAAUGGUGUUUAUGAAGAAGCCCUCCGUGUCCAAAUCCCCCUCCGACAGGGCACCAGAACGUGCUCCAGAUGGGAUCUUGCCAAGACAGAAGCUUGCGGCGGCGGAAAAGUAUUUUCGUGGUUUUCUCCCGUGGUUUCAGAUUUUUAGGGAAUUUAUAGGCGGAAGAAGUAGGGCAGGGGAGCCACAGGGGGCCCACAAGCCUGCUAGGCCCGCCCCCUCUAGGUUGGGCCUGGGUGGCUUGUUACCUUCUCCGAGGUCCCCUACCUUGGUUCUCAAGUUUCCUGCGUGUCUUCUGUUAUGGAAAAAAUCAUUCCGCAAUUUUUUUUCCGUUUGGACUCCGUUUAAUAUUCUCCUCUUAAAAAGGUCAAAAACACGGAAAAAACAGGAACUGGCACUUGGCACUGAGUUAAUAGGUUAGUCCCAAAAAAGGUAUAAAAUAGAAUAUUCGUGCAUACAAAACAUCCAAAGUUGACAAGAUAAUAGCAUGGAACCAUCAAAAAUUAUAGAUACGUUGGAGACGUAUCAAGCAUCCCCAAGCUUAACUCCUGCUCGUCCUCGAGUAGGAAAGUGAUAAAGAAUGAAUUUUUUAUGUGGAAUGCUACCUAAUCAUAUUUUUCCUUUGUAACUUCUUUUUCGUGGCAUGAAUGUUCAGAUCCGUAUGAUUCAAAACAAUAGUUUACUAUUGACAUGAAAACAAUAGUACUUCAAGCAUACUAGCAAAGUGAUCAUGAACUUUUGAAAUAACAAGGCCAAAGAAAGUUAUCCCUACAAAAUCAUAUAGUCUGGCUAUGCUCCAUCAUCCGCACACAACGAAUUUAAAUCAUGCACAACCCCGGUAUUGGCCAAGUAAUUGUUUUCGCACUCUUACUUUCUCAAACUUUUUCAACUCUCAUGCAAUACAUGAGCGUGAGCCAUGGAUAUAGCACUAUAGGUGGAAUAGACUGUGGUGGAGGUUGUGAGGCAAAAAGGAGGAGUUGCUCACAUCGACUCAGCGUAUUAAUGAGCUAUGGAGAUGCCCAUCAAUAGGUAUCAAUGUGAAUGAGUAGGGAUUACCAUGCAACGGAUGCAUGAGAGAUAUAAGUGCGUGAAAGCUCAAAAGGAGAACUAGUGGGUGUGCACCCAACUUGCUUGAUCAUGAAGACCUAGGGCAAUUUUGAGGAAGACCAUCAUUGGAAUAUACAAGGCAAGUUAUAUAAUGAAGAUUCCCACUAGUAUAUGGAAGUGUCAAAACAAGAGACUCUCUAUCAUGAAGAUCAUGGUGCUAUUUUGAUGCACAAGUGUGGAAAAAGAUACUAGCACUGUCCCUUCUCUCUUUUUCUCUCUUUCUUUCUUUUUUUGUUUGGGCUCUUUGGCCUCUUUUUUUCAUUUUUUGGUGGGCAUCUUUGGCCUCUCUUUUUUCCCUUUUUUCAUUUCUUCACAUGGGACAAUGCUCUAAUAAUGAUGAUCAUCACACUUUUAUUUACUCACAGUUCAACACUCAGAGCAAUGAUGACUCUAUAGGAAAUGCCUCCGGGAGUGUACUGGGAUGUGCAACGAUCUAGCUUAGCAUAUGACGUCAAAACAUCUCGCUAGCUAUCUUACGAUCAUGCAAUGGCAAUAUGAAAGUGACAGCACAAGUUAUGAGACAGAACGGUGGGAGUUGCAUGGCAAUAUAUCUCGGAAUGGCUAUGAAAAUGCCAUAGUAGGUAGGUAUGGUGGCUGUUUUGAGGAAGGUAUAUGGUGGGUUUGUGCACCGGCAAAAGUUGCACGGCACUAGAGAGGCUAGCAAUGGUGGAAGGUGAAAGUGCAUCUACACCAUCGACUCACGUUAGUCAUGAAGAACUCAUAUAAUUUUUGUGAAAGUUCUAUUAGUAAUCGAAACAGAGUGCUAAACGCAUACUCCUAGGGGAAGGGUUGGUAGGUUUUAACCAUCGCGCGAUCCCGACCGCAACACAAAGGAUGACAGUCAAUAAAUCAAUUAUGCUCCGACUUCCUAACAUCGCGGUUCACCAUACAUGCAUGCUACGGGAAUUACUAACUUCAACACAAGUAAUUCUAGAUUCACAACACCCUACUAACAUAAGUCUAAUAUCACCAAAUCCAUGUCUCAAAACUAAUUGAGAGGAAUCAGACUUCUCUUUACUAAUCAAUGCACAUGAAUAUGGAAGUUUUUAUUAUGUCCUCUUUGGAUGCCUGUCAUCUUUAGGACUCUUUCAUAGCACAAGCCAAUUACCAAGUUACUCAGAGAGAGCACUCUCAAAAAGAUAUAACUGAAGGUCGAGAGUUCUUAUUUCUCCAAAAUAUGACACCGCCGUGCUCUAAAAGGAUCUAAGUGAAGCACUAGAGCAAAGUUAUCUAGCUCAAAUGAUAUAAGUGAAGCUCAAUGAGUAUGCUAGCAAAUUCACGAUGAGUGCAUGUCUCUCUCAAAAGGGUGUGCAGCAAGGAUGAUUGUGACACAACAAAAGAAAAGACUCCUAUAAUACACGAUGCUCCAAGCAAAACACAUAUCAUGUGGUGAAUAAAAAUAUAGCUCCAAGUAAUGUUACCGAUGGAUUGAAGACAAAAGAGGCAAUACCUUCCCGGGGCAUCCCCAAGCUUAGGAUUUUUGGUGUCCUUGAAUUUUCUUGGGAUGCCUUGGGCAUCCCAAGCUUGAGCUCUUUCCACUCUUUAUCCCAUUUUCCAUGAGAACAUCACCCAACACUUGAAAACUUCACAACACAAAACUUAAACAGAAACUCGUGAUAUCAUUAGUAUAAGAAAACAAACCACCACCUCUUUAGGUACUUUAGCAAACUUGAUUUCUAGUUAUAUUGGUGUUAGAUUACUAUAUUCUCACUUUUCUAUGGCUAGUACCCCCCGACACUAUCCAUAGUUUCAUCAAAAUAAGCAAUCAACACAACAAAAACAGAAUCUGUCAAAGACAGACCAGUCUGUAGAAAUCUGUAUACUUCGUAUACUUAUGUUAUCCCAAAAAUUCUGAAAGCUUAUGACAAUGUGGGAAAUUUUCGUAUCAACCAGAAGCAAAAAAGAAUCACCAAAACUAGUCAUAAAGGUAUUACUUGGCUCAAACACAAAAAGAAACAUAAAAAAACAAUCAUAAAAGAAUUAUGAUGGUGUGGACACAACAAAACAGAAAGCAAAAAGCAAAGAUAAAUUCAUUGGGUUGCCACCCAACAAGCGCUAUUGUUUAACGCCCUUAGCUAGGCAUCGAUAAUUCAAUGAUGCUCACACAAAAGACAAUAAUUGAAGCACAACGAGAGCAUCAUAAAGCAUGUGAAAAUCACAUCUAAGUCUAACAUAAUUCCUAUUCAUAGGAAUUUUAUAGGAAAACAAAUUAUCAAGAAAAGCAAUAACGACCAUAUGCAUGGAAGAAGAAAGAGACAAUAGCAAUCUCAACAUAACGAGAGGUGAUUUAGUGAUAUGAAAGUUUCUACCACAAUAUUUUCCUCUCNNNNNNNNNNNNNNNNNNNNNNNNNNNNNNNNNNNNNNNNNNNNNNNNNNNNNNNNNNNNNNNNNNNNNNNNNNNNNNNNNNNNNNNNNNNNNNNNNNNNNNNNNNNNNNNNNNNNNNNNNNNNNNNNNNNNNNNNNNNNNNNNNNNNNNNNNNNNNNNNNNNNNNNNNNNNNNNNNNNNNNNNNNNNNNNNNNNNNNNNNNNNNNNNNNNNNNNNNNNNNNNNNNNNNNNNNNNNNNNNNNNNNNNNNNNNNNNNNNNNNNNNNNNNNNNNNNNNNNNNNNNNNNNNNNNNNCAACUAAAGUCAUGACUUCUCCAAACCCACUUUCAAUAUUAUUGCAAAUAUCAUAUUCAUCAUGAGGCUUAAUUUUUUUUCAAGAUCAUAAGAAAAAUCAUUACCCCAAUCAUUAUCAUUGCAACAAGUAGUGGACAUAGCGAAACUAGCAUCCCCAAGCUUAGGGUUUUGCAUAUUUUUAGCAUGAUUGACACUAAUAGGAUUUAUAGUGAACCCAUUGCAAUCAUGCUUUUCAUUCAAGGAGCCCUCGUGAAUCACUUCAUAAAUUUCUUCAUCACGAUUUUCCGAUUCACGCAUCUCAAGCAAAACUCCAUAGAGAAAGUCAAGUGCACUCAACUCACUAGCAAUCGGUUCAACAUAAUUGGAUCUCUUAAAGAGAUUAGCAAGUGGAUGAGGAUCCAUAUCAAUAGAUUUUCAGCAAGCGAAGAUGCAAGCAUAUUGAAGGAACAUAGCACACAAGCAAAGAAAAGACAUUUUUUUGUAAAUUUUGUUUUUUCAUAAGUGGGGGAGAGGAAAACGAGAGGCAAAAGGCAAAAAAAGUGAAUGCAAGAGAUGAGUUUGCGAAGGUUACUUGGAUAAGCUUCACUCAGUAUAGUCCCCGGUGCUAGAAAUUGACACGUUGAAGGGAUAGUAUUCUUGACUUGAUACUCCCCGGCAACGGCGCCAGAAAUUCUUCUUGCUACCUCUUGAGCUUGCGUUGGUUUUUACCUUGAAGAGGAAAGGGUGAUGCACCAGAGUAGUAGUAAGUAUUUCCCUCAGUUUGAGAACCAAGUUAUCAAUCCAGUAGAAGUACCAAGGCAAGUCUCCAAAGUACCUGCGCAAAAACAAACAAACUUGCACCCAACUCUACAAAGGGGUUGUAAAUCCCUUCACGAUUGAUUGCAAGGUGAGAUCUGAAGGCGGAAAGUGCAACAAAGUGAAAGUGUAGAGCUGAAAAUAUGAAGUGAAGUAGACCCGGGGGCCAUAGUGUUCACUAGAGGCUUCUCUCAUGAUAGCAAGUAUUACGGUGGGUGAACGUAUUACUGUCGAGCAAUUGAUAGAACCUCACAAAGUCAUGAUGAUAUCUAAGGCAAUGAUCAUACAUAUAGGCAUCACGUCCGACACAACUAGACCGAUAGUUUCUGCAUCUACUACUAUUACUCCACACAUCGACCGCUAUCCAGCAUGCAUCUAGUGUAUUGAGUUCAUAACAAACAGAGUAACGCCUUAAGAAAGAUGACAUGAUGUAGAGGGAUAAAUUCAUGCAAUAGAUAUAAACCCCAUCUUUUUACCCUUGAUGGCAACAACACGAUACAUGCCUCGCUACCCCUUCUGUCACUGGGUGAGGACACCACACGGUAUGAACUCAAAACCAAGCACUUCUCCCAUUGCAAGAAUUAUAGAUCAAGUUGGCCAAACGAAACCCACAACUCGAAGAGAAUUACAAGGAUACGAAAUCAUGCAUAUAAGAGAAAUCAGAGGAAACUCAAAUAACAUUCAUCGAUAAGAUGAUCAUAAAUCCACAAUUCAUUAGAUCUUGACAAACACACCACAAAAGAAGAUUACAUUGGAUAGAUCACUAAGAGCAUCAUGGAGAACUUUGUAUUGAAGAUCCAAGAGAGAGAAGAAGCCAUCUAGCUACUAGAUAUGGACCCGAAGGUAUGUGGUGAACUACUCACGCAUCAUCGGAGAGGCAAUGGUGUUGAUGAAGAAGCCCUCUGUGUUCGAAUCCCCCCUCAGGCAGGGCACCAGAACUUGACCCAGAUGGGAUCUUGCGGAGACAGAAGCUUGCGGCGGCUGAAAAGUAUUUUCAUGGCCCUCUCUCGUGGUUUCAGAUUUUUAGGUAAUUUAUAGGCGGAAGAAGUAGGGAAGGGGAGCCACAGGGGGCCCACAAGCCUGCUAGCCCCCCCCCCCAGGCCGGGCCUGGGUGGCUUGUGACCUCCUCCGAGGUCCCCUGCCUUGGUUCUCAAGUUUCCUGCGUGUCUUCUGUUAUGGAAAAAAUCAUCCCGCAGGUUUUUUGUCGUUUGGACUCCGUUUAAUAUUCUCCUUUGAAAAAGGUCAACAACACAGAAAAACAGGAACUGGCACUUGGCACUAAGUUAAUAGGUUAGUCCCAAAAAAUAUAUAAAAUAGCAUAUUCAUGCAUACAAAACAUCCAAAGUUGACAAGAUAAUAGCAUGGAACCAUCAAAAAUUAUAGAUACGUUGGAGACGUAUCAGGCCACAGAUAAUAUUCUUCGCUUGAGAAUCAAAUUGCUUGAAUUUCUUCACAUCAGCGGCAGAGAUAGUAGCAGUGAUGGAGGGAAUACGAUGUUCCACAAUGUACGAGAGAUCAUUGUCUAUAGCCUGGAGAUGUAACUGCAUCUUGGUCUUCCUGUUGGGAAAGUCCUUUCCUUCAAAGGUAGGACAUCCUGCAGUAACCAUACCUGCAGUUGACAUAACUAAAACUCCAGGUGGUUAAACCAAAAUCACACAGAACAAGGGAGUACCUUGCUCUGAUACCAAUUGAAAGUGCGUUAUAUCGACUAGAGGGGGGGGGGUGAAUAGGCAAUUUUUUGAAUUUGAUCUCUGAGGAAAUACCUUUUGAGGAAAUUCCUCACUAAUGAAUUACGUACAGUAGAAAUAGCAUAGGAUCAGAAGUGCAAAGACUGCUACAGCAGAUUACUUGGUGAAGAUUAUGAGAAUUGGUUUGCACAGUACGCAUGUAUAAAGAACACGAAUAAAGAUUAACUCAAGUGAAGAAUUUGAGGUUGAGGAUAUUCACGGAAAGUCAUCAUUUUUUUUUCAAACAACACAGAUGAAAGUCUUCAACAUACAAUUCUAAGGAAAUGAAAGAGUUGAAGAAAUAGAACCCCUUUCAUGAUGAAGACAGUUGUUGAUGACCCAGUUCAAACUGUUGUGAUAGUCGUACCUCUGGUUUGGAGCGUCUUGGUAUUGAAACCAAAGGACGCACAGUCCUGGGACACACAGUCCCUACCGUAUUCUCCUUGAGCUAAGGACACACAUUCCUCGCCCAACACUCGUUGUAAGUCUUCAGGGCAGACUUCCAAACCCUCUCAAACUUGGUCACCCGGUGAUCCACAAUUCACUGCUGGAUGCUCUAGACUAUGACACCUAACCGUCUGGAGGAUGCACAGUCCUCAAAGGUAAAAGGCUUCAGUUCCACACAGGAACAAAUUCUUCAGUGAUGCUCAGUCACUUGGUUUUUGGUUUGUGGUUUGGUGUUUGGGGUAUUUCCUCACUUGAUGAUUUACUCUCGAAGACUCUGAGGAAUUUGGGUUGCGCUAAAUGACAAGUGUCAGUUUCUCUCGGAGCAGCCAACCAGCUAGUAGUUGUGGGGCCGGCUAUUUAUAGCAUGGGAGCAUCCUCACAUGAUUUGACAUAAAUGCCCUUAAAUAAUGUGACCGUUGGGUGGAUAAGAUCAGUGAGGUGGCGCGUGUCGCGGCAAUGGUUGGAACUUUCAACUGUGAAUGUCCUCAUGUCUCUCAUAUUCCUCACUUGAGGCUUUGGUAGGUUUAGGCUUGGGUUGAGCAUCAUGAGGAAAUUCAUUACAUAGUAUUACUUCGACCCCCUUUAACAGUACAGUGUUCCUAUGACUCAAGAGUAAAGAAAAUGACACAGAAAGAGUAAAUCUUCAUGCUUCAAAUUCUCCAGACUUAUUUUCUUCAGGACACACCAACUCCUCAUCUUCAAUAUCUUCUUGAGGAAUAUCAAUUUCAUCACAAUUUCUUCACGAUCAAAGUCUUCAAAUUAAGACCAAUUCUUCAGCCGAAGACAUUCAUUUUUAGGGGUCGAUAUUCAUCGUACAACUCAAACUGCUUAGCGACUUAUAGAGCAUGUGUACACUUACAAACACAUUAGUUACUUAGCGUAGAAGUCUUCAAACCACAAAAAUCACUAAGGGCACUAGAUGCACUUACAGGUCUACACGCACACGCGUAAGUCAUUGGUAUCACGGCAAGGUACGCAAUGGAUCCUUCUCUACUGCCAUCCUCAUUUGUGAGCUACAAUAUUUUCUCAUGAUAAAAACUUCAAUAGUAACUCGAAGAAAAAAUAUAGUGUCAUGCUCAAACUUUUUUCUGGAUACCACCUUACGUAAACCGAACCUCGAUGUGAUAUCUGAUCUUUCGUUGUGGCCCGAUCUUUCAUGACACUCCACAACUAAAAGUAGCAACCUCUCCCCCACACAGGCGAUGUACAUGAAAUAGAGGGUUUGAUCCUUGCGGCUCAACACGAGGAAACCAAUCUCGAUGACACUACUCACGCGCAAAACAAUUUCUGUUAAUAAAUCACAAUAGAGAGGUUUUCUAAAGAUACCUCCAAAUCAUGAUACGAGUGUCUACCGUGAAAAUACAUUGUGUAUAUUUCAUAAAAAAUAACCUAUGUACAUUGGUCGUCGCGAGCCCCUUUUAUAAGCAACGCACAAAUAACAAAACUGACCUAAUUACUCUAGAUUGAAACAGACUCUCUCCCCCACCUAUUUAAACUAAUCAAAAAUUUAACUAAUAAAGUAUCUGUCAUCCUUCAUCACCUCGUACCGUAUAACAAUCCAAGACUCCUAAUUUUGCUCGGUGGGUCUUCUCCUUGGGAAGAUCGACCCCACCUGCACCCUCUCAAGCUUAGCAUGUCUCUAAUUCUGCAUGUACAUCUCAUGUAGUUGAUAGACCUUAACUUGUGUGGGAGUGGGAUAAAAAGGAAGAUAUCUCUUCUAUUUAUCUUAUUGACUGAUGCAAAUAAAUUAGAUGUGGCAUGAUUUCUCACAUUACCAUUGGUUGCCUUUUCUUACAAGUAAUUACUGCACGUUUGUAUUUCCUUGACAAACUGCUCCACGUCAAUAUUGCACGCACAUCUUCUGUCUUGAGUUGGUAAUUUACCUUGCGUGCAAAGUUGUCAGAAUCGCGACUCAAGUUUGGGAAUCUUUCGAUCUUACGGUCCAAACUAGGCUCUUUGAUUGUACGAUUUUGCUCAUGGAAUCUAACUUUCUGCGAUCCUGCUAGUUAUGAUUCUAUGAUUCACGAUCCUAGCAAUGGAGCUCCCAUCCGAUUUAGAAUAGCGAUUCUUGAAACUUUGCUUGCAUGCAAAUAUCCCCCUUCAAUACAUGGACGUCCAGCGAAUUCUUUUCCUUCUCCUUGGCAUAAUGAUCGAAUAAAGCAAUGUCUUGUUUUCUUGUAACAGGAAUAUUUCUUUUAACCCACUAACAUCUGCUAUUAUUUUGCGAUCAUCAACAACACUAACAUUAGUUGCGACCAUAUCAUCCUCUCCUCCUUGCAAUAAAACCAUCCUCGGUUUUGAAUCAAUCUCUUCAACAAUAUUAUUAUUUGAUGUUUGAACAAUACGUGGAGAAUUUCAAUAGCCUCUAUCUUCUUCUUCUUCACUUCUAAUAAACCUUGAGAAAUAUCCCUCUUCUUGCGAUCAACCAUAUAGUUCUCUGAUGAGUAUGAAUCAAGUGGUAUCCAUUGUCCUCCACGAACAAAAGAAAAUUGGGUAACCGAAUCAUAUGUCAAUUGUCCUAUAUCUGCCCAUGGUUUCCCUAGCAGUAUUGAACAUGUAUGCAUGUGAAUAGGACGCACAUCACACAUGACCAUGUCACCAUUACCACUUAGAAUAAAUCGUACCUUGACAGGAUGCAUGAUCUUGGCAAACUUUUCCUUGGACCAAAUCUUGUAUGGUUUUGAACGUUCAAUCAAUGGGAGGUUCAAAGCGCCAACCAUAGUCCGGCUCACUAAGUUCAUCCUAGAAUAGGAAUGCAUCAAGGUCGCACAACUUUUCAUCCCUACGGUUCUACCGCAAGGUACACAAUGGAUCGUUCUUGUGGGGCCUCAAAUCAUAAGUCGUGAUCACCGAAUGUACAUGCACAGUGAUUCCAGAUAUCAAUGGUCACUGAACACACAGAAACUGAAUAACAAGAGUCUUACUGUUGGGGAACGUAGUAAUUUCAAAAAAAUCCUACGCCACACAAGGAUCUAUCUAUGGAGAAACCAACAAUGAGCAAAGGAGUAGAGAAUCUUCGUACCUCUGAAGAUUGCUAAGCGGAAGCGUUCCUAGAACGCGGUUGAUGGAGUCGUACUCGUAAUGAUUCAGAUCGCGGUGGAUUCAGAUCUAUGCACCGAACAACGGCGCCUCCGCAUUCAACACACAUGCAGCCCGAUGACGUCUCGAACGCCUUGAUCUAGCAAGGAGGGAGGAGAUGUUUAGGGAGAGCUCCGGCAGCACGAUGGCGUGGUGACCGUGGAGCUACGUGAAACUCCGACAAGGCUUCGCCAAGCACUACGGAGGACGAGGAGGUGGAGGAGUAGGAAUGCGCCGAGAGAGAGAGAGCGAAGUUGUGUCUCAAAACAGACCCAAACCCUCCACUAUAUAUAGGAGGAGAGGGAGGCGGGUGCCCACCCUUAGGGUUUCCCACCCUAAGGGGUGCGGCAUCCCUAGAUGGGCAAGGAGGGUGGCGGCCAAGGGUGGAGGCGCCCAAGAGGGCCUUGAGGCCCAAGGCAGCCCCUCCACGCCUAUGGUUUGGCCCCCUCCACCCCUUGGUGCGCCUUGGGCCUUUAGUGGUGGCGGUCCAGCCCACCUCUGGGCUGGUUCCCAUCCACGUUUGGCCCAUGUAGUAGUUUGGGGCUGGUGGCCCUUCCCGGUGGUCCCAGUACAUUACCGGUGAUGCCCAAAACACUUCUGGCGAUCAAAUCCUCACUUCCUAUGUAGAAUCUUUACCUCCGGACCAUUCCGGAACUCCUCGUGACAUCUGCGAUAUCAUCUGGGACUCUGAACAACCUCCGGUAACCACGUAAUCGAACCUUAAGUGUGUAGACCCUACGGGUGCGGGAAGCAUGCAGACAUGACCAAGACACCUCUCCUGUCAAUAACCAACAGCGGGGUCUGGAUAUACAUGUUGGUUCCCACAUGUUCCACGAUGAUCUCAUCGGAUGAACCACGAUGUCGGGGAUUGAAGCAAUCCCUUAUGAAAAUCCGUUUGUCUACCGGUAUGAUACUUGCCAGAUAUUCGAUCGUCGGUAUCCCUAUACCUUAUUCAAUCUCGUUACCGGCAAGUCUCUUUACUCGUUCCGUAACACAUCAUCCUGUGGCUAACUCCUUAGUCACAUUAAGCUCAUUAUGAUGAUGGAUUAUCGAGUGGGCCAGACAUACGUCUCCGUCACACGGAGUGACAAAUCCAAGUCUCGAUUCGCACAACCCAACUGACACUUUCGGAGAUACCUGUAGAGCACCUUUAUAAUCACCCAGUUAAAUUGUGACGUUUGGUACACCCAAAGCACUCCUACAGUAUCCGGGAGUUGCACAAUCUCAUGGUCUAAGGAAACGAUACUUGACAUUACAAAGCUUUAGUAGACGAAAAAUAUGAUCUAGUGCUAUGCUUAGGAUGGGGUCUUGUCCAUCACAUCAUUCCCCAAUAAUGUGAUCCCGUUAUCAAUGACAUCCAAUGUCCAUAAUCAGGAAACCAUGAUCAUCUAUUGAUCAACGAGCUAGCUAACUAGAGGAUCACUAGGGACACAUUGUGAUCUAUAUAUUCACACAUGUAUUAUGGUUUCCGAUUAAUAGAAUUAUAGCAUGAAUAAUAGACAAUUAUAAUGAACUAGGAAAUAUAAUAAUAACCACUUUAUUAUUGCCUCUAGGGCAUAUUUCCAACAGCCUCCCAGUUGCACUAGAGUCAAUAAUCUAGUUACAUUGUGAUGAAUCGAACAUCCAUAGAGUUCUGGUGUUGAUCAUGUUUCACUCGUGGAAGUGGUUUAGUCAACGGAUCUGUGACAUUUGGAUGUGUAUGUACUUUACAAAUAUCUAUAUCUCCAUCCUGGAUGUGUCCACAAAUUUAGUUGAAGCGGCGCUUGAUGUGCUUGGUCUUCUUUUGAAACCUGGGCUCCUUUGCAAUAGCAAUAGCUCAAGUGUUGUCACAUAACAGAGUCAUCGGGCCCGACACACUGGGAAUCACUCCUAGGUCGGUGAUGAACUCCUUCAUCCAGACUCCUUCCUGUGCUGCUUCUGUAGCAGCUAUGUACUCCGCUUCACAAGUAGAUGCUGCCAUGACGCUUUGCUUGCAAGUGCACUAGCUAACUGCCCCAUUAUUCAAAUAUACACGUAUCAGGUUUGUGACUUGGAGUUAUCUGGAUUUGUGUCGAAGCUAGCAUUGACGUAACCCUUUACGACAAGCUCUUCGACACCUCCAUAAACGAGAAACAUAUCUUUAGUCCUUUUCAGGUACUUAACGAUGUUCUUGACCGCUGUCUAGUGAUCCACUCCUAGAUCACUUUGGUACCUCCCUACCAAACUUAUGGCAAGGUGCACAUAAGGUCUGGUACACAGCAUGCCAUACAUGAUGUAGCCUAUGGAUGAAGCAUAGGGGACGGUACUCAUCUUUUCUCUAUCUUCCGCCGUGGUCGGGAGUUGAGGCGUACUCAAGCUCACACCUUAUAAUACAGGCAAGAACCCCUUCUUGGCCUUAUCCAUAUUGAACUUCUUCAAUAUUUUGUCAAGGUAUGUGCUUUGUGAAAGACCUAUGGGGCGUCUCCAUCUAUCUCUCCAGAUCUUGAUGCCUAAUAUGUAAGCAGCUUCUCCAAGAUCCUUCAUUGAAAAACUCUUAUUCAAGUAGGCCUUGAUGUUUUCCAAUAGUUCUAUAUCAUUUCCCAUCAACAAUAUGUCAUCCACAUAUAAUAUGACAAAUGCUACACAACUCCCACUCACUUUCUUGUAAAUACAACCUUCUCCAUAAGUCUGUACACACCAAAAGUCUUUGAUCACCUCAUGAAAGCGAAUGUUCCAACUCCGAGAUGCUUGCACCAGCCCCUAGAUGGAGCUUUGGAGCUUGCAUACCUUGUUAGCAUUGCUAGGAUUGACAAAACCUUCCGAUUGUAUCAUAUACAAUUCUUCCUUAAGAAAGUCGUUCAUGACUGUCGUUUUGAUGUCCAUUUGCCAGAUUUCAUAAUCACAAAAUGCGGUAUUUGCUAACAUGAUUCGGACCGACUUUAGCAUCGCUAUGGGUGAGAAGGUCUCAUCGUAGUCAAUCCCUUGAACUUGUCGAUAACCCUUAGCAACAAGUCGAGCCUUAUAGAUGGUCACAUUACCAUCCGCGUCAGUCUUCUUCUUAAAGAUCCAUUUAUUUUCUAUGGCUCGCCGAUUGCUACGGUAACAAAAGUCCUUCCUUUUGUUCGCGUCGGUUUUUCCCUUGAAGAGGAAAGGGUGAUGCAGCACAGGAGCAGUAAGUAUUUCCCUCAGUUUGAGAACCAAGGUAUCAAUCCAGAAGGAGGUUCUCGUCAAGGCCAGUGUACCUGCGCAAACACAAACAAGCUUGCACCCAACGCAACAAAGGGGUUGUCAAUCCCUUCAAGAUUGUUUGCAAAAGUGAGAUCUGAAGGCGGAAAGUGCGACGAAGUAAAAAGUGUAAGGCUGAAAAUAUGGUGUGGAGUAGACCCGGAGGCCAUAGUGUUCACUAGAGGCUUCUCUCAAAAUAGCAAAUAUCAUCGUCAGUGAACAAAUUACUGUCGAGCAAUAGAUAGAACCGCGCAAAGUCAUGAUGAUAUCUAAGGCAAUGAUCAUACAUAUAGGAAUCACGUCCGAGACAAGUAGACCGAUACUUUCUGCAUCUACUACUAUUACUCCACACAUCGACCACUAUCCAGCAUGCAUCUAGUGUAUUGAGUUCAUGACGAACAGAGUAACGCCUUAAGCAAGAUGAAAUGAUCUAGAGGGAUAAUCUCAAACCAAUGAUGAAAACCCCAUCUUUUUACCCUUGAUGGCAACAACACGAUGCGUGCCUCGCUACCCUUUCUAUCACUGGGUGAGGUCACCGCACGGUAUGAACCCAAAACCAAGCACUUCUCCCACUGCAAGAAUCGUAGAUCUAGUUCACCAAACAAAACCCACAACUCGAAGAGAAUUACAAGGAUAUGAAAUCAUGCGUAAGAGAGAUCAUAAGAAACUCAAAUAAGAUUCAUAGAUAAUCUGAUUAUAAAUCCACAAUUCAUCGAAUCUCGACAAACACACCGCAAAAGAAGAUUACAUCAGAUAGAUCUCCAUGAAGAUCAUGGAGAACUUUGUAUUGAAGAUCCAAGAGAGAGAAGAAGCCAUCUAGUUACUAGCUAUGGACCCGUAGGUCUAUGGUGAACUACUCACGCAUCAUCGGAGAGGUCAUGGUGUUGAUGAAGAAGCCCUCCGUUUCCGAAUCCCCCCUCCGGCAGGGCACCAGAACGUGCCCCAGAUAGGAUCUUGCGGAGACAGAAGCUUGCGGCGGUGGAAAAGUGAUUUCGAUGAUCUCCUGAUUUUUUUUUGAUUUUGAGGGAAUAUAUAGGCGCAGCCCCUAGGUCAGAGGGCACCCAGGGGGCCCACAAGCUUGUGGGCCGCGGCUUCCCCCCUGGCCGGGUGGUGGGUGCUUGGGGGACCCCUGAGGCUCCCCUGCCUUGGCUCUCAAGCUUCCCGAUCUUCUUCUGUUACGGAAAAAAUAUUUUCAGGAUUUUCUUCCGUUUGGACUCUGUUUAAAAAUCUCCUCUAAAAGGGGUCAAAAACAUGGAAAAAAACAGGAACUGGCACUGAGUUCGUAAGUUAGUCCCAGAAAAUAUAUAAAAAGCAUGCAAAACAUCCAAAGUUUGACAAGAUAAUAGCAUGAAACCAUCAAAAAUUAUAGAUACGUUGGAGACGUAUCAAGCAUCCCCAAGCUUAACUCCUGCUCGUCCUCGAGUAGGGAAGUGAUAAAGAAUGAAUUUUUUAUGUGGAAUGCUACCUAGCAUAGUUGUCCUUUGCAGCUUCUUUCACGUGACACGAAUAUUCAGAUCCGUAAGAUUCGAAACAAUAGUUUGCUAUUGACAUGAAAACAGUAAUACUUCAAGCAAACUAGCAAGGUAAUCAUGAACUUUCAAAAGAACAAGGCCAAUGAAAGUUAUCCGUAUAAAAUCAUAUAGUCUGGCUAUGCUCCAUCAUCCUCACACAACUAAUGUAAAUCAUGCACAACCCCGGUAUUGGCCAAGUAAUUGUUUUCGCACUCUUACUUUCUAAAACUUUUAUAACUAUCACGCAAUACAUGAGCGCGAGCCAUGGAUAUAGCACUAUAGGUGGAAUAGAGUGUGGUGGUGGUUGUGAGACAAAAAUGAGGAGUGACAAAGCAAUGGAUAUAGCACUAUCAUUGGAAUAUACAAGCCAAGUUAUAUAAUGAAGAUUCCCACUAGAAUAUGGUAGUGACAAAGCAAGAAGCACUCAAUCAUGAAGAACAUGGUGCUAUUAUGAAGCACAAGUGUGGAAAAGGAUAGUAGCAUUGUCCCUUCUCUCUUUUUCUCUUUUUUAUAUUUGGGCUCAUAGGCCUCUUUUUUUCUUUUCUUUUUCUUUUCUUUUUGGGCUCUUUGGCCUAUUUUUUUAUUUCCUCACAUGGUACAAUGCUCUAAUAAUAAUGAUCAUCACACUUUUGUUUACUCAUAGCUCAAAGAUCACAAUGAUGAUGACUCCAUUGGAAAUGCCUCCGGCAGUGUACCGGGAUGUGCAACAAUCUAGCAUGGCAUAUGACGUUGAAACAUCUCACUAGCUAUCUUACGAUCAUGCAAUGGCAAUAUGAGAGUGACGGCACAAGUCAUGAGACGGAACGGUGGUAGUUGCAUGGCAAUAUAUCUCGGAAUGGCUAUGAAAAUGCCAUAGUAGGUAGGUAUGGUGGCUCUUUUGAGGAAGGAAUUUGGUGGGUUUGUGCACCGGCGAGACUUGCGCGGCACUAGAGAAGCUAGCAAUGGUGGAAGGUGAAAGUGCAUCUAAACCAUGGACUCACAUUAGUCAUGAAGAACUCACAUACUUGUUGGAAAAGUUUUUAUUAGUAAUCGAAACAAAGUGCUAAACGCAUACUCCGAGGGGAAAGGUUGGUAGGUGUUAACCAUCGGGCGAUCCCGACCUCAACACAAAGGAUGACAAUCAAUAGAUAAAUUAUGCUCCGACUUCCUAACAUAGCGGUUCACCAUACGUUCAUGCUACGGGAAUCACUAUCUUCAACACAAAUAUUUCUAUAUUCACAACACCCUACUAACAUAGCUCUUAAUAUUACCGAAUCCACGUCUCAAAACUAAUUGAGAGGAAUAAAGACUUCUCUUUCUACUAAAUGCACAUGAAGAUGGAGGUUUUUGCAUCUUCUUUGGGUGCCUAUCACAUUUGGGACUACUUUCAUAGCAUAAGCCAACUACCAAGUCACGCACCGCCGUGCUCUAAAAGAUAUAAGUGAAGCACAAGAGCAAAAGUAUCUAGCUCAAAAGAUAUAAGUGAAGCACUAUGAGCAUUCUAGCAAAAUCACGAUGAGUGCAUGUCUCUCUCUCUCAAAAGGUGUGCAGCAAGGAUGAUUGUGACACAACAAAAGGAAAAGACUCCUACGAUACAAGACGCUCCAAGCAAAACACAUAACAUGUGGUGAAUAAAAAUAUAGCUCCAAGUAAUGUUACCGAUGGAUUGAAAAAAGAGGGGAUGCCUUCCCCGGGCAUCUCCAAGCUUAGGAUUUUUGGUGUCCUUGAAUUUGGCUUGGGAUGCCUUGGGAAUCCCCAAGCUUGAGCUCUUUCCACUCCUUAUCUCUUUUUCCAUGAGAACAUCACCCAAAACUUGAGAACUUCACAACACAAAACUUAAACAGAAACUCAUGAUAACAUUAGCACAAGAAAAGAAACUACCACUUCUUUUGGUACUGUAGAAAACUUGAAUCCAUAUAUAUUGGUGUUGGGCUACUGUAUUCUCACUUUUCCAUGGCUAGUACCCCCCGAUACUAACCAUAGUUUCGUCAAAACAAGCAACCAACUCAACAAAAAACAGAAUCUGUCAAAAACAGACGAGUCUGUAGCAAUUUGUAUACUUAGUAUACUUGUGCUACCUAAACAAUUCUGAAAAAUUAUGAUGGCGUGGGAAAAAAGCAUAUCAACCAUCAGAAAAAAAGAAUCAACUCAAAAGAUUGUUCUUAAUAAAAACUAAAAAUCAUCUCGUGAGCGAAAAGUUUUUGUCUUUUUCCAGCAGGAUCAAACAACCAUUACCAAGACUAAUCAUAAAGGUUUUGCUUGGCUCAAACACAAAAGGAAACACAAAAAACACAAGCACAACAAAAUUAUGAUGGUGUGGACGCAACAAAACAGAAAGAAAAAAAGAUAAAUUCAUUGGGUUGCCUCCCAACAAGCGCUAUUGUUUAACGCCCUUAGCUAGGCAGUGAUAAUUCAAUGAUGCUCACACAAAAGAUAGCAAUCGGACACGAAGAGAGCAUCAUGAAACAUGUGAAAAUCACAUCUAAGUCUAACAUACUUCCUAUGCAUAGGCAUUUUAUAGGAAAACAGAUUGUCAAGACAACCAAUUGUUGCCAUAUGCAAGGAAGAAGAAAGAGACAAUAGCAAUCUCCACAUAACGAGAGGUAAUUUGGUAACAUGAAAGUUUCUACCACAAUAUUUUCCUCUCGCAUAGCAAUUACAUGUGGGAUCAUAGUCAAAUUCAACGAUAUAGCUAUCACAUAGGAUAUUCUUUUCAUGAUCCACAUGCAUGCAAAGUUGAAUGCUCUUCAAAAAUAGUGGGAUUAUCAUCAACUAAAGUCAUGACAUCUCUAAACCCACUUUCAAUAAUAUUGCAAAUAUCAUAUUUAUCAUGAUAAUUGCAACUAGUAGUGGACAUAGCAAAACUAGCAUCACCAAGCUUAGGGUUUUGCAUAUUUUUAGCAUGAUUGUCACUAAUAGAAUUUAUAGUGAAACCAUUGCAAUCAUGCUUUUCAUCCAAGGAGUCCUCGUGAAUCACUUCAUAAAUUUCGUCCUCACAAUUUUCAGAUUCACGCAUCUCAAGCAAAACUCUAUAAAGGUAGUCAAGUGAACUCAACUCACUAGCAAUUGGAUAAACAUAAUUGGAUCUCUUAAAGAUAUUACCAAGUGGAUGUGGAUCCAUAUCACUAGAUUUUCAGCAAGCGAAGAUGCAAGCAUAUUGAAGGCACAUGGCACACCAGCGAACAAAGAGCAAGCGAGAGAAAAGGGAGAACGAGAAAGGCAAACAAAAAAGGCAAACGAAAAAGGAAAAUUGGUGAAGUGGGGGAGAGGAAAACGGGAGGCAACUGACAAACAAAGUAAAUGCAAGAGAUGAGUUUGCGACACCUACUUGGAUGAGUUCUUGACUUGAUCUUCCUCCCCGGCAACGGCGCCAGAAAUUCUUCUGCUACGUUAACAAAAGUCCUUCCUUGGCGCUAGGAAUUCUUCUUGCUACUUCUCUUGUUCUCGUCAGUUUUUCCCUUGAAGAGGAAAGGGUGAUGUAGCACAGGAGCAGUAAGUAUUUCCCUGAGUUUGAGAACCAAGGUAUCAAUCCAGAAGCAGGGUCUCGUCAAGUCCAGAGUACCUGCGCAAACACAAACAAUCUUGCACCCAACGCUUCAAAGGGGUUGCCAAUCCCUUCAAGAUUGUUUGCAAAAGUGAGAUUUGAAGGCGGAAAGUGCAACGAAGUAAAAAGUGAAAGGCUGAAAAUAUGGUGUGGAGUAGACCCGGGGGCCAUAGUGUUCACUAGAGGCUUCUCUCAAAACAACAAAUAUCACGGUGGGUGAACAAAUUACUGUCGAGAAAUUGAUAGAACCGCACAAAGUCAUGACGAUAUCUAAGGAAAUGAUCAUACAUAUAGGCAUCACGUCUGAGACAAAUACACCGAUACUUUCUGCAUCUACUACUAUUACUCCACACAUCGACCGUUAUCCAGCAUGCAUCUAGUGUAUUGAGUUCAUGACGAACAGAGUAACGCCUUAAGCAAGAUGACAUGAUGUAGAGGGAUAUUCUCAAACCAAUGAUGAAAACCCCAUCUUUUUACCCUUGAUGGCAACAACAUGAUGCGUGCCUCGCUACCCCUUUUGUCACUGGGUGAGGUCACCACACGGUAUGACCCCAAAACCAAGCACUUCUCCCCUUGCAAGAAUCAUAGAUCUAGUUGGCCAAACAAAACCCACAACUCGAAGAGAAUUACAAGGAUAUGAAAUCAUGCAUAAGAUAGAUCAGAAGAAACUCAAAUAAGAUUCAAAGAUAAUCUGAUCAUAAAUCCGCAAUUCAUCGGAUCUCGACAAACACACCACAAAAGAAGAUUACAUCAGAUAGAUCUCCAUGAAGAUCAUGGAGAACUUUGUAUUGAAGAUCCAAGAGAGAGAAGAAGCCAUCUAGUUAAUAGCUAUGGACCCGUAGGUCUAUGGUGAACUAAUCACGCAUCAUCGGAGAGGUCAUGGUGUUGAUGAAGAAGCCCUUCGUAUCCGAAUCCCCCCUCCAGCAGGGCACCAGAACGUGCCCCAGAUGGGAUCUUGCGGAGACAGAAGCUUGCGGCGGCGGAAAAGUGAUUUCGAUGAUCUCCUGAUUUUUUUAGGAUUUUGAGGGAAUAUAUAGGCGCAACACCUAGGUCAGAGGGUGCCCAGGGGGCCCACAAGCCUGUGGGCCGCGGCCUACCCCCUGGCCACGGCGUGGGGGCUUGUGGGGCCCCUGAGGCUCCCAUGCCUUGGCUCUAAAGCUUCCCGAUCUUCUUCGAUUACGAAAAAAAACUUUUCGGGGAUUUUCUUCCGUUUGGACUGUGUUUCAAAAUCUCCUCUGAAAGGGGUCAAAAACAUGGAAAAAACAGGAACUGGCACUUGGCACUGAGUUAAUAAGUUAGUCCUAGAAAAUAUAUAAAAGGCAUGCAAAACAUCCAAAGUCAUGGAACCAUCAAAAAUUAUAGAUACGUUGGAGAUGUAUCACCGAUCAUCGGGCAAGUCCCCCAAAGUCCAUACUUUGUUCUCAUACGUGGAUCCUAUCUCAGAUUUCAUGGCCUCAAGCCAUUUGUUCGAAUCCAGGCCCGCCAUCGCUUCUUCAUAGUUUGAAGGUUCACUAUUGUCCAACAACAUGACUUCCAUGACAGGGUUGUCAUACCACUGGUGCGGAACAUACCCUUGUGGACCUUCGAGAUUCAAUAGCAAAUGGAUCUAAGGUUUCAUUAUCAUCAUCAUUAACUUCUUCUCUACCCGGUGCAGGCGCCUUAGAAACAUUUUCUUGUGCUGCGCUACUCUCUGGUUCAAGAGGAGGUACACUUACCUCAUCAAGUUCUAUUUUCCUCCCACUUACUUCUUUCGAGAGAAACUCUUUAUCUAGAAAGAAUCCGUUCUUGGCAACAAAGAUCUCGCCUUAGCAUCUUAGAUAGAAGGAGUACCCAAUAGUUUUCUUAGGGUAUCCUAUGAAGACGCAUUUUUCCGCUUUGGGUUUGAGCUUCUGUGGUUGAAGUUUCUUCACAUAAGCAUCGCAGCCCCAAACUUUGAGAAAUGAGAGCUUAGGUUUCUUGGCAAACCAUAAUUCAUACGGUAUCGUCUCAAUGGAUUUAGAUGGUGCCCUAUUUAAACUGAAUGCGGCAGUUUCCAAUGCAUUUCCCCGGAAUGAUAGAGGUAAAUCGGUAAGAGACAUCAUAGAUCGCACCAUAUCUAAUAAAGUGCGAUUACGACGUUCAGACGCACCGUUACACUGCGGUGUGCCAGGUGGCAUGAGUUGUGAAACAAUUCCACAUUUCCUUAGGUGCGCGCCAAACUCGUGACUCAAAUAUUCUCCUCCACGAUCAGAUCAUAGAAACUUUAUUUUCUUGUCACGUUGAUUCUCCACCUUACUCUGAAACUCCUUGAACCUUUCAAAGGUUUCAGACUUGUGCUUCAUUAAGUAGACAUACCCAUAUCUACUUAAAUCAUCAGUAAGGGUGAGAACAUAACGAUAGCCACCGCGAGCUUCAACACUCAUUGGACCGCAUACAUCGGUAUGUAUUAUUUCCAACAAGUCGGUUGCUCGCUCCAUUGUUCCGGAGAACGGAAUGUUGGUCAUCUUUCCCAUGAGUCAAGGUUCGCAUGUGUCAAAUGAUCCAAAAUCAAGUGAGUCCAAAAGUCCAUCUGUAUGGAGUUUCUUCAUGCGCUUUAUGUUGAUAUGACCAAGGCGGCAGUGCCACAAGUAUGUGGGACUAUCAUUAUCAACCUUCCAUCUUUUGGUACUCACACUACGACUAUGUGUAACAUCACGAUCGAGAUUUAUCAAGAAUAAACCAUUGACCAACGGGCAUGACCAUAAAACAUACCACUCAUAUAAAUAGAACAACCAUUAUUCUCAGAUUUAAAUAAGUAGCCAUCUUGCAUCAAGCGAGAUCCCGAUACAAUGUUCAUGCCCAAAGCUGGUUCUAAAUAACGAUUAUUAAGGUUUAAAACUAAUCCCGAAGGUAGAUGUAGAGGUAGCUUGCCGACGGCGAUCACAUCGACCAUGGAACCAUUCCCAACGCGCAUCUUCACCUCAUCCUUUGCCAGCCUACGCUUGUUCCGCUGUUCCUGUUUUGAGUUGCAAAUGUUACCAAAAGCACCAGUAUCAAAUACACAGGAGCUACUACGAGCGCAUAUACAUCUGACGUUGUUGGCCUUCUUGUCCGGUAAGUACUUAGGGCCAUUCCGCUUCCAGUGACAUGUUCCCUUGCAGUAAUAGCACUCAGUCUCACGCUUGGGUCCUUUCUUUGGCUUCUCCCCGGCAACUGGUUUAUCGAGCGCGGCAACUGCUUUGUCGUCUUUCUUGAAGUUCUUCUUAACCUUUCCCUUGUUGAAACUGGUGGUCUUAUUGACCAUCAACACUUGAUGUUCUUUCUUGAUUUCUACCUCUGCAGAUUACAGCAUUGAAUACAACUCCGGAAUAGUAUUUUCCAUCCCUUGCAUGUUGUAAUUCAUCACAAAGCCUUUAUAGCUAGGUGGUUGCGACUCGAGGAUUCUUUCAAUGACCGCAUCAUCCGGAAGUUCAACUCCCAACUGAGUCAAGCAGUUGUGCAACCCACACAUUCUGAGUAUGUGCUCAUUGACAGAACUAUUCUCCUCCAUCUUACAACUAAAGACCUUCUCAGAGACUUCAUAUCUCUCGACCCGGGCAUGAGCUUGAAAAACAAGUUUUAGCCCCUCGAACAUCUCAUAUGCUCUGUGUUGCUCAAAACGCCUUCGGAGCCCCGGUUCUAAACUGCAAAGCAUGCCGCACUGAACCAGAGAGUAGUCAUCACUCCGCGACUGCCAGGCGUUCCUUACGUCCUAGGUUGCCGCGGGAAUGGGAGGAUCACCUAGCGGUGCACUAAGGACAUAUGCCUUCUUGGAAGCACUGAGGAUGAGCUUUAAGUUACGAGCCCAAGCCGCAUAGUUGCUCCCAUCAUCUUUCAGCUUGGUUUUCUCUAGGAACGCGUUGAAGUUGAAUGAGACAUUUGCGUUGGCCAUUGGAUCUAUAAUAUUUAUAAAGACAAUUUUAGAGUAAGUUCAUGAUAAUUAAGUUCAUCUAAUAAAAUUACUAAUGAACUCCCACUUAGAUCGACAUCCCUCUAGUCAUCCAAGUGUUACAUGAUCCACAUUGACUAGCCCGUGUCCGAUCAUCACGUGAGGCGUACUAGUCAUCGAUGGUAGGCAUCUCCAUGCCAAUCGUAUCAACCAUACGACUCAUGUUCGACCUUUCGGUCUCCCGUAUUCGAGGCCAUGAAUGUACAUGCUAGGCUCGUUGAGUCAACCUAAGUGUUUUGCGUGUGUAAACUGGCUUACACCCGUUGUAUGCGAACGAUAGAAUCUAUCACACCCGAUCAUCACGUGGUGCUUCGAGACAACUUUGCAACGGUGCACACUUAGGGGAAUACAUAUCUUGAAAUUUUAAUGUGGGAUCAUCUUAUCUUUGCUACCGUCGUUCUAAGCAAUAAGAUGAAAACAUGAUAAACAUCAGAUGCAAUCAUAUAGUGACAUGAUAUGGCCAAUGUCAUCUUGCUGCUUUGAUCUUCAUCUUCGGGGCACCAUGCUCAUCAUUGUCGCCGACAUGACACCAUGAUCUGCAUCAUCAUGAUCUCCAUCAUUGUGUCUCCGUGAAGUCGUCACGCCAACUAUUACUUCUACUACUAUAGCUAAUGUUUAGGAAUAAAGUAAAGUAAUCACAUGGCGUUGCAUCUCAUACAAUAAAUUAAGACAAUUGCUAUGGCUCCUGCCGGUUGUCAUGCUCAUCGACAUGCAACUCGUGAAUCCUAUUACAAGAACAUGAUCAAUCUCAUAAAUCACAUAUGUAACAUCACAUCCUUUUGGCCAUAACACAUCACAUACCAUACCCUGCAAACACAAGUUAGACGUCCUCUAAUUGUUGUUGCAAGUUUUACGUGGCUGGUUAGGGUUUCUAGCAAGAACGCUUCUUACCUAUGUGACAGCCACAACGUUGAUAUGCCAAUGCUAUUGACCCUUCAUAAGGACCCUCUUCAUCGAAUCUGAUCUGACUAAAGUGGGAGAGAUAGACACCCGCUAGCCACCUUAUGCAACAAGUGCAUAUCGGUCGGUGGAACCAGUCUCACGUAAGAGUAGGUGUAAAGUCGAUUUGGGCCGCUUCAUCCCACGAUGUCACCGAAUCAGCGCCCACAACUUUUGUGUUCUACUCUUGCAUAGAAUCUAUGCAUAGAACCUUGGCUCGGAUGCCACUGUUGGGGAACAUAGUAACUUCAAAAAAAUUCCUACGCCACACAAGGAUCUAUCAAUGGAGAAACGAGCAACGAGCAAAGGAGUAGAGCAUAUUCAUACCUCUGAAGAUCGCUAAGCGGAAGCAUUGCUAGAACGCGGUUGACGGAAUCGUACUCGCAGUGAUUCAGAUCACGGUGGAUUCCGAUCUAUGCGCCGAACAACAGCGUCUGCGUGUUCAACACACGUGCAGCCCGGUGACGUCUCCAACUCCUUGAUCUAGCAAGGAGGGAGGAGAGGUUGAGGGAGAGCUCCGGCAGCACGACAUUGUGGCGACGGUAGAACUACGUGGCACUCCGACAUGGCUUCGCCAAGCAGUACGGAGAACGAGGAGGUGGAGGAGUAGGGCUGCGCUAAGAGAGAGAGAAGUUGUGUCUCAAAACAGCCCCAAACCCUCCACUAUAUAUAGGAGAAGAGGGAGGAGGGUGCCCAGCUGUCGUAGUUUUGUCACGACAGAUGUCCUCGUGAAAGGACUUAGUGAUGGAGCCAUCGCACCUUGGUGGCGACUCAAAGGGGGUGAGCGGAAGCAAGACGGAGGUUUACCCAGGUUCGGCCCCUCCUAUGGAGCUAAAAUCUUACGUCCUUCUUUGUGUAUAUUGAUGGUGGAUUCGAUUACAAGGAGGGCAUAACUCUCUUGACCUAGCUCUCGAUGGAUUCUAACUUAACCUAUCUGCCCUAGAGACUCCCCUUUAUAUAGAGGUCGAGGCCCUAGGGUUUACAAAGUCCUGGCCACAUUACAAAUCGUGGCUUUCCAUAUCUCUAAGCCGACGUGUCUUCCAAGCUAGGAAAUCUCCUCGGCGACUUAUCUUCUCCGUUAAUCUUGAACCGCCAUCGAGGCUCAUGGGCCCUGGCGAGCUUUACGUUGAAGUUCUCCUGAUGCAUCUCAAAUCCUGGGCCAAGGCCUAUCUUUGAUCAUGAAUGUUGAAUUGCCGCUUACCUGAUCCGAACUAAUAGGGCGGGUCAUACCGCAGGUAAUAUCCCCAACAUUAGGCCCCAGAUUGAGUUGAAUUUAUUCACGCCAAUAAACCUUCAUGUUUGUCUAUGGUUAUUCACACACGAUCUCUCACCUUUUUUCUUCAACGAGUAACGAGCCGUCAAUCACUACUGAAAUUCAGAAAUUUGCUGUCCGCCACGGCAUACGGCAAAGGGGGCUACCACGGACGGCAAAGGCUUUGCCGUCGGUCAGCAGACGGCAAACUAGAUGGUAAAAAAAAAUCCGGUGAAGAGGUUCUUUGCCGUCUGCUUUUGUAAAGCGGACGGCAAAGAUUCUUUGCCAUGAGGGGGCAGACGGCAAAUUAACUGGGACAACACAUAGUGCAACGUCCCCGUUAAGUGUUAACGCCAGGCGUCCUCUCUUUGGCGUCUGUUGGCCCCCCCCCUUUGCCAUGUGGGGGCAGACGACAAAGAGGGGAGAGGGAGGGGGCUGAUUCCCCCCUUUGCCGUCUGCCCGCCCCCCCAUGCCAUGUGGGGGCAGACNGAGAGAGAGAGAGGGCAGGGCUAGAGAGAGAGAGCGGGCAGUGGGCGCGAGAGCCGUUAGCGGAUGGGGUGGGGGGCUAUGCACCGUUAGAGAGGGAGCCCCCUUUGCCAUCUGCAAAGGCUGGGUGGCACACGGCAAAGGNNNNNNNNNNNNNNNNNNNNNNNNNNNNNNNNNNNNNNNNNNNNNNNNNNNNNNNNNNNNNNNNNNNNNNNNNNNNNNNNNNNNNNNNNNNNNNNNNNNNNNNNNNNNNNNNNNNNNNNNNNNNNNNNNNNNNNNNNNNNNNNNNNNNNNNNNNNNNNNNNNNNNNNNNNNNNNNNNNNNNNNNNNNNNNNNNNNNNNNNNNNNCCCCCUUUGCCGUCUGCCUUCCCUUUGUCGUCCGCAUGUGGUUCCUUUGUCGUUCGCUGGCCGACGGCAAAGGGAAGACCGACGCCAAAGAAAGCUUUUGCCUUAGGUGUUGUCUUUGCCGUCUGCUUUGUACCAGCUGAUGGCAAAGAAGCUCUUUGCCAUGUGUCAGCAGACGGAAAGGCAAAGCCAGACGGCAAAUUUAUAGUGAAUCUUCAUAAAUCGCCUCAGUCGCCAGGUCUUUAUUGAUGAAGUCAUCUUCUCCACUAUUUCAUGGAUCUUGAUGACAUCACUUCCAACGGAUCUUUUGUCUUAUCCUGUCAUCACGAGAAUCUAGGCGCCAUAAUUUCCGGUUUUCAAUGUGCCUCCUUGACUCCCGCGCCUGCCAUUUCGAUUUCUGCCCUAGGUCUUUAAAUAGCCGCACGGGGGAGAGGAGCAUUCCCACCUACCUCUAUUCCAUCGCCUCCACUACGUCUUGUUCCUCAAGCUCGCGUUACAAACACCGUGCCACCACCGAACCUCUGUUUCGGACCGGCUGCUUUUUGGGCUGAUCCAGGGAGUGGUCAUUGGGGCAAACCUCCGCGGCCUGCUUCCGUCAUCGCCUUCCCUCAUCAAGUAACUCUUUCUUCUCCAAUAGAUCUAAAUCUCGAACCUCCCUAGUUCUUGGAGUAGCACCGGAACUCCAUGAGCGUUGGCUCAUCACGCCAUCGACCCGUAUAGGUACGGGCUUUAGAUCCUUCUUCUUAGCAAUGAACUGCGGUAUUCCCGUCAACAAUCCUUAGUAAAUAUCUUGUUCCCCCCAUUGUUCCACAGGACCACCACACUGCUCCAAAGUGUCCCCGUGUUCUUAGCACUUUUAUUUCGGCAAGUUUAUUUUCCUCGAUAGAAUAACCCGUAGAUCCGUAUACCUUUGUCUUGGCAUUAGAAACGUUUUUGCCCUUGAUUAGAAAUAUUCUAAGGGAACUUUUUACAAUUGCAACCCUCCCUCAAUGCCGUGGCGAGUCACAAUUUCCCUUUAGACAUGAUCUCCGUUGUUGGCCGGCAAGUUACCAUUUAGUACGUCAUGAUGACCCACCAAUCCUUCUUAUGCAGAUCUCCGUCCCCCUCCUUUCAUGCUUGCAGUCAUGGGUUCCAUCUCUAAGUGCAACUGGUUGCCAAAAGAAGUUUAUGAUGCCUAUCUUGCGAAUUUUGUGAAAGUUGGCAAUCUUGCACCCAAAGAAAAGAUCGGCUGGCGAACCGCCCUAGGAAAGCAACGUUCGCAACCCAGCGAAGGGGAAGUAGUCGUUUUUGCUGAUCAUCUUGAGCGAGGCUUCACACCGCCCGGCUCAAAGUUUUUCAGGGACGCCUUGCAUUUCUUAAAACUCCAUCCCCAAGACUUAGGGCCAAACUCCAUCAGCAACCUUUGCUAAUUCCAAGUGUUCUGCGAGUCUUACCUGCAAAUAGAGCCUACCGUAAUUUUGUUCAUGAAGUUCUUUUAUCUGAACCGCCAAACAGAGUUUGCCAACAGGCCCUGCCUAGAGCUUGGGGGAGUCAACAUCCAGCAACGACGAGAAUGCUGGUUCCUGGCUAUUAUAUUGCCCAGACAUCCCAAGGGUUGGGCAAAAACUUGGUUUUACUGCCGCGACACUUCUCCACCCAACGAGAACCCCUUAGCAAGUUUCAGGGAGGAAUGUCUGCCCAAGGAUUUCAAGUUCCCUGAAAAGCUAACCGAAGAAGAAGAAGCUUCAUUUGUCUCUGUCUUUGCAAAGCUCACGGAACUUACCGUCAAUGGUCUUACCGGGAUCGAUCUGAUCUGCUUUUUGGUGGAGUGGAGAAUCAUGCCUUUGAGCUGCCAGAACGGCUUAAUGUGUGAAUUCAAUGGCCACUUAAACCACCCUCAAUGCUUUUAUAACGUGAGGCUUGAAGAAGAAGAUAUUGUUGAAAUUGUGAAGAGGCUAAGUGGCGAGCCUGUUGAGACCUGCUCCAAAAUCGGCCUAAAACCUUUCUGUGUUUCUAACCCGUCUCUAGAGGUAAAACAUAUCAACUCGCCCUUCUAGCUUUUUAAUAUACUCACGCUUGUUUCUGAUCUGGGCUUUAAUUAUGUCAAUCAGAGGGGUUCGACCUUCUAGAACCGAAGGCCCAAGACAGUUGUCAAGAAAAUGACCAAACCCGCCCCGAAGAAAAAGAAAAACAAAGGCAAGGCCACUGCAAAUGAGUCAUCCGUUGUGGGCGAGUCUUGGGUCGCCGAAGAACAAUCAGAGGUAAAUGCUCUUUGUCUUUAUUGCUUUAAUCUAACUUGUACUCAUGCUUUGCUGCUUAUAUUUAUAGGAUGAUGAGUUUGAAAGCCAAGAUGAAGAUGUCGAGGUAAUUUCCAUUUCUUCCGACUCAAACUCUUCUCCUCCCAAGCCGGCAAGGCAAAUCUGUAGGAAAGUUCCCCUGUCUCACCGGGAUGCUUAUCUGGAUCCCAAUUUCCUUUUGAAGAAGGCGAGUUUUACGCCCAAGUGUCAUACUCGAAGUCAUUCUGGAUACCUUUUGUCCGGCUUGCCCGAUAAAACGGCUGGUCGCAAGCGACAGAGCGAGGUACAUUUUUAUUAAGCAUCCUUUCCUCCUGUGCAAACCAUUCUCGCAAUUUACCCAUUCUUUCAAUCCUACAUCCAACAGGUUUCACCUCCUUCAUCUGGCGACUUAGCUGCCUCAGCUCUUCCCCCAUUGAUCUUCCUUCAGGGGUAAGUUCCUUCAUUAAAAUGUUUCCUUUGGAUGUCAAUGUUUCUAUUUUAACAUUUGUGCCACCAUUCCGUAGGGCUCAAGCAAAAAAGAGGAAAACCGGCGAGUCAUCUUCUGCUCCCAAGGCGCCUAAAAUAUUUGGAAUGAGUACCUCCAUCCCAGAAGAUCAAUAGGAACGAGCUGAAAAUCAUGUCGAGGCCUUUGAUGAUUUUCCUGACAUCCCGGGACAAGCUUCCAAGUCCUCAAUAGGAUUUAACUCAAGAGCUCAACCUGCCUGGUUCUCAUAAGGUGGCUGAAGAUAUGAUACCUGACCCGGAUGCAGUUGUCGUAACUGGUACUGGUUAUUCUAAGCCUGCAACUGCGAUUAUAACCAAGCAUGCAUCCAAACACGCCUUAGUCUUUGUAGAUAAAGACAUCACAAAACUGAAGCUUCCCAAUUAUGAGAAAUUGGAGUUUGAUGAACUAUACUCUGGUUUUGUGAGUCGCCUGGAGAUGAGCCACGGAAUGGAAAAAAGCUUGGUUAACAUGAUGCGAAGAAAACAUGAGGUAUGAUACAUGUUAACCUUCUUGACAUGUCCUCCCAAUAGCCCUCCAAAGGGCGAGUCAUCCAUGACGAAUCAUUCUUUGUGUAAUAUUCCAACGUGUAGCCCCCAAGGGUCGGGUCAUCCUAUUUCUUUUUUCAAGAUGAUCCGGGUCUUUAAUUUAUACUUGAAGAAGAGCUUCGACCUAUAGCCCCCAAGGGCUGGGUCAUAUUUUUGAAAUAUGAGUCGGGACUUUAGUUUAUACUUGAAGAAAAGCUUCAACCUGUAGCCCCCAAGGGUCGGGUCAAAUUUUUGAAAGAUGAGUCGGGUCUUUACUAUAUACUUAAGAAAAGCUUCAACUUGUAGCCCCCAAGGGCUGGGUUAUCUUUUGUAAAGAUGAGUCGGGUCUUGCUUGAAGGUAUUACCUUACAAAAAAUGAAUCAUACAUUAGCCCCCCAAGUGUUAGGGAUGUUGCUUGCAAUGGUCCUGAAACUUGCUUUCCCUGAUGUUUUUGUAGGAAUCAUUGACUCAGGCCGACUCAACUGUGGUCGGCUUGAAACAAAGCCUGGCUGAACAGCAGGAUGCUCGAGCUAAAUUCGAAGAGAGGCUUUUCCUUGCACUGUGUGACAUGGUAAAAAUGAAGGCAGAGCACAAAGAGUUUGAAAACAAGGCCCACACUAAGCAAGCUGCCUUCCUAAAAAGGGCGGAACAUGCCAAAGAAAAAAUGAAUGUCGCCAUGCAAGAGGUGUCCAGAUUAAAACAUCAUAUCUCAAAGAUGGCCCAUGUUGUGUUCGGUAAGUAUCGAUUAUUCGCUUCUAAAGACGUGUUGUACGACCUUCCGGCGACUUAUGAUGGUGCCUCUUUACUGCAGGUCCUCGAGCCGCCACUCUUCAUAAUGAUUUCAUUUUGAAGUUGAAGGCAAUAUAUACUUUGAAGGAGCAGCUGUACACUGGUGGCGUGAUUACUAUGAAGGUCUUUAUGGGUAACAAAGAGCCAAUAACAUCCAUCAAGCAUAUGUUGGGCUGUUUGUCCAUGCUGCCACCCCAGAUGGAGAAGCUGAAGAGGUCAGCCGCCCGCAAAGGAGAACUAACCGCCUUAAGCCGGUGCUUGGCCUAUGCUCUAGAUCUUAAGCCGAAAGAAAUAACUAGGGGAUUUCCAAAGCUGAAAGACGACGGGUCAGAGUUUACCGAAGAGGAUUACCAUCGCUGUCUAAAAGAAUCUCACUUCGAGGCGCCUCAACUGGCAGCCGACCUGUAUUUAGGCAAAUAUCAGGCGGCUUAUGAUGAGCACAGCAAACGGGUUACUCCUCCUUCAUAUGAAAUCACCGUCCUGACCCCGCAGCGCCGUAAGCAUCCUUUUGACUCCGAUGCCGAUCUAUCCACCAUCUUGACUGAAGAGGACGAGUUCCAUGCCUUGACCAAUUGCAAUUGGAAAUUCGGCGACUUACAGAUCCAAGAUGGCAAAAGCUCGAGGCAGGAUAAUUCGGAGGUGGCUUGAGUCAGGAGUGACGUGAAGAUCAGCCGCGGAAUUUAGUUUGAUUAUCCAAGGCCGGGUUAUGUCACCUGAUAUGGCCUUCUGAGCCAUGUAAUAGGCUAGAGAUUGAAACAAUAUUAUGAUAUAACGGUACCUUGUGCUGACUUUAAAGUCUCACCCUUUCAUUAAUAUGAAUCGCCUUGCUGGGUGCUUUUGCCAGGUCUGAUAGAUAAUACGUUUCAAUGUUUAUCAGAGAAGAAAAGAUAAGCCGGCUCAAUGAGUCGCUGCGGUUUAGAACGGAGUUUUUAUGAAAGUCUUUGGCUAUGCUACAAAGAUACUUUGUAGUCAUAAAGGUUGCCGGCUCAAUGACUCACGACAGGGUAGGACGAGUUUGCAAGAGUCUAGUGCUACCCCAGGAAGGCUUUUGCAACAACCUGAGUUGUUUAGACCGGUUGAUCACGUGCGAGUCAAGCUUCAGUGAAGCAGGUUCAGUGAACCCAUGGUUUGUCUAUUUUUCAUAUGUCGGCUCCCGCUAGCACCCUUCAUGUUUUAACCUAGGCAUGUCUAGGGUCCAAAAAGUGGAUUGACACGCCAAGAGUACAUGGGACCAUAGGGCGAGUCGCCAAACACACAGUCCAGUAUAACCAUUGUAAUGCGUUAAUUUUUCGCUAGCCAAGAGUGUAUUGAGGUGAACUUAAUGGGAAGAAGCCCUCAUGUGUCCUACGAUUAGGGAAAAGCCAGACAUAGGAUUAUAGAAGCGUUUACGCUCUUACUACAAAAUGACUUGGGAGCUAGUAGCCCCCAAGUAAGCCGGCUUAAUUCUCAAAACCAUAUAGGGUGCCUAUGUUUGAACCGUGCAACAUGGCAACUUUGGUUCUCUUUGGCGUACCAUCACCCAGUUUUGAAAUAAGCGCAGCAUGGCGAAUUUUGCUCUUUGAUGCUGAUAGCGUCCAUGCUUGGACGACUUAUUAAACAAUAAAGACUCAUGCUCUCAAGAAGCUGAAACGGAAGAGACCCGGAAGUUCGUGGGCGCCGGCUUUAUUGCUUUAUAUAUAUAGAAGGAGAUUACAAUGACUAAAUUUUGUACACAGAUAAGGAGCCAGGGCCUCUAAGUAUAGUAAGGUGGUAAGUGGGCAAUGUUCCAAGCCCGGGUUGUUUCAAUCUCUGUUGUUGACCUAUCUGGGCGAAGAUCCAUCAGGUAGUAGGAACCAUUGUGAAGACUCUUGCUGACAAAAAAAGGUCCUUCGCACGGAGGGGAUAACUUAUGCAUACGAGUAUGAUCCUGAAUCAACUGGAGCACUAAGUCGCCCUACUGAAUGACUCGGCUUUUGACUCGGCGGCUAUGAUAGCGUCGCAAGUCUUGUUGGUAAAUCGCUGAUCAUGAUGAUACCGAGUCGCGUUCCUCCUCCAAGGCAUCCAACGAAUCUUGACGCGCAAGCUCGUUGUCUUUCUCUACAUAAGUGGCGACUCAUGGUGAGUCGUGUCUGAUGUCACUUGGUAACACCGCCUCAGCUCCAUAGACCAAGAAAAAGGGCGUGUAACCAUUAGAUCAAUUAGGGGUGGUCCUCAUGCUCCAUAAAAACCGAAGGCAACUCUUCAACCCAACAUCCCGGAGUAUGUUGCAAAGGCAUCAUAAGUCGGGGCUUGAUUCCCCGCAAAAUUUAUAGAUUCGCCCUCUCCACCUGUCCGUUAUUUUGGGGGUGUGCAACUGCAAAGACAUCAAGCCGGAUGUGAUCUUUCUUGCAAAAUUCUUGCAUGGCGACUUUGGAUAGAUUAGUACCAUUAUCAGUAAUAAUACUAUGAGCAUACCUGAAGCAAAAAAUCAACUUCUUGAGGAACUUGAUGGCCGUGUCUGCAUCGCAACUACUAAUCGGCUCUGCUUCAACCCACUUGGUAAACUUGUCAACCACCACCAAUAGGUGAGUCUUUUUGUUAGAUGACAUCUUGAAGGGGGCAACCAUGUCCAUUUCCCAAACCGCAAAAGGCCAUGUAAUUGGUAUCAUCCGCAGUUCCUGAGCCGACACAUGCAUGUGACGCCCAAAUUUUUGGCAUCCAUCACAUCUGCGCACUAUGUCCUCAGCAUGUGCAUGAGCUGUCAACCAGUAAAAUCCAUGCUAAAGGCUUUGGAUACCAAAGAGGGCGACCCGGCAUGAUGACCACAAUCACCUACGUGAAUGUCGUUAAGAAUCGCAGACCCUUCUUCAAACGAGAUGCACCUUUGAAAGAUUCCAGAAGUGCUUCGCUUGUGCAACUCACCUUUAUGUAUAACCAUGUAUUUGCAUCGCCGGAUAAUUUGGCGGGCCAUCAACUCAUUAGGAGGUAACUCGCCUCAUGCCAGAUAUGCCAUGUAAGGAACCGCCCAAUCCGGAGUGGUACAGAGAGUCGCCACAAGUUGAGACUCGGGGUCGGGAACCGUUAUGUCCUCCUCCGAAGGCAAUUUCACCGACGGGUUAUGCAAAAUAUCCAAAAAGAUGUUAGGGCAACCGGCUUAUGUUGCGACCCAAGUCAUGAAAGAGCAUCAACUGCCUCAUUGAUUAGACGAUCAAUAUGAUCAACUUGAUAACCAUGAAAGUGACCCACCACGUCUCACACGGCAUGCCUGUAAGCCGCCAUCAAAGGAUCUCUCGAAUCCCACGUGCUAGAGACUUGCUGUGCCACCAGAUCUGAGUCGCCCAAGCAUUUGACUCGACUGAGAUUCAUCUCUUUGGAAAUUCUAAGCCCAUGGAGCAAAGAUUUGUAUUCCGGUGCAUUGUUAGUACACGGGAACAUGAUUCGGAGGACAUAGCAAAACUUGUCACCCUGAGGUGAAGUUAAUACCAUGCCAGCCCCCGAGCCUUCCAGCUGCCUAGACCCGUCAAAAUGGAUAGUCCAAUACGUGUGGUCAGGUCUAUCUUCGGGAAUUUGCAGCUCGGUCCAGUCGUUGAUGAAGUCCACUAAGGACUGAGACUUGAUGGCCGUGCGGGGUGUAUAUUUCACAUGAUGGGGACCAAGCUGAAUGGCCCACUCAGCAAUCCUCCCAGUUGCUUCAUGAUUUUGUAUAAUUUCACCGAGCGGCGCGGAUCUGACUACCAUGAUUGGAUGCUCCUGAAAAUAGUGCUUUAGUUUUCGACUCGCCAUGAAGAUCCUCAAAACCAACUUCGGCCAGUGUGGAUAAUGCUAUUUGGAGAGGGUCAAGACUUCGCUGACAAAGUAUACCGGCCUUUGGUUCGGAUAUUCCUUUCCUUCUUCCCUGUGCUCGACGACCACUGCUACGCUUACCGCCUUAGAGUUGGCAGCAAUGUACAGGAGCAUAGGCUCUCUGUUAACAGGAGCAGCUAAGAAAGGCGGCUCAGCCAGUUGUUUCUUCAAGGCCUCGAAAGCUUCAUUGCCUUCAUCCUUCCCGACAAAACGGUAUGUUUUCUUGAGCGAUUGAUAAAGAGGAAUGGCCUUCUCCCCAAGGCGACUUAUGAACUGGCUUAGAGCUGCAAUACGACCUGCCAUGCGAUGAAUUUGGUUGAUGUUGGCCGGCUUGCCAAGUGAAGUAAUCGCCUUGAUUUUGUUUGUUAGCUUCAAUGCCUCGUUCCGACACCAAGAAGCCCAAUAACAUCCCUGCAGGAACUCCGAAAACACAUUUGGUCAGGUUAAGCCUCAUCUGAUAUACGCACAAGUCGUCAAAAGUCUCCUUAAGGUCCUCCAAUAGUGAUUCUUUCUUCUGGGAUUUCACCACUAUGUCAUCAACAUAGGCAUGAACAUUGCCCUCAAUUUGACUGUGCAGGCAAUUCUGGAUGCAGCGUUGAAAAGUCCCCCCACGCUCUUGAGCCCGAAUGGCAUAGAUACAUAGCAAAAGGCUCCAAAGGGAGUUAUGAACGACGUCUUCUCAUGAUCCUCCAAAGCCAUUUUGAUCAGGUGAUAUCUUGAGUAAGCGUCCAAGAAACACACUUGCUCGCAACCCGCUGUAAGUCAAUGCUUUGAUCAAUCCGAGGGAGGGGGAAAGGAUCUUUCGGGCAAGACAUGUUGAGGUCGGUGUAGUCAAUGCACAUGCGGAAGGUACAAUUCUUCUUCAGUACCAGAACCGGAUUGGCCAACCACUCAGGAUGAAAAACCUCGACAAUGAAUCCGACGGCCAAAAGCUAGGCGACUUCCUCCCCAAUCCCUUUACGUCUUUCUUUGUUAAACCGGCAAAGAUACUGCCAAACCGGCUUCAUCUUAGGAUCAAUGUUAAGGUGGUGCUCGGCGAAUUCUCUCGGUACACCCGUCAUGUUAGAAGGUUUCCACGUGAAGAUGUCCCGAUUCUCANNNNNNNNNNNNNNNNNNNNNNNNNNNNNNNNNNNNNNNNNNNNNNNNNNNNNNNNNNNNNNNNNNNNNNNNNNNNNNNNNNNNNNNNNNNNNNNNNNNNNNNNNNNNNNNNNNNNNNNNNNNNNNNNNNNNNNNNNNNNNNNNNNNNNNNNNNNNNNNNNNNNNNNNNNNNNNNNNNNNNNNNNNNGCUUUCCUAUUUGGGAUCCAGACCCAUCCCAAUGGUGAAUUGCUUGGAGGAGUCGCUGGGCGUGAAAUCCACCAACUUAGUGUCAUCUCUCGGCUUGAAAUUGAGGGGCGGCUCUGAAUCAAUCGUGGGUUUCUUGAGUGGAGUCAUAUCCGCCGGGUUAACAUUGGCCUGAUGAAACUUAAGUUCCUCAGCUGCGCAAGCCGACUCAGCAUAAGUUGCGUCUCGCUCUUCACAUUCUUGAGCUAUCUUCCGANNNNNNNNNNNNNNNNNNNNNNNNNNNNNNNNNNNNNNNNNNNNNNNNNNNNNNNNNNNNNNNNNNNNNNNNNNNNNNNNNNNNNNNNNNNNNNNNNNNNNNNNNNNNNNNNNNNNNNNNNNNNNNNNNNNNNNNNNNNNNNNNNNNNNNNNNNNNNNNNNNNNNCCGAUCUCCACUGAUCGUGAUAGUUCCUAUAGGGCCCGGCAUCUUGAGCUUGAGGUAGACAUAGCAUGGGCGGGCCAUGAAACGGGCGUAAGCCGGCCGACCGAAGAGCGCGUGGUAAGGACUCUUGAUCUUGACCACCUCAAACAUUAGGUACUUGCUCCUGUAGUUAGACUCUGUGACAAAGGCCACAUUAAGCUUGAUCCGCCCAACAGGGUAUGCCGACUUACCCGGGACAAUGCCAUGGAGGACCGUGGAGGAUGGCAUCAAUCGCCUUUCGAGAAAUUCAUCUGUUGGUAAGUAUCGUAGUAUAAGAUGUUGAUGUUGUUGCCUCUCUCCAUGCGGACCUUGGAGAGGGUACAGCCCCCGCGCCACGACCAAAGCUAAGUCGCCAGGGUUGUCAACCCGGGGUGGGUGAUCCUCCCUACUCCAAACAAUGGGCUGCUUAGACCAGUUGAGGUACCUGGGGAGCGCUGGCUCAAUAACGUUGAAAGUUCUGUGCCUGACCUUUUGGUCCCUUUUGCAAGUGCUGGUGGUGAACACGUGAUACUGCCCACCAUUCAACUUCUUAGGAUUUUUCUGAAACCACCACUGUCAUUCUGCUGGUGGGAGCCGCCUUGUUGAAGUUGCUGCUGAAAACCGCCCAGCGCAUUAAAUUGUCGACCGUUCUGGACCUGAUACUGCCCAGCGUUGGCCUCUGACCCGCCAUGUGGGCCCGGGUUAGGAGAACCAUCAAACGGGCUUCUGUGUGAACCGCGCGGACAGAAGUGAUCUGGGUGUCCGCCAUGAUUGCCUCCUUGCCCAUUUUUGAGCGCUUCAGCACGAAACUCCUGCAUCACAUAACAGUCUUCGCAAGAAUGGGUUGAUGAACCUUCUACGGUGGUAUGCUGUGGGCAGGGGCCCUUGAGCAUCCCAUGAUAGUUACAAGGUUUUUUCCCGCUGAAGCCCCUUUUCUUCUGACGCUGGUUCCUGUCCCAGCGUUAGUAUUGGCAACGAAACCAGUGGCGCCUUCCUGCUACCUUUUCUUACCUUGUCGCGCGGGGUUGUAGUUGCCUCGCCCCUGGAACUGAGGGUGGCCUUUGGAUGACUCGCCCCUCAUGUCGGUGCUGAUUUUGUAUCAUCCUCCCCGGGAUCUUUGGUAUCGUCUGACUCGGCAUACCUAGUCAUAGUGUCCAUCAACUCCCCCAUGUCUUGCACCUUGCGCUUGAGUCGCCCGAGUUUCAACACCAAAGGCUCGUAGUGACAGUUUUUCUCCAAGAUCAGCAUCGCCUAAGCCGCGGAAAUGCCAUCUGAUGAGUGGAUCACCUCUGCAACCUGCCACAUCCAGUGAUGGGCCGACUCAUCCGGGCACUCGACAGAGUGCUCCAAGUCGAUGAUAGUCAUCGGGUGCUUGCAAGUCACUCUGAAGUGUUAAACGAAACGUUCAUUCAACUCGCCCCAGGUGUUGAUGGAGUUGGGCGGCAGGUUCUUCACCCAAGUGCGUGCCCUCCCUUCAAGCAUCAUUGUAAAAUACUUGGCCCACACUGCCCCAUUCACACCAAGCAUAUCCAUUGCAAGCUCGUAGCUUUCAAUCCAUGCCCCGACUCUAGAUCCGACGUGUAAUUGUGAACUUUGCGUGGGCCAUUGAAAUCCUACGGCAUACGCUCGUUGCGGAGGGCGUGUGAUAGAGAGGGUAUCCCAAUGUUCCUGCCACCUGACUCAGCCAGCGUGGGGGAAGGUAACACAUAAGCCGGAUAACCUUGACCCACCGCGGCCGCCGUCUCCAUCAGGCGGGCGGCUCGUGCUGCAUCUACGAGGUCUUGAGCCCGUGUGUCGGGUAUUCCGGGCUGGUUGAUCUGCGGAGGACGUCGUCGUUCACUACUGGAAACUGUGGGCGGGUCAUCAUGACGACUCCUGGUGUGACUUGCCUGGGGUGUGGAGUGUAGCCGCUCGCGGCUAUACGAAUACUGUGCAUGUUGGACCACCGCCGUUUUCAACAUCUCAAUGUCGCUCCUUGCCUCUACCUCAGCCAGAGAGUUUCCAUGGAUGGGGAGAGAUUCAAGGUUGCGGGUCGCUACUAGCACAUUGUCAACGGGUUUGAGAAGUGACCCCGCGGCGUCUGAAAGCCCGAUGCUUGAGCGGGCGCUGGCUGAGGUGCCUAUGGGUUGGGAGGUGGCUGAGCCGGGUCAACACGCUGGGCGACUUGCCAUGGCCGGUUAGGCUCCAUCCCAGGCAUAUGUGGGCUAUCGAAGAGUCAAGUUGGGUUCAGAUCGGCUGGCAGACGAUUGCGAUUCCUCCUCUGGUGAAUCGCAUUGGAAGCCCGUUAUUGUCAUUCAAGCCGCCAUCCCUCAACACUUCGUCGCUGUGUCUCCGCGAUGAUCUGGGCCCAUUUGGUUGCCAUCCUUGCGGCUUGUAACGAUUAAGAUGCGACCCUUUCCUUAUUUGGGGGCGAGGCCUCAAGAGGGAAAGGGACGCAUCUAAACGUUUCGCAAUCGAGAUAAUCAUAACAAUACAUAACUGAAGGAGUGGCAAGUAGGGCAUAUACUUGACAUCUGAUAAGAGUAUAGCAUAAAGCUUACAGACACACAUUAUUGAGAUCAUAGUUUAGUCCAACUACGGACAACAUGAAAACAGAUAAAGCUAUGAAAUCCCGCAUGCUCGCCCCACGAUCACGACCACAGCCUCUAGUCCUCCGGGUAAGUCACGUUCAAUCUGCCAGAGUCCUUAUCGAACUCCCACUUCAGCUCGCUGUCAUCAGGAUCUCCUGCAUCAGGCGUACCUAUACCUGUGGGUGUUUGUAGUAAAUCGUGAUCCACGAGGACUCAUCAAUCGAAUGACCUUGGUAUCGAAUCUAGCCGGGUUAAUGGGUGAGGAAGGUUUAGUGUAUGGGUUUGCAGCAACCUAAACAUAUAUGGUGGCUACCUUACGUUGAUGAGAGUAAACAUAUGGUGGUGUACGCAAGUCGGUCGAACACUAGAUUGAUCACUAAGUGAUCCUGAACACCUACUUACGUCAGACAUAACCCCACCGUGUUCUCGAUCAGAGAACAAUCUCCGAAAGAGACAGUCACGGUUACACACACAGUUGGCAGUUUUAUUAGAAUUACUUUAAGUUGUCUAGAACCGGAUGUCAACAAAAUAUCCAUAUUUGACACAUAACCGCGGGCACGGCUUUCCAAAAGAUCAAACCCUGCAGGGGUGCUCUAACUAGUCCAUUACAAAUUACCACAGGCCGCCUCGUAAUCUCGUCAGAUUCCUUGGAGGAAAACCUCAACUUUGAGGAGACCCAAAGUUUCACCGGAAUUCCAAUGCGCAAGAUAUAGCGAUAAGGUAAGACAAAUUUGGCAAGACCUCCUGACGUGUCGACGAUCCCAAUAGGAGCCGCGUAUCUCCUUCUCUGGACCCGACGGAUUGUCCAAACUUUCGGUAGGCCAAUCACAGAGUUGCCCCUGGUAGCCACCGGCGGUUGACAGGUUGGACCAACACUCAUGAGGAGCACUAGCCCAGGUUAUUGAUUAAAUCCUCGGGGUAGCUAUUCCCUAUGCAUUUAAUUAUUAAGUUAUUAGCAUAUUAAAACCAAAGUUGGGUCCUGCCAGACAAGCCUUAACACUACGCGAUUUAUCAAGGGGGUCCCAAUAACAACCCCGAACGUGUUAGGAACGCUCUGUUAUGGAAUAAAACACCGGUAGCCGAAACUAAGGCAGCAACAACGGAACAAAUCACCCGGCAAAAGGCUAGGCCUUCCGUUAUUUACCAAGUAUAUAGGUGCAUUAUUUAAAUAGCAGUUUAAAACAUAAUGAUAUCAAAAUGCCUAUGUUAUCACAUGGACCAACUCGCACCUGCAACUAGCCAAGGUAUCCAUUAGAGGUUGAGCACGCCUACUUAGCCACACAUUAUUUGCUAGGACAAGGAAGCGUUUGGGGUUCAUGGAAAAGGCAGGUGGCAUUUAUAUCAUGUGGUAGGCAACGAGCAUGUAACGGAGGAAACGUAUCUCUAAGCAUAACAAAGCUAGAAAUGGUGUCAAGGUCACGGUCAUCUUGCCUGUGAUUUCUUCAGACUGGAACUGCUCUUGUUCUUCCUGCACGUACUCUCCAGAAUCGACGUACUCGCUCUCCGUUCCCGAUGCUACCCAAGAUAAUAUGAAAGCAAAUAAACACCGGCAAAACAUAAUGCAACAAACAAUAUGAUGCAUGUGUGAAGAAGGAAGCAUGCAUCGCUAUUCUAGUCACUUUCAUAUGCAUUAGAUGAGUUAAUUAAAUUCUAGACAGAACCUCAUUUUAAGUUAUCUUGGCAUGCAUGAACAUGUGCAUCACGAGAAAAUGAAGCAAAAACAUAUAAAGAACAUAGUGAACGGAGUCUCAGAUCAACCGUAAACUAUGAAACAAGUUACAAAGGCCUACGGGUUCAAAACAGCCACAAACACAACUAAAUGGGCACUCACUGGUUCAACCAGGAUGCCAAGUGAUCAAGCUCCACAAUACAAGUGGGUUGGUGUCUAAGAACACAUCACACCAUCAACCAAUGCUCACACAAGCUCUAAAACCAUACAAGCAUACAAUUUGUUUUUAACAGCAACAUAGCAGUUUGACUACAAGAUCUACAACAGCUACAACCCUCUAAGUAAUUCAAUCAAGACAUGAACCCGAAGCCAUCCAAAAGCAUUACAACCCUUGACAAAAAUCUAAGGCAAAUGAAUCACCCAUGAGCAGACCUACAACCUCUAACUUGGACAAAAUAUCACAGAUUGCGACUUAGUGAAAAUUACAGAUUUUCACCAGCUGCUUAUGCUCUGAAGCAUUUUGGCAGCCUAAACAUGAAAUUUUUAUAGGGAGCUAGGCAAACAUAACAGAUAACAAGCAUUAGUUUGUUGCUUGGGCUAAUUCCCAACAUAGGAGCAAAUACACACAAGACAACAGGGGAAGCAAAUAACUCCAGAUUCCCGGACUUAGUGAAAUUCUCAGGGUUUCACAAAUCUGACAGAUUCAGUCAAGUGCCCACUUUGACAAAGUGCAAUAGGUACAUACAAAAAUCUAAGAACAAAAUAAAUGCCCCAUGUUGUAGAGGGGUUCACCCACUACCAUUCCAGCAAUGAAUUAUGCACAAAGGCUCAAAGCACCACCUGAUAUAAAGCACUAAACAGAGCAUGAAAAUAACAAGUGCAGCACUUAGUGAAAUUUAGAGCAUGCAGAAAACAGAUAUCAUAGCAAGUUUAGAGCAAGGUUUCCACUUAUAUGUUGCCUUAGAAAAACAAAGAAAAAUACCAGGACAUUCACAACAAGUUUAUCUAACACUUUCAUGUUGACAACAAGUUUUAAACAUGCAUAGAUAAAAUCAUGGAAAAUGGACAAAAGGGCAUCACAACAGAAAAUAGCAGUUUUAUGAAGUUGUUCUAAAGUGAAAACUGAUUGCACCAAUGGAUUCCUGGGAUGAGUCUACCCCAAAACUCAUAAUCAUACCCAUGUACUUGCAUGAAUCAUCAAUGCACAAAGUCAGCUUGAAAAUUAACACAUGGAUUCCUAUAAGCUACAAGUUACUUAUUGCCAUACAUGGAAGCUACCAUAUUUGGCAUGUCCACAUUUGAACACCUCCUAGAAAUGGGCUAGGCACAAGCUAGACUACCUAAGCAUGGCAUAGUAUCACAAACAAGGAUAAACUUACAUGGGGAGAUGUGUUCAUCCACACACACACACAUGAGCACACACACAUGCCCAAGGCAUAUGUGCUCACACAUGCACAUGUAUAUGUGAUCACACACACACAGAAUCACACCUAGAUCUACACAUGCACUUCACAUACAAGAAUCUACUCACACACACACAUAGUAGAUACACACACCACGCCAUAUGUAUAUAUACACAUAUGUAUAAAUAUGCCUACUUGCACACGUGUAGAUGUGCAUAUACACAUGCACACAUACACUCCACACACCUACACUCUCAACACACACACAAGGUAUAAGACCCUAGUGCAAACAGGAGAUCAAAACAUCAAGAAAAACCCUGGCAGCAAUUAAAACAAAAAAAAGGAAAAAAGUGGGGGGUGUGGGAGUCGAACCCACGACCUGGUGGUCGUCACCCCAAACGCACACACCACUUCGCUAUCGAUUUGGUGCAUAACACAGAGGGGGGUUGUCGUGGCUUUGUCAUGACAAAUGUUCUCGUGAAAGGACUUAAUGAAGGAGCCAUCGCACCUUGGUGGCGACUCAAAGGGGGUAAGCGAAAGCGAGACUCAGAUUUACCCAGGUUCGACCCCUCGUGUGGAGGUAAAAGCCUAAGUCCGGAUUUGUGUAGAUUGAUGAUGGUUUCGAUUACAAGGAGGGCGUAACUCGCUUGACCUGGCUCUCGAUGAUUUCUAACUUGCCCUAUCUUCCCCAGGGACUCGCCUUUAUAUACAGGUCGAGGCCCUAGGAUUUACAAGAGGCCUAGCCGCACUACAGGUCAUUGUUUUCCAUAUCUCUAAGUCGCCGUGCUUUCCAAGACUGGAAACCUCCUUGGCGGCCUAUCCUCUGCAUACCUCCUUGAAAGGACGUGGAUGUCGCCUAGAGGGGGGUGAAUAGGUGCUUUAAAAUAAUUACGGUUUAGGCUUGAACAAAUGCGGAAUAAAACUAACGUUUAAUUUGUCAAGCACAAAACCUAAAACAACUAGGCUCACCUAUGUGCACCAACAACUUAUGCUAAGCAAGAUAAACAACUAAGUGAUAGAAAGAUAUAUGACAAUAAACAAUAUGGCUAUCACAAAGUAAAGUGCAUAAGUAAAGGGUUCGGGUAAGAGAUAACCGAGGCACGGGGAGACGAUGAUGUAUCCCGAAGUUAACACCCUUGCAGAUGCUAAUCUCCGUUGGAGCGAUGUGGAGGCACAAUGCUCCCCAAGAUGCCACUAAGGCCACCGUAAUCUCCUCACGCCCUCACACAAUGCAAGAUGUCGUGAUGCCACUAAGGGACACUUGAGGGCGGUCACCGAACCCGUACAAAUGGCAAUCCUUGGGGGCGGUUACCGGUACCCAUACAAAUUGCUCGAGGCAAUCUCCACAACCUAAUUGGAGACCCCGACGCUUGCUGGAGCUUUACACCAUAAUAAUUGAGCUCCAAUACACCACCAAGCUUCUAGGACGCCAAAGCAUCCACGAAGAACAACCUCUAGGGUACUAAGUACCAAAAGGUAAUAUGGCUUCUCAAACUUCACUUCCACGUAUCACCGUGGAGAACUCAAACCGAUGCAACUCAUGCAAUGGCAAGAACACACAAAGUGGUCAAGUCCCUCACACUCAAAUCCCUCCACCACAACAAAAUCUAUGGAGAAAUAUGAGAGGAAGAACAAGGAGCUCACAAAGAACUCCAGGAUCAAGAUCCAAGUGGUUCCCCUCACAUAGAGGAGAAAGUGAUUGGUGGAGAUGUGGAUCUAGAUCUCCUCUCUCUUUUCCCUCAAGAACAAGCAAUAAUCAUUGGAGGGAUUGAGAGUUAGCAAGCUCUAAGAAGGUCAACAAUGGGGGAAGAACAUGAUCUCAACAGAUAGAUCAGGCCAAGGGGGAAGAAGACCCCCUUUAUAUAGUGGGGGAAGGAAUCAGACCGUUACCCCCACUUACAACCCGCGCAUUGCGGUACUGCCACUGCCCCCCAGCGGUACUACUGCUCAGGGAGGAGCGGUACUACCGCUAGCCCUGGCGGUACUACCGCUAAAGAAAGUCUUCGCAAAAAGUCCGACGAAGAACAACCGCUCAAAGAGAGGUACUACCGUCCCGAAGCGGUACUACCGCCCACCCGGAGCGGUACUACCGCUGCACCUGGCGGUACUACCGCGAGGCCCCUGGCGGUACUACCACCAGGCCCGUGGCGGUACUACCGCUAGGACUGGAGCAGUACUACGGCUCGCCACUGAAACAGCCAUAACUUUCGCAUACGAGCUCCGAAUUAAGCAAACCCAAGCUUGUUGGAUUCAGGAAAUCUUAAGACCAUGUAGAUAUGAAAAUGCCAAUGAUAUAGAGAUGUGAGAUCUCUAUGAAUGAAGAACCAGCAAAAACUCCAACAUCAAAAACAUCAUAGUAGAUGCAUAUGGAGUCCGUUUUCGAUGAACUCGAGCUUGUCAUGAAGAUGACCAUAAGCUCUAAAACUCACAACGAGAAACACCAAAUAAGAACCAAGAAAUAUGAUGCAAGGAUGGAAAUUCGUUUGAGCUCAAUGAUACGGUCGAUCUACUUACUUGAGAGCCCCCCUUGACAUAACGACAAUCUAUCCUAAAACAGAAAACCUAUCAAGGGCAAACCUAUACCUUGCACCUCGUCCUCUUGAGCUAGAUGACGAUGAUCUUGGCUUCCUCAAGAUGGACCACCUUCUUGAUUGUGUUGGCUUGAUGAAGACUAGUUGAUUUCUCCCCCAUACACAACAUGGGUGAGCCGCUCUUCAGUAUAUCUUCACAAGUCCAUUGCCACCACAAUGGACGGCAGGCUUCAAGCAUGAUAUCUUUGUGCUGAUCCACUUGAAAUUGCACAUCGUAAUCUUGAUGACGGUCACCACUUGACUUCAUCCUUCAUGGGUUGUAUGAGAUAUUCCUGUAGACGCAAGCCCAUGGAGACACACCUAACCCCACAUAGAACUCUCAUGAAGACCAUGAGUUAGUACACAAACACGUAAUGGACAAUGCUUACCAUACCAUGGGAUCACUUGAUCCCUCUCGGUACAUCUUGUACGCUUUGUAUGAGAUCUUCUUCUAGACGCAAGCCCAUGGAGACGCACCUAACCCCACAUAGAACUCUCANNNNNNNNNNNNNNNNNNNNNNNNNNNNNNNNNNNNNNNNNNNNNNNNNNNNNNNNNNNNNNNNNNNNNNNNNNNNNNNNNNNNNNNNNNNNNNNNNNNNNNNNNNNNNNNNNNNNNNNNNNNNNNNNNNNNNNNNNNNNNNNNNNNNNNNNNNNNNNNNNNNNNNNNNNNNNNNNNNNNNNNNNNNNNNNNNNNNNNNNNNNNNNNNNNNNNNNNNNNNNNNNNNNNNNNNNNNNNNAUCUUGUACGCUUUGUGUGUUGAUCCUCUCCCNNNNNNNNNNNNNNNNNNNNNNNNNNNNNNNNNNNNNNNNNNNNNNNNNNNNNNNNNNNNNNNNNNNNNNNNNNNNNNNNNNNNNNNNNNNNNNNNNNNNCCUCCGCCGAUGCCCGUCUUCUCUUUGAUUGGCACGGUGAGAAUUAUUAUAAACUAGUAUUAAUAAUUAAGUGUCAUCAUGCUAACUGAGACAUUGCAAAAUAUCUUUUCUGCAGAAUAACUCCCGAGCGGCAUCGCACGACCCUUCUCGAGGGCAACCGUCUCCAAACGAAGCCGGCGCGAGCAACCGUGGUGCUUCGCCUCCUUGAUGACCACUACGGUAAGUUUCUCCUCCAAACUUAGCUUGUUUUCCUCUAAAAUGAGAUAAUUAGCCCAUUUAGCUUGAAGAAGACAUAAUUAGGUAAUUUAGCUCCAUCAAGAGGAGAAUAAAUAGGAAAAAUGAAAAGAAAGAAGAAGAAGAAGAAGAAGAAGGAGGAGGAGGNAUAAUUGGAAUAUUUAGCUCGAAAAAGACAUAAUUAGGUAAUUUAGCUCCAACAAUAGGAGAAGAGGAGAAGAAAUAAGAAAAAUGAAAAGAUAGAAGAAGAAGAAGAGAUGAAGAAGAAGGAGGAGGAGGAGGAGGAGGAGGAGAAGGCCAAGGACCUUCUAUCCUUCUCCUCCUCCUCCUUCUCCUCCUCCUCCACCUUCUUCUUGAUUUCUUCUUCUUAUGCCAUUUUAUUUCUUAUCCUCUUUCAUAUUAUCCUUNNNNNNNNNNNNNNNNNNNNNNNNNNNNNNNNNNNNNNNNNNNNNNNNNNNNNNNNNNNNNNNNNNNNNNNNNNNNNNNNNNNNNNNNNNNNNNNNNNNNUCCCCCAACCUUCACCAAGACUGCCGAACCUUUCGAUGCUGAUGACUGGAUAUGCACCAUCGAGUACCUCCAUGCACUGGUCAACUUCAAUGCAUAUCGUGAGAAGGUUCUCUAUGCCUCUCACUACAUUGGAGGUACCUCCAGAGCUUGGUGGGACGGAUUCAAGGUCAUGCAAGGCGACCGUGUGAUCACCUGGGCUGAUUUCAAGCAAGGAUUCUGCACUGCACACAUCCUUCUUGGGUUAUGGCUAUCAAGAAGCGGGAAUUUCGAGCGCUAAAGCAAGGAAGUGGCUCUAUCAAGGAGUACCUACAUAAGUUAAACCUAUUAUCAAGGUAUGCACCUGAAGACGUGAGUAUUGAGGCAACCAAGAUAUAACACUUCAAGGAAGGGAUCCAGCAAGUCAUGUAGUAUCAACUCAUUGUCUGCAACUGCUAGACUUUCUUCGAGAUGGUAAACAAGCCCCCCAAGCUUGAAGACAAGCGUCAUGCCAUGGAAGACACUCACAACUGCAAGAUGAUCAACAAGGGCAGUUCCAGCAACUAGAAGCCUCGCCCGUGACAACCAACCCGAGCAAAGCUAAACUAUCAGCCUCGGCGGGUCAAGACUCGUGUACCUCGUCCGAGCUACCAGCCUCAGCAGUAUGCCAACCCCAGGCCAACAUACAACAACCCUAACAACAACAUUGGUGGCUAUACCAAAAUCUUCUGCGGUCACGUGCUUUGGGUGUCUUCAGCCUGUACACAUCUCAAAGCAGUGCCCCAGCAAGAAGCGAGAUGCAUCGCGCCCCAAUGCGCUAAAUCAUGGACAAGGCCAUGGAGAGCCACCCAGGAACCAAGCUCCCCGCAACCAUCCCAACAAUGGCAAUGGUCGUGUGAAUUGUGUCACCGCUGAGGAAUCCUAGGAAGACCCGAAUGUUAUACUUAGUACGUUCCUUGUCAAGUCAACACCAACAAUAGUUCUAUUUGAUUAUGGUGCUUCACAUUCUUUUGUUACCCAAAAGUUUGCAAUAGAGAGUGGUAUUAAGCCUACACCUUUGGGUAGUCAUAUGAUGGUACAAACCCCAGGUACAGUAUUAAGGACCAAGAAAGGAUUUAAAGGACUUGGGAUUAACAUCAAUAGGGUAAACUUCCUAGAAGAUCUUAUCAUCCUCAAGUCCCAAGGCUUGGAUGUGAUCCUUGGCAUGGAUUGGUUGAACAAGCACUCACGCUUGCUAGAAUGUGGCAAGCAGACUGUCACCAUGAACAAUAGCCAACAAGUAUGUUCCUAACCCUACCUCUGCUCAAGCCCCUUAGGUUAAUUGUUUGUCGGGAAUUGAGUUGGAUCAAGUGCCAGUGGUAUGUGAAUACUGAGAUGUCUUUCCUGAUGACCUCCUCAGAAUGCCUCCUGAUAGUGACAUCGACUUCAUCAUUGAGCUAAUGCCCGGAGCAGGACCCAUCUAUAAUAAGCCCUAUAGAAUGGGAUCCAAAGAGUUGGCUGAACUGAAGAAGAAACUAGCCGAACAACUCAGAAAAGGAUUUAUUUUCCCUAGUGCCUCUCCUUGGGGAUCACGUGUCCUAUUUGUUUCAAAGAGGGAUGGAACUAUCCGACUUUGUGUGGAUUACCGUUCUCUAAGUGAAGCCACAAUAAAGGACAAGUACCCACUCCCCAAGAUUGAAGACCUGUUCGAUCAACUGAAUGGUACCUAUGUAUUAUCCCAGAUCGAUCUCUGGUCUGGGUACAACCAGUUGAAGGUAACACCACAAGAUAUUCUAAGGAUGACAAUUGUGACCAGGUACGGCCUGUAUGAGUACACGACCAUUUCAUUUCGGUUAACCAAUGCCCAAACCUACUUCAUGUACCUCAUGAACAAAGUCUUCAUCCAGUAUUUGGACAAGUUUGUCAUUGUCUUCAUCGACGACAUACUUGUCUUCUCCAAGUCAGAGGAAGAGCAUGAGCAACAAUUGAGGAUGGUCCUGGAGAAGCUUCGAGAGCACCAGCUUUAUGCCAAAUUCAGUAAGUGUGAAUUCUGGCUGCAUGAAGUUGGAUUCUUGGGUUGUGUUGACAUAGAAGGAUUGUAAGUGGAUCCUGCCAAUAUUGAAGCCAUGAUUGAAUGGCAGUCCCCAAGCAAUGUGAAGGAAGUCCGAAGCUUCCUCUGACUCACGUGAUAUUAUCGCAAGUUCAUUUAAGGGUUCCCAAGCAUCGCCUGACCCAUGACCCAACUUUUGAAGAAGGACAAGCAGUUCGAAUGGAUGCCGAAGUGCAAAGAAAUCUUCCAAGAGCUCAAGAAGAGAUUGAUAACUUCCCCAGUUUUGGCCACCCACGAUAUUCACGAAGAGUUUGUGAUAUAUUGUGAUACAUCGAGAGUUGGGCUUGGUCGUGUUCUGAUGCAAGAAGGCAGAGUCGUAGCAUAUAUAUCCACACAGCUACAUCGUCAUGAAGAGAACUAGGCCCCAACACGAUCUUGAGUUGGUAGCUGUGGUUCAAGACUUGAAGACAUGGUGAAAUUACCUUCUCGGAAAAUGAUGUGAUAUAUACACAGACCAUAAGAGUUUGAAUUAUAUUUUUCACGGAAUUGAACAUGAUGCAAUGAAGAUGGUUGGAGUUGAUCAAAGACAAUGACCUCAGUGUUAAAUACUGCCCUGGAAAGGCCAAUGUGUUAGCUGAUGCCUUGAGUAGAAAGGUUUGUUCCUUGAAUGCUAUAACUCAGGAAAGGCUAUCCGCCUUGUAUGAAGAACUUGAAAGUUUUGGGUUGGAACUAGUUGCACCAGGAUUUGUGGCCAACCUCGAACUGAAGCCUACAUUGAUGGAUGAUAUCAAGGAAGCUUAGAAGGGACACGAGAGCAUCAAAGGCAUCAAGAAGAAGAUCAGGAAUGGCAAGGACCCAAGAUUAUCAUUGGAUGAACAAGGAGUAGUGUGGUUUGGGAAUCGCAUGUGCCUACCCAACAAAGUUGACCUCAAUAACUUGAUCUUGUAAGAAGCUUAUGUCACUAUGUAUUCCAUCCAUCCUGGAGGAACCAAGAUGUACCAAGACCUCAUGGCAAGAUUCUGGUGGCACGACAUGAAGAGGGAAAUAACAACUUAUGUUGCUAAGUGCAACAUAUGCCAGAGAGUCAAACCUGAGCAUCAGUGGCCUGUUGGAUUGCUACAACCUCUCAAAGUGCGUGAAUGGAAGUGGGACCAAGUUGGGAUGGACUUCAUCAUCGGAUUGCCCAUAUUAAGCAAGGUACAUGAUUCUAUUUGGGUCAUCGUCGACCACCUGACGAAGUUAGCCCACAUUAUCUAUGUCAAGACAACCUACAAUGGGAACCAACUGGCCAACCUUUACAUCAACCAGCUCGUGAUCCUCCACGGAGUUCCUAAGGAGAUAGUGUUAGAUCGAGGUACCCCAUUUACCUCAAGGUUAUGGAGCAGAUUCCAAGAAUACAUGGGAACCAAGCUAUCCUUCAGCACUACUUUUCACCCUCACACAGGCGGACAGACGGAACGAGUAAACCAUAUACUCGAAGACAUGCUUCAUGCUUGUGUUUUGGCAUAUGGAGCUAGAUGGGAAGAUUGGUUACACUUUGCUAAGUUAUCCUACAAUAAAAACUAUCAGUCUAGUCUUCAGAUGGCACCAUUUGAGGUGUUGUAUGGACGCAAGUUCCACACUCCCCUCAAUUGGUCGAAAACUAGAGAAGCACUAGUCUUUGGACCAAAUAUCCUCCGUAAAGCAGAAGAGCAAGUUCAACUUGUCAGAAAACGCGUCGAGACCACCAAGUCAAGGUAGAAGAGCUACGCUGACUCUCACCACCGAGACAUGAUUUCCCGCGUUUGAGACUACGUCUAUCUUUGAGUCACAUAUCUCAAGGGAACCAAGUGCUUCCACGUGAAGGUAAAGUUGCCUACCAGCUAGAGCCACCUUCCAAGCUUUCGGAUGUGCACAACGUUUUCCAUGGGUUUUAGCUCCAGAAGUGCCUCCAAGUUCCCAACCGACCCGAUCUCUACAAGGACAUCGAUCAUCAAACCAUUGACCUCCAUCCGGACCUCAAUUAUCGUGAGAGACCCAUUCGCAUCUUGUAUUAACCUCAGCGUUGCACCCGAAGCCGCACCAUCAAGUACUUCAAGAUCCAAUGGAGAAAUCACACUAAAGCAGAAGCAACCUAGGAGUGUGAAGAGUACCUUAGAUCUGAGUUCCCUUAUGUCACACCCUGUGUUUGUACCACUUUUGCUAGAUGAUGUUUUUACAAAAAAUGGAGUCAACUAAAACUUUUUGCAAGUUGUGAUGGUUGAUUUUGUUGCAACUUGCUCGUGUGACUGAUUGAGUUUUUAAUCACUAUAGUUGUUCUCCUCUCUAAAACCCACCUCCUUGACCCCAAACCCUUGCCCAAUUAUCAUGCCAUGUGAAUAGAACUAGAAAACUAUUUUUUAAAAUUAUUAUUUUAACAAAUGGCAUUUAUUUAUUUUAAGUUUUCCAAACCCCCACAUUUGAGAUUUGCACUACAAGUCCCCAAUUUAGGAGAGAUGCCUUACCCCAAAGUUUUUAUUUGGAACCUAUUAUGAAAAAGGUUUCCGAAAACUAUAAAAUAAUUAUUUUAAAAAUUAUUCUGCCAUUUUAUUGAAAUACAUAUUUUUGGAGCCAUAAAUGGUAUUUCAUAAGGAAAAUUUACUUUAUUACUUCAAUAAUAUUUGAGAAAAUUUAGGGAAACUCACUGGACAUAUAUUUUCCAUACAUAACAGUUUCAACACAUGGUCAAGCUCAAAAUAUUGGAAAAAACCCCUCAAAACCCUUUCUGCCUAUUUCAAGAUUUUGAAACAUUUCCACAGGGAAUAUCCUCAAUAAAUUACAGGAAAAUUCUAGCAAAUCACACAUGAUAAAUUUGGUGAUCCUGCAAAGUUUCAUGUCAAUCCAAGUUGAUAUGAUCUAGCCAAUAAUCCCCAAACCCUUUAUGUCCAGAACCAAAUUUGAGAAACUUUACAUUGCCAACAUUACACAAUUGAUGCCAAACUUUACAGUAGUGAUCCAUCCCCCAAAUAAGGAUGCUACACCAAGUUGUGCAUUUCUGGGAGUUAAUUUGAUCACCUAGGCCCACAGAAAUCUAAUUAAGUCCAUUUCUAUGGUUUUUCAUGUUUACAUUGUCAACUUUGCUCAAAUGAGCUCAGACUUGGUGAAUCCUUCUGAUUUUACCCAUCAAAUAAUCCUAUUAAAUCUCACUACAAGUGGUGAGUGUUAUCUUGCUCAAACCAGCGUCAAACACCUUUUGGUGAUUUGGUAAAAUUGCUGCUUUCACCCCUUCUACCAUUCCCCUUCACUCAAAAUUCUCACCACAAGCCCACAUUGUUACCCUUCACCUGCAGUAAAAAGAUCGAGCUCAGGUUCAAUGGUAGGGGUGGGUAAAAACCCAAAUUACUCCUCUGAAUCACCAUGGGAGGACUUUAUCCCACUCUCUCUUUGACCUCCGCCUCUCUCCUCAGCUCCAGAACAUCCAAGGAGAAUCUCACUACCCCAAUUGCUAGUGGACAAGAUGGGAUGCACCAGAGCAUGCUAACAUGCCAUGGCAUGCCAAAACUGCGCUCUCGACGCGCUAUAGUGCGCUCCUGCACCGAGGUCUGGCCAUCCCCGACCGCCUCGUGCCCCCUCCGGCUGUCUCCCGAGCUGCCCUUGACGCCCGACGCCCUGCGCCUUGUGCCCCCUUCCCCUCUCUCCCUCUCUCCCCCCGUGACGCGUGCCCAUGGCCGCCCAAUUUGGCGAGUAGGCCCUCUCCACCGUGAUAAGCAAGGUGUCAGAUUUUGGGCUCCGCAAAACACUAAAGAUUCGAACACAAGGGCGUGUGCGGAGGCCACUUGACAACUUUGGUUCCCCAGGCUCGCUAUUCGCUGGGGAUGAGAGAGAACUCACUCGAUGGUGAGGAAGACAAAGAAAACGGCAGUUUACCCAGGUUUGGGCCGCUGAGAAGCGUAAUACCCUACUCCUGCUUUGGUGGAUUGCCUCUCAUGGAGGUUGGUGGAUGAACUAGUACAGUGUUCUAGGGCCUCCGGAGGCUGGGUAGCCUCUGCGUGGUGCUUCUCUAUGAAGUAACCUAACCUCUAUAUAUGGUGGCGGCCCCGGUCCUCUUCCCUUAUCGUUUCGUCGGGAAGGGAUCCCACAAUGGCUAAUUUUAAAGGGGGACAAGGGAACGUGCUUCCACUGUCCAAAAGUAGUCUUCGCCUGCAAACUGUCUCUCAGCGUAGCAGGGAAGGGUCCAGGGAUGACGUCCAUCUAGACUCCACUUAGAAAAGCCCCGACUUUGAUUUCGUAAAUAUCAGCAAAUCCAAGCUAGAAAAAGCAAAUGAAAGCCACGUCCGGCGCCUAAUAUAUUCUCCGCCUCCCUCUCCCACAACGCGGAGCAUAGGGCUUCCACUAGGCAUGGGAGGGACCACUCCGUGUCCCUGGGGGACCCCGGGCGUAUAAAACAUCGCAUCGUUAUUACGUGAGAGUGUCACGGGGGAUGUAUCUGGGAGGUCGCGAGGACGCUUUGGCCUCGCGAGUGUCCCUAUCCCUGAGGCAUAGGCGCCUGAUUCCUUUUGGGUCAUUGGUGGACUGUGUUGAUUUCCUUGCCAGCUGUGGGCAUAGUCAUUUGCGGGCUGAGUUGAUUGCCUCCGUCUUCUCCCGAGCGAGGAGCGUAGGGCUGCCACUAGGCGUGGGAGGGCCCCCUCCGCGUCCUCGGGGGACCCAGGGCGUAUACAGCCUCGGCUCGUUAUUACGUGAGAGUGUUACAGGAUGAACUAGGUUCCGGAAGGAUUGAAGGACUAUGCAAAGGCGGUGCAGAGGCGUUACGGGGAGAACUUCCAGAGAUGUUGGAUGUUCCAGGCAUUCGGGAUGGGAACUCUGUCUUGAGUCUCCAGGCGCACGGCGCCAGGCCUGGAGACAUGGACGACCUUCAACGAGCCCUCCCACAUGGGCGACAGCUUAUGCAAGCCCUCCCUGGAUUGAACCCACCUCAGGACGAGGUCACUGACUUCAAGGGUCCUCGAGAAGAUGUUGCGCCGUAAGGCCUUCUGGUACCUUGCAGCUCGGAGGGAUGCCCGGCGGUGCACCUCAUCUCCAAGCACGACGUCCAUCCCCCGCGCAGCCUCCUCACGCUCCUCAUCGAAUGCCAUGACCCGCGAGGACCAGUGCUUGAUCUCGUGGGGAAGGACCGCCACGGCUCCAUAGACGAGGAAGAACGGGGUUUCACUGGUGGGCUUAGUAGCGAUGGUGCGGAUGGACCACAACACCGACGGGAGCUCAUCGACCCAACCCCGGACGCAAGCUUCGAGAUUCUUAUUAAAGCUCUUCACCUUGAGUCCUCGUAGGACCUCUGCGUUGGCGCGCUCCGCCUGGCCAUUGCUCCGUGGUUGGCCACCGAUGCGUAGCAUACCUGCAUCCCUAGGUUAGCACAAUAAAACUUGAAGAGCUGACUGGUGAACUGCGAACCAUUGUCGGUGAUGAUGCGGUUGGGGACGCCGGAGGGGCUCAUAAGGCACUUGAUGAAUUUGACGGCCGACCCUAUAGGGAUGGUGCGCACGGGCUCCACAUCCGCCCACUUGGUGAAUUUGUCGAUGGCAACGUAGAGGUAGCGGAAACCGCUCGCCGUCCACGGGAAGGGCCCCAGUAUGUCUAGCCCCCACACCGCGAGGAAAGCGGAGUGGUCUGGAGGCCCUGCGCAGGCUGGUGGAUCUGCUUAGCAUGGAACUGGCAGGCCUUGCAAAACCGGACCAACUCGGUGGCGCCGUCCAACGCUGUAGGCCAGUAGAAACCUGACCUGAACGCCUUACGUGCGAGCAUGCGCGAAGAGGAGUGAUGCUCGCAGUACCUUCCGUGGAUGUCGGCUAGUAGUUCAUGCCUUCUCCCUGGAAAUGCACCGUAGUGCGACGUUGUUCGGGCGCCUGCGUGACAAGUCGUCGUCCCAUAGGCAGUAGGCCAAGGCUUGUCGUGCUAUGCGCUCCGUGUCUUCCUCCUUCUCCGGCAAUGUGCCGUGGAUUAGGUAUGUCCCGAGUUCCUGCAUCCAAUCGUCGGCCCGUGCCUCCAGGGCCACGAGAAGUCGAGCCCCCGAGGCCUGUCCGCAAUCCGGAGCCCUCGAGGGUGGUGCAGGGGGAGCUCCCCCCCACAUGGCGCUAGGCCCUCGAGUGAUGGUGUCGCGGAAGGCCUUAAGAGUCGCUCGUCGAAGACGCCUGGCUCUUGAGCCUCGUGACGCGAAGCACUUUUGGCGAUGUUGUCUGCCCCCUUGUUCUUGCCACGCGGGACAUGCUGCAGCUCCACCCCAUGAAAAAGUUUCUCUAUCUUAAGUACCUCUUGCAAAUACGUUUCCAUGUGCUCGUCCUUGGGCGUGUACUCUUAGUUGGAGAAGUUGACAAGAAGAUGGGAGUCGCCCAUCACGACGAGGCGUCGGACCCCCAAUGCCACCGAUGAUUUGAGGCCAACGAUGAGGCCCUCGUACUCCGCUAUAGUGCUGGAGACCUUCUCCCCACGCUCAAAGCAGAGCUGCACGGUGUAGUGGAUCUUGUCUCCCACCGGGCAAGUGAGCACGUCUGCAACCCCUGCUCCUCUGCGUGUGAAGGCUCUAUCGAAGUGCAUGGUCCAUCCCUCGGGUGCCUCCACACCUGGGGCAAGGGAUUGGCUCCCUUCCAGCCCCCGGUCCGGUGAGUCCGUCCAUUCCACCACAAAGUCAGCAAAGGUCGCUCCCUUGAUGACCCUGGUCAUGCUGAAUUCGAUGUUGAAGGCCUGAAGCUCGAUGUUCCAUUCGGCAACCCUUCCCGCCGCGUUUGGGUUAUGCAGGAUCUUCUCCAAGGGGUAGGCAUAGACGACUCUGAUUGGGUUCCCCUGAAAGUGGUGGUGUAGCUUGCACGAAGGAACGACUAGCGCUAGAAGGAGUUUCUACUGCAUGGGAUAGCACGAGCGUGCAUCCCGCAUCACAGUGCUGACGAAGUACACCGGCUGCUCGACGAGGAUGCGCCCCCCCGGGGCGUCAUGCUCCUCGGAGUGCUCAGGAGGUUCGGGCGUCUCGCGAUUUGAAGGAGGGGCGGGGGCUUCAGGAGGGCUGAGCAUCUCAUGGCCCGACCCUACGGUCUGAGCCUCAGGUCGCUCUGGCUGCGGGGGAAUCGGAGCUCGAGAGUCGUGCGAUCCCCAGACUCCGCGGCUGGGGGCCCGCCGGGGUUCCCCGAAGUGGCACCCUUGCUAGUUCGCUCCUCCCUUACUGCCACCAACACGAUGCUGGUGGAGUGGGGGUGGCAGCAAGGUACAGAAGAGAGGCUCCUACGGGCGAGGCACCACCAUGACCGGCGGGCUCGUGAGGUAUCGCUUGAGUUCAUCAAAAUCUACGUCGGCCUUCGGGGGUCCAUACGAAGGGUCCCUUUCUUUUCAUGAUCUUGAGGAAAGGCAGGGCCUGCUCGCCGAUCUUGGAGAUGAAACGACCCAAGGAGGUAACACACCCUACUAGCUUCUGCAUUUCCUUGAGGGUUGUGGCCACGCUCAUCUUGUUUAUGGUAUUGAGAUUCACCGGAUUUUCCUUGAUCUCCCGGUGCGACACCAGGAAACCGAGCAGUUUGCCUGAUGGGACCCCGAAGACGCACUUCUCGGGGUUGAGCUUCAGGUUCACCACUCUUAGGUUGGCGAAGGUUUCCUCGAGGUCCUCCACUAGGGUUUUUGUCUUCCUUGACUUGACCACGAUGUCGUCGACGUAGGCCUCUGCGUUCCUCCCGAGCUGCGGUCCUAGAGCGAUAUGUAUCAAUGGCUGGAAGGUUGCCCCGACGUUCUGCAACCCGAAGGGCAUGCACUCGUAGCAAUAUACCCUNNNNNNNNNNNNNNNNNNNNNNNNNNNNNNNNNNNNNNNNNNNNNNNNNNNNNNNNNNNNNNNNNNNNNNNNNNNNNNNNNNNNNNNNNNNNNNNNNNNNNNNNNNNNNNNNNNNNNNNNNNNNNNNNNNNNNNNNNNNNNNNNNNNNNNCCUACACGAGGAGAGGAAGGCUGUCUUCUCGACGUCGUUCACCACCAUCUUGAUCUGGUGGUAGCCCGAGAAUGCAUCCAGGAAACACAGGAUAUCACACUCCACGGUGGAAUCCACGAUCUAUUCGAUGCGUGGUAGUGGGAACGGGUCUUGAGGGCAAGCCUUGUUGAGGCUCGUGAAGUCGACGCACAUGCGCUUCUUCUCGCAGUUCUUUGGGAUAACCACCGGGUUGGCCAGCCAUUCCGGGUAGCGAACCUCUCGAAUGACACUUGCCUCCUUCAGUUUGCGCACCUCCUGAGCGAUGAACGCCUGCUUCUCCGGGGCUUGCCUCCUUGCCUUCUGCUUCACCGGGCGCGCGUUCGGGCACACUAUGAGGUGGUUCUCAAUGACGUCCCUCGGAACCCCCACCAUGUCGGAGGUGCUCGAGGUGAACGUGUCCCUGUUCGCCUUGAGGAAACCCACCAAUGCCUUCUCUUGGUCUUGGGGGAGGUUUGCGCCGAUGGUGAAGGUGGGAGCCAAGAUUCCUUCAUCCACCGGUACUUGCUUUGUUUCCGCCCGGUCCUCGGAGAACAACUACUUCUUCUUCACGGGUGUGACAUAGGGGACAUCUGCAGGGUCCCCCAGGGCGUGCGCCGCGCCCUUGAUGUUGGCAUGUGCCACGACCGCGGCCUUGUGGGAGAUGUCGAGUGCCCGAGAUGCGUCCUUGACGUCCCCCACGACGGUGAGCACGCCGCCGCUCCCGGGCAUCUUGACGACGUUGUAGCAUGGGUGCAUUGCCUUCAAGAACUACGCGAGGGCGGGGUAGCCGAGUAUUGCAUUGUACAGAAGGUGCAUGCGGGCGACGUCGAAGUCGAUCUACUAGGUGCGGAAGUUGGAGCGGGUGCCGAAAGUGACGGGGAGGUGAAUCCGUCCCACAAGGGCGACAGAUCCUUCCACCACCCCGGAGAAGGGCUUUGAAGGCGCAAGAUGCUCUUGGGUCAUCUGCAGCGCAUCGAAGGCCUCUACUGAGAUGACGUUGAGGCCUGCACCGCCGUCGAUGAGGGUCUUGGAGAUGCCCAUGCCGCAUAUGGUCGGCGUGCAUAACAUAGGAAGUGCCCCGGAGGCCGUCAUGGCCGUGGGGAUAUCGUCGGGGCCAAAGGUGAUGUUGACCUCCGGCCAUACGCAGUGUUCCACGGGCUCGGGCCUUGGGUGAACCACCCCCUCACGCUGUAGGAAAUGCUUUACGUGACGGUCGGAAGGUGGCGCCUGCGAUCCGUCGAGAAUGCAGGCGACUUCAGGGGCGGCCCUGCUCGCCCGGACGCCAUCCACCGCUGGGGAUCAGCGUCUGUCGGUGGUCGUGCUUGCCAUGGAGUCGCCGAGUCGAGGUCUGGCUCUUGCUGUUGGCAUGGAGGCUCCGACACGGACCCCCUACCUGGCUUGCCAAAUGUCAGAUUUCGGGCUCCGCAAAACCCUAAAGAUUUGAACAGAGGGGCGCGUGCAGAGGUCAGUUCGCCUGACUCGCUACUCGCCGAGGAUGGAAGAGAACUCACUCGAUGGUGAGGAAGACACAAAACACGGCAGUUUACCCAGGUUUGGGCCGCGUCGAAGCGUAAUACCCUACUCCUGCUUUGGUGGAUUGCCUCUCGUGGAGGUUGGUGAUGAACUAGUACAGUCUUCUAGGGCCUCCGGAGGCUGGAUAGCCUUUGUGUGGUGCCAGUGGGCGAAUAAAUAGAUCGAGUCCCUCUCUACAAAGUAAGCUACUCUCUAUAUAUAGUGGCGGCCCCGAUCUACUUCCCUUAUCGUUUCGGCGGGAAGGGAUCCCACAACGACCAGUUUUAAAGGUGGACAGGGGAACGUGCUUUGAUACAUCUCCAUCGUAUCUACUUUUCCAAACUCUUUUGCCCUUGUUUUGGACUCUAAUUUGCAUGAUUUGCCCUUGCCUUGGAUAUUCCCGAGGACGAUGCCGUGGUUGUCAACCUGGGAAGACCCUUUUUAAACACUGCAGGAGCUGUUAUAGAUUGCAACAAAGGCAAUGUCACUUUCCAUGUCAACGGUAAUGAGCACACAGUGCACUUUCCCAAGAAAUGAUAUCAAGUACAUUGCAUCAAUGCUAUCGAGAAGACUUCAUUGAUUCUCAUUGGGAGCUUUGAAUGCCCUAUUCCUCAUGACAAGAUGAAGUAUGACUUGCUUGUUGGGGAGAUACAUAUCCCCAUUGAGGUGACUUAGUGGCUAUUCGAAAAUUCUCUGUUCUCUCUUGCGAUUCGAGAAAGUUUUGUCGUAAGGACUUGAUUGACGGAUUUCUUUCGAUGACCAUGAAACAGAUGAAUCAAAGACUCACAUACCUGUGUUUUUAGUGUUCCUUUUCUGUUGCUUAGAAGAAAAAUGAUAGCAUUAGUUUAGUUUUUCCCUGUUUUCUGUUUUAGCGCCUCGGAGAAAAAUACCUCAAAAAUAAAAGUUCUCCGAUGGUCCUGAAAAUUUAGUAUGAUUUUUUCUGGAAUUUUUAAAAAUUACUCGGCUUGAGAGCUGGCCUGGGAGCCGGACCAGUGGGCAACAAGCCCUGCCACCGCCACCUACCCCCCUGGUGGCGGGGUGCAAGCUUGUGGGGCCCACAUGCACCCCCUCCACUCAUUCCAGCUCUCAGCCUCUUCUUCCACCUCCAGAAAAAAUUGUUUCACACCUCAAACCCGUGUUCUUGCUCAUUUGGUUGUGAUUUUUGAUCUCCUUGCUCAAAGCACCGUUCUCCGAGCCGUUUUGGGGAAAUUACUCCUUGGUAAGUGACUCCUUCAUUGGUCCAAUUAGUUUUUGCUCUAGUGCUUUAUCCUUCGCGUAUUCUUGCUACCUUGGUCACCCUGUUCUUGAGCUAGAAAAGUUGAUUUUAGCUGGUUCCAAGUAGUUUUAGCGCAUGAUACGGUCUCUAGGCACUAGUAGGAGUAGUUUCUACAAGUUGGGUUAAUCCUUAUUCACUUUUCUUUUGAAGUCUUUAAAAAUUUCAGAAUUUUUCACAGCUCGAAACAGGAAAAGAUGAGGAGGUUCUUGAGAGGCUCUUCAAGACGUAACCCCAAGGAGGAUGAGAAGAACCACCCCAAGUACAUAGUCCCUCGAGCCACAGAAGUUCGAGCGUGCGAGUGGCCAAGUGAUGAAUUUUUGCUCGCCGCCGGACUUUAUGAAGACUUUUAUUACUUGGUGGAGAACGCAGGUCUUACUGCGUUCGUUGAAGAUAAGUGCCCACAAUACCUCCUCCUCACCAAUAUUUUCGUUCAAAGCUUCAACUUUUACCCAAGGAAGAAUCCUCCCAUGGUUGAGUUCAUGAUAUACGAUGUCCCCUAGUGCAUGACGCUGCAGGAUUUUUGCAAUGUAUGCAAAUUACCUUAUGUUGGGGAUAUCCGUGACCCUCGUCCACGGGACUUGGAGGAUUUCAUUAGUUCUAUUGCUGUUGGAGAGGAGAGAGGUGUGUCUCGCACUAGAAUUGCUAGCAUACAUUUUCCUGUGCUUCGGUACUUCUCAUUAUUUGUGGGAAAAUGUUUGAUUGGCCGUGUGGAGGCUGGAUCACCUAGUUCUCCAGACCUUGCGGUUUUGCGUGAAGGCCUUUAUAACGAUAAGACUUAUAGCUUGGGCGCUAUAGUAUCUCAACGGUUGAACUUCAACCGUUCCAAGGGUGUUGUCUAUGGAGGUAUCUAUGCUACCCGUCUUGCUAGACACUUUGAGAUACCCAUUAGACUGGGAGAGGAAGGAGAGAUGCUUCUCCCUGAGAGAUAUCUGGAUUCUGACAAUAUGUUUGCCAUCAUUUUCUGGAUAGAGAUGUUAGUAGACAGAUGAUCUAUAACCUGGUGUUUAGUCAGGGUACUCGAGAGACUAUUACUUUGCCUGCUCCUUCUUUGUUCGAUCUUCAUGUAGGCAGGUACACUAUUAUGCCCGUGGACAUCUACGCAUAUUGGGGCUUGGCCCAACCACAGGCGCCCGUCGAGUACCAGACGCCAGUUUAUCAGUGGGAGCCAGAGGACCUCACACAGCAGUGGCAUCCACAGUCUGCUCCGGAGUAUCCCGGAGCUGGUUAUUUCCCACCUUGGGAGUAUACCAAGCUAGGCCAAAAGCCUAAGCUUGGGGGAGUACGUGUUCUCACCGACUUUACAUUCAUGCUUAUGCUUUCACUUUGUUAGCCGGUGUUCACACUUUGCCACUGUAUUAUCCAUGCUAGUUUAUUUUUUUUGUUUUCUUGUUUUCUUGUUUUGUGUCCUUUUGAGAAAACCCAAAAAGAUUUUUCUUUCUUCUUUUGCUUGUUGGGAGCUUUCCCGUGUAAACAGUUUUCUUUUUUCUUUGGGUCAAGGUAGAAGAUAUUGGUUACAAUGUUUAUAGGUUCUUGCAUGCUUACCUGUUUAGCUUAUAAAGAGCCAUAUUACUUUGUCUUCUCCUUUGUGUUUGCCUGCAGAUUCAUCUUAGUCCAAUGCGCUUAUUAUUGUUCACAUCGUUCGAUUGUGCAAAUGAAAGGCAACAAUGAUGAUAUAUGAUGAAGUGACUGGGACUGAAAAGCUGGUAUGAACUCUAUCUAUUUUGUUUUUAUAAAUAUGACUAGCUUGUCGACCCAGAUUUAGCUUUGUUGUGAGAGAACCAUGUUUGCAAUGACAACUUAGAGAUCAUAGUUUCUGAUGCCAUGCUUAUUUAGCUCAGAGCUUAUAAUGGUUUGUCUUGAAUGCCAACAUAGUUUUUGAGAUGACUGUGAUAUAGUAUGAUGGGAUGGUAUUCUCCUUUGAAUGUUUCAAGUGGCUUGACUUGGCGCAUGUUCAUGCAUGUAGUUGAAAGAAAAUCAACAUAGCCUCUAUGAUGCUCGUAUUCAUGGUGAUUUAUAUCCUGUUCAUGCUUGCAUUCAAUAUUAGUCAAACUCAUUGCAUCUUGAUGAUUGUUGUCACUCUCUAGUUGGUCGCUUCCCAGUCUUUUGCUAGCCUUCACUUGUACUAAGCGGAAUACUGCUUGUGCAUCCACUUCCAUAAACCCAAAAGUUUUUCCAUGAGAGUCCACCAUACCUACCUAUUUGCGGUAUCUACCUGCCGUUCCAAGUAAAUUUGCAUGUGCCAUUCUCUAAACCUUCAAGAAAUAAUCUGUUUUGCAUGCCCGAACCGCUCAUGUGGUGACAGGGGGCUAUUGGUCUCUUUCAUGCUAGGAGUGUUAUCGUCGACACGUGUUUAUUCACUGUCAUUCACGAUAAAGGGGCCGGUAAUUGGAAUGCCCAGUUCCACUCUUAAAGCGAAAAUAUAACCGUAAAACAAGACUCCCCCCGUAUUGAUGUUAGUAUGGACGGUACCCGAGGAUUCGGCUAGCCGUGGAGUGUGAUUGAUUAGUGGUGGGGGAGUUAAAUUUUACUUUUUUGUUUGGGAACCGCCUAUAGCAUGAGUAGCAUGGAAGAUAUUGAGAACUCUUGGUCAUUGCGUUGACAAUGAAAGCAUGCCACCCAAAAUUAUUAUCUCUGUUUUCAAAGCUUGAGCUCUGGCACCUCUACAAAUCAAUGCUUCCCUCUGCGAAGAGCGUGUCUAUUUAUUUUCCUGUUGAGUCAUCCUCCUCUUAUAUAAGCACCAAUUAGAGAGCACCUCUGUCAUUUUUAUGCUUUGCUUUUGAUUGAUAUUGAGUAUGACUAUGACUGGAUCUUCGUUGCUAUGAAUUACAAUGUUUAGUCAGCCCUUGAUCUUUGAAAGUGCUCUGCAUUUAUGUUUUGCGGUCUCAGAAAGAGCUAGCGAGAUACCACCUAUUCAUAUUGCUUCAUGCUUGUUUUGAUUGAAGUGUUGGUAUUUCAAACUCAUUAUUAUUUGCUCGUUAGCUGAUUAUACCAUUGAUAUUACUUUACCGUGAGACCUUUGUGUCAUUUUCUUAUGUGGUUAACUUGUGAUCUUGUUGAAAUUCAAGUUAUGAGUUAGAUAUAGUUCCAACAACAAGAUCAAACAGAGUUUGUCAAAGUUUUUCUUUCUCUCUCGGUUUGUCAACUGAAUUGCUUGAGGACAAGCAAGGUUUUAAGCUUGGGGGAGUUGAUACGUCUCGAUCUAUCUACUUUUCCAAACUCUUUUGCCCUUAUUUUGGACUCUAAUUUGCAUGAUUUGAAUGGAACUAACCUGGACUGACGCUGUUAUUCUUGUGCAGAAAUCAAAGUUCUCCAAACGUCUUGAAAAUUUACGGGGAGUGGUUUUGGAAAAUAAGAAAAAUAUCUGCGCCAAGUUCCACCUCAGGGGGUGGGCCUGUGGGCCACAAGCCCUGGUUCCUCCACCACCCCCCUGGUGGCGGUGGGCAGGCUUGUGGGGCCCACACGGCUCUGCCGCCCCCAAUCUCAGGUCUAUAAGAUCCCUUUUGUGCCAGAAAAAAUAAGAAGAGAAGUUUUCGUCGCGUUUGCGAUACGGAGGCGCUGCCACCACCUGUUCUUCAUCUGGAGGGCAGAUCUGUAGUCCGUCUUGGGCUCCGGAAAGGGGAAAUUGUCGCCAUCGUCAUCAUCUACCUUCUUCCCUCUCCAAUUCCAUGAAGCUCUUCGUCGUUCGUGAGUAAUCUAUUCGUAGGCUCGCUCGGCGGUGAUGAGUAGGAUGAGAUCUAUCAUGUAAUCGAGUUAAUUUUGAUGGGGAUUGAUCCCUAGUAUCCACUAUGUUCUGAGAUUGAUGUUGCUACUACUUUGCCACGCUUAAUGCUUGUCACUAGGGCCCGAGUGCCAUGAUUUCAGAUCUGAAACCAAUAUAUGUGUGUUUUAGAUCCGAUUUCGCAAUUUGUAGUUACCUACUAUGUGUUAUGAUCCGGCAACCCCGGAGUGACAAUAACCGGAACCACUCCCGGUGAUGACCAUAGUUUGAGGAGUUCAUGUGUUCACCAAGUGGUAAUGCGUUGGUCCGGUUCUUUAUUAAAAGGAGAACCUUAAUAUCCCGUAGUUUCCUUUUGGACCCCGCUGCCACGGGAGGGAUGGACAAUAGAUGUCAUGCAAGUUCUUUUCCCUAAGCACGUAUGACGACACACGGAAUGCAUGCCUAUAUCACAUUGACGAACGGGAGCUAGCCACAUAUCUCUCCAUGUUAUAGUUGUUGCAUGAUGAAUAUCAUCCAAACAAAUCACCGACCCAUUGCCUACGAGUUUGUCCUAUUGCUGCUGUUACUUGUCUUGCUCUGCUGCUACUGUUGCUACUACUGUUACUUGUCUUGCUCUCCUGCUGUUACUACUGUUGCUACUAUUGCUACUUGUCUUGCUCUUCUGCUACUGUUGCUACUACUAUCGCUUGCUACUGUAGCUACUUGCUACUUCUGUCACUACCGAUGUUCCUUGCCACUGCCGGUACUCGCUACUUUGUUGUUACUACUUUGCUUGCAGAUACUAAUCUUUCAGGUGUGGUUGAAUCUGACAAUUCAACUGCUAAUACUUGAGAGUAUUCUCUCACCUCCCGUCGUGCGAAUCAACAAAUUUGGGUCGAAUACUCUACCCUCGAAAACUGCUGCGAUCCCAUGCGCUUGUGGGCCGUCAACAACAUUCUUCUAGUUUCGAUUGCCGGAGAGUGCUAGCAGCAUUCUUCUGGUGCCGUUGCAAAGGGGAAGAAUAGUUGGCAUCAUGCUUCCCCUGUCCAAAAGUAGUCUUCGCGUGCAAAGUGGCUAUCAAUGUAGCAGGGAUGGGUCCAAGGAUGACGUUCGUCCUGCUGGCCAGCGGUGGUAGCCUUGUUGCACCAGAACAAAAACCUUUGGGAGAUGCCUUAGAGACCUGCAUCCGUCCUCGCCCCUUUGCACUAAAGGGGGAACUACACUAUCCUGCUGUCUGCUGCUCGCCUAUCCUUCCCCUGCGUCAUCCUCGACUCCUGAGGCCGGGUCUCGCCUCAGAAUGUCCGCCGCUCUGGAGCGGUCCUGAGGAGGCCCCAUGCAGGUCUUGGUGCUGAUCCUCCUCGCGAGGCUUGGCCCCACGCGAGGACCUUGCCUUGAGUGGUGUCGGGCCUGUUGGUUUUGGUCGAUGGAGUGGGCCAACCCUGGGCCGCAGGCAGGUCUAGGUACCCCAUUCUCAGAACGCCGACACGAAGAGCCUACCCCCGCUCCUCCUCGCCCUCUUCCCGACCCUAGACCGCAUCCACAAAGACCAUAGACGCGUCCCCAAGCCCCCUUUGUGCCCGUAGCAGUCUCCACGGUCUUGCGAGCGCACAAGCUCUUGGUGGACCGUGCCCCUGCUAUAAAAUGUCACCCCGAGCCUCCUUCUCCCUCCCUUCGUCCUCCUACUGCUCCUAAUCGAGCUUCUAGACCACCCACUCCUUGAAAAAGGCUCCCAAGUUCUAGUUCAUGCUCAAGAUCCACCGCAAUGGGACUCCGGAAAUCCCCGGGUACAAGUCCGCUCCGUCCCUCCUCUCUUCCCCUUUGGAACCGCGACAACCUCCUAAUGCUGACCCGCCUUUCCCCCGUUCUUUUUCUGCAGUAAUUGGUCUCGGCAACCACCCACCCGAAGUGCCUCCGCCACGGGACCUCGCUGCCGGCGACUCGCUGCACCACAACCCCUUCCUCCACCACCAACCGAACGGCUGGACGAUGAUGGUCUCAUUCCCGUUACCCCCGAGCCCAGCCUUGCCCCAUCUCAUCGCCGUUGAGCUCUCCCUCUCUCUUGUCGGGAGGUUGAAGAUGACUUCGGUGGGGCCCGCCUAUCAUCCUCCUCUCCCCUCCCUCUUUGGCUGACCACUUGGGCCCAACGGUCAAUUUUGAACGCGCACGCCGCACAUGCGCCCUGUUGGUUGAAGGCGUACAACGCCUUUGCAGCUUCGACGUAGCAGCCUAGAGCGGGCUGGUUUCCCUAUGGGCCAUCUCUACCUAGCUGUUUUGGCCCAUGGGGAUCAGUGGCCCUUCGUUUUAUUACUUUUCCAGAAUUUUUAAAAAAUCCCCUAAGUUUAAAUAUUUGCCCAAAUUCAAAUAUUCGUCCACCAAAAAUCUUGUAAUAUUGUGUAGUAUUUUAGCGUGCCACUUGUGUAAUUUUUACAAUAGGUUUUGUGCAUUGUUUUAUUUUAAAACCCUAUUUUGUGCAUUUUAACACUGUGUUAAAAUAGUUUUUACAACUUUUUACAGUCCAAAAAUAAAACCCAACAAUUUUUACAGUACCUAUACUCACCAUAGUAUUUUACAAAAAUGGUCUCACAUUUUUCCGAGUAAAUUAUUUUCUUUGUUUUGGUUGAGUGCUUAAUUUUUCCCGUUGAUAUUAUGAUGAUAGAUUGUGUGCUGACGAGGGACUUGGACCAGAACACUUUCAAGAGCCCGAAGACUUUUUUGAGCAAGAAAGCAACCCCUUGGCCUUGUCUAAGAGAAUACUUUCAUGCAUGUCAUAUUUAGCAUUUCAUUUCGAUGCAUAAGAUCAUGUUGAUUUGGUAACUAUGUAAGUGGGAUGUUUGAGAUGGUUCCUCGUUGACACUUGCACUUGGGAAUAAGCCUACCUAUCUAUGAGGGUUGUGCAGGUGGGAUGUAGUUAGGUCUCUAGUAGUGCUACACAUGGGAUUGGCUACAUGCAUGGUGACGGUAAAGGAGGGUGGUUUCAAAGAUUUACGAAAACCCCGUUGGGUGCCACUAAUGCCAGAGGGAGAUGGCGUGAGCUAGGUAGCCACUUGAGAAAGAAGUGGUAUACUGAGGCUAGUGAGUGUGUGUGGUUUUCAAAAUCGGAUUGGUUUAAGUUGAGACCGUUACUCCAUCCUUACAUCCACAACCACUAUACCCCUUAUGGGACGGGGCUGUGCUCAUUACUAUGAUUGGUGCUACUAGAGAGCCCACAUUAUUAGUGGCGGGAGUGAUGUGGUCACUAUCGAGACGUGGUCGUGCCAAGAAAAGGGCUACCAUGGGCUGUUUUCACAGAUACUAGGCAGACCGUUGCGUGCCCUCAUGGAUGAUACGCGUGAUGUACAUCACGAGGAGUUGUCACCAACGCGCAGUCUCUUUGCUAGUAUCAUCAUGGGAAAGGUGAUGUUCAGGUACUUACCUAGGGUGUGACAAACACAGUGACUCGUGUCUUGACAUGGAAGUUUCUCGAGUCUUCUGGGUAAAGUGUGCAACCUCUACAGAGUGUAAAACUUUUCAAAUAGCCAUGUCCACAAUCAUGGGCAGUUGGAUGACUGCUCUUGGGCUAAUGGUGUGCGUGCGUGAGAAAGGUGGUAUAUGACAAAAAUGGUACCUGAGCUAAGUCAAAUGACUUGGCAUGUUGGGUGAACUCGGGUUGUUAAACUCUCAGUUGAUAUUGACAUGUGUAACCUAUUCACACGGAUAUCACUUACCUUAUGAUGCAUGCCCACGCGAUUCUUUGAUCAUGUCAUUGCACUAGGGAAAAAUCUGCUUUCCGCAAAAUACUUGUUAGUGCUAUAUCAUGCUUAAUUAUUGCCUUGUUCCACAUCAUGGGUUGCUUGCGAGUACAUUCAAAGUACUCACUGCCUUGCCACUUGUUAUUUAAUUGGCCAGGCAUGGAAGAGCAGGAACCUGGAGAAGAGUUCGUCGGCGAAGAACACACAAACUAGGAUGCUUCCUAGUCAGAAUACCUGUAGCUUAAGGCAGAUGGCAUGGGUUCAAGCUUUCGUUCAAGAUUUCCGAUGCUAAUUAUGUUUGGUGUGUCGGCCUUUGAGGCCCUAUCUAUGUAAGACAUGGCCUUAAGGGUCCUUAUUUGUAUCAAACGGUAUGUAUGGAUGUAAGACUCUUGUUAUUCAACUUUUGUGUGUUUAGUGAGCAUUGAUCUUUGGGAUCACUGUACAUGUGCAUUCGGUGAUCACGACUUAUGAGUUGGGGUCUGCAGAGAGUUGGUAUGAGAGUCAUCCUAAUUGUAGGAACCCUUAGCUAGCAUGAACGUCAGAUAGGACGACCCCCUUUCCAAAAACUAUACCUAUCAUAUAUAGUUAGGAGUUUCUCGAUUUCCUGCCUCUUCCACUCUAUUUUCAAAACUCUUUACUGACACCCUCUCCUUAAACCUUGUAGAUGGCCGUCAUACCUGAAACAUCCUAGCAUCUGGCUUCCCCUACUCCUUGAGGACAUCCUGGAGAAGUGCUAGAUCCGCAGAUCACCCAUUUUCCUCUACCACGAGCAUUGAGUCAAUGCCGCCAUGAAGGAAUACCACGUUGAUGUGGUCGUGAGGGAAAAUAACUCCGUUAGAAGGUGGUUUUUGAAGGACAAUAGAGGGAGACUCUCAUGUUAGUAGUCGAGACAACGACGCGAAAUGCGCUCAUCCACCUUCAUGACAUCCUCCCACAUAUGUCUGACGAGUCGGCUACUUGUCGGUGUUCUCGGAAUGGGGGUACCCAGACCUGCCUGCCUACGGCCCAGGGCUGGUCCACUUCAUCAAGCAAACUAACGGGCACGACAUCAGUCAAGGCAAGGCCCUCGUGAGGGGCCCAGACUCACGAGGAGGAACGACAUCAAGACCCGCAGGGGACAUCCCCAGGACCCCUACGGAGCGACGGAUAUUCCGAGGCGAGGCCCGGCCUCAGGAGUCAAGGAUGAUGCAAGGGAAGGAAAGGCGAGCAGCAGGCAGCAGGGCUGUGCAGUUUCCCCUUUAGUGCAAAGAGGGCAAGGACGUACCAGAGGUUCCUAAGGCAUCUCCAAAAUAUUUAUAUUCUGGUGCAACAAGAUGAUGGCCGCCCGCCGACAGGACGGACGUCAUCCCUCAUCCCGCCCGUGUAGUACUGGUAGCCACCUUGUAGGCGAAGACCACUUUUGGACAGGGGAAGCAUGUUCCCGUGUGCCCCUUCGAAAUCUGCCUUUGUGGGAUCCCUUCUCGCCGAAACGAUAAGGGAAGAGGUCCCGGGCCACCACUACAUAUAGGGGAUAGGUUGCUUCAUAGAGGGGGAUCCGACUCAUUCAUUCUCCCACGUUUACAACACCAAGCCUCCAUAGGCCAUCAUGAACACUCUACUAGUUCAUCCACCCACAUCCGAGAGAGGCAAUCCACCAAAGAAGGAGUAGGGUAUUACGCUUCUUAGCGGCCCGAAACUGGGUAAACUACCGUGUUUUAUGUCUUCCUCACCAUCGAGUGAGUUCCUCGUGCUGUCCAUUUUGUAGCGAGCUAGGCAAGGUUAGGUCGGGAGAGAUCUUCGUACACGCCCAUGAGUUCGAAUCUUCAGGGUUUUGUGGAAGCCGAAAUCCGACAUUGCGCGCCAGGUAGGGGGCGUCUUGAGGUCUUCCCCGAGCUUCAUCUUCCCUAAGCCCGCUACCAUGAUGACUGGCGCCAGCAAGCUUCUUCGAGCCUCGUCGAGCGGGCUUCCAACCGUCAUACCACAGCGGCGGCAACGUGUAUCGGCAUUGUGGUACCAGGCGGCUCGUACCAGAUCAUUAACGUGACCUCCACCGUCGAGAACACCCGCGCCAACCAGGCGCCCCGUGGCUGGACGGCGCCACUGGCAUCCCUGACGCGCCCCAUCAACUUGGUGGACCUCAACACGCACGACGCGUUGUAGAUGGUGAGCGAGAUGCUGCUCCAACGACCUAUGCAAGGGGGCUUCACGCCUGGGCAGACCACAUGAAGGAGCUGAUCGCCAUCGCCAAGAAGUCCAUCCAGCCCCACUCUCCUUCAAGGCCGCAGGUGCCAGUCAUCGGGGGCUCACACCUUGUGCCGGUCCCUGGGGUCUGCAAGCGACGGAGCCUCUCCUGUGCGGGGCGGGGUCGAGAGAGAUGCGUCGCACGCUACCCUUCUCCUCCUCCAGAUUCCGAAGGCCGGUCUCGAGGCGCAGCAUGCCAACAACCACCAGAGGCGCUACGAGAACGGCGGGACGUUCGAUGCACACACCAGCGUGCAUCGCCAAGACCAGGUCGGCCUCCGACAAUCCGAAGCGGCCAGACAAGAGCGAUCCCUCAGGCGCAGCCAGCAGCGGGCGGCGGAGGCACCGGCGCGGGCGAGCUACGGCAAUGGAGACAUGCUAGGGCACGAAGGGGGGAGUCCACACUGAGCGACACGGGGACCAACCAACGGCGGCAACAGGAACAAGCGGCUUCGUGCGGAAGCCCAUCACAUGAAGAUAUUUGAGCAACACGGCCGGGGGGACCCCCCUCCACCUCUGAGGGGGACCGCAACCAUCACAUUACUGAACGGCUUUGGAUGUCGAUCUAACGCCUACAUGGAGCCCUAUGUACCGGAGUAUGCGAUGCCGCCUGACCCUCCCGAUGAAGAAGAGCCUCAAGCGCCUCCCCGGGCGCCUACUCUCAUCAGGAGUAAGGAGCACCGUGGAGGCCCCCAGCGCCCCCAGGCCCUAGGGCGUGACACUAGCCGUCGCCCCUACGGAUAAACUGCGAAGAACGAGACCCCAGGCCUCAAGAGGACAAGUCAUAUGAAGCAACGAGACGCAAGUGGCGUGGGCCACCCACGGCAACCACGGAGAUGGAGUAGGAGCGGAGGGCCACGCCUCACGAGGCGCCCCUCAUACACGAAGAGGCUAUGCGAGGUAACUUUUUGGGUUCACUGCUCAAGAGAGUACCUGCUGACCGCAGGGACUUCACGUGUUCACGACAUGCCCUUGCCUAUCAUAUCAUUUACUCAUGUUUUCAUAACUCCUACUACAUCCAUUCGGUGACCUAAAAUCUUGCCUUGCUUGCAUCUUCGGUUGAUCUAUCCCCCCCCCCCCGCACGGGACUCCGACCGGUGUGCGUCGCCCCAACACGGGGACUGGGGAGGCCCCGUGGAUCCCGAGGGCCACAAUCAAUAGGCUAGAAUUGAGGCCACUUGAGUGUCGAAGCUCAGGGGCCUUACCGGUCACAAGGUCACUUGCCGCCCUUGAUAUCGUCCAUGGACAUUCGGUCCUUAUCAGGGGUGGCAGGGCUUGACCCCGUAGCUGAGAUCGUCCAUUCGGUCGCAAGCAACGGCGGUUGGGAAAUGUGUAGGACUUGGUCCUGGCGACGCAGAGUCGCUUGAGCGUCAAAGUGGGGCUCCUGAGCAUCGAGCCUCAGGGUCCUUACUAGUGAUAAGGCCACUUGCCGCCCUAGAUAUCGUCCACGCACAUUCGGUCGUUAUCAGGGGUGGCAGGCCUUGACCCUGUAGCUACAUCCAUUCACAUGGUCACACGCAACGGCGGUUUGGAAAUGUGCGGGACUGGAUCUUAGCGACGCAGAGCUGCUCGAACGUUAAAGGGGGCAUCUGAGCAUUGCGCCUCAGGAGCCUUACCGGUCACAAAGCCACUUGGCCACCCUGGUGCCGUCCCGGUACAUUUGGUCGGUAUCAGGGAGCCAGGGGCUUGCCACGUGAGGCGCCUUACGGCUACAGGGAAAUGCGAGGGACUGGGACGUGUCGACGUAGAGCAAUAUAAAAGCCCUCAACCGGCCUCAGGAGAAGGAGCACGUAGGACCUACAUCAACCCGUCGCACCUCUCCAUCGUCCUUCAAUCCUUCCGAAACCUACUCCAUCCCAUGAGACUCUCACAUAAUAACAAGCCGAGGCUGCAUACGCCCAGGGCUCCCCGAGGACACAGAAGGGGCCCACCCCAUGCCUAGUGGAAGACCUAUGCUCCAAGCUGGGUGCAGAUGGAGGAAAUCAACACAGUCCACCUAUGAAUUCUGGAAUGAGGCACCUAUGCCUCGGGGGUAGGGACACUCGCGAGGCCAAAGCGUCCUCGCUACCUCCCAUAUACACCCCUACCGUGACAAUCUCACGUAAUAAUGAGCGAAGGUUGUAUACGCCCAGGCCCACCCAAGGACGCGGAAGGGGUCCACCUCACGCCUAGUGGAAGACCUAUGCUCCGCGCUAGGUGCAGACGGAGGCAAUGAACUUAGUCCACCAAUGACUAUGCCCGUAGAUGGCAAGGAAACCCACAUAGUCCACCAAUGACUAUGCCAGCCUAGGUGCCAGACGCGGCGUUUGCUUGCUUUUCCUAGAUUUUGAACUAUCUUCUACAAGACUUACAUCUGUCAAUUUUAAAAGUUGAUGUUUGAAAAAAAGAGUGUUGGAAAUUUCUCUUGUGCUUUCUCGUAUUCGCCGGUUUUGUAGACUCUUUUCUCGUUGACAUUCUGUGAGGAGCUAAACGCUCUCCACCGCACCUAGGGGCCACGGAGCGAAAGCAAGGACUUACCGUCCCACGGCCAAACAGUUUCGGCGAUCAACCCCCGCUCGGGGGUCCGGAUCGAAGCACGAUAUCAUCACAAAGAGUCCCAGGAGGCCUUAGGGCAUCCUGGGGUGAUGACCAAAGGAACGGGGAGAGGAACCACUCAAGUGCCAAAGGGGGCUCCUGAGCAUCGAGCCUCAGGAGCCUCACCGGACACGGUGCAGGACCAGGGCCUGCAAACAUAGAGUGCCGAAAGGGUCUCCACCCCAUCCUGCAUGCAAAGCAGGAGCUACUCAGGAGGAGCUACGAAGGGACCAACGCAAACCCCACGAGCAAAGUACCCUGCGGGCCUAAACGGGGGUCAUUUGGUUUCACGCAAACUAACAAUAAAUUCAAAACACGCGUACUAACAGAGGGAUGCACGGCCUAAGGAUCCAACUGCGGCAAGGAAUGAAGCCGACGACAAAGCGUGCAGCGGCUCGAGCGGUGCCUCUGGAGGACGGGACCUCAUGAGGGCCCUAACCGCCGUUAUCCCCUAGCUAUGGCUGGGGCUGCGACGGGACCUGAGCUUCGAAGCCGAGCCGCAACGACCACCACCGAGGAAACCAUCAAUUCAAAAGCGAAAGGGAAAACGACGGACGACAAAGGUAAAAACGCAAAAGCUUAACGCCCGACAAGGCAUGGUUCUUGAUCAAACAUCGCAGGAGCAGGUAAACAGAAGUUGGGGGUGCCUAGGGGGAGAGGCCGCCGACGUCGCCAUUGGCGCCUGCAGGCUCGGUGUCCGAUCCCUCCUCCUCCCUAGAGACGAGCACCCGGACAUAACGCUCCACCAUGACGUCCACGUGAGGGCGGACUUCAUCCCGGAGGAGAUGACGAGACUCAGCGGGCGCCGGCUCGACGAUGCGCCGAAGGUUGAGCUGCAGGGCAAGGCGGCAUAGGUUGGAGAAGACGAGCGUCAAGGCAAGGCCCACAAGCUCGCGCGCGUCGGCCGUGUUGUCCCCCUCCACGUGGGAGGCGCCAGCCUCCAGCAUCUCCACCACCUUCUGGAUGAAGGCGAGGUAGCCCCCAUCGUUUCUCACGUUCGGUGGGGCUGGGGCGUCCCCCAUGAUCCGGCGCAUCGCGUCGGCCUCCCGGUCGGCGAUGCCCGCGAACUACUUGGCACGCUGGAAUGCCAUCGUCCGGGCGUGCGACACCUCAUCCUUGCCAGCUAGGACGGCGUUGGUCGCCUCCUGGACCUGCUGCCGCAGCGACGCGAGCUCCUCCUUGGCCUUGGCCUCGCCCUGGCGGGCAGCCUGGAGAGUGGCAUCGGCGCUCUCGAGAUGGGCCCGCAGCCCCUCCACCUCCUCCUGAAGCUUGCCAAGCUUAGGUUUCUUGGCGGAGGGCGUGCUGGGGAAGAGGAGAGAUCAACCACCAAGCAACUCAUGGGGCAAUCAGGAAAAGAGGCGCAGGCAAGGGACUUACUCGUCAGCCAGAGCCCAGCGGUGUCGGACGGCGGAGGCCCUUAGGUUCCUCCGUCGCUGCUCCCGGAGGCGUACGGGGGCACGGACGGAGCCGCGUGCUUCCCCCUGCCAAGUUCGCCUCCAAGAGACGCCAUGGAAGACACGGAAAUGAAGAGGAGAGGAGGUUUUCUCAAUGGAGCGAAGGUAAGCAGAGAGGAAGCUCAAGAUUGCAGUGCCCCCUUGAAGGGGUGGGGUAGAUUUAUAGGCGGACCACGGCCACCGAUCGUCAUGGGAGCGCGAGCGUCGCGCGCCCCACGUGGGUCGCGAGGUGGGACGAUGGGAGCACUGCUGCUCAUGUCGCUUCACCUGUCCACCGAGCGGUCAUGUCCAUGCGGGCCGUUGGAUGUGGUCAGGUCGCACCAAUGCCAUUCAAUGGGAACAAUGGUGGCCAGCACAGUUCUUGUAGAUCGUGCCAUCGUGGCCUGUUGUCGGUGUUCUAGGAAUGGGCAUACCCAGGCCUGCCUGCGUGCUUGCUCAGGGCUGGUCCACUCCAUCAACAAAAGAUCGACUAGAAACAACAAGCCUCACGAGGAAGAGCGACAUCAGACCCGCAGGGGGCCUCCUCAGGACCCCUCCGGAGCGGCGGAUAUUUCGAGGCAAGGCAGGGCCUCAGGAGUCAAGGGUGAUGCCAUGGAAGGACAGCGAGUAGCAGAUGGCAGGACGGGGCAGUUUCACCUUUAGUGCAAAAGAGGAAGGAGCGUACCACGACCCCAAAGGCAUCUUCCAAAGGUUUCCCUUCCGGUGCAACAAGACCACGGUCGCCCGCUGGCAGGAUGAGCGUCAUCCCUGCGCCCACCUCUACGGCACUGGCAGUUGCUUUGCAGGCAAACACCACUUUUGACAGGGGAAACAUGUUCCCUUGUCCCCCACCGAAAAUGGUUGUUGUGGGAUCCCUUCCCACCAACGAUAAAGGAAGAGGACUCGGGCCUCCACUAUAAAUAGAGAGAGUAGGAUACUUGGUAGGGGGAUCAGGUCAUUGAAACUCCACAGCAACACACAUAGCCACUUUGCCUCCGGAGGCUCGAGAGCACUGUACUAGUUCAUCUACCAACCCCCAUGAGGGGAAAUCCACCAAAAGCAGGAGUAGGGUUUUACGCCUCGCAGCGGCCCGAACCUGGGUAAAUUAUUAUGUUCUAUGUUUCAUCCAGUUGCAGGCUAGGUAAGGUCGAGGCGGGAGAGAUCACUGUACACGCCCCUAUGUUCGAAUCCUUAGGGUUUUGCCAAGCCCGAAAUCUGACAUUUGGCACGCCACGUAGGGGGGCGUGUGAAGGCCUUCUCGUAGCUUCCUCCUUUCCAGGCGGCUGGACCGAUGGCCGGGGACCAACCAGCUUCUCCGAGGCUCGUCGAGCUGGUCUCCGACCGCAACGUCACAGCUGCUGAAAGCUCCCAUGCCGGCGUCACGGGACCAAGCGGCUCGUACCACGUCGUCAACAUCAUCUCCACCGUGGCGGCCACUCGUACCACCCAGGCACAUGGUGGUUGGGCGGCGGCCCGGGCACCCGCAGUGCGCCGCAUCAACCUGGGAGACCUUAGCGCACACGGCGCGUUGCGGAUGUCAAGAGAGAUUCUCCGCUAACGACCGACAUCAGGGGGCUUCGACGCCUGGGCAAACCACAUCAUGGAACUGGUCGCCAUCGUAGAGGAAGACCAUCUAACCCGGUGCAUCCUCGAGGCCAUAGGCGCCGGGAGCCGGGGGCUCGCAUCGCGCGCCGGUCCCCGGACCUACAAGCUUUGGGCCCCUACCCGCCCUGGGCGGGGCCGAAAGAGACACGCUUUGCGCCGCCCUCCACCUUCUCCAGACCCCAGCGACCGGCCCCAAGGCGCACCAUUUUGACAAACACCGGGAACUUGAGGAGAACGGUGGGACGACCAGCGCACAUGCUAGCGUGCAUCACCAAGAAAAAGUCGGCCCUCGACAGCCUGGGGCGGCUCGAUAGGAGCGAUCCUUCCGGCGCUGCCAGCAGAGGGAGGAGGCGAUGUUGCAGAUGAACUACUAUAGCGGAGACAUGGCAGGACACCAAGGAGGGAGCCAGCACCGGGCGGCGCCGGGACAAGCUAGCGGAAGCAACGGGAACAAGCGACUUCGCGCAGAAGCUUAUCGCAUGAAGAUCUUCGAGCAGCACGGUCGAGGGGAUCCCCCUCCGCCGGCGAGAGGGACCGCCACCAUCGCGCUGCUGAACAGCCACGGGGGACGGUCGAGCGACUACAUGGAGCCGUACGUGCCAGAGUAUGGGGCACUACCUGAUCCUCGUUACGAAGAAGAGCUUCGGGCGUCCCCUCCGGGCGCCUAUCCUCCUCAGGAGUGAGGAACGUUUGGGGGCUCCUCAUGGAGCCGAUCCCAAGGGGCGCGGGCAGGGAGGCACCCUCAAGACGCGGGGCGCAGUGCUAGCCGCCCUCCUCACAGAAGGACUACGUAAGGCCAAACCCACGGGCCUCAGGAGGACGAGUCGAAUGCCGUGAUGAGACGCAAGUGGCAUGGAUCACCCGCGACAACCAUGAUGCUGGCGUGGGCAUCGGGUGCCAGGCCUCGGAGGCGCUCCUCAGGCGCUAGGGGGCUUCAACUAUUCGGCGAGGUAAUUCUUUGGAUUUACUGCCUUAAGGAGUGUUUGCGGACCGCUUGAACUUCAACUACUAGGGGCAUACUUCUGCAAGUCGUAUUCUUUAAAAUUCCCAUCACAUCCACUUGGCGAUCUAACACACUGCCCUGCUUGCAUCCUUCGGCGAUCCACCUUCCUCACUCGGGGGCACCGGCUGCUAUGCAUCACCCCAACGUGGGGAUGGGGGAUCCCCACGGCUCCACAGGGCCACAAUCGACAGGAUAAAAUCAGAGUUGCUUGAGCAUCCAAGGGGGCUCCAGAGCAUGGCGCUCGAGGGGUCUUACCGGUCACAAGGCCACCUGCCGCCCUUGAUAUCGUCCUUGGUGAUACUAUCGUUAUGAGGGGCGGCAGGGCUUGACCGCGUAGCUGAGAUCGCUGAUUUAGUCGCAAGGAGCGGUGGUCCAGAAAUGUGCGGGACCGGGUCCUAGCGACGCAGAGGUGCUUGAACGUCAAAACGAGGCUCCGGAGCAUGGCGCCUCAGGAGCCUUACUCGUCACAAGGCCACCAACCACCCCCAACAACGUCCUUGGUGAUCCGGUCAUUGUCGGGGGAGCCAGGGCCUGACCCCGUGGCUACAACUGUUCACUUGGUCCCACGCAACGGCGGUCAGGAACUGUGCGGGACUGGAUCCUGGUGAUGUAGAGCCGCUCGAAUGUUACAAAGGGGGGGAGGGUUCCUGAGCAUCGCACCUCAGGGACCUUACCGGUCACAAGGCCACCAACCACCCUUAAUAGCAUCCUUGAUCUGGUUGAUGUUAUGGGAGGCAGGGCCCGACCCCGUAGCUACGUCCGUUCACUCGGUCCCACGCAACGGCGGUCGGGAAAUGUGCGGGACUGGGGCCUGUCAACGUAGAGUCAUAAAAAGCCCUUAAUUGGCCUCCCGGGAGGGAGCACACAAGACAUGCAUCAACCGGUCGCACCUCUGCAUCGUCCUUCAAUCCUUCCGGAACCUACUUCAUCCCGUUACACUCUCACAUAAUAACAAGCCGAGGCUGUAUACGCCCAGACCCCCCCCCCCCAAGGACGUGGAAGGGGUCCACCCCACGCCUAGUGGAAGACCUAUGCUCCGCGCUGGGUACAACACAGUCCACCAAUGACUCUAGCAGCUCAGACCCCAAUGCCUCGGGGGUAGGGACACUCGCGAGGCCAAAGCGUCCUCGCGACCUCCCAUCUACACUCCCACCGUGACACUCUCAUGUAAUAAUGAGCCGAGGCUGUAUACGCCCAGGGUCCCCCAAGGACCCGGAAGGGGUCCACCUCACGCCUAGUGGAAGACCUAUGCUCCAUGCUGGGUAAAACACGAACGCAAUCAGCAUUGUCCACCAAUGACCAUGCACCCAGCUGGCAAGGAAACCCAUAUAGUCCGCGAAUUACUAUGCCAUCUUUAAUGCCGGACUUGGCGCUUGCUUGCUUUUUCUUGGAUUCGAACUACCUUCUACUGAGUUUAAACUGGCCAAUUUCAAAAUUUGGUUUUUCCUGUCACAAUGCCCGACGUUUGAAACAUAAAAGGGGGGACUUUCUUUGGCAUUUCUUAUUUCACUGGCUUUGAAACCUCCUGUACGGAGGACGUGUUUGGAUACAACCUCUCUGUGCCACCCCUAGGAGUCAAGGAGCAUGAAUGCAAGGACUUGCCACCUCAGGGGCAAUGUUCUUAAGUGGUCAACCCCCGCUCAGGGGUCCAGACCGAAAUUUGAUACCACCACCAAGAGUCUCGGGAUGCCUCAGGGCCCCCUGGGGCGAUGACCAAAGGAAUGAAGUGCGGAAUCACUCGGGCGCCAAAAAGGGGGCUCCUGGGAUUGCUUCAGGAGCCUUACCGGUCGUCAAAGCCGGGGCAUGACGAUGCAGAGUGGCUUGAGUUUCAAGUGAGUCUCCUGAGCAGUGCACCUGAGGAGCCUUACUGGUCGCAAAGCCACUCGGCACCCAGGGUGCCGAGGCUUUUCCCCGUAAGGAGCAGACUUGGUAACCGGUUGAGCCUCACGGCGGCAGGGAAAUGUGCAAGAUAGGGAGCUGCACACAUAGAGUGUCGAAAGGGUCUUCACCUCGUCCCGCUUACAAAACAGGAGCUGCACCGGAGGAACUACACAAGAGACCGACACAAACCCACGAGCUAAGUGCCUCACAGGCCCCAACCGGGACCCUCUCGCUUUACGACAAACUAAUGGUGAAUUAAAAACAUGCGCACUAACGAAAGUAUGCAGGGCCUAAGGAUUCAACGAUAGCAAAGAGCGAGUCCAACACCCAAGCACGCGGCGGCACGAGAGGUGCCUCGGGAGGACAUGACUUCCAGAAGGUCGCGCUUCCCUCGUCGUCCCAAGCCACAACAGGUGCAGCGAUGUGCCCUAAGCUUUGCAGCCCGGCUGCAGCGACCACCAACAUGCAAGCCAUCACCACAGGACCAAAAAGAAAAGAGGAGGACAACAAGGUAAUAAUGGCUAAAGCUUAACGCCUGACAGGGAAGAGUUCUUGAUCCACUAUUCUAGGAGCAGGCAAACAGAAGUUUGGGGCACUAAGGGGAGGGGCUGAUGACGUCACCCAUGGCACCAGCUGGCCCGACAUCUGGACCACCCUCCUCGCUCGAGGCGGGCGCCGGGACGUACCGCCUCACCAGGGCGUCCACAUGCGGGCGGACCUCGUCCCGGAGAAGACGACAUGACUCAAUAGGCGCUGGUUCGACGACGCGCCAGAGGUCGAGCUCGGGAGCAUGGCAGCGCAAGUUGGAGAAGACGAGCGUCAGGGCAAGGCUUAGGAGUCCGCGCGCGCUGGAUGCGGUGUCCUCCUCCAUGCAGUGGAUGCCAGCCUCCAGCGCCGCCACGACCUCCUGGAAGAAGACGAGGUAGCCCCCGUCGCUCCUCACGUUAGGGAGUGCUGCGGACUUCCCCGCAAACCAGCGCGUCACGGCGGUUGCCCGGUCGGUGAUCCCCGUCAAUUGUAGGGCGGUGGGACACCGUCAGCUGGGCAUACGAUGCAUCGUCCUGAGCGGCUUGCAUGGCGUUUGCAGCCUCCCGAACCUGCUGCUGCAGCGAUGCUAGCUCCUCCUUUGCCUCCGCCUCUCCUUGGCGGGCGGGACAGAGGGCGACCUGGGUGCUCUCGAGUCGGGCCUGAAGCUCUUCCUCCUCCUCUUAGAGCUUGCUGAGCUUUGGCUUCUUGGAGGAGUGCGCGCUGAAGAAGAAGUAAGAUCAACCAUGGGACAACAGGUGAAGCAACAAGCAAAGGAGACGCUACGAAGGACUUACUCGUCAGCCAUUACCCAGCGGCAGCGGACAUGCGUAAGGAGGGCCCUCUGUCGCUGCCUCCGGGGGUGGACGAAGGAGCAGGAGGCGUUGCGUGCUUCCCCCGACCAGAACUGUCUCCGGUAGAUCCCAUGAAGACGAAGGGCGAAGGAGAGGAGAGGUUUUCUCGCGGCAGACGGAUGAAGCAGAGAAGAAGCUCGAGGUUGUGGCCCCCCCGAAGGCGGCUGAGCGAACUUUUAGGCGAUCCCUAGCCACCAACCAUCGUGGGAGCGUGGGUGUCGCACGCCCCACGAGGGCCACGAGGUGGGCCGACGGAAGCGCUGUCGCCCACGUCGCCUCACAUGUCCACCGAUCGGUCACAUCCGCGAGGGACGUUGGGUGUGGUCACAUUCAAUGACCAACAUGAUGACCUGCACGAGUCUUGGGGAUUGCAUCAUCGUGGUCUGGCACCACCCGGGUGCCUCGAGGAGCGAGAGCGGCACCGCGCAUCUACGGGGAACGUGGGUCGCCUCACCCGCAGGCAAAUGGGGCCUGCGACGUUUCGGGCGGCCUUCAAGGCUUCACCGUGAAGCCAACCGAGGCGCGCCUUGGGCCCAGGGGCUAUUGUAGGCGUUAUGGGAAUGGGGGUACCCAGACCUGCCUGCCCGCGGCUCAGGGUUGGCCCACUUCAUCUACACAAGAUCGCAAGGCUUGGCUGUCGCGAGGGGCCAAGCCUCGCGAGUAAGAGUGACAUCAAGACCCGCAGGGGGCCUCCUCAGGAUCCCUCCGGAGCGGUGGAUAUUUCGAGGCAAGGCCGGGCCUCACGAGUCAAGUGUGACGCCAUGGAAGGACAGACGAGCAGCAGAUGGCAGGACGGGGCAGUUUCCCCUUUGGUGCAAAAAAGGAAGGAGCGUACCAAGGCCCCAAAGGCAACUUCCAAAGGUUUCCGUUCCCGUGCAACAAGACCACGACCGCUCACCGGCAGGAGGAGCGUCAUCCUUGCGCCCACCUCUUCGGCACUAGCAGCUGCUUUGUAGGCGAAGACCACUUUUGACAGGAGAAGCAUGUUCCCUUGCCCCCCACCGAAAAUGGCUGUUGUGGGAUCCCUUCCCGCCAACGAUAAGGAAGAGGACCCAGGCCUCCACUAUAAAUACAGACAGUAAGAUACUUGGUAGGGGGAUCAGAUCAUUGAAACCCCAGAGAAACACACCUAGCCACUUGGCCUCCGGAGGCUUGAGAGCACUGUACUAGUUCAUCCACGAACCUCCGUGAGGGUCAAUCCACCAAAAGCAGGAGUACGUUUUUACACCUCGUAGCGUCCAUAACCUGGGUAAAUUGUUGUGUUUUUUGCUCCCCUCACCAUCGAGUAAGUGGUUCUCCGUUUCCAUCGAGUUGGGGCUAGGUAAGGUCGAGCCGGGAGAGAUCACCGUACACGCCCUUGUAUUCGAAUCCUUAGGGUUUUGUGGAGCCCAAAAUCCGACACCUGGCGCACCCUGUACGCCUCGUGGAGCGAGAGCGUCACCACACAAUCGUUGGACACGUGUGCCACCUAGCCCGCAAGCAAUUAGGUCCCGCGACACUUCAGGCUUCCCUCAAGGCUUUGCCGUGAAGCCAACCCAGGUGCCCUUGGGUCCGGGGGCUACUGUCCGCGUUCUGGGAAUGGGGGUACCCAGACCUGCCUGCCUAAGGCCCAAGGCUGGCCCACUUUGUCAGAAAAUCUGACGGGCGCGACAUCACUCAAGGUAAGGCCCUCGUGAGUGGCCAAGCCUCACGACGAGGAACGACAUCAAGACCCACAGGGGAUCUCCCGAGGACCCCUCCGGAGUGGCGGAUAUUCCGAGGCGAGGCCCGGCCUGAGGAGUCAAGGAUGACAUAAGGGAAGGACAGGCGAGAAGAAGGAAGCAGGGCGGAGUAGUUUCCCCUUCAGUGCAAAGAGGGCAAGGUCGUACGAGAGGUUCCUAAGGCAUAUCCAAAAGAUUUCCAUUCUGGUAGAACAAGACCAUGGCGGCCCGCCGGUAGGACGGACGUCAUCCCUGAACCUGCCCCUGCAGUACUGGCAGACACUUUGCACGCGAAGACCAUUUUCGGACAGGGGAAGCAUGUUCCCCGGUCCCCCUUUGCAAUUGGCUGUUGUGGGAUCCCUUCCUGCCCAAACAAUAAGGGAAGAGGACCCGGGCUUCCACUACAUAUAGAGGAUCGGUUGCUUCAUAGAGGGGGAUCCAACUAAUUCAUUCUCCCCCGGGCACAACACCAAGCUUCCGGAGGCCCUCAAGAUCACUUUACUAGUUCAUCCACCCACCUCCGAGAGAGGCAAUCCACCAAAGCAGGAGUAGGGUAUUACGCUUCUCAGUGGAUCGAACCUGGGUAAACUGCCGUUUUCUGUGUCUUCUUAACCAUCGAGUGAUUUCCUUGUGAUGUCCAUCGAGUACCGAGCUAGGCGAGCUUAGUCCGGGAGAGAUCUUUGUACACGCCCCUGAGUUUGAAUCUUGAGGGUUUUGCGGAGCCCGAAAUCCGACACUACUCACCACUUCCCUUUCGGGAAGGAUGAUGAUGGUGGGAGUUGGACAUUUAUUCCAUCCCCAGAGGAUGGAACACCACUCAGGUUCCAUACAUACUUCAGCCUCUUUGCCGAUAGUGUGGCUCACAAACUGAUCAAGGAGUCCAUGAAGCUCCGCUAGGAACUUCACCACACCCGUGAGCUACUUCGUCAAGCUAAGACAAAGCCAGGAAAGAUCAAGAAGGAUGGAGCCCCCGAGGGACGACCUGUUGUCGCUUAUAGAGGAGGAGUACCCCCAGAUAGAGAUGCACCCGCACGACAUCAUCACAAGAGCGCGAAGGAUUAUUGUAAGAUCUUCACCGCUCCACCGAUGAAGCGUCAUGAGGAUGGAACUCCCCAUUCCCUGACUCCCUCAACGAGAGACAUUGCCCGUACAGCUGAUGACUAGGAGGAAGACCCAGGGGAGCGUGAGUACGAGACCGAACACUCCACUACUUGAAUCUGAGAACCGCUAGGGUAGGAUAAGCUAUGUAUCCCUCAUGUGAAGUCGAGUAUGUCUAAUGGUUGCACUGUACCAACCCCCUUAGGCGCGAUGCCCUCUUGUUGCUAUUUCUUUCAUCUAUUAUAGGUUUUUGACUUGGCUACUGCAAACAAGAUGGUGAGUGCUACUCUCACCAGUACUUUUGGCAACCCCAGCACCUGCGACUCUAGCCAGGAGCCAGGAGCCGGUGAGUCUGCUCAGACUGAAGGUCACCUGGAGCAGCCACGUGGUGAUCUUCCCCCGCCACCGCCCAGCGGAGAACAUGACUCUAAGCUCCUUGGGAGGAAUGCCAAGCCAACACUACCGCUAUCCAGCAGAUGACUUAGGUUCUCGUGAACAUCCAGGAGCAAGGUGGGAAUGACAACUGAAUCCUUGGACGCUGAUUCCAGCAGCAAGGAGUGAGAAUUCAUCAAGACUUCGCCCCGACCUUCACCUAGACAACUGAAUCCUUGGACGCUGAUGACUGGAUUCGCACCAUUGAGGACCUCCUUGCAUUGGUUAACUGCAAUGAGGACUAUGAGAAGGUUCUCUAUGCCUCUCACUGCCUCGGAGGUACAGCCAGAGCCUGGUGAGAUGGAUUCAAGGGCAUGCAAGGCAAGCGUGUGAUCACCUCGGAUGAUUUCAAGCAAGGAUUUUCCAUAGCCCAUAUCCCUUCUGGGAUUAUGGCCAUCAAGAAGCGGGAAUUUCAAGCGCUGAAGCAAGGAAGUGGCUCUGUCAAGGAGUACCGGCAUAAGUUCAGUGUCUUGUCAAGGUAUCUACUUGAUGAUGUCAGCACCGAGGCAUCCAAGAUAGAACGCUUCAUGGAAGGACUUCGGCAAUCACUUGAGAAUCUACUUAUUGUGUGUGACUACCGAACCUUCUUCGAGCUGGUAAACAAGGCCCUCAUGCUUGAAGAUAAGCGUCAUGCCAUGGAAGAAACAUGCAAACAUAAGAUGAUCAACAUCGGUGGUUCCAACAACCAGAAGACUCACCCGUGGCAAUCAGCCCCAGCAAAGAAAAACUAUCAACCUCAUCAAUCCAAGACUCCUACACCUUUCGAGCCACCAGCGUCAGCAGUAUGCCAACCCCAGGCCGGCAUACAACAAUCCCAAUGAAAACACUGGUGGCAAGACCAACAACUUAGGGCAGGUCACAUGCUUUGGGUAUGGUCAGCCUGGACACAUGUCAAAGCAGUGCCCCAACAAGAAGCCACCGCGCCCCAAUGCGCUAAACUAGGGACAAGGCCGUGGAGCGCCACCCAGGAAGCAAGCUCCCCGCAACUUUCCCAACAAUGGAAAGGGUUGGGUGAAUCACGUCUCCACCGAGGAAUUCCAGGAGGACCUCGAUGUUAUACUGGGUACGUUCCUUGUCGACUCAACCCGAUCGACAAUUGUUUUUGAUUGUGGUGCUUCACAUUCUUCUGUUACCCAAAAGUUUGUGCUAGAGAGUGGCAUGGAUAUUACGCCUUUGAGUAGUCACAUGAUGGUACAAACCCCGGGUGCAGUAAUGAGGACCAAGACAGGGUGUAAAGGAGUUGGGAUUAACAUCAACGUGGUAGACUUCUUAGUAUAUCUCAUCGUCCUAAAGGCGCAAGGCCUGGACGUGAUCCUUGGAAUGGAUUGGUUAACCAAACACCAAGGCUUGUUGGAUUGUGCCAAGAGGACUGUUACAAUGACCAAUAGCCAAGGAGUCAAAGUAAAGUACGUUCCCAAUCCUACCUCCAAUCAAGCCCCUCAGGUUAAUUGCCUUUCGGGAAUUGAAGUGGGGUUGUUAUUUUUCCUGACGAGUUGCUCAGAAUGCCACUUGGUCGUGACAUUGAGUUCAUUAUUGAGCUAAUGACCAGAGCAGGACCCAUCUAUAAUAAGCCCUAUAGAAUGGGAUCCGAAGAGUUGGCUGAACUGAAGAAGCCACUGGUUGAGCAGCUUAGAAAUGGAUUCAUUCGCCAUAGUGCCUCUCCUUGGGGAUUGUCUCUUCUAUUUGUGUCAAAGAGGGACAGAACUAUUAGGCUCUGUGUUGAUUACCGCUAUCUCAAUGAAGUCACAAUAAAGAACAAGUAUCCACUUCCCAAGAUUGAGGAAAUGUUCAAUCAGCUGAGUGGUGCCAAGGUGUUCUCCAAGAUUGAUCUCUGGUCUGGGUAUUACUUGUUGAAGAUCAGAACCGAGGAUAUCCCAAAGAUGUCGUUUGUGACUAGAUAUCGCAUGUAUGAAUACACGCUCAUGCCAUUUGGGUUAACCAAUGCCCCAACCUACUUCAUGUAACUCAAGAACAAAGUCUUCAUGGAGUAUGUGGAAAAGUUUGUGGUUGUAUUCAUUGAUGACAUACUCGUCUUCUCCAAGUCUAAAGAAGAGCAUCAGCAACACUUGAGGAUGGUUCUGGAAAAGCUUCAAGAGCACCAGCUUUAUGCAAGUUCACGAAGUGUGAUUUCUAGGUGCAUGAAGUUGGGUUUUGGGCCAUGUGUUGAUAGUAGAUGGAUUGUUAGUUGACCCUGCCAAGAUUGAAGUUGUGACGGAGUGGCAAGCGCUGACCAAGGUGAAGGAAAUUAGAAGCUUCCUCGGACUCGUGUGAUACUACCGCAAGUUUGUCGAAGGAAUCUCAAUCAUCCCCUGACCUAUGACUAAACUCUUGAAGAAGGAAAAGAAGUUCGAAUGGACGCCGAACUGGGAGGAAAGUUUCCACGAGAUCAAGGAGAGGUUGACAACAACCCCACUUCUGGCCUCCCCUGAUAUUCACAAGGAUUUUGUGAUAUAUUGUGAUGCAUGAAGGACCGGGCUGGGUGGUGUCAUGAUGCAAGAAGGAAGAGUUGUGGAAUAUCUGUCCACACAGCUACGUCCUCACGAAGAGAACUACGCCAUUCACGAUCUUGAGCUGGCAGUAGUGGUUCAUGCCUUGAAUACAUGGCAACAUUACCUUUUGGGGAAGCGAUGUGAGAUAUACACAGAGCACAAGAGUUUGAAGUACAUUUUCACUCAUAAGGAAUUGAACAUGAGGCAGGAAGAUUGUUGGAGGUGAUCAAAGAUUACGACCUCAAUGUUAAAUACCACCCUGAAAAGGCCAAUGUAGUAGCAGAUGCCUUGAGCAGAAAGGCCCGUUCCUUAAAUGCUAUGAUCGAGGAAAGGCUAACUUCCUUGUAUGAGAAACUUGAAAGCUUCGGAUUGGAGUUAGUCGCACCAGGGUUUCUAGACAACCGUGAACAGAAGCCUUCAUUGAUGAACGACAUCAAGGAAGCUCGGAAGGGACACGAGAGCAUCAAAGAUAUCAAGAAGAAGAUCAAGGAUUGCAAGGCCCCAUGAUUUUCAAUGGAUGAGCAAGGAGUUGUAUGGUUUGGGGACCGCAUUUGCGUACCCAACAAAGCUGAGCUCAAAACCUGAUCUUGCAAGAAGCACAUAACACUCCAUAUUCCAUCCAUCCUGGCAGAACCAAGAUGCAGCAAGACCUCAAGGAAAGAUUCUGGUGGCAUGGCAUGAAGAGAGAGAUAGCCUCUUAUGUCGCAAAAUGUGACGUGUGCUAGAGGGUCAAGGAUGAGCAUCAGCGACCGGCAGGACUGCUACAAUCUCUCCAAGUGCCUGAAUGGAAGUGGGACAAAGUUAGGAUGGACUUCAUCACCGAUCUGCCCAGAUCAAGCAAGGGACAUGAUUCCAUUUGGGUCAUUUUCGAUCACCUGGCCAAGGUGUCCCACUUCAUUCCCGUCAAGACGACCUACACUGGGAACCAGUUGGCAAGUCUCUACAUCAACCAGAUUGUAAGCCUCCAUGGUGUCCCCAUGUAGAUCGUGUCAGAUCGAGGUACUGAGUUCACCUCGAGGUUCUGGAAUAGAUUCCAAGAAGCCUUGGGAACCAAGCUAUCCUUCAGCGCCUCUUUUCACCCUUAGACAUGCGGACAUACGAAACGAGUAAACCAAAUACUCGAGGUCAUGCUCGGUGCGUGUAACUUGGCAUAUGGGGCCAAGUGGGAAGAUUGUUUGCCAUUUGGCAAGUUCUCCUACAAGAACAUCUAUCAAACCAGCCUCCAUAUGACACCAUUUGAGGUGUUGUAUGGUCGCAAGUGCCGCACUCCCCUGAACUGGUCAGAAACCGGGGAAGGUCUAGUCUUCGGACCAGAUGUUCUUCAUCAAGCAGAGGAGCAAGCUCAACUCGUCAGAGAGCGUCUAGAGGCCUCCAAGUCAAGACAGAAGAUCUACACCGACUCCCAUCGCUGAGAUAUGAUUUUCCGCGUUGGGGACUAUGUCUAUCUUCGAGUCAUGCCUCUCAAGGGAACAAAGCACUUCCACGUCACGGGAAAGCUUGCACCAAGAUACAUAGGCCUCUUUAAGAUCACUUCAAGAUGGGGAGAAGUUCCUACCAGCUGGAGCUACCAUCCAAACUUUUGGAUGUGCACAGUGUUUUACACAUGUCGCAAAUCCGUAAGAUCCUCCAUGUUACCAAUCACCCCCAACUCUACAAGGAUAUGGAUCAUCAAACCAUUGAUCUUCAGCUAGACCUCACUUAUCGUGAGGGACCAAUCCGCAUCCUGGAUGAAGCUGAGUGUUGCACCAGAAGCCGCGCCAUCAAGUACUUCAAGGUCCAGUGGAGCAACCACGUUGAAGCAGAAGCAACAUGGGAGCGUGAAGACUACCUCAGAUCAGAGUUUCCUUCUCUUUUUAGCGCUUAGCCUAGGAAUCUCGGGGACGAUAUUCUUGUAAGGGGGUAGGUCUGUCACACCCUGUGUUUGUACCACUUUUCCCACAUGAUGUUUUAUAAAAAUUGGAGUCAAUUAAAACUUUUUGCAUGUUGUGAUGGUUGAUUUUGUUGCAACUUGCUCGUGUGACUAAUUGAGUUUUGAAUCACUAUAGUUGUUCUCCUCUCUAAAGCCCACCUCCUUGACCCCAAACCCUUGCCCAAUNNNNNNNNNNNNNNNNNNNNNNNNNNNNNNNNNNNNNNNNNNNNNNNNNNNNNNNNNNNNNNNNNNNNNNNNNNNNNNNNNNNNNNNNNNNNNNNNNNNNGAAUUCCUCAUGCACUCCGACAGACUCGAGCGACCAUUUUUGUUCCUUCCUUGCUAGUUGUUCACAAGGGCUUGAGCUAUCUGUUGCAUAGCAAUAGAGUUGGCUUGGCAUUCCUCCUAGAGAACUUGGAGAAACUGAGCAUUGUUCGUGCUCUCUGAUAGAAGUGGUGGUGGCAGAAUGUCGCCUUGUGGCUGCUCUUGGUGAUCUCCAGCUUGAGCAGACCAACCAGCCUCAGGCUGCUGGCUAGAGUUGUCAGCGCUGGGGUUGCCGAAAGUGCUGGUGCGGGUUGCAGUCACCAUCCUGUUUGGAACAACCAAGUUAACAACUAGAAUAGGCAAGAGGGAAAAGCAACAAGAGGAAAACGCGCCUAAGGGGGUUGGUAUAGUGCAAGUGUGGUAAAACAAAGGUCCAAAUACCAAACAUAUAACAUUAAGAUAAGAUAGGUGAUGUAGUCUCUUACAUGUUGCCUAAGGCAAAAGCGUGACUUGCAUCAAAACACAAACAACAAGCACACAUGGUUGCAUAUGAACCAUUAAACGGACUAGACUUCGCAUGAGGGAUACAUGACUGAUCCUACCCUAGGGGGUUCUCAGACUCAAGUGGUGGAGUGCUCAAUAUCGUAUUGACGCUCCUCGGGGUCUUCCUCCUGGUCAUCAUCCGUACAGACAUUGUCUCCGAUCAAGGGGGUUGGAGGAAGAGGAGGUCCAUACUAACGAUGUUUCAUCGGUGGGUCGGUCAAGUGCACGACCCUCCUUUACACUCCUGCGAUGAGAACGUGUGGGUGCAUCUCUAGCUAGGGGUACUCCUCCUCUGUAAGCGAUAGCUGGUCAUCCCUCGGAGGCUCCACCCUUCUUGAUCUCGUCUGGCUUUGCCUUGGCUUGUCAGAGUAGCUCACGGGUGUGGUGAAGUUUCUUGCGGAGCUUCAGCAACUCCUUAAUCAGGUUGUGAGCCAGACUAUUGGUGGAGAGGGUGUAGUAGGUCUAGAACCUGAGUUGUGUUCUAUCCUUCUUGGAUAGAACCAACAUCCAACUCUCGUCAAUACGAUCCUUCCUGAAAGGAAGGUGGCGAGUAUCUGGAUCGGCAGGCAUCUCUGGGAUGAUGUCUCGAAGGUGGACGAGUGCCUUCCGUGCACCUGUCUUGGAUGCUAACGCCAAUGUCUCCAUUUGUGGUCCUUCAAAGAACCAUCUUGUCGGGCAGUCAUUUGCCUCCAUGACCACAAAAACGUGUUAUUCCUUCGUGGUGGCAUCGACCGAGUGCUUGUGGUAGAGUAAAACGGGUGAAUGGUGAAACUCGCACUUCUCCAGGCUAUCCUCAAGGAGUAGGGAAAAGCCGAAUGCUUGGAGGUCUUCGGGUAUCACGACCAUCUACAAGGUUCAAGGGGAGGGAUGUCACUAAAGUUUCGAAAAUAGAGUGGAAGAGUUAAGAACUGCAAAAACACCUAUGUAUAUGUGCUAGGUAUAGUUUUUGAAAGGGGUUUCCUCCUAACUUAUGUCCAUGCUAACUAAGGCUUCCUACAGUCAGGACGACUCUGAUACCAGCUCUGUGGCGACCCCGACUCGUAAGUCGUGAUACAGUCAUUCUAGUGAUCAAUGCUCACUAAAUAGAGAGAAGCUGAAUAGUAAGAGUCUUACAGAAAUACAUACCGUCUGAUACAAAUAAAGACCAUUGAGGUAAAGUCUUACAUAGAUAGGGCCUCGAAGGCGAACACACCAACAUAACUAGCAGCGGAAAUCGUGAACGAAAGCGCGAACCCAUUGCAUCUGCCUUAACCCUACAGGCAUUCUGACUCGGAAGCAUCCUAGUUUGCAUGUUCGUCACCAACAAACUCUUCAUCAUUCUCUUGUUCUUCCAUGCCUGGACAAUUAAAUAACCAAUGGCAAGCAAAUGAGUACUAUUAAUGUAGUGGCAAGCAACCCAUGUUUGGAACAAGGCAAUAACAAUGCAUGAUAUAGUACUAAUAGGUAAGCUGCGGAAAGCUAAUUUUAAGUGCAAUGGUAUGAUCAAUAUCUUAUGAAGGUAUACAUCAUGAGGUGACUCAUAUCCAUAUGUACAGAUUGACACAUAUCAAUAUAAACAGGGGUAGAACAUCUCAUGUUCAGUAUUCUUGUCGAGUCAUUUGACUCAGCUCAUUUCUCAUCAUUCUCACAUCCACACACACACACACAGUUUUGUAACAAUGAAUGUAUCCCAAGCGCGGUCAUCCAACUAUCCUUGACCGUGGACACGGCUAUUCGAAUAGUUUUACACUCUACAAAGUUUUCAAACUUCACCCACAAGACUCAGGAAACUUCCGUGUCAAGCCACGAGUCGCGGUAUUGUUCAUACCUGAGGUAAGUACUCGAACAAUGCCUAUCCCAUGAUGAUACUAACUAAGAGUCCACUCGUCGGUGCCAUCCCAUGUGGUGUACAUAACAAGUAUCAUCCACGAGGGCACGCAACAGUGUGCCCUGUGUCUGCGAAAACAGCCCAUGGUCGUUCAUUGUGGCAUGAUCCCAUAUCAAGAGUGACCACGUCACUCCUGCCACUAGUAAUGUGUGCUCUGAACUAAUAUCGACCACAGUAAUCAACAAAGCCCUGUCCCAUAAGGGCUAUCGUGGUCGUACAUGUAAGGUUGGGGUAACGGUCACAACUUAUACCAAUCCAUUUUUAAAACAACACACUCACUUGCCUCGAUAUACCACUUAUUUCUCAAGUGUUUACCUAGGUCAUCACCAUCUCCCUCGGGUAUUAGUGGCACCCGAUGGGGUUUCCAAAAGGUCUUUGAAAUCAUUUCUAUUCUGACACCAUGCAUGAUUCACAUCUCAUUUUCAUAACAACUAUAUUUUCAUCCUAUCUACUUCCCACCCGCACAACCCUCAUAGGAUGGUAGGGUCAUGCUCAGUGCAAGUAUCAAUGAGGACUUAUCAAAGACGACCCACCAAGGUGGUCACCGAUUCACAUGAUUUAAUGCAACAGACUAAAGUUCCAUAUGACAUGCAUAAAAAUGUUUCAAGUCAUGGUCAAGUAGCUGCUUUCCUGGAUGAAAGCACAAUUUCUCCCUAGGGUGGUCUUGCUAAUUGUUCACAACAUAUGCAACAUUGGACUAAUGUGUUUUCCAAGUAUAUUUUAGAAAAGUUCAAAAUAUGCGAUUUCUUUAGGUUUAUGUGGAGAUGCCCCUAGAUACAAGAAAGGAAUAAUAUUGGCUCAACCUUCAAGCUAUAAGACUCUUCAUUUUAUAUUUGUGAGAAAUCACUUUUGAGUCCAUAGGAAAGCCAAUACUAUUAAAAGGGGUGAGGUAGUAAAAUGAACUGAUUGCUCAGAUGCUCAAAGUUAGCCACCAAAACACUCAGUCAUUUUUCCCACAUAUCCACGUUGUCAAGUUCCACAUACACAAAUUCGUUCUAACCAACAUUGCCACUUCAGACCCACCGAGUUUGAACCUCACAUAUAACCCUAGCCAUUCCCACCAAAUCGGUGCAACCGAAACUAUAUCGGUGCUACCUAGUUCAGUGUGACCAACAUUCUGUGCCACCGAGUUUGUUCAUCCGACCGUUAGUCACCUUUUCGGUGCCACCAAGUUCUAUAUAUUGGUCUCACCGAGAUUCAAAGUACACACUUUUAGUACUACUCGGUACCACCGAGUUGUCCACUUCGGUGUCACCGAGUUUACACUUUUGUAUGUAACAGUUGGAUUUUGGCUGCUGCCUAUAUAUACCCUUUCACCCACCUCUCAUUCGUGGGAGAAGCACUCAGAACACACACUUCAAUUACAAAUCCAUUUUCUGAGAGAGAACAACCUACUCAAGUGUUGGGACCAAGAUAUUCCAAUCCAAUCAUUUGAAACUUGAUCUCUAGCCACCCCAUACUGCUUUCCACCAAAUCAACCUCUCCUACCCAUGCAUAUUCUAUGAGAGAGUGAUUUGUGUUGAGGAGACUAUCUUUAGAAGCACAAGAGCAAGGAGUUCAUUGAUUUACCACAUCUAUUACCUUUCGGAAGGUGGUGCCUCCUAGAUUGGUUAGGUGUCGCUUGGGAUCCUCCUACUAUGUGUUGUGGAGUUGAACCAGGAUGUUUGUAAGGGCAAGGAGCUCGCCUACUUCGUGAAGAUCUACAGUGAGUGAGGCUAGUCCUGUGUGGACGUAAGCUGUGGUGCAAUAGACAAGGCUGCUUCUUUAUGGACCCCUUGUGGGUGGAGCCCUGUGUGGACUCUCGUGGCCGUUACCCUCCAUGGGUUGACGUAUCCACUAAAUUGGAUGUACAAUAGCGCCACCUAUCAGAGCCAUGCCAAAAAUCACCAUGUCAACCUCAUGCGUUUAAUCUCCCUACCUUACUCCUCUACUUUACACUUGCAUGUUUUACUUUCCGCUGCAAUACUAUUAGAACUGCAUGUGUUGCGUGUGCUUGACUUGUUAUAACUGUCGUAGCUGCCUCUCAAGUAAAAUUGGGAAAAGGCAAAAAAAUAUCUUGUAAAGUAGUCUAAUCACCCCCCCCCUCUAGACAUACUUUCCAUCCUACAAGUGGUAUCAGAGCUUUGGUCUCCAUUUAAUUUGUUUAGCAACCUAGGAGAGUAUGGCAUCUAGUGAGGGAAGUUAUCAUCAUAGAGGUCAUAACUUCGAUGGCACUAAUUUUGCUAAUUGGAAGCAUAAAAUGAAAAUGCAUAUACUUGACUUUAAUCCUCAUGUUUGGGUUGUUAUUUGUGUUGGUGUGCUAGGUAACUUCUUUGGAGAAGGGCAUGAACCAGAUCGUGAUGCGACAACUGAUGAACUAAAGAUGUUGCAACUUAAUGCUCAAGCCUGCGAUAUCAUCUUUAACUGCCUUUUCCCUGAAGAAUUCAACAAAAUUAGUCGUCUGGAGAAUGCAAAAGAAAUUUGGGAUACUUUGGUUGAUAUGCACGAAGGUACUAGUUAUGUCCAAGAAUCUAAGUUGGGUGUGCUUCAAAGUCAGCUUGACAAGUUCAAGCCGAAGGGUGGUGAAGGUGUCGCUGAAAUGUACUCUAGGCUAGCUCUCAUCACCAAUGAGAUUGCUAGCUUAGGAAGCGAAGAGAUGACCGACAAAUUCAUCAUCAAGAAGAUACUUAGAGCUCUUGAUGGCAAGUAUGACACAGUGUGCACAUUGAUACAAAUGAUGCCAAAUUACAAAGAUCUCUAGCCAACUUAAGUCAUUGGUAGGAUUGUUGCUCAUGAUAUGUCACUCAAGGACAAAGAUGAGCUGCACAACAAGUCAAGCAGUGCUUAUAAAGCUUCAUGUGAUGCUCCCGCUACAUCAAAAGACAAUCUUGUCACUGAUGAAGACAUAAGCCUAAUGAUCAGAAAAUUCAACAAGUUCUACAAGAGUAGAGGCAAAGAUAGAAGCUCAACUUCAAGACAUGAUGUUAAGCGCUCGUCCGGUCAUGACCGAAACUGCUACAAGUGUGGGAAUCCCAGACACUACUCAAAUGAGUUCUCAGCUUCCUACAAAAGAAGAGAAGAGUCACGUCGAAGACGAAGCUCAAGAUAUGAGUCACCUCGUAAAGAGAGAAGGAGUAAAGAAAGAUCACUAUGAACGAAGACACUCACGGAGAGGCAAGGAAGCGGAGAAGAAGGAAAAAUACACCAAUAGAAGUUCAAGAAUAAGACAUCAAGCUCAUGUUGGUGAAUGGGUCUCUGGCUCCGAGUGUGAUCACCACUCCGAGAGAAGCUAUUACUCCAACUCCGACUAUAGUCAAGAUGAAGGUGUUGCCGGGAUUGCGCUUGUUUCCACCAACUUCUACGGCUUAUUUGAUUCACCAAAUGAGGGAGUCGGAAAAUGCUUCAUGGAUAAAGGGCCCAAAGUAUCACAUUCUGAGUAUCUUGAUUUCAAUAGUGAUGAGGAUGACUUGUUAGAAGAAGAUGACUUGCUUCUAGAUAAAACUAAUGAAUGCACUGAAAAUGAACUUGCAAUUUAUCAUGCUAGUCAAGAGAAAUCAAAUGAUGAUGAUAAGACAGAAAUUGAAUGACUAACUCAAGAAUUAAAAACUCUUAAGUUAGCUCAUGAGACUACUCUAGAAGAUCAUAGAGAGCUUGUAAGAACAUUGAGAAGCUACGCUUCGAGAAGCUCAACUUGGAGCAAGAUCAUGAGUCUUAAAAGCAAUCAAUGAUGAUCUUAGAAAGAAGAGUUCUUCUUAUCUAGCCAAACGAUUACUCUUGUCUAACUUUGGUCAACAAGUUAAACCUAGGAAUACUAGUAACAAAGGCAAUAAGGUUUCUUCAUCUAGUAACAACAAUGCUAAAUCUAACUCCAAUAAUGUUAUUGCUAGUACCUCUAUUGAUUACACUAAAGAUUCUCUUAGCCAAGUUACACUUGAGCAAGAAAAUGAUCUAUUGAAGGGGGUUAUAGAGAGAGGUGUCUUCAAGAGUCUUUCCGGAAGUAAGCAAUUUGACGAAAUUGUGUGCAAGCAAGGAGGACAUCAGAAGAAACAAGGUGCUGACUACUUCAACAUCAACGAAGAUGUUUGGGAAGAAGGUCCAUAUCCCACUGCCAAGUUUGUUCCCCAAGAGGAUAAGUCCACUCCUUUCGAAGGAACAAGCUCACAAGAUGGCCUUCUACCACAAGACCACAAAGGCAAGGAAAGCUUCAAGAUGACAUUGACCUAUUUGAAGGAGAACCCCAAGUCAAGGUCAAGUGGAUUCCCAAGGACACACUACAAGAAAUAUGUCAACUAACGACCUUCAAUAUUGGUCAUCGAAUGGUCAUUGAUUUCCAUUUGUGACCUUUUUACGACCAAAAACAUAUGGUCAAAAGCUGAGGGUCUCUAAUGAGCUAUAACGACCUUUUUCCUGGAUUGGUCAUAGGAUUUUACGACCAAAUAGAAGGUCGUAGGUUUAACGACCAACUGAUUUGGUCACUAGCAAUCCGGCAACACCACGUCAGAUCCACCGUGGCAGGCUGACGUGGCAGAAUUACGACCAAAUGAAAAGGUCGUAAAUUAGCUUCAGCACGGUCCAUUCCGGUCGUCUACAUGGGCCGGGCCCAAUAAUUUGGCCUUUUAUUUUGUGGUCUAGAAUCUUUUACUAAGCAGGUUUUUUAUUAGUCCACUUUUCUUUUGGGCCUUGGCCUACUCUUUUUAGUCCACUUCUUGUUUGGGCCUUGGCCUAGUCUUUUUUUUAGGCCCAAGCCUUUUUAGACAAAUUCUAAUUUGGGCCUUGUCCUACUCCUAUUUUUAGGCCCAAGCCUUUUUAGUAUAUUUCUUGUUUGGGCCUCAGCCUUUUUGCAGUCCAAACUAACUUUAGUGCCAAACAAAAUGGUCCGAACAAAACUCAAAUAAUUGACAACUUCAUCAGGUUCACAAAAUACUUUAUCAGGUUCAAAUAGAGCAAGACACUGUUUCACAAAAUACUUCAUCACCAGAAUACUUCAUUAGUUUCAAAUAGAGCAAGACAGGUUCAAAAUACUUCACAGGUUCAAAUAGAGCACUUCACUGUUUCAUCACCAGAAUGAGCAAUCAAGUGGGCUAACUUCAUCAGGUUCUUGAGAAGUUAGCCCACUUCACUGUUUCUAGGACAGGAUCUACGACAGGUUCAACUUCUACGAUGCUUUAGCGCCGAAGAGAGCCAUCAAGUGGGCUAACUUCUCUUCCUGUUCUUGAGACUUCUUGCACCGCAGCUCAAGUUCCUUGUCGCGUGCAUCUUCAUAUUCUUCCGCCUUUAGCUUGAUUGCUGCCAUUUAAUCUUGCAUCACUUCAGCUUGAAGCUCGGACGUCUCCAGCUUCUGCACAAGAUCACGAACAUGAGCAGCCACAGCAACAGUUCCUUUGCUAGAGUUGUUACUAGAUGACUUGAGCCCAACAUUCCUCAGGAAUGUGCUUUGCUUGACUUCGGUCUUGAGAACUUCUUCAACAAUCUCAACAUCAGACUUUGGUUCUUCACCUUCUCGUACCGGUGCGUCCUUCAUUUUUUCCAUCUCAAGCUGGCAUAUGGAGGAAAAUGAUAGACAUUAGAGGCAGAUCUAUUUCACAUUCUGCAAGAGAAACCAAACAAGAAACAAACCAAGAAAUGGAUUAUUUGAAGUAAUCUAACCAGCACACAAAAUCUAUAUGUAGAUAUUUUACUCAAACUCACACAUAAGUAGAUGAUAACUACUAAACUUAAAGCAGUAUUUGAAUCUGAAUACAACAAGUGUACACACUUAUGUGAUCUAGAGACAUGCAAUCGGAACAAUAUGGUGGUUCUAUAUAAUAUGGCUUCUUUGUUGAGAACUAACAUUUUCAGAUCAAUUUUCAUCAUAUCAUAAAAAUGCAACAAAUAGCUACAGCAAAUUCUGAUAUCUUCAUUGAGAACUGUACAACAAAUUCUGAUAUAGUUGUUGAGAUACCAAACCUAUCAUAGGCUCUAGCAAACAACAUCAAAUCUAGGGUGUGUUCUUGCUGGCUGUGAAUCAAACAGGGUUGAGGUCUAUAAACAAAAGUUUGAACUAGCUGGACAAAAGCAUGGAGUGACUUACUAUAGCAAUCUUGACUGGCUCCGAAAACCCGUGCUUCUUGCUGUUGUGGAUGGCCUUGAACAAGUCAAUCGCAGACAGCUCCUCACCCUUACGCUCUUAUUUUUGAAAUGUUUUUUAACAAAAAUCAAAAUGUUAUUCAGCAAGAAUAAGAAAUGAUAUGCAACGAGGAUCAAACAGUAAAGUCUUUAGAAAAAAGGUACUCACAGUGGAAAAAAUGUGUGUUGUCUAGUGCGUGGAACUAGUUCUUUGUUGGUACACGACCUUUUGUCGAUUAAUCUUGUUCAACACACAUGUUUACUACAAAAAACAUAAUGUUAUUUGCCAAGCUGAAAGAAAGUGGAAUAGGCAGUAGUAUAGUAGGACAAUACGAGUCUGAGUAUAUUUUAUUUGGAAAUAUUUCAGUUAUCCUGCACUAGCACAAGUACAUGAACAACUAGUACUAUCUAAGAGUCAGUGUAUUACAUAUGGUGUUGAUUUUGAAAGUUGAUGCUCUCUAUUGUUCCAAAUCUGAUCGGAAACAUGGAAGAGGAAGAAGGGGACCUUGGCCCAUUCCCAUCCUGAUGUGCAGAACAUAAAUCAGCAAACAGAGCAUAUACAAACCUUGUGUCUUGGGGUAGACCACAUCUGCACCAAAGCUUGCCAUUCACCGUCCGUCAGAUCUGGCACCGAAGACUUGGUGCUCACUUUGUUUGCUGCUACAGUAUCAAAAUACUUCUUCAUGAUCUUAUGGCGUCAAUUCUUUGAACUUUUCUGCAGAACAUCUUUGCAAGCGUACUUGAUGGUCUCCGAGUCUGUGUUCAUCUCAAAAUUUGCCUACCAAGACAGCAAACAAGGAAGGAACAACAUUAGUGAUCAUUAACUACAAAACAGAAAAUAGAGUAGCACAUUAACUAUAAAACAAGUAGCUUACAACAACUUUCCCAAUGUAGUCCUCCACUAGAGUAGCAUUAUUUUUGUAUUCCUUGAAGUGAGGAUGAACCGGCAGAUGGCUUCUUGCAACGAGUCCACACUCAGAAGCAAACUUUGCUGCCUGUAGAGGCUUCUCUGGAUGCUUCAUCCCUUCGGCAAUUUGGAUAGGCACCUUUGUGCCAAGCGACUUGGUGAUUCUCUCUAGCCCUUUGCCCUUUCUAAGUCUACGCUUGUUAGUCAUUGCAUCUGAAAAUGAAAUUGAACUCGUAAAUUAGAACAAAAAUCGAAAAAUGCAGGAAUGGUUCUGCUAAACAGGUAAGCAUACAUGAUCACUUCCAUUUGCAAAAUGCACUAGUAAAAGAGAAGGUGAACUUGCAUUGUUGAAGCACAAGCUUUUGUUCUUCUUCACUGACGACAUCAUUCCUGUCAAUAGAAGGUGCACCACGCCUGAGGCGUAGGCAGACAGUGUCGCUUUCAUCCAUGCACAUAAUGGUUUCUUCAUCCAUGGGCAGAAACUCGUCACGCAUUUCCACCGAGCUCUCAAAGUCCAUGCCCAACGGACUUUCCUGAUGGUCCGUCGCAGCCACCAUAGUUGCUUUCUGCCUUGUGACUCUAUCAGGUUCAUCAUGUUCCAGGAUCCUCUUUGUUUGUCCUAGAGGUGGUGCCAUCACCCUUCCUGGAGGCAUUGCAGCAGAUGCUUCUGAGCUCUUCCUCUUCUUGCUGGAUGUCUUCUUAACACCAGGCCUCUUCGUUCUAGAUUCCUUCAGUGCCUUGUAUAAAUAGCACCAAAAAAAACAUUAGAUCACAAGAUAAAUAUGUGAGCACAAGGAAACAGAGAGCAUACAAGAACCAGAACCCUCCAAGCAAGACAGAGUUUGCACCUUAAUAGUCUUGUGCACUACAACUUCAUCCUCCUUAGGAUUGUACUCUGGGUCAUCAUUGAUAACUCCACUACCUUCUUGAACCUCAUUAGUUCUACCUUCUUGUACAUCAUUUGUUUUCCUAAUCAUUGAUGCUAUUGCACCAAUGCCAAGGGACUGAAAUAUCCGAUUGUUCCUCAUCAUAUUUCUAGCCCUAACCUUCUCGUACUCGGUGAGAGGAUGCUCAUCUUUGCAAGGCAAAGGAAACAUAAUUAUUAGGUUAAUUGUUGGAAUGCAUGGACAGACAGCCAAACAUAUCUUAUGAUAUUUUAUUAUCAUUUAAUCCUACUUAUUCAGCUAAGGAAGAGUAACAGCACACAGGCACAGCUAAGCCAGCUAAUUCAGAUUACAGCAAUACAUUUGCAUAAUAAAAUCUCACAAUAUUUUACAUCACCAGCCUCCAAGAUAUUUUACUUAGCAUAUUAAGACACAUUUUAUAAAUCUGAUAGUAUAACCACAAGGAGCAACUUGCAUACCAAUGGUUGACCUCGGGUUUGACCUUGUCAUCCUUGUCAUGGAUGAUCUUGAGGUGGUGCUUGCAAAAUAGAAUAAACAACAACCAGAUACAACAGGGAUAAAGUAAAAUGAUGUACUUAUAUCAAUAAAGGAAAGCAUUUAGACGAUCAUGCACAUACAUGUAAUACAUGUGAAGCAAACUUGUUGGAUCAACAAUAUAGAGAUGUAGUUAAUGCAUCAGUACUAAUACAUGUAAAACACUUGGACAAGCAUGCACAUACACGUGUAGCAAUGCACAUACAGUUAAUGCAUCAGUACUAAACUGACAGUUGAAGCAAGCAACUAAACUGAAGCACUUGGACCAGCAUGCACAUACAAGUGUAGGAAUGCAUCAGUAUUAAUACAUGUGAAACAGGAGGGAGUAAUGUACUAAACUGAUAGUUGAAGAAAACUAUAUAUGUGAAGCAAUGCAUUAACUAUUUACAACAAUUACUUUUAUGUUUUAACUUGCAAUUUUAUCCAUGUACAUGCAAUCAUCUAUAAGCAAAGUAAUUACUCAACUGUAUUCCCAAAUGGAGGCAAACAUAUGCAUUCAUAGCAAUUGGUUGCCCAACAUUUGGUGAAUGAAGAAGCAAGCAGUGUGCAAGCAAGCAAGCAAAGUGCAUAAGUGCUACUAAUACAAGCAAGCAAGCAAAAGAUGUGCUACUGAUAGAAAUAAGCAUAGUUCUACUGAUAGAAACAAGCAAGCAAGGAAGAAAAUUGAAGAGGAGCAAGAAAGCAAGUACUGUUGAUAGAAACCCUAGUAGCUUCUUCUCCAAGUGCUACUCAUAUAAGCAAGUAUUGUUGAUGAAAACUCUAAUUAACCAUGUAUGCUAGCAAGCAAGCAAGCCAUAGUAAUCAAGCAACAUGAACAUGAACCCUAACCACAUGAAGCAGACUACCAGAGGGGGAUAGAACAAACCACCAGGAAUAAAUCCCAUGAACAUGAACAAGAACCUCCAGGAGCUCCUAGAUUGACUGAAUCCUAAACCUAGAUCGACCAGGUGGGGGAUGUACCCUCAUUUGUUACCCAUCACAAAUGCAGGACCCCAUGAACCCCAUGAACCCUAACCCCACGAACCCCAUGAAAUCUUAACCCCGUGAAACCCAUGCAUAAAGUACACAAGCAAGCAAAGUGCUAGUAGUACUGCUGAUGCAAUUCCUAACCUUAUGUAUGCUAGCAAGCAACUAAAUUGAAGAUUAGCAGCAAGCAAGCAAUGCACAUACAAGUGUAGCAAUGCAUCAUUAUUAAUACAUGUGAAACAGGAGGUAGUAAUGUACUAAACUGAUAGUUGAAGAAAACUAUAUAUGUGAAGCAAUGCAUUAACUAUUUACAACAAUUACUUUUAUGUUUUAACUUGCAAUUUUAUCCAUGUACCUGCAAUCAUCUAUAAGCAAAGUAUUUACUCAACUGUAUUCCCUAAUGGAGGCAAACAUAUGAAUUAAUAGCGACUGGUUGCCCAACAUCAUUCACUUAAAUCACUGCUCCAGUAAGACACACUAACAAGAAAUGCACAUACAAGAGUAGCAAAGCACAGCAGAAUUAAUCGCAUGCUUCAGGAAGAUAAAUGUUCUUCCAUCAUCAAAACAACAUACAGAAUGUAUUAUGCCAUGUUAUUUCAAAUGAACAACAAAUUAUGUUCAGAAAAUAUUAAAACAAGCCACCUAUAUCCAGACUCAUCACUACUACUCAAGUCAAGUCAAGCCAAGCCAAUCCAAACACCAGCAGAAGCUCAAGCUGACUGUUUCCAAAGAAAAACACAAGCUCAAGCUCUAAGUAGUAUUAACUUUGAAGACACCAUAAUAGUUGUAAUAAAUAGAUGGGUAUCUGGCCUUGCAGGGAAAUACCAUCACCAGUAGAAGAAGCAUACAACUCAGCCACAUCCACGGCCUAAUGCGACUCGCUUCUCUACGCACAUCAAAACCACGGUAAAUUAAAACCGCCAACCCUAAACCCUUAUUUACCCCAUCAACACUAACCCCACUACAACUGACAUAUUACGCUGCAGCAUGAACCCUAACCCUAGCCCCAUGAACCCUAGAAGAACACAUGAGGGGGAUCUAGCCCAGCAUGAACCCUAAAAGAACACAUGAGGGGGAACCUAUGAACAUCGACGGGAGAUGGGACGAGGGGAUGGGUCGAGGGGAACCCAUUAGGGGUACCUGUCGUCGUCGACAAUUGAUUAUGUAGAUUGAUAACCCACAAGUGUAGGGGAUCGCAACAGUUUUCGAGGGUAGAGUAUUCGACCCAAAUUUAUUGAUUCGCUCACAAGGGGAAGCAAAAGAAUAUUCUCAAGUGUUAGCAGCUGAGUUUAUCAGAUUCAACCACACCUGAAAGAUUAGUGUGUGCAAGCAAAGUAUCAGUAGCAAAGUAGUAUGAUAGCAACGGUGCUAGAAAUGAUCUGUUGACGGCAGACUAUUCCUAACAGUUGUAUCAAUGGUGCCAGUAAGUUGCCCGUGGAUGGAGAACUAUUCUUCCCCGACAACGUUGACGAAAAAGGAUCUUGCAACAAGGAACAGCGAAGUAGCAAGGAACAACAGUAGUAGUAGCAGCAGAGUAACAGCAAUAGCAAUAGUAGUAGCAAAGUGACAGCAGCAAAGUGGCCCAAUACCUUUGUAGCAAGGGACAAGCUUGGACAAAGUAACGUAACGAGGACCCGUAGUAAAAGACUCGUAGGCAUUGGAUCAGUGAUGGAUGAGUAUGACGGAUGUGAUUCAUCAUGUAACAUCUAUAACACGGAGAGAUAAGUAACUAGCUCCCGUUCGUCAAUCUAAUUUAGGCAUGUAUUCCGUAUGUAGUCAUACGUGCUUAGGGAAAAGAACUUGCAUGACAUCUAUUGUCCAUCCAUCCCGUGGCAGCGGGGUCCUAAUGGAAACUACGGGAUAUUAAAGUUAUCCUUUUAAUAAAGAACCGGACCAACGCAUUAACACGUGGUGAAUACAUGAACUCCUCAUACUAUGGUCAUCUCCGGGAGUGGUUCCGGCUAUUGUCACUCCGGGGUUGCCGGGUCAUAACACAUAGUAGGUGACUACAACAUGCAAGAUAGGAUCUAAAACACAAAUAUAUUGGCGACAACAUAAAAGGUUUAGAUCUGAAAUCAUGGCACUCGGACCCUAGUGACAAGCAUUAAGCAUAGCCAAGUAGUAGCAACAUUAAUCUAGAACAUAGUGGAUACUAGGGAUCAAUCCCCGUUAAAAACUAACUCGAUUACAUGAUAGAUCUCAUCCAACUCAUCACCAUCCAGCAAGCCUACGAUGAGAUUACUCACAAACGAUGAAGAGCAUCAUGGAAUUAUUGAUGGAGAAAGGUUGAUGAUGACGAUGGCGAUGAUUUCCCCUCUCCGGAGCCCAAAACGGACUCCAGAUCUGCCCUCCAGAUGAAGAACAGGAUGUGGCGGCACCUCCGUAUCGCAAAACGCGAUGAAACCUUCUCUCUGAUUUUUUUUUCCGGGCGAGACGGAAGAUAUAGAGCUGAGUUUGGGGGCGGUGGAGCCACAUGGGCACCAGAAGCCCUCACGGCGCGGACAGGGGGGUGGCCGCGGGCUGUUGGCGUGGGGCCGACUGGUCCACCUCCUCCGGUGGAUCUUUGCGCAGGUAUUUUUCUUUUAUUCCAGAAAAAAUCUCCGUAAAUUUGCAAGACAUUCCGAGAACUUUUAUUUCUGCACAAAAACAACACCAUGGCAAUUCUGCUCAAAACAGCGUUAGUCCGGGUUAGUUCCAUUCAAAUCAUGCAAAUUAGAGUCCAAAACAAGGGCAAAAGAGUUCGGAAAAGUAGAUACGACGGAGACGUAUCAACUCCCCCAAGCUUAAAGCCUUGCUUGUCCUCAAGCAAUUCAGUUGACAAACUGAAAGAGACAAAAUAAAAACUUUGACAAACUCUGUUUGAUCUUGUUGUUGCAACUAUGUCUAAGUCACAACCAGAAUUUCAGCAAGAUCACAAGCAAACCACAAAAGCAAAUGACAUCUAGGUCUCACAGUAAACUCAUAUCAAUGGCAUAAUCAACUAGCGAGCAAAUAAUAAUAAGUAUCAAACGUCAACACUUCAAUCAAAACAACAUGAAGUAGUACGAACAGAUGGUAUCUCGCUAGCUCUUUCUGAGACCGCAAAACAUAAAUGCAGAGCACCUUCAAAGACCAAGGGCUGACUAAACAUUGUAAUUCAAGGCAAUGAAGAUCCAGUCACAGUCAUACUCAACACAGUUAAAAGCAAAGCAUAAAAAUGACAGAGGUGUUCUCUAAUUGGUGCUUUUGUAAGAGGAGGAUGACUCAACAGGAACAUAAAUAGACAGGCCCUUCGCAGAGGGAAGCAUUGAUUUGCAGACAAGCCAGAGCUCAAGCUCUGAAAACAGAGAUAAUAAUUUUGGGUGGCUUGCUUUCAUUGUCAACGCAAUGACUAAGAGUUCUCAACAUCUUCCAUGCUACACAUGCUAUAGGCGGUUCCCAAACAGAAAAGUAAAGUUUUGACUCACCCACCACAAAUCAAUCACACUCCAGGGCUAGCCGAAUCCUCGGGUACCGUCCAUACCAACAUCAAUCCUGGGGGAGUUUUGUUUGCAAUUACCUUUUUGAUUUGAGCAUGGAACUGGGAAUUCCAAUUACCGGCCCCUUUCUCGUGAAUGAUAGUGAAUAAACACAUAUCGAUGAUAACACGCCUAGCAUGGAAGAUACAAAUAGCCCCCUGUCACCACAUGAGCGGUUCGGGCAUGCAAAACAGAUUAUUUCUUGAAGGUUUAGAGAGUGGCACAUGCAAAUUUACUUGUAACGGCAGAUAGAUACCACACAUAGGUAGGUAUGGUGGACUCAUAUGGCACAACUUUGGGUUUACGGAGGUGGAUGCACAAGCAGUAUUCCCGCUUAGUACAAGUGAAGGCUAGCAAAAGACUGGGAAGCGACCAACUAGAGAGCGACAACAGUCAUCAAAAUGCAUUGAGAUUAACUAUCAUUGAGUGCAAGCAUGAGUAGGACAUAAAUCACCAUGAACAUGAACAUCAUGGAGGCUAUGUUGAUUUUGUUUCGACUACAUGCGUGAACAUGCGCCAAGUCAAGCCACUUGAAACAUUCAAAGGAGGAUACCAUCCUAUCAUACUACAUCAUAGUCAUCUCAACAUUCAUGUUGGCAACCAAGGCAAACCAUUAUAAGCUCCCAGCUAAGUAAGCAUGGCAUAAGAAACUAUGAUCUCUAAGUUGUCAUUGGAAACAUGUUUCCCUCACAAUAAAGCUGAAUCAGGCAUGAUGAGCUAGUCAUUUAUACAAAAAAAAAUAGAUCGAGUUCAUACCAGCUUUUCCAGGCUCAGUCACUUCAUCAUAUAUCAUCAUUAUUGCCUUUCACUUGCACGACCGAACGAUGUGAACAAUAGUAAGAGUGCUCGUGCAUUGGACUAAAGCUGGAAUCUGCAGGCAAACACAAAGGAGAAGACAAAGUAAUAUGGCUCUUUGAAAGCUAAACAGGUAUGCAUGCAAGAGCCACUAAACAUUGUAACCAAUAUCUUCUACCUUCACCCAAAGAAAAAGAAAACUAUCUACACGGGAAAGCUCCCAACAAGCAAAAGAGGAAAAAGAAAAUCCUUUUGGGUUUUCUCAAACUAGACAGACACACGAAAAGAAAACGAGAAAAAGAAAAUAAACUAGCAUGGAUGAUACAGUGGCAAAGUGUGAACACCAGCUAACAAAGUGAAAGCAUAAGAAAGAAUGUAAUGUCGGUUAGAACACGUACUCCCCCAAGCUUAGGCUUUUGGCCUAAGUUGGUAUACUCCCAAGGAUGGUCCUCGCGAAACCCAAAAUCAUAAUGGGGGCUAUACGGGAGUGCUGCAACCACUGCCUGAAUAGCUGCCUCGCGGAGACGAGCAACCUUUGCCUCCCUCUCAUACUCCUCUACCUCUCCUCUAGUUAUGUAAUAUCUCCAUUUUACCUGAAAGUCAAAGAAGGCAGGAGCAGGAAGGGUAAUAUGGAAAACACGCUGUCGGUUAAAUAUCAACCGGUAUAGGAGGGAUUCGUCAUCCCUCUCAAGGAACUGGUAGCGUGUCAAAGUGACGCGGUCAAGGAAAGCUGUAUGGAGCGGGGGAUCUCCUUCGCGGAUGGGUACUCCAAGAAAAUUUGCUAUGCGAGUGGCAUAGAUCCCACCAAAUAAAUCCCCUUCAAUAGCAUUCUUAUUCAGCCUGCUUGCUAUAAUAACUCCCAUGUUGAAGCUUUUGUCACCCGUCACUGCGCUCUUAAGGAUACUUAGGUCGGGUGCGUAGAGGUGACAAUGUUCAAUCUUGCCAUUAAUGCAUCUGUCUAUGAAGAGGGCAAAGUAAUGCAAGGCAGGAAAAUGAAUACUCCCCAUGGUAGCUUGUGUAAUAUCUCUAGUUUCUCCAACCGUAAUACCAGAGCAAAAUUCUCUUACCAAAGGUAUAGGAGGAUCAUUGAGGCUACCCCAAGUAGGUAUUUUGCAAAUUCUAUUGAAAUCCUCUAAAUCCAUGGUGUACGAUUUAUCCUAGAGAUCAAAUAGUAACGAUGGCUCACGGCCAGUUGAAAAUUUGAAUCUACGAACAAAAGAGGCAGUGAGAGCAACAUAUUGUUCACAUUUAUCGGAGAUGAAUUCUUCGAGUCCGACAUUGUGAACAAGCGCAUCAAACUCAUCUUUGUAACCUGCCUCAAUCAUAAAUUCAUCAGAAGGCCAUUCACAUGGUUGUACCUGCGCGUCCCUAGGUUGGUAAGGAUCAGGCUCCCGAAUCGCAAAUGGGGACCUCUCUUGCUUGAGGAACCACCAUGAAAGUUUCUCCUGAACAUCUUCCUUUUCUGAAAUUUUCAGUGACCCAAAGGAAAAGUGAACAAGGCUCAACUAAACUAGUAGCAACUACUCCAACAAGUGCCUAGAGGCCAUAUUACGCAUCAAAACUACUUGGGACCAGCUAAAAUCAGCAUGCAAAGGUCAAGAACAUGGUCACCAAGGCAGCAAAAAUACACGGAGUAUAAGGCACUAGAGCAAAAACUAAUUGGACCAAUGGAGGAGUCACUUACCAAGGAGUAAUUUCACCCAAAACAGUUCGGAGAACGGUGAUUUGAGCAAAGUGAUCGAAAAUCCGAGCAAGAGGAGCAAGAACACGGGUUUGAGCUGCGGAACAAUUUUUUCUGGAGGUAGGAGAAGGAGAUAAGAGCAAAAAUGAGUGGAGGGGGUGCCUGUGUGGCCCACAAGCCUGGGUGGCAUGGCCAGGGGAGGUGCCCCCUCCCCAAGGGCUUGUGGCCCACUGGUGCAGCCCCCAGACAAGCUCUUUGUCUCAGAAUUUUUCAAAAAUUCCAGAAAAAAUCAUACUUGAUUUUCAGGACGUUCGGAAAACUUUUAUUUUCAGGGUACUUUUCUACCGGUCGCUAAAACAGAAAACAGGGAAAACUAAACUAAAUCUAUCAUUUUUCUUCUAAGCAACCUAAAGUGAAAGCUUGGAACAGAGGUUUGUGACUCCUCGAUUCAUCCAUCUCAUGGUCAUCGAAAGAAAUCCGUCAAUGGGGUUGAUCAAGUCUCCUCGACAAACCUUUUUGAAUUGCAAAAGAGAACGGAGAAUUUUUGAUUAGUCACUAGGUCACCUCAAUGGGGAAGUGUAUCUCCCCAACCAGCAAGUCAUACUUCAUCUUGACAUGAGGAAUAGGGCAUUCAAAGCUCCCAAUAAGAAUCGGUGAAGUUUUUUCGAUAGCACUGAUGCAAUGUACUCGAUAUUGUUUCUUUGGAAAGUGCACUGUAUGCUCAUUACCGUUGACAUGGAAAGUGACAUUGCCUUUGUUGCAAUCUAUAACAACCACUGCAGUGUUUAAAAAGGGUCUUCCGAGGAUGACAACCAUGGAAUCGUCCUCGGGAAUAUCCAAGAUAACAAAGUCUGUUAAGAUAGUGACGUUAGCAACCACAACAGGCACAUCCUCACAAAUGCCGAUAGGGAAAGCAGUUGAUUUGCCGGCCAUUUGCAGAGAGAUUUCAGUGGGUGUCAACUUAUCCAAUUCAAGUCUAUGAUAAAGAGAGACAAGCAUAACAAUAACACCGGCUCCAAGAUCGCAUAAAGCAGUUCUAAUGUAGUUGCCUUUAAUGGAGCAAGGUAUAGUGGGCAUGCCGGGAUCACCUAGUUUCUUGGGAGUUCCACCCUUGAAGGUAUAGUUAGCGAGCAUGGUGGAAAUCUCAACCCCAGGUAUCCUCCUCUUAUUAGUCACAAUAUCUUUCAUGUACUUAGCAUACGGAGACAUCUUGAGCAUAUCCGUCAAACGCAUUUGCACAAAGACAGGUCUGAUCAUCUCAACGAAUCGCUCAAAAUCCUCAUCAUCCUUUUUCUUGGAUGGUUUGGGAGGAAAGGGCAUAGGUUUCUAAACCCGUGCUUCCUAGCAGCGAAGUCAUUCUUAUCGUAUCUUCUAGUCUUAGGCUGUGGGUUAUCAAGAUCAACAGGUUCGAUCUCCACAUCCUUAUCAUUGCUAGGUUUAGCAUCUGCAUGAACAUCACUAUUGAUAUUAUCAUUAGGCUCAUGUUCCUCACCAGAUUUUGUUUCAGCAUCAUAGACAGAGACAUCGUUUGGACUCUCAGGUGUAGCAGCAACAGGGUUGCUAGCGUGCAGGUUCCUAUCAUCUUUCUUCUUCUUUCUAGGAUGACUAGGUGAAUCAGUGCUAACUCCUUGAGAAUCUUGUUCAAUUCUCCUCGGAUGACCCUCAGGAUAUAGAGGUUGCUGGGUCAUUCUACCGUCUCUAGUGACGACCCUGACAGAAUUGUCAUUCAAGUCAUUGAGCAAGUCAUUUUGAGAUUUAAGUACUUGUUCUACCUGAGUAGUAACCAUAGAGGCAUGUUUACUCAGAAGCUUAAGAUCAUUGACGUUUCUGUCCACACAAGCACUUAAAUGACUAAGCAUACGAGCAUUCUGUUCCAACUGUCUGCUAACAUAAUAAUUGAAACUUUGUUGUUUGGCAACGAAGUUAUAAAAUUCAUCCAUGCAUAGGCUAGCAAGUUUAUCAAAAGGAAUAUCACUCUCAUCAAACCUACACAGAGAAUUUACUUCUACUACCUGUAUAGGGUUAUCGAGACCAUGGAUCUCUUCGAUAGGUGGUAGAUUUUUGACAUCUUCAGAUUUUAAUGCCUUUCUCUCGCAUAGGUUUCUUGGCUUCUUGCAUAUCUUCCGGACUAAGGAAUAGAAUACCUCUUUUCUUCGGAGUUGGCUUAGGAGGUGGUUCGAGAAUGGUCCAAGCAUUCUCAUUGCACAAGAUGUUAUUCAAUAGAAUCUCAGCUUGUUCUACGGUUCGUUCCCUAAAGACACUACCGCACAACUAUCUAAGUGGUCUUUAGAAGCAUCAGUAAGUCCAUCAUAGAAUAUAUCAAGUAUUUCGUUCUUCUCAAGAGGGUCAUCACGCAAAGCAUUCAGUAGCUGGAUGAGCCUCCCCCAAGCUUGUGGGAGACUCUCUUCUUCAGCAUAAGCAAAGUUGUAUAUUUCCUACAAGGCAGCUUGCUUCAUAUGGGCAGGGAAAUAUUUCUCGGAGAAGUAGUAGACCAUAUCCUAGGGGCUACGCACACAACCAGGAGCAAGAGAAGUGAACCAGGUCUUAGCAUCAUCCUUUAGCGAGAAAGGAAACAGCUUGAUGAUAUAGUAGUGGCGGAUCUUUUCCUCACUAGUGAAUAGGGUGGCUAUAUCGUGCAGUUUGAUAAGAUGGGCUACAACCAUUCCAGACUCAUAACCGUGAAAAGGAUCAGAUUCUACUAGAGUGAUUAACUCAUGGUCGACAGAGAAUUCAUAAUCCUUAUCGGUCACAAAGAUAGGCGAAGUAGCAAACUUUGGGUCGUAUUUCAUCCUAGCGUUCAGAGAUUUUUCUUUCCACAUGUGCAGUAAUUUCUCAACAUCAUAGCUAUCCUUACACGCAAGGAAAUCCUCAGCUAUCUCUCCCUCCAUAACAUAGCGCGUAUCAGGCAUAACAGGCAAUUCAGGCAUAGUAGCAAAUUCUACUUUAAUAGUAUCAACAGUUUCAGAAAUAUCAUCACGUCUAGUAGCAAUUCUAGCAAUAUGUGCAUCAAGGGCACCUAGUGGCAAAGCAGUAUCAAGCAUAGCAUCAUCAGGCAUAGUAUCAAUCAUAGCAUCAUCAGGCAUAGUAUCAAGCAUAGCAUCAUCAUGAGCAUCAUGGGCAGCAGAAGUAGCAUCAUCAAGCAUAGGCGACAUAUCAAGAUUUCUAGCAGGAGGCGAAGUUGCAAACUUACUCAUAACUGAAGGUGAAUUAAGUGCAGAGCUAGAUGCCAGUUCCUUACCUCUCCUCGUAGUGGAAGGCAAUAUUUUAGUUCUUGGAUCUUUCGUAUUCCUCAUAGUGACCAGCAGACGAAAAUCCCAAGUGACUCAGAGAAUAUAGUUGUGCCUCCCCGGCAACGGCGCCAAAAAAGUGUCUUGAUAACCCACAAGUGUAGGGGAUCGCAACAGUUUUCGAGGGUAGAGUAUUCGACCCAAAUUUAUUGAUUCUCUCACAAGGGGAAGCUAAAGAAUAUUCUCAAGUAUUAGCAGCUGAGUUUAUCAGAUUCAACCACACCUGAAAGAUUAGUGUCUGCAAGCAAAGUAUUAGUAGAAAAGUAGUAUGAUAGCAACGGUGGCAGAAACGAUCUGUUGAUGGUAUACUAUUCCUAACUGUUGUAUCAAUGGUGCGAGUAAAUUGCCCAUGGACGGAGAAAUAUUCCUCCCCGACAACGUUGACGAAAAAGGAUCUGGCAACAAGUAAUAGUGAAGUAGCAAGGAACAACAGUAGGAGCAGCAGCAGAGUAACAGCAGUAGCAACAGUAGUAGCAAAGUGACAGCAGCAAAGUGGCCGAAUCCCUUUUGUAGCAAGGGACAAGCCUGGACAAAGUAACAUAGCGAGGACCAGUAGUAAAAGACUCGUAGGCAGUGGAUCGGUGAUGGAUGAGUAUGACGGAUGUGAUUCAUCAUGUAACAGCUAUAACACAGAGAGAUAAGUAACUAGCUCCCAUUCGUCAUUCUAAUGUAGGCAUGUAUUCCGUAUGUAGUCAUACGUGCUUAGGGAAAAGAACUUGCAUGACAUCUAUUGUCCAUCCCUCCCGUGGCAGCGGGGUCCUAAUGGAAACUACGGGAUAUUAAGGUUCUCCUUUUAAUAAAGAACCAGACCAACGCAUUGACACGCGGUGAAUACAUGAACUCCUCAUACUAUGGUCAUCUUCGGGAGUGGUUCCGGCUAUUGUCACUCCGGGGUUGCCGGGUCAUAACACAUAGUAGGUGACUACAACUUGCAAGAUAGGAUCUAAAACACACAUAUAUUGGCGACAACAUAAUAGGUUCAGAUCUGAAAUCAUGGCACUUGGGCCCUAGUGACAAGCAUUAAGCAUAGCCAAGUAGUAGCAACAUCAAUCUAGAACAUAGUGGAUACUAUGGAUCAAUCCCCGUCAAAAACUAACUCGAUUACAUGAUAGAUCUCAUCCAACUCAUCACCGUCCAGCAAGCCUACGAUGAGAUUACUCACGAAUGAUGAAGAGCAUCAUGGAAUUGUCGAUGGAGAAAGGUUGAUGAUCACGAUGGCAACGAUUUCCCCUCUCCGGAUCCCAAAACGGACUCCAGAUCUGCCCUCCAUAUGAAGAACAGGAUGUGGCGGCGCCUCCGUAUCGCAAAACAUGAUGAAACCUUCUCUCUCAUUUUUUUCCGGGCGAGACGGAAGAUAUAGAGCUGAGUUUGGGGGCGGUGGAGCCACGUGGGCCCCACAAGCCCUCACGACGCGGCCAGGUGGGGUGGUCGCGGCCUGUGGGCUUGUGGCCCACUGGUCCACCUCCUCUAGUGGAUCUUUGCGCACGUAUUUUUCUUUUAUUCCAGAAAAAAUCUCCGUAAAUUUUCAGGACAUUCCGAGAACUUCUAGUUCUGCACAAAAACAACACCAUGGCAAUUCUGCUGAAAACAACAUUAGUUCGGGUUAGUUGCAUUCAAAUCAUGCAAAUUACAGUCAAAAACAAGGGCAAAAGAGAUUGGAAAAGUAGAUACGACGGAGACGUAUCAUAGAUGUACCCGAUGUCGUCUUCGUCGUCGAUGUAGUCGUAGCCGUCGUCGAUGUAGUCGUAGCCGCCGUCGAUGUAGUCGUAUCCGUUGACGCCGAUGUAGAUGAAGCCGUCGUCGUUGAUGUAGAUGUAGCCGUCGACAUCAUCGAUGUAGUCGUCGUCGGGGAGAGGGGAGAGGGCGGCGCGGAGCAAGGGAGGGGCGGCGGGGCAGCGCGGAGCAGGGGAGGGGCGGCAUGGAGUUAGGGUUAGGAGCACGGGAGGGAUGGCGGAGUGCGGAGUGGAAUGGAUCCUGCAUGGGUAGUGGGGAGUGGAAUGGAGACGGGAGUGGUGGGUCCCGCGUGGUAGUGGGAGAGGGAGUGGAGGGAAAUUUUGGUGGGGUGAGAGGGAAAUGUUGGUGGGGUGAGAGGGAAAUUUUGGUUGGGUGGGAGGGAAAUUUUUACUAGUUUUUUAGGGUUUGGAGGCAGAAUUUUUGUUUUGUUUUAGACUUAGAUUUCAAAAUUGUCUAAAUAACAAAUCAAUAGGGAGAAGAAGAAUAGUUUAGGGAAUAAACGUGUCUUUCUUGUUUAGAUGAAUAAAUGUUGUAAACUACCAGAUAAUGUCUUAUUAAAUUCCGAUGACCAUGUGUCUUUCUUGUGGAAAUCACUAUACUUUGCUCACGCCAAAAGAAAUAAUACUGCUCAUCCCACUAACAGAGAAGCAAAGGACACAUUGGCAAAUUAACAAUCAAUAGGUAGAAGAAAAACAGUUUAGGGAAUUCAGGGAGAGAGACAACAUGAGAAAAAUGAAUGCAUCUGAAUGAGCCCGAAAAGAAGAUAUCUCUCAUUAGCUGACAACCAAUUGUCAAGACAGAGCUUAGUAACAUCAGCAGAGUAGCUUUGUUCGUCCUUUUGAACACAAGCUAGCAUUCCCCUUCAAAAUAAAUAAGUGAAGCAACCGAAGAGAAAGAGAGAAUGAUCAGAACGACGGGUAUGACCAUAUGAAAAUGCGGUCAGAACGACGGGUAUCACCGUUCCUAGAUAGUGGCUGAAUCAUGGGAAACUUUUGGUGUUUCUAUGAUGAAAUAGAUAAUUUUGUAUCUAAAAAUGAUUUUUGGAAAAAAUAAAGAGCAAACUAUAAGGCAGCCGCACUUGAAAUUUGACCCGCUUCCAGCUUAUUCGACAUAGAUUUGUCAUUUUCACGAGAGAUGGAUAAAAGCUUUUGAAACCCAACCAUUUUGUAAAUUGUACUUUAAAUAUGGCCUAGUAUAUUAGAAAAAUUAUUUGGACCAAUUUUGAAACAAAUAUAUGGUAGGUCCUUCACAAAAAAACCUCAUUUUGGGCACUUGAAAAUGAAAAAUGAAUUUUCCAAACAAGGAAGAUGAAAACUUCCUUAAUCAACAUUGUUUGUCAUUUCAACAUGCACCCUUCUACAAAAUAUGAGACCAUUUCAACAAACUAUGCCAUGAAUGUGGCCAUGAGAUUGAUCAUGUGGCUUGAAAGCCAUGAAUCUUCAGACAUGAUAGCUUAUUUCUGUGAAUAGUUUAUAAAAAUAAUUGUCAUAUUACAAGGCUAUUAUUUUUUCUCGUAAAUUUAUCACAUAUGAUGACACAAUGCGAAGGUUUUCCAAUUUUUUGAUUUGUUUUGAAUAUUUCAUGCCCGUUUGAAAAUGCGGUCAGAACGACGGGUAUGACCGUUCCUAGACAGUGGUUGAAUCUUGGGAAACUUUUGGUGUUUCUACGAUGAAAUAGAUACUUUCGUAUCUAAAAAUGAUUUUUGGAAAAAAUAAAGAGCAAACUAUAAGGCACGUGCAGUUCAAAUUUGACCCGCUUCCAGCUGAUUCGACAUAGAUUUGUCUUUUUCAUGAGAGGCUUUUGACACCCAACCAUUUUGUCAAUUGUACAUUAAAUAUGUCCUAGUAUGUUAGAAAAUGAUUUGGACCAAUUUUGAAACAAAUAUAUGGUCGGUCCUUCGCAAAAAAACUGAUUUUGGGCACUUGAAAAUGACAAAUGAAUUUUUCAUACAAGGAAGAUGAAAACUUCCUUAAUCAACAUUUUUUGUCAUUCCAACAUGCACCCUUCUGCAAAAUAUGAGACCAUUUCAACAAACUAUGCCAUGAAUGUGGCCAUGAGAUUGAUCAUGUGGCUUGAAAGCCAUGAAUCUUUAGACAUGACAACUCAUUUUUGUGAACACUUUUUAAAAAUUAUUGUCGUAUUACAAGGCUAUUAUUUUUCGUGGUAAAUUUAUCACCUAUGAAGACACAAUGCGAAGGUUUUCCAAUUUUUUUUUUUUUAAUUUUUCAUGCCCGUUUGAAAAUGCGGCCAGACCGACGGGUAUGACCAUUCCUAGAUAGUUGUUGAAUCUUGGGAAACUUUUUGCGUUUCUAUGAUGAAAUAGAUACUUUUGUAUCUAAAAAUGAUUUUUGGAAAAAAUAAAGAGCAAACUAUAAGGCAGCCGCAGUUCAACUUUGACCUGCUUCCAACUGAUUCGACAUAGACUUGUCUUUUUCAUGAGAGAUGGAUAAAAGCUUUUGACACCCAACCAUUUUUCAAUUGUACAUUAAAUAUGUCCUAGUAUGUUAGAAAAAUGAUUUUGGACCAAUUUUGACACAAAUAUAUGGUAGGUCCUUCACAAAAAAACUCAUUUUGGGCAAUUGAAAAAUGAAAAAUGAAAUUUUCAUACGAGGAAGAUGAAAACUUCCUUAAUCAACAUUGUUUUCCAUUCCAACAUCCACCCUUGUGCAAAAUAUGAGACCAUUUCAACAAACUAUGCCAUGAAUGUGGCCAUGAGAUUGAUCAUGUGGCUUGAAAGCCAUGAAUCUUCACACAUGACAGCUCUUUUCUGUGAACACUUUUUAGAAAUAAUUGUCGUAUUACAAGGCUAUUAUUUUUCCUUGUAAAUUUAUCACAUAUGAUGACACAAUGCGAGGAUUUUCCAAUUUUUUGUUUUUUUUGAAUUUUUCGUGCCCGUUUGAAGAUGCGGUCACAACGACGGGCAUGACCGUUCCUAGAUAGUGGUUGAAUCUUGGGAAACUUUUGGUGUUUCUAUGAUGAAAUAGAUACUUUUGUAUCUAAAAAAGUUUUUGGAAAAUAUAAAGAGCAAACUAUAAGGCACCCACAGUUCAAAUUUGACCCGCUUCCAAGUGAUUCGACAUAGAUUUGUCUUUUUCACGAGAGAUGGAUAAAAGCUUUUGACACCCAACCAUUUUGUCAAUUGAACAUUAAAUAUGGCCUAGUAUGUUAGAAAAAUGAUUUGGACCAAUUGUGAAACAAAUAUAUGGUAGGUCCUUAAAAAAAACUCAUUUUGGGCACUUGCAAAAUGAAAAAUGAAUUUUUCAUACAAGGAAGAUGAAAACUUCCUUAAUCAACAUUUUUUUUCAUUCCAACAUGCACCCUUCUGCAAAAUAUGAGACCAUUUCAACAAACUAUGCCAUGAAUGAGGCCAUGAGAAUCAUCAUGUGGCUUGAAAGCCAUGAAUCUUCACACAUCACAACUCAUUUUCUGUGAACACUUUUUAAAAAUAAUUGUCGUAUUAAAAGGCUACUAUUUUUCCUGGUAAAUUUAUCACAUAUGAUGACACAAUGCGAAGGUUUUCCAAUUUUUAUUUUUUUUUAAUUUUUCAUGCCCGUUUGAAAAUACGGUCAGAACGACGGGUAUGACCGUUCCUAGAUAGUUGUUGAAUCUUGGGAAACUUUUGGUGUUUCUAUGAUCAAAUAGAUACUUUUGUAUCUAAAAAUGAUUUUUGGAAAAAAUAAAGAGAAAACUAUGAGGCAGCCGCAGUUCAAAUUUGACCCGCUUCGAGCUGAUUCGACAUAGAUUUGUCUUUUUCACGAGAGAUGGAUAAAAGCUUUUGACACCCAACCAUUUUGUCAAUUUAACAUUAAAUAUAGCCUAGAAUGUUAGAAAAAUGAUUUGGACCAAUUUUGACACAAAUAUAUGGUAGGUUCUUCACAAAAAAACUCAUUUUGGGCACUUGAAAAUGAAAAAUGGAUUUUUCAUACAAGGAAGAUGAAAACUUCCUUAAUCAACAUUGUUUUCCAUUCCAACAUGCACCCUUCGGCAAAAUAUGAGACCAUUUCAACAAACUAUGCCAUGAAUGUGGCCAUGAGAUUGAUCAUGUGGCUUGAAAGCCAUGAAUCUUCACACAUGACAAGUCAUUUCUGUGAACACUUUUAAAAACAUAAUUGUCGUAUUACAAGGCUAUUAUUUUUCCUGGAAAAUUUAUCACAUAUGAUGACACAAUGCAAAGGCUUUCCAAUUUUUUAUUUGUUUUUUAAUUUUUCAUGCCCAUUUGAAAAUGCGUCCAGAAGGACAGGUAUGACCGUUCCUAGAUAGUGGUUGAAUCUUGGGAAACUUUUGGCCUUUCUAUGAUGAAAUAGAUACUUUUGUAUCUAAAAAUGAUUUUUGGAAAAAAUAAAGAACAAACUAUAAGGCAACCGCAGUUCAACUUUGACCUGCUUCCACCUGAUUCGACAUAGAUUUGUCUUUUUCAUGAGAGAUGGAUAAAAACUUUUGACACCCAACCAUUUUUCAAUUGUACAUUAAAUAUGUCCUACUAUGUUAGAAAAAUGAUUUUGGACCAAUUUUGACACAAAUAUAUGGUAGGUCCUUCACAGAAAAACUCAUUUUGGGCACUUGAAAAAUGAAAAAUGAAUUUUUCAUACAAGGAAGAUGAAAACUUCCUUAAUCAACAUUGUUUGCCAUUCCAACAUGCACCCUUGUGCAGAAUAUGAGACCAUUUCAACAAACUAUGCCAUGAAUGUGGCCAUGAGAUUGAUCAGGUGGCUUGAAAGCCAUGAAUCUUCACACAUGACAGCUCAUUUCUGUGAACACUUUUUAAAAAUAAUUGUCGUAUUACAAGGCUAUUGUUUUUCGUUGUAAAUUUAUCACAUAUGAUGACACAAUGCGAAGGUUUUUUAAUUUUUUGAUUUUUUUGAAUUUUUCAUGCCCGUUUGAAAAUGCGGUGAAAACGACGGGCAUGACCGUUCCUAGAUAGUGGUUAAAUCUUGGGAAACUUUUGGUGUUUCUAUGAUGAAAUAGAUACUUUUAUAUCUAAAAAAGUUUUUGGAAAAUAUAAAGAGCAAACUAUAAGACAGCCGCAGUUCAAAUUUGACCCGCUUCCAAGUGAUUCGACAUAGAUUUGUCUUUUUCACGAGAGAUGGAUAAAAGCUUUUGACACCCAACCAUUUUGUCAAUUGAACAUUAAAUAUGGCCUAGUAUGUUAGAAAAAUGAUUUGGACCAAUUUUGAAACAAAAAUAUGGUACGUCCUUCACAAAAAAAACUCAUUUUGGGCACUUGCAAAAUGGAAAAUGAUUUUUUCAUACAAGGAAAAUGAAAACUUCCUUAAUCAACAUUUUUUGUCAUUCCAACAUGCACCCUUCUGCAAAAUAUGAGACCAUUUCAACAAACUAUGCCAUGAAUGAGGCCAUGAGAUUGAUCAUGUGGCUUGAAAGCCAUGAAUCUUCACACAUGACAGCUCAUUUUCUGUGAACACUUUUUAAAAAUAAUUGUCGUAUUACAAGGCUACUAUUUUUCCUGGUAAAUUUAUCACAUAUGAUGACACAAUGCGAAGGUUUUCCAAAUUUUUUUUUUUGAAUUUUUCAUGCCCGUUUGAAAAUGCGGUAAGAACGACGGGUAUGACCGUUCCUAGAUAGUUGUUGAAUCUUGGGAAACUUUUGGUGUUUCUAUGAUCAAAUAGAUACUUUUGUAUCUAAAAAUGAUUUUUGGAAAAAAUAAAGAGAAAACUAUGAGGCAGCCGCAGUUCAAAUUUGACCCGCUUCGAGCUGAUUCGACAUAGAUUUGUCUUUUUCACGAGAGAUGGAUAAAAGCUUUUGACACCCAACCAUUUUGUCAAUUUAACAUUAAAUAUAGCCUAGUAUGUUAGAAAAAUGAUUUGGACCAAUUUUGACACCAAUAUAUGGUAGGUUCUUAAAAAAAACUCAUUUUGGGCACUUGAAAAAUGAAAAAUGAAUUUUUCAUACAAGGAAGAUGAAAACUUCCAUAAUCAACAUUGUUUUCCAUUCCAACAUUCACCCUUCUUCAAAAUAUGAGACCAUUUCAACAAACUAUGCCACGUAUGUGGCCAUGAGAUUGAUCAUGUGGCUUGAAAGCCAUGAAUCUUCACACAUGACUAGUCAUUUCUGUGAACACUUUUAAAAAAUAACUCUCGUAUCACAAGGCUAUUAUUUUUCCUGGUAAAUUUAUCACAUAUGAUGACACAAUGCAAAGGUUUUCCCAUUUUUUGAUUUUUUUUUAUUUUUUCAUGCCCGUUUGAAAAUGAGGUUAGAACGACGGGUAUGACCGUUCCUAGAUAGUGGUUGAAUCUUGGGAAACUUUUGUUGUUUCCAUGAUGAAAUAGAUACUUUUGUAUCUAAAAAUGAUUUUUGGAAAAAAUAAAGAGCAAACUAUAAGGCAGCCACGGUUAAAUUUGACCCGCUUCGAGCUGAUUCGACAUAGAUUUGUCUUUUUCAAGAGAGAUGUAUAAAUUUUUUCGACACCCAACCAUUUUGUCAAUUGUACAUUAAAUAUGGCCUAGUAUGUUAGAAAAAUGAUUAGGAACAAUUUUGAAACAAAUAUAUGGUAGGUCCUUCACAAAAAAACUCAUUUUGGGCACUUGAAAAAUGAAAAAUGAAUUUUUCAUACAAGGAAGAUGAAAAAUUCCUUAAUCAACAUUGUUUGUCAUUCCAACAUGCACCCUUGUGCAAAAUAUGAGACCANUUCAACAAACUAUGCCAUGAAUGUGGCCAUGAUAUUGAUCAUGCGGCUUGAAAGCCAUGAAUCUUCAAACGUGGCACCUCAUUUCUGUGAACACUUUUUAAAAAUAAUUGUCGUAUUACAAGACUAUUAUUUUUCCUGGUAAAUUUAUCACAUAUGAUGACACAAUGCGAAGGUUUUCCAAUUUUUUGAUUUUUUUUGAAUUUUUCAUGCCCGUUUGAAAAUGCGGUCAGAACGACGGGUAUGACCGUUCCUAGAUAGUGGUUGAAUCUUGGGAAACUUUUGGUGUUUCUAUGAUGAAAUAGAUACUUUUUUAUCUAAAAAAGAUUUUUGGAAAAAAUAAAGAGAAAACUAUACGGUAGUUGCUGUUCAAAUUUGACCCGCUUCGUGCUGAUUCGACAUAGAUUUGUCUUUUUAAUGAGAGAUGGAUAAAAGCUUUUGACACCCAACCAUUUUAUCAAUUGUACAUUAAAUAUGGCCUAGUAUGUUACAAAAAUGAUUUGGACCAAUUUUGAAACAAAUAUAUGGUAGGUCCUUCACAAAAAAACUCAUUUUGGGCACUUGAAAAAUGAAAAAUGAGUUUUUCAUACAAGGAAGAUGAAAACUUCCUUAAUCAACAUUGUUUGUCAUUCCAACAUGCACCCUUGUGCAAAAUAUGAGACCAUUUCAACAAACUAUGCCAUGAAUGUGGCCAUGAAAUUGAUCAUGUGGCUUGAAAGCCAUGGAUCUUGAGACAUGACAGCUCAUUUCUAUGAAGACUUUUUAAAAACAAUUGUUCUAUUACAAGGCUAUUAUUUUUCCUCGUAAAUUUAUCACAUAUGAUGACACAAUGCGAAGGUUUUCCAAUUUUUGAUUUUUUUAGAAUUUUUCAUGUCCGUUUUAAAACGCGGUCAGAACGACUGGUAUGACCAUUCCAAGAUAGUGGUUGAAUCUUGGGAAACUUUUGAUGUUUCUAUGAUGAAAUAGAUACUUUUGUAUGUAAAAUGAUUUUUGGAAAAAAUAAAGAGCAAACGUUAAGGCAGCCGCUAUUCAAAUUUGACCCGCUUCCACCUGAUUCAACAAUGAUUUGUCUUCUUCACGAGAGAUGGAUAAAAGCUUUUGACACCCAACCAUUUUGUCAAUUGUACAUUAAAUAUGGCCUAGUAUGUUAUAAAAAUGAUUUGGACUAAUUUUGAAAAAAUAUAUGGUCGGUCCUUCACAAAAAACUCAUUUUGGGCACUUGAAAAAUGACAAAUGAAUUUUUUAGACAAGGAAGAUGAAAACUUACUUAGUCAAUAUUGUUUGUCAUUCCAACAUGAACCUUUCUGCAAAAUAUGAGUUCAUUUCAACAAACUACGCCAUGAAUGUGGCCAUGAGAUUGAUCAUGUGGCUUGAAAGCCAAUUUUUUGAUUUUUUGUUUAAUUUUUCAUGCCCAUUUUGAAAAUGCGGUCAGAACGACGGGUAUGACCGUUCCUAGGUAGUGGUUGAAUCUUGAUAAACUUUUGUUGUUUGUAUGAUAUGUGGCUUGAAAGCCAAUUUUCUGAUUUUUUGUUUAAUUUUUCAUGCCCAUUUUGAAAAUGCGGUCAGAGCGACGGGUAUGGCCGUUCCUAGGUAGUGGUUGAAUAUUGGGAAACUUUUCGUGUUUCUAUGAUGAAUGUCGCCAUAAAGAUUUUUAUUAUAUGAACAAACUAUGCCCACUUCAAAAUGUGGUCGAAACGGCACGCAUGAGCACAAAAACAUCCAUAAGCACAAAAACUAUUCAACCAAGGAGCAUCCAUGAGCAAGCACAAAAACAAAUAAUUUUUCUUUCAUCCAUUAGAAUCCAUGAGCAUGCACACAAUUUCAUCAGGCACACCACCAUCAUACUUAAAAGUGAAGUAGUAGUUCAACACUAUCGUACUUAAAAGAUUAAAGCGGCGAAGUAGUAGUUCAACACCAUCAUACUUAAAAGUGAAGUAGUAGUUCAACACCAUCGGGUUCUUAAGAUCUUCACUACUGCUUCUUCCCCUUCUCCUUCAUCAUCCUGAUGCGCUUAGAGUGGCGAAGCCCCAGGCCAGGCUGUGGGAUGUACUCCUCUACCACAAUUUGCAUGGUCAUGCCGCCCAGCUGUGGGAACACCAUCGCGACGCCAUCGUGAGGCACCACCACCAUUGCGAGGCCAUCGUCAGGCACCGCCACCGUCGCGAGGUCAUCGUCAGGCACCACCACCAUCGCGAGGCCAUCGUCAGCCACCACCUCAUCAUCCCUACUCUGCUCCUCUUCUUCCCCACUCUGUUCCUCCUCAUCCUUGCUGCUGUUGUUGCUGUAGCCAGAGUCGCUGCUGCUUUUGCUAUAGCUAGAGUCGCUGCUGCUUUUUUGAUAGCACCUGUUGUUGUAGCCAGAGUCGCCGCUCCUGCUCCCAUUGCCUUGCCAAAUGCAAAAAAUCUUUUUUAACAAUGUGUGUGAGACAUAGCCUAAUGGAGAGGAAGAAGAGACACAGCAUACUGGCAUCGUUGUCGUCCUCGUAGCGCCUGCGACACAUAGUCAUGUUGAACACCUUCACGGUGAACACAUAGUUGUUGUCGUACGUGAAGACAAGGAAGUACCCGUGCCGCAGGUCGUAGGCACGGAUGAACUGCUUCCAGACAUGAUCUAGGUACAUGCUUCCAUCGGUGUCGAACACCACCUUCAUGUUCUCUGGCCGAUGGCCGUCCAGCAUCUUCAAAAAAUUGGGAGGCAGCACCUGCCUGCUGGAGGAUUUCUCAAGUAUAAUUGUGAAGAACUCGAUACCUUCCAAGUCAGGCAUCUCACUUGGUGUGGCACAGCACAGCCGACGGCGUCAGCCUCCCCCCAUCUGUAGUAAGAAAAGCAGAAUUGUAAUUAAACAACAAGUUAUCAUAAAAAUAUUGAAACUAUCCUAAAAAUACUAAAAACAGUAAACACAACUUAAAGAUUGUAAAAACUUGCAUUAUCAUAUCCCUGACUGAUAUUGUAAUUGUGAAGAGCUCAAACAUAAAGAUUAUGAGUAUCCUCGGUCAUUUGCUAGCCUAUUACACUGAGAUUUGAGUAGCAUAGUGAGCAGAGUUAUAUCCAGAUCAAGGACCACACACACACAGUCAAAGACAACUGUGAUUUAUAUAUGGUACUACUACUACUACAAACUCCAUUAUUUUUCCCUACUACAACUAGCCAACACACGUCCUCAUCACAGUUGCAAAAAUAUCAAGUGUAUUGCGACAGCCUGUGUAUAACUACAAGCUAUACAAUAGGGCAACAUCGCAAUUAGCCAACUAAUAUCAAUGCCACACAAGGCAGGAAUUAACUGGGGAAGUAAACUAUGUAGUUCAAUACUAAAUGGUUGUAUGAUCUGGUUAGUUCAAACCCCCAGACCCCAGUAUUCAGAUUUGAUUCAGUCGCAGACUACUUGUAUACAAUUGACACCGGGUUGAACAGAACAACAUAACUAGAUAAAUUAGCACACCCAGGUGAACACCAGCAGCUUGGUUCAAAAUUAAAUAACAAACACAUUCACCAAGAGUCAUGUUAGUUAGGAUAACAAAUAACCAAGUAGCUUAGCAGAAAUGUGAGACAGGCUGAUAAUGGUGACAGGCAAGAAAAUCGAGUAAGGAUUAACAGUGACAUACUACAGUUUGACAGGCUGACAUGUACAAAUGCAUGCAGAAGAUGACAAUUGAAAAUCAAGACACAAAUUGGGUUUACACAUCUUUGUGCCCAUUCACAACUCAGUUCUGAUACAAAUCUUGGGUUACAUUCAUGUUUGAGGCCCAAAGUAGGAGAUUUUACUCGUUCAGACUAGUAAUCCACCAGGAGAAAUCGAAUCCUAGAGGAAAUUUCUCAGAUUAGGUCACCCAUGACAAUUCAAGUGAGUUAGGGUUCGUCGCCCGCAGAAGAAAUCAACCUCACUCCACACCAUUCGAGUAGAGAGGGAGGAAGGCUAUGAGAGAAGAAUACCUUGGAGCUGUCAUGCUUCGGCGGAAGGGUCGGAGGUCGACGGCGACGGCUUGACGAUUGGACGAGGGGCGGUAAGUUGUGAUGGAUCUUGGCAGGAGCGGGCGGCUUGGAUGGAUCUUGGCAGGAGCAGGCGACAAGAGGGAGGAAGGAGUCGCCGACAGAGAGAGAGGAGGAGUCGCUGACAAAGACAGAGGAAGGAGUCUCCGGCGGUGGGAGAGGAGGAGUGGGUCGAGUGGAGAGGAGGAGUGGAGAAGUGAACGGGGAAAAGAGUGGGGAGGAGGAGCACGUCGAGUGGAGAGGAGGAGUGGGGAAAAGAGUGGUUUGAUACAUUCAAAAGGGUGGGCAUAGCGUAUAGAACAAACAUCCUCUUCCUAGCCCAGUGGUAGAAACCCAGUGAAAUAAGCGCCAGGUCGUGGGUUCGAGCCCCCGCUUGCGCAACAACUUUUUUGUUGAAAACAAUAGUUGUGAAAACAACAUCAGGAGCUCUGAAAACAGUUUAGUUCUGAAAACAACAGUUCUAAAAAUAGCUCUGAAAAGAACAUCAGAAUACAACAUCAUCAAUUCAGCCAUCUGAAACAAAACUACAUCAUUUUGCAACAUCAUCAAUUCAACAUCAGAAUACAACAUCAUCAAUUCAGCCAUGCACAUAGCUCUGAAAACUUCAGGAACAUCAUUUUGCAAUAUUUUGCAUUACAAGACAACAGUCUGAAUCAGGAUCACCAAAACUACAUCAUUUUGCCUCUCCAGCCAUCAUGAUCUUCACCAUCUGCCUCUCCAUCACUACAACCAUCAGUCUCAUGCAUUUUUCUACCUGGAGAGAAUUGUAGUACAAAAACUACAUUAGUGAAAGUGUGUUAUAUUGAUUAGAGGUGGGUGAAUAGGAGAUUUUUAGAAUUUCAUCACUAAGGAAAUUCCUUUUGAGGAAAUUCUUCACUGAUGACCAACUUACAGUGGAAACUGUAAAGGAUCAGAAGUGCAAAGUUUCACAACAGCUGUUUUUCAGAGUGAGGAAUGUGAAAACAGAUUGCACAGUGAGCAGGCACGCAGAAAACAGUUGAAGAUUAACUAGCGUGAAGAAUUUGGGGUUGAGGAAUUUCAGAGAAUGUCUUCAGCAAAUUCUUCAAACAGUAGCAGUGAAAGUCAUCAACACAUAAUCUGAGGAAAGUAAGGAGUUGAGGAAUUAGAACCCGUUUCACAGUGAAGACAGUAGUUGAUGACCCAGUUCCAACUGUUGUGACAGUCGUACAUCUGGUUUGGAGUAGCUUGGUAUUGAAACCAAAGGACACACAGUCCCGGGACACACAGUCUGGGGACACACAGUCCCUACCAUGUUCUCCUUGGGCUAAGAACACACAGUCCUCGCCCAACACUCGUGGUAAGUCUUAAGGGCAGACUUCCAAACCCUCACAAACUUGGUCACCCGACGAUCCACAAUUGACUGCUGGAAAGCUCUAGACCAUGAUGCCUAACCGUCUGGAGGAUGCACAGUCCUCAAAGGUAAAAGGCUUCAGUCCCACACAGGAACAACUUCUUCAGUGAUGCUCAAUCACUAGGUUUGGUUUGUGGUUUUGGUGUAUGGGGUAUUUCCUCACUGAUGAAUUACUCUCGAAGACUCUGAGGAAUUUGGGUUGCUCUUAUGACAAGUGUCAGUUCCUAACAGAGCAGCCAACCAGCUAAUGGUUUUGGGGGGCGGCUUUUUAUAGCCUGGGAGCAUCCCGACAUGAUUGGACACUAAUGCCCUUAAAUAAUAUGACCGUUGGCGUGGAUAAGACCAAUGAUGUGGCGUGGCUAUCGAAACUAUCGGAACCCUCAACUGUGAGAGUCCUCAUGUCACUCGUAUUCCUCACUUGAGGCUUUGGGUAGGAUUCGGCUUGGGUUGAGCAUCAUGAGGAAAUUCAUUCCAAAGUGUAACUUCGACCCCCUUUAACAUUACGGUGUUCCUAUUACUCAAGUGUGAAGAAAAUAAAACAGAAAGAGUAAAUCUUCAUGCUUCAAAGUCUUCAGAAUGAUUUCCUUCAGGACACACCGAAUUCCUCAGUUUCAAUAUCUUCAUGAGGAAUAUCAAUUUCAUCACAGAUUCUUCGCGAUUCAAUUCUUCAGCUUCAGACCAAUUUCUUCAACCGAAGAUAUACAUUUUUAGGGGUCGAUAUUCAUCAAAUAUAUCAAACUCCUCAGUGACUUAUAGAUCAUGUGUACACUCAUAAACACAUUAGAUACUUAACCUAUAAGUCUUCAAACCACCAAAAUCACUAAGGGGCACUAGAUGCACUUACAAUUAGGAUCACAACAACAAAAACUAUAGAGAAGGUUGAUCACCAAUUAAAACAAGGAACAUGUAGUAAUAGGUUUCGAUCACCAAGGAGACAAUAUUUACCUUCAUGUCUAUUCGCUACUCAUCGUCGUCGAUACCAAAACGGUAGGCAUUGGAGUCUUGGCACCUUUGCAUUCAUGCAUGUCGAAUUUCCUCAGAAUAUCCUUGAGGUAUUUCUCCUAUGAUAUGAAGAUUUCAUUGCGUUGUUGAUGAAUUUGAAGACCUAAGAAGAAUUUCAGCUCCCCCAUCAUAGACAUCUGAUAUUCUUCACUCAUUAUGUAAGCAAAUUCAUCACUCUAUCGUUUGUCAGUACAGCCAAAUAUGAUAUCAUCGACAUAUAUUUGACACACAAAUAGCUCAUUAUCAUAGGAUUUAGUGAAAAGAGUUGGAUCAAGUGAACUAGGUUUGAAGCCUUUCUUCAUGAGGAAUUCCUUCAAUGUAUCAUACCAUGCCCGAGGGGCUUGCUUGAGACCAUAGAGAGCCUUUUUGAGUCUGAAGACUUUGUCUGGAUUCUUUGGAUCCUCAAAACCUGAGGGCUGAGCAACAUGUACUUCUUCCUCAAGCUUACCAUUGAGGAAUGCACUUUUCACAUACAUUUGAUAUAAGAUGAUGUUAUGAUGAUUAGCAUAAGCAAGUAGUAUUAGAAUAGCUUCAAUUCUAGCAACAAGUGCAAAAGUUUCAUUGAAAUCUAUUCCUUCAACCUGGGUGUAGCCUUGGGCUACAAGUCGUGCCUUGUUCCUCACCACUUGACCGUCCUCAUCUUGCUUGUUUCGGAAAAUCCACUUGGUGCCGAUGAUGUUGUGCUUGCGAGGAUUUGGUCGUUUGACGAGCUCCCAUACGUCAUUCAGCUUGAAUUGAAGAAGUUCGUCUUGCAUAGCUUGGAUCCACUCUGGUUCCAGAAAAGCCUCAGCAACUUUUGAGGGUUCUGUGAUGGAUACAAAGGAAAAAUGCCCACAAAAGUUAACUAAGUGUGAUGCUUUUGAGCGAGUGAGAGGACCUGGCGCGUUGAUGUCGUUGAGGAUUUUGUCAAGUUCUACUUCAUUUGCAAUCCUCGGAUGAGCUGGUUGAGGAUUUUGUCUGGGCUGAGGAAGUGGUUCUGGUGCAAUUUCCUCAGGAGCAUCUUCUUGAUUUUCAUCGGCGAUGGGGAUCGUUUCUUCACCAAUUUCCUCAGUGGGUACAAUGUCUUCAGUAGGUUUGAGCUUUAUUGCUUCCUCAGGAGACAACUUAUCUGGACCAGAAGGCAAUUGCUCUCUUUGCGAGCCAUUAGUUUCAUCGAACCGCACAUCUACAGUCUCAACAACUUUGUUGUGGUAGUUGUUGAAGACUCUGUAGGUGUGCGAGUCCUUUCCAUAACCGAGCAUAAAACCUUCAUGUGCCUUAGGUGCAAAUUUUGAGCUAUGGUGAGGAUCUCUAAUCCAACAUUUUGCACCGAAUACUUUGAAAUAACUUACAUUGGGUUUCUUAUCAGUGAGGAGUUCAUAUGAUGUUUUCUUGAGGAAUUUGUGAAGAUAUACCCUGUUGAUGAUCUGGCAUGAAGUGUUGAUUGCUUUAGGCCAAAAGCGACGAGGAGUCUGAUAUUCUUCAAGCAUAGUUCUUGCCAUCUCAACCAGAGUCCUGUUCUUCCUUUCGACGACACCAUUCUACUGAGGAGUAUAAGGAGCAGAUAAUUCGUGAGUAAUACCAAGUUCAUCAAGACUAGUGUUUUUGAACUCUGUUCCAUUAUCACUCCUGAUAUGUUUGAUCUUGAUGCCAAAGUUCGUCGAGGCCCUUGAAGAAAAUCGUUUGAAGAUUUCCUGCACUUCAGUUUUAUACACUAUGAUAUGCACCCAUGUAUAUCUAGAAUAAUCAUCAACUAUGACGAAGCCAUAUAAAGAUGCUGCAUUGGUUAGUGUGGCAUAGUGAGUAGGUCCAAAUAGAUCCAUAUGAAGCAAUUCGAAUGGACGUGUAGUGGUCAUGAUAGUCUUCGAGGGUUGCUUGGAUCUGGUCAUUUUCCCAGAUUCACAUGCACUGCAGAGAUGAUCUUUGAGGAAUUUGACUAAUUCGAUGCCGAUGACAUGCUUCUUCUUCGCAAGCGUGUGCAAAUUCCUCAUGACUGCAUGACCUAGUCUUCGGUGCCACAGCCAUCCUUCUGAGUCUUUUGCUAGUAAGCAAGUGGCUGGUUGAGGACCUGUAGAGAAAUCAACAAUGUACAAAUCCCCUCUUCUUACACCUUCGAAGACUUUGGAUCUAUCAGAUUCCAUGAUGACUACACAUCUAUAUCUACCAAAGAUAACAAUCAUAUCAAGAUCACAAAGCAUAGAGACUGACAUGAGGUUAAAACCAAGGGAUUCAACAAGCAUUACUUUGUCCAUAUGCCUAUCCUUGGAAAUAGCCACUUUGCCCAGUCCCAAUACCUUGCUUUUACCUUUGUCAGCAUAUGUGAUUUGCUUCAGAGGUGAUGGAGUUAGUGGCAUAUUCAUCAGCAAGCUUCUAUCACCAGUCAUGUGAUGUGUGCAGCCACUAUCAAGAGCCCACUCAGUGUUCUUGGGUUUGUCAUCCCGUAGAUGAAUUAGUACAUCUUACCAUCUCAUAUGCUUCAGAUUUGAAGAAUAUGAUAUCAGUUUCAUCAGAUAAGAAUUUCAUCACAACAGAAUUAUAAGGACGUGUGAAAUAUUUCUAUUUCAUCAACAUUAGCUUGCGUCCUAUCAAGCAUUUCCUCAGGUCUCCAGCAAAUUCUUCAGAUGAUGAUUUUCAUCUUGGGACCUGACCUGCAGAAGUGAUUAGUUCGAUUUCUUCACCACCCACAUCUGAAGGGGUGGCAAAGCAUUCAUCAUCCUGCGAGCACCAUAUGAGAAAGGUGGCAUUGAAGCUAAUGCACUUCUCUUAACAGUAGGGGGGUUAAAGUACUCAUAUGAAUAUGUAGAGAACUGGUUUGAGGAUUUAUGAACAUACUGAUUUGAAGAGUAACGCUCAUAUUCAUAUUCCUUGUAGUUUCCCUGCAUGUUAGACACAUUAGCACGGGUACGAGCAUAAUUUUGACUAGUUGAGGAUUUUGAUCCUCUUGAAGACUUUGGUCCUCCUGAGGCAUUUGAUCUGGGGUUCAGAUUCUUCAUCGGUGGUGUCAUGAGGACAUUGACCUGAAGAUUUUCAAGAUAGCUUUUGGGAACCCAGAUUUUCCUCAAGGGAGGACCAUUCCUGCAGUUAGUUCCAACAUAUCGAGCAAAUACUUCACCAGACUGAUUUUUGAACAGUUUAUAGUUGGAGUCAAAUGACUCAUCUGAGGAGUAGGAUAAUUCACAUGAAAAGCCAGUUAGAUUGGAUGGAUCAAAAGGAGGCCCAGUAGCAGCAACCCAUGAGGUUUUGGGAUACUGCUCAGGUUUUGAAUAAGAUCCAUCAGCAUUUAAUUUCCUCUCAAAGGCAAUUCCUUCUUUCCUCGGGUUCCUGUUCAAGAUCUGCUUUUUGAGCACAUCACAAAGGGUUUGAUGUCCUUUGAGACUUUUGUAUAUGCCUAUCACAUACAAUUCCAUCAACCCUGCAUUUUCAUUAGUAGCAUUUGUGUUUUCCUCAAGUGAGGAAAUAGACACUACAGGUGCAGUUGAAGAAUUUGUAGCAAUAGAAGCAUUUGAUGAUUCUGGUGAAGAAUUAGCAGUUUCGCGUUCAAUGCAUUUAAGACAUGGAUGAAUGAAUUCAGCUUGAGCAGCGGUGAUCUAUUGAGCUAGUAAUGAAUCAUUUUCCAUACGAAGAUCAUCAUGAGAAAUCCUCAGCUUCUCUAGAUCAAGCUUCCUUUGAAGAAAUUCAUAGGAAAGUUUCUAAUGAUCAGCGAGGAGUGUAUCACAAUGAUCUUGAAGAUUAUCAAAUCUAGACUGAAGACUUUUCACAUCUUCAGUGAGGAUUUGGGUUAGAUUCAUUUCAUCAUUCAACAGAUCAUCACUUCUAUCUAGCAGUUUCUGAAGCUUUUCCAGGGCAGUUUGUUGUUUAGUGGCAAUGAUAGCAAGUUUACUGUAAUUGGGUUUUUUAUAAUCAUCAGGUUCACAGUCACUUGAAUAAGAGGAGGAAUCAUUAUUCGGUACCUUUGAACCUUUUUCCAUGAAGCAAUAGGUUGGAGCGAAGUCAUCAGCAUAGUCAUCAGUGUAGAUGAUGUUAUCAUGUUCUUCAAGAUUGAAGAUUGACUUGCUGACGAAGGUGGUUGCCAGUGCAAGACUAGCCUGUCCGGAUUCUGAGUCUUCAUCAGAACCCUCUUCUUCAUCACAUUCCUCUAAUUCUGCCUAGGAAUCCAUUUCCUUGCCAAUAAGUGCCCGAGCCUUUUUGAAACUAGUCUUCUUGUGCGAUGAGGGCUUUGAAGAUGAGGAUUUUGAAGAUUUCUUCUUCUUCUUCGAGUCAUCAGAACUGUCAUCCUUGUAUUUCUUCUUCUUUGAUUCCUUUCCCCAACGAGGACAGUCAGCAAUGUAAUGACCCGAUUUCUUGCACUUGUGACAGAUUCUUUUCUUGUAGUCCUCAGAUGAAGAUUCUGAUUUCAUCACGUCUCUUCUUGAAGAUUUACCGAACUAGCCACGUCGUGUAAACCUUGGGAAUUUUCUCACAAGCAUUGCAAGCUCCUGUCCAAAUUCUUCAGGGUCACCAAUGCUGUCAUCCAAAUCUUCUUCUUUAGAUGAGGAAAUUGCUCUAGCCUUCAGUGCACGUGGUCUAGAAUAGCUUGGUCCAUAUAGAUCUUUCUUUUCUUCUAGCUGGAAUUCAUGAGUAUUUAGCCUUUCGAGUAUAUCAGCUGGAUCAAGCAUCUUGUAGUCUGGUCUUUCUUGAAUCAUCAGAACUAAAGUAUCAAAUGAAGAAUCCAAAGAUCUCAACAGUUUCUUCACAACUUCGUGAUCAGUAAUGUCUCGAACUUCCAGUGCUUGCAGUUCAUUUGAUAUGUCAGUGAGGCGAUCAAAGGUGUCUUGGCAGCUUUCAUUGUCAUGCCUCUUGAAGUGAUUGAAGAGAUUGUGAAGAAUAUCAACACAAGAGUCACGCUGGGUUGAUACUCCUUCAUUUACUUUGCACAGUGUCUCCUAGAUCAGUGUUGCAGAGCCCAAGGCACUCACUCUUCCAAACUGUCCUGGGCUCAGAUGGCCACAGAUGAUAUUCUUCACUUCAGAAUCGAGUUGCUUGAAUUUCUUGACAUCAGUAGCAGAGACACUAGCAGAGAUGAUGGGGACGCCGUGUUCCACAAUAUACCAGAGAUCAUUAUCAAUAGCUUUUAGAUGCAUUUGCAUCUUGUUCUUCCAAAAGGGAAAGUUCUUUCCUUCGAAGGUAGGACAUGCUGCAGUCACCUUAAACAUGCUUGCAGUCGACAUAACUAAAACUCCAGGUGGUUAAACCAAAAUCACACAGAACAAUGGAGUACCUCGGUCUGAUACCAAUUGAAAGUGCGUUAUAUCGACUAGAGGGGGGUGAAUAGAAGAGUUUUAGAAUUUCAUCACUUAGGAAAUUCCUUUUGAGGAAAUUCCUCACUGAUGACUAACUUACAGCGGAAACAGUAAAGGAUCAGAAGUGCAAAGUUUCACAACAGCUGUUUUUCAGAGUGAGGAAUGUGAAAAUAGAUUGCACAGUGAGCAGGCACGCAGAAAACAGAUGAGGAUUAACUAGCGUGAAGAAUUUGGGGUUGAGGAAUUUCAGAGAAAUUCUUCAGCAAAUUCUUCAAACAAUAGCAGUGAAAGUCAUCAACACAUAAUUUGAGGAAAGUAAGGAGUUGAGGAAUUAGAACCCGUUUCACAGCGAAGACAGUAGUUAAUGACCCAGUUCCAACUGUUGUGAUAGACGUACAUCUGGUUUCGAGUGGCUUGGUAUGGAAAUCAAAGGACACACAGUCCCUACCGUGUUCUCCUUGGGCUAAGAACACACAGUCCUCGCCCAACACUCGUGGUAAGUCUUCAGGGCAGACUUCCAAACCCUCACAAACUUGGUCACCCGACGAUCCACAAUUGAAUGUUGGAAAGCUCUAGACCAUGACGCCUAACCGUCGGGAGGAUGCACAGUCUUCAAAGGUAAAAGGCUUCAGUCCCACACAGGAACAACUUCUUCAGUGAUGCUCAAUCACUAGGUUUGGUUUGUGGUUUCGGUGUAUGGGGUAUUUCCUCACUCAUGAAUUACUCUCGAAGACUCUAAGGAAUUUGGGUUGCUCUUAUGACAAGUGUCAGUUCCUAACGGAGCAGCCAACCAGCGAAUGGUUGUGGGGGGCGGCUAUUUAUAGUCUGGGAGCAUCCCGACAUCAUUUGACACUAAUGCCCUUAAAUAAUAUGACUGUUGGUGUGGAUAAGACCAAUGAUGCGGCGUGGCUAUCGAAACGGUCGGAACCCUCAACUGUGAGAGUCCUCAUGUCACUCGUAUUCCUCACUUGAGGCUUUUGGUAGGAUUAGGCUUGGGUUGAGCAUCAUGAGGAAAUUCAUUCCAAAGUGUAACUUCGGCCCCCUUUAACAGUACGGUGUUCCUAUUACUCAAGUGUGAAGAAAAUAAAACAGAUAGAGUAAAUCUUCAUGCUUGAAAGUCUUCAGAAUGAUUUUCUUCAGGACACACUGAAUUCCUCAGUUUCAAUAUCUUCAUGAGGAAUAUCAAUUUCAUCGCAGAUUCUUCGCGAUUCAAUUCUUCAGCUUCAGACCAAUUACUUCAACCGAAGAUAUACAUUUUUAGGGGUCGAUAUUCAUCAAAUAUAUCAAACUCCUCAGUGACUUAUAGAUCCUGUGUACACUCAUAAACACAUUAGAUACUUAACCUAUAAGUCUUCAAACCACCAAAAUCACUAAGGGGCACUAGAUGCACUUACAAUUAGGAUCACAACAACAAAAACUAUAGAGAAGGUUGAUCACCAAUUAAAACAAGGAACAUGUAGUAAUAGGUUUCGAUCACCAAGGAGACAAUAUUUACCUUCAUGUCUAUUCGCUACUCAUCGUCGUCGAUACCAAAACCAGGAACUCUAUGCCCACUACUGUUUUCCUCAUCAUCAAUACAAUAUUGCAGCAUAGUAUGAUCAGUCAUGUUUUCCUCAUCCUUGCUCUCAUGUCCAUCCGCUACCACCUUUCUUCUUUUUCUUGAUGCCUUCAACUGUUGCAGCAUCAAUGAGCACACGUUCCCGGUCCCUACGCACUCUGCUUUGCACCGGAACUUCCAUAGAGUCAUCACCAGUUUGCACCGGAACUUCCGUACAAUCAUUAUCCUCAUAUGUUAGGCCACUACCACCGGGGCCCUUGUCCACUUCAGUUUCAGUUUCAGUCACACUCCACCAGUGUCUGUGCUCAAAGUUUUGCACAACUCACCAAUUUUCAUGCAAAAGAGUGUCUGGCAAGUAAAACACCAUUGUUGCUUGUGCUGUUAGAAUAAAGGGAUCACUCUUAUACCAGCACCUUGAAGUGUUGAUGCUUUUGAAGUGGCCAUCAUAUUUGACACAAGAGCGUCUCUUCUUCUUGCUACCAAGAUCAAACCAGUCAUAGCGAAAUAAGACAACCGAGCGAUGGAUGCCUCCACUAGAGUUGUACUACAACUCUAUGAUGCUUCUCAGCUGACCAUAGAAGUCAAUGUUCUCACGAUCAUGUGACCCCUCGGUGAUGAUUCCACUAUUUUGUGUCUUCCUGUUUUCCUCACGAUCAACGGUGUGGUACCGUACACCAUCAGCAAUGCAUGCUGAAUACACUCGCACUCGCUUAUCCGGUAAGCAUGCCAAAGCAAAUAGAUGAUCACUGACCUUCUUCUCCCCAUGCAACUUUCCAACAUGAUUCUUAAACCAUUUAGCAAAUCCCUUGGCAACCUUGUAUCAACAUUAAUCUGGCUUUCUUCCUGAUUUAACUCUUCCUUGCAUUUCCUGCAAUUCCAACAAAACAUGUGAAUUAAAAUAUUAGGCUGGUGCCAACAACCCAAGAUAAAGUAAAUAAAUAACGAGUGCACAAGAUAUAAUGUACUCGAUAUAUGGUAUAACCUCGGCGCAAUUGCUGAGCACAUACCAAACCAUCUUGUCAUACUCAUCACCAGCCUCCAAGUAUCGCGAGGCUCCAAGAAAGUUCACACUAUGGUUGAAAACCGAGACAUCACCACUAUGCGAAUCAGACCGCUCUCUAUUUAUGCCCGGCCGGUUCCAUCUUGUUUCCACAUUGCCAAAGUAUCUAGAGCAAAAAUUCUAGCACACGUCAACGACAUAUGCUUCAGCAAUCGAAGCUUCAGGUCUUGCCGUGUUUCGCACAUAACGCUUACCAGUAAGCAACCUUCUUUUGAUUGGGUACAUCCAACCAUAUUGCACAGGACCUCUAAGCAUUGCCUCUUUUGGUAAGUGCACCACCAAAUGGACCAUCAUGGUGAACAAAGCUGGAGGGAAAAUCUUCUCAAGAUUGCAAAGAAUAAUUGUAAUUUCUUUUUCAAGUCUUUCCAGAUCAGUUAACUUGAGUGUUUUGCAUCACAGUUCUCUAAAGAAAUUUCCCAGCUCACCAACCGCUUCAUAUAUAUCAUUGUCCAUGAUUCCACGGAGGCCAACCGGUAAAAUCCUUUGGAGGGGGAUGUGACAAUCAUGGGUUUUCAGUACUGAAAGCUUGAAUCAGUAACACACUUUGCUAGGUUAGAAGCGUAACCAUUUGGAAAUCUCACCGCUCUUAUGAAUUCACAGAAUGCUAGCUUUUGUUCUUUACUCAUUGUAUACCAUGCUCGUGGCAUUUCAAUUGUAUCUUCAGCUUCAUCAUGUUGUAGAUGCAAAUCUUCUCUUAUGCCCAUGUCCUCCAAAUCAAGCCUAGAACUAACCGUGUCCUUUGUCUUCCCUUCAAUGUUCAGAAACGUCCCUAGCAGAUUCUCACAUAUGUUUUUCUCAAUGUGCAUUGCAUCGAGAUUAUGCCUUAAUUUCAGACCGGCCCAGUAUGACAGGUCCCACAAAAAAGACCUCUGGUCCCAACAUUGACCUUCCGCGCGCUUUCUUUUCUUCGCAAGCUUUCCUGGUCUGACAUCCUUCACCUUCUCAAGUUGCUGCUCUUGCUCUUCCUUAGUGAAUUUAGCUGGCUCGUCAUGGGUUUCAUUCUCACCAUUAAAAUCUUUGCUUCUUCUCCAGCGAUGGUUUCGGGGAAGAAAGCGGCAGUGCCCAAUAUAGCAGAUCUUUCUCCUUAUUCUCUUUGAGCAAGGGUCUUUGUCACAAUGGACACAUGCCUGAUAACCCGUUGUGAUCCUCCCAGAUAGAGGGUGAAGUGCCGGGAAAUCAUGGAUGGGCCAUAUGACUGCAGCAUGUAGAUUGUAAUUUUCUUCCAAACUAGAGGCAUCGUAUGUAGGUACACCAGUCCAGAGCUGGAGCAGUUCUUCUACGAGGGGCUCCAUAAAGACAUCAAAAUCCUUUCCUGGAGAAUCUGGACCCGGGAUAAGCAGUGACAUCAUGAAGUUGGACUGAUCCAUGCAUGCCCAUGGUGGCACGUUGUACGACACCACAAAAACAGGCCACAUGCUAUAAGACGCGUUCAUGUUCCCAAACGGAUUAAAGCCAUCUAUGGCAAUGCCGAGUUUUAUAUUCCUUGAAUCUGCAGCAAAAACUCCAUGUUCAGUGUCAAAUUCUUUCCAUGCCUCUCCGUCCGCUGGAUGGCUCAGCUCAUUCUCCACAGGUUGCCGCUGAAGCUUGUGGCAUUGUACCUCGAAUGAUGCUUUCUUCGAGAUAAACAUCCGUUGCAGCCUUGGUAUCAACGGAAAGUGCCUCAGUACCUUCUCUGGUAUUGACUUCUUCCCAUCAACAUCUUUCCACCUAGAGGCAUUGCAUUUUGGACAGUUGUAAUGCUUCGCAAAAUCCUUCCGAAACAAGACACAGUUAUUUGGGCACACAUGUAUUGAAACAUAACCUAGCCCCAGCCUGCGGAAUAUGCUCAAUGCUUCAUCAUAAGACGUGGGAACACAACUAUCAAGGAAUUGCAAGGUCAAAAGGCGGAGUAUUGGUUGAAUGCAGCAUUGCUAAUCCGGUAGAAAGACUUGAUGUGGAGUAACUUCACGGUGAAGGUAAAUCUUGAAAAUUUACCCCCUUCAUGAGCUGCGCGCUUAGCCUCCUCCAACACCUCAGCAAACAUCGACUUCUGCCCAUCAGCACGAUCUUCAGCAUCGUACAGAUCCUUCAAUAGGUCAGGAAUCCUAUCAUCUUCAUGCCCAUCCUCUUCAUCCAAACCAGCAUUCUCUCGCAAAAUAUUUUCCAUAAAAUUAAUGCCAGCAUCACCACCACCCAUCAUAUGAGGGGCCUGUGUAUCAGCUUCAAUAUGUUGAGGUUGUCCGGCUAAAGGUUCUCCAUGAUAUAUCCAUCUAUCAUAUGUGCUGGCCAUCCCAUUAAGAAAAAUAUGAUUUUCCACUACUCCUUGAGCUUUUCUCGAACGGUUGAGGCAAUUACAGCAUCGCCAAACAAUGACAGCAUCCUUGGAAAAAAUUUCCCGAACAAAUUGCAUGAAUUCAUUAACUCCUUUCAUAUGUUCUUUCGAAAACCAUCUAACUCCUUUUCUAAUCAAGCUUAUGUCCAUCUGCCAAAGAAAGUAAUGCUUGCAAGUUAGCAAAUCUAUCUAAGUGCAUCAACAUUAAUUAAUGAGAAUGGAUGGCAGUAAUGGCAGUUAAAAAUCCAGAAAAUAAGGUAGGCACCAAACUUUAUAUGCUAACUACCAAACCACAACAUUCAGCUAUUUCCAAUUUCUCACUACUUUAGUCCAGUUCACAUGGUUUACUAAUUUCACAUCGGAGCAAUAAAAAGCAGUUCAAAUAGAAAUACAGAUGCUGUGGUGAACAUGGGAGAAAAGAAAAGCUAAAAAACAUGGUGCUUCACAAAAAAACAGAGGUGGUUUACAAACAACUAAUGUGGUUAUACCACCAACAAUAACAACAUAUGCUGCCACAAAGAACUAUUUUGGUUAAACUACCAACAAUAACAACACUGUAAAUUUACAUGAAUGACAUUUCAAAGAUUGCAUCAAAUCUACAUCAAUGAGAUUUUUCCUAGUUUACAUCAAAUCUACAUCAAUAUUGAUGUUCUUAAAUAUAUUUGAGGCAGAGGUGUAACAUCAAAUUUCAUAGGUGCUGAAAAAUCUCAACUACUGUGUACUACAUCAACUACUGUGGUGAAAAUAAGGUGCUGAAAUUCUCUUCAUCAACUACAUCAACUACUCAACUACAUCAACUACAUCAACUGCUCAAUUUCAUCAACAGAAAUUCUCUUCACAAUUUCUACCAACUUCAUCAACAGAGAGGAGAGGGGGAUAGGAGAGGGGGAAGAGAGGAUAGGAGGGAAGAGGAGAGGGGUAAGAGAGCAUAACGGCGGCAGCAGCGAGUCCCCCAUGCUCGGCGGUGAGUCCCUCAUGCUCGACGGCAGCGAGUCCCCCAUGUAUGGGUGAGGUCGGUGUCCGAGGCGAGCGGCACCACCACCACUACCAGUGGGCGAGGUGGCUGAGGCGAGCGGCACCACCACCGCUACCUUCACUGGCCGUGGCGUCGGCACCACCACCACUGCCGAUGGGUGAGGUGGUCGUGGCGUCAACACCACCACCGCUGGUCACCGCCCCCGUCGGUCGCCGCCCCCAUCCCCGUCGGUCACCGUCGCCCCCAUCCCCGUCGAUCUCUGCCGCCCCGUCCCCGUCGGUCGCUGCCGCCCCCGAGAUCUAGAUUUGCUUGUCCCCUGUCGGAAAUUGGCUAAGUGUUGGCCCCUGUCAGAAAUUGGCCAUGUGUUGGUCAUCCCCGUCGGUCCCACUUGUCAAUGAUACGAGAGACCCAUGAUUUAAUAUAAUAUACCCCCAAAUACUGAUACCUGAGCAACAGUCCCUCUCUAGCCCAGCGGUAGCAAACACUUAGAGGAAGCGCUGGGUUGUGGGUUCGAGUCCCCGCUCGCGCAUGUUUUUUUUCGGGAAUUAAGCGAGGCUCACGCAUGUCCCCGCUCGGUCGUCGGCCCCUCACCUACCUGUCAAAUGGAUCCUACCUCAGUGACAAGUAAGCGAGGCUGCUCAGGUGGCUGCAUAACCAGCCUAGUGCAUUCGAACUACUUAGUAACGACCAUUCAUAUUGGUCAUUAUCACGUAGAAAUAAGGCAGUGCCAGGUGUUGUCCGCUUUAUGACCUUUUCCAGUAAGCAAGUGAUGACCUUUCUGAUGAAAAUGGUCGUUGGUUUUUGUGGCUAGGACCCCUCCAGACAGCUUACAACCAAAUGAUGUCAAAUGGUCAUAGAUUUAUGACCAUUCCUUCGAGCGUCACUGACAAAAGGUCGUUAGGUGACCUAUUUCUUGUAGUGACACUACUAGCUCUACCUCAGCAAGUGCUACCACAACUCCAAGGAUUCCCAUCAAUUUGGUGUGAAUUCCCAAGAGGAAGAACUAGAAGUUCUUGAGGGGUGACUCUGCCACUGAAAUUCACUCUCAUUUAUAUUGGCAAGAACUAUAUGCAAUCAACCUCAACCAUAUGCAUUAAUUCGAUGAGUCACACAUUCCCUCAAAGGUAAGCAAGGAACAACGUAAUAAAUGCAUAUUUGGACAUUAUCCCAAGUGUGCUUCACUCCAUGUCCAUAGAUAUUCUUGCAUAUGUUCCUUUGGCUUUGGGACUAACCCAUGUAGGUGAGAAGAGUAUGAAAAAAACAAGGAUUGCUCCCAACUCAAUAUGAUCUUCAUCAACCUUGAGCAUCCACCACUACUUCACGUACUUGAAGUCUUCUACGACUAAACCCAAGGUUAGUUGAUCCCUCUUAGUGGGGAUAUCAUAUCAAGGGGGAUAUUUACUCUAAGGCUUGAGUAUAAGCAUCUCCUCGGGAUAUGAACACAUUAAUGCUUAUGUAAAAGUAGUAACCCCGCUUGUGCUUAACGAAGAGUACGACCUAUGAUCAAGUAUUCUUACUUGGCUCCUAUGUCAAUAUACUCAUAUAUAGAUGACUUUGUAAUCACCCAAGUGCUUGAUAGCUGCUAGUAUGUGUGUGCAUGUGCACCAUGUUUUAUUCAUCAUUCUUAUUGUGUGAGGAGGUUGGUCUGCCUGUGUUUGAUCAUUCGAGGACAUCCAAUUGUGGUUAUUUGGCUUUUGAUUUAUCUUUUGACAAUUGGAUGGACAAGAAUGCCUAGGACCCUUCUCUAGCUAUCAAUGCUAUCUCAUCUCAAGUUCAAUUCAUUCUUCAUCACAAAACCUGAACAAGCACUUGUCGAUCCCUCUGCGUGAAGGUGCACUCGGAGUUCCGUAUCGUCAAAGGCUACCUUCCGAAAACUCCUUGAAAAACUCGGUGUGACCAACUCCACAAACUCGGCGCCAUCGAUUUUUCAAAGUUGAUCAGGUUUUCAAUCUCGGUACCACCGAAAUCGCCAACUCGGUUACACCGAGUUUCCCUGUCUGCUGACGGUUAAGAAACUCGGUGACACCGAUUUUGCCAUCUCGGUGACACCGACAGCGCACAGGUAUAUAUACCUGCGGACCGAAUCUUUGACAUCACUUCGUCAAAACGUUUGUUCGCCAAGAACCUUGGUGACCUAGAGACCCCAGGUCAUCGCCCUUGACUACCCGAGGGCCACCGCCUGUGGGAUUCGCCGCCAUCGACGCAAUCUGCACCGCCGUCUUCGCCAUAGCGGAACCACCAUCGAGUUAGGGUACGGUUUGAUCUACUUUGCGUUUCCCUGUACAAAUCUCACACAUUGGAAUACUUAUUUCCCAGACCACCAUGUCCAAACCCUUCUUUCCACCAGAUAAAUCUCGUAGAGUAGAAGAAGUAGAAAUUCUGCAUCUUAUCUGAUGCAGCAUGCAACUCGGUGAGACCGAGUUUACAAAAUCGGUUCCACCGAUUCAUGUUUUAAGGUUCCUCAGAGGAAACUUGGUGAGACCGAGCAGCUCUUUUCGGUGCCACCGAAAAUGACUGCCAAGUCUCUAUUAAGCGAGUAAGCCUUCUCAGUGAUUCUGAAAAAGCCAACUCGAUGCCACCAAUUUACGUCCUGCAGAAGAUCAUACCGUGAGUUUCAAAACUUCAAAUUUUCAAAAAAAUCUGAAUUUUGUGAUGCUCAUCCAUUUUGUCUUUCCUAUAUCCACUUCAUAUGUUAUGUUGUUUGCUACUGAGUGUGUCUGUCAGCAUGUCAGGUUCAGAUGAUAGUUAAAAUGAUUUCAGGGAACCAAGUGUUGACUUGGAAGCUCGCACUAGUCCAGAGAGGGCAGACUCUGACCAUGGAUCAAUAGUUCUCAUGGCUUGCCCAAGGCAGCCACCAGGCAAAGGAGGAAGGUUAAUCUGAUGAGGAAGACUCAGACUUUUUUCCAGAAGAAUCUUCUACCCCUCCUAAGGCUCCUCCAUGGAAAGUUGUCAGGAAGAUAUCUACGAGUGCUGCUGAUCAGAGAGCACCUGAUUAUGCUAAGAAGGGCAAAGCAAUUGGAAAGGAUGCACCUGCAAAGAAGGCUGGCGUGAAGAGGCCCAAGAAGAGAACUAUCCAUCUUGUUGGCACAAAGACUUCAAUGUUUGAAGACCCAGAAGAAGUUCCUGAGGAGAUCCAAGUUCCUCCCAAGAAGAAGAAGCUGAUGGGUGAUGCAAUGAAGUCUGCUCCAAAGCCUGUUGCAAAAGCAAAGAGGGUUGUAGCUUCCAGGAAGACCACUAAAGAUAUACCUGUAGCUCCUAAGAGCAAAGGCCCUGCAUCAAGUGCCCAUGUUGCAGAAGAGGAACAAGAUGAGAAUGCUCUAGUUCUCAGGAAGCUCAUACCAUAUGUUCCACUGCACAAUGAUUCUCAUCCUGUAGCAGAACAUAUGAAGAAGAGGAAGGAUGCCGGAUUAAGAAAGUGGAGAGCUGCUGAUCCAUAUGCUAUCAUAAGAAGAAUAGUUGUUGAUCCAAGGUUUCACACUAAGGAACAACGCGAUUUUUAUGAGACUGUCUUGUAUGACAAAAGUCCUGGUGUCAGUGAUAUGAGGUAUGUCGACUAGGCAUACAUCAAGGAGAAUGAGAACUUAUUUCCACAUGUUCAAGAGAACUUCAGGCUAGUUGACAUAGAAGAUUUUGUUGGGAAGGAGAUCACCCCAUGGAAUGACGAGAUGAUCAUGCAAUUCUAUGCAACAGUUCAUUUCUAUGAUGACUCUCUAGUCCGGAUGACCGAUGGUCACACGUAUGACGCUACAAUUGCCGAAUGGGCUGCAAUCAUUGGUGUUCCCAAGCAGGAAGAAGGAGAUGUAGAUGUGCAUGCAGAUGCUCAGCCGAAUCACGACUCCAUAGAAAAUAUGUACAAGGCCACUCGACAUCAGUAUUUGGCCAGUCACAAGUUUGGUUCAGUAUAAUUUCUACAAGCUGGUAUUCCCACGACAAACACUAUACUGCGAUACACUCUCAUGCCUAAGUUAGGAAAUGAUUAGAUGAUCAUAGGAUACUCAAUCAACCUGCCGCACAUACUUGAUACCCAUACCAGAUUUCGAGUGAUAGACUUGAUAGUUGAGACUAUUCGAAGGACUGCUGCGGAUCAGAAGAGAUCCUGUGGAUAUGCACCCUAUAUUCAGAUGCCCAUCAAUGCCAAGCUAGGCAAUCAUGUAUAUCAACUUGAUCGUCCCCAUCUACCUCUUCAGCCUGAAUUUGAAGAUAAUGAGGUCGUGAUGGAUGACAAUGAUCCCAACUCAGCUGCAGCAAGAAUGGCAGCAGAGGCUGAAGUUGCUAGAAAUAGGCCACCUCCAGUUCCAUGGCUCAGAACUCAAGUUGAGCAAAUGGCAUUUCUAGUGAGCAAUGUCCAAGGCAUGGAGAAGAACAUUCAGGAGAUUAUGCAAAAUCAGAAGAGCCUUGAGAGAGUUGUGGAGACAAAAUUGCACACCAUGGAUUUGAAGGUAACUGAGUUGACCACCAUUGUUAGAUAGCUUCAACAUGAAGUUGACUCUGUGGAGAUUCCAUGGUUAGAAGACGAAGAUGAAGAUGAUGAUGAGGAGGAGGAUGAGUCUCCUCCUACCACUACCACUAGGUUCAGCACCCAGCCUGGGUCAGUUGUUGUUCCUGCUCCGGAGACAAGACACAAAUCUUUAGCACAAGCUUCAACACCUUCAGCACCAGCUCCAUCUCAAGCUCCUUCAGAGUCAACUCCUCCAGCUCCAGGGACGUCAGCAGAAGCCUUCACCGAUGUUUUUUUGUCGACUCCAUCAUCAGCUACGAGAGAGAAGAGUAGUUCUAUACUUUUGAACUUUUUGGUAACUUGUUGCCAAAGGGGGGAAUGUAUAUAUCAUAGACUUCGUGUGAGAGAUUGACUCUAUUUUCUCUCAUUUGGUUUUAAUAAAACAUUGGCUUUUGGAUGACUUUAUCCUAUCUAUGUGUGUGAUCAUACACUUUUAUCAUGUGUGAUGCUACGAUAUCAUCUUUUAGCUA